UUUUGAUGAAUAUCGAGCCAAGCAAGGAAAGAUAGAUUUCCCAAUUGAGAAGAAAUGGUGCCUGUGAGAUCCAUGCUUGACAAAUUCAGAGCAGUGACUCUAUGGUGUCUAGAUCCACAUGUGACACCAAUCCAGCUACAAACGGAGGUAGAAGUAGACCAAUUGGUUGCCAAAAAAUUGUGAGGAUCAUGAGUUAUAUGAGAUUUGAGUGCUAGAAGAGCAGAUUGAUCAACGGUGAUGCUAGAAUAUUUUGCAGACAAAAUAACCCCAAAGGUUGCGAAUAGCAGCCCAAACAUAAACGGAGGGAGGAAGCUUGGUUUUGCCAUAAGGUUGGAUAUGGGUGUAAGGCGCAUAAGGAGAGAAACAACCGAGUUUAAUACAUUUCUAAUGUUAGUUCAAUAUUCUUUAAAUACUUUAAUUUGAUUGUAAGGAUUUAGGUAAGGCAUCCAUUGACUCAUAAUUUGAGUAAGAAAUUCGUAUAAUCUUGUUGGUCCAACCAUGUUAUAGAGAAAAAAAAGGAAAGCCUAAAAUAGAAGACUUAGUCUGAAGUUGAAGAGUAGCAUUAAUAAUUCGAUUGUAGGUUUGAGAAACCCAGGAGCCUUUUAUAGGUUUAAGUUUUUACUAGGAGGAAAAAAUUUAAGAUGUAGAAAAUUUUUAUUAUUAUUAAAACUAUUAUCAAAUGCUUAUUUGACGCAAGUUCAAAUUGUGUGAUCUCAUUUUAUAUUCCAAUGACAAAUUGAAUAAUUAGUGAGUUUAAUUUUAAAUUUUUUUAUUUUUAAUUAAUACAAAAAAUCUCAACUCAAAUUUUAAAUUAAAAAUUAAAAGUACUUUGUAAGUUUAUAGCACUUGUAAGUCUCAUUUCAUAAAUUACGUAAGCUAAAUUUAGCAAAAUCUUAUAUUUGAUUAUGAAAGUAGUAUGUUGUCUUACAUAAGCUAAAUUUAGAGUUGUUUGGAUUUUAUACUCAACUAAAUAAUUAAUAUCUUAUUUUUUGAGUGUAUAGAUUACAAAUGUUGUAGGAAUGUAUCCUUUGAGAUUGUUUGAUUCUAGUUUUUGACAAAUUGCUCAAAGUUGAUGGGAUAAAAUAAGUGAAUUUGAUGGUGUUCGGAAACAAGCUUCGAUGUUUAGUGAGAUUAAAAUUUGUUGGCAAAUUAAAUUACUCAAUGGGUUUCGAGGGUCAUGCUUGUUCCCUAUCAACCCAAGUACUACUAAGUCAGUACCCCUCUAAAUGGGGAGAACUUUGUUGAUCUUUCAUUGGUUUAAAAGUCCAAAUACCAAUUGUAAGGUAUCAAAACAACAAAGACAAGUAUUGGGGACCAGCUGAAGAGAGUGAGUGACACGGUUUGAUUUAGAGUCUCAUGAUUGCAACAUGUUUGAUCGUGAUCCUCAACUUUGGUUGUAAUGUCUAACAAAAUAAAUACCAAGAUGAAAAGACCCUUUUUCUAUAAAAUCUAAAUAUCUAGUUUUGAAGACAUGCCUUUGGUUCUCAUCUCUUACUUGUUCUGCACGGCUAAGUCGCAGUUGCUUCGAUGGACCUAUGUUGGAAUCAUGAAUUGAAAAGAAUGCCAACAAGUAAUAGAAACUUUGUAAUAUUCAGAUAGAUCAAAUUAAGCUUUGUGUGGACCAUUCGUGAUUGAAGCCAGUUCUGCCCUGGAUUAUUAUAGAUCAAAUAAUUACUUUGGCAACCUUGAAUUUAACAAUCUAAUCAUUAAAUUUAACAAUAUAAUUAUAGUUGCCUUGCAUUUAAAAUUUUGAAUUGAUCUGAUGUAUCAUUUCAGUCCAAAACUUUAUUUAUUUCGUAUAUAUUAUAUAAAGCAAAGUUUUUAAGUUUUUUUAAUGUAACUAAGUAAGCAUGUUUCUUCUGCCGCGAGUCAAAUGUUUACAGCAAUUUUAGCCAUAUCGUACAUUUUAUAUCAUUAUAUUGUUGCCUUAAUUAAAGUAGAAUAAUAUAUAUUUCCAUAAGUUUUAAAAAAAUAUCAUAAAUUUCCAUUGGGAAUUUGUUGGUGCAUUCUAAAUCACAUAAUAAUCAGAAAUAUGGAAGAUUUCCAUAUAUUCUCGCUUUUUAGUAUAAUUAAUAAUAAUAAAUCUUGUUGAUUCUGGUCUGCCUUUACUAUGAAAAAAAAAUUUAUAAAAUUAGAACCGUAAAAUUCAAGUAAAUCAAUUUUGGAAACCCUAAAUUAUAAUCUUCAUUUAUCUCUUUUGCAUAACAUCCAUCUAGUUUUGAGAAAUCUUCACUUUUAAUUUCAAAAUUGUAAUCAAAUAGUUUUAUCCAAUUAAAUAAUAAUAAUAUAUGGCUAUGGUGAUGUCUGUAAUUUCAUAAAAUAAUUACUCUAAUCUAAUCCAUGUCUCUUUCUUUUUUUCUUUUUUUGAACUUGCUAAUCCAUGUCUCUUUCAUUCUGUGUUUAUUAGGCAAUAAAUUCCUUUCGAUUUCAAAUUAGUUAAAGAAAAUUUGUGAUGUUAUACUUAAAUUGAAUCUUUUGUGGCUACUUAACAAUGAAGCGGCUUUGUGUUAGGAUUUUAAUAACGCUGCAAUGCCUGGCUACUCGCGGUUUUAAUUCUUUUAAUUCUUUUGUUGUGCGAAAAGAACAUGAUUAUAUUGUCCAAUGAAUUGUGUAAGUCAAGAUGUUUGCGAUUUGCUAAUGCAUGGAUUGAAUACCAACAAGGAAUCCUUAAACCCCUUCUUCUUCGUUUGAGGUAAUGGAUUAAACUGUGGAGAAUAAUUAAUAAUUAUACCACUUUUUACCAACAAGGAAUCCUUAAACCCUUUCUUCUUUGUUUUCUUAAAGCAUUGAUAGAUAGAAUUAUUUCUAUUCAAUCUCUUUGGUGGUGUAGGAAAAGGAUAUGAUUGUUCAAUAAUGAAUUGCGUAAGUCAAGGUUUUUGUAAUUUGUACGGAUGCGUGGAUUGAAUGAAUAGCGACAAGGUUUUUGUAAUUUUGUAAUUCUCUUCUGUUCCUUAAGCUAUAAAAUUUUAAUUUCUACUUUUGACUAUAUGCCUUUGGUUCUCAUCUCUUGUUAUGUAUGGCUGAGUCGCCGUUCGUUGGAUGGACCGACAUUCAAAACAUGAAAUGACAAGACAAGUAAUGUGAAACGUAUUUGAUUGAGAUCCUCAAUUUAUUUUCCAAACAUGAAUUCAAAGAAUCACCAUUUUUUUCAAUAUCUAAUUUGAAAAUUCGUCACAUCGAAACAAAUCAAGUUGAACUUUCCACAAGAUAAGAUCUCUUUUAAGACCGCAUGUGUGGACCAAUAUACAGGAUUCAACUAAAGAUGAGAUGAUUUUUCAGCUCUCCAUUGGUUAGAGCAACUGCCACCUCUAUCGUUUUCAUCUUAAAUUGAAAUAAAUUUCCACUGAUUAGACUCGUUAUUUUGUGUCUAUCUGCAAUUUGAAUGGGAUAACCAACGAAAGGGGGGAGGAGCAUUUGAUUUUUUCCAUUUACACUCUUUUCUUUUCUUUUUCUUUUUUUUUUUGAAAAAAAAUUGUGGCUCUAAACGAUCAUUUCUACCUUAUUUUUAUUUAUAGUAAAAUUUUUUUAUUUGUUGCAUUUUGUGUUUUAUUUCAACCAUAACCCGAAUUCUAAAAAGAAAUUAAGCUCAAUUUUACAAUUUGAGUCCAAUUAAAAAUCAAGCUCUAUUGACAAUUAAGUUUUACGACCUUGUUUGUUUUCGCGCAAAACUUGUUCACUUUUAUCAUUAAUGAACAACCGCCCUUUUUAUUUGUUUAUAUAUAUACAAUUAAGAAAGCAAAUCCUAUGAUAAAGCUCAUAGGAUUCAUAACUCUCCCCUUCAACUAAAUUUUUGUUUUAUUUUUUGUGCAUAGUUUAACUUAUGAAUAGGUUUACUCUCACAUACGUGAUAGUAUUCUCAAUUUUAUAACCUUAUCAAGGCUUUUAAUGGCCACAUUAACAUUGUUGUUAAAUACAAAUGGACAACAUCAAUUAAGGGAUCUAUUUAGCUAGUUUUGUUAGUUUAGGUGCUCAAUUGGGUGCAAAAAAUUUGGAGGAGUUUAAUUGAUUUUUUGAAAAUGCUCGAGGCAUUAUUUUACCAAUAAGCCAAAAUUUUAACGAUUAACUAAAUUAAUAAAUAACCUAUAAUAUUUAAAAUAUAGUUUAAAAUAUAAUAAAUUAAUAAGAAUAUUCAAGCAAUUAUGAAUUUUUCAAAAUUAUAUAAAAUUCAAAAAUAUUAAUAUUUUAUUUUAUUUAAAAAAUUAAUAUGUGUAUCAAUGUUUUAAUUCUAUUGGUACAAUGUAUAUUAAACAAAAAUUAUUUUUAUAUAAAAUAAAUAAAUAAAAGUAAUUUUAAUUUUAUUAAUUGUAUGUAUAAUUUUUUGUAAUGUAUGAAUAUAUCCAAUUAUUUAAACCUUUUAAGCUUCAAAAUAAUUGAUAGAUCUUUUAGGCCACACAUGUAAUAAAAGAAUUGAUACAUUUUUCUAAUUGGAGAUAUUCAUACAUUACAAAAAACUUUACGCGUUAAUAAAAUUAAAAUAUUUAUAUUUAUAUUUAUUUUUUAUAAAAUAUUUUUUAUCUUUUAUACAUCUAAAAAGGUACCAAUAGAAUUAAAAUAUUAAUAUACAUACCAACUUUUUAAAAAAAAUUAAUUUUUAUAUUUUUAAACUUUAUAUAAUUUUAAAAAAAUCAUCUUGAAUGAAUCCAGAUAUAUGGUUACCUAGAUUAAAUAUAACUAUGGAUAAUCAUAUGUCUAGAUUCAUUCUAGACUCAACUUUUAAAUAAUUUUUUUAUUAAUUUUAAAUUUUUAAGAUUUAUUUAAUAUUUUAAUACAUUUUAAUAAUAAUUAAAAAAAUUAAAAAUAUAUUUUAAUUUUUCUCCCUUUAAAUAAUUUGGUCCCAAUGUCACUUGUCAUUCCAUCACCAUUGUUGUUAAUUACAGCAUCAGCUACUGAUAAAAUUCUAAGGCCCCAAAAAGCGAAUAAUUUAUAAAAAUUUAAAAAUUCUUUUUCCAAUCCUCUCUUUGUUGGUUGUUUUUGAAAUCAAGGUCUUUGUAAUUUACAUGAAAAGAAGUAUUUAUUGCUCUUUAAUAUCUUGCUUGUUUACGUGUCUAUUAAACAAGGUUUUCACGUAAGCGUUGUGGGGUACUUGAAAAUGUUCUCUUUUCCCACUCAAAUUAACUUUGAAUUUAAUAAUUGUAGACAACUAAUUUUGAUUAAAUUGAUUAAAUCUUUUCGUUACUAAAAUGUAAAACCAAGUUAGAGGCUUGCAAGACGUUGAACAAUGUCAAUCAAAACCAUGUUUUCGGGUUAUGAAGUCAAAUGUACAUUUUGUGAUUUGGCCCAUGCAUUCUCCACUUUAGUUUAAAGUUACUGUUAUCUUUCUCAUUCUUUUAUUUUUAUCUUAAUUUCCUUCCAUCAUUCUUUUCGGAUUUGCUUUUGGAUGUUGGAAACUUGGAGUACUUGGGCCUUACCAGCCCUCGGUUUCGGUCUUAUAGGAAAUUACAUGAGAUAUGAACAUUGUGAGAUUAAUGUGUUGACACCAUUUUUUGGAUGAAAAACGGGGUCGACUUGGGUUUUGAAAAAUGAAACGGGAGUCGCCACCAAUCCUUUUUUUAUGAGGUGUGAUUGGAUCACCUCGAAAAGUAGUUGUUUUUAAUAAACGGUUUGAUUUUAUUAAAACAACUAGUUUGGUCUACGAAAUUCAGAAAAACGGGUUCGGGAGUCGGUUACGCACGAGGAAUGAUUAGCACCCUCGAUACGCCCAAAAUUGGUACCUAGUUGAUUACUUAAUGUCUUAAUGUUGAAAAUUGAUAACUUUGAAGAAUUUUAAAAAUACGAUCCUUGUAUUAAAAUGUUGAAAAUUUUUGGAAAAAGAAGCAUAUUUCACGUUAAUCGAGAAAAGACAUCAUAUCCAGUAAGUUAGGAUACAACGUCUCGAAUUCUCGAUACUCGAGUGAAUGCUAAAAUGUUACCCCUUUUUAAAAUAUAUUUUAUUAUCUCGGGUUUAGAAAAUAAAUCUUGCCCAGUAAGUUAGGGCACGAUCUUUUCUUAACUUCCGAGAUCAUUUUAAAAAACUUCGAGUUUGAAAAGAUUCGUGUAUUUAAAUUUAUUGAGAAAGUCAAAACCCAGUAAGUUAGGGCACUGUUUUCUCGAAUCCAAACACGAAAUGUCAUUUUAAAAAUUAAAUUUUGUUACAUCGAAUAAAAUAAAACACGAAAUCAUAAUGAAAGCAAAUUACAUUUUUUAUGCAUGGCAAAAUCAUAAUGAAUAUGAAAGUAUAGAAUGAUACGAUCAAUAGCAAUCAAUAUAAACGGUCAAACUUACAACAUAUAAAAUAACAAAAUAUAAAAACGAAUAAAAUUAAAUCAUUCAUUCAAAAUAAAUAAUGAAAAUGAAAUAAAUAAAGAGUAAAUACAAUAAAAAAAAGAGAUAUAUAUGUGUAUAUAGGUAUAUAGAUAGUUUUAAGCUAUAAAGGAUAAAAAUAUGUGCAUAUAUGAGUCAUAAAAUAUAUAAAGAACAUAUAUAGAACACGUAUUUAAAAAUAUGAAGAAUAUGUAAGUGUAUGUAUAUAUAUUAUGAAAACAAGAUAUGUAUAUAGAUAUAUAGAUAUGUAUAUAAAUUAAAAUAUAAAGGUAUAAUUAUCUAUUUAUUAAAAUAAAAAUACAUACAUAGAUAUGUAUAAUAAUAUGAAAAUACAUAUGUAGGUAUAAGUAAAAUAUAUAUGUAAAAAAAAAAGGGAAAUAUAAUAUAUAUAUAUAUAAAUAUACAUGUUUAUAUAAUAUAUAUAUAUAUAAAAUAUACAUGUUUUAAUAUAUAUAAAAAUAAUAUAUAUAUGUAUAUAUGAAUAGGUAUAUAAAUAUUCGUGAAAGAAAAAGUAUAAGAGAAAUAACAGUAAUAUUAAUACUAACAAUAAUAGUAAUAAUAAUAACCAUAAUAAUAAUAAUAGUAAACUAAUAAUAAUAAUAAUAAUAAUAAUAACUAAAUAAUAAAAUUGCGAAAAUGUGGACUGAAUCGAAAUAAAAACGAGGUUAUUGGGCAAAAUCGAAAUAAGAAAAGGCAAAAAGGACCAAAUCAUGUAGCGCACUGAAAGAGGGGGACCAAAAUUGUAAAUAAACCAAGCAUUAAAACGCAGCGUUGAAAUGGAUCGUAAUGUAACAAAAAUAAAAUGACGGGGCUAAAUUAAAAAAUAACAGAAAAUAAUGAAAAGGGGCCGAAUUGAAGUACGCUGCAGAGUCAAGCGACUGCGCGCGCAAAUAUACCCUUUAAAGAAAACACGCGGAUCCUCCCCCUGGGUCGGGUCACGGCGCGGGUCAGAGACCAAAACGACGCCGUUUUGUUCUCUGAACCCUAAAUUCAAAAACGACGUCGUUUUACAGGGUAUUUAAACCCAAAUUUUCUGAAAAAAAUCACUUCAGCCACCGAAGAAAGAAAAAAAAAUUGAAAUAAAAAAAAACUCCCUCUUCCUCUCAAAAGUCCGGCCUUUGGGUCAUAUUAGCGCCGCCGUUGCGUCACGCCGGCCACCGUACAUGGUGGCCGAAAAAAUCAAAAAGGUAAUUUUUUUACUUCAAUAUGUUGUAUAUAUAUAUACACGUAUAUAGUUUAGAAAUAAAACAAAAAAAUAAAGAAAAAUCGAAUAAAAACAGUCCAAUAAACCGAAAAGAAAAUAAAAAUAAAAAUAAAGAGGACCUUUAGUAUUUUGUUUUUGAUCUACACUUUUUGUUGAUUUGCUGGAAUCCUUUUUUAGUUGAAAGAAAAAACAUCCCUUGUUACAAUGUUUACAAUCGGUUUUAUUUUACCGAAACAAAAACCAAAUACCCCCCCCCCCCCCGUUUACCAAUUACAAGCCUUUCUUGGUUUUUAUACAUGAUUUUUUCGAUUUUCUUGUUUCUGUUCUGCUGUUUGCGUGUGCUUCUUUCUCUUGCAGGUGGAGCAGGUGGCACAGGCGGCGACGUGACCGCGACGGUGGGCAGGUGCGAGGCAGAGCAAGUGGGCGACCCUAGGUGCGGCGCACCUAGGGUUAGGGUUACCCCUUUUUUGUUAUUUUCUGAUUUGGGCUGAUUGAGUCUAUUGGGCUGUUUUGGGCUAGGUGAUUUUUGUUGGGCUUGGGUAAAUUUAGGUUGUAAUUGGGUUUUGCUGGUGUGGGCAAAAUUGGGCUGGUACAUAAUGUAUGUUUUUUUUUAUUUACAAAAUAUUAUUGUAUGUUAUUGUAAUAUUUGAGGAAUUUUUUUUUAGAAUUGUAUCGAUAACCACCAAAGUUAUUGUGAGAAAGAUCAAUAACACUCAAAUGAGUGAAGAAAACUUCAAAGAUAUCCACUUGACCAUAAAAUCUAUUCCAUACUUCUAGUUUAUCCAAAUUUCUUAAUCAAUUUGAGAAACUGCCAUUUAAAUAGUUUUCCUCAACAUCAAGAAGGUUCAAAUCUUUGCAAUUAUUAUUUGAAUAGUUAAUCCAAAUGCUUCUACUUUGUUGUUGUUGAUCCAAAAAGUUUGCAAUGUGCAACCUUUAACAAAAUUUGAUGGUAUGUUAGCAUCAAAAUUAUUUUUUCGUAUAUCAAUGUGUAAAAGAGAACAACUUAGGUUUCCAAUGCACUGCAGAAUCACUCCUUUCAAAUUAUUCCUACAUAACUGAAGACUUAAAAAGAGAACUCAAUUUGUAUAUUAAUGAAGGAAUUUCUCCCUGAAAGAUUAUACCAAUGCAAUGAAAGUGGUGGAAUUGGAAUUCACCUUAAAAGAAAAUUUGGAAUAGAGUUAGAGUUAAGAGAUUGAAACCAAAAAAUAAUAAUAACUUAUAUUUGUAACGUAACACAUGCAUGAUGUGCAUAUCCAAUAAAAUUGAUUGGUUAAUUUACUCCACAGAAACUUCUAGCCAUUUUUCAAUGCAUAGAGAAUACCAAUCCAUCGGAAUUACUACCUUUCAUAUGUGUACUUUUUAUUUCUAUUACUCAUGUGUUAUGAGAAACACAAAAGUAAAAAAAAAAUUACUAAUAUUUUCUUACUAACCCAAAAGCUUUUAAUUAAUACAAUGAAAUACAAAGUUACAGUUUAAAGGAUAAAGCCCAUACCUAAUAUUAACCCUUAUUAAGAACCUCCCCAUCCUAUUUAAAGUCAACACUAAUAUUUGGACUAUUGGACGUUAAGAGUGUAUAUUACCUCAUACUUAUANNNNNNNNNNNNNNNNNNNNNNNNNNNNNNNNNNNNNNNNNNNNNNNNNNNNNNNNNNNNNNNNNNNNNNNNNNNNNNNNNNNNNNNNNNNNNNNNNNNNNNNNNNNNNNNNNNNNNNNAAAAAAAAAAACUAAUUAGUUUGUUUUUUUUUUGCAUUUAAAAAGGCUUUUUAACAUUUAGUGUCACAAUCGCAUGUAGUAGAAAAAAAAUUUAUUAAAUUUUAAUUAAAAAACUUUGCAAUGUUGAACCUUUAGCAUAAACAACAAAUUUACAUUGGCGACCUCUAUACAAAUAGCUACAGCACUUACCAGACAGAAACAAAUCGAAUUACAACUUUCCCAGAAAUCUCUAAAAUUUCCAAAUUUCAAAAGCCAUAAAAUAAUAUAUAAAACUACAGUUUCACCUUAAUCAAUAUAUUUCCAGAUUGUGAGUCAAAGUCGGGCUUUAGAUCGCUUCAAUAUUUCAAGUUUCAAUCAUUUUGAGGUCGACUCAGUUGAAUUUAAUAGUCAAGUUAGGAUCCUUGAAUAUUUAUAAUUCAAUUAUUGAAUUUUGAUUUACUUGUACCAAUAUUUCUUACAAUUUCUAACUCAAAUUUAGUUUAUGUAUUAAUAACAUUAGAAAAGAAUUUAUUUAACACAUAUGUUCUAAAAUAGUUAGAUAUAAAUUAAAAAAAUGUACAAAUUUAAACAUACAAUUAGAAAAAUAAGUAAAAUUAUUAUAAAAUAUAAUAUCUCUUCAAAAUAAGUGAAAAGUUUUUCUUUUCUUUACCACAAACAAGUCACGUGAGUGGCUAAAAAUUACUAAUUGUGAUUAGUUCGUAGAUAACAAAUUACUAAAACAUGUGGAAAAAUAAUAUUUCAACCAAACGUAGUGUCAACCUAUAAUUAUUUUUUCUAAUCCAAAAGGAUUAUUUUAAAAACUAAAAGAUUGUAAAGCUACUUAAUAAUGAGAAGGAUCUAUUUACGUUGGGCGUGUCCUUGGUCGUGUGAGUCCUGAGACUAAAAUUUUCCAAAUUUAACUUUUUCAUAUUUGUUUUUCUUUUCUUCUUCCUGUUUCCACUUUCGUUCUUUUAGUUUUUGCUACAGAUGUCUUUUUUGCCACUUUUUUCUUUUCGUUAUUCAAUUUUCCUUCCUCUUUUGUUUUCAUAUUUUGCACGUUGCCGGACUUGCGCCUGUUGUUUCUUGUUCUUCUUCCUUUGCUGUGUUUUUUUCUGUUCUGCUAUUGGUUGUUGGGGACGACCGUUUCUUUGGAUUUUGUUGAGGGCAAUGUGUGGUAAGGGAAAUGGAUUUUGUAAUUUUAUCUUCUUUCUCUUGUGGUAUAAGUGUCAUCCGUUCGAUUCUUAAGAUAUUGUCUUUUCAGUUUGGCUUAGUUUUGGAUAUCUGAUCAUUUCCGUAGUAUGACUCUAUUUUGAUGAGGAUCGGGUAAUACGUACUCCUUUGGCGAUUUGAAGUGUUUCAGGAACUGAUUUAGCAAGGGAAAGCAAUUGAAUGUCAAUUUGGGGGUUUCUUUUGGUUGUUAGGGUAGAAUGCCCUACUAUUUUUAGCUAGAAUAUUAGGAAGCAAGGUUUGUUUUCUUUUUAAUUGUGCUCAUUUUAGUCACUAAUCUGUAUGUUGGGUGUUGUUUAGGUAUUGGAUUUGCUACUGUUGCGUUGGUGUCGAAAAAUGACUAGGUGUAUAACGAGAACCUUGUAAAAUAGUGAACGACACGAAGCUAAAAAAUGCACUGUCAAUGCCACACGGCCUUGUGGGUCACAUAGCCGUGUGGUAUGCCGUGUGAAUCACACGGUUGUGUGGCAACCCGUGUGGGUCACACGACCGUGUGACAGAUCAUGUGAUACGAGUAACUCAGCCCAAUUCAAAGGCCAUAAUAGAGAUGACCUUAGUUUCCCUCAAGGCCCAAUUACGAGAUCCAAAACCAAACAAAUAAAGUCAAAACUCAACUUAGUUGUUCAAGACUUUAUCAUGAAAAAAAAUUGAGAAGAAGAGUUGAAGUUUCAAGAUGAUGAAUUCUGGAGUAAUGAUGAAUUAGAAGAGACUAAUUAUGUUCGUGGGCCUAAACUCUCAAUCUAUGAUGACAAGCUCAUGUGGAAAAUGCUAACAAGCUUAGGCAUUUCACUUUAAGAAUCCCAAUUGAUCUUACAAGCCUACACGUUUCAUAUUAGGCUUAAUUUUUAUUAUAUAUAAGCCCAAUAUUUUAUUUAUCAGCUCUUAUUAUUUUAUUAUUAUUUUAUUCAGAAUUUUUGAUUAUUAUUAAGUAUUUUAAGUUAUUUAGGAGUUUUAUAUUAAUAAGAAAGUUUAGUUUAAAACUACCUCUUGUUUAGAUUAAAUUAGAGUUCUCGUAUACUUAGGAUUUUUAUUUAGAUUUAUAUUGCUAGCCUAUAUAUAUAGGCCUUUGUAUUGUACACAAUACAUUCAAUUCAUUAUUAUUCUAUUUCUCUUUUGAGUUAAUAAAUUCUCUCUAGGUUUUUCUUUUUUCAAGAAUUUCUCUUGAGUUUCUUUUAGAAUAGUUUUAACAAUAUUUUUAGAUUGUGGGGAUCAUCUUCAAACUUUUUCUUGUCAAGGUUUCUAUCUUAAAGGGGAAAUUAGAGCCGCUUAAAGGGGGUUGUAGAUUCUUCGUGUUUUCAAGGCUUCUUAGGAAUUCUACACACCAUGUUCUAUAUUUCCGUUUAUCUUCUUUAUUCGCUUCCUUAAUAUUUGAUUUAUUAUUUGAUUUUAGUUAUUUAUUUUAAUUGUUUCAUCUGAGUUUGAUUCAAUUUCGUUUCAAGUUGUAUCAAAUUCCAAGUUUCUUUUCAAACGUCUAGAGCCAUAAGUCAAAUUCGUAACUUUGACAAACUUUACGAUCCGCUUUCGCCUUCAUCCUUCUCAUCCUUUAUCACCAUGUAGGUCACACAGCCAUGUGAUAGGUAGUGUGUGGGUCAUACGGGCGUGUGGACCCAUUUUGGGUAGAUUGUUGGGCUAGAUAUGAGAUUUUUAAAUCGAAUUUGUAAUUACUCUAUAUGCAUGUAAGACCACUAAAUCCAUAAAAUUUAAGUGUUUGUAUGUUAGUGGCAUUAAUUACUAAACUCUAUUUAGGCUACGUGAUAUUAUUUGUAUUUAUACCUACAUUUGUAUCUGUAUGUGUAUUUUCUAACAGCAUGUCUGUGAUAAAUUUUACAUCUAAUCUGCAAUAUGAGAAAUUUUGUUAGCAUGUUAUGAUUUGUAAAAGCAUGAUUUUUCUGUAUGCGUAUAAGUAUAUAUUUUGUUUUUCUUUUCUUCUUUCUGUUUCCGCUUUCGUUUUUUUAGUUUUUGCUAUAGUAGUCCUUUUUGCCAUUUUUUUCUUUUCGUUAUUCAAUUUUCCUUCCUCUUUUAUUUCCAUAUUUUGCACGUUGUAGGACUUGCGCCUGUUGUUUCCCGUAGCUUAUUAUUUACAGUUUUUCUUGCAAUCCAAGUGCAAGUGUUAUGGGGCUAGAUCUUUCGUUUUACGAUCCGUGCGGCCUUAGGCGAUCCGUUGGUCCAAAAUCGCCUAAGUCAGCCUUUACUCAAGUGAGAAUUCCUUAAGAACUCCUCUCAAGGCACCAAGUUGAAAAGCGGAAGCGAUUUAUUCCAAAAGAAGAACAACAAAAAGAACAACAGAUAGAGUGCACACAAAGUGUUUGAGUAAAUGUUCUUAGAAUUCUAUUACUCUUAAAAAUUCAACAUACAAUGGAAUGAGUACAAAUGAGGGGGAGGCUCUCUAUUUAUAGUUGAGCUCCCCCAAAACCGACAGUCAAGAUACAUUUACAUCGACAGAUGAGAUUAACCAUAUUCCUUUAUUUUAGGGAUUUACAAUAUAUACUAUAUCAAAUCUAAUCUAAUUUUUAUAAGAUAUGAUUCCCUCAAUCUUCUAAGAUUAGUUACCAAAAUAGCCUAAGUUGUCAUAUCUCCAUUAUCGGGCCAACCAGACUUCAAUCUGACAGGCUUCUCCAAUAGCUCUUUGAAUCGGGCUAAUUCUCGUGGGCUAAAUGAUCCCCAUCUUAUCGAUAGACCUCUAUGGGGUGCAUCUUAUACCAUGGUGACGGGCUUUGCACUUAGACCCAUGACAUUCUCCCCCAUCUAUUCUCGCAACACCCUUGUUGCGACUUCCGAAUGGCACUAACUUGAUUCACCUUUGAACCCUCUUGUUGUCUUGACUUCUUCUCGACUUGCCUUGCGAUCGGGUUAUCCCUUCCUUCGAAACCUUUUCCUUAGCUUCCGUCACCUCUUAACUUGAACCAUUGCACUUGUUGGUAUAUCUUGUUGGCAAGAAGUCUCCGCUCUAACUUGCCCUAAUUUUGACUUGUUUCUGCUUGAAUCGCCUUGAUUCUCACAUCUUGGCUUCAUAUUGUCCACAGUCUCUUGGCCUCCUUGCUUAUGAACUUUGAAAGGGCCCCUACAACCUUGCCAAGCCAACAAGUUAGAAUUCAAAACACUAACAAAGUGUUCGCAAUGUACCUUACUUGCAGCAUUUACUCAUUUCGACUAUUUUUGCAUCGUUCCUUUUUCCUUGAAGCCUGAUGCACAACCCACAUUUCCCAAAGAUGUCGGCUCCAUAGUUGAAUCUACAGGCUUCAUAUUGAACUCUUACGCCACAAACACUUCCCAAGGAGCUUUCGUAACUUUUCAUUCUACUGAGUCAAUAUUCCUCCCAUACAAAACAUCCUCGACUAGUUGGAUUGACGACAACACCUUUGUCCCCACCUUCAUAUCUCAAUGCACUGGCACAACAAUUUUUGUUAACGGAUCGGUGAUAAUAUGAAUUUCAUCAACCCAUGGAAAUAGAACCGUCUGAAUCCUGUCAAGGAAGUUCAAGCCAAAUACAUAAUCGUAAUCAUCUAAUUGGAUUACUUUAAAGUCUUCCUUGCCCUUCCAUUCGUCAAUUUGUAGCUCCACAUUAUGAACUACUCCCACAGUUGGGGCCUCCUCAGAAUUUACUAUCUUGAUCUUCUUGUUCAAUUUCUUAAUCGAUAGACCAAGCUUCCUUGUAACCUUUUUUGAUAUGAACAAGUCUGAUGCUCCUGUAUCAAUAAGAGCACUCUGCUUCUGACCCGCAAUGUUAAUCUUUACAAAUAUCAACCCUUCUUUACCAUUCCUUUUCUUAGGAAUGAGCACCAUCGAAUUGACCCUCAAUAGGCUUUGCCUCUUCCAGCUCAUCAUUCCUCUUGAUAGCCAAAACUGAAGAUACCUUUGGGCAGUCCCUCUUUAUGUGUGGUCCCUUACAAAAGUAGUUGCGUAACUUUCCAUUCUUUUUUUUCGGGCUAUUAGGUCUCCACUUCCCAUUUUGUGGUUUCCUAUCAUCACCAUCGCUGCUACUACCGUUUCCAUCAUAGCUAUGUCCCUCUUUAUCUUCCUAAUGGUACCUACCAUUGCCCCUCCUAUUGGGCUUGAAAGAUUCAAACCUGUCCCUUAUCGGAACAAGUUCCACUAUAAAAUCCGCUACCAUCAUGGCAUUGGUAAGUUCUUAAACUCCUCGACGUUGCAAUUCUUGUUUCACCCAUGGUUUCAACCCAUCCGUAAAGGAGAAAAAUGCGUCUUUCUCACUCAAAUCAGAGGUCUAGAGCAUGAGUUCACUAAACUCCCGCACAUACUCCCUAACCGUGUGUCGUUAUGUAAGCCACCGCAACUUUGCUUGAGCUUCAUCCUCGACAUACUUGGGGUAAAACUGUGCUUUAAAUUCCUUUUGGAACUCCUUCCAAGUCCCAAUCUCAGUCCAACCACGUCUCACAUCAGUGGACCUACGUCGCCACCACAACAAAGCAACGUCAGUAAAAUACAUAGCAACAGUAUUUACCUUUGUGACAUCAUCCUCGAUGUUCAUCGCAUGAAAGUAUUGGCCCAAUGAAAGUUGUCCACUUCACUUGCGGACCUUACCCCUUCAAACGCUUUCGGCUUGGGCACAUCCAUUGCUUGUGGCUUCGGCUUUAAGGUCAACAUUCCAUUUGUUAUGACAGCCUUAAAAAUAUUAAGCUCCCCUUUAAGCUCAUUGAUCUCCUCCUUCAAAGCUGUCACCAUAGCCUCGAAAGCAUCGUCCUUCUCAACUAGCUUAUUCUCUGAAGAACCGAUAGUAUCCCACACAAAUUCCCUGAGCUGCUCUUACAUCGUCGAUCCUCUCCUUUAUAUCCCCCAUGGACUCCUCGAGAGUGACGACUCGAUCCUCUAAAGCUGACAAUAAGUCCCUCGAUCGACUCACUUUUUUGGCCUUUCCUCGGGUCUCCAUUGGCUCACUCUGACCAACAACUUCUUUUGACAUCCCAACAGUGCCUUUGAACCAAAAGCUCUGACACAAACUAUCACAAGGCAAGAUGUAAUAUCUGGAAAAUUACUACAGUAAGAAAGUAGGUAUCCUUGAUAUAGUAAAAUAAGGAAAUAAAGUGCCAAAAAGGGAAAUUUUAAGUUAUGGCAACAUUGGGGAGUAUAUUAUGAUAUAUUAAUUCAAGAAAGAAUUAAAUCGCAAAAGUGAGAAAAGUUUUGUUGAUCAAGAGUAAAUACUCAAAAUUUGAGAGGGUAAAGUGUAAAUAUGAAAGGUUGAAGGACCAAUAAUGCAAAAAUUUUAAGGGUUGAAUAAUCCAGAAACUAAGGAAAAUGGAUGAAUUAGGACAAAAUUGAAAAGGUGAAGAAUUUUGAGGGACUUAAUCAUAAUUUUACCAAAUUAAGUGAUGAAUCAAGGAUGGAAAUUUUAAAGAUUAUAUAGGGAAAAAUGGUCAAUUAGAAGAGAGAAAUCUAGAAGAUAAUGAUGAUGUUGGAGAUAUUUUAGAUUAAAUAAAUAAAUAAAUAUUAGUUUAUAAUAUUUUGAUUUGAUUUUUUUAAUGAUAUGUUAUUAUUUUAUUUAUUAUAUAUAUAUAUGUGGAAAGAAAGAUGAAAAGCCACCAUCCCACUAUUUUUCCCAUGCAUCAACGUGAGAAGAAGAGAAAAAGAAAGAAAGUUUUGCUUUUUUUACAAUUUGGUCCUUUAACCAAAUACUCACCAUUCUCACUUAAAAAUCAAAAGAAUUUCAUAGCCACCAAGAGAGAAAUUUGAUAAGGAGACUAUGGGGAGAAAAAAAUAUCAAGUUAGAUUCAAGAAAUAGAAGCUAGAGGAGAGAGAAAACUCAAGUUAAAGAUUGAAAUCAAUAGGACAAGGUAAGAUCAUCAAAAUUUCAAUAUAUUUUUAAGAUUGAUAUUAUUGAAAAAGCAUGGAAAUGAUGUUAUAGUAGAGUUUUCUUAUAUAAUGUCUUAUGUUUCUAAUAUAUUAGUGAAGGGAAAUAAGUAAAAGUGAUGGGAAAUAUUAUAAAGAAAGGGAAUAAGGGAGUUAAAAACUUAGUAAUCAACAUCUUACACUAAAACAAUUUUGGACAGCAGCAGUAGGUUAACUUUGAAAAAUCACCAUAAAUCAUGGAAAUUGAAUUAGAGGAUGAAAAAAAUAUGGAAUUCAAUCUUAUUGAGUCUAGCUUCUCAUAGAAGAAACAAUGUAAGCAAUGGAAUUGUAAAUCAUGAGAUAUAAUAAAUUUUGUGAGACAAGGUCAGAACGAUUUUGAGUUGCACUGUUCUAACUUUGGAAAAUCAUAAAAAAAAUUGGAGAAAAAUAAUUAGGGGCUUAAAUUUUUUUUUAAAAUCCUUAAUGAGUCUAUUUUUAAUAGAAACAAACGGUAACAUCAUCCAAAUCCUGUACUAGGAGAUAAUUAAUUUUUAGUGAAGAAGGUUCGAAACUAUCAAAUAGCAGAACAGGGAUGAUUUUAAAGAAUAAACUGUACUUAUUGGGUUAACCAUAAAUUCUAAAAAUUUUAUGGUAAGAAGACAUGUGAGUCUAGUUUCAUAUAAAUUUAUCAGAUUUUAAUUCAGAGUUCCGUAGCUCAAGAUAUAAAUAAUUUAGUGACUAUGACUAAAGUGGAUAACUUUGAAUGAACAUAUAAAUAAAUAGUGAAAUUAUAGAUAAUGUUACAUAUAAGCAUGUUAUAUACAUUAAGGAUAUGGAAUGGAGAGGAGGAGGAAAAUAUAUGAUUAUUCAACUAGCUUGAGUUUUCAUUAAAAAUGGCUAAUUUGCAUGUUUUAGGUUCAAGGACUAAAUUGAAUAAAAGUAAAAUUUUAAGGGUAAUUUUGUAAAAAGAUAAAAAAGUGACAAAAUUGCAUGAAAUGAAUUGUUUUAUUAUUUAAAUUAAUAAAUUGAAUGAAAUAUUAAUUUAGAUCAAGAUUCGAUGGAAAUUCGAGGAAAAUAGAAAAUUACUAAAAUGUCCCUAAAUUUUGGUAUUUUCUGCAAUUUAGCCUGGUAAGUUCGUAUGAACUAUAUUCUAUAUAAUUUUAAUUAAAGUGAAUGUUAUUUGGUGAUGAAUAUUAUAUAAAUAUGUCUUUUAUUAUUGGAAUUGAAUUAUUAUUGGUAAUAUGUAUAAUUAUUAGAUGCAUUAAAAUGAUUAUCGGAAGCUCGAUUGGGUUGGAAACUUGUCGGAGAUAUAUCACACUAUCCAUUGGUUCUAUCGGUAAUUUUGGAUGAUUUGAUUCUGGUUAUAAUGGCAUGUAUAAGUUAAAUUGGCCAACAUUAGUGCAUUAAUGUUUUGAUUUUGAUUGGUUAUUAAUAUGAAUGCUUGAAGAAAUGAAAUGUCUGUAAAUUAAUUUGUAAACUCCGGUAAUACUCUAUAACCCUAUUCUGGAAAAGGAUACUAGUUAUGGGUGUUACAUUUAUUAGUGUCAGAGCUACAGUUUAGUUGGUUCUUGGGCCGAACGUAGCAUAUGUGAAGUUUGGAAAUACAUGCCAUUUUAUAACCUGUGAUAGUAUGAUAUCUCUCGACUCUGGUGAGAUUUUUUUUACUCAUAGACAAAAAUACUUUCCCAACUAAGUUAAUUCCAAUAAUGUUGAAAGCGAUACUCAAGUAUAUGAGAAAAAAAUUGAUUAUGAUGAAUCGAAACUCAUAAAGGUAUGAAUAAAUGUUUUAUAAUACAUGUUAAUGAUGAAUAUUAUGUUAUAUGUACUAAUAAAAGUAAAUUUUAGUGCUACACGAACUAUUGUGCUAAUAAAAAAAUUAUAAAAUAUACAAAAGUAAUAUAUGAAGUAUAUGAUAAGGAUUAUUAGGGAAUUGUGGAUGAAUAGUGAAUUUGAAAAAUAUUACAUGUGUUAAAGAUAGAGAAGAUAUAAAUGCAUGAAUUAUUGGUACAAGAAUUAAAUUGUAAAGCAUGUAAAAACAUUAUGCGAAAAGUGUAAAAGUGAUAUGCAUGCAUGAAAUAAUUUGCCCAAGUAGAUGAGAUUAGAACUAUUAGGAUAUUAAGGGAGUUUAGCGUGCUUUUUGAUUAUUAGCACAUCAGUGCUCUCUGAUUAUUAGCACGUCAGUGCUAUCUGAUUAUUACCGCAUCAGUGCUAUCUGAUUAUUAGCGCAUCAGUGCUCUCUGAUUACUAGCACGCUCUUUGAUUAUUAGCACAGUAGUGCUCUCUAUUUAGCACAUUUGUGCUCUCUGUAUAGCACUUUUGUGCUCUCUGUUUAAUAGUGCAUAAUAAUACACCUCUGUAUCAGUCCCGUAUAUCCUAAGUGUUUUGUUUCAUCUACUGGGCCUCUACUAAAAAGGAAAACAAUUUUCGUUACAAGAUAAAAGAUUAUCUUUGAUUCAUGUUUGAAAUAUUGAAUUAAAAAAAAGUAUAGGUGGAUAGUAACAAGAGAACGUACUAUUCAGGAAAUAAGAAGAGAUGAAGUGAUGUUAAUGUUUGAUGAUAGAAAAAGGUUUACAAGGAAAAGAGAUAGUAAAAAAGAAGGAGAUUCAGAAAACAUUUUAAGAUCCAAUGAUGAAUGAUUAUAAAGGAAAAUAAGUUACAAAGUUGUGAAUAGAUAAGCAUGUAUUUGUAAUAAAAUAAUUUAAAGUUGUAAAUAAGUAAAUGUUAUUUAGUUUUGUAUGGAGGUUUAAAAAAGUAAUCCUUAUAGAUAAGAAUGAAAAGAUACAUUAAGAAUAAAAUGAGUGCUCUUUAGGAAUCUAAAGUUAUGAAAUAAUAAUAAAAUUUAUGAUACGAGUGAGAAGUAAAGAAAUUUGUGGGCUACUAACUAAUUUAAUAUAAAGAUUUGAAAGAUAAAUGGAAAUUUCAGAAUCAAAAUUUGAGGGUAAUUAAUUGAAAAGUUAAAUCAAACGAAAUGAAUUAGUUGAGUCAUUGAGAAGAAACGUGAUUGUGGAAUAUAAUUUGAAAAUGUGAAUUAAAUAUGAAAAUGUGAAUAGAAAGCAUGAACUAAAUGUUCAUGAGACAAAUAAUGGCUCAAUGUGAUAGUAUAUGAUAUUAAUUAAUGAAUGAAUUAUUAUUGAAAAUAUAUUAUGGAAUUUAAUACUUAGUCUGGAUUGAACGCGAGAUUGAGUACAAUCGUUCUGCGGCAAAGAAUGAAUUGACGGAUAAGACCAUAACUGGGUUAUGGCACCUUGGACAUAAGACCAUGGCUGGACCAUGGCAGUAUAGAUACAUAUGUAAGACCAUAGUUGGACUAUGGCACAAAAAGAGUGACGUACUCAUAUCCGUAAGCCGUUCUUCGAUUCAAUAAGAAAUGGUAAGAGAUUUAUGUGAUUGAAUUGAAAGAUUAUACAUUAUUAUUGAUAUUGAUCUGAAGGAAGUGUAUUUAUUGAUUAUAUUAUAUUUGAAAAGGAAAUUAUGUAUGUUGAGAUGAGUAAUAAACUUAAGUGUGACAUAUUGAAAAAAUAAGUUUAUCAAAGUUGAAUUUAUAUGCAAUAUGUGCAAGUAAGCUAACCAGUGAUGUUGCUCGAUGCUUAAGCAAGUGCCAAACUGUGGGUUGAAUGGUAAUAUGAUUAUUUAUAUGAUACAUUGAAUUGAUAAGUAUUUAAGUGAAAAUAUGCUACUGCUUAUGAAAAAGUGGUAAGGUUUAAAUUACGCAAUUUCUUAUGGAAUGAUUUAUCAUGUGAUCAAUUCGGAAAAGGUUUUGGUUAAAUGCACUAGCUUGUAACCAUGGUUGAAGGAUAUGUUUAUGACUUGUGUGUCAUGCAUAUGGAAUAAGCGUGGAAAGUAAAUAAAUGCAAAUGAAAAUAAAGAAAAUUCGAAAGAGUAUAAAGUUGUUUAAAAUCUUAUAUUGCUAAGGAUAAAAUGUACAAGUGAUGAUGUGGAUUUAUUUACCUCGUGAGUUGAUAAAUAUAGCCACAUGAGCAUUGGGGUAUCAAUAUUAAAUUAUUCUUGAUAUUUAUAAAUUUCAUAUUUGAAAUGAAUGGAUAUGAUUAAAGUGUGAUUAUGUAUAGAUAUUUAAUAAUAUAUUAAUUGAAAAGUGGAAAUUUGUGUUGAAUUGAAUUGUGAUUAAAAAAUUGAGAAUGAUUUGAAAUAUAAAAAAAUUGAAUACCCUAUUAACUAGACGGGUUGAGUUGGAUAUAGAUGGCAUGCCAUAGGAUCAAAAGAAUUUGGGGAUUUUUCGGCUUGGCCGAGAAGACACUGAAGUCAUCAUAUUUCUUUAGACUAUUCGAAGAAAAAACUGAGUGUCGUUUUGGUGUGUUUGGUUAGAAUCCGUGUAUCCGCCAAGGUUCGAGUCUUGUUAAUAGGGGUAAGCAAAUGAAAUUAUAAAAUUAAAUGAAGAAAGGACUUCUGGUUAAGUGGAAAGAGAAGAAAAAAGAGCUUAAUUAAGUAAAAAGUAGAAUAUUCUUGAAAAGGAAGUACAAAAUGAUAUAAAAACUAGAAAUGUUAGUGAUAAGAAUGGAUAGAAAAGGAUAAUUGAAAGAAUAUGGAAAUGAUAAAGUUCAUGAUCAAAACAAAAUAAGGAAAUUUCGAGGAUAAAAUUUAUUUUAGGGGGGAGAGAAAUGUAAUAUCUCGAAAAUCACUACAGUAAGAAAGUAGGUAUCCUUGAUAUAGUAAAAUAAGAAAAUAAAGUACCAAAAAGGGAAAUUUUGAGUUAUAGCAACAUUGGGAAGUAUAUUAUGAUAUAUUAAUUUAAGAAAAGAUAAAACCGCAAAAGUGAGAAAAGUUUUGUUGAUCAAGAGUAAAUACUCAAAAUUUGAGGGGGUAAACUGUAAAUAUGAAAAAGUUAAAGGACCAACAGUGAAAAUAUUUUAAGGGUUGAAUAAUCUAGAAACUAAGGAAAAUGGAUGAAUUAAGGCCAAAUUGAAAAGGUGAAGAAUUUUGAGGGACUAAAUCACAAUUUUACCAAAUAAGUGAUGACUCAAGGAUGGAAUUUUUAAAGAUUAUAAAGGGCAAAAUGAUCAAUUAGAAGAGAGAGAAAUCUAGAAGAUAAUGAUGAUGUUUGAGAUAUUUUAAAUUAAUCAAAUAAAUAUUAAUUUAUAAUAUUUUGAUUUAUUUUUUUAAUGAUAUUUUAUUAUUUUAUUUAGUAUAUAUAUAUGGAAAGAAAGAUGAAAAGCCACCAUCCCACCAUUUUUCUCAUGCAUCAACGUGAGAAGAAGAGAAAAAAAGAAAGUUUUGCUUUCUUUACAAUUUGGUCCUUUCACCAAAUACUCACUGUACAACCCAAAUUUUUCCCGGGCCCAACAAGCAGAGACCAAAAUACCCAAGCCCAAAUUAAACCCAAACAGCCCAACUACCCAAAACCUAAUGGCCCAAAUUUCAUUGAAGGCCCAAGUAGCCCAAAAUGUUUAAAAAAUUUCAGAAAAAAUGAAACCUAAGGCCUUCAAGCCUCAAGCGCCAUUCUGCCAGCCUCCCUCGCGCAUGCGCACGCCAUCCCUCGCGCAUGCGCACGCCAUCACCGCCGCUCGCCUAUCACCGGCCAUCCAUGCGUCUAACACCACCUGUAACACGCAAAAGAGGAAAAUGACAAACAGACAAUCUAAAUCGCAAACAACAAAAAAAUAGAAGUUUAGCAGUUUUAAAGAUUGGCUAUAUAAGCCGAACACAAGCAUUGUAAUAGGUUCUCUUCCCUUUUUAACGAACAUCAGAAAUAAAAGAAAAAAGAUUACUAUUCUUCAUUUUUUUUCAAUUGAUUAUUUUGUUUUUACUUCUUUUAUCUUUUUUUUAUUUUUAAAUUUUUUAAAUAAACAAUAAAAAAAAAGGGGAAGGGACUCACAGGAGUUGCGCCGCGCCUUGGUCGUCGGAGGGUCCCUUUUUCAGUGACAAAACCUGUGUUGAGAGGGCUAUUAGUCCCUUUUUAUUGUGUUGUUUGGGUGUUUCGUGGUUGGAUUUGAGUCAAGGGGGCUGGAAAAUUAAAAAAAAAAACUUUUUCCCUCGCCGACCACCAUGAACUGCGGCGUAGGCGCCGGCUACCGGCGGCCAGCAUGGCGAUGGCCGGCCGAUCCUCUUGCCGGAUUCUGGGCUAAGAGAGAGGGGGGAGAGAGUAUUCUUUGUUUUUUUUUAGAACAGAAUGGAAGAAUGAUUUUGUUAAAAUUUUUUUUGCUUUUAUAACUGACGCAAAACGGCGUCGUUUGGGGCCUGCUCCAGUGGCCUCAAAACGACGCCGUAUAGGACACUCGCACACGACCCGACCCGCUUCAGGGGGAUCCGCGUGUUUUAGCUCUGAGGGGAAUAUUUGUGCAAUAGGUCCCUCCACUUUUGCAACAUAGCGUAAUUCGAUUCUUUUUUUAUUUGAGCCGAGAAUUUUGCUUCCGUUUCAAUCUGGUCCUCAGGCCAUAUGCAAUCCCUUCGUUAAAGCGUCACGCUUUAGGACUGGGGAAUAUUUCCCUGAAGGUCCCUCGUGCUUUGAGCACGUUUCAUUUUGGUCCCGAACCACCCUCUUUUAUUUAUUUACGAUUUAAACCCCGAAUUUUGGGCCCAAUUUCAGUUUCGUCCUAUUUCAUUUAAUUAAUUUAUUAUUCUUUAUUAUUAUUUUUUUAAAAUAAAUAAAUUAUUUAUUUAUUUAUUUAUUUUUUAAGGGCUCUUCUUUUACUAUUAUGUAUUUUAAGUUUUACAUAUAUUAUCUAUUUUAAAUAUUUCACCUAAUAUUUACUUAAUUUUUUAUUACAUUAUUUGUUUUAAACUACCAUAUAUAUAUUGUCCUUUAAAUUUUUUAUACUAUUUUUAAUAAAGAAAAAGAAUACUGUUUUGUGUUUUAUUCAUUUAUAUAUUUUAAUCUAUAUUAGUAUUUUUCAUUUUAAGUUUCAUAUUUAGUUUGCUUGAGAUAUUUACCAUUUAUUUCGAAUUGAUCUCAUAAAUUAUUUGUCUUAGACUAUUAGUUACGUGAAAUUAUUGUCUAUAUUAUUUCGUCUCAUUUACUUUGAUAAUUAAUAUUUAUAUUUUAAAAUGAUGCAUGUUGUAUGGCUAUUACCAUUAUGUGUAUUAUUUUGUUUACUCGUAUUUUCAUGCUAUAGUGAUUCAUUCAUUUAAUAUUUUGAUCAUAAAUUAUUUCUCCAUGUUGUAUAUUAUCGUUCCAUCAACGUAACCCUUCACUCGCACAUUAUUUAUUACAUUAAUUUUUACCCAAACAUGCAAAAAUAAAAAUUUCCAAUAAGGCAAUAUUUUGUGUAUUAGUGAUUCGAGAAGGUCGUACCCUAACUUACUGGGUUUCGAUUUUCACAAUCAAUCUAAAUACACGAAUCUUUUCAAAACUCAAGUUUUAAAAGAUCUCGGGAAUUAAGAAAAGAUCGUGUCCUAACUUACUGGGCAUGAUCCCUUUUUUUUAAACCCGAAAUAGCUAAAUAUCUUUUAAAUAAGUAAAUUUUUGGGCAUGUAUUCUCGUAUCGGGAAUUUGAUGCGUUGUGUCCUAACACAUUGGAUGUGACAUGUUGUUUGCUCGAUAUGAGGAUUUUUUCUAAAAAAUAAUAAAGGUAAUAUUUUACAUUUGGAAUUUCGAUAAAGCGUGCCCUAACGUGCUGGGUUCCGAUUUCUCGUUUGACCAAAUAGCCAAAUAUCCUCUUAAAACUUCAAAGUAUGGGUUUUUGAAACCAUAAGGUGAUCUUGGUUUUGAUGGUUUAAAGUAUCGUGAUAUUCCUUCGGAACAAGAGAAUCUUAAAUUUCAAUCCAUGUUAUUCGAGUUUUUUUAAGGAUCGUAUUUUUUUUAAAUUUCUUCAAAGUUUUCAAUUUUUUGAAAUCAAGACAUUAGCUAAUCAACUAGGUACCAAUUUUGGGCGUUACGAGGGUGUUAUCCUUCCUCGUACGUAACCGACUCCCAAACCUAUUUUUCUGAAUUUCAUGGACCAAAAUCAUUGUUUUAAUAAAAUUAAAUUGUUUAUUAAAAACAACCACUUUCAAGGUGGCCCGAUCACACCUUAUCAAAAAGGAUUGGUGGCGACUCCCAUUUUCGUUUUUGUUUUCAAAAUCCAAGUCGACCCUGUUUUUAUCAAAAAAAUGGUGUCAACACUCACCAUUCUCAAUUAGAAAUCAAAUGAAUUUUCAUAGCCACCAAGAGAGAAAUUUGAUAAGGAGACCAUGGGGAGCAAGAAUAUCAAGUUAGAUUCAAGAAAUAGAAGCUAGAGGAGAGAGUAAAAUCAAGUUAAAGAUUGAAAUCAAUAGGACAAGGUAAGAUCAUCAAGAUUUCAAUAUAUUUUUAAGAUUGAUAUUAUUGAAAAAGCAUGAAAAUGAUGUUAUAGUAGAGUUUUCUUAUAUAAGGUCUUAAGUUCUUGAUAUAUUAGUGAAGGGAAAUAAGUGAAAGUGAUGGGAAAUAUUAUAGAGAAAGGGAAUAAGGGAGUUAUAAACUUAGUAAUCAACAUCUUGCACUAAAACAGUUUUGGACAGCAGCAGUAGGUUAACUAUGAAACAUCACCAUAAAUCAUGGAAAUUGAAUUAGAGGAUGAAAAAAAUAUGGAAUUAAAUUUUAUUGAGUCUAGCUUCUCAUAGAAGAAACGAUGUAAGUAAUGAAAUUGUAAAUCAUGAGAUAUAAUAAAUUUUGUGAGACAAGGUCAGAAUGAUUUCGGGUUCCCCUAUUCUGACUUUAGAAAAUCAUAAAAAAUUAGAGAAAAAUAAUUAUGGGCUUAAAUUUAUAUGUUUAAAUCCUUAAUGAAAUGGUAACAUCAUCUGAAUCCUGUACGAGGAGGUAAUUAAUUUUUAGUGAAGAAUCAAAACUAUCAAAUAGCCGAACAUGGAUUACUUUUAAAGAAUAAAUUGUACUUAUUGGCUAAACCAUAAAUUCUAAAAAUUUUAUGGUAAGAAGAUAUGUGAGUCUAGUUUCAUAAUUUAGCAUAUCUUAAUUCGGAGUUUCGUAGCUCAAGAUAUAAAUAAUUUAGUGACUAUGACUCAAGUGGAUAGCUUUGAAUGAACAUAAAAAUAAAUAGUGAAAUUAUAGAUAAUGUUACAUAUAAGCAUGUUAUAUACAUUAAGGAUGUGGAAUGGAGAGGAGGAGGAGGAAAAUAUAUGAUUAUUCAACUAGCAUGAGUUUUCAUUAAAAAUGGCUAAUUUGCAUGUGUUAGGUUCAAGGACUAAAUUGAAUAAAAGUAAAAUCUUAAGGGUAAUUUUGUAAAAAGGUUAAAAAGUGACCAAAUUGCAUGAAUUAUUUUAUUAUUUAAAUUAAUAAAUUGAAUGAAAUAUUAAUUUAGAUCAAGAUUCGAUGGAAAUUUGAGGAAAAUAGAAAAUUACCAAAAUGUCUCUGAAUUUUGGUAUUUUCUGCAAUUUAGCCUGGUAAGUUCGUAUGAACUAUAUUCUGUAUAAUUUUAAUUAAAGUGAAAGUUAUUUGGUGAUGAAUAUUAUAUAAAUAUGUGUUUUAUUAUUGGAAUUGAAUUAUUAUUGGUAAUAUGUAUAAUUAUUAGAUGCAUUGAAAUGAUUAUCAGAUGUGUUGGAAGCUUGUCGGAGAUAUAUCACACUAUCCAUUAGUUCUAUCGAUAAUUUUGGAUGAUUUGAUUCUGGUUAUAAUCGCAUGUAUAACUUAAAUUGGCCAAUGUUUGCUAAUUAAUGUUUUGAUUUUGAUUGGUUAUAAAUAUGAAUGCUUGAUGAAAUGAAAUGUCUGUAAAUUAAUUUGUAAACUCCAGUAAUGCUCUAUAACCCUAUUCUGGCGAUGGAUACAAGUUAGACGUGUUACACUAGAUCUUUCAUCUUGUGAUCCAUACGGCCUUAGGCGGUCCGUUCGUCCAAACUCACCUAAGUCAUCCUUUACUCAAGUGAGGAUUCCUUAAGAACUCCUCCCAAGGCACCAAGUUGAAGAGCGGAAGCGAUUUAUGCCAAAAGAAUAACAACAAAAGAACAACAAAAAGAGCGCACACAAAGUGUUUGAGUAAAUGCUCUCAGAAUUCUAGUACUCUUAAGAAUUCAACAUACAAUGGAAUGAGUACAAAUGUGGGGAGGCUCUCUAUUUAUAGUUGAGCUCCUCCCAAAUUGACGGUCAAGAUACAUUUACAUCGACGGAUGAGAUUAAACAUAUCCCUUUAUUUUAGGGAUUUACAAUAUAUGCCAUAUCAAAUCUAAUCUAAUCUUUACAAGAUAUGAUUCCCUCAAUCUUCUAAAAUUAGUUACCAAAUUAGCCUAAGUUUCCAUAUCUCCAUUAUCGGGAUAACCAGGCUCUAAUCUGACAGGCUUCUCCAAUAGUUCUUUGAAUCGGGCUAAUUCUCGUGGGCUAAAUGAUCCCCGUCUUAUUGAUAGACCACCAUAGGGUGCAUCUUGUGCUAUGGUCACGGACUUUGCGCUUUGACCUAUGACACAAGAUUAUCACAAAUUCCAAGUGGCAAUUGGAAAAUGAGAUACGAUGUUUAUGUUUUUUUUUCAUUUUUAAAUAUAGUAAAGACGAAAUUGAUGGAAGGGAAAACUUUAUCCUUGGUUUAAAAGUCCAUAUAUCAAUUACAAGACAUAAAAAACAAAGACAAGUAUUGGGGGCCAGCAAAUGAUAGUGAGUGACACUAUUUGAUUUAGUCUAAUUACAACAUGUUUGAUUGGAACUAUUUUGAAAUAUCUGAUUAAAUAAAUAUUGAGAGGAAAAGUCUUAAAUUUUCUUCUUUUCCUUAGCUAUAAAAUUUAAUUUCUAGUUUGGUUUACAGGCCUUUGGUUCUCAUCUCUAGUUAUGUAAGGCUGAGUCGCUGUUAGUUGGAUGGACCUACAUUAAAAACAUUAAUUGAAAACAUAAGUAAUAGAAACUUUGUCAUAUUUAGACAAAUCAAAUUAAAUUUUGCCUACCAUUUCCCAACCACAUCUUUAUUAACUUUUUACAUUUAUUAUCCCAAUAUUCAAAACCAAACAAUACAUCCAUUGCAUAUUCCUUUUCUUAAAUAUCAUUUUAUUUAAUGUCAUUAGACAUUACUCUAUUCUUUUUUUUUAUGAUAAAAAUUAUUAAACAAAAAAUUAUUACAGAUGUUGUAGGAACCUAUCCUUUGAGAUUGUUUGAUUCUAGUUUUUGACAAAUUGCUCAAAGUUGAUGGGAUAAAACAAGUGAUUUUGAUGGUGUUCGGAAACAAGCUUCGAUGUUUAGUGAGAUCAAAAUUUGUUGACAAAUUAAAUUACUCAACGGGGUAAAUAUCCAUAGAAGUUAUUGUCCCAAAGUGGGGCUGGACUUGGAUGGUGUCUGCGAGACUCAUUUUUAUCAAAUUCAAAGCAGUGGCAGUAAUACCGAUUAAAUUACAACUAGAAAUAAAAACAGAUCAGUUGGCUGGCAAGAGAUUUCGAGGGUCAUGCUUGGUCCCUAUCAUCCCAAGUACUACUAAGUCAGUACCCCUCUAAAUGGGGAGAACUUUGUCGAUCUUUCAUUGGUUUAAAAGUCCGACUACCAAUUGUAAGGCAUCAAAACAACAAAGACAAGUAUUGGGGACCAGCUGAAGAGAGUGAGUGACACGGUUUGAUUUAGAGUCUCAUGAUUGCAGCAUUUUGAUCAUGAUCCUCAACUUUGAUUGUAAUGUCUAACAAAAUAAAUACCAAGAUGAAAAUACCGUUUUUCUAUAAAAUCUAAAUUUCUAGUUUUGAAGACACGCCUUUGGUUCUCAUCUCUUACUUGUUCUGCACGGCUAAGUCGCAGUUGCUUCGAUGGACCUAUGAUGGAAACAUGAAUUGAAAAGAAUGCCAACAAGUAAUAGAAACUUUGUAAUAUUCAAAUAGAUCAAAUUAAGCUUUGCGGGUCCUGCCCUACUUCACACUCAAUUGACAGAGGGAUUGGGACAAUAAUUAAAGCCAUUGUGAGUGGUGGGGUAGGCGUGGGUAUGACCUUGUACCGACCCCAUCCCAUCUCUACCCAUCCUGCAUAAUAUAACAAACAUAUUUAAAAAAUAAACAUUUAUAAAAAUUUAAUUUAAUAAUUAUUUUAACAGUAUUUAAUUUUUGCACUUGUGUUGCAUUUGAAGACAUUUAUGAUGUAUUUGAGAUAUUGUUUGUAUUUUGAUAUUAUGUAAUGACUUUAUUUUUUGAAUCUUUUAAACUUGAAAUUAUAUAUUAUUUACCAAUUAAAAGUCGUGACGACUUACUUUUUUUUUUAAAUAGUGACAGUUGGAAUAAUGUCACAUAUGUGAUGGGAGUCUGGAGGAUAAAUAUUUUAUACUUUUGUAACAAAAAAUUGGUUUAUAUUUAUUUAAGUGAUACUUAUAAAUAUUGUCGAAACCACUUUUUGAAAACAAAAAAUUAGUUGUCGACUUUAAAAAUAAAAAUUGGAGUCACCACCGAUCUUUUAUUGGGGUGUGAUCGGCUCACCUUAAAAAAUGAUUUUGGUCUGCGAAAUUUGAGAAAACAGGUUCGGGAGUCGGUUACGCACGAGGAAGGGUUAGCACCCUCGUAACGCCCAAAAUUGGUACCGAAUUGAUUAAUUAAGGUCUUAAUGCCAACUAUCGAAAAUCCGUGAAGAAUUUAAAAAUACGAUUCCCUUUUUUAUUAAUUUUAAUUUAUAAAAGAUACUUGGAUAAAUCGAAGCGGUUGCUAAAGACCUUCUUGUCUAAGAGUAAUAAAAUGUCACACCCAAUACAUUAGGACACGAUAUUUUUAGUCCUCGAGAAUAAGCUUGUCUUUUGAUUUCCAAAACUCUUGCGGUGAAGUUUAAAAAGGAUAUUCAAUUGCUUUAAGUCAGAUGAAAAAUCGAAGCCCAAUACGUUAGGGCACAAUUUCUCAAAAUUUCGAGCAUUCAAUAUUACCCUUAUUAUUCCUUUUUUUUAAAAACUCCCUGUCUCGAGAAAACGACAUAUCAUAUCCAAUACGUUAGGACACGACGUAUCGAAUUCCCGAGAAUGAGCUUUUUAUUCAUGAUCUGUGUGAUUUUAUUGUAAAAUAAAUACUUGGCUAUCUAAAUUCAUUGAAAAGAAUUGAAUCCUAGUAAGGUAGGGCACAAUCUUCUCGAGAAUCAUGAAUACCGAGUAUCUUGAAAAUUUACAAAAUAAGAUGAUUUUAAUGCUUUAAUGAAAUAUAAUUUUUAAAACAAAUGUAGUGCGAUUGAAUAGUAACGUACAACGCAAAAGGAUAAUUCGAAAAUAAAAUAUACAUUAAUGAGCAAUGAAUAAUCAACAAAUAAAUACAAACAAACAUAGCAACAAUAAUCUCAAUUGUACAUUAUGCCAAUAUCAAUAUCAACAUUCAAAAGCUGAUAAAAAAAAACUCAAAAUAACUAAUAAUAUACUUGAUAAUACACGUAAAAAGUUGAAGUGGGUGAAAUAUAAUAAAGUAGGUUUUUUUUUUUAAAAAAAGAAAUAAAUUAUAUAUAUGAAAAUAAGUAAAAAAAAUAUGGAAUUAAUAAUAUAUCAUAAAUUGUGUAUAAAUAAUAUUAAAUUUACAUAAAAAUAUAUAAAAUAAUACAUAAUAAAUUUGAAGAAUAAUACAUGAAACUUAGAAUGAUACAUAAAAGAAACCUUUAAAAAUAAUAAUACAAUAGAUUUAAACAAUAUCAACAAUAAAUUUAUAAUAAUAAGUUUAAUUAGAAAUAAUACUAGACUUAAAACUAAAUAUAUUAAAAAAAGAAUAAAAGAAAUACUUAACUAAGUUUUUUUUCUUCUUUUUUUUUUAAAAAAAUGAGCAAAUCAAAAUAAGGAUUAAAUUGAUUUUAAGACAAAAUUAGAGAGAAAAAACGGAAAUAAACUAAAACGGAGGUCUAAAUCGUGACGUGCGAAUAACAUGAGGACCGAAUGGGAAAUAUUCCCUUCCCCUAAAACGCUGCGUCUUUAGCAUGGACUAAAUGAAACAAAAAUAAAAUAAGAGAUUAAAUUUAAAAGGAAAUAAAAGAACUGGAUUGAAGUACACUUGAAAAAUAGAGGGACUGUGCUCACAAAUAGACCGUCAAACAAAAUGCGCGGAUCCUUCCCUCAGGUCGGGUCACCGCGUGGGUCUGAGCACAUUACGGCACUGUUUUGGAACCAUCAAAACGGGCUUCAAACGGUGUCGUUUCAUAGCAUGCAUAAAAUAAAAAAAAAGGCAUUAAGCCAUUUUUGACAGAUCUGCAAACCCUAAGCAAAACUUUCCUCUGUGCGCCGCUCAGCAAACAGACGUUUGGAGGCCCCAAUCCCUCGUCCGACUCCGAUUGCGACGGAGCAAACGACGUCUCAGCUAUCUAUUAAUAAGCAGAGUAGUAAAAAAAAAAGAAAAGUGAAGAGAAAUUCAAAAAAUCACCUUACGAAACUCUGUUUAUGUUCUUUUUCUUUGAAUAUUUUUUUCUAUUUUUGUAUUCAAUCUCCGUGUGUAAAAAAAUACAAUGGCUUUCUGUUUGUUUUUAUAGCCGAAUAUGCGAAAACAUGAAAUAAAAAUAAAAUACGAUCUUUUUCUCUCUGCUGUGUUUUUUUUGUUUCACUUGCAGGUAUGGUGUACGGAGGUGGUGGCAUGGCGCACGUGGAGAGGAAGACCGAAGGCGGCGCGUUAUGAGGCUAUUGCGGCGGCUUAGUUUCUAGAAACCUUUAGGGUUUCUGAAUAUGUAAAAAAAAUGGGCUGUUUGGGCUUGUAACGUGAUUGGGCUAGGGAUUGUAUUUGGGUUUGUAACCGAGUUUGGAGAUUGGGCUAAUUAGGCUUAGGUUAGGUUUGGGCUAGGGGUUUUGGUUAAUUGUUUAAUGGACUUUUAUUGGACUUUGUAUUUUUAUUAUUUAGUUUUUAUAUUAUCUGUAUCGGGCCAUCAAAAAUUGGCUAUUACAAAUAUAUUAUAUGAAAUGGGUCAUAAGACGAGUAUAGUGGGGAUUAGGUGGGUUUGGGACCCACGUGGGUGGUGGGGCGAGGAUGGUUUUUGAUUUUGUACCCGUAAUGGGUUGUGGGAAGGGGAUAGAGAUGAAAAUUCUUGGUGGGGAUGGGGAUAAAAAUUGUGCAAGUCGAAGUCUGUGUAAUUUAAGUAAUGCAUACCAAGAAGGAAUCUUCGGCCCUCUCUCUUUCUAUCUCUGUCUUCCUCUCAUUUUGGUGUAUUGUUUGUUUGGAUGUGUUUUGUCUUGUCUUGUGUUGAUCUGAUUUGUUUUGUUCCAGUGAUGUUAAGCCUUUGACUAGUAAUAUGAGUAAUAUUGGGCUUCAACCACAAUACACGAUAAAGAAUGAAAGCCAGAGAAAUGCAAGACUGCAUGUCUACACCAUUAUUCACUAUUCAACAAUACAUUACUUAUUUUUUUCUUUCUGAUAAAAUUUAUUAACAACAAAUGUUAUCCUUGUUUUAUGGAUAAAGUAAUGUUUAUUUAAUAUAUCCAGAACAAUAAACUAAUUUCCAGUUAUACCUCUCAUUCAAUAAUAAUAUUUUUAUAAAUAAAAGAGUAGUCUGUCUCUAUAUAAAUAAAUGAGUUGGAUUGGCUGAUCAUUUGAUUUUGGGUUAAAUGAAAAUCAACUUCGGCCUGGAUGUAGGUAUUGGGUUUAAUGUAACUUACAUAAAGAGUCUAGUAUGUCGCUUUAUUUGACUUGUUUGGUUUGGACAUUCAAAAUUGAAAUUGAUCAAUUAAAUCGACAAAAUUGAGUCUCAACUAAAUAAAGUGAAAACUCAACUAAAUAGUACUGGAUUAAAUUGAUUCAAUUAAUCGAAUUUGCACAUACUUUAUAACCAUCAUGAUUCGUUCAUAUUAUUAUUCUCAUACUAUAUUCAUGCUAUGUAAUAAAAUUGUGUUAUAAAGUACUUGAUCUCGUUUUCCUAAAUUGAUGUAUUUGGAAAGAUCGAAACUUUUUUCUUUUUCAGGGUGUCUCUUGGAGCACAGGUAAGAUUAUUAAGAUUUUAUAUAUUUGGGCAAAACAGUUUGUUUCCUUUCAUAGGGAAGACAUUUCUUGACAAAUAGAACAAAAGUCAGCAGUUGAGAUGUCGGAAAGUUGGAUCAAUCUUUGCACUGACAGGGCGGUCCAAAUUGCCCUAGGUGAUUCUGAAGCGGGGGAAGUCAUAAGAAAUGGAAAAAGGGAGUGAAUUAUGGGAUACAACAGAAAUCUAGGCAAAUGCUCAGUCUUCAAUAUUGGAAAUCUAAAUUUAAUUAAAUUCCAAGAUGAAAAGUCCUUUUUUUCUAUAAAAUCUAAAUUUCUAGUUUUGAACACAUGCCUUUGGUUCUCAUCUCUUACCCCAUCAAUAUUGAAAAUUUUGCUGCUUCGAUGGACCUAUGUUGGAAACAUGAAUUGAAAAGAAUGCCAACAAGUCAUAGAAACUUUGUAAUAUUCAGAUAGAUCAAAUUAAGCUUUGUGUGGACCAUUCGUGAUUGAAGCCAGUUCUGCACUGGAUUAUUAUAGAUCAAAUAAUUACUUGCAAUCCUAAAAUUAACAAUCUAACAAUUGAAUUUAACAAGCCUUGCAUUUAAAAUUUUGAAUUGAUCUGAUACCUCUAUCAUUUCGGUCCAAAACUUUAUUUAUUUCAUAUAUAUUAUAUAAAGCAAAGUAUUUAAGUAUUUUUGAAUGUAACUAAGUAAGCAUGUUUCUUCUUCCGCGAGUCAAAAGUUUGCAGCAAUUUUAGCGAUUUCGUACAUUAUAUGUCAUUAUAUUGUUGCCUUAAUUAAAGCACAAUAAUAUGUCAUUAUAUGUCAUUAUAUUUCCAUAAGUUUUAACAAAUAUCAUAAAUUUCCAUUGGGAAUUUUGUUGGUGUAUUCUAAAUCACAUAAUGAUCAGAAAUAAGGAAGAUUUCCAUAUAUUCUCGCCUUUUAGUAGAAGUAAUAAUAAAAAAUUUUAUUGAUUAGCCUCUACUAUGAAAAUAAAAAUAAAAAAUUACAAAAUUAGAACCCUAAAAUUCAAGUAAAUCAAUUUUGGUUUUAAAAUUUUAAACAUACAUAUUAAAGAUCUCCUAACAAUUUUACUUUUAAUUAAAUUCAAGUAACAAUUUUACAUAUUAAGGGUUGAUUAAAUAGUUUGCAUAACAUCCAUCUAGUUUUGAGAAAUCUUCACUUUUAAUUUCAAAAUUGUAAUUAAAUAGUUUUAUCCAAUUAACUAAUAAUAAUAUAUGGCUAUGGUGAUGUCUGUAAUUUCAUAAAAUAAUUACUCUAAUCUAAUCCAUGUCUCUUUCUUUCUGAGUUUAUAGGCAAUAUAUUCCCUUCGAUUUCACCUAGCUUGUUAUAAUAAUGUUAUUCCAAAUUAGUUAAAGAAGAAAAUUUGUGAUAUUAUAUUUAAAUUGAAUAUUUCAAUUUAUUAGGAAUUGAUUUUAAAUUAGAAAGAUCAAAUUUUAAGUAGGAUCACUUAGGGAUCAGAAAUCUAGGCAAUUGUUCAGUCUUCACUGCUGAACCAUGGGGAGUUCUUGAUGGAUUAGCUCUCAUUCACAAAGGGCGCUAUGAUGGUGUAUUGAUACAAACUAAUAGCUUGGAGGUGGUUAAAGCCAUUUAGGACUCCUCUCCCUCAAGCUCGAAUUCUACUCUCAUCAGACGUAUAAAUGUACAUUCAUGGGCCAUUCGACAUUUUCUUAAAGAACAUACUUGAUACAACCAAUGAAUUUGUUGAUGUAUAGAUUCAAGCUAUGAUGUCUAGUGAAGUAAAAGGAUAUUUGUUGGCAUAGCUCUAUUGAAGUUGUUGUUACGAAUAUUUCAACUAAUGCAAAUUAGAUAACUCAAUGGGUAAAUACUUAUUAUCGCUAACGCAUGACCAUGAGUGACACUGUUUUAUUUGGAGUCUAAUGAUUGCAACAUGUUUGGUGAUGAUCCUCAACUCUGAUUGAAUCUAUUAUUUAAUAUCGGACAAAAUAAAACAUUGAGAUGAAACUAUUUCAAUUUUCAUGUUCUUUGAUGAAUCUAUUAUUUAAAAAUCUCAAUUAGUUAGUUGAUUAAAUUAAAAAAAAUUGAUAGUUGGGUGAGCAAAUAAGAAAAAGGGGCGAUAGUUGGGUGACAUGUGAUGUAGUUUACCCUAAUAAUAAAAUAUAGUAGGGUAAACUAUAGAGUUAGUCACCCCACUAUUAGUAUGUUUUUGAUUUGGUCACCUAACUAUGAAAAUUUACAAUUUAAUCACUAUCGUUUUAGAUCAUUUUUAUUUUGGUCACGUUUUAGAUCGUUUUUAUUUUACUCAAUCUUCGUUAAAUGGUUAACCAAAGUUAUGUUGUGACCUUUUUUUAACUAGUAUAAAAAACACAUUUAGUCUUCAAUACUUACACAUUCUAUCAAUUUGAUCCUCGAACACAUACAAUUAAAUGUAACAUAUAUAUUAUUAAAACGUACAAAAUCUAAUUAUUUAUAUAUAUAUAUUUAUCUAAAUAAUAUUAUAUGUGCUUAUAUUUAAUUACGAUUAUAAGGUUCAAAUGUGCAUUUAGCCCCUCGAACUUGGCACCUUCUCCCAUGUUGGUACUUAUGAUUUUUUUGUCCCAUGUUGAUACUUUUUUUUUUGUUAUGCUAUUAAAUAUAGGACACAUGACACUCUUCCGAUGCCAUAAUCUAUUUGUUUUAUAAAAAUAUAAUAAAAAAUUUAAAAUUUAUAUAUAUGAAAUUUAUAUAAUUUUUUAAAAUAUAAAAUAAAUUAUAAAUUAUAAAAAUAUAUGUAUCUAAAAAUUAAAAAUAUUACAAAAAUUUUAAAAAAUCUAUAAUUCCAGUUUGAAAAAUCAAAGACCUACCAAAUUUACACAUUUUUCUAAAUAAAUUGUAAACAAAUUAGAUAAAGAUAAAUUUUGAAAUAAAUUUUAUGUUUAGAGACAGGUGCAAAUUAUUACAUGAUUUUUUAAGUUAAUAAGAAUGCAAAAGAUGAUGAUUUUUCAAGUUAAAUUUUAUGUUUUAGAUCGUUUUUAUUUUACUCACUCUUCAUUAAAUGGUUAACGAAAGUUAUGAUGUGAUUUUUUUUAACUAGUAUAAAUAAUAUAUUUAGUCUUCAAUACUUACUCAUUUUAUCAAUUUAAUCCUCGAACACAUAUAAUUAAAUAUAAAGUAUAUACUAUAAAGACGUACAAAAUAUAAUUAUUUAUAUAUAUUUAUCUAAAUAAUAUUAUUUAGUUUUCUUUUUUUUUUUGUUAAUUUUUUGCUAGGUGAUGGGAAAAAUUUGGUUCCUUUGUUGAAAAUGCACACACAUAUACACAUAUAAAUUUAUCAGCAUUUAGUUAUAUGUGUUUAAAUAUAAUCAUUUUUAUAUUUAAUUAUAUGUGUUUGGGAAUAAAGUUGAUAGAAUUUGUAAACAUGGAGGGUGAAAUCUAUUGAAUUAUUUAGAAUAAGAAUCAAAUUGAUAGAAUGUGUAAGUAUUGAGAUAUAAACGUGUUAUUAUGCCAGUUGGAAAAUGCAACAUCAUCACUUCCGUUAACAAUUUAACGGGGAGUAAUCAAAAUAGAAACAAUCUAAAGUGUGAGUAACCAAAAUAGAAAUAAUAUAAAAUUUAAGUGACUAAAUUAAAAAAUUCAUAGUUGGGUGACUAAUUAUAUAGUUUAUCCGAGAUAGUAGAAGCAAUUAGGAUUAAUUCCAACAAACAUCUCAAACUAUUACUCAUAUUUUAAAUUGAACCCUAAACUUGUACACAUUCUCAUUAAAUUACUCAAAUAGAAUGUGAUAAUGUGUUAUGCUAUUAUUCAUCAAUAGUUCAUAGAACUUAUGCACCAACAAUGCAUCAAAUAUUCUCAUUAAAAGAAAAUGUAUAAAAUAAGUUUUAUACCAUCUAUAAUUUGUAAAAAAAAAAUCAAUAAAAAAAUAUAAAAAUACAUCUAUAAUUUCACAAAAAGAAUUACAUAUCUAUAAUAUCUUUUUAUAAAUUCAAUUCCAAAUCUCCUGUAAUAAAUCAACCUCACAAAUCUGAUUGAGGUUAAAAACAAAGAAUGCAUGUAUUGUGCAAUUAAAACCAUGAUCCAUUUUCAAUUCUAAAGUAUUGAACAUAUAAAUUUGCAUUAUUUUACCUCCUUUGAUUCUUCACAAACUCUUUGGAAUAAAUUAACCAUCUAUUCCUUAUUUCAAUUUUAUUAAAAAGAUAGGUUCCCAUAAAGACAGUCUUUACAAACCAGUGCACCUAUCACAAACACAUCGGGGAACAUUGCCAUGAGAGAGGACCUAAGAAAACAUAAUACAAACUACAUAACAUACAAUCAAGCACCCACACAUUGUUUAUUAAACAGCUACAGAAAAAGGCCUGCAUACCACCAAGCAAUGAAGUUUUCUGUUCUGUUUGCAACUUGUUGAACUCGCCGAAAUGUUGGCUUCUCUACCUUUUUGAAAAUCUUUGUCGGACUCGCUCCACGAUCCUAAUCAACCACCAUGGUUUUCCAGUCGUGAAUACAAUGUAUGCCAUACUCAUUCCCAGCACCAACCCACAUCCAUACCCCAUCAAUAUUGAAAAUUUCCAAUUCAAUUCAAUUCAUCACCAUCAUCAUCUCUAUCAAAUUUGGCUGGAGUUCCCUCAUCAGUACCACAGUUUUUUGAUAAUGGCAAACCACAUAAAUCCAAGUUUCCCAUGUAGGAAUCGUUAGUGAAAGUAUCAAAUUGUUUGCCUUGAGGAAUGGGUCCCUUGAGAUUAUUUUGAGAAAGGUUUAACACCUCUAAGAAUCCAAGAUUUUUUAACUGUGUUGGAAUUCUUCCUUCCAGCUUAUUUGAUGAGAGAUCUAAUGAUUCAAGCUCUAACAAAUUACCUAAAGAUGAUGGGAUAAGACCCAUUAAACAGUUAUGGGAGAGGUUUAGGACAAUAAGUAAAUGAAGCUCACCAAGUAUUUUUAGAAUUUCUCCCCUGAAUUGGUUACUAGAAAGGUCAAUAACCGUCCAAAUGGAUAAUAGUGUUUCAAACUUUAUUUCCAGCCCUUUUGCUGUAACAGAUAAACCACCAGAAGCAUAAUUCACCCAAAAUGCAACAGUUGCAUCUUUCGUGAUCUUUAGUUCUCUCAUGUAAUUUGGUUCAACUUUCUUUCCAUACUCAUCUCUAAUGGCAUACAUAUGCUCAAAAAAUAGGGUAGGUAAGUAGCCACUAAAAUUAUUGUGAGAAAGAUCAAUGAUUCGCAAUUUAGUUAAAGAAACUGUAGUAUCAAAGCUCUCUAUUUGGCCGUAAAAUCUAUUUGACCUCAAGAUAAGAACUUGCAGCUGAUCCAAAUUUCCUAACCAACUUGGGAAAGUGUCAUUCAAAUUGUUUUUUCCAACAUUGAGAAUAUUUAAACCUUUGCAAUUACCCAAAGAUCGUGGUAGUGACCCUUCUAAUUCAUUGUUGAUGACAGAAAAACUUUUUAACAUGCAACUUUUAGCAAAGUUUUCUGGCAUUUGACCAUGAAAAUUAUUAUUCCCUAGAUAAACUGCUGUGAGAGAAGAACUCAAGUUUCCGAUGCACUUUGGAAUUGUUCCCUCCAAAUUAUUCCCAUCUAAAGAAAUACCCAUAAGCGAAGUCCAAUUGCAUAUUGAAGAAGGGAUUUCUCCAAUUAAGUUAUUAUUUGAAACUCCAUACCAUUGCAGUAAAGGUGGUGGUGUUGGAAUUCGACCUUAGAGAUAAAAUUGAAAAUGAGAUAGAAUUAGGAGUUUGAAGAUUCUUUGGAAUAUAAAUUAUAAAAUAACUAUAUUACAUGCAUGAUGUGUACACUGAAUACAAAUAAUUGAUUAAUUUACUACAAUGUGAUGUGCCUAACUAUUUCUAGUGUUUGAACCGUUUUGAGUCAUAUCUUUCUUUGAACUCAUACCGUCCUAAGCCUUAGAACAUUACCAGCUCAGAAAACCAAUGUGACUUAAGUGUUCUCUAUGCAUAAUCUUCCGAAAUUGCUAACAAUUAUACUUAAUGAAUAUUUGUUGAUUCACAUGAUUGUGUCUACUAUAUAUCUAUUUGAUUUAUGUUAAUGGUGAUAUUGUUAAACAUUUGGUCAUGAGAAUUACUUCUAGUUUGUUAGUAAUGUAAAUUUGUAAACUAGUUUUCGUACUUAAAGAGCUUGGAUAUGAGCAUUUUGGUUAUGCUUUAGUUAGUUUUUGUAUUUUAGUUUUAAUUCAAUAGAAAGUGUAAAUUGAGUGUUCUUAUGAUCUUAGGGGCCGAAUGAGGCCUAAAGGUGGACUAACAUGCUUAGUAAGUGUGCAUGACACCAUUCAAAGGCAUAGGAACUCAAGGUUGGUCGCCAUGUUGCAACAUGGGAAUCCAAUGUCGCAACAUAGAGGAUAGAGUGCCAAUAUUCCAAGAUUGUCUUUAAUGCCGCGACAUAGACAAUGGAUGUCGCAACACACCCCUGAAGCUGAAUAUAGGAAUCAAGUAUACUACCUUCAAUGCUACAACAUAGGCACUGGGUGUUGCAACACUAACUCUGCACGGGAAAUAAUUACGACCUGAGGGAAUUUUGGUCUGCACAAUGAAAAUUAACACGAAAACAUCAACCGACCUAGGGUUAAGGACGAUGACCACCCCUAACUCUAUAAAUAGACCCAUUAGGCACAUGUUUAAAAAACAAUUUUAGGGAGACAAAAAUAAUUAUUAGGUUUUUAUUCUGUUAUAAGUUUUUACUAGUUAUUUGAUGUUUUUGUAAUCGAAAGGUCCUAUUCCGAAGUGAGAUUCUCACAAUAGGAGAUUGUUCUAAAGCCAGCUUUCAUCGAUAAAUCCAUGAGCAUCUCUUUUCCUUUUUUCUAUUUUUUAUAUCUUUUUCUUUAACAUUGUUUAAUUGAAUGUUUGUGUAAAGUUUAGAUAUCACUAUUAACAGAGUAUUUAGGUAACAAAGGAUAGUUUAGAUAUCACUAUUAACAAAAAAAAAAAAGUUCAGAUAUGUCAAGAAAAAUGACAUAAUUUAAGUACUAAUUUGUGGGUUAAGUCUUAUUUUUUAUAUAAGUAACAACUAUUAAUUUGAGAGUGCUUCUAUCGUUUUAUACAAAAUAUUUUCAUUAAAAAAAUAAUAUAUACACAAUAAUAUUCAUAACUUUUUCUUGAAUGAAAUAAUAUUCAUGACUUCAAUUUUAUUUGGAAAAAAAUGUAAAUAAAUAAUAUUUGCUAUGUAUACACAUGGAUGAAGUGUAUAAUUGAAUAAUCUAUUUCACAACAUCUAACCUUUAUAGAUGCAUGGGAAUGACUUUAAUUGAUUCUUAUAGUGUUAUAAAUUUCUUAGCUAAAAAAAUAUAAAUUUAAAAUGAAAAAUAUGAGAUUAUAAAUAGAUAUAAAUUUUCAUCUAAAUCUUGACAUUUUCUUAUGAGUUAACAUUUUUGAAACAUUUUUUUGAAAUCGACUUUUUAUUUAAAAACGAAAAUGAGAGUCUUCACGAAUCCUUUUUUAUGAGGUGUAAUCAGAUCACCUCGUAAAUUGAUCGCUUUAAUAUACGAUAUAUUUUAGAUUUUAUGUGGAUUCUCUUAAGUUCAAUAUUCAAAUUAUUUUAGAUUUCCAUCAUAAAGUUGAAUAGUUUGUAAUUCAAAUCAUUGCUCUCUUUUUACUUGUACCAAUAUUUCCUAUAUUUUUCUUAUGUUAAAAUAGGUAAAGUAUUAAAUAUAUAAUUAAUUUUUUUAAGUCAAAAGCUAAUUAAUAAUAUAUAACAACUAAAAAGGGAUUGCAUAAAUGUAACAACAAAAAGAAAAAAAAUAAUAUUAUACCUGAUAAGUUGUUAUUAGAAAGUUCAAUAACUUCAAGAGUGGUCAAGUUUCCAAUAGUUGAUGGGAUUUCACCUAAAAAUAUAAAUAUAUUGGUCAAAAUAGCUUGGUGCUAGAAUUAUGUUAUCUUCGUGUGUGUACUUUUUUAAAAUUAUGUUUAAUGUAGAUAGCUAACUUAGAAGUAACCCAGGAUAUAGAGAAAUUUUAAUAAGUACUCGAACACAGUUGAACUUUUGACAAUUUGUAACUCAAAUUUGUUUCUUAUACUCAAAAUAGUAUAAGAAAAAAAAAGAAAAAACAUGAUAUUAUACUUAAUAAUUUGUUAUUAGAAAGAUCAAUAGCUUCGAGAGUAGUCAAGUCUCCAAUAGUUAAUGAGAUUUCACCUAAAAAUAUAAAUAAAUUAGUCAAAGAAAAAAAUAAAGCAUCUAAAAAAAUGUCUUAUACCAAUAUUCUUAUAUUUUUCUAAUUUCAAAGUAGUUAAAGGUUUAAAUGUGUAAUUAAUUGUUUUUAAGCCAAAAGUAUUAUAGUAAGAAGUUAAAAGAUUGUAAUUAAUUAGCAAUAUAGGAGGGAAAAUACCAAAAUGAGCUUUAUCAAAAUGCAGUGUUUUGGGAAUAUAGAAAGUUGACAUCAAUGAGUCUCUCAACUCCACAAGUUUUUGCUUAUGCCUUAUCCUUCCACUCAUUUUCAUUCAAAUUCAUCUUAAUCUACAUAAAGACCAUGAAAUCACUUGCUCAAAAAUAAAAACUAACAAUAUUUAAGCACAUGAAAUGCAAAAUAUCUAAAAUGCUAUGAAAACAAACAACAGUUCUCAAGAAACAAAGUAAAUGCAACCUAAAAAAAGCUUAUUAUGAUCAACACUCAUCAUAUCUUGCACUUACAUUUUUACCUCUCCUCAAAUUAAAUUAGUUUCAGAUUAGAAACAAAACUAACACACGAUGAACUAAACUUAGUGCAUUGAUUAGAAGUCUUACUUACAAAUGGUAAUUUUUAUUAACAAUAAAAAAAAUAUUUAUCUUUGUGCCAGAGAAGAACACUGCAUAGAUCAUAAAAAGGAAAAACUAAAACAUCCAAAACAAUAUGUCAAACACUAAACACAAAAUUCAUAGUUGUAGAGGAGGAUUAGAUACAUUGGUCCUAUAAUAUGUCACUCAAAAUCUCAAAAUCAUCCAACAAAAAGAAAUCAUCACUUCAGUUAAUUAAAGCAAGAACAAAUAAAGUUAUGGAUGAACAAAUAUGGGAACUAAAGAAAAAUGAUGGAUCAAAAGGGACAAAUAAGCUAAUUUCUGCCAUAAGGUAGAUGGUGAACUUAGGACGUGGAGUUCUAAUAAAUACCUAAACAUUUACUUCAUAACAUCUUUCAUUUUCUAAAUGCAUAAUAUUAAUGACUCUAGGUUUUAAUCUUUUAAGGUAACUUCUAUUUUAUUUACUUAAAAAGAUUGCAUAAAUUUAAUAACAAAAAGGAGAAUAAAAGAAACAUGAAAUUAUACCUGUCAAUUUGUUAUUACUAAGAUAAAGUGAUUGGAGAGAAGUUUAGUUUCCAAUAACAAGAGGAAUUUCACCUGAAACGUAUAAUUAAAUCAGUCAAAAUUUGCAAAUAUUUUCCUAGCAAACCCUUAAUCUAUUUGUUGAGCAUAUUAGUAUCUAUUUCAUUUACCCAUUUUUAAAUAUGCAAGUUUUUGUUAAGUUUUAUAGUACUUAUGACAACCCAAAAAUAUUUUAAUUAUAAUACUCGAAUUUAUAGUUCAAAUGAUGAUGAAAAUUAGAUGGAAUAAAAUAGUUCACUCUUAAUAGUUUUGUUCAAAUAUAGGAUACAUCGUCGAAGCUGAACAAAUAUAUAUAUAUUAGAAACUUUUAUUAGUUAGCAGGGAUUAGCUAAUGUAAAACAACUGAUACUAUUGCAUACAAUGUGUUCCCUAGACUGCUUGCUAUUUAUCCCUUUCCACAAAUUAUCAAAAACACAUGUACAUUUUAAGCCAAACAUUUAUAAUAGUCAUAGGCGUCAUAUUGAUUCAAUUUUUUGCUAAGGAAUCAGCAAACACACACAUAUCUGCACAUAUAGACACACACAUAUAUCUGCACAGAUAGACUACUAGGAACCCAAAAAUGUCGCUAGACCCGAGAUAUAGUCUAGGUGAUAAGGGACUGAGGAGUUUAAUAGUAAAGAAACUAGUAAGAACUCACAUGAUAAUGAGCUUGUUGUAACCAGAUUACAAAGAAUGGGGCAUAGUCAAGUUUCCAAUUUCUAUAGGCAUAAUUCCCUCCAAAGAGUUGUUAUGCAAUGAUAAUUAAUACAUCAACUAUUGUAACUAGAAGAGACUGCAUAACAGUAACAACAAAAAAGAUAAUAAAGAUGAUAUUAUACCUGUUAAGUAGUUAACAGAAAGAUCGAUGUCCGUGAGAGAAAUAAGAUUUCCAAUAAUCGACGAAAUUUCACCUAAAAUAUAUAAUAAAAAUUAUCAAAAAUUUAUUUCACAAAAAAAAAAUCAAAAUUUAUUAAUUAUUUUUAUAAUAAACCUUAAAAUCGUCAAAAAUCAAAGCUACUUCAUGGUUGUAUUUUGUGAGGCUGUGGGAGUUGUGUGAAGAAGGGAAAGAGACAAUAACAGUGGGUCAAUGCGGGUAGAUAUAAGUCUGAAACAUAUAAUAUCAACUAUUUACUCUGUAAUCAAAGCUAAGAGAAAUCAUGUACUCUAUUUCUUUCCUAUUCAAUAAUAUCAACACAUAAAUAAUAAGGCAAAUCUAAAGGAUAGAAAAAAUAGCUAAUUACAAGUCUUGUGUGAUUCAAAAGGGUAUAAAGUAGGUCCUAAUUAAAAAUCAAACCUUAAAUUAAUUUAAUGUAAAAUUUAACCCUUUUCUUAUCACCAAAUAAAUUUACUUUUAGUAAAUUAGGAGUUUUAAUAAAAUAUUUGUAAUAUCUGAUUGUUUAUGACUAGGUGUUUUGUUUCCAACAUAUUCAGAAUUAACUUGCCUUAGAAAAACAGUCUAUAUUAUUUUUAAGAAUAUUAUAAAAGCAAGAUAUUAGAAAAAUGAAUGAAACAGUAACCAGGAAUUGUUUACCUUUGAGGUGGUUGUUACCAAGAUUCAAACUGUCGAGCAAAGUCAAAUUUCCAAUUUCUGUAGGUAUAGUUCCCUCCAAGGAGUUGUUAAACAAUGAUAAAAACCUUAGCUCUUUGCACUUGAAUAAACUAUUUGGAAUUCUACCGGAAAUUUGAUUCCUACUCAACCUUUCUAGUUUUGACAAAUUGCCUAGAGUAGAUGGGAUAACACCGAUGAAGUUGUUAAGGUACAGAGACAAUCUUUGAAGUUUACUGAAGCAACCAAACCAUGAUGGGAUUUCUCCAUUGAAGCUAUUGUUACCAAGUCCAAAUAUUUCAUCCGACGCAAAUUAGUUAACUCAGUGGGUAAAGAGCCUUGGAAACUAUUUUGAUGAAUGUCGAGCCAAGCAAGGAAAGAUAGAUUUCCCAAUUGAGAAGAAAUGGUGCCUGUGAGAUCCAUGCUUGACAAAUUCAGAGCAGUGACUCUAUAGUGUUUAGAUCCACAUGUGACACCAAUCCAGCUACAAACGGAGGUAGAAGUAGACCAAUUGGUUGUCAAGAAAUUGUGAGGAUCAUGAGUUAUAUGAGAUUUGAGUGCUAGAAGAGCAGAUUGAUCAACGGUGAUGCUAGAAUAUUUUGCAGACAAAAUAACCCCAAAGAUUGCGAAUAGCAGCCCAAACAUAAAUGGAGGGAGGAAGCUUGGUUUUGCCAUAAGGUUGGACAUGGGUGUAAGGCGCAUCAUAAGGAGAGAAACAACCGAGUUUAAAACUUUUCUAAUGCUAGUUCAAUAUUCUUUAAAUACUUUUCUAAUUUGAAAAUUCGUCACAUGAAUUGAUGAGUCCCAGUUGGUUGGAUGGACCUACAUUGGUGUUUUUCAUGCGUUGAGCCAUUAUUAAUCUCCCUCAUAUUGGGUUGCCUUUUACACUUUCUUCCAUUCAAACAUGAAUUUGUAAAGUGGCCUCCUUUUCACCAUUAAUUUCACACAAGCUUUCCACAAGAAAUGUUAUUUUAAGACUGCAUUAUUCACGUUUGGGCCAAACAAUGAAUUAUUUUUCAUCUAUCCUUCCCAACUUUUACCCUUACUUUCCAUUUUCAAUUAUUCUUUGUUUGAUAAAUCAAUCAAAUCAUGAAAUGAAAAGACAAGUAAUGUGAAACGUGUUUGAUUGAGAUCCUCAAUUUAUUUUCUUCACGGUUGCUCCCAAUUUCUUUCUAUUAACACACAUUGGAAACAUGAAUUCAAAGAAUCACCACUUUCUCCAAUAUCUAAUUUGGAAAUUCGUCACACCGAGACAAAUCAAGUUGAACUUUCCAGAAGAUAGACUUCUUUUAAGACUGCAUGUGUUGGUAUAUGCAGGAUUCAUAACUCUCCCCUUCAACUAAAUUUUUGUUUUAUUUUUUGUGAAUAGUUUAACUCAUGAAUAGGUUUACUCUCACAUACGUGACAGUAUUCUCAAUUUUAUAACCUUAUCAAGGCUUUUAAUUUUACUAAAAAAAAUUGCAGAAAUAUAACAACAAAAAAGAGAAGAAAAAUGAUAUUAUACUUGUUACGUUGGUUUUAGAAAGAUGUCCAAUAACUGAUGAAAUUUAAUUGAAACAUAUAAUUAAAUUUGUUAACUUAACAUGGCGUUAUGCUUUGUUGAGUUUAAUGGUGUGGAAGAGUAUGUUUGUUGUCUCCUGUUAGAGCUCGAACUCAUGUACUCGAUUUCUCUCAUCUUCAUGAUUGAAAGGAAAAUAGUUAAGCAAAUAAAUGAUAAUGCAAUAUGCAAAUCAAAGCGGUAGAGGGAAAUAGUUAAGUACAAAUAAAUGUUAAUUCAAAUAAAUAAUAUUUUGUCAUCUCUAUCUUUCUCUCAUUUUCCUUUGAGCUGAUGCGUUUUCGUUUCCUUUUUUUUCUUCUAAAUGUGAUGGAUUAAUUAAAUCCUUUUUCUCUCAUGGUAGCUAGGAUUAAACUGAACAAAAUUAUAAAAGUUAAAAUUGAAUUUAUUAUUAUACCUUAUAUAUAAAAGGUUAAAACGACAUAAUUGUAACGUACAAGGAGGACGAAAAUGCAACUAAAGGUAAAGUACAUGAACUACUAUAGUACUUGGACUUAUUCUACCGCAGACCCCGUUUUUCAACACUGACUAUUCGGUGCGUGAAUAGCAAGAAAACGAUAUAUUUGCUGUCUUAUAAAAUUAUCUCUUUAGAAAAAGAAAAUUCUCAAUUUAAAAAAGUCUUAAAUUUUAUAAGCAAAUUAAUAUUACCUUACCUUGGUUAAACUUAAAUGUUAAAUGAGUGUCGAAUGAUAAAUGGUGUAAGUCAAGGUCUUUGUAAUUUGUAUUAAUGCAUGAAUUAAAUAUCAACAAGGAAUCUUCGGCCCUCUCUUUUUGUCUCUUUCUCUCAUUUUCCUUUAAGGUGAUGGGUUAAAUCCUUUUCCUCUCAUGGCAGUUAAGACUAAAUUGAAUAAAAAUUUAAAAUUUAAAUAUCGGAGUUUUUUUUAUUGUACCGAAAGUCAAAAUAAACUUUUAACAGAACAAUUUUAGUGAAGGGAUUAAAAUGUUUGCUGUCUUAUAAAAUUAUCUAAUUGGAAAAAUAAUUCUCAAUUUAACAAUCUUAAAUAUUAUAAGCAAAUUGGUAUGUUAAUUUGAAAUUUUAUAAAAUGAUCUCUUUGGAAAAAAGUAAACUUAAAUAUUAUGUUAUUUGUAAUUUUAUAUUAAACUGAAAAUCCAGCAAAGUGGUUCGUGAGAGGGAUUAAAAUAAUUGACAAUUCACCACUUGGAGCCAUGAAAGUGCAGUCAUUGGGGAUGAGAAUUAGAAGUAAAACAUGUAUGACAACGGGAUUGGAUAUUGUGAAGCAAGAAGGGGGUACUGACACUACAACAAAAUAGGUUUAUAGUGGCGUUUUAACAUAAAACGCAGCAAAAGAUCAAGUAUUAACGGCAUUAAUCAAAAAAUGCCACAAUAAAUGAUAAUUAGCGGCGCUUUAAAAAACUACCACAAUAGAUAGAGAAUUAGGAAACGCCGCCAAAAAUUGAGCAAAAUGACUUCGUUUUUUGUUGGGGUUUAUUGGCUUUAGUGGCGCUUUUUAGAAAACGCCGCAAUAUAUAAAGCAUUAGCGGUGCUAGUUUAGAAAUGUCACAAUAGAUCGAGCUUUAGCGGCGAAGUCUGAGAAACGCCACUAUAGAUCAAGAAAUAGCGAUGCUUUUUGUAAAACGCCGCAAAAAAUUUGAGCAAAACGGCUUCUUUUUUUUUAGCUUUUAUUGGCUUUAGUGGCUCUUUUUUAAAAAAAGCCGCUAUAGAUCAGGAAUUAGCGGCACUUUUUGUAAAACACCGCAAAAAGUUGUGCAAUACGACUUCGUUUUUUGUUGACCUUUAGUGUAAUUAGCAACACUUUUCUAGAAACGCCACAAAAAGUUUGAUAUAAAACGACAUCGUUUUUUCAUGAGCUUUACUAGCAUUAGCAGCAUUUUUCAAAAACGCAAUAAAAAAUAAAUUUAUUUUAGGGUUUAGGGAUUAGUAUUUAAGGUUUAUUGUAUAUGGUUUAGGGUUUAGGGUUCAUGAUAUAAUGUUUAUUAUUUUGGGAUUAGAGUUUUGACUUUAGGAUUUAGGGUUUGGGAUUUGGGGUUUAAAGUUUAGGGUUUAUGAUUUAAUGUUAAGAGGUUAGUGUUUACGGCUUAUAAGAUAUAGAAGUUUACUAUUUUAGGGUUUGAUGUUUAGGGUUUAAGGUUUAGGGUUUAUGAUUUAAGGUUUACAAUGCAUGAUUUAGUGUUUUAGGGUUUAAUUACUUUUGUGAUACCAAAUUCAAAAAAAUUACAAAUACUUUUCGUCUUUUACUUCUUAUUAUGUUAUUAUGGUUCUAAGUGACAUGAAUGCUUAGUUUAUUGACUCGUGGCAUAUAUGUUAUGAUGACAUUUGAUAAUUGUGUUAUUUACAUUCGUUUAUUCACUUAAAAAUAGAGUAUAAUUUUAAAAUUAUAAUAUAUUGUUUGAAUAAUAUCAUUAAUUUAUAAAUUUGAAUAUUUUUUAUAUUUAAAUUAUACACGAUAGAUUUAUAAAAUUCUAACAAUGAAAAUAAUGUCAUAUUAAUGUAUCAAAUUUAUAAAUCUAUUAAAAAUUUGAAAAUUUAUAAAUAAUAUUAUUUCAGACACAUAUAUAUUUAAAAAGUGAAUAAUUAGCGGCGUUUCUCUGAAAAAAGCCACAAAAUGUAAGUAUUAGCGGCAUUUGGUCUAAAAAUUCCGCAAAAAUGUAUUAAAAAUUGGACAAAAUGGUGUCGUUUCGAUUUAGGAAUUUAAUUGGCAGUGGCAUUUUUGUUGAAAACGCCACAAAAGUUGUAAAAUUAGUGACUUUUUUGUAAGCGCUACAAAUGUUGCAAUACUAAACGGAGUCGUUUUCUUCCACAAAUCAGGUUUCUACUACAUCCCCGCUCCCAGCCCCAAGUUCCCCAUCCAAAUCCCUAAUCAGUCAUAGAGAGUUCUUCGAUUUUUGUUUCUGUGAUUCUUCAAUUGGUUUUUUUACUUAAAAAGAAAAGAUUUGUUUCGGUUUCUUGUAAACUUUCAUACAAAGACAGAGAAGACGAAGAAGGUGGCCGAACAUUCCAAUUCUGUUUUUUGGUCAAUCAGUAUUUAAGGUUCAUUUUCUUUAUUUUGCGUGUUUAAACUUUGGGUUUGUCUUGUUUUUUCUUUUUUAAUUUUUUUGUUUAUAAUUUGUUGUUGACCCUAAAAUGAAGUGAAAUCAUCUUUGGUUUUAGGGUUUUCGAUCCUUGUACAAGUGGAAACCAUUUCGAAGUGCUUUCAUUUCUCUUCAUCAUCGUCAAGGUACUGUACUACUUUCAUUCUUUUAUCUUACUUCAAGUUUUGGCGUUGGAUUAGGGUUUUAGUCUGAAUGCGUUUUUGUUGAUUCGCACUGUAUUGUUGGUUUUUUUGGAAAUACUAUUAGUUCAAAUGAUGAAAUUGGUUUGGAAUAAAUGUGAUGUUGUUGGUGACGAUAGGUUGGAAAUAAGUUGGAGUUUAGCAUAGAUUUCUGCUUAACUUGGACAACAAAAUGGGAAUAUACCUCUUAUUAUUGUCGAAACCACCUUUUUUGAUAAAAGCGUCGACUUUAAAAAAUGAUAAGAUCAUAGAAACUCAUCUUUUUCAGGUAUAGACUAAAGAUGUUGUAUUCAAUCUCUUUUAUCGUGUGAAAAGAAAAUCGUAAAUAACACUGAAUUAUCUACGUCAAGCAUUGACUGAGGUCUAAAUUUAAUAAGUCAGUAGAAACUCACGACUCUUGUAAUGGAUUACUCAUCGUGGAACAGAGAUAAUUUGGUGGCUCUCUUUCUCCCUUUAAAUAAUUUGGUCUCAAUGUCUGCGUGUCAUUCCAUGACCAUUGUCGUUAAUUACAUUGGCGACCUCUAUUCAAAUAGCUACAGCACUUACCAGACUGAAACAUAUCACCUACAACCUAAAACGAAUUACAACUUCCCCAGAAAUCUCUAAAAUUUCCAAAUUUCAAAACCCAUAGAAUAAUAUAUAAAAAUACAUUUUCACCUUAAUCAAUAAAUUUCCAGAUUGUGCAGCACGAGUCAAAGUUGAUUUAACCCAUAGGUUCUAACAUAAAUUUAAUUAAAGUAUUAAUGAUAUUUGGUUUCUAGUGUAAUAACAUUAACUCAUAUGUUUUAAAAUAGUUAGUCAUAAAAUACAAAAUAAUUAGUACAAAUUUAAACAUACAAGUAGGAAAAUGAGUAAAAACUCUUGUAAAAAAUAUGAUCUCUUCUAAAUAACUGAAAAGUUUUUCUUUUCUUUGCCACAUAUAUGUAACACCCCAAACUCAGCCUAGACUUAUGGCCGAAUCUAGAGAUGUCACAAAGAAGGAUUUUGAAAAUAGUCAUUUCGACAAAGCCUUGUAUAGUUGUUCGAAAAAUCAUCCAAGUUUAUAACUAUUACUGAAAGUGUUGUUAAAUCAAUUCAUUUGCCAAAACAUAAUUUACAGCGGAAAUCUUAGAAAUCAAUAUAUUUAAAAAAAAAUCUCAUUCAUAAUUUCAGAAAACCUUUAUUUUAGUAAAAACCAUAUUUUUAACCAACCAUUGCAAAUAAAGAAUCAAAUUGAAAAUCCAAAUCCAAAAUAAGCCAAAAGUCCAGAGAGUCCAUUAAUUACAAAAAUCCAAGAAAUAAUCCUUAAUUAAAUAAAAACCAUCAUUUAUAGUCAGUUCACAAACUUGUGGUCAUCAUAAGACUCUGUUGCACCGAUCCGCCUAAGUUUGUGGAUUACCUGAACAAAACAGACAAACGAAUGUGAGUUUUCGUAAACUAAAUGUGUAACCCAAUAGAAAUAGACAUCCUAUACAUACAGAAAUCACAUAUACAGUCAAAUUCAGAUUCGGACAUAAGUCCUUUACAGACACAGAUAACAGAAUCAGAUAUGCAGAACAGAUAUACAGAAUCCUACCCCAUCCUCUACACACCAACUUCGAUCAUCCCAUCACACCAUGUGGGGUUAAAAACACUCAUCCAUCCCUACACACCAUAUAGCAUUGAUAUGACACAUAACAGAUAAUAUGAAGUCAAACUGCCAGGGUAUAGGCCAAAGGUCAUUGUACAAAUCACUUCCUCCACAUAUACGAUUCUCAUCCCAAGCAUAUAUACAGAAUACGGAUACAGAAAUAUCAUACUUAACAUGCUCGUAUACAGAUAACAUAUAUAUUAACAGAAUAGUCAGAAAUGCAUAACGGUGUCCUACUCAGAGCAGACUAUCAAAAUACCAGAUUACAUAAUUUAGGGUUUGGUUAGCCCUUAUCGACCCUACGGUAGGCCCACAGUCGUUUGGAUCGACCCUAGGAAAAAUUUAAGAAUGGCGUAUGGGCCCACACACCGAGACUAGCCUUGCCUAUAUGGCCCACACGGCUUGGCCCAAAACCCACACACCUGUGUGGCAUGCCCAUGAAGGCCUACACGCCAAAUCUGGCCUACCCCGUGUAGCCCACAGGCCACACUCACAACACCACACGGCAGUGUCUUGCACACGGCUGCAUUUUUGUCAGACAUAUGGCCAACCACACGGCCAGGCACACGCUUGUGUGGCAUCAACAAAAUGCUUUUUCAACUUUUGUCGAAACUUGAUUUUUCGUGUUUUGGGUACACACAUGGUACAAUUUUGAUGCGAAAACACUCCAGAGACCAUCAACACCUAAAAUUGAACAUUCAAAAGUCGAAUUAGCCGCCUAAAAAGAUGCCAAACCAAAACUACAUCAAAACAGACAAUCCCUUAAUCAACCAAAACCCUUACCUUUGAAUGAGCAACAGUGAUUCCGCACAACUAUAACACCGAUGGAAAUCCCUAGCCCUUCUGUCUUCUCUUGAGCAAUAAGAUUCACAUUAAUAACACAAUUGAAACAAGCUACCAUUGCAUAAAACUUCCAGAGUACUUACCAAACACAACCCGAGUAGAAGACACAGAACCCAACACAGAGAUUGACAACAGUUUGAAUGGAAAAAAGGUAAUAGAAAGAGAUAAAAAUCGAGAGUGCCACGAAGACGAAGAACAAUUGACAUCAGAAAUUUUGAGAGAGAGGGAGCCGAAAUUUUUGAAAAAAACACAAAAACAAAAACUGAUAACAGCAAUAUCUCAACUCCCCACUAACAUCUCAAUCUCAACUACCUAUUCACUCAGACACCCACGCCCAUGCAAGGAUUCGAACACAGAACCUCUAACACAACAACCCCUUACCACUCGAACUAACAGACUCAUUCUGAUAUGGAUUAGCAGACAAUUUUAUAUAAGCCCACUCAACAAGGGUAAGGCUUGGAUCGAAAAUAGCAAAAUUAUCAAAUAUGAAACUUAAACCUAAGACCCCAUACACACACCUAGAACACUUAACCACUGAAGCAGAUACAUAUUUUAUAUCAGAUUCCACAAAAACAGACUUAAAUUAAUCAGGGCGUUACAAAUCUACCCCUUAAAAAAAUUUGACCUCGAAAUUUACCUAAUCCAAAUAGAUGAGGAUAUUGCUAACGCAUAAAGUCCUCAGGUUCCCACGUGACUUCCUCAGUGCCAUGAUUCUACCACAAAACCUUCACCAAAAGAAUGGAAUUCCUCCUUAGAACCUUAAUAUCUCGAUCCAAAAUUUGAAUGAACUCCUCUUCAAAAAUCAAAUCCAGUCUAACCUCAAUCUCUUCAACAGAGACAAUGUGAGAAGGAUCAGACUGGUACUGUCUCAACAUCGACAUGUGAAACACAUGAUGGAUACGGUCCAACUCUGAAGGUAGCUCCAACUGAUAAGCGACCCAUCCCACAUGCUUUAAAAUCUUAUAUGACCUGAUGAACCUAGGGCUCAACUUGCCCUUACGACCGAACCUCAGAACUUUCUUCCACGGAGAAACCUUAAAAAAAUGAAUUCACCCACAGAGCACUCGAUAUCUCUCCUCUGCAGAUCUGCAUAAGACUUCUGUCUAUCAAAAGCUGCCUUCAGACGAUCCCAAAUCAGCCUGACCUUAUCUUCAGUCUCAGAAACCAACUCAGGACCCAAAACCUGACUCUCACCCAACUCAGUCCAAUAUAGCAGCAUACGACACUUACGAUCAUACAAAGCCUUGUAAAACGAACUCAGCUAACGACAAAAAGUUCUCUCAACUACCACGAAAAUCAAUCACACAACUCCGAAUCAUAUUCUCUUGUAUUUGAAUCACCCUCUCAGAUUGACCAUCAGUCUAAGGAUGGAACGCAGUACUGAAGUCCAGUCUCGAACCCAAAGCCUCAUGAAUUUUUUCUAGAACCGAGAAGUGAAGCGAAGAUCCUUAUAAAAAAUUAUCAAAACUGGAACCCCAUGCAGUCUUAUAAUCUUAGAAAUAUAGAGCUUUGCUAACUUUUGCAAAGAGUAGUCUGUCCAAACCAUAAUAAAAUGGGCAGACUUGGUCAAUCGAUCUACGAUGACCCAAAUAGAAUCCUUCUUAGUGGGUGUCAAGGGCAACCCACUAACAAAGUCCAUCGCUACUCGUUCCCAUUUUCAUAAAGGAAUCUUAACAGGUUGAAGCAAACCCGAAGGCAACUGGUGCUUAACUUUAACUUGGUGGCACGUUAGACAACGAGCAAUAAAAUCUGUAACCACAUUGUAAUAGGCCUAAUUUGCCCAAGCUCGUAUGCAUAAACCAAAUAAAGAAUAAAUAAAGUCCAACAAUUACGGAGUCCAUUUACAUUUAUCCAAAACGCCCAAAUUACAUCAGCCCAAAUACAAUGUGGCCUAAGACAAACCUUCAAAAACCCUAGUAGCAGCACACAACCCCUAGCACCGCAGCAGCCAGAGUCCCUCUCCGCGUGACUUACGCCUCCACAUACGUGCACACUCCUUAAUAGCCACCAAACCUACGAAAAAAGAGCCAUACAACGCAGCAAUAGCAGAAUAAUAGCAAAAAAUGCAACGAAUAUUAAGGAGGAGAUAGAGUUUUUAUUAUUUUCUUAUUAUUUUUUACGGCUAUAAAAGGCUGAUAUUGAAUCUGUAAAUAGAGGGACGGGGGAAAACAAAGAGAAAAAGAUUAAAGAGAAACAAUUAUACAGAUUCAAUUUUUUUAAAAUAACGAAAGGUGAUUUUUUUGUCUUAUUUUUUGGUGUUCGUCAUUUUUGUCUUUUUUUCUUGUUUAUUAUUAUUUUUAUUAAAAAGGAGAGGGAGGGGGGCUUACCUCUUUGUUGAAGCCACCGAUUUGAUACCUCCUCUACCGUAAUCGGAGCUCUGGUAUGAGAACAGGUGAACGGCGGGGCAAAAACGGGUUAAGAAAAACCCUAGCAGAGCAAACGUCUCAAAAAUGUGAAAUAAAAUGGUUUUUAAAUCUUUUUUUUGUUAUUUUUAUGUUUAAUUUAACACAUAAACAGAACGGUGUUGUUUAAAGGGGCUAGAUCCGCGCGUUGACCCGACCCGCAAGCAGGGUCUGCGUGUUUGGUCCCCUUUUUUUAUUUGAUUUUAAUGCAGAUUUUUCAUGUAUUUUCAAUUUAGCCAUUUUUUUCUUUCUGUUUUAAUUUGGUCCAUAGACCAUUUGCAUUCGCCCACUAGAACGGUGCCGUUUGACCAACGUGGGAAUAUUUCCCUUCUAGUCCUCCUCCUUUCUCGCGCAUUGUGAUUCAGUCCUUUUUUCCUUUUUUAUUUUUUAUUUCAGCCCUAAAACUGUGUAGUUUCAAUUUAGUCCCCUGUUUGUUUUUAGUUAUUUUAUUAUUAAAUUAAUUAUUUAAUUAUUGUCCUUAUUAUUAUAUAAUAUCAUUAUUAUAGUAUUAUUAUUAUUAUAACCAUUGCAUUUGUGCAUAUUUGUUACACUGUACGUAUAUACACUUUAUAUUAUAUAUAUAUUCAUAUACAUUUUAUAAUACAUAUACAUUUUCCAUAUUUUAGAUUUUCUAUAAUAUAUACGUAUACCUUUUUUAUAAAUAUUUUUUUAUUUUUUAUAUAUUCCAUUUUUAUAUAUAUAUACCUAUUGUACAUAUAUAUAGGUAUUUGAAUGUAUACAUGUACGUGUUUUAAUGAUUUACCUAUAUAUAUACUUAUACAUUUUUUUAUUUUGUAAAUAUAUACAUAUAUACAUACUUUAAUUUUUUUUAUCUUAUUUUCAUGAUUUUUACAUACAUAUAUAUAUAUAUAUACAUAUAUACAUACAUAUUGUCGAAACCAUUUUUUGAAAAACAAAAAUUUGUUGUCGACUUUAAAAACAAAAAUUGCAGUUGCCACCGAUCAUUGAUUGAGGUGUGAUCGGCUCACCUUAACAACGGUUUUGGUCUGCAAAAUUUGAGAAAAUAGAUUCAGGAGUCAGUUACACACGAGGAAGGAUUAGCACCCUCGUAACGCCCAAAAUCGGUACCGAAUUGAUUGUGUAAUGUCUUGGUGUCGAAAGUUUGAAAAGAUUUUAAAAGAAAACUUUUUAACUUGAAUGAAUUAAAAUAAUAAAACAUUCUUAUUUUAAAGAAAUAAAACAUCACACCUAGUGAGUUAGGGGAAAUCGACAGCAAAUCAAAAAAAAAGAGGAAAAUAAGAAAAAAUAUAAAGAAAAAGAUUCGGGGGGGAUUUUUUCAUUAAUUUCGGCUAUAAGAGAAAGGGAGCCUUUUGUAUUUUGAGAGGACACACGCAUAUUGUAUGAAACCCACAAAAAAAUCAGUACAAAUAAACGCAAAAAGUUUCCAAAAGAAAAAAAAAGGAUAGCAUAGGUGAUUCUCCGAUUUUUAUAUAUAUAUUUUUGUUAUUCUUCUUUUUUUCAUUUUCGGUUUGCUUCGAAUUGUUUUUUACUUUAAAAAAUUUUAAAAGGAGAGGAAGAAGGAGACCCUUACCUUCGCAAAGGCGCACCAACGGAGCUCCAUUCACUCCGUCCGAAAUCAAAGAUGAAUGGGGAUUUCGGGAUUGCAACGCGGAGUUGAGAGGGGAGGGCUUAGGCUUUUCUUUCAAAUGGCAGAGGAGGGUUGUUUAGGUUUAGCAAAUCUAUCAAAAUGGCUUAAUGCCGUGUUUUUAAAUUUUAUGCGUGCUAUGAAACGGCACUGUUUGAGGCCUGUUCCAGUGGCCUUAAAAUGGCGCCGUAUUGGCCAUAUAACCCGCCCGUGUGACCCGAUUCUGGGAAGGAUCCGCGCAUUUUGAUUGAUUGGUCUAUUUGCAUGACAAGUCCUCCCCUUUUUCUAAAGUUUUCGAAUCGGUUAUCUCCCCUCUUUCUGAUUUAGCCCCGCAUCCUGCUUUUAUUUCAUUUCAAUCCAGCUUGCAACGCCAUGUUUUAGGGAAGCGGGAUAUUUCCCAAUCGGGCCCCCAUGUAAUACGCGUGUUGCAGCAUGGUCCCUAGCCUCUUUUCGUUAUUUAUUAUUUAUACCCCAUGUUUUGUUGUAGUUUCAAUUCGAUUUUUAACCUUUAUUUAAAUUGUUUUAAUACAUUUUAUAUUUUAAACUAUUUCAUUUUCUUUUUUAUUACUUUAUUUACAUAUUUUAAGAUUUUUGUAUAUAGAACCUAUUUUAAUAUAUAUAUAUACAUUAUUUAGUUUAAAUUGUCUUUUAAUAUAUAUUAUUUAGUUUAAAUUAUUUUUUUAUAUGUUAUUUCAAAAUUUGAUUAUCCUUAAAUCGAUUUAUUUUUAAAAUUCCUCUUUUAUAUAUCAUAUUUAAUGCAUUAUAUGUUAUUUUAACCUACUUUGCAAAUGAUUUAUUUUAAGUUAUUUAUUUAUGAUUUUGUUUUUAGUUGCUUUAUACAUAAAUUUUAAAUUUAUUCUAUACCACUUGCUUUAAAUUGCUUUAUGUUAGUUUUUUUAAUUCGUUUUCACGCACUAUUUUUUUUGUUUUUUUAUCCCUUAUUUAAAUUAUUUUAUAUACCUAUUUUUAAACCCUAUUUUACUAUAUGCUUGGGUUAUUUCAAACUAUAUAUAUAAUUCAUUUUAGAUUUCUAUACAAAUAAUUCAUUAAUUAUAAUUUCCCAUGUUCCAUAUUUCUUAAGUUAUUUUCAAAAUUUGUACAAUUUCAUAUGUAUUAAUUUGUUUGGUGCUUUGGUUGACCUUUAAUUCAUUAGCCUUUGAAUGUAAGCAUGAUAUAUGAUGUGAGAUAUUUGCUCUUAUGUGCAUUGUAUUAAUUAUUUAUAUUGAUUGAUUAUCUGUGUUCAAUAAUGUAUAUUUCGACUUACGAAUUAUCGCUUCACAUUGUACAUUAUUAUCCCAUCGCGUUUUAUACGCAUUAAAGAUUACGUUCAAUAUCAUUUAAGUAUCGAGAGCAUUUUUAUUCAAAAAGUUUUUCAAAAUAAUGCAACAUUUGGAAUUUGGGAUCCUCGAAAAGAUUGUCCUAACUUACUGGAUUCCAAUCUUCCUCGAGAUUUAAGAAACCGAAUAUCCUCUUUGAUUAACAUAAAUAAAAAGCUCAUUCUCGGGAAUUCGACACGUUGUGUCCUAACGCAUUGGAUAUGACAUGUUUUCUCGAGACGAGGAUUUUUCUAAUAAAUGAAAGUAAAGGCAAUAUUCGAUAUUUAGGAAUUUUAUGAAAUCGAGCCCUAACUUUCUGGGUUUUGAUUUUCUCAAGUGACCCAAAUAAUCAGAUAUCCUUCUCAAAAUGUAUAGGUUUUAAAAGUCAAAAGAUAAGCUUAAUUUUGAGGAUUUGACAUGUUGCAUUCUAACUUACUGAGUGUGACAAUUUAUUUCUUUAAAAUAAGUGAGCCUUAUCAUCCAAUUCAUUUUAUUCAAGAUAAAAGGAUCGUAUUUUAAAAUCUUUUCAAAAUUUCGACAUUAAGACAAUAAACAAUCAAUUCGGUACCAAUUUUGGGCGUCACGAGGGUGCUAACCCUUCCUCGUGCAUAACCGACUCCCGAACCUGUUUUCUCAAAUCUCGCAGACCUAAAAUUUAUUUUUAAUGGUGAACUGAUCACACCUUAAUAAAAGAUCAAUUGCGACUCCCAUUUUCUUUUCAAAAGUCGAUCCCCAUUUUUCAAAAUUUAAAAGUGGUUUCGACAACGCACAUAACAGAUAGGGACCAAAAGGGAAAUUAAUCCAUUCUCCCAAAACGCUGUGUUUCAAUAAGGAUCGAAGUGAAAAAAAUAAAACGUGUAGUAAAAUUUAAGAAAAUUAUGAAAUUUAAUUAAACACACAGCAAAAACAGGGGGACCAAUUUCGCAAAUAUCCCCAAUAGCGAAAACACAUGGGUCCCCAAAUGGGUCGAGUCAAUCACACGGGUGUAGGCCUAUACGGCACCAUUUUGGGGCCACUGAAAUAGGCCUAAAACGAAGUUGUUUCAUGUAUGUUAUAAAAAUCAAAAUUUUUCUAAAACAACCCAUUUUCUACCAUAUUUUAUAAAAAAAUACCACCCUAGCUUUCUCUGUUAGGGUUUGUAACCCUUUCUUUACCCGCCGCGGCAUUUUUGUCUUUCCACCGCGGUUUCACCGCGAUCGGUGGCUGGAGGCCCACCGAGUUGAGUUUUUGAGCCCCGCUAGCAGACCCAAGGGCAAAGGUAAGCUUUCUUACUUCUUUUCUUUUUAUUUUCUAUUUGGUGCACAAAGGGAAAAAAAACCAUCAAAGAAAUUAAUGAGCAAGAAGAAAAUAGACCUAGAAAAUCACCUUCAACUUCCUUUGUCCUUUUUUAUUUUCAAUGGGGUUUUCCUUAUACAGCUUUUUGUUCUAUUUUCUCCUAUUCUUUUCUAUCCCCUACUAUUGUUGCGCCUUACACUAUUUGUUUGCUGUUUGGAUCUGUUUUUUUGCAGGUGCAGAGGUCGUGGAAGAGGCGUGCGAGUGGAGGCUUGCACGACGUGCGUGAAAAGUGACAACCGCUGGUACACACGUUCGGUGAGGGCCCGAUGAUUACGGCACCGCUAAAACUGUACUAGGGUUUCUCGAUCCUUCCUCUGCUAUUGGUUUUGGGCUACUGUUUGGGCUCAUUUAGGUUUAGUAAUGGGCUGUUAAUUAUUUGUUUUUAACCAGGCUAAAAUUGGCCUAUUACAGCUGCCCCUCUUUGCUCGUUAUCGUGUAACAAGAAUGGAGCAAAGACUUUAGAAAUGGCUAAUUUUGCCUAGCUGUGCUGGACUUCGGGGCUCAAAUAGCUUCAUUCCAUCCUACUGCAUCUUCAGAGGUAUAGGAAUUGGUGCUUUGAUCCACUCCAUUACAACAUUAGGGAAAUAAGAUUUGUAAUUCUUCGAGGGAACAUUUGCUAUCUUCAGUCAGCUCCACUGCAACUUUAAGGAGAUACAACUUGUAGCUUCAACUUAUUCCACUGAUAUUUGACAUGACCUGCUCUUUUGUAAUUCAUAGAGAUAAGAUCUGUUUUUUAUCCACUCCACUGUAACUUCAGGGAGAUAGGAUUACUUUCUUCUGUCUGCACCACUGUAACUUUAGGGAGAUAAGACUGGAUGCGAUUUGCUUUACUGCAACUUCAGAGAGAUAAGAUCUAAUUUUAAUCCGCUCCACUGCAACUUCAGGGAGAUAGCAAUAUUGGCUUUCAUCUGCUCCACUGCAACUUCAGGGAGAUAAGACCUGCCCUCUUCAAUCUGUUUAACUGCAAUGUCGGGGAAACAAGAUUCACCGUCGUAGCUUCAAUCUGUUCCACUACACCACCAGGGAAGUAAGAUUUGCCGUUGUGGCUUCAAUAUUUUUAAUUGCAAUGUCGAGAAAGUAAGAUUCGCUAAUGUAGCUUCAAUCUUUUUAAUUGCAAUGUCAGGGAAGCAAGAUUCACCGUCGUAGCUUCAAUCUAUUCCACUGCACAGCUAGGGAAGUAAGAUUCGUCUUUGUGGCUUUAAUCUUUUUAAUUGCAAUGUCGGGGAAAUAAGAUCCACUGUCGUGGCUUCAAUCUAUUCCACUACACGGCCAGGGAAGUAAGAUUCGCUAUUGUGGCUUAAAUCUAUUCCACUGUAAUGCCAAAGAGAUAGGAUUCACUGCCCAUAGCUUCAAUUCGCUCCACUUCAGCUAAUCCAAGCCUUAACGCCAAGGAGAUAAGAUUCGCCAUCAUAGCUUCAAUCUUCUCCGCUACAACGCCAGGGAAAUAAGAUUCGCCGUUGUGGCUUUAAUCUUUUCCAUUGCAACGCCAAGGCAAUAAGACUAGUGUCUUCGAUCUGCUUCACUGCCAAUACAAGAAGGCAAGAUCUGCUAUUUUCAACCUACUCCACUGCUGCUCAGGGAGACAAGGCUGGUAUCUUCGAUCUACUUCGCUACCAAUACAAAAAGAGAAAAUCUACUAUUUUCAACCUACUUCAUUGCUGCUCAGGGAGACAAGGCUGAAGUUUCACCGAUUUGUUCUCUGGGGAACAUGACCUGUAUAAUUUAAUUCAUGAACCUAAUUAUGCCUAGUGAUUAGGAUGUCAUAACCAGAAUGAAUCAAAUGCUCCUAACUAGAUGCAUAUGAAUGACAUUUCAAUGAAUGCAGAAUGUCAUUUUUUGAGAAUAAUCCUUUUUAUCACUUAGGUUGUCAUUACUCAAAGUUUAUUAAGGCUUUAUCACUGACGUGCCAUAACGUCCUCUUGCUUGGCUGGCAUCUCCAAAGAGACACCUAAUCAGACUGCCCCCACUGUGAACUUCAAAGUCCAAUCCACUAAGUCGCAAAAAAUUAUGCCAUCCUUCUCCCCUUGUGACCCAAGGGUAGAAAAAUCUUACUUUUUCUCAAUCUUCUCUUAUUGCAAUGCGAAGCACUUUGGUUUUCUAUACCAUUCCCAAUGUGUCAUACCAAAUGCUCAUGCACAAAUGAAGAAGUUUCUUCUCCGAGAAAACCUCUUCUCAUUACCUGAUGAACAUCGCUUGCCUUUUUAUUGAAGCCUUAUCACCAACAUGACAUCUCGUCAUUUUGUUCAGUCAAUGUUUUUUUCACAACAAAAUAUAAAGGGAUAGUCUUAAUUUAGACUUUUCCCUCUUAGAUAUUUCAACCUUUAAACCUGGUGCAUUCUAAACAAUAGCCCUGUUUCAGGUUACUAUAUUAUUUAGAAACUUCUAGAGUAAUAUGCAAAACUUCCCUUGUGAAAGUUUUAUUAGUCCAUUAAUCAUUAUUCUAAUGUAACACACUUGCCAAAAGAACAAAACAAUGGAUAAAAUAGAAUUGAUUUGAGAGCAUAGCUUGAAAUGAAUAUAUUAUCAAGAAUAUUGAGAAUAAAAGAGGAAUUGACUCAUAUCUUGAAAAAAAAUAAAGUAUUCCAAGAAUAAGCAAUUCAAUAUAAAUAGUAUGAAGAUUAGGUGCCCCAGAUAUCGUAACUUGAACUUCUCUGUACAAACUUCGUGAAGUCCAUUCUGAGUUUGAUAUGUGCUUAGGAGAUCUACAAUACUCUGUCGAUGCUCCAAGAUGUCGCGUACCCUUUCCUGCUGAUUCAUGCAUAGCAAGAUCACCGCAUGCCUCAUUUUGAUCAAUAUUUGAGUAACUUCGAUCACCUCAUGGCCUAUUCUAGUCAAAAUUUGAGCUGCCCUUUUCGGGUUUUCAACUCAAAUCCCCUUUGGUCUAAGGCGCCCUUUGCGGGUUUUCGCCUUAGCCUCUCCAUUUUUACUUUUUCAUUUUUCAUUUUCAUCAUUUUUUACGACUCAAAGUGCCAUUUGUGGGUUUUCACCUUGGUCCUUUCUCCUUUUUUAAACAAAGUAUCUCUUGACUGAGUCUGAGUUUAUAGGAUUUGGCAGGUUUUUAUCAUCCAUCUCGCUCAAAAUCAAAGCUCCUUUGGAAAAGACCUUCUCUACAACAUAAGGUUCUUCCCAAUUUGGCAUCCGUUUCCCUCUAAAAUAUUUUUUGUAGAGGGAGGAUCUUCUUCAACGUUAGGUCACCUUAGUGGAAUUCUCUGGGACGAACCUUUUGUUAUAGGCUUGCAUCAUUCAUUUCUGGUACAUCUGACCGUGAUGAAUAGCUUUUAACCCUUUUUCUUUCUAUCAGGUUCAACUGAUCACAUCGCGAUUGGAUCUGUUCUGCUUCAUCCAACUUGCUCAGCUAAUAUCCGGAGAGAAAGAAUUUCAACUUCAAUAGAAAAACUGUGAUAAACUAAAGGGGGAGGCAUUGCCCCGGUAGAGUUUUCAUUACAUCAUUCAUGAUAUCAAUCUUGAACAUACUGUAAAUUUUUGAUAUCGUGCUGUAGUUCAGAUUGCAAUAACAGUGCUUAAACAGGGGAUAUUCUGGUAUGACCAUGCGAAGACGCAUUUGAAUUCUUGAAGUAACUCAACAAUGUCUUGCUUUGUUUCUUCGAUUAUGCCUAUUCCCUCAAGGUCACAAUCUCUAUUGUCUCCUCAUAAGCUAAAUUUGUUUCUCUUCUUGCUCUACCAUCCUCAAAAAGUCAGGAGAUAAGCUACAAUCUAUGUCAUUUUCAAAGUCAUGAAAUCCCUCUAAACACAUGCCUUGCUCAAAAGGAAAUUCUGAGUCUGUAGCAGCGUCACUCAUGUCAUUGAUAUCUAGGGGCCCAUAAUAAAUAUCAAAGAAUGUAUAAAUUUAUGAAUAACUAUUUGUACAAUUAUGAUUAUGAAUGAAUGAAUGAAGUGGAAGAAAAUCCAAAAGAAUGAAAGAAUAAUUAUUCAAAAAUACCGAAAGAAUAUUGGUUCAAAAAUCAUCGGAAGGAUGCAUUUCAUUAAAAUAAUGACAUUCAGACAUGAGCCUAUUUCACAAAGGAAUUUUUAUUGUCUCUAGGCUAAAAGCAACAAAUAUGUUUUGAACAUUACUCUAAGUAAGCUCUAGAUACUAUAGAGAAUUCCUCUAUAAUCUGAUUAUUUAGGACACUCCCAAGUUUAUAAGGGUGAAUAUCUAACAACGACCAUUUUAAUUGUAUCUUCAUAUAUGGCAUUGAUGUGAACGCCUCUCAACACUUCUUCAUACAUCACAUUCACCCCAUUAUCAAAUGUGAUUGGGUAACAAAUUUCCUGCACUAUAUGAGUCAUCAAACUUAACAACACCUAUGCUGAUGAGUCUUUCAACUAGCUUUUUGAACGUAGUGUAAUUUUCUAUUGAGUGACCCUAAAUUCUUGCAUGAUAAUCGCAUUUGGGGUACAGAGGCUGUGGGGGUUUUGAGUAGAAAGGGGAACAAUGUGCAUAUCAAAUAAGCUUUGAUACAGCUCCUUAUACGACAUUGGGAUUGGCAUGAACUGGAGCUUCUCAGUACUUUGCUUCACACUUGAUUCUUGUCUUGAUGAACCCUGCUGAUUAGCAACCACCUUUCUUGGCUGAUUCACCAUAAUCGAUUUGUUGUACGUAUUCACGCUGUUCACCUCAUUUUCUUUUGAGGCUUGCCUUCUGUUAUUUCCUCUAGCAUUAAUCUUCUCGCUCCUUAUGACGCUUUCAAUCAUUUCACCAUUCAUGACUAUAUCAAAAAAACUUUUUGUGGCACUUCCUAACAUAUGUGUGAUGAAUGGGCUUUCAAUAUAUUUAUAAAAUUCAUUGUCAUUUCUCUUUCCAAGAGCAGUGGCUGAACUUAGACGGUGACCUCCCUCUACCUCUGUGCGUACUGCCUAAAACUUUCAUUCGACUUCUUUUCUAUGUUUUGCAAGGUGAUUCUAUCAGGAACCAUUUCUGCUACAUGACUGUACUGCUUCAUAAAAGCUUGUGCCAAAUCUCUCCAGGAACUAAUCUUGGUACGGCUCAAUUGAUUGUACCAUUUAGACGCUACCCCCGUGAGGCUAUCCUAGAAGUAAUGUAUUAAUAGUUGGUCGUUAUUGACAUACCCAGUCAUUCGCCUACAAAACAUGGUGAUGUGGGCUUCAGGGCAACUGGUCCCAUUAUACUUCUCGAAUUCCGGCAUUUUAAACCUAUAAGGGAGCACCAAAUCUGGGACCAAACUUAAAUCCUUAGCAUCAAUCCCAACAUCUCUCAGUAGUUUCCAUUGCUUUGAAUUUCUCCUCAAUCCACUUCCAUCUUUUUUCUAAUUGCUUUGGUAAUUCUUCUUUUGUUUUCUCUUUUUCAACCGCCUCAUUAAAAUUAGGAACAACAGGAUUGACAAGAUUAUUCUUAGGGCUAGAGCCUAAUUCAGAUUGGAAAUUCAUUGACCUUGAAGCAUCGGCCUGAAACUGUUGAGGCUUAAUUGUAAUUGAAGAUUUACGCGGGUAAACUUCAACUUGGGGCUGCGUAUGUGGAGGAGUAAAGCCUGGAGGAUACAGAGGUCCAUCAUCACCUUCCUCUUCAACACUAGCCACAGGGCUCUUUCCCUUAUCAUUUCUGUCAGUCAACAGUUGCGUUAACUGUGUCAUCAUGCUCCCUUGGGAUUCCAUCAUUUUAUCCAUCAAAUUCUGCUGAAUCUUCUCGAGCUGUUCUUUCAUUUGCUGCUGAAGCUGAUACUGCAUUUCUUUUUGAAACUACUCGAGCUUUUCUAAUAUUCGAUCCAUACUUUUUGAUUUCGCCCGUGUACUGUAACGGUGUUGAAUUAGCUGGUUAGAUUCCAGAUUAAUUGAGGAAUGAUUUCGAUUAAUUAGGCCUUUUAAUAGUUUUUUAAUCCAUAUGAUGCAAUGUAUGAAAAUGAAUGCAAAAAGAGACGUUGAUUCUGAUUCAAUUCCAUUUACAAAAGCUUCACUAGGAAACAAAUUUCUUUACAUAAAAUGGAUGCAGGUACGACAUUGCCCUCAUACUCCAUGAAACAACGAUCUCAUUCUUUAUUCGCAUGUUUAAGAUAAGUCUCAUAAAUUUCCAAUGGAUGCUACUGCUAGCUCCUUUUUGCUUGGUCCAAGUCGCGAUCCAUCGUUUGCCCAUCCUCGUAAUGCUCAUCAGCUUCUUUAAGGAAAUUGGAUUGUCAAAAAACCCUUGAAUAACCAGCUUGAAUCCUCGAGCCAUGAAGUAAAGUCAUGUAUUCCUCUAUCACUCUUCUUGUGUUUCUCAGAAUAUAUUUAAGCAACCGUAUUAUCUUCCACUUUAUCAAGAAAUUCAUUUUCCCUGGCAACCUCUCUAAUUUAGUAAUCAAACCUGAAUCAACAUCUCCUUUCUAAGAUGCAAAUGCAAUGCAAUCAUAAUAAAAUAACAUAAAAAAACAAGUUAGUACAAAGUAAAAGCAAACAAGAAAUUAAAUUGAGUACCUACUCGGGUGACCUCUAGGGGUUUGGCAUAGUUCUACCUAGGUCAAGUUCCUAAAGUUCACUAUAUGUGGUUCGACUUCUAGAGCACAGGUACUUGAACCAGCAGAUUCCUCGAUCCUCACACAUUAUAGGCUCAUAUGGACCGAGUUCAAUUCAGGGGAAUACAUUUCCCUAUGGCUACAUGGAGAUGAAAAUCUAAAGAAGACAUAGGUACGGAUGUAUCCCGAAAGCGAUCCACUAUCCUGCAUGGAGGUGAUGACCUCACGAAGGACUAGUUUCUCACUCCCACUUAAAGGGGUAAAUUGACCAACUUAUGCAAUGCCAAAUGCAGAUACACAUUAACAGACUUGGACCAACCAAGCAAACACACUAUGAUGAAAAAUAAUGAAUGAAAAGGGGAAAUCAUGAAUUUUAAAACAAAAUUUGAUUUUUCGACCAAAAGACAAAAAUUAAUCAAUUUACGGCUGGACUCUCUAACCAGUCCCCAGCGGAGUCGCUAAGCUGUCGAACCCAUUUUUUUGAAAAAUAAAAAUUUGUUGUCAACUUUAAAAACAAAAAUUGGAGUCGACACCGAUUCUUGAUUGAGGUGUGAUCGGCUCACCUUAAAAGUGAUUUUGGUUUGCGAAAUUUGAGAAAAUAGGUUCGGGAGUCAGUUACGCACGAGGAAGGAUUAGCACCCUCGUAACGCCCAAAAUAGGUACCGAAUUGAUUGUUUAAUGUCUUGGUGUCGAAAAUUUGAAAAGAUUUUAAAAGAAAACUUUUUAACUUGAAUGAAUUAAAAUAAUAAAACAUUCUUAUUUUAAAGAAAUAAAACAUCACACCCAGUGAGUUAGGGCACAACAUGUUUUAUCUUCAAAAUUAAGUUCGUCUUUUGAUUUUUAAAACUUAUGCAUUUAAAUUUCAAAAGGAUAUUCGUUUAUUUGGGUUAAAAGAGAAAAAUCAAAACCCAGUAAGUUAGGGCACGAUCACUUGAAUUUCCCAAAUACGGAAUAUUGCCUUUAUUAUUUUAAAAAAUCCUCAUCUCGAAAAAACAAUGUGUCAUAUCCAAUGCAUUAGGACACAACGUAUUGAAUUCCCGAUAAUGAGCUUUUUAUGAAAUGUACAAUUUUAUUGAAAAAUAAAUACUUGGCUAUCUAAAUACAUCGAAUAGACUUGAAGCCCAAUAAGUUAGGACCAAAUCCUUCUCGAGAAUCAUGAAUACCACAUAUUUUAAAAAAAUUACGAAGUAAGAUGAUUUUCAUGCUUUAAAAAAACAAACAUUUUUUAGAAAACAAAUAUACAAAUAUAUGCUUAAAAUGAUAAUGAGAAUAGCAUGAGCAACAAUCCAAUAAACUAUAAAAUAAAAUAAAAUAAAAUAAAGAAACAUAAAGUAAAAAAACGUGUCAACUAAUGUAAAAGAAACAAUAAUAAACGAGUUGAAUUAAAAUGCUUUUGUAAUUAAAUGGGCAUAAAAAGAUAGACAUUUUGCGAAUCAACAAGACCAUAAAAUAUAUGAAAAUUUUAAUAUAUAUAUAUAUGUAUGUGUAUGUACAUAAAAUAUGAAAAAAAUAUGUAGGUAUACAUACUUUAAAAUUAUGAAACAAAAAUAUAUAAGUAAGUAUGUUUAUAAAAAUUAUAAUAUAUAGAAGUAUAUAAAAGUAUACGUAUUUAAAGAUAUGUGCAUAUAUAUUUACAAAAUAAAAUAAAAUAAAAUAAAUAUAUAAAUAAACUACAAAGAUAUAUAUAUGCCUAAAAAUAUGUAUGUAUAUAAAUGUAUAUAUAAAAUGAAAUAUAUAUAAAAAAUGUAAGUACAUAUAUAAACUAUAAAAACAAUAUGUACGUAUAUUUCAAAUGUAUUCACAUAAAUGCAUGGUUAUAAUAAUAAUAAUUUUUAUAAUAAUAAUAAUUUAAAACAAUAAUAAUAAUAGUGUAAAAAUAAAAGAAGGACUAAUUUGUAAUCCAAACAGAAAUUUAAAGGGCAAUUCAAAAUAAACAUAAAUGUGCGAACCCCAUUGAACACGCACAUAACAUAUAGGGACCAAAAGGGAAAUUAAUCCAUUCUCCCAAAACGCUGCGUUUCAAUAAGGACCGAAGUGAAACAAAAAGAAAAAGUGCAGUAAAAUUUAAGAAAAUUACGAAAUUUAAUUAAACACACUGGGAAAACAGGGGGACCAAUUUCGCAAAUAUCCCCACUAGCGAAAACACGCGAGUCUCCAAGCGGGUCGGGUCAAUCACACUGGUGUAGGCCUAUACGGUGCCGGUUUGGGGCCACUGAAACAGGCCUAAAAUGAUGCCAUUUCAUGUAUGUUAUAAAAAUCAAAAUUUUUCUAAAACAACCCAUUUUCUGCCAUUUUUUAUAUAAAAAAAACCACCCUAGCUUUCUCAGCUAGGGUUUCUAACCCUUUCUUUAACCGCCGCAACAUCUUUGUCUUUCCACUGCAGUUUCACCGCGACCGGUGGCCGGAGGCCCACCGAGUUGAGUUUUUGAGCCCCGCUAGUAGACCCAAGGGCAAAGGUAAGCUUUCUUACUUCUUUUCUUUUUAUUUUUUGUUUGGUGCACAAAGGGAAAAAAAUCAUCAAAGAAAUCAAUGAGCAGGAAGAAAAUAGACCCAGAAAAUCACCUUCAACUUCCUCUGUCCUUUUUUAUUUUAAAUGGGGUUUUUCUUAUACAACUUUUUGUUCUAUUUUCUCCUAUUCUUUUCUAUCCCCUACUAUUGUUGCGCCGUACACUAUUUGUUUGCUGUUUGGAUCUGUUUUUUUGUAGGUGUAGAGGUCGUGGAAGAGGCGUGCGACGUGGAGGCUUGCACAACGUGCGUGAAAAGUGACAACCGCUGGUACACACGCGCGGUGAGGGCCCGAUGAUUGCGGCGCCGCUGAAACUGCACUAGGGUUUCUCGAUCCUUCCUCUGCUAUUGGUUUCGGGCUACUGUUUGGGCUCAUUUAGGUUUAGUAAUGGGCUGUUAAUUAUUUGUUUUUAGCCAGGCCAAAAUUGGCCUAUUACACAUAUUUUAAUUUAUAUAUAUCUCUAUUUUUUAUAUAUUUUUUUAUAAUUUGUAUAUAUCCGUAUAAAUCUAAAUACGAAUUUUUAAUUUUCAUAAGCAUAUAUAUACAUACUCAUAUAUUUUUUAUUAUAUAUCUCGUAAUUAUUUUUUUAUAUCUUGUAAUUUAUAUAUAUAUACACAUGUAUUUUCUUACAUUUUUUAAAUUUAUUCAUUUUUAUUUACUUGCUCUUUUCAUUUUCAUUAUCAUUUUAAAAGGUUUUACUUUAACUUAUAUACUGGAUAUUGUGUACUCUAUUGAUUUGUCUUUUUUUUUAUCUUAUUUUUAUUGCUAUUGCUCAUAUUAUUUUCACGUCGUCAUGUUCAUUAUUGUUUUAAUAUGCAUAUCGAUAAUGUAAUUUGUUUUGCAUUCUUUUUAUUGCGACAUCAUAUUUCAUUUUACUCGAUGAAUCAAAUUUGUAUUUUGAGAUUCGAGAAAGUCGUACCCUAACUUACAGGGUCUCGAUUUUCUUGUUAAUUCAAAAUGUUUUAUCCUCAAAAUACAUGUUUUAAUAAAAUUAAAGGCAAGCUAAAUGUCGCCUUUGGAAUUUCGAGGGAUCGUACCCUAACUUACGGGGUUUCGAUUUUCCUGUCGAACUAAAAUGGCUAAGCAUUUCUUAUUUUUCAAAACCACUAAAUUUUAAUAAAGUUUUUAAAGGUUAGCUUACUCUUGAGAAUUUGAAUGUUGUUUCCUAACUUACGGGGUACGGCAUUUUGUUGUCUCGAGGCGAGAAAGCCUUUUUACCCUCGACCAAAUUUAUCCAAUAUUUUUUUAAAAAUCAAGAUAGAUGGUAUUAAUCAAAGGGGAAUCAUAUUUUAAAGUCUUGGAUUUUCUUUAUUCGACUAUGAGACAUCUAUUAAUUAAUUAGGUACCAAUUUUUGGGCGUUAUGAGGGUUUAAUCCUUUCUCAUAUGUAACCAACUCCCGAACCCAUUGUUUUAAUUCGUAGACCAAAUUUGCUUUUAGGUGAUCUGAUCACACCUUGGUAAAGGAUCAGUGGCGACUCCAUUUUCGUUUUAAAAGUCAACCCCGUUUUUCAAAAUAAAAAAAUGGUUUCGACACACACGUUUCAAACUCAGCCACCAGUACAGUUCAUGGAGAUCUCAAUACAUCUUAUUACCAUUAGGAUGCAUAGCAUAAGGGUUACUAUGUGCCUCCCUCAGAAUUGACUAUCUCAGAUCAAAAUCAUUUGGUACACAAACCCAACCCCAAAAACACAGAACCCCAUCUUUAUUCAGCCCAAAAUCAGAUGUAUUGCUAUUCUCAACCUGAUGAAAUCGCGGAACCAAAGACUCAUCCCCUAACUGGUUUUCUCAAAUCUGCCCAAUCCAAGUCGGCUUAACUUUCAACUUGGCUAAUAGACCCCCAUCAUCAAAUAGACUAAAACGAGUGAGCAUUGCUCUCAAAUCAGUCAUCACUUUACGAUUGAGAGCAUCGGCCACCACAUUGACCUUAACCGGAUGAUACUCUAUCGUGUAGUCAUAAUCCUUAAGUAGCUCAAUCCAUCCACACUGCUUAAGAUUCAAGUCCUUCUGAGUAAGAAGGUACUUGAGGCUCGUGUGAUCAGUGUAGAUAAUACACCUCUCACCAUACACAUAGUGCCUUCAUAUCUUUAAUGCAAAAACCACAGCAGCUAACUCGAGUUCAUGCAUCAGAUGAUUCCCUUAGUGUGACUUAAGCUGGUGGGACGCAUAAGCCACAACCUUACCAUCUUGCAUCAGUACACAUCCCAAACCUACAUGUGACUCAUCACUAUACACUAUAAACCUUUUACCAAAUUCAGGCUGUAUCAGAAUAGGAACCUGAGUCAGAACAGACUUGAGCUUCUCGAAGGUUGAUUGUUGCGUAUCCAUCUAGACAAAAGGAACACCCUUGCACAGAAGCUUAAUCGAGUAUCAUUUUUUAAUCAAAACAUAUAAAUAAAAAGCUCAUUCUCGGGGAUUCGAUAUGUUGUGUCUUAACUCAUUGGAUAUGACAUUUUGUUCUCUCAAGAUGAGGUUUUUUUUUUAAAUAAAGGCAAUAUUCUACGUUUGUAAUUUUGAGAAAUUGUACCCUAACUUACUGGGCUUCGAUUUUUCAUCUGACUUAAACAAUUGAAUAUCCUUUUUAAACUUCACUGCAUGAGUUUUAAAAAUCAAAGGACAAGCUCAUUUUUGAGGAUGAGAAACAUCAUAUCCUAAUUCAUUGAGUGUGACAUUUUAUCUCUGUGAAAUAAGAGGGUCUUAGCAUGUAAUUUAAUUUAUAUAAGCGUUUUUAAAUAAAAUGAUCGUAUUUUAAAAUCUUUGCAAAUUUUUGAUAUUAGGACACUAAUUAAUCAAUUAGGUACCAAUUUUUGGGCGUUACGAGGGUGCUAAUCCUUCCUUGUAUGUAACCGACUCUCGAACCCAUCUUUUUGAAUUUCGUGGACCAAAAUUGUUGUUUUAAUAAAUCAAAUCGUUUAUAAAAAUAACUAUUUUCCGAGGUGACCCGAUCACACCUCAUAAAAAAAAGAUUGGUGGCGACUCCCAUUUUUUUCAUUUUUCAAAACCCAAAUCGACCUGUUUUUUUCAAAAAAAAAUGGUUUCGACACAAUAUUUACAAAAUUUGUCAUUUUAGUUCAAAUUCUAAAAAUUUCAAUAAUUUUAGCCCUCAACAUUUACAGAACGACAAGUUUUCGAUCUCUCUUAGCCCUUGAGCUAAUGUUGUUUCUAAAAUCACCCCAAAAUGAUAGAAAAAUUAACAUCUGUUAACUUUGCUAACAUGACAAUUCACUUGCCUGUCAUGUCAUCAAUUAUUUUAAAAAUUUUAAUAUAAACAUAGAAACUUAUAGAAAAUUAUUUUUAAAAAAUUAAAAACAAGUGUUUAAAAUUCAAAUACAUAAAUUAUUCAAAUUUCAAAAACAAUAUAUAGAAUAUAAAAAAUGGUAAAAAAGUAAAUAUAUUAUAAGGCUUGGAUUUCUAACAGGUAAAAGAACCUUUUCUAAGUUUUCACUAUAGUCUUGGUUUUUUUGAAAUAAACAAAGUUCUCUUUUCUUCUAAUCAUGGGAGCCACUAUUACUAGUAUCGACGCUGGUGGCUUCUUCCAAUUACGCCAUCAAUGAUAUUUUAAAUUUGAAAUUCUAAAAUACCAACAUUAGCAUCAAUGACAUAUUUCAACCAAGGUUGAGACAAGUUUUUCAAAUUUAAAAUUCAGAAGUACCAAUUGACAAUGCUUCAAAGCAACAUGCCACUAGAUCUUUUUAUCUCUUUUUCUAUCGAGGCUUGAUGGAUUAUUAUAAAGGGCUUGACCGAUAAAAGAUUAAAUGAGUUUUGUUGAAAUGGUUGAUUAUGAGUUUCUUUUUAUUUUGGUUGAAUUAAGCGGUUUAAAAUUUUUAAGUGUUAGCUUUCUCUUUUUAGUGUUUUAGAUUUAGGGUUACGAGUUUUUGAGAAUGAUGAGCAAAAACUGAGACUUGAUUGUGUUCAUCAAUUUUGUCAAAUUUGGGAUAUAAAUAUUUGGUUUUCGUUCAAUUUUUUAUUGCUUUUAACUAAGAAUAAAACCCAAAAAAGUAAGUUUUCAUUCACCAAUUGGUUGAAGAAUAAUGUUCAAUGUUUAAAAUUUCCGAUGUUUGGUUGAAUAAGUUGUUUAAAAAAAAUUUCAAACAAAUUAUUUGUUCACUUUCAAUUUUCAUUCAUCAACUUGAGGCUUGAUUUUUGCUUUUUUGCUUUUUGUUGUUCGUCGAUGAAGCUUUUUGGAGAUGAUGGAUAUGUUAAAAAAGUAAAGAAAAUAAUAUUAAUAAUUAAUAAAGUAAUACUUAAAAGUAAUUGAAAAAUUAAAUAAACUCAGUAUGUUGGAGAAAAAAUUAAUCAAAUAUCCGUAAAACUAGAAGCAGAAGGUAAUGGGAAGGCGGUGUUGGUGAAAGUGGUAUGAUGAGCCGCACUUGGUUGAAUGGACCAACUUCGGUGUUUUUCAUGCGUCGAGCCAUUAUACUGGGUUGGUUUUCACACUUUCUUCUAUUCAAACAUGAAUUUCACACCAUUAAUUUCUCACAAGAUUUCCACAAAGACUGCAUGCCUGCACCAUUAUUCACGUUUGGGCCAAACAAUAAAAUAUUUUUCAUCUCUCCAUUGCUUCCAACCUCCAUCCUUUUCUACUUUUUGUAUAUUUGAAAUCAAAAUCUUAAUUUUAAUAAUAUGUAAAUCAUAAAUAAAUUAUUUAAACUUAAAAUAUAUCAAUAAUCAUAAUAUCAAAUGCUUAAACUAAUUUACUUGGAGAUUAUAUCAAAUGCUUAUAUCAAAAUCUUUGGGCUAUCUUAAUAGUUUGGUAUUAUUCAAGCCCAUCAAUGAAAAUCAGAGUCGAAUCGAUUAUAUCAAAUCUUUUGGAUCAAGACAAAAAUUGAGGCUUAUCUUCCAAUAAUCCACCUUACUUUUGCCACUAUUAUUAUAUUGUGCAUUUAGCUAUUUGAGUUGUUGUUUAGAGAGGAUUGUGAUUGUCAUUUAGUAUGUCAGUAAUUCUUGAAAACUUCUAUUUAUUUGAGAGACUUGUAUAAAUUUAUGUAGAAUGAUUUUUUAAAUUUAUAUUUAUAUAUUUUCAUAAUUAAAUUUAAAUAAGUUUAUUAUUUUUUAGAUAGUGAAAUGGGCAUUUGACCAGAUCAGUCGCUAGCCUAGAAUUUUUUUUUUUUUUAAAACCGAGUGUAUUCUUGAUUUAACUUAUAAACAUCUCUAAUUAAAUUAAAUUAAGUUAUUAUACUUAAAUUGAGCGUUAAACUAAUAAAAAAACUUAAAUAAUAUUUUAUCAUAUGGAGUUACAACAAAAAGAUUUAACUUUUUUGCGUACAACUCUAUUAUUAGCUUUAUUGGAUUUCUCACUAGUUAUUAAUCUCUUUUUUACUUAAUAAAUUUGCCUCGAAGCUAUUUAUAGUUAUAUCAAAUACUUUUCAUUUGAUUUAUUAUGUAUUUUGAAAAGAAAAUUGAUCCAUGGUGAAUGAAUCACGUAUCAUCAUUAAAUUAAACUAAAAUAUAUGGAGGGUUUAUAAAUAUAUACUAAUAAUUUUAUUUAAAUAUAAUUAAAUAUUAAUUAUAAUUAUUAUAAAUAAAUAUUAAUAAUUCUCAGAUUUAAGAUAUUGAGUUUAAGGAUUUUAGGUCUAGGGUCUUGGGUAUAAAGUCUAUGGUCUCGUAUUUAAGGGUUAGGGUUUUAGAAUUUAAGAUUUUUUAAAUAAAAUUAUUAGUAUUUAUUUUAAGUCCUCCAUGUUAUGAAUGCUAUUAAGUGAAUGUUCAACCUUUCAUCUUCCUUAAUUCUUCACCUUUCAUCUUCUGGUAACCCAUUUCCUAUUUAUGUAUUAGAAAAUGAGGGGUCUAAUCUCCUUAUAUAUAUAUAUAUAUAUAUAUAUAUAUAUAUAUAUAUAUAUAUAGGAAUAUACUUGUAAUGAUGAUAGAAAAAGAAGAGAAAUGCAAUAAAAAUCCCUCUUAUUUUCAUCUAUUAUUCUUGUGUUCUUCACAUUAUUAAUACUAUUUUAUAACACAUUAUUAGCACAAUAUUAUUCAAGAGUGAUAGGUCUUUAGUUUACGUCAAAAUUUUGUUGGGUUCCAAAUAUUGAAAUUUAAUUGUUUGGUUUAAAAAAAAAAUCAUGAGUGGUUGCUGGAGAUUUGCUUGAGUAUGAUCACUAUCUCUUCAUUGCAAAGAAUGCUCGUAGUCUUUACUUCUCAUCCGCAAUUAUCUAAGUAUUUCUAAUAAUUUUUUUUAAAAAAUUUGAUUCGAUUUCUAUUAUGAAGUUUAAUUUAUAUAAUACUCUAUUUGCAACUCUAUUAAUUUAUAAAUCCAUUCUCAAGUUUAUUUGUUGUGCUUUCUACGUGGAUAUAUAUAUUUGUUAUUUUUAUAUAGAAUUUAUUGGUUUAAUUUUAAUUUUGAUUAAAUUAUAUGAUUAUUUUUAUCUAUUCUUGUGUAUUGUAAGACUUCAAAUCUAUCCAUACUUGAGAACUGUAGAAUGAUAUUAAUCAUGAAUUUUUGUAAGAAAACACGUAAAAAAAAUCUUUAAAGUUAUAAACAUAUAUAUAUAUUAUUUUAUUUAAUGAUAAUGAUAAUGAAUCAUGUUAUUAUUCACCGUACUUAUGCCAGAUUUAUAUUAAAAAUCCUAUUAUAAUCAUCUGUAAUUUGUAAAAAGAGUUUUCCAAAAUUUUCUACUAUUAAUUCUAGAAAUGGUUUCUGAAUAUAUUUAUCCAAUUAAAUAUAUAAAAGUACAUGACUAUGAUGAUAUCGAUAAUUUCACAAAAAGAAUUACAUUAAUCUAAACCAAGUCAUUUCCGUUUAUAGAUUCAAUUCCAGAUCUCUUCUGUAAUAAAUCAACCUCAAAAAAUAUAUAUCCGACAAAUCUGAUUCAGGUUAAAAACAAACAACAAAUGUAUUGUAUUGUGCAAUUAAAACUAUGAUUCAAAUCCAAUUCAAAAGUAUUAAAGAUAAAAUUUUGGAUUAUUUUACCUCCCUUCAUUCUUGACAAAUUCUUUGGAAUAAAUUAACCAUUCUUGGAGUAUUAAUCCUUUUUCUUUUUUUGCUAAUCCAUAUCAAUUUUAUUAAAAAGAUAUAAAGACAGUCUUUACAAACCAGUGCACCUACCAAAAACACAUCAGGAAACAUUGCCAUGAGAGAGGACCUAAGAAAACAUAAUGCAAACUACAUAACAUACAAUAAAGCACCCAAACAGUUACAGAAAAUGGCCUACAUACCAACAAGCUAUGAAGUUUUCUGUUCUGUUUACAACUUGUUGAACUCACCGAAGAGUUGGCUUCUCUACCUUUCUGCAAAUCUUUGUCGAACUCGCUCGACGAUCCUAGUCAACCACCAUGGUUUUCCAGUUGUGAAUACAAUGUAUGCCAUGCUUAUUCCCAACACCAACCCACUUCCAUACCCCAUCAAUAUUGAAAAUUUCCAAUUCAGUUCAUCACCAUCUCUAUCAAAUUUGGCUGGAGUUUCUUCGUCAGUACCACAUCUUUUUGAUAAUGGCAAACCACAUAAAUCCAGAUUUCCCAAGUAGGAAUCAUUAGUGAAAGUAUCAAAUUGUUUGCCUUGAGGAAUGGGUCCUUUGAGAUUAUUCUGAGAAAGGUUUAAUAUCUCUAAGAAUCCAAGAUUUUUUAACUCUGUUGGAAUUUUUCCUUCGAGCUUGUUUGAUGAGAGAUCUAAUGAUUCAAGCUCUGACAAAUCACCUAAAGACGAUGGAAUAGGACCUAUUAAACAGUUAUGGGAGAGGUUUAGGAUAAUAAGCAAAUGAAGCUCACCAAGCAUUUUUGGAAUUUCUCCCGAGAAUUGAUUACUAGAAAGGUCAAUCAUCGUCCAAAUGGAUAAUAGUGAUUCAAACUUUGUUUCCAACCCUUUUGUUGUAAAGGAUAAACCAAGAGCAUAAUUCGUUGUAAUUCCACCAAUUGCAUCUACCAUGUACUCUGGUUCAACUUUCUUUCCAUACCCUUCUCUAAUGGCAUGCAAAUGUUCAAAAAAAUGGGUAGGUAAGUUGCCACUAAAGUUAUUGUGAGAAAGAUCAAUGACAUGCAAAUGAUUUAAGGAAACUGUAACAUCAAAGCUAUCCACUUGGCCGUAAAAUCUAUUCCACCUCAAGAUAAGAACUUGUAGCUGAUCCAAAUUUCGUAACCAAUUUGGGAAAGUAUCAUUCAAAUUGUUGUUUCCAACAUUGAGAAGUUUUAAAUCUUUGCAAUUACCCAAAGAUUGUGGUAGCGACCCUUCUAAUUCAUUGUUGUUGAUGCGUAAACUUUUCAACAUGCAACCUUUAGCAAAAUUUUCUGGUAUUUGACCACGAAAAUUAUUAUUCCUUAGAUCAACCACUGAGAGGGAAGAACUCAAGUUUCCAAUGCACUCUAGAAUUGUUCCAUCCAAAUUAUUCUCAGAUAGAAUGAGACCCAUAGGAGAAGUCAAAUUGCAUAUUGAGGAAGGGACUGUUAAACUAUAGUCUGAGCAAAAAUUAAUCACACAAUUAAAUAACAAGGUAAAUCAAAAGUGAAGAAAUACGUCUAAAUUAUACUUCAGAACAUAAAUUAAUUUAAUGUCAAUUUUAAAUAAAAUUUAAAUUUUUUAUUAUAUCAAAUAAAUUCUCUUAAUAAAAUACUUUUAGUGAAAUUAGAAGUCUUACUUAUAAAUGAUAAUGAAAAAUUUUGCUAUGAGAAAAUAGAAAAAUAGUCAAUACUCAUAAUCAUUUUCAUCAAUCAAGAGAUUUUGCAUGUUUGUUCUAUAUAUAUAUAUAUAUAUAUAUAUAUAUAUUAAAUUAUAAGUUAUAGGUGUAGAUUAUUAAUUGAAAAAACAAUCUGGUUGGGUUAGCAAUGCUGCAAAAGUUGGGAGUAAUAAUUUGUUAAAUUAUUAAUUGAAGGUGAAAAAUCAAAUCCUAGCAGUUAGAAUAUCUAUACGUAAUUAAUGAAAAAGAAGUACAAAAAUGGCGUAAAAGAAGUUUAUAUGACGUGGAUGUUAUAAUUGACAAAAAAAUAAAAUUAACGUGUUGACACCAUUUUUUUGAUGAAAACGGGGUCGACUUGGAUUUUGAAAAUGAAAACGAAAACGGGAGUCGCCACUAAUCCUUUUUUGAUGAGGUGUGACCGGGUCACCUCGAAAAGUGGUUGUUUUUAAUAAACGAUUUAAUUUUUAUUAAAACAACGAUUUUGGUCUACGAAAUUCAGAAAAACGGGUUCGAGAGUCGGUUACGCACGAGGAAGGAUUAGCACCCUCGAUACGCCCAAAAUUGGUACCUAGUUGAUUACUUAAUGUCUUGGUGUCGAAAAUUGAGAACUUUAAAGAAUUUAAAAAUACGAUCCUUCUUUAUGCGUGUUAUUUUAAAAUUACUCGGAUAAAUCAAAAUGGAAAAAUGCCUUCUUAUCUCGAAGUAACAAGAUGUCACAUCCAGUAAGUUAGGACACAACACAUCGUAUUUUCGAGAGUAAGCUUGCCUUUAUUUUUUGUUUGAACCUCAUUUAUUUCAAUUUUAAAAGGAUAUUCGGUUAUUUAAGUUCAAUACGAGAAAAAUCGAAACCCAGUAAGUUAGGGCACGACUUCUCGAAUUUCUAAAUACAGAAUAUUGCCUUUAUUAAUUUUUGAAAAAUCCUCGUCUCGAGAAAACAACGUGUCAUAUUCAAUGCGUUAGGACACAACGUAUUGAAUUCCCGAUAAUGAGCUUUUUAUUUAUGUUUUCUUUAUUAAAGAGGAUUCUCGAUUAUUUAGAUUCAACGAAAAAAAUUAAAACCCAGCACGUUAGGGCCUAAUUCCCUCGAAGAUCCCAAGUAUCGAGUAUUGCCUUUAUUUCCAAAAAUUUUAUGUUUUAGAAAUUUAAAAGGAUAUUUUGCUAUUUAGGUUUAACGAGAAAAUCGAUGCCCAGUAAGUUAGGAUACAAUUUCUCGAAUUUCUAAACGCAAAACAUUGCCUUGUUUAAAAAAUUUCUUUUUGAUGUAUGGUGUUAAUAUGCAUGGCGAAACAAUAAUGAAUAUGAUGGCAUAAAAACAACACGAGUAAUAGCAACAAAAAGAAGAUUAUUAAAUAUAAAUAAUAAUGAAAAUGAAGAUAAAUAAAUAACGAAUAGAUUGUAAAAAAUGUAUAUACAUGAAUGUACACAAAAUUAUGAAAAUAUGAAAAAUCUAUGUAUAUAUACAUAUUUUAAAAUUAUUAAAUAUAAAAAAUGUAUAAGGAUGUAUAUAUAUAUAUAUAUAUGUAUAAGUAUAUGUUGUAGAAAUGUACGCAUGUAUAUAUACGUAUGCUUUGAAAUUAUAAAAUAUAAAAAAAAAACAUUUAUGUGUAUGUAUAUGUAUGAGUUAUAAAAUAUACAUGCAUGUCUAUACAUGUAUUAUAAAAACGUAUGUAUAUAAGUGUACACAUAUAUGUAUAUAUAAAGUAUAUAAAUAAUAUAUAUGUAUAUAUAAAUAAAUUUAAAAAAUAUGUACGUAUGUAUGUGUUUAUAACAAAAUGUAUGUAUGUACAUAUAUACAACAAAAUUUGGAAUUAAAAUGACAUAAAUAAGUAAAUAAUAAUAAUAAUAACGUAAUAUAAUAGUAAUAAUAAUAUUAAAAUAAUUAAUUUAAUGAUAAAAUAACUGAAAUAAUAAAUAAAGGAUUAAAUGGAAAACUAAACUAAAAUUUGGGGUUUAAAUUCGCAAAUAAGUAAAAGAGGCGAUUCGGGGCUGAAAUGGAAUGCGCCUAAAGGCUGGAGGACUGAUCAGGAAAUAUGCCCCAGUCCCAGAGUGCAGCGUUUCAAUGCAAAUGACCGCAGAUGGUCAAGGGACCUGAUUGAAGCAAAAACAAAAUUCGCAGCCCAAAUCUAAAAGAAACAAAAGUUAUAUUGCACCUCAGCGCAAGAUGGAGGGACUAAAUGCAUAAAUUACCCAUUAGGGCAAAGCAUGCACAAGAUCCCCCCAUCAAACGGCGCCAUUAAUGGUUAAUAAAACCCAAAAUGUUUUUUUUAUUUCACUUUUCAGAUUUGCUAAAACAAAAACAGAAAUAGCCUCUCCUUUUUUUUUCAAACCCCUUUCUUUCAAACACCCAACCCUUGGGUUUCUUAACACCUGGAGCGCCACCGCCAUAGCCACAAAGGCCGACGGCCGAAGAUGAAGGAGAGACCCCCCGGUGGCACGGUCACGGCCAACUCCGGUGAGUUUCUCUUCCCCUUAUUUUCGCUUUUGAUUUUAGUUAUUUAAAAUAGAUUUGCAAAAGAAAGGAAAAAAAAGAAUAAAACAAACAAAUAAAUAAAAGAAAAAAAGAAAAAACGAAGAGGAAAUAACAAGGAUUUAACCCUUUAAAAUUUCUAUUCAGCUUUGGGUUUCUGAUGUGGGUUUUUUACAAAGAAAAUCGGAGAGGAAGCCAUACAAUGAAAAGUUUUGGCCUUUAUAGUCAAUUUCAAACUCUUAAAUCUGUUGUUUUUGUCAUUUUGUAUUUGUUGUUUUCUGUUGUUGCGUGUUGCUCGUUUUGCAGGUGUCAGACGCGUGGAGGAGCGGGAACGGCGCACAUGGUGGUGGCAGGCUGCGGCAGAGGCUAGGGGCAGGCAUGCGGCGCCUAGGGUUUUUGCCCUUCUUUGUGUUUGGCUGAAAUUGUUUUAGACUUUGGGCCAUUUGGGCUUUAGGGUUUUGGUUUAUUUUUGGGUUUAAAUUUUGGGUCAGAUUUUGGGUUUGUGAAUGGACUAUUAAUUUUGGGUUUAUUAUUUGAGUUAUUUUGUUGGUAUGGGCCCGGGCAAAAAUGGCUCUUACAGCUGCCCCUCUUUGCUCAUUUUCGUGUAACGAGAAUAGAGCAAAGACAUCAAAAGGGCCAAUUUUGCCCGGUCUUGCCGAGUCUUGACUUUUUGGUACUUAUCUUCUUCAAGUAGCCUCAUUUCAGUCCAUUGCGUCUUCUUGCUUUGAUCCACUUCACGGCAACUUCAAAAAGAGAUAUGCUUGUGGCUUUAAUCCACUCUGCUACAACUCCAUGGGGAUGAGAUUGGUUUUUUUUCGUCUGUUCCACUACUGCUUAGGGAGAUAAGACUGGAUGUGAUCUGCUCCACUACUGCUUAGGGAGAUAAGAUCUGGUUUCUUUCGUCUGCUCCACUACUGCUUAGGGAGAUAAGAUCUGGUUUCUUUCGUCUGCUCCACUACUGCUUAGGGAGAUAAGACUUGAUGUGAUUUGCUCCACUACUGCUUAGGGAGAUAAGAUCUGGUUUCUUUCGUCUGCUCCACUACUGCUUAGGGAGAUAAGACUUGAUGUGAUCUGCUCCACUACUGCUUAGGGAGAUAAGAUCUGUGGUUCUGUCUUCUGCUCCACUACUGCUUAGGGAGAUAAGACUUGAUGUUAUCUGCUCCACUACUGCUUAGUGAGAUAAGAUCUAGUUUCUUUCGUCUGCUCCACUACUACUUAGGGAGAUAAGACUUGAUGUGAUCUGCUCCACUACUGCUUAGGGAGAUAAGAUCUGUGGUUUUUUUCGUCUGCUCCACUACUGCUUAGGGAGAUAAUACUUGAUGUGAUCUGCUCCACUACUGCUUAGGGAGAUAAGAUCUGGGGUUUCUUUCGUCUGCUCCACUNNNNNNNNNNNNNNNNNNNNNNNNNNNNNNNNNNNNNNNNNNNNNNNNNNNNNNNNNNNNNNNNNNNNNNNNNNNNNNNNNNNNNNNNNNNNNNNNNNNNUCUGCUCCACUACUGCUUAGGGAGAUAAGACUUGAUGUUAUCUGCUCCACUACUGCUUAGUGAGAUAAGAUCUAGUUUCUUUCGUCUGCUCCACUACUACUUAGGGAGAUAAGACUUGAUGUGAUCUGCUCCACUACUGCUUAGGGAGAUAAGACUUAAUGUGAUCUGCUUCACUACUAUUUAGUGAGAUAAGAUCUGAUGCGAUCUGCUCCACUACUGCUUAGGGAGAUAAGAUCUGUAAUCUUCAAUCUAUUCCACUACUGCCUAGAGAGAUAGAACUACGGGCUUCAAUGUACUCCACUGUAAUCUCAGGGAGGUAAAAUCCGCUAUCUUCGACCUGCUCCACUACUGCUUAGGGAGAUAAGACCUGUAAUCUUCAAUCUAUUCCAUUGCUGCCCAGGGAGAUAGAACUACUGGCUUCAAUGUACUCCACUAUAAUCUCAGGGAGGUAAAAUCCGCCAUCUUCGACCUGCUCCACUAUUGCUUAGGGAGAUAAAAUCUGUAAUCUUCAAUCUAUUCCACUGCCAAAUACAGGGAGAUAGAGUUAUCGGCUUCAAUGUACACUGUAGUCAGAGGGAGGUAAAAUCUACCAUCUUUGAUCUACUUCGCUGCCAAAUACAGGAAGGCAAGAUCUACAAUCUUCAAUCUAUUCCACUGCCAAAUACAGGGAGAUGGAGUUAUUGGCUUCAAUGUACUCCACUGUAGUCAUAGGGAGGUAAAAUCUGCCGUCUUUGAUCUUCAAUCUAUUCCACAGCCAACCAAGGAGAUAGAAUUAUCAGCUUCAAUGUACUCCACUGUAGUCACAGGGAGGUAAAAUCUGUCAUCUUUGAUCUUCAAUCUAUUCCACUGCCAACCAGGGAGAUAGAAUUAUCGGCUUCAAUGUACUCCACUGUAGUCAGGGAGGUAAAAUCCGCCAUCUUUGACCUGCUUCGCUGCCAAAUACAUGAAGGCAAGAUCUGUAAUCUUCAUUGAUCUGUUCUCUGGGGAACAUGACCCGUAUAAUCUAUUUUAUGAACCUAUUUAUGCUUAGUGAUUAGGAUGACAUGAUCAGAUUGAAUCAAAUGCUCCUAACUAGAUGUGUAUGAAUGACAUUUGAAUGAAUGCAGAAUGUCAUGAAAAUGAUUCCUUUUUUAAUGUUUGGGGUUGUCAUUCCUCGUUGUUCAUCAAGGUUCUAUCACUGAUGUUUUCUCGUUCAGCAAGUAUCUUUGACAGAAGAUUCAAAGAAAUAGUCUCAAUUUAGACUAUCAUUUCUCAAAUGUUUUCAACCCUUAGGUUUGGUCAGUUCUAAAUAAUAGUCCUGUUUCAGGUCCUCGUAUUAUUUAGAAACUUUCAGAGUAAUAUGCAGAACUCCUUCUGCAUGAGUAUUGUCAGUCCAUUAAUUGUUAUUUCAAUGAAAAAUGCUUGAAAAAGAUUAUCAAAAUGGACAAAAUGAAAUUUUGUUGAGAGCAAAGCUCUAAACAAACAAAUCAAUCAAGAUAGCAUAUUUUGCUGAGAUACAAGAUGAAUAAGAUGAAAAGGAUUAUCACAAUGGAUAAGAUGGAAAUUUGUUAAGAGCAAAGCUCUAAAUGAACAAAUUAAUCAAGAUAGCAAAUUUGUCAGAAUACAAAAUGAGAUUACGUUAAUCAAGGUGGUGUAUUUUGUUAAAAAUACAAAAAAUAAAAGAAAUAGAAAUAGGUGCCCCAGAUAUCAUAGCAUGAGCUUCUCUGCCCCAAACAUUUUAAAUACCCUUUUGAACUUGAUAUGUGCCUAGAAGACCUAGAAGACUUUGUUGAUGCCCCAAGAUGUAGCAUCUCUCCUUCUUAUUAAUUCAGAAAGGGCAAGACUACCGCAUGCCCCACCUUCGAUCAAAAUUUGAACUGCCCAUUCCUGGGUUUUCAAUUCAAAACCCCUUUGGUCUCAAGGCGCCCUUUGAGGGUUUUCACCUUGGCCUCUCCUUUUUCUUUUUCUUUUUCAUUUUGUUUUUUUUCGUUUUGUUUCUUUUUCAAGUGAAGUGUUUAUUGCUUGAAUCAGAAUUCUCAAGAUUAGGCAGGAUCUUGCCAUCCACCCUGGUCAAUAUCGACGCUUUUUCAGAUAAGGUCUUCCACAUGAGGUCCUUUCCAGUUUGACAUACACUUUCCUAUGAAGUCCUUUUGCAUGGGAAGAAUCUUCCUCGAUAUUAGGUCCCCUCAUGGAAUUCUCUAGGGCGAACCUUUUUUUGGUGAGCUCGCAUCAUUUGCUUUUGGUACAUUUGACCAUGACAGAUAGCUUUUAAUUAUAUCGGACCUGGAUCCAUUCUACUUCAUCCAACUUCAACUCUGACAAGGCUUCGAAGGGAAGAAAUAUCACCUUCGAUGGGUAAGACUGCCUCUAUUCCAUAUACCAAUGGGAAAUGAGGUGCCCCGUUAGAGGUCUUUUCUUUUAUUUUAUUUUUUUUUGCUUCUUUUUUUUACUUUUUUUGCUUUUUUUUGCCUCCACUGACCUAUUCAUUUUGAGGCGACAUGAUGUUAAUCUUGAAUAGACUGCAAACUUCUGAUGUUGUGCCUUUGUUCAAAUUUAAUCCAUUGUCUGAUAUGAGCCUUUUGGUAUUCCGUACCGACAUAUGAUUUCCUUUUCAAGAAUUUAUUGUCUAUCCAUUUUGACACCGGCAUAUGAAGCAGCUUUCACCCAUUUAGCAAAGUAAUCGAUGACCACAAAGAUGACUCGAUGACCACCAGAAGCUUUCGGCGCAAUUAAUUCGAUGACAUCCAUGCCCCUCAUAGAGCAAGGUCAUGGAAGAGUCAUAACAUGAAGAGAUGAAGAAAGCACUUAAGUCUUGACUCCACCAAUUUGACACUUGGUAUAACUGAUGCAAUCCCCUUCCAUGGUGGACCAGCAGUAACCAUAUCUCAUGAUUUUCUUGGCCAUUACAAAACACCUCUUUUUUUUUAGCCUCAACAGCGUCUACGCGUCUUAGUAGCUCAGUCAUAUGUUGAUGCGAAAACAUGACGUCUCGCUUUGUCUCUGCGGUGAUACAGGAUCUGAUCUUCAGCUCUUUCUCUUCUUUUAAGCUCACAAUUUUCAUUAAUUCUUUGUAAAGUAAGAUCGGUUUCUCGACUUGUUCUACCAUCCUUAACAAUCAAGAGAUAAGCUACAGUCUCGAUCAUCUUCGAAGUUUUGAGGUUCCUCUAGACACAUAUCUUGCUCAAAAGAAAGUUCUGAAUUAAUAGCAGUGUCGCUCAUAUCGUUGAUAUCUGGAGACCUAUUCUAGAGACGACGGAAAACUCAAAAAGCUAAUGAAUCAAAGGGUAAUUAUCUGUAUGGUAUAAGUAUGAAUAAAAAUGGAAGGAACAAAAGAGUGUUUGCCAAGACAAAACACAAAGAUACAUUUUAUUGAAAUAAAAAAUAGUGGACAUGUGCCUUUUUCACAAAAGAAUUUUCUAUUGCACCCAGGCUUAGAGCAAUAAGAGUGUUCUGAAUAUUACUCUAAACUGGUCCUAAAAACACAAGAAUCUCCUCCACAGUCCAGUUGUUUAGAACGCCUCUAGGGAUGUAGAAACAAAUUAAUGAUAGGUUUUUCUUAGUUCCUCUUCAAAGGCACAAACAUCUUCACCUUUUGAACCAUCGAUAUAUUCAAAGAAUUCUAAUCCAUCUGGUUCUGUACUAGAGUUCUAAACUCGAUGUACUUUUGGAUUUUAAGAAAUUUAUUAUAUGCAAUGAAACGUAAUGUUGAUGCAUGAAUGCGUAUUUUUGGAUUUUAGGAAAUUUAUUGUAUGUAAUGAAAUGUAAUGUUAAUGAAUGAAAAGAUACGUGCGAUGAAAUGUAAUGCAGAUGCAUGAAUGCAAAAAGAGACGUUGAUUCUUGGUUCAAUUCUAUUAGAACAACUUUACUAGGAAACAAAUCUCUUUACAUAAAGCGGAUAUAUAUACGGCUUUGCCGUCAUAGACGGGGACAUUCGAUCCUCUUCUCCAUUUGAGCGUUAAGAUAAAUCUCACGAUCUCUUCAAAAGAACGUCUCUUCUAUCUCCCUUUUGCUUGGUCCGGGUCACGACUCGUUAAUCACUCAUCCUCGUGACGCUCGUUGGCUUCUCUUUUAAGAAAGUUCAGCAGCUCUCAAAUAAUCUUUGUCACAUUGAAUCCUCGGGCAACGAAGCAAUAGUUGUGUAUUCCUCCAUUAAACUAUCAUCCUUCUCUUAUCACGUUUCCUUGGACCAUAUUCAGACAACCGUAUUAUUAUCCACUUUAUCAAGAAACCCAUCUCCUUAUGACAAGCUCUCUAUUUAACAACCGAACGUGAAUCAACACCUCUUUUUAUGAUGAAAAUGCAACGCAAUCAUAACAAAAAAAGAAAAUAGGUUAGUACAAAGCAAAAGCAAACAACAAUAGAACACCUAUUACGGUGAAUACUAGGGAAUCGAAGUUGUUCUACCUAGGGUGGGCUCCUAAGGUUCACUACAUGAGGUUUGGUUCUAAAGCAAAGGUACCCGAACCAGCAGAUUCCUCGAUCCUCACCCAUUAUAGGCUCAUACGGACCGAGUUCAGUUCAGGGGAAUACAUUUCCCUAUAGCUUCACGGAGAUGAAAAUCUCACGAAAACAUAGGUACGGAUGUAUCCUGAAAGCGAUCCACUAUCCUGCACGGAGGUGAAGACCUCACGAAGGAAAUAGCUUCUCACUCCCACUUAAAAGGGUGUGACCAAUGGUCAUGCAAUGCAAUGCAGAGAUAUAAAAAUAAAAUACAAAAUAUGAUGAAAAAUAUGACUCAAAACAAAAGAGAUGCAACGAGAGUAUCGUAAAUUUAAAUCAAAUUUUUAACUUUCGACAAAAAGACGAGAAAUAAUCAACACGUGGCUUGACUCUCUUAUUUUGUCCCCAGUGGAGUAGCCAAGCUGUUGACACCAUUUUUUUGAUGAAAACGGGGUCGACUUGGAUUUUGAAAAUGAAAACAAAAACGAGAGUCGCCACCAAUCCUUUUUUGAUGAGGUGUGACCGGGUCACCUCGAAAAGUGGUUAUUUUUAAUAAACGAUUUAAUUUUUAUUAAAACAACGAUUUUGGUCUACGAAAUUCAGAAAAACGGGUUCGAGAGUCGGUUACACACGAGGAAGGAUUAGCACCCUCGAUACGCCCAAAAUUGGUACCUAGUUGAUUACUUAAUGUCUUGGUGUCGAAAAUUGAGAACUUUAAAGAAUUUAAAAAUACGAUCCUUCUUUAUGCGUGUUAUUUUAAAAUUACUCGGAUAAAUCAAAAUGGAAAAAUGCCUUCUUAUCUCGAAGUAACAAGAUGUCACAUCCAGUAAGUUAGGACACAACACAUUGUAUUUUCGAGAGUAAGCUUGCCUUUAUUUUUUGUUUGAACCUCAUUUAUUUCAAUUUUAAAAGGAUAUUCGGUUAUUUAAGUUCAAUACGAGAAAAAUCGAAACCCAGUAAGUUAGGGCACGACUUCUCGAAUUUCUAAAUACAGAAUAUUGCCUUUAUUAAUUUUUAAAAAUCCUCGUCUCGAGAAAACAACGUGUCAUAUUCAAUGCGUUAGGACACAACGUAUUGAAUUCCCGAUAAUGAGCUUUUUAUUUAUGUUUUCUUUAUUAAAGAGGAUUCUCGAUUAUUUAGAUUCAACGAAAAAAAUUAAAACCCAGCACGUUAGGGCCUAAUUCCCUCGAAGAUCCCAAGUAUCGAGUAUUGCCUUUAUUUCUAAAAAUUUUAUGUUUUAGAAAUUUAAAAGGAUAUUUUGCUAUUUAGGUUUAACGAGAAAAUCGAUGCCCAGUAAGUUAAGGUACAAUUUCUCGAAUUUCUAAACGUAAAAUAUUGCCUUGUUUAAAAAAUUUCUUUUUGAUGUAUGGUGCUAAAAUGCAUGGCGAAACAAUAAUGAAUAUGAUAGCAUAAAAACAACACGAGUAAUAGCAACAAAAAGAAGAUUAUUAAAUAUAAAUAAUAAUGAAAAUGAAGAUAAAUAAAUAACGAAUAGAUUGUAAAAAAUGUAUAUACAUGAAUGUACACAAAAUUAUAAAAAUAUGAAAAAUCUAUGUAUAUAUACAUAUUUUAAAAUUAUUAAGUAUAAAAAAUGUAUAAGGAUAUAUAUAUAUAUAUGUAUAUGUAUAUGUUGUAGAAAUGUACGCAUGUAUAUAUACGUAUGCUUUGAAAUUAUAAAAUAUAAAAAAAACAUUUAUGUGUAUGUAUAUGUAUGAGUUAUAAAAUAUACAUGCAUGUCUAUACAUGUAUUAUAAAAACGUAUGUAUAUAAGUGUACACAUAUAUGUAUAUAUAAAGUAUAUAAAUAAUAUAUAUGUAUAUAUAUAAAUAAAUUUAAAAAAUAUGUACGUAUGUAUGUGUUUAUAACAAAAUGUAUGUAUGUACAUAUAUACAACAAAAUUUGGAAUUAAAAUGACAUAAAUAAGUAAAUAAUAAUAAUAAUAAUAAUAACGUAAUAUAAUAGUAAUAAUAAUAUUAAAAUAAUUAAUUUAAUGAUAAAAUAACUGAAAUAAUAAAUAAAGGAUUAAAUGGAAAACUAAACUAAAAUUUGGGGUUUAAAUUCGCAAAUAAGUAAAAGAGGCGAUUCGGGGCUGAAAUGGAAUGCGCCUAAAGGCUGGAGGACUGAUCAGGAAAUAUGCCCCAGUCCCAGAGUGCAGCGUUUCAAUGCAAAUGACCGCAGAUGGUCAAGGGACCUGAUUGAAGCAAAAACAAAAUUCGCAGCCCAAAUCUAAAAGAAACAAAAAGUUAUAUUGCACCUCAGCGCAAGAUGGAGGGACUAAAUGCAUAAAUUACCCAUUAGGGCAAAGCAUGCACAAGAUCCCCCCAUCAAACGGCGCCAUUAAUGGUUAAUAAAACCCAAAAUGUUUUUUUUUAUUUCACUUUUCAGAUUUGCUAAAACAAAAACAGAAAUAGCCUCUCCUUUUUUUUUCAAACCCCUUUCUUUCAAACACCCAACCCUUGGGUUUCUUAACACCUGGAGCGCCACCGCCAUAGCCACAAAGGCCGACGGCCGAAGAUGAAGGAGAGACCCCCGGUGGUACGGUCACGACCAACUCCGGUGAGUUUCUCUUCCCCUUAUUUUCGCUUUUGAUUUUAGUUAUUUAAAAUAGAUUUGCAAAAGAAAGGAAAAAAAGAAUAAAACAAACAAAUAAAUAAAAGAAAAAAAGAAAAAACGAAGAGGAAAUAACAAGGAUUUAACCCUUUAAAAUUUCUAUUCAGCUUUGGAUUUCUGAUGUGGGUUUUUUACAAAGAAAAUCGGAGAGGAAGCCAUACAAUGAUAAGUUUUGGCCUUUAUAGCCAAUUUCAAACUCUUAAAUCUAUUGUUUUUGUCGUUUUGUAUUUGUGGUUUUCUGUUGUUGCGUGUUGCUCGUUUUGCAGGUGUCAGACGCGUGGAGGAGCGGGAACGGCGCACAUGGUGGUGGCAGGCUGCGGCAGAGGCUAGGGGCAGGCAUGCGGCGCAUAGGGUUUUUGCCCUUCUUUGUGUUUGGCUGAAAUUGUUUUAGACUUUGGGCCAUUUGGGCUUUAGGGUUUUGGUUUAUUUUUGGGUUUAAAUUUUGGGUCAGAUUUUGGGUUUGUGAAUGGACUGUUAAUUUUGGAUUUAUUAUUUGAGUUAUUUUAUUGGUAUGGGCCCGGGCAAAAAUGGCUCUUACAUAACGGAUCUAAUAUUUUGAGGUAUCCAGAUAACGAAGAAUAGUUUAAGUAUCACCAUUAAAAAAAAUUAGGUACUAACAUGAAAAAAUAACAUAAUUUAAUUACUCAUUUACAAGUUAAGUCUUAUUUUUCUAUGAAGUAAUAAAUAUUAAUUUGAGAAUGUUUUUAUAUUUUUAUUAAAAAGAUAAUAUAAUGAUAUUUAAACAUAAAAUACAAUACUUUUCAUAGCUUUUUCUUGAAUGAAAUAAUAUUCAUGACUUCAACUUUAUUUGGAACAAAAAAAAAUGUAAAUAAAUAAUAUUUACGAUGUCACAUGAAUGAAGUGUAUAAAAUGAAUGAUUAAUUUAUUUCACAACAACUAACUCUUUAUAGAUGCAUGAGCAUGACUCUAAUUUAUUCUUACAGUGUUAUGAAAUUUUUAACUGAAAAAUUAAAUUUAAAAUGAAAAAUAUAAAAUAAUAAAUAGAUAUAAAAUUUCAUCUAAAUCUUAUCCUGGGUCUUUACAAUUUCUUAUGAGUUCCAUUUUUUGGAACCUAAAUUAUGGCAUAAUGUAUAAAUUUUUUAUCAUUAUAAAUUGUGUUAAAUUUUGUUGAGUGUAGACAGUUUAAUAUUCAAAUGAUUAUAUUUGGUAUACUGAAUUUAAGUAGUAAGUAAUUCAAAUUAUUGAUAUUUUUAUUAUACUAAUAUGCCUAUAUUUUUCUAAUAUAUUUUUCUAAUUUCAUAGUUAAAGGAUAGGAUGUGUCAUUAAUUUUUUUAACCCAAAGUAUUACAGUAAGAAGUUCAAAGAUUACAACUAGAAGAGACUGCAUAUCUGUAACAGCAAAAAGGAAAAUAAAGAUGUUAUUAUACCUGUUAAGUUGUUACCACUAAGAUUGAUGUAGAUGAGACAAGUAAGAUUUUCAAUAACAGAUGGAAUUUCACCUGAAACAUAUAAUUAAAAUUGUCAAAAUUUCACCUUUGUUAAUUUUUUUGUGGAGCACUGUAGGUUUUAUUUAAUUUAUCUUUUCGUUUUUUUUUUAAAGCAGGGCAUGGCAUUAGAGUUAUCCGAGAAGUUGUUUGCAAUGGAGAAAUGCAUAAGAGAAGAGAAGUUGAUGGGUCAUGACUUCAAAAAUGAAAGUUGAUCGAGGGUUGUAUUUUAUGAGGCUGUGAGAAAUGUGUAAAGAAGUGAAAGAAGAAAUGGAAGUGGAAAGUGUUAUCAAUGCGGGUAGAUAUAUGUCUGAAACAUAUAAUAUGAACUGUUUCUCUGUAAUAAAAAAGCUACAACUCAUGUGCGCUGUUUCUUUCCUAUUCAAUAAUAUCGACUAUGGCUGAGCAACAACUAAUUCAACACAUAAUUAGUAGGUAGAAGAAACAGCUAGUUAGAAGUCUUGCCUGAUUCAAUAUUCUGUUUUCAAAAGGUAGCAAAUUAAAAUUCUAAUCUUAAAUUAAUUUAAUGUAAAAUUGAACUCUUUUCUUGAAUAAAUUUAUUUAAUAAAAUCGAAUAUAAAAAAAAGCAAAUAAUUGUUUAUGGUUACAAAUUUUUGUUUAAUUCGGGUGUCUUGAUCAUUUAGUAUGAAUUGAUAUUAUGAAGUCUAAUUAUGAGAAUAUUUGAUAAUUGUGUGCUUAACAUGAUUACGGAUUGACACGUUAGCUUGAGGGAGACGGUUAUGGGAUUGAGAUUUUACUAAUGUCUAUUUAUUUAAUUGAAUUGAGGAUUGUAGUGUUUGAACUAACUUGAAUGGUAGUGGUAUGCUCAGAUUGAUAAAUGCUUGAAAUGCGUGAGGGAAAACAUUAACUAAGUGGGGAGAAUUUAAUAACACAUAAUUAGCAUAUUUUUAUUAUUUAUUUUAAUUAAUUUUGGAUAUGAAUUUUACUUACGUGACACUUAACCGAUUAAUUUCUGAGUGCAAUUAUUUUUUAAUGCUUCAAAGAAGAAAUAUGCAGAUUGUUUAACAAGUGAUCUCGAAUUGAUGUACAAAACGAAAAUUUUAGUAGCUUUAUCUCUUUUUAUUUUUGGGUUUAUUAGUUAUUAUAUAUACUUAUAUAUGUGUGAAAGGGGCGCACGACACCCUUUCUUUUUAGGUUUAUUUAUUAUAUAUAAGUUAGAUAGCGAGGAGGAGUGAGCCACCUUCUUUAGUUAUUAGGUUUUAUUUAUUAUUAUUAUUAUAUACAUACACACAAACAUCUAUACACUUAGGCGCGAGGCACAGAACUCAAAACGAUAGUUUUUAUUUUAUUUUUAUUUUAAAAAUAAUUCUCUUUUCGAUUAUUUAUUCGUUUUUACACAUUAUUUCUUGUAGUAUAUUAUAUUUAUUCCCAAUAAAUUUAUUUAUGGUUGUAUUGAUAUACUUGGUCCAAUUUAUCCUCAAUAAAUUAGUAUUAGAGCUCCAUCUCGAUUGCUUUUGUGAUAUUUGCAAAGUGGUUGUGUUCAUGUUUUUUUUUUUACUUUCCUUGUCACUUAAAAUGUUGAUAUGACUGCAAGUGUAUCAUUAACUAAAUACAAAGGCAAGAAAUUCACCAAGAAAAGUAGUUUCAACCUAUGGCAUGACAAGAUGCGAACAAUAUUGGUUUAACAAGGAUUGCUUGAGGCGUUGCUAGUAGAGACAAAUUACGAAACGCGCUUUCAAAAGAGAAAAAGGACGAGAUACUAGAGAAAGUACAUAGUGCUAUUCUACUAUGUCUAAGCGAUGAAGUAUUAUGAGAGGUAGUUGAAGAAACUACCACAUCUAGUUUGUGGCUCUGGUUGGAAAGCAAGUACAUGACAAAGUCAUUGACAAACCGACUCUACCUCAAGCAACAACUCUACACUUUGAAGAUGGAGAAAGGUACACCUAUUUCACAGCACCUUAACACUUUCAACUAUAUUAUUAUGGAUCUCAAGAAUAACGAUAUUAAAAUUGAUGACGAGGUACGAUCAUUGAUUGUUAUGUGUUCUUUAUCUCGCUCAUACGAGAACUUUGUUGACACUAUGUUGUACAAUCAUUGUGAUAUUUCUCUCAAGGAUGUGAAAAUGAUUUAGGUUCUAGUGACUUGAGGAAAAAAAACUCGUUGAUAAGGUAGGUGAAAACAAUCAAGAUGAGGGUUUGGUUGCUCACGGGAGAUCCAAGACAAGAGGAGGACAUUCAAGCAAAACUCAUCCCGAAUCACAGUCCAAGAAAAGUAUAUAGUGUUAUUAUUGUAAGAAUUUUAGGAACAUAAAGAAAGAUUGUCCAAAGAAGAAGGAUAAAGCAAAACCACAUGAGCAAUAAAAUGAUAGUGCACAUGUGGUUGAUGCAGAAACUUCAAAUGAUGUGGAGUUUGUUUUGGCAGUAUCCGACUCUUGCACUAGUGAAAGUGGAUUCUUAAUAUUAUUAAAUCUAGUGCCCUACGUGUAGCAUAUUCAUUUUGUAUACUUGUAUUUUUCAAACAAAUUGGUUUAAUAAUAUUCAUUAAUUGUAUUAAUGCCCUCUGUAUAUUGUCCUCAAAUUUUUUACAUACAAAGCAAAAUGGAAGCAAAUAUUAGUUCACUGAUUAUCUAAUAUUUAACUAAUACUGAAUGGUAUUACAUGGUCGAAUUGUAAUACGAAAAGACAACUUGUAUUAGUAGAUGAACCAAAACAUGCCCUUAGUCAAAUCGAAAAUGAGCAAACCAAUUAAGUCCAAUUGGGAAGAUGCUUUGUCUUAAGGAUUGGAGCGGAUGACUAUUAAAAGAUAGAGACAUAGAUGUGACUAAUUGAAUUGAUAGUGUGGCAUACCUUAUUCCUAAGUGGAUGAUGGACUAUGUAUGGGUGACUCAUAUACUUUAAUGUAAGUAAAAGCCUGAGUUCAAAUAGCUAAGGAACUGAAAGUUGAUGCAUUGGGUAUAUGACUUCUGCAGUAUGUAACGUCAUUUAAAGUAGUGGAAUUCAUAACCCAACUAAUGAGUAAAUGAUAGCCUUUCAUCAACAUUACAUGAUAAAUGUAAAAUAAAUAUGGUCACGGGUCAUUUUUCUUUGUGAUAAACAACUUGAUUAUUAUUUGAUAGUAAUGGAUUUUUCAUGAUGGAAUAUGUAAUGGUUACCAUGAGAUAAAAAAGAAUCAUAUUGGGAGAAUGAAUUUAUCCAAAAAGAUUAAGGACAUCCUAUGGGGUAACACAUUUACAACAAGGUCAUUAAACGAGUAAUGAUUGAGUAGCUUUCGUAAUAGUAUGUAACUAGAGAGAACUCAAUCAGGACACUAUAAUGGAAUGACUUUGUGACUAAAUAAGUUUACAAUUAAUAGGUAAAAAUUUUAAACUUAAUUAUAAAUUAUUUGAGCCCCAAUUACAUAUGUCCAAUUAGUCAUUCCACUAGCUCGUUGAAACUAGAAAUGAAUUGCAUGUAGAAUCAAAUGAACAGAAAUAGAUGGAAUGAUAAAAUUAGAGAAAUGUAUUACAUUCAUAAAUGAAUGUGUUUUCUCACUAAAUAUAGAGAUGAGUUGAGGAUUAAUUUAAGGUUUUUGAAUUAUUAUUUAUUUAAUUAAAUAAUUGGAGUUCAAAAAUAAAAUUAAUUUAAUUAGUUAUUGAGAAUCCAUUAAAUAUGAAAAUUAAAUAUAAUUUCUCAUAAUUUUUUUACGAUAAAUUGUUAUGACUUAAACAAAAUUAGAAUUGGGUUGACAAAACAUGCACUAUUGUUGCUUCUAAGGGGAGUAAAUUCCAUUUGAUUUGCUUAAGAUUUGACUUUCCAUUUUGAUUCAAGCACUAAGAUAGGUAAGGAGUUUCAUAUGUUUGAACUCACUUGUUAAUUCUAUUAUGAUUUGAAGAAACUAUGAAACCUAAAGAGCAUGUGACACUUUAUGUUGCCAUACCCACGAACACAACUAUUAUGAAUUUUUUACCAAAAAAGGGGAGACAGAGGAAGUUGUUGUUCAAGGGGAGGUUUUUGUUGUCUUAUGCUAUGGGUUUCGCUCAUGCUUUAAAACUUGAAGCUCUUUUAGCCUGCUAUUCAUGUUCCCUUUCGUUUAAGAUAUGGAGAGUGAUAUUUUUUAUUUGUAAGAGCUUUCCAGAAAAUACCAAAGAGGAAGAUUGUUAGUACACAAUCAAUUUUGGUACAAGUUCUGCCUACGUAACAAACCAUAACACAUUUGUGGAGCACUUUUAUUGUUGGUAGUUUUUGACUUUGUAUUUAUUGUUAUCCUUAUAUUUAUCGUAUAAGUAGCAAAAAUGUGGGAUAUCUAUUUGAUGCAACACACUUAGAAGAUUCCAAGUUAGAAGAACUUUAUUUCAAGUAUGAUUCUUGAAGAGUUCUUAUUCUUAUCUCGAUAGUCCUGAGCAUGAUAUGUAAGAUUGAAGGUAAUUUAUUAAAAAAGCUUGGAGAUAAACUUCAAGAUAAACCUUUUAAAAUUAAUUGGAUUUUAUCCCAUUUUACAAUGAGGAUAUUUUUAGCAUGAUGAAGGGAAGUUUCACAACCUAACCUAUAUGUAAAAGAUUUAGUUUUUUGAAAGGUAGUACUAAGAAAGAGCUUAUAUGUUCAUAGUAAGAAACUUAAUGAGUGCAUUUUAUUGUUUAUUCAAAUUAAAGUGAUUAGUUAACAAUCUUUAAUAAGAGAGGUUGUUUGGGGAGAGUUAAAACUAAAUGUAUAAAAGUAAGCCAUAAUUAUUUAAGGAUUAGGGUAGAUUAGACUUAAAUCAUUACUUGUACCGUGAGUUUAGUAGCAGAUUUGUUCUCUAGGUAAGUGCCUCGCAGUAGUAGGUGUUGCACCAAAUUGUAUUACCAGUUUGCUUGUGUUCAUUCUAGCAUUUUCUUCUUUAUUCAUUUUGUUGUGCCAAAGUUUAUGACCACAUUGUAUACCACAACGUGCUAAGAGUAUCAUUAUGUAAAUCUCUCCUAUUUUUAUAUGCCAAAAGAUUUAUAUCAAAAAAUUAAAAGAUCAUAAAGCUAAUUAAUAAUAUAACAUAGUUCUGUUAUAACUGAAAGGAUUGCAUAAACGUACUAAAAUAGAUAAGAAAUAUGAUAUUAUAUUUGUUAAGUUAUUAUAAAAAGGAUUGAUUUUAAUAAGGGAGUCGGAUAUUUAUUAGCGGGUGGAAUUUCACUUAAUAUAUAUAGUUAAAUCUAUUAAUAUUUAUUAAUAUCUUUUCUUGAAAACCCCUUCUUCUUCUUUUUUGUUGUUGAGCACUACAGACAUUUGCUCUCUUUUUUUCUUUUUUAAAUUUGUACAAUUUCAUUCAGUUUUAUAGCUAAGGGCGGUGGUAAGAGGCAAGCAAGGACCUUGCCUUCUAAAGGAACGUCCUUGUUUAUUUAGCCUAAAAUUUUAGGUAUAAUGAUUUAUAUGGCACUUUAAUUAAAAAAAUAUUUUAGCCUUUUAUUUAAUUUUUAGUUUUUUUUAAUCUUUAAACUUGUGUUGUUUGUCAAACCAAAAAAUGCAUAGAAAAGUUAAACGGUAGUUAACUUUGUUGACGUGGCAUACCUAUGUAUUGCCAUGUUAGCAAUUAAUUUUUUAAAAUUCAAAAAAUUAUUAAAAUUAUUAAAAUUAUUUUAAAAAGUAUAAAUUUAAAAAAAUUCAAAUUAGUGGUAAUAUAGGAUGUGGAGAAGUUUUGAUAAAAUAGCCAAAUGCGUGCACUUUUGACAAUAACUUAGAGGUAACCUAUGUUUGAAUUCUUCCAAAAAGUUGAAGAAAUUAUUAGAUAGGCCGUCGUACCACAUAGAAUAUGGUCCCUUCCCAUGAAAUCAUGGUACUUAAGUUUUUUUUAUUUUUUAUUUUACAUGUCAACCCUUCUCCUUUCUACACUUACCUUUCUAAAAAUCCUCUAACUUCUUUUUGUGUACGCGGAGGUGGCAGUUAUUGUAUGACCUUUAUCUUGUCUAGAUCCACCUCAAUACCUCUCUCGCUGACAAUGAAACUUAGCAAUUUUGCCGAGGUAGCCCCAAAUGUACACUUCUCUGGGUUAAGCUUCAACUGAAACUUUCUUGAUCUUUCGAACAGCUUCCUGAGGUUCCCAACAUGCUCUUCUUCUCCCCGGGACUUGGCAAUCAUAUCACCAUGGCUCUCUGAUAUGUUGCCCCAGCAUUCUUCAAUCCAAAUGGCAUCACUUUGUAGCAGACCGUUCCCCACAUUGUCACGAAUGUGGUUUUCUCCAUGUCUUUGGGAGCCAUCUUUAUCUAAUUAUAACCCGAGAAACUAUCCAUGAAUGAAAUUAAAGAAUAUUUUACCGUGUUAUCCACCAACGUAUCGAUGUGUGGUAAAGGAAAAUUAUUCCUAGGGCUUACUUGAUUUAGAUCAUGAUAAUCCACGCAUAUUCGUACUUUGCCGUCUUUCUUCAGUACCGGGACUAUGUUAGCCACCCAUUUCAGAUAUUUAGAGACCUGUAAGAAGCCCACAUCAUAUUGUUUCUUAACUUCUUCUUUUAUCUUUAAUAGCAUUUCAAGUCUCAUCCUUCUUAACUUCUGCUGAAUGGGUUUGCAUUCUGGUUUCAAUGGGAGCCUAUGGACCACCACAUCCUCAUUCAACCCUGGCAUGUCUAGAUACGACUAGGUAAAUACAUCUUUGUACUCACGGAACAAUGCGAUCAAAUUCUGUUUGAUGUUCUCUAAAAUGAAAGUCUCAAUCUUCACUUCUUGUUUUUUUUCUUCACUUCCCAAGUUCACUGUUUCAACAGAUUCUUGAUGGGGUAAAAUUUGUUUCUUUUCUUGUUCAACCAUUCUCAGUAAGUCAGGAGGCGGGACUCAAUCUUCAGCACUUUCUUCGACUUCGAAUUCUCCUAAACAAGCAGCCUUCUCGAAAUCGAUUUCAGGACUUGUAACGGGAUUGUUCAUGCCGUAUAUAUCUGAGCACCUGAAAGGUGAAUGAGAAAGAAAACUAUAGAGGAGCAUCAAAGUAUUGGAAUCAACACACACAAUGUUAUGGAAUGAUAUGAUAUAUGUGUAGGAAAAAGCUAUGAGAAGCAGGAAUAAUUACGACACUAAUGGAAAUGAAAAAAUCAUGACAAAAUGCAUCUUCAUUAAUGUUCAUUGAAAUGAUAAGAGCAAACAUAAGCUCUUACAAAAGAAAUCUCAUUACUUAGAGACAUACAAAAUAAUUAAGAAUUAACAUUGAGCAUUACUCUAGAGAGGACUUAGAAACUACAAUGAGGUCCACAGUAGUCCAGUUGUUCAAAAUAUAUCCUGAAGGACAAUGGUGUAUCAUCUCGAUUGCAUCACCCUCGUUGUCAACAACAUUUACGCUGAUGUUCCAAAAUCCCUUUUCAUUCAAAGCGCUUUGCAGAUUGUCUUGCCCCUCGCCUUCAUUUGUGACCGCAUUCACAUUCCCAUCAGCAUGGUUAGGAAGAGAAUUAUUAACACCAGUAAAUCGCAGAAUGCCAGCAUCGAUGAGAUCUUGAACCCUCCUUUUAAAGGCAAGGCAGUUUUCUGUAGAAUGCCCCUGAUUUCCAGCGUGAUCCAUGCAACUAGCAUUAGGAUCAUACCAUUUUGGAUAUGGGGGCUUUAGGGGUGCCAUGUAAUGCGGGGAUAUUAAUUGCUUCUCCAAUAGUUUUAGGUAUAAGUCUCCGUAUAACACGAGAAUUUGGGUGAACUGAGGCUUUUCAGAACUGGGUUUUGCUGGUCUUUGGUCAUUUUUAUGUUGGCUUUGUGUGGGCAUGGUGUUUGGUGGAAACAUGGUGAACCGUCUUUGAUUAUUCAUGGCAUAUACAGGAUAAGGAGAAGGUGUUGGAUUGUAGGGACCUUGGGGAGGAAAAUAGAAGUUUAAAGGCGGGCAAUAACGAGGUCGUGGUUGGGAUAGGUAAGGGUUGGAAGUAUGGUGGCUUGCAUUUUCGACCAUAUGGGUUUUUGCCUCCUUUUUCCUCGUGGGUACUGCCCUUUUUGAACUCAGGGUCUUCUAUCCUCCCACUCUUAAUGGCGUCCUCUAUAAGCUCCCCAGAUAUUACAAUGUCUGCAAAGUCCUUUGUGGCACUUCCUACCAACUUAUCAUAAAACGGUGCCUUCAGAGUGUUGAUGAAGAGGACUGUUAUUUCCAUUUUAGUCAACGGGGGUUCCACUUGAGCUGAAAUAUCCCUCCAUCUUUGCACAUAUUGUUUGAAGGUCUCCGUUGGCUUCUUUUCCAUCAUCUGUAGCGUUAGUCGAUUGGGGUACCAUAUCUGAUACAUGCUUGUAUUGCUUACAAAAUACUGAUGCUAAGUCCUUCCAUGAUCGGAUCUUUUCUCUACUGAGUUGAUUGUACCAUCGAAGAGUCGAUCCAAUUAAACUAUCCUGGAAAUAGUGUAUCAGUAAUUUAUCCUCAUUCACGUAACCAGUUAUCUUCUGACAAAACAUGACAAGAUGCACCUUUGGACAUCUCGUCCCAUCAUACUUUUCAAAUUCUGGUGCCUUAAAUUUAGGGGGUAAAACCAAAUCGGGCACCAAACUGAGCUCUUUGGCACUCAAUGUAGAAAAGACUUCAGUACCUUCUAUUGCUUUGAGCCUUUCUUCUAGGAUCUUGUACCUAUCUUGAGCGUCAUAAUCAUCAAUUUUCAACUUUGUUAUUUCCACCGGAUCGUCCAGAUCUGGGAUAAUUGGAUCGACAGGAUUAACUCCGAGGUUCGAUACGAAUAUACCUUGCCCUAGAUGAGCAGGUGGUAUAGGAUGUUGUUCUAGGACAGUAGGUUCCCCUUGAGAAUAUCCUCUUUGCAUUGCAUAAACGUGAGGUGGAGUGAAUCCUGGGGGAUAGAGUAGAUCUUGAUCAUUAUUAGCUCUUGACUGAGGCUCUAUGAUGUCAGGGCUUUGCAUGGGUCCCUUUCCUUUAACCAAAGCUGUCAUCACCUCUAUCAUUUUGGCCAUUUAAUAUCUUUGCUCGAGUGAUUUCUCUCGAGAUCUCACCAUCAUUUCUCUCGCAUCUUGUUGUGACUUGGCCAAUUGCUCUUGUAACUCUCUUUGGAACCUUUCCAUCAUUUCGAUUCUUUCAUUGAGUUUAGUAUCCAUAGCUCUGGUUCUUAGACAUGUCCUGUAAGGAUGACGUGAUUCCAGACUUGUGUCGCAACUGUCGAUUAUACUGUUUUAGCCUCAGUGAAUGAUUAAGGUGAUAUGCACAUGCAAUGAAUGGAUGAAUGAAAGAAUGACAAAUGAAUAUUAUUCAUGCAUAAAUAUGCACAAAAAAUUGGUGUUAAUUUCAAGAUAGCCCUAUAAUUAGGCGUUUCGUUAAUCAAAAUAGUCUAUUAUAAAGUAUUUUUCCAAUGAAGAUGCCCCUAGUGCUAGAGUCUCACUGUUUCCAGAUCCUAGUCAAAUCUUCAGGGUUAUUCUGACGAGCAUCUGAAGUUGCCUUCCCGGAAAGAUCAGAUAUAUAUCUUUCCUUUAAACUGUCCCUUUUGCUUUCUAGGCCCUCAAAGACCAGUCUCUGACUACGGGAUUUUUCCUUGGUUACUUGCGUAAUUGACUCCUCCAUCAGAAACUCGUUUUUGGCAACCAAUCUCUAAUCAACACCUUCCUAAUGAGAUGCCUAUGAUGCAUGAUGAAAAAUAAAAUUAAGACACAUAAACUUAGCUAGCAAUCACGACAAAUAUAAACAAAGAAAAACUAUGGAAAAUCUAACAAACCGACCUAUUUUUUUUACUUCUUCAUGCUUUACAAUAUAAAAUUACCCCACAUGCUCAUCAAUUUACCCGACCCAAUUUAUUAAACGGACCCGAUUCCAUUGCAAAUAAAUGUAAAUGUAAAAGAAAUACAAGGUAAGAAGCGUUUCUCCCAUGUACUUAUUUUGGUGACUAUUCAACGGAUAGAGGUUCGGCAUGGCUCUAAUUGGGUGGCUCGUACGGUUCACUAUAUGUGGCUUCGAUUCUAGAAAGGUACUCGAAUUGUCCAUACUGUCACCUACUAAGGUUAGUACGGAGCCUCGGUUAUCACCCGUCAUGGGCUUGCGAGCUCAAUUCGAGGGAUUACAUUUACUUAUGCCUAUGCAGAGGGACAAGUUAACUCAUGAAAGCAUAAGCCAUAUGUAACCCGAAAGUAAUUACUAGCCUGUGCGGAGGGACGAGUUAACUCACGAAGGCGUAGCAUUUACUUCCACUUAAAUGGAUGGAGCCCGGGUAGAGAGCUCAUGUUAUGCAAGAAUGCAAGUACACGGUGUGUGGGGAGAAACUCACAAACCUUUUAUUUUUUAUUUUUACUAAAAAACAAACUAAAAAAACGUAAAACUUAUAGCUGAAAAAUAAAAAUAAAACAAGUUAGAAAAAUAUUAAUUUAAAAACCGAAUGCAGAUGCAUGACCUUUUUUUAAAAAAAAAUUCAAGGAUCACAAUUAAAAAUUAAUUUGAACAAGAAAUUUUGAAAAUUUUGACAACACGCGUUUAACAUCAGACUCGACUCUAAAAAAAAAGGUCUCCAGCGGAGUCGUCAGCUGUAGCGACCUAAAAAAUUUGGGCACGGGCGCUAGCCGAAGUAAUUAUUGCAAAUUUGAAAACAGAAUCUCGAUUUUAUUUGAAAAAAGGAGUCGCCACCGAUCUUUUUUCUAGGUGUGAUCGGACACCUAAUAAAUUCUCUUUUUUAAAAGAAAAAUUAUUUUUCAAAUUUUCUAAAAAAAAGAGUCAAUUUUAGGUCCAUGUCAAAAUUUAGAGAAAAUUAGGGUUUGGGAGUCGGUUACGCGCGAUGAAGGUAUUAGCACCCUCGCAAUGCCCAAAAUUGGUAUCUCGUUAAACGCGCGUUGUCUUAAUUUUCAAAAAUACGAGUUAAAUUUAAAAUUUAAUCGUUAUCCAAUUGAAAGAUGAAAUUUUUUUAUAAAAAAACACGAGAAAUUUGAAGCACAAUAAUAAUUUUUGAAAACACGGAAAAUUUUAAAAUAUGAGAAUUUUUGAAAACAAGGAAAUUUAUGAAACAUGAGAAUUUUUUUUUUGAAAACACAAAAAUUGUUGAAAACACGGAAAUUUAUGAAACACGAGAAUUUUUUUUUUGAAAACACGAAAAUUUUUCAAAAACGGGAAUUUUUUGAAAACAUGAUAACAUGAGAAUUUUUUGAAAACACGAAAACACGAAAGUUUUUGAAACACGAAAUUUUUUAUUUUUUCUUAAGGACGUAUCGUAUUUAACUCGAAUCGGUGAUAUUCACUCAACAAUGCAAUGCAAUCAACGAAUUAGUGUCAAAUCGAUUCGUUACCUUAUUUAUUAAAUUUUAAAAAAAAAUUAGAAAACAUAAAUACAAAAAAUAAAAAAAAAAUUUGGAACACGAGAACUUUUAAGUUUCUCAAUUUUUAGAAGGGCGUCUUGUAUUUAACACAAACCGAUAAUAUUCACCCAACAUAGCGAUGAAAUCAACGGUUUAGUGUUAAAUUGAUUCGUUGCCUUAUUUAUUGAAAUUAUUUAAAAUAAAAUAAAAUUAAAUUAAAUUAAAAAUAUAAAUACAAAAAUAUAAAUUUGCAUAAAAGUGCCAAUAAUAUUAAAAUGGAAUAGCAUAAAAAUAAGGACAUUAAAUUGAAAGUGAAGUAAACAAAAUUACCGAAAAUGUUCAAGAAUACGAACUUGGUCGAACGGGUUACGCAAAUUGAACCCUUUUUCUUUUUUUUCUUCUUUUUUCCCUUUCUUUUUUCUAUUGGGCUGGCCUGUUGGGAUGCUGUUGGACUGGGCCUGGGGCUGGACUGGGCUGCUAGUCGCUGUUGGGCCUGGCUACUGGGCUGGCCUGCUUGAACUGCUGCUGGGCCUACACUUGGGCUGUUGUGGCCUGCUUUUUUUUUUCCUUUGCUGUUUUUUUUUGGGUUUUCUUUGGGCUGCUGGGUCGGGUGCGGGUGCGGGUCGGUUUGACCUGACUCAUUUAAUUAUUUUUUAUUUUUUUCUCUUUUUUCUUUUUCUUUUCUUCUUUUUUUCCUUUUUUCUUUCUUUCUUUCUUCUUUCUUUCCUUCCUUCUUCUUCUUCUUCUUCCUUCUUCUUCUUCUUCAAAACCAAGCCUCCACACCGCCGCUUCCUUCACGCCGCCGUUCGUGCUACCGCCGCCGUCUCCACCGGUCCUCUCUCUUUCCUUUCGAAAAAGCCCCCUUUUUGUGGGUUUUUUCCUUUGAAAUUUUUUUGUGGUUGGGGGUUUGAUUUUGGGGAUUUAAACCCCUUUUUAUACUUGAUUUUUUGCUUCUUUUUGCAGGUAGCAAGUGGGGAGGGAGAGGGGGCUAUGCCCUAGGUCGGCCGCCCCCGUUACAGGUGCAACUUGCACUGGUGGCUGCCAGAAGGACCAAAAUGUACUGGAAGCAAAACUUUUGGGGCUUAAAUGUAAUUUUGAGACAAUUUUGGGGUCAAAAUAUAAUUGCAAAAAAUUUUUGGGGUCUAAAUGUAAUUUGAAAAAGGUAAGGGUUUAAAAUAUAAUUUUAAAAAAGUUUAAGGAUUAAAAUGUAAUUUUAAAAAAGUUCAGGGGUCAAAAUGAAUUUUUUUAUAAAACACGAAAUUAAUCCCGGACAAAAUUAGUGAUUACAUAUAAUCUAUAAACAAGAAAAUCAUCCAAUAAAAAAUAUAGAAGUACAUAUCUAUAAUUUCACAAAAAGAGAACUACAUUAAUCAACCUCACAAAUCUGAUUGAGGUUAAAAAGAAAGAAUGCAUGUAUUGUGCAAUUAAAACCAUGAUCCAUAUUCAAUUCUAAAGUAUUGAACAUAUAAUUUUGCAUUAUUUUACCUCCCUUGAUUCUUCACACACUCUUUUGGAAUAAAUUAACCAUCUAUUCCUUAUUUCAAUUUUAUUAAAAAGUUAGGUUCCCAUAAAGACAGUCUUUACAAACCAGUGCCGGAGAGAGGACCUAAGAAAACAUUAUACAAACUACAUAACAUACAAUCAAGCACCCACACAAAAUGUUUAUUAAACAGCUACACAAAAAGGCCUGCAUACCACCAAGCAAUGAAGUUUUCUGUUCUGUUUGCGACUUGUUGAACUUGCCCAAGUGUUGCCUUCUCUACCUUUUUGCAAAUCUUUGUCGGACUCGCUCCACGAUCCUAAUCAACCACCAUGGUUUUCCAGUUGUGAAUACAAUGUAUGCCAUGCUCAUUCCCAGCACCAACCCACAUCCAUACCCCACCAAUAUUGAAAAUUUCCAAUUCAAUUCAUCACCAUCAUCAUCUCUAUCAAAUUUGACUGGAGUUUCCUCAUCAGUACCACAGUUUUUUGAUAAUGGCAAACCACAUAAAUCUGAAUUUCCCAUGUAGGAAUCGUUAGUGAAAGUAUCAAAUUGUUUGCCUUGAGGAAUGGGUCCCUUGAGAUUAUUUUGAGAAAGGUUUAACACCUCUAAGAAUCCAAGAUUUUUUAACUCUGUUGGAAUUCUUCCUUCCAGCUUAUUUGAUGAGAGAUCUAAUGAUUCAAGCUCUGACAAAUUACCUAAAGAUGAUGGGAUAGGACCUAUUAAACAGUUAUGGGAGAGGUUUAGGACAACAAGUAAAUGAAGCUCACCAAGUAUUUUUGGAAUUUCUCCCCUGAAUUGAUUACUAGAAAGGUCAAUAACCGUCCAAAUGGAUAAUAGUGAUUCAAACUUUAUUUCCAGCCCUUUUGCUGUAACAGAUAAACCAGAAGCAUAAUCCACCCAAAAUACACCAAAUGCAUCUUUCGUGGGCUUUACUUCUCUCAUGUAAUUUGGUUCAACUUUCUUUCCAUACUCAUCUCUAAUGGCAUGCAUAUGCUCAAAAAAAGGAGUAGGUAAGUAGCCACUAAAAUUAUUGUGAGAAAGAUCAAUGAUUCGCAAUUUAGUUAAAGAAACUGUAAUAUCAAAGCUCUCUAUUUGGCCGUAAAAUCUAUUCGACCUCAAGAUAAGAACUUGCAGCUGAUCUAAAUUUCCUAACCAACUUGGGAAAGUGUCAUUCAAAUUGUUGUUUCCAACAUCGAGAAGAUUUAAACCUUUGCAAUUACGCAAAGAUCGUGGUAGUGACCCUUCUAAUUCAUUGUUGUUAAUGCCUAAACUUCUCAACAUGCAACCUUUAGCAAAAUUUUCUGGUAUUUGACCAUGAAAAUUAUUAUUCCCUAGAUCAACUGCUAUGAGAGAAGAACUCAAGUUUCCCAUGCACUUUGGAAUUGUUCCCUCCAAAUUAUUCUCAUCUAAAGCCAUAACCACAAGGGAAGUCCAAUUGCAUAUUGAAGAAGGGAUUUCUCCAAUUAAGUUAUUACAUGAAACUGCAUACCAUUGCAAUAAAGGUGGUGGUGUUGGAAUUCGACCUUAGAGAUAAAAUUGAAAAUGAGAUAGAAUUAGGAGUUUGAAGAUUCUUUGGAAUAUAAAUUAUAAAAUAACUAUAUUUGUGAUGUGUACACUGAAUACAAAUAAUUGAUUAAUUUACUACACUACUUCUAACCAUUUUAAGAUGCAUCACAACAACUUUUAAGUUGAAAUCUAUUGAAGGAAACUACUACUAUCCUCUAGAGAGAAAUUUUUAUUUCCCUUACUUAAAAGUAAAAAGGGAUUGCAUAAAUGUAUAAAAAAUAGAAGGAAAAAAAUAUCAAACUAUACUUAAUAGUUUAUUAUAAAAGAGAUAACCAUUUAAUAUCUUACUUAUAUUUCAUUUUUUAGUGUUUAUUAUUAUUAUUUUUUGUACUUUUAUGUAUAUUUUAAAAUUUAUUAUUGGGGUUCACGGUUGUUAUUAUCAAGAAUAUCAGCUUUAAGACUUAAAUCUUGUUCUCCCCUUAAGAGAGUAAUAUGUUUUACCACUGCGCCGAAUAUUUAUUGGUGUAGUAUUUAUUAUAACUACAAAUAAUUUUAAUUAUCUUUUUAUGAAACUCUAAGUUAGAGGUCAAAUAAAAAAACAAAUUAAUUGAUAUAGUGUUUAAAUUUUUAUCAUUACAUGUAAAGUUUUAAUUAUUAGUUAUAAUUUUUUUUCCUCACAAUUGAAAUUUAAAAACGACAUUUUAUGAAAUUUAAAGAUAACAUAAUUAAUAGAAAAUUGACAUUUUCUUUAGAGUCGGAAUCUAAGUAGUAGCAAUAUCUGUAACUGGUACUUCAAAUAUACAUUUUAUGUUUAUAAUUUUUAUAAGAUUGGGAAUUAAUUGAGAUUGUAGCCUCAAAAUUGGUGUUAUAAUUGAAACCUAUUAUGAAAUUCACUAUUACUGACUCGAAACUUGAGUAGGUUUAAGUUAUUGACCCACAAUCCAAGUAAACUCAAAGGAAUUUGGGUCGGGCCCCAUGAAGAGGACAUAUUAGAGGUCGCACAUCCAAUUCGUACAAAUUUGAGUAUUUUUUAUGAGAAUACUAAUCAAAUAGAAACUUGGGAAAAGAAUAGUGGCCUUUUUAUUCAUGUUUGGCAAAUUAAUAUACUUUGUUUCUCUCAUAAUAUAAAAUAUGUCCUGUGCAUAAAUUAAUUAAACAAAUAAAUAAUAAGGCAAAUCAAAAAGGUAAAACUACAUCUAAAUUAUAAUUCAGAAUAUAAAUUAAUUAAUGAUUAUAAAUUGUAGACAAAUAUUUUGGUUGGGUUAGCAAAGCUGAAAAAGUUGAGAAUAAUAAUUUUUUAAAUUUAUAAAUUUAAUGUGAAAAAUUAAAUCCUAAUUGUUUAAAUAUCUAUAUGUAAUUGAUGAAUAAGAAUUGCAAAGAAUGGCGUAAAAGAAAAAUAAAAUGAAAGAAUUUAAAAUAUAAUUUUUAAGUUUAUAUCACGUGUCGUAUUAUAAUUGAAACCUAUUAUGGAAUUCACUAUUACUGACUUGAAGCUUGAGUAGGUUCAAGUUAUUGACCCACAACCCAAGUAGACUUAAAGGAAUUUGGGUCGGGCCCCACAAAGUGGGCAUACUGGAGUUCGCACAUCCAAUUCGUAGGUAUGCUAGAGCUCGUGGGCCUAGCUUACAAGGCAAGCUUGCACAUUGGGUUCACAUGUCUCUAUAUGAUUGCAAGGAGAGGUGCGAAGUCAAGCACGUGGUCCAUGAACAUGUGUUAAGUCUAGAACAAGAUACGUGUUAACAUACAUGAAGCUUGUCUAAGACGUCAUUUCAGUGAGUGUGGUCAAACUUUCGAUUGACCAUAGUAGACACAAAGAGAAAAUACUCAACAAUUUGGUGCAGUGAGUGUGGUCAAACUAUCGAUUGACAGAUUUUCAGCUUGUAACAAUCAAUAUAGCUCACCUAAAUGAAAAUUUCCCCAUCAAUGUUUUGUCAGGAUAAGUUGCUAGUAUUAUAUUGUUGCUAGUAUUAUACAAAACAAAAAGUCACAAAAGUGAGAGAAAACCCAGUCAUCAGCACACCAAAACUCGUUAAGUCAAUCAUAGUUGCUAGAAUUAUAUUGUAUCUUCUUAGAUCAAGAGAUAAGGUAGGUGAGAAAGGGAGAUAAAAGACGGUGAGCUUGGAUGGGACAUUAAGUGGGAAGAGAGGAAAAAAUGUCAUGUGUCUAAUUAUUUCUAGUGUUUGGACCGUUUUGAGUCAUAUCUAUCUUUGAACUCAUACCGUCCUAAGCCUUAGAACAUUACAAGCUUAGAAGACCAAUGUGUUUCCUAUUCAAUAAUAUCAACUAUGGCUUAGCAACAACUAAAUCAAGACCUAAACAAUAAGGCAAAUCUAAAAGGUAGAAGGAAUAGCUAAUUAAAAGUAGUGUGUGUUCAGAAGCUAGAUGGUGAACUUAGGAUGUGGAGUUCCAAUAAAUACCUAAACUUUUGGCAAUUCAAAUAGUUUCUUUAUAAAAAUUUGUAAAUUUGUAAAUUUUUGCCAUAAGGUAGAUGUUUGAAUUUAAAUAUUUGAGUCUUAUUUGUAUUAAGAAAUACAUUAUUUGAAAGAGCUUAAUAAUUUUAAGCGAUCUAAUAAUGAAAAUAUUAUAUUAAACUUUAGUAGAGUUUAAUUAUAUAUUAUAAGAAUAGUCUUCGGUGUAUUUAUCCAUUUAAUUUAAUUUUUUUAUUUUGGUCCCUUGGAACGGUGCGUUUAGGGGGUAUGGGGAUAAUUUCCUAGUUGGUCCCUGUCCAUUUUCACGCAUUUAAUUUUAGUCCUUUAUUCUAUUUUAUUGUUUAAUUUAUUUAUUUUAUUACGAUUUAUACUUUUAAUUUCACUUAAAUUUCGAUUCAGUCCCUUAUUUAUUUAAUUUCAGCCUUUCAUGAAUUUUAUUUAUUUAUUACUUCUUUAUUUUCAUAUACUUAAAAAUUGGAUUGUUUACAUUCUUUUAUUUGUGCAUUUUUUUUUGCUCAUUUAUUUUAUUUACGUAAAAAGAUUGCAUAAAUUUAAUAACAAAAAGGAGAAUAAAAGAAAUGAAAUUAUACCUGUCAAUUUGUUACUCUGAAGAGAAAGCAUUUGAAGAGAAGUCAUGUUUCCAAUAACAAGAGGAAUUUCACCUGAAACAUAUAAUUAAAUCAGCAAAAAUUAUAAAUAUUUUCCUAGCAAAACCUUAAUUUAUUUGUUGAGCAUAUUAGUGUCCAUUUGAUUUAUUUAUUUUUAAAUACGCAAGUUUUGUUUAGUUUUAUAGUACUUAUGACAACCCAAAAAUAUUUUAAUUACAAUACUCAAAUUGAUAGUUGAAAUGAUGAUGAAAAUUAGAUGGAAUAAAAUAGUUCACGCUUAAUAUUUUUGUUCAAAUUUAGGAUACAUUAGAGGUGAUUAUGGGUCGGGUUUGGGCUGGCUGACUGAGACAAAAUUUUAGGCCCGUUUUCCCGAGCCCGAAAUAUGGGCCUAAAAAUUUGUCCAAGCCCAGCCCAAAAGAAAAUUGCUAAGUUGAGCCCGACCCUGCCCUGCCCAUAUUAAAUUUUACAACACCAAAAUAGCAUCAAAAACUUGCAAUAUAUAUAUAUAUAUUAUUAAAAAUAAAAAAAUAUAUUUAAUAUAUAAUUCGGGCCAGGCUUGGGCCAAAAAAGUUUUACUCGAAGCCCGCCCCGUUUUCUAAAAUUUCCAAUUUCUGUAGGUAUACUUCCCUCCAAGGAGUUGCUCGACAAUGAUAAAAACUUCAAAUCUUUGCACUUGAAUAAACUAUUUGGAAUUCUACCGGAAAUUUGAUUCCCACCCAAGCCCAACCUUUCUAGUUUUGACAAAUUGCCUAGAGUAGAUGGGAUAACACCAAUGAAGUUGUUAAGGUACAAAGACAAUCUUUGAAGUUUACUGAAGCAACCAAACCAUGAUGGGAUUUCUCCAUUGAAGCUAUUGUUACCAAAGUCCAAAUACCAAAUUGGUUAACUCAAUGGGUAAAAAGCCAUGGAAACUAUUUUGAUGAAUGUCGAGCCAAGCAAGGAAAGAUAGAUUUCCCAAUUGAGAAGAAAUGGUGCCUGUGCGAUCCAUGCUUGAUAAAUUCAGAGCAGUGACUCUAUGGUGUCUAGAUCCACAUGUGACACUAAUCCAGCUACAAACGGAGGUAGAAGUAGACCAAUUGGUUGCCAAGAAAUUGUGAGGAUCAUGAGUUAUAUGAGAUUUGAUUGCUAGAAGAGCAGAUUGAUAAACGGUGAUGCUAGAAUAUUUUGCAGACAAAAUAACCCCAAAGGUUGCAAAUAGCAGCCCAAACAAUACAUUAAUUACAUAUUUAUUUUUACAUAUCUCAUUUUAUUUACUGUCACUAGACAUUUUAUAUAUAUAUAUAUAUAUAUAUAUAAAUUAUUAAAUAUUAAAUUUCAUAUAUAUAAAAAAAUCCACAUAUUACUUAUUUUAUUAAUACAUAAUAAAUCGUUUAGAUGAUUUCAAGUUAAAAAAAACAAACAUAUAUUUUAGAUUUUAUGUGGAUUCUUUUAAGUUCAGUAUUCAAAUUAUUCAGAUUUCCAUCAUCAAAGUCGAAUAGUUUGUAAUUCAAAUUAUUGCUCUCUUUUUACUUGUACCAAUAUUUCCUAUAAUUUUCUUAUGUUAAAAUAGUUAAAGUAUUAAAUAUAUAAUUAAUUGGAGAGAAGUCAAAAGCUAAUUAAUAAUAUAUAGGGAUUGCAUAAAUGUAACAACAAAAAGAAAAAAAAAUCAAAGCUACUUCAUGGUUGUAUUUUGUGAGGCUGUGGAAGUUGAAAGAGUAAUAAUUUUAAGCUGUCUAAUGAAAAUAUUAAACUAAAACUUUAGUAGAGUUUAAUUAUAUAUUAUAUUUUAAUUUUUUAAUAAAAUUGCAUAUUUUAAAUCAAAAAAUAUUUUAAUCAAAUCAUCUGUAUUAGUUUUGAAGUUCAGGCUUAUAUAUAUAGAAUAUAUAUUGAUUGAGUGUAUAACUUCAACUUUAUUUGGAAGAAAAAUUGGAAAUAAAUAAUAUUUGCUAUACACAUGAAUGUGUAUAAAAUGAAUGAUUAGUAGAGUUUAAUUAUAUAUAUAUAUAUAUUAUAUUUUAAUAUUUAAUAAAAUUACAUCUUUUAAUUCAAAAAGAUAUUUUAAUCAAUCAAUUUUAUUAUUUUUCGAGUUUAGGCUUAUAUUUAUAAUAUAUAUGUCGAGUUAGAAAUACUACAAAAGGUUGACAUUUUUUAAAAGUAUGAUAAUUUGAAUAGAAGUAACAUAUGCUAAUGUAGAGUAAUUGUUCCAUAUAAUCCUUUUUAUGAUGAAAUGAUUGCUUAGUUUACUUCAUAACUUCUUACACUUAGACAUAAUAAUGAGGAAAUUAUUUUAUUUUAUUUACUUAAAAAAUUGCAUAAAAUUAAUAAAAAAAAGAGAAUAAAAGAAACAUGAAAUUAUACCUGUCAAUUUGUUAUUGCUAAGAUGAAGAAAUUGGAGAGAAGUCAAGUUUCCAAUAACAAGAGGAAUUUCACCUGAAACGUAUAAUUAAAUCGGUCAAAAUUUGCAAAUAUUUUCCUACCGAACCCUUAAUUUAUUUGUUCAUAUUAACGUUUGUUUCAUUUACCUAUUUUUAAAUAUGCAAGUUUAGUUUAGUCUUAUAGUACUUAUGAUAACCCAAAAAUAUUUUAAUUAUAAUACUCAAAUUAACAAUAAAAUUAAAAAAUAUUUAUCUUUGUGCCAGAAAAAAAACACCGCAUAGAUCAUAAAAAGGAAAAACUAAAACAUCCAAAAGAAUAUGUCAAACACUAAACACAAAAUUCAUAGUUGUAGAGGAGGAUUAGAUACAUUGGUCCCAUAAUAUGUCACUCAAAAUCUCAAAUUCAUCCAACAAAAAGAAAUCAUCACUUUAGUUAAUUAAAUCAAGAACAAAUGAAGUUAUGGAUGAACAAAUAUGGGAAGCAAAGAAAUGUGAUGGAUCAAAAGGGACGGAUAAGCUAAUUUCUGCCAUAAGGUAGAUGGUGAACUUAGGAUGUGGAGUUCCAAUAAAUACCUAAAAAUACCUAAACUUUUGGCAAUUCAAAUAGAUUAUAAUAAUUUUUAAUUACUUAAAAAUAUUGCAUAAAUUUAAUAACAAAAAGGAGAAUAAAAGAAACAUGAAAUUACACCUGUCAAUUUGUUAUUGCUAAGAGAAAGGUAUUGGAGAGAAGUCAAGUUUCCAAUAACAAGAGGAAUUUUACCUGAAACAUAUAAUUAAAUCAGUAAAUAUAUAAUUAUUUUUAUUAAUUAUUUUAAGAGUUUAAUGUUGAGCAUAUUAGUGUCUGUUUCAUUUACCUAUUUUUAAAUAUGCAAAUUUAAUUUAGUCUUAUAAUAAUAUGAGUAAUAUUGGGCUCCAACCACAAUACACGGUAAAAAAUGAAAGCCAGAAAAAUGCAAGACUGCAUGUCUACACCAUAUUAUUUUUAUAAAUAAAAGAGUAAUCUCUCUCUAUAUAAAUAAAUGAGUUGGGUUGGAUUCCAUUUAAUUGAAAAUGAGUUGGAUUGGCUGAUUAUUUGAUUUUGGGUUAAAUGAAAAUCAACUUCAGCCUGGAUGUAGGUAUUGGGUUUAAUGUAACUUAUAUAAAGAGUUUAGUAUGUCGCUUUAUUUGACUUAUUUGGUUUGGACACUCAAAUUUGAAAUUGAUCAAUUAAACCAAUAGAAUUGAGUCUCAACUAAAUAAAGUGAAAACUCAACUAAAUAGAAUUGGAUUAAAGUGAUUCAAUUAAUCAAAUUUUCACAUACUUAUAACUAUCGUGAUUCAUUCAUAUUAUUAUUCUCAUACUAUAAUCAUGUUAUGUAAUAAAAUUGUGUAAUAAAGUACUUGAUUUUGUUUUCCUAACUUGAUGUAUUUGGAAAGAUCGAAGCUUUUUUCUAUUUUAGGGUGUCUCUUGGAGCACAGGUGAGAUUAUUAAGAUAUUAUAUAUUUUGGGCAAAAUAGUUUGUUUCUUUUCAUAAGGAAGACAUUUCUAGACAAAAAGAACAAAAGUUAGCAGUUGAGAUGUCAGAAAGUUGGAUCAAUCUUUGCACUGAUGGGGCGGUCCAAAUUGCCCUGGGUGAUUCUAAAGCGGGGGAAGUCAAAAGAAAUGGAAAAAGGGAGUGGAUUAUGGGAUACAACAAAAAUCUAGGCAAAUGCUCAGCCUUCAAUGCUGAACUAUGGGUAGUUCUUGAUGGAUUAGCUCUCAUUCACAAAGGGCGCUAUGAUGGUGUAUUGAUACAAACUGAUAGCUUGGAGGUGGUUAAAGCCAUUCAGGACUCCUCUCCCUCAAGCUUGAAUUCUACCCUCAUCAGACGUAUAAAUGUACGUUCAUGGGCCAUUCAACAUUUUCCUAGAGAACAUAAUAAAGUUGCCGAUUGCUUGGCCAAAAUGGCCUUUGAUACGAAUAUGUCACUUUAGUUAAUUAAAUCAAGAACAAAUAUAGUUAUGGAUGAACAAAUAUGGGAAGCAAAGAAAAAUGAUGGAUCAAAAGGGAAGAAUAAGCUAAUUUCUGCCAUAAGGUAGAUGGUGAACUUAGGAUGUGGAGUUCAAAUUAUUGAUAUUUUUCUUAUUCUUAUAUUUUUCUAAUUUUAAAGUAGUUAAAGGAUUAAAUGUGUAAUUAAUUGUUUUAAGCCAAAAGUAUUAUAGUAAUAUAAAAAGAAAAUAUGAGUAUAUAAAGAAAUACUCAAAUUUGUUUCUUAUACUCAAAAUGUUUACACAUAAGACACAAUAAUAUUUAUAACUUUUUGUAAUGAAAUAAUAUUCAAAACUUCAACUUUAUUUGGAAGAAAAAUUGGAAAUAAAUAAUAUUUGCUAUACACAUGAAUGAUUAGUAGAGUUUAAUUAUAUAUAUAUUUUUUAUAUUUUAAUAUUUAAUAAAAUUACAUCUUUUAAUUCAAAAAGAUAUUUUAAUCAACCGUUUUUAUUAGUUUUCGAGUUCAGGCUUAUAUAUAUAAUAUAUAUGUCGAGCUAGAAAUAGUACAAAAAGUUGACAUUUUUUGAAAGUAUGAUAAUUUGAAUAGAAGUAACAUAUACUAAUGUGGAGCAAUUGUUCCAUAUAAUCCUUUUUAUGAUGAAAUGAUUGCUUAAUUUACUUCAUAACUUCUUACAUUUAGACAUAAUAAUCAGGUUUUAAUCUUUUAAGAACUUUUAUUUUAUUUACUUAAAAAUUGCAUAAAUUUAAUAAAAAAAAGAGAAUAAAAGAAACAUGAAAUUAUACCUGUCAAUUUGUUAUAGCUAAGAUAAAGUGAUUGGAGAGAUGUCAAGUUCCCAAUAACAAGAGGAAUUUCACCUAAAACAUAUAAUUAAAUCGGUCAAAAUUUGCAAAUAUUUUCCUACCAACCCCUUAAUUUAUUUGUUGAGCAUAUUAGUAUAUGUUUCAUUUACCUAUUUUUAAAUAUGCAAGUUUAGUCUUAUAAUACUUAUGAUAACCCAAAAAUAUUUUAAUUAUAAUACUCAAAUUAACAAUAAAAAAAAUAUUUAUCUUUGUGCCAAAAAAAACACCGCAUAGAUCAUAAAAAGGAAAAACUAAAACAUCCAAAAAAGCACUAAACACAAAAUUCAUAGUUGUAGAGGAGAAUUAGAUACAUUGGUCCCAUAAUAUGUCACUCAAAAUCUAAAAAUCAUCCAACAAAAAGAAAUCAUCACUUUAGUUAAUUAAAGCAAGAACAAAUAAAGUUAUGGAUGAACAAAUAUGGGAAGCAAAGAAAAAUGAUGGAUCAAAAGGGACGAAUAAGCUAAUUUCUGCCAUAAAGGUAGAUGGUGAACUUAGGAUAUGGAGUUCCAAUAAAUACCUAAACGUACCUAAACUUUUGGCAAUUCAAAUAGAUUAUACUAAUUUUUAAUUACUUAAAAAUAUUGCAUAAAUUUAAUAACAAAAAAGAGAAUAAAAGAAACAUGAAAUUAUACCUGUCAAUUUGUUAUUGUCAAGAUAAAGCACUAGAAGAGAAGUCAAGUUUCCAAUAAUAAGAGGAAUUUCACCUGAAACAUAUAAUUAAAUCAGUAAAUAUUUGUAAAUAUUUUCCUAGCAAACCCUUAAUUUAUUUGUUGAGCAUAUUAGUUUUUGUUUGAUUUACCUAUUUUUAAAUAUGGAAAUUUUGUUUAGUUUUAUAGUACCUAUUUUAAAAAUAUAUACCUGAUAAUAUAUAACAACUAAAAAGGGAUUGCAUAAAUGUAACAACAAAAAGAAAAAAAAUAAUAUUAUACUUGAUAAGUUGUUAUUAGAAAGUUCAAUAACUUCGAGAGUGGUCAAGUUUCCAACAGUUGAUGGGAUUUCACCUAAAAAUAUAAAUAAAUAGGUCAAAAUAUCUUGGUGCUAGAAUUAUGUUAUCUUUUUUUAAAUUUAUGUUUAAUGUAGAUAACUAACUUAGAAGUAACCGAGGAUAUAGAGAAAUUUUAAUAAAUACUCAAACACGUUGAACUUUUGACAAUUUGUAACUCAAAUUUGUUUCUUAUACUCAGUAUAGUAUAAGAAAAAAAAAGAAAACAAUAAUAUUAUACUUGAUAAGUUGUUAUUAGAAUGAUCAAUAGCUUUGAGGGUGGUCAAGUUUCCAAUUGUUAAUGAGAUUUCACCUAAAAAUAUAAGUAAGUUAGUCAAAGAAAAAAUAAAGCAUCUAAAAAUAUAUGUCUUAUACCAAGAUUCUUAUAUUUUUCUAAUUUCAAAGUAGUUAAAGGAUUAAAUGUGUAAUUAAUUGUUUUUAAGCCAAAAGUAUUAUAGUAAGAAGUUAAAAGAUUGUAAAUAAUUAGUAAUAUAUAGCACCUGGUGGAGGAGGGAAAAUACCAAAAUGAGCUUUAUAAAAUGCAGUUUUUCGGGACAUCAAUCAGUCUCUCAACUCCACAAGUUUUUGCGCAAAAAUAAAAACUAACAUUAUUUAAGCACAUGAAAUGCAAUGAAAACAAACAACAGUUCUCAAGAAACAAAGUAAAUGCAACCUCAAAAAAGUUUGGUUCUGCUAGCACUGAACUUAGUGGUUAUUGUUUAAAGUCCCGCUUCACUACUUAAAACAACUGUUGAUGGAAAUUGCCUAGAGUAGAUGGGAUAACACCGAUGAAGUUGUUAAGGUACAGAGACAACCUUUGAAGCUUACUGAAGCAACCAAACCACGAUGGGAUUUCUCCAUUGAAGCUAUUGUUACCAAAGUCCAAAUAUUUCAUCCGACGCAAAUUAGUUAACUCAACGGGUAAAGAGCCUUGAAAACUAUUUUGAUGAAUAUCGAGCCAAGCAAGGAAAGAUAGAUUUCCCAAUUGAGAAGAAAUGGUGCCUGUGAGAUCCAUGCUUGACAAAUUCAGAGCAGUGACUCUAUAGUGUUUAGAUCCACAUGUGACACCAAUCCAGCUACAAACGGAGGUAGAAGUAGAUCAAUUGGUUGUCAAGAAAUUGUGAGGAUCAUGAGUUAUAUGAGAUUUGAGUGCUAGAAGAGCAGAUUGAUCAACGGUGAUGCUAGAAUAUUUUGCAGACAAAAUAACCCCAAAGGUUGCAAAUAGCAGCCCAAACAUAAAUGGAGGGAGGAAGCUUGGUUUUGCCAUAAGGUUGGACAUGGGUGUAAGGCGCAUCAUAAGGAGAGAAACAACCGAGUUUAAUACUUUUUAAUGUUAGUUCAAUAUUCUUUAAAUACUUUUCUAAUUUGAAAAUUCGUCACAUGAAUUGAUGAGUCCCAGUUGGCAUUGUAGGCAUUUUUUUGAGCAUUCUAGGCAUUUUUUUUAGCACUAAACACAAAAAUAUUUGUAACUAUUUUCCUAGCAAACCCUUAAUUUAUUUGUUGAGCAUAUUAGUGUCGGUUUAAUUUACCUAUUUUUAAAUAUGCAAGUUUUGUUUAGUUUUAUAGUACUUAUGACAACCCAAAAUUAUUUUAGUUAUAAUACUCAAAUUUUUAGUUGAAAUGAUGAUGAAAAUUAGAUGGAAUAAAAUAGUUCACGCUUAUUAGUUUUGCUCAAAUAUAGGAUACAUCAUCGAAGCCGAACAAAUAUAUAUAUAUACUUAGAAACUUUUAUUAGUUAGAAGUGAUUAGCUAAUGUCAAACAACUCAUACUAUUGCAUACAAUAUGUUUCCCUAAACUGUAUGCUAUUUAUCUCUCGCCACAAAUUAUCAAAAACACAUGUGCAUUUUAAGCCAAACAUUUAUAAUAGUGAUAAGCGCCGUAUAGAUACAAUUUCUUGCUAAGGAAUCAGCAAACACACACAUAUCUGCACAUAUUGACACACACAUAUAUGCACAUAUAGACUACUAGGAACCCAAAAAUGUCGCUAGACCCCAGAUAUAGUCUAGGUGAAAAGGGACUGAGGAGUUGAACAGUAAAGAAACUAGUAAGAACUCACAUGAUAAUGAGCUUGUUGUAACCAGAAUACAAAGAUUGGGGCAUAGUCAAGUUUCCAAUUUCUAUAGGCAUAAUUCCCUCCAAAGAGUUGUUAUGCAAUGAUAAAUACAUCAACUCUUUACACUUGAAUAAGCUAUUUGAAAUUCUACUGAAAUUUAAUUAUGUGUCAAGCUUAAUAAUUGCAAUUUAGAAAUUUGAUUAUGUGUCAAGCUUAAGAAUUGCAAUUUAGAAAUGUUAUCAAACAUGUUGAUAGUAGAUGACCUAUAAUGAGAUGAUUAGUUUUAAAACUAAUUUUUUACUGAUGAAAAUAUAUUCAAGUUUUACACAUGUAAGGAACCUGAAUAAGAAUUAUUAUGAAAAUAUAAUCAAAUGAAGCUUGAAAAAUUCCUAGGUAUUAUAGGAAUCUGCCCUUCUAAAUCAUUGUUAUAUAAUAUCAACUGUUAAAUAUUUGAGUCGAAAUUUAUUAUUUGAAAGAGUUUAAUCAUUUUAAGCUGUCUAAUAUUGAAAAUAUUAAAUUAACUUUAGUAGAGUUUAAUUAUAUAUAUAUAUAUAUAUUAUAUUUUAAUAUUUAAUAAAAUUACAUUUUUUAAUUCAAAAAAAUAUUUUAAUCGAUCAUUUUUAUUAAUUUUCGAGUUCAAGCUUAUAUAUAUAAUAUAUAUGUUGAGCUAGAAAUACUACAAAAAGUUGACAUUUUUUAAAAGUAUGAUAAUUUGAAUAGAAGUAACAUAUGCUAAUGUGGAGUAAUUGUUUCAUAUAAUCCUUUUUAUGAUGAAAUGAUUGCUUAAUUUACUUCAUAACUUCUUACAUUUAGACAUAAUAAUGAGGUUUUAAUCUUUUAAGGUAACUUUUAUUUUAUUUACUUAAAAAAAUUGCAUAAAUUUAAUAACAAAAAGGAGAAUAAAAGAAACAUGAAAUUAUACCUGUCAAUUUGUUAUUGCCAAGAUAAAGCUCUCGAAGAGAAAUCAAGUGUCCAAUAACAAGAGGAAUUUCACCUGAAACAUAUAAUUAAAUCAGUCAAAAUUUGCAAAUAUUUUCCUAGCAACCCCUUAAUUUAUUUGUUGGCAUAUUAGUGUCUGUUUCAUUUACCUAUUUUUAAAUAUGCAAGUUUUGUUUAGUCUUAUAGUACUUAUGAUAACCCAAAAAUAUUUUAAUUAUAAUACUCAAAUUAACAAUAAAAAAAUAUUUAUCUUUGUGCUAGAAAAAAACACCGCAUAGAUCAUAAAAAGGAAAAACUAAAACAUCCAAAAAAACACUAAACACAAAAUUCAUAGUUGUAGAGGAGAAUUAGAUACAUUGGUCCCAUAAUAUGUCACUCAAAAUCUAAAAAUCAUCCAACAAAAAGAAAUCAUCACUUUAGUUAAUUAAAGCAAGAAAAAAUAAAGUUUUGGAUGAACAAAUAAAUUUAAAGUCUUUAAGUUUCGAAUUUAGAAUUUUAAUAUUUAUUUAUAAUUAAUCUGCUAAAAUCCUUUUGAGUGUCAUCAGCCCUCCUAUUAGCUUUUGUCUUAGUACCAAAACUUAAACAGCUUUGCUUUGAGUGUCUUAAAAUCAUAGGCAAGGAUAUUCCAGCAUGUCAUGAUUUUCACCAGACUCGAUGAGCAGAUAAAAACUGGGUCACCUGUCUGGUAAGUUGUUCCAAGUCAUUUAACUUGGGGGGGUCCCCUCUACUUAAAGAAUGCUCCUUCACGGGCUCCACUUUUCGACCCUCCAAAACCCAAUGUCCCUAUCCAUCUCAGUCCCCACUCAAAACUUUAAAUUUUAAUUCAUCCUGGAGGGAAACAACAAAAGGCAGAGAGGGCUGCCUAGCGCCCUUUCCUAGAUAUUAUUAUCGGUAACUUCAAUUCAAAUACUAAUUACCAAACCCUAUGUGUCCAAAACCAAACAUCAAACUCCAAAUUCCGUCCAACAAUCAAACACCAAACACGAAACUGCUCAAAAACAACCCCAAUAAACCUCAAAUUUCACUAACUCGUUGUGAGGCGGAAAGGAUAUAAAGCCAAGUGCGUAGUCCUCACGCCAUGAAGUAGUUUCCUUUGCUUACCACAUCAUUUCCCAAUUCACAAUUUUUUUGCUUUCCAACGCCAAAUGUUAACUCAUUGCACUUGAUUAAACUAUUUGGAAUUCUACCCGAAAUCUUAUCGCCUCUCAACUUUAAGACUUGCAGUUUAGAUAGGUUAUCAAAUAUUUCUAACUGUAGAUGACCUACAACGAUAAUAUUAUUACCUAGUUUUGACAUUUCUAGUUUUGAGAAAUUGCUUAGGGUAGAUAGGGAUAACACCAAUGAAGUUGUUACUAUACGUACAAAUACAAGCUUUUAAAUUUUAGAAAUUAUUGUUGCCAAAGUUGAAAUAUUCUAACUGAUGCAAACUAGUGUACUCAAUUAAUGGGUAAACAAACAUAGAAACUAUUGUUACAAAUGUUGAGUUUGGCAAGGAAAGAAGAUUUCCAGUUAAGAUGGUAUGGUGUUUGUGAAAUCCAUACCUAAUGCAUCAAGAGUUGUGAUGUUUGAAUUUAUAAGUAAAAGUAAUCUAUGAGAUUUUAAUGCUACAAGGUUGAUUUGAUUAACGGUGAAAUUAGGUAGGGGAUAAGGCUAUUCAGAGAGGAGGGAAAUAGUUGAGUGUAAAAUUCUACAUGAAUUCUUUUAAGUUCAAUAUUCAAAAUAUUCAGAUUUCCAUCAUCAAAGUUGAAUAGUUUGUAAUUCAAAUUACUGCUCUCUUUUUACUUGUACCAAUAUUUCCUAUAUUUUUCUUAUGUUAAAAUAGUCAAAGUAUUAAAUAUAUAAUUAAUUGGAGAGAAGUCAAAAGCUAAUUAAUAAUAUAUAGGGAUCGCAUAAAUGUAACAAAAAAAAAUGAUAUUAUACCUGAUAAGUUAUUAUAAGCAAGAUCAAUAACUUCGAGAGUAGUCAAGUUUUCAAUAGUUGAUGGGAUUUUACCUAAAAAUAUAAAGAAAUUGGUCAAAAUAUGUUAUCUUUGUGUGUACUUGUUUUUAAGCCAAAAGUAUUAUAGUAAGAAGUUAAAAGAUUGUAAAUAAUUAGUAAGAUAUAGCACCUGGUGGAGGAGGGAAAAUACCAAAAUGAGCUUUAUAAAAUGCAGUUUUUCGGGAAUAUAGAAAGUUGACAUCAAUGAGUCUCUCGACUCCACAAGUUUUUGCGGCAAAAUAAAAACUAACAAUAUUUAAGCACAUGAAAUGCAAUGAAAACAAACAACAGUUCUGAAGAAACAAAGUAAAUGCAACCUCAAAAAAGUUUGGUUCUGCUAGCACUGAACUUAGUGGUUAUUGUUUAAAGUCCCGCUUCACUACUUAAAACAACUGUUGAUGGAAAUUAGAUCAAAAUGAAUGAAACAAUAACCAGGAAUUGUUUACCUUUGAAAUGGUUGAGACCAAGACCCAACGUCUUGAGCAAAGUCAAAUUUCCAAUUUCUGUAGGUAUACUUCCCUCCAAGGAGUUGUUAAACAAUGAUAAAAACUUCAGCUCUUUGCACUUGAAUAAACUAUUUGGAAUUCUACCGGAAAUUUGAUUCCCACCCAAGCUCAACAUUUCUAGUUUUGACAAAUUGCCUAGAGUAGAUGGGAUAACACCAAUGAAGUUGUUAAGGUACAGAGACAAUCUUCGAAGUUUACUGAAGCAACCAAACCAUGGUGGGAUUUCUCCAUUGAAGCUAUUGUUACCUAAGUCCAAAUAAUUCAUCCGACGCAAAUUAGUUAACUCAAUGGGUAAAGAGCCUUGGAAACUAUUUUGAUGAAUAUCGAGCCAAGCAAGGAAAGAUAGAUUUCCCAAUUGAGAAGAAAUGGUGCCUGUGAGAUCCAUGCUUGACAAAUUCAGAGCAGUGACUCUAUAGUGUUUAGAUCCACAUGUGACACCAAUCCAGCUACAAACGGAGAUAGAAGUAGUCCAAUUGGUUGUCAAGAAAUUGUGAGGAUCAUGAAUUAUAUGAGAUUUGAGUGCUAGAAGAGCAGAUUGAUCAACGGUGAUGCUAGAAUAUUUUGCAGAUAAAAUAACCCCAAAGGUUGCAAAUAGCAGCCCAAACAUAAACGGAGGGAGGAAGCUUGGUUUUUCCAUAAGGUUGGAUAUGGGUGUAAGGCGCAUCAUAAGGAGAGAAACAACCGAGUUUAAUACUUUCCUAAUGUUAGUUCAAUACUUCGUAAGUUUAUAGUAAUUCCAACUGCGAGAUGAUCACAAAUUCCAAUUGGCAAUUGGAAAAUGAGAGACGAUGUUUAUGUUUUUUUUCAUUUUUAAAUAUAAUAAAGGCGAUUGACGGAAGGGAAAACUUUCUCCUUGGUUUAAAAGUCCAGAUAUCAAUUAGAAGACAUAAAAAACAAAGACAAGUAUUGGGGGCCAGCAGAUUGAAACUAUUUGAUUUAGUCUAAUUAUUACAACAUGUUUGAUUGAAACUAUUUUGUAAUCUCUGAUUAAAUAAAUAUUGAGAGGAAAAGACUUAAAUUUUCUUCUUUUCCUUGGCUAUAAAAUUGAAUUUCUAGUUUGGAUUACAUGCCUGUGGUUCUCAUCUCUAGUUAUGUAAGGCUGAGUCGCUGUUAGUUGGAUGGACCUACAUUGAAAACAUGAAUUGAAAAGAUAAGUAAUAGAAACUUUGUCAUAUUUAGACCAAUAUCAACCACAUCUUUGUUAACUUUUUACAUUUAUUAUCCCAAUAUUCAAAACCAAACAAUAAUACAUUCAUUGCAUGUUCCUUUUCUCAAAUAUCAUUUUAUUUAAUGUCAUUAGAGAUUACUCUAUUCUUUUUUCUUUGUGAUAAAAAUUAUUAAACAAAAAAUUAUUACAAAUGUUGUAGGAAUCUAUCCUUUGAGAUUGUUUGAUUCUAGUUUUUGACAAAUUGCUCAAAGUUGAUGGGAUAAAACAAGUGAGUUUGAUGGUGUUCGGAAACAAGCUUCGAUGUUUAGUGAGAUCAAAAUUUGUUGGCAAAUUAAAUUACUCAAUGGGUAAAUAUCCAUGGAAGUUAUUGUCCCAGAGUGGGGCUGGACUUGGAUGGUGUCUGCAAGACUCGUUUUUAUCAAAUUCAAAGCAGUGGCAGUAAUACCUAUAUUACAACUAGAAAUAAAAACAGAUCAGUUGGUUUGGUUGCCAAGAAGUUUCGAGGGUUAUGCUUGUUCCCUAUCAUCCCAAGUACUACUAAGUCAGUACCCCUCUAAAUGGGGAGAACUUUGUUGAUCUUUCACUGGUUUAAAAGUCCAAAUACCAAUUGUAAGGCAUCAAAACAACAAAGACAAGUAUUGGGGACCAGCUGAAGAGUGUGAGUGACAUGGUUUGAUUUAGAGUCUCAUGAUUGCAACAUGUUUGAUCGUGAUAUGAUUGUAAUGUCUAACAAAAUAUAUGCCUUUCUUUCUAUAAAAUCUAAAUUUCUAGUUUUGAAGACAUGCCUUUGGUUCUCACCUCUUACUUGUUCUGCACGGCUAAGUCGCAGUUGCUUCGAUGGGCCUAUGUUGGAAACAUGAAUUGAAAAGAAUGCCAACAAGUAAUAGAAACUUUGUAAUAUUCAGAUAGAUCAAAUUAAGCUUUGUGUGGACCAUUCUCAAAUAAUUACUUUGGCAAUCCUGAAUUUAACAAUCUAACCAUUGAAUUUAACAAUAUAAUUAUAGUUGCCUUGCAUUUAAAAUUUUGAAUUAAUCUAAUACCUCAAUCAUUUCAGUCCAAAACUUUGUUUAUUUCAUAUAUAUUAUAUAAAGCAAAGUUUGUAAGUGUUUUUGACUGUAACUAAGUAAGCAUGUUUCUUCUACCGCGAGUCAAAAGUUUGCAGCAAUUUUAGCCAUUUGUACACUAUAUAUCAUUAUAUUGUUGCCUUAAUUAAAGCAGAAUAAUAUAUAUUUCCAUAAGUUUUUAAAAAUAUCAUAAAUUUCCAUUGGAAAUUUUGUUCGUGUAUUCUAAAUUACAUAAUAAUCAGAAAUAUGAAAGAUUUCCAUAUAUUCUCGCCUUUUAGUAUAAGUAAUAAUAAAAAAUUUUAUUGAUUCACCUUUACUACGAAAAUAAAAAUAAAAAAUUACAAAAUUAGUACCGUAAAUCAAUUUUGGUUUAAAAUUUUAAACCUACAUAUUAAAGAUCUCCUAACAAUUUUACUUUAUAAGAGCACAGUUUAUGGAAUAAUUUUUAUAUCCAAUCAAAGGCUUUUCAUUCUUAUAAAUAUCGGAAAUUAUAAAGCUAAUCUUUAUGUAGAAAAUCUGAUAGGUAAGUAGCAUAGCAUCCAUCUAAUAGAUUAGGAAAUCUGUAGUCUAAUAAAUUAUAAUCUUCUUUGAUCUCGUUUGCAUAACAUCCAUCUAAUAUUGACAAAUCUUCUCUUUUAAUUUCAAAAUUGUAAUUAAAUAGUUUUAUCCGAUUAAAUAAUAAUAUAUGGCUAUGGUGAUGUCUAUAAUUUCAUAAAAUAAUUACUCUAAUCUAAUCCAUGUCUCUUCCUUUCUGAGUUUAUCAAGCAAUAAAUUCCCUUCGAUUUCACCUAACUUGUUAUAAUAAUGUUUUUUUUAAAAUUAGUUAAAGAAGAAAAUUUGUGAUGUUAUACUUAAAUUGAAUCUUUCGAUUUAAUAGGAAUUGAUUUUAAAUUAGAAAGAUCAAAAUUUAAGUAGAAUCACUUAGGGAUGCCAGUGGGGCAAGUUUUGCGGGUCCCGCCCUACUUCGUGCUCAAUUGACAGUGAGAUGGGGACAAAAAUUAAACCCAUUGUGAGUGGUGGGGUAGGCGUGGGUAUGACCUUGACCUACCUCAUCCCCACCUACCCCAUCCCAUCCCGCAUAAUAUAAUAAGCAUAUUUAAAAAAUAAAUAUUUAUAAAAAAAUUAAUUUAAUAAUUAUUUUAAUAGUAUUUAAUUUUUGCUCUUGUGUUGCAUUUGAAGAUAUUUAUGAUGUAUUUGAGAUAUUGUUUGUAUUUUGAUAUUAUGUAAUGACUUUAUUUUUUGAAUUUUUAAACUUGAAAUUAUAUCUUAUUUACCAAUUAAAGGUCGUAACGACUUACUUUUUUUUUUUUAAAUAGUGACAGUUAGAAUAAUGUCACAUAUGUGGUGGGAGUCUGGAGGAUAAAUAUUUUAUACUUUUGUCACAAAAAGUUGGUUUAUUUUAUUUAACUGAUACUUAUAAAUAUAUUAUAUGAAGUGGGUCAUAAGGCAAGUAUAGCAGGGAUUAGGUGGGUUUGAGACCCACGUGGGUGGUAGGGCGAGGAUGAAUUUGAGUUUUGUACCCGUAACGGGUCACAGGACGGAGAUGGGGAUGAAAAUUCUUGGUGGGGAUGGGGAUGAAAAUUGUGUAAGUCAAAGUCUGUGUACUGUUUGUUUGGAUGUGUUUUGUCUUGUGUUGAUCUGAUUUGUUUUGUUCCAGUGAUGUUAAGCCUUUGACAAGUAAUACGAGUAAUUUUGGGCUCCAACCACAAUACACAGUAAAGAAUGAAAGCCAGAAAAAUGCAAGACUGCAUGUCUACACCAUUACUUAUUUUUUUUCUUUGUGAUAAAAUUUAUUAACAACAAAUGCUAUGCUUGUUUUCUGGAUAAAGUAAUGUUUAUUUAAUAUAUCCACAACAAUAUCAGUCUGAUUUACUGAAAAUAUAUAUAUCCACAACAAUGAAUUAAUUUCCAGUUAUACGUCUCAUCCAAUAAUAAUAUUUUCACUAUUACCAAAUAUUGUCCUUAUGGUGCUUUGGAAUCAUCGUUUUUUUAAAGAUGAUUUGAUUUGGCGAAAGGGAGAGGGCCCGAUGUGCGUAUUUGGUUGCAUCUAUAUUGUUGUGCAAAAAUCUUGCUAGUUGGAGGAUCAACUUUCCUUUUAAUUUUAAUAAAAAUUAUAUAUGAACUUGUGAACUUGUAUUGAGUCGCUCUUGCAAGUCAAUGCAGCAACCAAGAACCAUAUUAUUAAUACCCAGCUAAGAUCGUGGACGUUUUCUACUCUAUAUCUUUCUCCUAAAUGCUUCAUUCCAGUGAAAAGUGCUGCAAUUCCUACGACAAUGGCACCUCUGCCGAUAAUUACAUGGAAAUACUCCCAAAUUAAUUAAUCUCUUUGUGGAAGCGUCCUCCCCAUUAGCAGGUUUCUCCGGUCUGAGAUAUGCAUUCAUUGGUUGCACAGAGGCAGAAACUAUGGCAACAAUACCAAGCUGAACAUGCAACGAGCUGACACAGAAACCCCGAAGUUCGGCAACUGCAAAAAGAACACCAAGUAUAAUAAUUGCUAAUCCUGAAUAUUGUAGGUAAAUAUGAAUUUGGUACCAUCCAUCACCCUUUACAUGUUUUAGGUAUCUAGCAGCCAAUAUUCCACCAGGAAUCAAAAUACCCCAGGAGAGGAACAGCAUAAACCCAUGUACAGCUUUGACAGGUUGUAAACCUUGCUCAGCCUCGGAAGAACCACGGAUAAGCAGCACUUGCACAGGCCUUUGACUCGUGACAGUAUGCAUGUUUUUCUCACUGAGAUGUUCAUCAGUCCACUUUGAACCCAUUGCCCAUAUGACUUUAAGAGGAGUUGUAGGAUGAACAAUGUUCUUACACUCUGGCUUAUCAUUUUGAUUGCAUGAUGGUUUUAAUGGACGUGUGAAUUCCAAAGUAAUGAUGCCAUCUUCUGACCUGCACCUGACGUGUGUCAGAUUCUCAUUUGUUGGAUGGAUGUUCAAGGGAUGCUUUCCAUCAAUGCAAUACGUAUUUAAAUGCCAUUUUCCAGUAUCACCAAUCCAGCCCACAUAUGCAUAGCUAUUCACCAUCCCAUUACCGAAACCUAUUGCAAGAUAGCCACUGUUAUUCACACCAAGGGCAGCAAUAGUUAUUGAAUCUUCUGAUAACGUCCAAAAGAAAGUAACUUGAUCAUCUAAAAGCACACUAGUGUUAUACAUAUCAGACAGGGCACCAUCAAAAUCUUGAACUUUCCAUCCCAUCUUCUCUUGGUACAAGGAUUUGCUACAACUCCUUCCGCUUCUGGCUCUCCAGAAUAAAUAGUCUCAGUUGCAUUCCUUAAUGUAGCAUUCCCACCUAGAGAAUCUGAAGUAAUAUACAAUGCAACAUCAUGCCCUGCUUGCACCAAAAACUUAACUGGAACCCCUCUUUCCACUCUCAACACCGGUGCUUACUUAUUAUUAAUACACAAAACCUUAGUCGGACUUGCUGGAUUUGGAUAAUGCAACACCUCCCCUAUUGUAGCAACAAGGGAGACUUCUGUAUCAGCAAUAAUCAACUAUUGAUCCUCAUUAUCAUUAGCAUCCAAUGGCCCAAAACAAUCAUCUACCUUCUCUGAAACAUGAAGCACCAAAUGUCCUUAUGCAACCUUCUCUAGACCCCCAUGAAAUUGGGGCAAAAAAUGAGACCGAUUUUCAUUCGGUGGUUUCAUCAACCCUAAUGCCCAAAUAACCCUCAGAUCCUCAUUAGGAUACACAGGCAAAUCAUACUUCUUAUCUGUCGAAUUCAAUGGUUUCCUAAACAUAAUUAAAGAAACCCCAUCUCUCCUAUGUCCAUAAACCAACCUAGUAUUAUUCACCAUUAUGCCAUUUUUUGAGUUCUCAUAAACUACAUCAAGCAAAACACCUAUAGCUGUACGAUCUUUAGAACUCAACUUACAUUCACUAUAAGCCGUAAUGUAAAAAUCAUCAACAAAAGGCCUACCUUCCUCAGUAAAACUUGCCACCGUAACAUCAGCUUCGGACAUCAGCUCCUUCGUCCUAUUCGGAUUCGCCCACCCAAAUGCCAUGUAAUAGGUCGUCGGUGCCAUCGCUUCUAACCCGAUCUCGAUCCAAUUUUCCUCCACAUUCAAGUUCCACCGGACCCUAUAAUUAUUCGAAAAAUUCUUACAGUUAUCAAACACUGUAUGCACCGAGUCUGAAACCGAAUCUGACCCAUUUCGAGGGAGGGUGACAUGGCCGAAGUCUGAGGUGCUAGCGAUGUCCCAGAUUCAAAGAAUGUUGAUCUGGUCCCAGGUUAUGUCGGGGAGCAAUUGGACUGAAAACGAUGCGUUUUUGUAAGCUGUUUGAUUGAGGCGUUGAUCGGAGAUAAGGAACCCGCUGGUGAGGUUAGAGAAGUUAAGGGAGACGGUGCCCCAAAAAACAACGUCGGAUGAGCCAGAUAACAUGUCAAAUAAUUAUUCAUAAAUUUAUACAUUCUUUGCAUAUUCGUGGGUACCUACAAUAGGUCCUUGAAUAUCAACGACAUAAGUGACGCUGCUACAGACUCAGAAUCUCCUUUUGAGUGAGACAUGUGUUUAGAGGGAUCUCAUGACUUUGAAAAUGACAUAGAUUGUAGCCCAUCUCCGGACUUGUUGAGGAUGGUAGAACAAGAUGAAAAACAGAUCCUACCUUACAAAGAAUCAAUGAAGUCCAUGGCUUUUCUCUAUGUGGGGCAUGGAUGUCAUUGGGCCGAUUUUGGCAAAAGCUUCUAGCGGUCAAGAAUUCAUCUUUGCAGCCGUCGAUUACUUCACUAAGUGGGUGGAAGCUGCUUCAUAUGCUAAUAUCACAAAGUCGACUGUCAGCAAAUUUUUGAAAAAAAUCAUAUGUCGGUAUGAAAUGCCAAAAAGGAUCAUAUCCAACAAUGUACUAAAUUUGAACAACAGCACGAUAUCAAAAGUUGGCUGUCUGUUCAAGAUUAACACCAUAUCGCCCCAAAGUGAACGUACAGUGGAGGCAAAAAAAAAGUGAACCUCUACCGGGGUAACAUCUUUCUCUUUGGCUUAUUGCAGUUUUUUACCCAUUGAAGUCGAGAUUCUUUCCUUUGAACUUUUUGUGGAUCUAAUCCUGAUUGAAGAGGAAUGUUCAAAGUUAUCUGUCAUGGUCAAAUAUACCAAAAGCAAAUGAUGCAAGCUCACCAAAAAAGUUUACCCCAAAGAAUUCCAUGAGAGAGAUCUAGUAACGAAGAAGAUUCUUCCCAUACAAAAAGAACUUCAUAAGAAAGUGGAUGUCAAACUCGGAAGGACCUUAUGUGGAAGGUCUUAUCUAGAAAAGUGUUGAUUUUGAUCAGAAGGGAUAACAAGGACAUGCCUAAUCCUAUGAGUUCAGAUUCAAUCAAAAAAUAUUUCAAAAAAAAGAAAGAAGAAGGAAAAGAAAAGAAAAAGAAAAAUGAAAGGCCAAGGUGAAAACCCGCAAAAUGGUGCCUUGAGACCAAAAGGGAUUUGAGUUGAAAACCCGCAAAGGGUGGCUCAAGUUUUGGAUCAAAAUAGGGCAUGAAGGGAUCAGAACAACUCAAAUUUUAAUCAGAUUGGAGCAUGUGGUGAUCUUGCUAUACCUCAUUCAACAAGAAAGGGUAGACGACAUCUUGGGGCAUCGACAAAGUCCUGUAGAUCUCCUAAACACAUGUCAAACUCAGAAUGGUCUUUCAAAGAGUUUGUAUACAUAAGUUCAAGCUACGAUAUCUGGGGCACCUAAUCUUGAUACUAUUUAUAUUGAAUCUGCUGUCUUGGAAUACUUUAUUCUUUUUCAAGAUACGUGUUCCCAAUCAAUUCCUCUUUUAUUCUUACUAUCCUUGAUAAUUUAUUAAUUUCGAGCCAUACUUCCAAAUCAAUUCUAUUUUAUCCAUUGCUAUGGUCUUUUUGUAAGCAUGUUACAUUAGAAUAACGAUUAAUGGAUUGAAUAUUCAAGCAAAAGGAGUUUUGCAUAUUACUCUAGAAGUUUCUAAAUAAUAUAGGAACCUGAAACAGGACUGUUGUUUAGAACACACCAAGUUUAAAGGUUGAAAUUUCUAAGGAGGAAAACUCUAAAUUAAGACUACCCAUUCAAAUUUUAUUGUCAAAAUAUUGAUUGAAAAAAAAAUGACAAGAUGUCAUGUUGGUGACAAAGCUUCAAUGAUCACCGAGUGAUAAAAAGAGGUUUCUCGGAAGAGAAAGUUCUACAAUUGAGCAUAAACAUUUGGUACGACACCCUGGGAAUGGUGUAGGAGACCAAAGAGAUUCAAAUCCUAUAUCCUUGAAUUACAAUGUGAGAGGAUUAAGAAAGCCAGAUCUUAUACUCAGUGGGAGGAAGACGGUUCAAAUUUUAUGUCCCAAAGGUACAGUGAAUUGAACCUUGAAGAUUACAAUGGAGGCAAUCCGGUUAAGUAAGAUAUGAGCAUUACCAACCGGAAAAGAUAGCAUUCUGACAUGUUGGCAAUAAAACCUUAUUGAACAAUGAGCAAUAACAACUCAAACAUUGAGGGAUCAUUUUCAUGACAUUUUGCAUUCAUGCAUACACAUUUAGUUAGGAGAUUUUGAUUCGUUCCGAUCAUACUAUUCUAAUCACUAGGCAUAAAUAGGCCCAUGAAAUGGAUUCUAUAGGUUUUGUUCCAGUGAUGUUAAGCCUUGGACUAGUAAUAUGAGUAAUAUUGGGCACCAAAUAUUCCGAUCAUAAUAUUCUAAUCACUAGGCAUAAAUAGGCCUCUGAGAGGGAUUCUACAGGUCAUGUUCCCCAGAGAAUAGAUCGGUGAAACAAAAAUCUUAUCUCCCUGAAGUUGUAGUGGAGCGGACUGAAGGUAGCGAAUCUUAUUUCCCUGGCUUUGCAGUGGAACAGAUUAAAGCUAAAGGUAGUGAAUCUUGUUUCCCUGGCAUUGCAGUGGAAUAGAUUAAAGUUGAAGUGGAGCGGAUUAAAGCUGAAGGGGGCGAAUCCUAUCUCCUUGGCUUUGUAGUGGAACAGAUUAAAGCUAAAGGUAGGAAAUCUUGUUUCCCUAGCAUUGCAGUGGAAUAGAUUAAAGCUGAAGUGGAGCGGAUUAAAGCUGAAGGCGGCGAAUCCUAUCUCCUUGGCGUUACAGUGGAACAGAUUAAAGCUAAAGGUAGUGAAUCUUGUUUCCCUGGCAUUGCAGCGGAGUAUAUUAAAGCUGAAGGCAACGAAUUGUAUCUCCUUGGCAUUAAAGACUGAAGACAACGAAUCUUGUCUCUGAUUGAAGACAGACUACAAAUUUUAUCUCUCUGAAGUUGCAGUGGAGCAGAUUAAAGCCAAAAACCUUUUCUCUCUGAAGUUGCAGUAGAGCAGGUUGAAAGAAACUAAUCCUAUCUCCCUGAAGCUGCAGUGGAGCCACAGAUCUUAUUUCUCUGAAGUUACAGUAGAGUAGACAAAAGAAACCAAUCCUAUCUCUCUGAAUUUGCAGUGGAGCGGAUUAAAAUGAUGGAUCUUAUCUCUCUGAAGUUGCAGUAGAGCAUAUUGCAUCAGACUUUAUUUUCUUAAAGAUGCAGUAAAUCAAGUUGAAGCUACAAGUCUUAUAUCACUGAGGUUUCAGUGUAGCAGACUAAAAAUUGCAGAUCUUAUCUCUCUAAAGUUGCAGUAGAGCAGAUCAUAGCAAACAUUAUCUCCCUGAAGUGUAGUGGAGCAGUUGCAGUAUAGUAGAUUGAAACAACACUUCCUAUACCUCUGAAUAUGUAGUGAAUUGGAAUGAAGCUACCUUAAGAAGAAAAGCAUCAAAGUAAGUCAAGAUCCGGUGAGACUGGGCAAAAUUGGUCCUUUUUGAAGUCUUUGCUUCGUUCUCGUUACACGACAAUGAGUAAAGAGGGGCAACUGUAGUGACCCAUUUUUGCCCGGGGCCCAAUAUGACCCAAACAAAACCAAACACAAAAUAAAAACAAAACCUAAACUAAUUAGCAGCCCAUUUUACAACUGGCCCAAACAGCCCAAACUAAACCUAACAACCCUAGCCCAACAGAAUCAGAAAAAUGAAUAGUAAAAAAAUACCCUAGGUGCGCCGCACCUAGGUCUUCUGACCCCUAGCCGUCAGCCUGCCUGCACCGCCUCUGCAACCAUCACAGUAGGCCUCUGGCACCUGCAAAAUAGAGAAUAACACGCAACAAAAAUGCAAUAAAAAACAACAUGGAAACGGACAAAAAAGAAAAAGCAAACAGUUUUUGAUUCGGCUAUAAAAGCCCGAACUUUAUCUUUUUAUUUUUUUACCAGCACCAGUGAAUCAAAAUAGCAGAAAAAGUCUUAAAAGUUGUUUAGAUAUUUUAUUUUAUUUUUCUCUUCGUGUUCUUGUUCAUUUUUUAUGUUUGUUUACUAUUUUUUUUAUAUAUGGAACUAUCUCAACAAAAAACGCAAUAAAAGAAAAAAGGGAAGGGGUACCUAUCGGUUCUGAAAGCCUAUCACCGGAGGCCUUCUUUUUGCAUUGGAAACAGACCGAAAAGGGUGCGAAAGAUCCCAUCUAUUCGGCCUUUUGGGUCAAGAGAAUUGGGUCUUUAACAAGGAUCUGGAACGGGGUUAAAAAACCCAAUCUUUGCCUAGCUCUGACCACCGUCUGCGGCGGCGCGGCCGUUCGCUGGUGGUCACCAUGGCCGGAGGAGGGGAAAGGUUUUGAAAGAAAAAGAGGAAGUUUUUUUUAAAUAUUUUUUAAAUGGUGGCAGAAAUGAAUUUUUUUAAAAAAAUUGGGCUUAAAUAGCCCCUUAAAACAGCGUCAUUUCAUCUAACCUCCCCAGGCGCCAAAACGGCAUCGUUUUGGGGAGGUCGACCCGAAAUGGACCCGACCCAGGCAGGAUCCGCGUGUUUUUUAAGCGGAAGGGAUAAUUGCGCCUUCAUCCCUUCCGUUUUUUAAUUUUUUUAAAUUAGGUUUUUUUUUUUAAAUUUUACCCCGCGUUUUCAGCGAUUUCAAUUUGGUCUUCGCUAGACGACGCCGUUUUGGAGGAGAAGGGAAAAUUGCCCUUUUAGUCCCUCCAUAUUAUGCGCGCAUUUAGAAAGGUCCCCCUUUUUAUUUUAUUUGCAAAUUUGCCCCCAAAGUUCUAUUUUAAGUUCAAAUCAGUCCCUUUUUGUUACUUUUUGCUAUUAAAUUAAUUAAUUUUAAUGGUGUUAUCAUUAUUUUUACCAUUAUUAUUAUUUUUAAUAUUACUAUUACUAUUAUUGCGUUUAUUAUUAUUACUUACCUUAUUAUUAUAAUUAUUUUCUCAUUCAUACUUUUUUUUAAUUUAAUUUCAAAUUUAGUUAUAUAUAUGCAUACAUACUUUUUCAUAUUAUCUAUAUCUAUGUACACGUGUAUAUAUAUAUAUUUUAUAUAACUUAUAUAUAUAUAUAUAUAUACGUACCCAUAUAUAUAUAUAUUUAUAUUUUAUCUACAUAUCUACAUAUAUAUAUAUUAUAUUUUCAUGAAUACAUAUACAUACUUAUAUAUAUUUUUUAUAUUUUAUAAUUUUUAUAUACAUAUAUAUACAUACAUAUAUAUCUUUUUACAUUUUUAUAAUUUUAUUCAUCUUCUUUAUUUAUUUAUUUACGUUUUCAUUAUUAUUUUGAAAGAAUGUUUUAAUUUUGUUUGCUUAUAUACUUGUUAUUUUGUAUGAUAUUGAUUUGUCCUUUUAUUUAUCUUAUUUUGUUGCUAUUGCUCGUAUUAUUUUUACAUUAUCGUAUUCAUUAUAGUUUUGUUAUGCAUAUUAAUACCAUAUUUUAUUUCUACCAUUUCGCGUUAGAUUAAUUCUAUUUUGAUGCAUGAAUUGCGACUUUAAAAUAAUUAAAAUUUCGUAUUUUGAUUUGAAAAGGUCGUACCCUAACUUACGGGGUUUCGAUUUUCUUGGUAUAUUCAAAUAAACGAAUGUUUUUUUAACAAAGUUUUUUAAAAUAAUCUCGAGAAUUAAGAAAAUCAUAUUCUAACUUACGGAGUACAUUUUUUUCUAAAAUCGAGAUAAUCGAAUGUCUUUCAAAUAAGUAAAUUUUUCGGCAUAUAUUCUUGUAUCGAAAAUUCGAUACGUUGUGUCCUAAUGCAUUGGAUAUGACAUAUUGUUUUCCCGAGAUGAGGAUUUUUCUAGAAAAUAAUAAAGGCAAUAUUCAAUGUUUGAAAUUUUGAGAAAUUGUGCCUUAACGUAUUGGGCUGCGAUUUCUUCAACUGAAUUAAACAAUUGAAUAUCCUUUUAAAUUUUAUUGCAUGAGUUGUUUUAGGACAAACUCAUUUUUGAGGAGGUGAAAUAUCAUGCCCUAACUCAUUGGGUGUGAUAUUUUCUCUCUCCAAAAUGAGAGGGUCUUAACGGGUAAUUUGAUUUAUACAAUUUUUUUAAAAUACAAGGAUCGUAUUUUAAAAUCUUUGCUCAUUUUUUAUAUUAAGACACUAAUUAAUCAACUAGGUACCAAUUUUGGGCGCAUUGAGGGUACUAAUCCUUCCUCGUGCGUAACCGACUCCCGAACCUGUUUUUUGGAUUUUUGUAGACCGAAAAAUAAUGUUUUAAUAAAUCAAACUAUUUAUUAAAAUGGUUAAAUUGUGAGGUGAUCCGAUCACACCUCAUUAAAAACUAUUGGUGGUGACUCCCGUAGCUUUGAGGGAAAAAAAAGACAGAAAAAGAAUUUUAAAGACACAAAUUAAUAAAAUAAUUUUUUAAUCUACGAUAUAUUAAAACACACACACACACAAAAAUCACCUCAUUUUCCCGUAGCUUAUUAUUUACAGUUUUUCUUGCAAUCCAAGUGCGAGAUAAUCACAAAUUUCAAUUGGCAAUUGGAAAAUGAGAUACGAUGUUUAUGUUUUUUUUUUUUUUUUUUUUCAUUUUGAAAUAUAAUAAAGGCGAAAUUGACGGAAGGGAAACUUUCUCCUUGGUUUAAAAGUCCAGAUAUCAAUUACAAGACAUAAAAAACAACGACAAGUAUUGGGGGCCAGUAGAUGAUAGUGAGUGACACUAUUUGAUUUAGUCUAAUUAUUACAACAUGUUUGAUUGAAACUAUUUUUUAAUCUCUGAUUAAAUAAAUAUUGAGAGGAAAAGACUUCAAUUUUCUUCUUUUCCUUAGCAAUAAAAUUUAAUUUCUAGUUUGGAUUACAUGCCUUUGAUUCUCAUCUCUAGUUAUGUAAGGCAGAGUCGCUGUUAGUUGGAUGGACCUACAUUGGAAACAUGAAUUGAAAAGAUAAGUAAUAGAAACUUUAGAAUAUUUAGACAAAUAUCAACCACAUCUUUAUUAACUUUUUACAUUUCUUAUCCCAAUAUUCAAAACCAAACAAUAAUACAUUCAUUGCAUGUUCCUUUUCUCAAAUAUCAUUUUAUUUAAUGUCAUUAGACAUUACUCUAUUCUUUUUUCUUUGUGAUAAAAAUUAUUACAAAUGUUGUAGGAAUCUAUCCUUUGAGAUUGUUUGAUUCUAGUUUUUGACAAAUUGCUCAAAGUUGAUGGGAUAAAACAAGUGAGUUUGAUGGUGUUCGGAAACAAGCUUCGAUGUUUAGUGAGAUCAAAAUUUGUUGGUAAAUUAAAUUACUCAAUGGGUAAAUAUCCAUGGAAGUUAUUGUCCCAGAGUGGGGCUGGACUUGGAUGGUCUGCAAGACUCGUUUUUAUCAAAUUCAAAGCAGUAGCAGUAAUACCUAUUAAAUUACAACUAGAAAUAAAAACAGAUCAGUUGGUUUGGUUGCCAAGAGGUUUCGAGGGUCAUGCUUGUUCCCUAUCAUACCAAGUACUACUAAGUCAGUACCCCUCUAAAUGGGGAGAACUUUGUUGAUCUUUCAUUGGUUUAAAAGUCCAAAUACCAACUGUAAGGCAUCAAAACAACAAAGACAAGUAUUGGGGACCAGCUGAAGAGAGUGAGUGACACGGUUUGAUUUAGAGACUUAUGAUUGCAACAUGUUUGAUCGUGAUCCUCAACUUUGAUUGUAAUGUCUAACAAAAUAAACACCAAGAUGAGAAGACCUUUUUUCUAUAGAAUCUAAAUUUCUUGUUUUGAAGACAUGCCUGUAGUUCUCAUGUCUUACUUGUUCUGCACGGCUAAGUCGCAGUUGCUUCGAUGGACCUAUGUUGCCAACAAGUAAUAGAAACUUUGUAAUAUUCAGAUAGAUCAAAUUAAGCUUUUUGUGGACCAUUCUCAAAUAAUUAAUUUGGCAAUCCUGAAUCUAACAAUCUAACCAUUGAAUUUAACAAUAUAAUUAUAGUUGCCUUGCAUUUAAAAUUUUGAAUUGAUCUAAUACCUCUAUCAUUUGGGUCCAAAACUUUGUUUAUUUCAUAUAUAUUAUAUAAAGCAAAGUUUUUAAGUAUUUUUGAACGUAACUAAGUAAGCAUGUUUCUUCUACCGCGAGUCAAAAGUUUGCAGCAAUUUUAGCCAUUUCGUACACUAUAUAUUAUUAUAUUGUUGCUUAAUUAAAGCAGAAUAAUAUAUAUUUCCAUAAGUUUUUAAAAAUAUCAUAAAUUUCCAUUGGGAAUUUUGUUGGUGUAUUCUAAAUUACAUAAUAAUCAGAAAUAUGAAAGAUUUUCAUAUAUUCUCGCCUUUUAGUAUAAGUAAUAAUAAAAAUUUUUGUUGAUUCACCUUUACUAUGAAAAUAAAAAUAAAAAAAUUACAAAAUUAGAACCGUAAAUCAAUUUUGGUUUAAAAUUUUAAACCUACAUAUUAAAGAUAUCCUAACAAUUUUACUUUAUAAGAGCACAAUUUAUGGAAUAAUUUUUAUAUCCAAUCAAAGGCCUUUCAUUCUUAUAAAUAUCGGAAAUUACAAAGUUAGUCUUUGUGUAGAAAAUCUGAUAGGUAAGUAGCAUAGCAUCCAUCUAAUAGAUUAGGAAAUCUGUAGUCUUGAGAUGGAAUAGAUUUUACGGUCACAUUGGCAACCUUAAAUUAUAACCUUCUUUGAUUUCGUUUGCAUAACAUUAUUCACUAUUCAACAAUACAUUACUUAUUUUUUUCUUUGUGAUAAAAUUUAUUAACAACAAAUGCUAUGCUUGUUUUAUGGAUAAAGUAAUGUUUAUUUAAUAUAUCCACAACAAUAUCAGUCUGAUUUACUGAAAAAUAUAUAUAUCCACAACAAUAAAUUAAUUUCCAGUUAUACGUCUCAUCCAAUAAUAAUAUUUUCACCAUUACCAAAUAUUUUCUCUUUUAAUAAUUGUUUAGAAAAUGGCGUUCAACAUGAAUUUAGGCAAAUAGUUUAGUAGUAGAUUAAAUUCAUUGGAUAUAUUAACCAAAUCCACACCAGCAAAUUUUACCUAUGAUGGAUUCAAUUGAACAUAUAAAAUAAUAACUUGUUAGAAGGGUUGAUUAAUUGGAAAGCAUAGAAUGGAUUAAUCAAUUAGAAAACUAGAAUUUAUAAAACUUAAGGAUCUAAUUUUAUAUUGGAAUUAUUCAGUGGGAUGAAGAGUAAAUUUCAAGUAGCGAAAGGAUGGCUCCAUCUCUCUCCCUUCCAUAUUUAGUCUUUUGCAAAUCUUCAAGAAUAGGCUGAUGUACAAUUAUUUUACUUUGAAUGCAUGAGUCUAUGGUAAGGACGGGGUCCCAGCAGUAAGGUAAAAUGGUAAGUGUUGAAACAGAAAAUAAAAGAAAUGUAGCCGCUGUGGGUCUUAUGGAAUUAGUAUGAUUUAACGAUGAUGGGGUCUUAUGGUGCUUUGGAAUCAUCGUUUUUUUUAAGAUGAUUUGAUUUGGUGAAAGGGAGAGGGCCCGAUGUGGGUAUUUGGUUGCAUCUUUAUUGUUGUACAAAAAUCUUGCUAGUUGGAGGAUCAACUUUCCUUUUAAUUUUAUUAAAAAUUAUAUAUGAACUUGUGAACUUGUAUUCAAAUUGAAUCUUUCCAUUGAGUCGCUCUUGCAAGUAAAUGCAGCAAUCAAGAACCAUAUUAUUAAUACCGAGCUAAGAUCGUGGACGUUUUCUACUCUAUAUCUUUCUCCUAAAUGCUUCAUUCCAGUAAAAAGUGCUGCAAUUCCUACAGUAAUGGCACCUCUGCCGAUAAUUACAUGGAAAUACUCCCAAAUUAAUCCCUUUGUGGAAGCGUCCUCCCCAUUAGCAGGUUUCUCCGGUCUGAGAUAUGCAUUCAUUGGUUGCAGAGAGGCAAAAACUAUGGCAGCAAUACCAAGCUUAACAUGUAACGAGCUGACAAAGAAACCGCGAAGUUCGGCAACUGCAAAAGGAACACCAAGUAGGAUAAUUGCUAAUCCUGAAUAUUGUAGGUAAAUAUGAAUUUGGUACCAUCCAUCACCCUUUACAUGUUUUAGGUAUCUAGCAGCCAAUAUUCCACCAGGAAUCAAAAUACACCAGGAGAGGAACAGCAUAAACCCAUGUAAAGCUUUGACAGGUUGUAAACCUUGCUCAGCCUCGGAAGAACCACGGAUAAGCAGCACUUACACAGGCCUUUGACUCGUGACAGUAUGCAUGUAUUUCUCAUUGAGAUGUUCAUCAGUCCACUUUGAACCCAUUGCCCGUAUGACUUUAAGAGGAGUUGUAGGAUCAACAAUGUUCUUGCACUCUGGGUUAUAAUUUUGAUUGCAUGAUGGUUUUAAUGGACGCGUGAAUUCCAAAGUAAUGAUGCCAUCUUCUGACCUGCACCUGACAUGUGUCAGAUUCUCAUUUGUUGGAUGGAUGUUCAAGGGAUGCUUUCCAUCAAUCCAAUAUGUAUUUAAAUGCCCUUUUCCAGUAUCGCCAAUCCAGCCCACAUAUGCAUAGCUAUUCACCAUCCCAUUACCGAAACCUAUUGCAAGAUAGCCACUCUUAUUCACACCACGGGCAGCAAUAGUUAUUGAAUCUUCUGAUAACGUCCAAAAGAAAGUAACUUGAUCAUCUAAAAGCACACUAGUGAGGGCACCAUCAAAAACUUGAACUUUCCAUCCCAUCUUCUCCUGGUACAAGGACUGAUAAUACACUUGAUCGGGGGUAUUCCUAUCAGGAACCCAAAUCAAUUCGUGAGAAUUUGCUACAACUCCUUCCGCUUCUGGCCCUCCAGAAUAAAUAGUCUCAGUUGCAUUCCUUAAUAUAGCAUCCCCACCUAGAGAAUCUGAAGUAAUAUACAAUGCAACAUCAUGCCCUGCCUGCACCAAAAACUUAACUGGAACCCCUCUUUCCACUCUCAACACCGGUGCUUACUUAUUAUUAAUAUACAAAACCUUAGACGGACUUGGCGGAUUUGGAUAAUGCAACACCUCCCCUGUUGUAGCAACAAGGGGGACUUCUGUAUCAACAAUAAUCAACUCUUGAUCCUCAUUAUCAUCAGCAUCCAAUGGCCUAAAACAAUCAUCUACCUUCUCUGAAACAUUAAGCACCAAAUGUCCUUAUGCAACCUUCUCUGGACCCCCAUGAAAUUGGGGCAAAAAAUGAGACCGAUUUUCAUUCAGUGGUUUCAUCAACCCUAAUGCCCAAAUAACCCUCAUAUCCUCAUUAGGAUACACAGGCAAAUCAUACUUCUUAUCUGUCGAAUUCAAUGGUUUCCUAAACAUAAUUAAAGAAACCCCAUCUCUCCUAUGUCCAUAAACCAACCUAGUAUUAUUCACCAUCAUGCCAUUUUGAGUUCUCAUAAACUACAUCAGGCAAAACACCUAUAGCUGUACGAUCUUUAGAACUCAACUUACAUUCACUAUAAGCCGUAAUGUAAAAAUCAUCAACAAAAGGCCUACCUUCCUCAGUAAAACUUGCCACCGUAACAUCAGCUUUGGACAUCAGCUCCUUCGUCCUAUUCGGAUUCGCCCACCCAAAUGUCAUGUAAUAGGUCGUCGGCGCCGCCGCUUCUAACCCGAUCUUAAUCCAAUUUUCCUCCACAUUCAAGUUCCACCGGACCCUAUAAUUAUCCGACAAGUUCUUGCAGUUAUCAAACACUGUAUGCACCGAGUCCGAAAUUGAAUCCGACCUGUUUCGAGGGAGGGUGACAUGGCCGAAGUCCGAGGUGCUGGCGAUGUCCCAGAUUGAAAGAUCGUUGAUCUCGUCCCAGGUUAUGUCGGGGAGCAAUUGGACUGGAAACGAUGUGUUUUUGUAAGUUGUUUGAUUGAGGCGUUGACCAGAGAUGGGGAACCAGUUGGUGAGGUCAGAGAAGUUGAGGGAGACGGCGCUCCAGAAAACGACGUCGGAUGAGCCGGAUAACAUGUUGAAUCCGGUGACCUAGAAAGAGCAGCCAUCGAAGAUUUUGAGAUGGCCACGGAGUUGGUGUCGGUCCAUUGUGAAGUUCGAUUCGAACCCGACUAGGGAGCUGGUGUUGGAGCAUUUCUGACCCAAAUCCUCUUUGGAAGAGGCGAUGGAAUUGAUUAGAAAGAGCGGGAUUAGAAGGAAAAUUUUGGAAUUGUACAUUCGAAUCUGGUCGCGGGUGAUUCGAGAAUCCGAAUUCGAUGAUGAUGGAAAAUGAACGUUUCAAAGAGAAGGAAGGAGCCAAUGAGCGGCUGGUGGUGGUGAGUGGUGACUCGGUGCAGCCGGAGCGAGUCGUCAACUUGUCUCGAUAUUGUUUUAUAAUUUUACUUUUUUUCCUGCUUUUCUGAAGAGAGGAAACCAAAAUCCCUACUAUCUUCUCAACUAUCAGUUUUUUAAUUUUGCUCAUUCAACCGUCAAUUUUUUAAUCUAUUUCAAAUUUUUUAAUUUUGUAGUCCAACCUAGGGGUGAGUAUUCGAUCGAAUCGAAUCGAAAAUUUUCGAUUUAAUCGAGUUUUCGAAUCUCAUUUUAUUAUCCUAACUUUAUUUGAAGUUUUCUCGAAUCGAGUAGAGUGAGAUGGAAUUCGAAUCGAAUCGAAUCGAAUAUAUUUGUUCGAGUUAAAUUUUAAAAAAUAAUUUUGGGUCCUUGUAACCAUUGUCACCCAUCGCAAUAAAAUUUUUCCACCUUAAUCAAAUUUUUUAUUAACUUUCAUCACCUCAUAAUUUAUUUAUUAAUUUUUUAUAUACUGGUUAGCUUAUUUGUUUGCUUAGUUGUUUCAAUUAUCUUCAGAUUCUUAUCACUAUGUAUUUUGGAAUUAAAAAAUAUAUUAAAUAUAAAAAUAUGAUUUUCUAAUAAAAGUUAUUUUAAAAAUAAAAUGUGAAAUUGAUACCAAUAUAAAAUUUUAACACGAAUAUUUUAUGGCAUAAUUAAGAAUUCAAUUUUAAUAUAAAUAUUCAAUAUGACUAAACAAUUCAAUAAUAUAAAUAAUAUAAAAUGUGAAAUUUAAUUUAAUAAUAUAAAUAGUAUAUAUAAAUAAAAUUAUUACUAUCUAUGUUUAGUGUAUUUUGGUCACUCACAUUUUAGAGUAUUUUUAUUUUACUCAAUCUUCAUUAAAUGGUUAACGAAAGUUAUGAUGUUACCUUUUUUUUAAUUAGUAUAAAUAAUACAUUUAGUCUUCAAUGCUUACAAAUUUUAUCAAUUUGAUCCUCAAACACAUAGAAUUAAAUAUAAAGUAUAAAUUGUGAAAAGGUACAAAAUAUAAUUAUUUAUAUAUAUUUAUCUAAAUAAUAUAAUAUGUGCUUAUAUUUUAUUAUAAUUAUAAGGUUCAAAUAUGCAUUUAGCCCCUCAAACUUGACACCUUUUUCCAUUUUGGUACUUAUGAUUUUUUUGUCCCAAGUUGGUACCUAAUUUUUCAUUCCGUCAAGAGCUUUGAUUUUUUUUUUUUUGUUACAAUAUUAAAUAUAGGACACAUGACACUCUUAGGAUGCCAUAAUCCAUUUUUUUUAUAAAAAUAUAAUAAAAAUUUAAAAGGAACUAUAUGAAAUAUAUAUUUUUAAAAUAUAAAAGAAAUUAUAAAUUAUAAAAAUAUAUGUAAAUAAAAAAUUUAAAAUAUUACAAAAAAUCUAAAAUUCAAGUUGGAAAAAUUGAAAACCUAGAAAAUUUACACAUUUUUCUAAAUAAAUUGCAAACAAAUUAGAUAAAGAUAAAUUUUGCAAUAAAUUUUAUGUUUAGAGAUGGGUGCAAAUUAUUACACGAUUUUUCAAGUAAAUAAGAAUGUAAAAGAUGAUGAUUUAAAAAUGGCUUACAAGAAGUUUUUUCGUUGUCUUUUUUUUUUCCUGCUAAUUAUUGGCUAGGUGAUGAGAGAAAUUGGGUUCCUUUGUUGAAAAUGCUAUAAAAACCACAAAUUUACUAAAUUAUGGGGGUUUUGAGUUUUUUGGUUUAUCAAAAUCACACAUACAUAUAAAUUUAUCAACAUUUAGUUAUAUGUGUUUAAAUAUAAUCAUUUUUUAUAUUUAAUUAUAUGUGUUUUAGAAUAAAGUUGAUAGAAUUUGUAAAUAUGGAGUGUGAAAUUUAUUGAAUUAUUUAGAUUAAGAAUCAAAUUGAUAGAAUGUGUAAGUAUUAAGAAAUAAACAUGUUAUUAUACCAUCUAUAAUUUGAAAAAACAAAUAUCCAAAAAUAAUAUAAAAAUACAUAUCUAUAAUUUCGCAAAAAGAAUUACAUUGCCAUAAAAAUAUAUGAAUGUACUAAACUUUUUGGAAUAAAUUAACCAUCUAUUCCUUAUUUCAAUUUUAUUAAAAAGAUAGGUUCCCAUAAAGACAGUCUUUACAAACCAGUGCACCUACCAUAAACACAUCAGGGAACAUUGCCAUGAGAGAGGACCUAAGAAAACAUAAUACAAAGCACCCACACAAAAUGUUUAUUAAACAGCUACUGAAAAUGGCCUGCAAACCACCAAGCAAUGAAGUUUUCUGUUCUGUUUGCAACUUGUUGAACUCGCCCAAGUGUUGCCUUCUCUACCUUUUUGCAAAUCUUUGUUGGACUCGCUCCACGAUCCUAAUCAACCACCAUGGUUUUCCAGUCGUGAAUACAAUGUAUGCCAUGCUCAUUCCCAGCACCAACCCACAUCCAUACCCCAUCAAUAUUGAAAAUUUCCAAUUCAAUUCAUCACCAUCAUCAUCUCUAUCAAAUAUGGCUGGGGUUUCCUCAUCAGUACCACAGUUUUUUGAUAGUGGCAAACCACAUAAAUCCAAAUUUCCCAUGUAGGAAUCGUCAGUGAAAGUAUCAAAUUGUUUGCCUUGAGGAAUGGGUCCCUUGAGAUUAUUUUGAGAAAGGUUUAACACCUCUAAGAAUCCAAGAUUUUUCAACUCUGUUGGAAUUCUUCUUUCCAGCUUAUUUGAUGAGAGAUCUAAUGAUUCAAGCUCUGACAAAUUACCUAAAGAUGAUGGGAUAGGACCUAUUAAACAGUUAUGGGAGAGAUUUAGGACAAUAAGUAAAUGAAGCUCACCAAGUAUUUUUGGAAUUUCUCCCCUGAAUUGGUUACUAGAAAGGUCAAUAACCGUCCAAAUGGAUAAUAGUGAUUCAAACUUUAUUUCCAGCCCUCUUGCUAUAACAGAUAAACCAUCAGCAUAAUUCACCAAAAAUUCACUAAGUGCUUCUCUCAUGUAAUGUGGAUCAACUUUCUUUCCAUAUUCAUCUCUAAUGGCAUGCAUAUUCUCAAAAAAGGGUAGGUAAGUAGCCACUAAAAUUAUUGUGAGAAAGAUCAAUGAUUUGCAAUUUAAUUAGUUAAAGAAACUAUAAUAUCAAAGCUCUCUAUUUGGCCGUAAAAUCUAUUCGACCUCAAGGUAAGAACUUGCAGCUGAUCCAAAUUUCCUAACCAACUUGGGAAAGUGUCAUUCAAAUUGUUGUUUCCAACAUUGAGAAGAUUUAAACCUUUGCAAUUACCCAAAGAUCGUGGUAGUGACCCUUCUAAUUUAUUGUUGUCGAUGCGUAAACUUCUCAACAUGCAACCUUUAGCAAAAUUUUCUGGUAUUUGACCAUGAAAAUUAUUAUUCCCUAGAUGAACUGCUAUGAGAGAAGAACUCAAGUUUCCGAUGCACUUUGGAAUUGUUCCCUCCAAAUUAUUCUCAUCUAAAAGCAUAACCAUAAGGGAAGUCAAACUGCAUAUUGAAGAAGGGAUUUCUCCAAUUAAGUUAUUAGUUGAAACUCCAUACCAUUGCAAUAAAGGUGGUGGUGUUGGAAUUCGACCUUAGAGAUAAAAUUGAAAAUGAGAUAGAAUUAGGAGUUUGAAGAUUCUUUGGAAUAUAAAUUAUAAAAUAGCUAUAUUUAUGAUGUAUUACAUGCAUGAUUAAUUUACUACACUACUUCUAACCAUUUUUAGAUGCAUCACAACAACUUUUAAGUUGUAAUCUAUUGAAGGAAACUACUACUAUCUUCUAGAGAAAUUUUCAUUUCCCUUACUUAAAAGUAAAAUGGGAUUGCAUAAAUGUAUAAAAAAUAGAGGGAAAAAAAAUCAAACUAUACCUAAUAGUUUAUUAUAAAAGAGAUAACCAUUUAAUAUCUUACUUAUAUUUCAUUUUUUAGUGUUUAUUAUUGUUUUUGGUACAUUUAUGUAUAUUUUAUAAUUUAUUAUUGGGUUUCACGAUUGUUAUUGUCAAGAAUAUCAUCUCUAAGACUUGAAUCUUGUUCUCCCAUUAAGAGAGUAAUAUGCCUUACCACUGCACCGAAUAUUUAUUGGUGUAGUAUUUAUUAUAACUACAAAUAAUUUUAAUUAUCUGUUUAUGAAACUCUAAGUUAGAGGUCAAAUAAAAAAGAAAUUUAAUUAAUAUAGUGUUUAACUUUUUAUCAUCUUAAUUAUUAGUUAUAAAAUUUUUUCCUCACAAUUGAAAUUUAAAAAUGAGAUUUUAUGAAAUUUAAAGAUAACAUAAUUAAUAGAAAAUUGGCAUUUUCUUUAGAGUCGGAAUUUAAGUAGUAGCAAUAUCUGUAACUGGUACUUCAAAUGUACAUUUUAUGUUUAUAAUUUUUAUAAUAUUAGGAGUUAAUUAACAUUGUAGCCUCAAAAUUGGUGUUAUGAAAGCCAUUUUUUUAUGAGAAUACUUUUCUAUUUAACAAUGAUUGUCCAGCAUGUUAUAAUUGAAACCUAUCAUGGUAUUCACUAUUACUGACUCUGAACUCGAGUAGGUUCAAGUUAUUGACCCACAACCCAAGUAGACUCAAAUGAAUUCGGGUCGGGCCCCACAAAGUGGGCACGUUAGAGUUCGCACAUCCAAUUUGUUGGUAUGCUAGAGCUCACGAGCCUAGCUCACAAGACAAGCUUGCACAUUGAGUUCACAUAUCUCUAUAUGCUUGCGAGGAGAGGUGUUAGGUCAAGCACGUGGUCCAUGAACACGUGUUAAGUCUAGAACAAGAUAUGUGUUAGCAUGCAUGAAGCCUAUCUAAGACGUCAUUUUAGUGAAUAGUAACUGUAUCAUAUAAAUACUAAGUCUUACCCCCAUAGUAGACACAAAGAGAAAAUACUCAACAAUUUGGUGCAAUGAGUGUGGUCAAACUUUUGAUCGAUAGAUUUUCAACUUGUAACAAUCAAAAUGGUGCACCGAAAUUAAAAUUUCCCCAUCAAUUUUUUGUCAAGAUAAGUUGGAGCUCUAGUGCAAACAAUCAACCUAAUAAGACAAAUUUAAUUGCCUAGUGGUUUGCUAACCGGUCGAAAAAUUUGGGUAACAUGGCUCAUGUAAGAGCUUCAAAUUUUUGACUUAAAAUUUCCUUCUGGCCAGAUAUUGUCAUUCUCCUCUGGUUAGGAAACGUCACCAAAGUAGUUUCUUGCUAUUCAGGAGUUGAUAAAGAUAAUGAAGAAACAAAUGACCCUGUAAAACGUUAGAUUCGAACAACAAUAAAUUUUUUAGCAAGAGUUGUUAAAUCAAAAUGAGGAGUUCAGAAGGAAGCUGCAGUUUGAUAAUUUUGAUUUUCAUAACAAUGCCACCAUGUGAGAAGAAGGUUUUGGCAUGCAUGCAAAAUCGUGGCAGAGUGAGAUGGAUGCUUUCAAAGAGAUGUAAGGGCUUUACAUCUUGAAUCUCUAGAUAUUGAUUGACACAUUUAUUCCAAUAAUCCAUUGGCUCUUAAGGUGGAACCAUGAUCUUGCCAACUACUUUUAAGGUUUCAAAGGAUAUGUUUGAAGGAAGAAGGGACCUACGAGUGUAUCCCAUGCAGUAUAACAAUUAUUUGAAUGUGCUGGGAGCUUUUGAUUUCGUGAAGUGCAAGGUUUUUUUUGAAAACACUGAAGGGGGUGUGAAAGAUUGAUACUUAUCUCCUCACCAGGGUUUCAUUUGUAGUUUCUCUCAGUUGGGUUAGAUGUUCUUGGGACGAUUCAGGGCAGAUAGGACAAUUAUUAGCACUUCUAUGGGUCUGAUGUCUGUGAACCAAAGAGAGGGAGAAACUUUGUAGGAUUAUGUAAAGCAUUUCCAAGUAAUGACACUAAAUACUAAGAACCUCAAAAAUCAAUGGGCCAUUAAUACUUUAAUCAUGGGUGUAAAGAAUGAGCAUAUGCAGUAUUCUUUCACUGACAAUAGGCCUCAGAGUUUGGCAAAUUUAUAUGAGAGGGACCACAAGUUCGUAGAGGCAGAAGAAAUAAAAAGAGCAGCUUGUGGGACAUUCUAAAGAGAUGAGUGGAAUUUUAGAAACAUGGAUAGAGCUCGCAGUCGACAGGGUCUACUUCCUCAGGCUUUGCGUGUACAAAAUAAGGGACAACAAAAAGGGCAAUUGUAGAGCAAGACUGUUAAAACAUUCCAAAGAUCCAAACUUGAACACACAUGGAGGUAUGUUCCUCAAAGCAAAUUCAAAUCUUAUACCCCAUUGAAUGUUAUUCUUACCUAUAUUUUGAAUUAGGUGAAGAGUCUAGGUAUUUUACUGAGCCUUCCACCUUUGUGGCAUAGUGUUAGGAGGUUACGUUCGAGGGACAGAUGUGCUUUCCACAAUGACGGGGGGCAUAAGACUGAUGAUUGCUUUUCUUUGAAGGUUGCUAUCGGGGAAGUAGUCAAAAAUGGCAAACAUGGGGAUUUUGUGGCUCAAAAUACUACUUAGCAGAGGUAGAGUUUGCGUGCUGAGGUGAAGGUAAGUAAUCUUAUAUUGUUUCUAUUAUUAUACAAAAUAUAAAGUCACAAAAGUGAGAGAAAACUCAGUCAUCAGUGCACCAAAACUCGUUAAGUUGAUCAUAGUUGCUAGUAUUAUAAUGUAUCUUCUUACAUAGAGAGAUAAGGUAGGUGUAGAGGCAGACAAAAGACGGUGAAAUUGGAUGGGACAUUAAGAGGGAAGAGAGGGAACAAUGUCAUGUGCCUAACUAUUUCUAGUGUUUGAACCGUUUUGAGUCAUAUCUUUCUUUGAACUCAUACCGUCCUAAGCCUUAGAACAUUACAAGCUUAGAAGACCAAUGUGACUUAAGUGUUCUCUAAGCAUAAUAUUUUGAAAUUGCUAACAAUUAUACUUAAUGAAUAUUUGUUGAUUCAAAUGAUUGUGUCUACUAUAUAUCUAUUUGAUUUAUGUUAACGGUGAUAUUGUUAAACAUUUGGUCAUGGAAAUUACUUCUAGUUUGUUAGUAAUGUAAAUUUGUAAACUAGUUCCUAUUUACUUUAAAAAGUUUCCAAGACAUUAAACUAUCAAGAUUAAGUUACAUGUAUGAUAAGAAUUGUUAUAUCUUUAAUAGUUGACAACAAUGUUCGUAGUAGUAAUAAAAUCCAAGUGACGUCUUCUUAUUGCAUGCUAUGUGUCUAGACUUGGUUUAUUUGAGGACAAACAAAAAGUUAAGUGUGGGGGCGUUUAUGUUUGAGGUUCUCAUUUACAUCCAUCUUCAUUAUCUUAAGCUUGUUUAAAGAAAGGAACCCAGUUAAAUUUUUUUUAUUUUGCCCUUUUUUACGGCUAAAAUUUUCUUUAUGUUUUUAUGUUUAUUUUUCCCAUUCUUUUUUUCUUUGUUUAUUUUAAUUAUAUGUUUACAUUGCUUGGGAUCAAGCAAUGACUUAAGUGUGGGGGAGUAAUUUGAUAUACCGUAAUUCGAUGUAGUAGAUUAAACUAGUUUUCCUACUUAAAGAGCUUAGAUAUGAGCAUUUUAGUUAUGCUUUAGUUAGUUUUUGUAUUUUAGUUUUAAUUCAAUAAAAAGUGUAAAUUGUGUCUUUUUAUGAUCUUAGGGGCCGAAUGGGGCCUAAAGGUAGGCUAACAUGCUUAGUAAGUGUGCAGGACACCAUUCAAAGGCAUAGGAACUCGAGGUUGGUCGCCAUGUUGCGACAUGGGAAUUCAAUCUUGCAACAUAGAGGAUAUUCCAAGAUUGUCUUUAAUGUCGCGACAUAGACAAUGGAUGUCGCAACACACCCCUGAAGCUGAAUAUAGGAAUCAAGUAUACUACCUUCAAUGUUGUGACAUAGGUAGCGGGUGUUACAACACCAACUCUGCAUAGGAAAUAAUUACGAGCUGGGGGCAUUUUGGUCCACACAAUGAAAAUUAACACAAAAAAAUCAACCAACCUAGGUUUAAGGACGACGACCACCCCUUACUCUAUAAAUAGACUUAUUAGACACAUGUUUAAAAAACAAUUUUAGGGAGACAAAAAUUAUUAUUAGGUUUUUAUUCUGUUAUAAGUUUUUACUUAGUUAUUUGCUGUUCUUGUAAUCGAAAGGUCCUAUUCCGAAGUGAGAUUCUCAUGAGGGGAGAUUGUUCCGAAGACACUUUCUUAAUAAAAUACUUUUAGUGAAAUUAGAAGUCUUACUUAUAAAUGGUAAUUUUUAUUAAUAAUAAAAAAUAUUUAUCUUUGUGCCAAAAAAACACCGCAUAGAUCAUAAAAAGGAAAAACUAAAACAUCCAAAAAAAAAUGUCAAACACUAAACACAAAAUUCAUAGUUGUAGAGGAGGAUUAGAUACAUUGGUCCCAUAAUAUGUCACUCAAAAUCUUAAAAUCAUCCAACAAAAAGAAAUCAUCACUUCAAUUAAUUAAAGCAAGAACAAAGAAAGUUAUGGAUGAACAAAUAUGGGAAGUAAAGAAAAAUGAUGGAUCAAAAGGGACGAAUACGCUAAUUUCUGCCAUCAGGUAGAUGGUGAACUUAGGUGUGGAGUUCUAAUAAAUACCUAAACAUACCUAAACUUUUAUUUUAUGAUGAAAUGAUUGGUUAAAUUACUUUAUAACAUCUUACAUUUUAUAAAUGCAUAAUAAUGACACUAGGUUUUAAUCUCUUAAGGUAACUUUUAUCUUAUUUACUUAGAAAGAUUGCAUAAAUUUAAUAACAAAAAGAAGAAUAAAAGAAACAUGAAAUUAUACCUGUCAAUUUGUUAUUGCUAAGACCAAGAAUUCGAAGAGAAGUCAAGUUUCAAAUAAUAAGAGGAAUUUCACCUGAAACAUAUAAUUAAAUCAGUAAAAGUUUCCAAUAAUAAGAGCAAAACCUUAAUUUAUUUGUUGAGCAUAUUAGUGUCUAUUUGAUUUACCUAUUAGUAAGUUUUGGUUUUCCUAUUUUUAAUCAUUCUUCAAUAUGUUGAAAAUUUUCAUUCCAAGGAUGUAGGCACAACAUCCCUUGAUUAUAAUGUAAAAUUUCCAAUUUCCAUAGGGAUACUUUCAUCCAAAGAGUUGUUAUAGAAUGAUAAAAAUGUCAACUCUUUACACUUGAUUAAACUAUUUGGGAUUCUACCCGAAAUCUUAUUGCCUCUCAACUUUAAGGCUUGCAAUUUAGAUAGGUUAUCAAAUAUUUCUAACGGUAGAUGGCCUACAACGAUAAUAUUGUUACCUAGUUUUGACAUUUCUAGUUUUGAGAAAUUGCUUAGGGUAUAUAGGGAUAAUACCACUGAAGUUGUUACUAUACAAAUACAAGCUUUUAAAUUUCAGAAAUUAUUGUUACCAAAGUUGAAAUAUUCUAACCGAUGCAAACUAGUGUACUCAAUGGGUAAACAAACAUAGAAACUAUUGUUACAAAUGUUGAGUUUGGCAAGGAAAGAAGAUUUCCAGUUGAGAUGGUAUGGUGUUUGUGAAAUCCAUACCUAAUGCAUCAAGAGUUGUGAUGUUUGAAUUUAUAAGUUACCUCAAUUUAAUGGCAAACAUAAGUAAAAGUAAUCUAUGAGGUCUUAGUGCUACAAGGUUGAUUUGAUUAACGGUGAAAUUAGGUAGGGGGUAAGGCUAUUCUGAGAGGAGGGAAAUAAUUGAGUGUAAUAUAAUGUUCAAAAUUCUACAAAUACUUUGAUUCUAUGGAUUAAGGCAUAGAACUUGACCAUUUGAGUAAGAAAUAGCCACAUUUAUUGGGCUACAACCCCAAAACCUUCACAUACCCACAACUAAUGUUCAAUAUUCUAUAUAUCAGUAAAUAUAUAAUUAUUUUUCUUAAUUAUUUUAAGAGUUUAAUAAGGCAAAUCCAAAAGGUAGAAGAAAUAGCUAAUUAGAAGUAGUGUGUGAUUCAAAAGGGUAUAAAGUAGGUCCAAAUUAAAAAUCAAAAUUUAAAAUACUUUAGUGUAAAAUUUAAGUCUUUUCUUAUCACUAAAUAAAUUUAGUUUUAGAGAAAUUAGAAGUUUUAAUAAAAUACUUGAAAUAACUAAUUGCUUAUGACAAGGUGAAAAUUUGAUGAAAAAACAUAUAAUUAAUAAUUUAUAUAUCUAUUUCUCUCAUACUAUGGACUAUGGUCGAGCAAAAAUUAAUAAAAAAAUAAAUAAAUGGAUAGAAAUAGCUUAGUUACAAGAUUGAUGUUAAUUCAAUAAUUUUUUAAUAAAAACACACAUUGUUUCCAAAAGGGUAAGAAAUAGGUCCAAAUUAUAAUUCAGAACAUAAAUUAAUUUAAUGUAAAAUUUAAAUAAAAUUUAAAAUUUUUUGUUAUUAUCAAAUAAAUUUUCUUAAUAAAAUACUUUUAGUGAAAUGAGAAGUCUUACUUAUAAAUGGUAAUUUUUAUUAACAAUAAAAAAAAUAUUUAUCUUUGUGCCAGAAAAAAACACCGUAUAGAUCAUAAAAAGAAAAAACUAAAACAUCCACAAAAAAUAUGUCAAACACUAAACACAAAAUUCAUAGUUGUAGAGGAGGAUUAGAUACAUUGGUCCCAUAAUGAAAAAAUCAUCACUUGUGUUAAUUAAAGCAAGAAUAAAUGAAGUUAUGGAUGAACAAAUAUGGAAACCAAAUUAGAAAAAUGAUGGAUCAAAAGGGAUGAGUAAACUAAUCAAUCAUUUUUAUUAGUUUUCAAGUUGAGGCUUAUAUAUAUAUAUAUGCAGAGUUAGAAAUACUACAAAAGGUUGACAUUUUUUAAAAGUAUGAUAAUUUGAAUAGAAGUAACAUAUGUUAAUGUGGAGUAAUUGUUCCAUAUAAUCCUUUUUAUGAUGAAAUGAUUGCUUAAUUUACUUCAUAAGAUCUUACAUUUUCUAACUGCAUAAUAAUGACUGUAAGGUUUUAAUCUUUUAAGGUAAAUUUUAUUUUAUUUACUUAAAAAUAUUGUAUAAAUUUAAUAACAAAAAGGAGAAUAAAAGAAAUAUGAAAUUAUACCUGUCAAUUUGUUAGUGAAAAGAUAAAACUCUCGAAUAGAAGUCAAGUUUCUAAUAACAAGAGGAAUUUCACCUGAAAUGUAUAAUUAAAUCAGUAAAUAUUUGUAAAUAUUUUCCUAGCAAACCCUUAAUUUAUUUGUUGAGCAUAUUAGUGUCUGUUGAUUUACCUAUUUUUAAAUAUGCAAGUUUUGUUUAGUUUUAUAGUACUUAUGACAACCCAAAAUUAUUUUAAUUUUAAUACUUGAAUUUAUAGUUGAAAUGAAGAUGACAAUUAGAAGGAAUUGAUUAGUAAUAUAUAGCACCUGGUGGAGGAGGGAAAAUACCAAAAUGAGCUUUAUAAAAUGCAGUGUUUCGGGAAUAUAGAAAGUUGAAGCUACAAGUCUUAUCUCCCUGAAGUUGCAGUGGAGCAGACCAAAUAUAACAGAUUUUGUUCUUUGAGAAACUACAAAUUACAAAUCCUAUCUCCCGGACGUUGCGGUGGAAUGGAUCGAAGCAAUUCCUAUACCUCUGAAGAUGCAGCAGGAUGGAAUGAGAUUACUGGAAGAGAAGAGCACCAAGACCCAGCACGACCGGACAAAAUUGGUCAUUUUAAAGUCUUUGCUCUGUUCCCGUUGCACGACAACGAGCAAAGAGGGGUAGUUGUAAUACCCAAUUUGCCCGACCCAAUAAAAAUAAAAACAAAAUUUAUUAAAGUCCAUUUACAUUGGCCCAAUAGCUUAAAAACCAAAUAAAAUAACAGUCCAAAAACAACCCAAUCACGAGGGCCCCAGUUACCAGCCCAAUUCGGCCCACUAGCCUAAACACCUAAUGGCCCAACGCAGCCCAAAUCUCAACCUAAUUGCAGAAACCCUAGUGGCGAGCAAGCCCCAGCGCCGCAUCAGCCCCAACUCCUCCGCGCGUGCCAAGCCUCUGCCCACACGCAUGCGCCUUUGCCUCCGUAAAUGCCACGCCCCCAGCCUUGCACUCCGUACCUGCAAGAGACGAACAAACGAGCAGUAAAAACAGACAAUAACGGCAAAAAAGGAGCAGCGAUGAGGGAUUGACAGCAAAAAUUAGCAGUAAAUAGAAAAUGUAAAAAAUUUUAAAAUUUCUUUGUCUCUAUUCAGCUAUAAAAAGUUCCGAUUGAAAUUUGUAAGACUUACGCAAUCAAAAAUACAAAAAAAAAUCACAAUACCACAAGGUGAUUCCUUUUUUUUCUUUCGCAAAUUGUUUCUUUUGUUUCUUUCAUUUUUACAUCUAUUGAUGGCUUGUGGAAGUAGUAAAAGAGAAAGGGCGUACCUCGUGACCGGAUCUGUUGCUCUUUCUCCGUUGUCAUCGGAGUUUGGGGCAUGGUCCGGAGAGUCUCUGAAGGAGGCGAUAAACGUUGAGCGGCGCCGAGAGAGAGAGCUUAAGUUUUUUUAAAUGAGAUAAAAGUGUUAGGUUAGGUUUUUUUUUUGUUUUAGUCUUAAUCACCGGAUUUAAAACGGUGCCGUUUGAUGACCAAACCCGAGCGGUGACCCGACCCGGGAAGGAUCCGCGCACUAUGGGUCGUUUGGUUUAUUUAUUCAAUAGGUCCAUAUGUGUUUAUUGAGAUUGCGAUUUGAUUUCCUUUAGUUGUUUGUAAUUUGUACCGCAUAUUUGAUUCUGUACUCACUUAGAUCCAAACUUAAACUGUGCUGUUUUCUAUGUUAUUUUGAUUAUUUUAAAUUUUUGCGCUAAAUUGCUAUAACAGUCCCUAUGAUUUCUAAUGAUUUUCAAUGCGGAUGUUGGCUCAUUUAUUUCAAAUUAACUCUUAAAAUUUUGUUUGAUUUCAAAAUAGAUCCACUUUCAUUAAACUAAUUGGUUUAUUAUCAUUAAUUUCAUUUGUUGUUAUUAUUUUAAUAGUAUAUAUAUAUAUAUUAGUUAACCUAAUUUUUCUAUAAAUUCAUAAUAUUUCAUAUUUUCAUAUAUAUGUAUAUAUAGCAUGUGUUUUAGUAUACGUAUGUAUAUAUAUAAUAAUCUAUUAUUAAUUUCAAAUGAUAUUUUUAUGCAUAAAAACCUUAUUCCUUUUAAAUUUGUUAUCUUAUUUUAGUUAUUUAACUUUUAUAUAUUAUUACUGUAUAUACUUUUUUUAUUAAGUUUUAUUUAUAUAAAUCCAAAUGUAAACAUUAAUGUUAAGCUAUUCACUUUUAUUUUAUUUCAUGUUUUUCUAUAUUUUUCUCUUUUUUAAAAUUUAUGCAAACCUUUUAUUUGUUUUUUUUUUAACUCAGCAACUAAUGUUCAAUAUUCUAUAAAUACAAAAAAAACUCUAAUCUUCUUUUACAAGUAAAAGACGGUGAUAGUCUCCAAGAGAAAGAGACAAGUAAGGAGGGUGUAGGCAAACAAUACAUUCAUUACAUAUUUAUUUUUGCAUGUCUCAUUUUAUUUACUGUCACUACACAUUUUAUAUAUAUAUAAAUUAUUAAAUAUUAAAUUUUAUAUAUAAAAAAAAUCCACAUCUUACUUAUUUUAUUAAUACAUAAACAGUAAAUCGUUUAGAUGAUUUCAAGUUAAAAAAUAUAUAUUUUAAAUUUUAUGUGGAUUCUUUUAAGUUCAAUAUUCAAAUUAUUGCUCUCUUUUUACUUGUACCAAUAUUUCCUAUAUUUUUCUUAUGUUAAAAUAGUCAAACUAUUAAAUAUAUAAUUAAUUGGAGAGAAGUCAAAAGCUAAUUAAUAAUAUAUAGGGAUUGCAUAAAUGUAACAACAAAAAGAAAAAAAUGAUAUUAUACCUGAUAAGUUAUUAUAAGAAAAAAAUCAAACGGAUAGAAAUAGCUGAGUUACAAGUUUGAUGUUAAUUCAAUAAAUUUUUUAAAAAAAAAACAUAUUAUUUCCAAAAGGGUAAGAAAUAGGUCCAAAUUAUAAUUUAGAAUAUAAAUUAAUUUAAUGUAAAAUUUAAAUAAAAUUGAAAAUUUUUGUUAUUAUCAAAUAAAUUUUCUUAAUAAAAUACUCUUAGUGAAAUUAGAAGUCUUACUUAUAAAUGGUAACUUUUAUUAACAAAAAAAAAUAUUUAUCUUUGUGCUAGAAGAAAACACCGCAUAGAUCAUAAAAAGGAAAAACUAAAACAUCCAAAAAAAAAUAUGUCAAACACUAAACACAAAAUUCAUAGUUAUAGAGGAGGAUUAGAUACAUUGGUCCCAUAAUGAAGAAAUCAUCACUUCUGUUAAUUAAAGAAAGAACAAAUGAAGUUAUGGAUGAACAAAUAUGGGAACAAAAGAAAAAUGAUGGAUCAAAAGGGACGAAUAAAUUAAUCAAUCAAUUUUAUUAGUUUUCGAGUUGAGGCUUAUAUAUAUAAUAUAUAUGUCGAGUUAGAAAUACUACAAAAGGUUGACAUUUUUUAAAAAUAUGAUAAUUUGAAUAGAAGUAACAUGCUAAUGUGGAGUAAUUGUUCUAUAUAAUCCUUUUUAUGAUGAAAUGAUUGCUUACUUUUCUUCAUAACUUCUUACAUUUAGGCAUAAUAAUGAGGUUUUAAUCUUUUAAGGUAACUUUUAUUUUAUUUACUUAAAAAUUUGCAUAAAUUUAAUAAAAAAGAAUAAAAGAAACAUAAAAUUAUACCUAUCAAUUUGUUAUUGCUAAGAUAAAGUGAUUAGAGAGAAGUCAAGUUUCUAAUAACAAGAGGAAUUUCACCUGAAACGUAUAAUUAAAUCGGUCCAAAUUUGUAAAUAUUUUCCUAACAAACCCUUAAUUUAUUUGUUGAGCAUAUUAGUGUCUGUUUCGUUUACCUAUUUUUAAAUAUGCAAGUUUUGUUUAGUCUUAUAGUACUUAUGAUAACCCAAAAAUAUUUUAAUUAUAAUACUCAAAUUAACAAUGUAAGAGCCCAUUUUUGCCCGGGCCCAAUAACAAAUAACCCACAAAAAAAUAAUGCCCACAGUCCAAAAUUAUCUUACGAGCCCAAAAUAUAACAGCCCAAAGCCCAACAAACUAAUUUUUUUUUCAGCAAAAACCCUAACCCUAGCCUCCAAGCGCCGCAACCUUUACUGCCCAUGUGUGCCGCUCCACCUCCUCACGCACACGCCCUGCCACCACCGUCGGUCUGACACCUGCAAAAAGGAGACCCACACGCAACAGUAAAAUAGCCAAGCAACAAGACGCCAAGGAAAAUAGAAAUCAAGGGUUUGUAACGUGGCUAUAAAGGCCAAGAUAAUCUUGUUGUAAUUUUUUUACGCACACCAGUGAAUUGAAACUCAGAAACCAAAUUCUAAAGGUUGAUAUUUUUUUCUUUUGCAAACUGUUCUUUUCGUUUUUCUUUCUGUUAUUCUUUCUAUUUACUUUUUUUUUUAAAAAAUCUAUAAUAAAAAAGGUUAGCAAAUAAGAUAAAAAAAAGAAAAAGGAAAGAAAUACCUGAAUCGGCCCUUGGACCGGCCGGCGUUGGUCCAUUGCCGUCGUCGGAUUCGGGCUCGAGAGGGGGCCAAAGACCUUGUUUUCUCCUUGACUUCCCUUUUCAAAGUUACGGCGCUCUGAAUAUGCCUCAAAAGCACGGAUCGGGGAUUCCGUAGCGCGACGCCGACCAUCGGCCAUGGCGGCGAUUAGGAGCGGUCGAGAAAAGGGGUUGAGGGGAUUUGGGAUCCUCAGUUUUUUUAAAAAGAAAGAAAUGGGGGCUGAUUUCUCUUUUUUAGGGUUUUAUUUUUUUCUAUUUAUAUGAGAUUCUAAACUGUGCCGUUUGAAAGCUUGGAUAGCUGCGCAUUAUUGUCUUAAUGGGUACUUUACGCAAUUAGUCCCUCCAAUUCUGUGGACAUUCGAUGCACUCUUUUAUUUUCCUUAAUUUUGGCCACAUAAUUUGGCGCCUGUUCCAAUCUGGUCCUGCACAAAACGAUACGCAUAAGGGCUGGGGAAUAUUUCUCUAUAAGUCCCUAAUUCUUUGAGCGCGUCCCAAUUCAGUCUCGAACCACCCUCUUUUAUUUAUUUACAGUUUGGACCCCCAGAUUUUGGCUUGAUUUUAAUUUCAUCCUUUAGUUCAUUUAAUUUAUUAUUUUUAAAAAAAAGAAAAGAAAAGGGGAGUUCCUUUAUUAUUUAUUUUAAGUUAUAUAUAUAUGUGUGUAUAUUUUAUUUACCUAAUAUUUUUCUUAUUGUUUGUAUUACUUGAUUUAAGUCAUUAUAUAUACGUACAUGUGUUUUUUAUAAUACAUAUAUACACGUACAUAUUUUUCUAUAAUAUAUAUAUAUACUCAUAUACAUUUCUUACUAUAUCUUAUAAUUUAUAUAUAUAUGUACAUAUUCUUUAUUUAUUUUAAAUAUAUAUUUUUUAUAUUUCAUAUUUUCUACAUGCAUAUAUAUACUUAUAUAUUUACAUAUUUUAAUUCAUAUACCUAUACAUGUAUAUAGAUACUUACAUAUAUUUUUAUAUUUAAUAAUCUCACAAUAUGUAUACGUACAUAGAUUUUUCAUAUUUUCAUAAUUUUGUGUACAUUCAUGUAUAUACGUUUUUUACAUCUAUUCGUUAUUUAUUUAUUUAUUUAUUUACAUUUUCAUUAUUAUUUAGAAAGGAGGAUUCAAUUUUAUUUGCCUAUGUACUCGUCCCUUUUAUUAUCUUAUUUUCGUUGCUAUUGCUCGUGUUGUUUUUAUGCAAUCAUAUUCAUUAUUGUUUUGCUAUGCAUAUUAACACCAUACAUCAAAAAGAAAAUUUUUUCUAAAUAAGGCAAUGUUUUGCGUUUGGAAAAUCGAGAAAACGUGCCCUAACGUGCUGGGUUUCGAUUUCUCGUUCGACCAAAAUAGCCAAAUAUCCUUUUUAAACUUUCAAAAUAAGGCAAUAUUUCGUAUUUAGAAAAUUCGAGAAAAUCGUGCCCUAACUUACUGAGCUUCGAUUUUUCUCGCGUUGAUCCUAAAUAACCGAAUAUCCUUUUAAAAUUGAAAUAAAUGAGGUUUAAACAGAAAAAUAAAAAGGCAAACUUAUUCUCAAAAUACGAGAUGUCGGGUCCUAACUUACUGGAUGUGACAUCUUCUUACUUCGAGAUAAGGAAGCAUUUUCUAUUUUUAUUAAUUCGAGUAAUUUUAAAAUAACACAAUAAAGAGGGAUCGUAUUUUUAAAUUCUUUUCGAGUUUUUAAUCUUCAACACUGAGACAUUAAUUAAUCAACUAGGUACCAAUUUUGGGCGUAUCGAGGGUGCUAAUCCUUCCUCGUGCGUAAUCGACUCCCGAACCUGUUUUUUUCCUGAAUUUCGGAAACCAAAAUUAUUGUUUUAAUAAAUCAAAUCAUUUAUUAAAAUAAUGACUUUUCGAGGUGAUCCGAUCACACCUCAUCAAAAAGGAUUGGUGGCGACUCCUGUUUUCGUUUUCGUUUUCAAAAACCAAGUCGACCACGUUUUAUAAAAAAAUGGUGUCAACAGCUUGGCGACUCCACUGGGGACCAAAUAAGAUAGUCAAGCCACGUGUUGAUUAUUUCUUGUCUUUUUGUCGAAAGUUGAAAAUUCGAUUUAAAUUUACGAUCCUAUCAUUGCAUCUCUUUUGUUUUGAGUUAUAUUUUUCAUCGUGUUCUGUAUUUUAUUUUUAUAUCUCUGCAAAUUGCAUUGCAUGACCGCUGGUCACACCCUUUUAAGUGGGAGUGAGAAACUAGUCCUUCGUGAGGUUUUCACCUCCGUGCAGGAUAGUGGAUUGCUUUCGGGAUACAUCCAUACCUAUGUCUUCGUGAGAUUUUCAUCUCCGUGCAGCCAUAGGGAAAUGUAUUCCCCUGAGCCAAACUCAAUCCGUAUAAGCAUAUAAUGGGUGAGGAUCGAGGAAUCUGCUGGUUCGGGUACCCUUGCUUUAGAACUAAACCACAUAUAGUGAACCUAAGAGCAUACCCUAGGUAGAACCACUUCAAACCCCUACUGGUCACCCGAAUAGACGUUUUAUUUAUUCUUGCUUGCUUUUGCUUUGUACUAACCUGUUUUCUUUUUGGUUAUGAUUGCAUUACAUUUUCGUCAUAAAAAGAGAUGUUGAUUCACGUUCAGUUGCUAAAUAGAGAGCUUGUCAUAAGAAAAUGGGUUUCUUGAUAAAAUGGAUAACAAUACGGUUGUCCUAAUAUGGUCUAAGAAAGUGUGAUAAAAGAAGAAUGAUAGUUUACUGGAGGAGUACACGACCUUGCCUCGUUGCCCGAAGACUCAAACUGACGAAGAUUAUUCGGGAGUUACUAACACAGCUAAUGACGCGAUGACGAAUGACCAAUGGGGUACGACUCGGAUCAAGCAAACAUGGAGGUAGAAGAGGCACCCAUUGGGAGAGUUUACGAGAUUCGAUCUUAGCAUUUGGACAUAAGGAUCGAUGUCUUCACUUCGAGUAUUAGGGCAAUAUAUAUAUCUGCUUUAUGUAAAGAGAUCUGUUUUCUAGUAAAGUUGUUCUAAUAGAUUUGAACCAAAAUCAACGUCUCUUUUUGCAUUCAUAUAUAUGCAUUACAUUUUAUUGCAUGCAUCUUCUCCAUUCAUUAACAUUACAUUUCAUUGCAUACAAUAAUUUUCCUAAAAUCCAAAAGUGCAUUAAGUUUAGAACUCUAGUACAGAACUCUAGAAUUGGAAUUCUUCGGAGAUAUCUAUGGUAAGGAAUGAUGUUCGUGCCUUUGAAGAAGGAACUAAAAAAUUAUCAAGAAUUUGUUUCUACAUCCCUAGAGGCAUUCUAAACAACCGGACUGUGAAGGAGAUUCUUGUAAUUUUUAGGACCAUUUCAGAGAAAUAUUUGGAAUGCUCUUAUUGCACUAAGCCUAUGAGCAAUAGAAAAUCCUUUUGUGAAAAAGGCACACGUCCACUAUUCUUUAUUUCAACGAAAUGCAUCUUUGUGUCUUGUUUUGGCAAACAUUCUUUUGUUCCUUCCAUUUCAUUCACACUCAUACCACACAAAAGCUCUUUGAGUCUUCCUUUAUCCUUAGAACAGGUCUCUAGAUAUCAAUGAUAUGAGCAACACUGCUAUUGACUCAGAAUCUUCUUUUGAGCAAGAUAUGUGUCCAGAGGUACCUCAGGACUUUGAAGAUGACCGAGACUGUGGUUUAUCUCCUGAUUUGUUAAGGAUGGUAGAAUAAGUCAAAACAGAUCCUACCUUACAAAAAAAAUCAGCGGAGAUUGUGGGCUUAAGAGAAAAGAAAGAGGUGAAGAUCGGAGCAUGUAUCACUGCAAAGAGAAAGCGAGAUGUCAUUAAGUUACUCUAAGAAUUUAAAGAUGUUUUCGCAUGAUCAAGAUAUGCAUGAUCUGCUAAGACAUGUGGAUGCUGUUGAGACUAAGAAAUAUUAGAAAAGGUCCAUAAGGGUGCCUGAGGAACACAUGCUAAUAGUUUUGCAAUGGCCAAGAAAAUCAUGAGAUAUGGUUACUACUAGUCCACCAUGGAAGGGGAUUGCAUCAGUUAUGCCAAGUGUCAAAUUUGUGGAGUCAAGAUUUAAGUGCUUUCUUCAUCUCUUCAUGUUAUUACUCUUCCAUGACCUUGUUCUAUGAGGGGCAUGGAUGUCAUCAAAUUGAUCGAGCCGAAAGCUUUCGGUGGUCAUCGAGUCAUUUUUGUGGUCAUCGAUUACUUCACUAAGUGGGUGAAAGUUGCUUCAUAUGCCGGUCUCAAAAUGGACAGUCAGCAAAUUCCUGAAAAAGAAAUCAUAUGUCGGUAUGGAAUGCCAAAAGGCUCAUAUCAGACAAUGCAUUGAAUUUGAACAACGGCACGACAUCAGAAGUUUGCAGUCUAUUCAAGAUUAACACCAUGUCGCCCAAAAUGAACAGUUUAGUGGAGGUAAAAAAAUAGAAAAACAAAAAAAGCAAAAACAAAAAAAUAAAAAAAUGCGAAAACAAAAAAUAAAACAAAAAAACCUCUACCGGGGCACCUCAUUUCUCAUUGGUAUAUGGAAUAGAGGCAGUCUUACCCAUCGAAGGUGAUAUUUCUUCCCUUUCGAGUCUUGUCAGAGUUGAAGUUGGAUGAAGCAGAAUGGAUCCAAGCCCGAUAUGAUCAGUUAAAUUUGAUCGAAGAGUAAAGGUUGAAAGCUAUCCGUCAUGGUCAAAUGUACCAAAAGGGAAUGAUACGAGUUCACCAAAAAAGGUUCGCUCCAGAGAAUUCUAUGAGGGGGACCUGAUAUUGAAGAAGAUCUUUCCCAUACAAAAGGACUUCAGAAGAAAGUGGAUGUCAAACUGGAAAGGACCUUAUGAGGAAGGCCUUAUCUGGAAAAGCGUCGAUAUUGACCAAGAUGGAUGGCAAGAACCUGCCUAAUCUUGAGAAUUCUGAUUCAAGCAAUACAUACUUCACUUGAAAAAGAAACGAAACAAAAAAACAAAACAAAAAAGAAAAAGAAAAAGACAAAGAAAAAGGAGAGGCUAAGGUGAAAACCCGCAAAGGGCGCCUUGAGACCAAAGGGGUUUUGAAUUGAAAACCCAGGAAUGGGCAAUUCAAAUUUUUUGAUCAAAGGUGGGGCAUGCGGUAGUCUUGUCCUCUCUGAAUUAAUAAGAAGGAGAGAUACUACAUCUUAGGGCAUCAACAAAGUCUUUUAGGACUUCUAAACACAUAUCAAGUUCAAAAGGGUCUUCAAUGAGCUCGGGGCAGAGAAGCUCAUGCUACGAUAUAUGGAGCACCUAUUUCCAUUUUAUUCAUUUUUUUUGGUAUUUUUGACAAAAUACGCCAUCUUGAUUAAUUUAUUCUCAUUUUGUAUUCUAGCAAAAUUUGCUAUCUUGAUUAAUUUGUUCAUUUAGAGCUUUGCUCUCAAUAAAUUUCCAUCUUAUCAAUUGUGAUAAUAUUUUUCAUCUUAUUCAUCUCGUAUAUCAGCAAAAUUUGAUAUCUUGAUUGAUUUAUUUGUUUAGAGCUUUGCUCUCAACAAAAUUUCAUUUUGUCCAUUUUGAUAAUCUUUUUCAAGCAUUUUUCAUUGAAAUAACGAUUAUUGGACUGAUAAUAUUCAAGCAGAAGGAGUUCUGCAUAUUACUUUGAAAACUUUUAAAUAGUACGAGGACCUGAAACAGGGUUAUUGUUUAGAACUAACCAACUUAAGGGUUAGAAGCAUUGGAGAAAGAAUAGUCUAAAUUGCGACUAUUUCUUUAGGUUUUCUGUCAAAGAUACCGGCUGAACAAGAAGACAUCAGUGAUAGAACCUUGAUGAACAAUGAGGAAUGACAACCUAAGCAUUAAAAAUGGAUCAUUCUUAUGACAUUCUACAAAUAUCAUACAUACAUAUCUAGUUAGGAGCAUUUGAUUUAUUCUGAUCAUGUCAUCCUAAACACUAGGCAUAAAUAGGUCCAUAAAAUAGAUUUUACCGGUCAUGUUCCCCAGAGAACAGAUCAAAGAAACAGAUCAUAUACCCCUGAAGUUGCAGUGGGAUGGAUUGAAGUUAUUAAAGUAGAUCUUGUCUUCAUGUAUUGGCGUAAAGUAGAUCGAAGAUAGCAGGUCAUGCCUUCCUAUAUUGGUAGGAAGUGGAUCGAAGAUGCAGAUCUUGUCUUCUCGUGUUGGCAGUGAAGUAGAUUGAAGAUAGCAGGUCUUGUCUUCCUAUAUUGGUAGGAAGUGGAUCGAAGAUGCAGAUCUUGUCUUCUCGUGUUGGCAGUGAAGUAGAUUGAAGAUAGCAGGUCUUGUCUUCCUAUAUUGGUAGGAAGUGGAUCAAAGAUGCAGAUCUUGUCUUCCCAUACUGGUGGUGAAGUAGAUCGAAGAAAGCAAAUCUUGUCUUCAUGCAUUGGCGUGAAGUAGAUCGAAAAUGCAGAUCUUGUCUUCCCAUAUUGGUGGCGGAGUAGAUCAAAUAUGCAGAUCUUGUCUUCCCAUACUGGUGGCGAAGUGGAUCGAAGAAAACAGAUCUUAUCUCUCUGAAGUUGCAGUAGAGCAGAUCAUAUCAAACCUUAUCUCUCUGGCGAUGCAGUGAAGCAGAUUAAAACUACAACGGCGAAUCUUGUUUCCCCGACAUUGCAAUUAAAAAGAUUAAAGCCGUAACGGCAAAUCUUACUUCCAUGGCGAUGCAGUGGAGCAGAUUAAAGCUACGACGGUGAAUCUUGCUUCCCCGACAUUGCAAUUUAAAAGAUUGAAGCCGCAACGACGAAUCUUACUUCCUUGGUGGUGCAGCAGAACUGAUUAAAGCUACAACAGCGAAUCUUGCUUCCCCGACAUUGCAGUUAAUCAAACUAAAAAUAACAGAUCUUAUCUCCCUAAGCAGUAGGGAUCAGAUCGCAUCAAGUCUUAUCUCCCUAAGCAGUAGUGGAGCAGAUAAAAAAACCAAUCCUAUCUCCCUGAAGUUACAGUGGAACGGAUUAAAACCACAGAUCUUAUCUCCCUAAGCAGUAGUGGAGUAGAUUGCAUCAAAUCUUAUCUCCCUAAGCAGUAGUGGAGUAGACGAAAAAAACCAAUCCUAUCUCCUUGAAGUUACAGUGGAGCGGAUUAAAACCACAGAUCUUAUCUCCCUAAGCAGUAGUGGAGCAGACGAAAAAAACCAAUCCUAUCUCCCUGAAGUUGCAGUGGAGUGGAUUAAAACCACAGAUCUUAUCUCUCUAAGCAGUAGUGGAGCAGACAGAACCACAGAUCUUAUCUCCCUAAGCAGUAGUGGAGCAGACAGAACCACAGAUCUUAUCUCCCUAAGUAGUAGUGGAGCAGAUCACCUCAAGUCUUAUCUCCCUAAGCAGUAGUGGAGCAGGCAGAAAAAAAAUCCUAUCUCCUUGAAGUUGUAGUGGAGCGGAUUAAAAACACAGAUCUUAUCUCUCUAAAGUUGCAGUAGAGCAGAUCACAUCCAGUCUUAUUUCUCUGAAGUUGCAGUGGAGCAGACUAAAACCACAAAUCUCAUCCCCAUGGAGUUGCAGCAGAGUAGAUUGAAGUCAUAUCUCUCUAAAGAUACCGUGAAAUGGAUCAAAGCAAUAAGACGCAGUGGACUGGAAUGAAGCUAAUUGAAGAAGAGAAACACCAGAACGAGUCGAGAAUCAGCGAGACCGGGCAAUUUUGGUUUUUCUUAAAAGUCUUUGCUUCAUUCCCGUUGCACGACAACGAGCAAAGAGGGCUCAGCUGUAAAGCCCAAAAUCUGCCCGGGCCCAACACAUUCAAAACAGCCCAAUUAUAAAAAAACAAGCCCAGAUUCCUAACCCAAAUCAAAACUAAACCCUAGCCCAACUAAAACUAAAAAUUAUCAGCCAAGGGGAACCCUAGCCUCUGCUGCUCCUCCCUAGGCGCCGCAUGCCUGCCCCUAGCCUCUGCCGCUGCCUGCCACCACCAUAUGCGCCACUCCCGCUCCACCACGCGUCUGACAGCUGUAAGACCAAGGCAGCACGCAAUAACAAAUAAAAAACAAUGUAAAAAACAAAACAGAGAUUAAAGUGUUUGUAAUCGGGUUAUAAAAUCCCUAAGCACUGCUUCUAUUUCUUCUUCUUCGGCUUUUGACAAAAGAUUAAUAAAAAAAGAAACAGAACACCGAUUUUCAAAGGUGAAAUUUCAUUUUUUUCUUUUCUUUUUCUGUUUGAGUUUUUUAUUUUCGCAUAUUAAAUAAGUAAUAAAAGAGAAGGGAAAGGGGAUUACAUGAAUCGGCCUUUAGGCCCGCUGCCGAUGGCGCUUCACCGUCACCGGAUGUGGAUUUAAAGAUAGGCCAAGGCUUUUUUUCCCCUCGGUCCCUUGUUCCGUGGCCUCAACCUCCGAAUACGCUUCAGUGCGCUGAGGGGUGACGUCCUCGCAUGGCUCCGGCCACCGGGCAGUGGAGGCGUGACAGCGGCGGGGUUCCUAGCCUUGGAACCCUAGCAGGAAAGGGGACUUCCAUUGUAAAUUUUUUUUGUGUUCCUUGACAGCAAAUGAAACAACAGAAAAAAAGCAAAAUUUUUUAGUUUUAUAGUAAUUAAAACGGCGCCGUUUGAAGGAAGGAGGGCUGCGCAUUAUUGCCCUAAUGGGUAUUUUACACAAUUAGUCCCUCCAAUUCUUUGGCACAUUCGAUGCAGCCUUUUAUUUCACUUAAUUUCGGCCACAAAAUUUUGCGUCUGUUCUGAUCUAGUCCUUCACAAAAUGACGCGCAUGAAGACUGGGGAAUAUUUCCCAUGUAGUCCCUCGUGUUUUGAGCGCACUUUAUUUCAGUCCCUUGACACCCUGUUUUACUUAUUUGCGAAUUUGGCCCUAAAUUUUUAGCCUGAUUUCAAUUUGAUCCUCGGCCUGUUGAACCUUAUUUUUUAUUUUAUGUAUUUAUUUUAAAAAAAGGGAAAAAAAUCAGUUUUAUUUAAUAUUAUUUACUUAUUUAUUUUCAAUUUUUUGGUCAACUUGCAUUAGUUCAUAUUCAAUUUAUUAUUCUUUUUUAUAUGUAUUAGUUUGUGUAUUUUAUAUAUGUCAUUAUUAUUACUAUCAUUUCAUUAUCUAAUUACUUGCUAAUCUUCAAAUUUUUUUUAAAUGUUGGAUUCCUUGAUAUCAUCUUUAUUGUAGUUUAUUAUUGUUGUUGUUGUUGGGCAUGUCAUACAUAUUGUUAUUAUUAUUACUUGUGUUAUCGUUAGCAUUAUCCUUAUUAUUGUUCGUGUUCGUUAACCUUGUGAUUCAUGGGUGACAAUGUUAUGCAUGUUACAUUUUAUUAUGUACAUUAUGUCAUGGCUAUUUCAAAUGUAUGUCGCACUAUUGUAUUUAGCCACGUAUAACUCCUUUUACGUAUUAAACGACUUCUCUAAAAACCAAUGAAUUAAACGUGUAUUUGUUUUUACAUUUCGCUAUUCUUUUACCCAAAUUCGAAACAAAUUUCAAAAUAAGGCAAUGUUUCGCGUUUUGGAAAUUCGAGAAAUUGUACCCUAACUUACUGGGUCUCAAUAUUCUCGUUAAACCAAAAUAGCAAAAUAUCCUUUUAAAUUUCCAAACACAUAAAAUUUCAAUAAAAAUCAAAGGCAAACUCAGCCUCAAGAGUUCAAAAGUAUUGUAUUCUAACUCACUAGAUGUGACAUUUUGUUAUCUCAAGGUAAGGAUUUCUAAAAACGCAAAGGUAAUAUUCUGCAUGUGGAAUCUUGAGAAAUCGAGCCCUAACUUACUGGGUUCCGAUUUUUUUAUUUGACCCAAGUGACCGAAUAUCCUUUUAAAACUGAAAUUAAUGUUUUAAAUAAAAAAAUAAAAAGCAAGCUUACUCUCAAAAUACGAGGUGCCGUGUCCUAACUUACUGGAUGUGACAUCUUGUUAAUUCGAGAUAAGAAGGCAUUUUUCAUUUUGAUUUAUUCAAGUAAUUUUAAAAUAACACAAUAUAAAGAGGGAUCGUAUUUUUAAAUUAUUUUCGAUUUUUUAAUUUUCGACACCAAGACAUUAAGUAAUCAACUAGGUACCAAUUUUGGGCGUAUCGAGGGUGCUAAUCCUUCCUCGUGCGUAACUGACUCCCGAACCUGUUUCUUUUAGUUUCGCAGACCAAAAGCAUUAUUUUAAUAAAUUAAAUCGUUUAUUAAAAACAACUACUUUUCGAGGUGACUCAAUCACACCUCAUCAAAAAAGAUUGGUGGCGACUCCCAUUUUCAUUUUUUUAAAAUCCAAGUCGACCCCGUUUCAUCAAAAAAAAUGGUGUCAACACCUAUAUUUAUAGGCUUACAUAGAAACUAACUUAACACAAAAAUAGCUAACAACUUAUUUGAUAAAACUAAAAAAUUUGAAACUACCAAGAUUUUCUAAACAUCCCACUAAUCUGUUAUUUUGAAUUAAUUCUCAACAGGAAAUUGAUGUACAAUUAUUUUACUUUGAAUGCAUGAGUCUAUGGUAAGGAAGGGGUCCCAGCAGUAAGUUAAAAUGGUAAGUGUUGAAACAAAAAAUAAAAGUAAUGUAACUGCUGUGGGUCUUAUGGAAUUAGUAUGAUUUAACGAUGAUGGGGUCUCAUGGUGCUUUGGAAUCAUCGUUUUUUUAAGAUGAUUUGAUUUGGUGAAAGGGAGGGGGCUAGAUGUGGGUAUUUGGUUGCAUCUUUAUUGUUGUACAAAAGUCUUGCCAGUUGGAGGAUCAACUAUCCUUUUAAUUUUAGUAAAAAUUAUAUAUGAACUUGUGAACUUGUAUUCAAAUUGAAUCUUUCCAUUGAGUCGCUCUUGCAAGUAGAACAUGGCAGCUGACGAUUCCUCUAUAAUAAAUACUUUUCUUAGAGCAGGAUUCUUUAUAUUCAACCUUUUUUGUUGUGCGAAAAGAACAUGAUUGUCCAAUGAAUUGUGUAAGUCAAGAUGUUUGCGAUUUGCUAAUGCAUGGAUUGAAUACCAGCAAGGAAUCCUUAAACCCUCUCUUCAUCCUUUGAGGUAAUGGAUUAAACUGUGGAGAAUAAUUAUUAAUUAUACCAGUUUUUAUACUUACUUUUACUUAAUUACUGUUCAAGCUAAAUCGAGUUUGCACAUUACGUUUGUUAGACUCAAAUAUGGCUUUUCCUUGCUAAUGUUUUUAGGGAUGGCCCGUUUGAGGUUCAAGUUUAGUCGGAUAGACUCAAAUAUGGUUUAGCUUUGCUAAUCCUUUUAGGGAUGGCAAAAGCAAGGGUGGAGAGAUGCACGUGUUUUGAGGCGUGGUGGUGAUAUUAGCAUCAGUGCUCAUCUGGUUUUCUUCUUAGGCCUGCCAUUUUGGUUUAUUGUUUGGUUCUGUUUUGCCUUGUGUUCCUCUGUUUUGUUCUGUUCCUGUGACGUUGGGCAUUUUUACCGUAGCUUUUAUGGCGAAUACUAAUUAAAAAAUGGCCUAAUUAUCAUGUGUUCCUUCCAAUUAGAUUUUAUAGACGGACCAUGGAGAUUUCAAAAUGUUGUAGGAAUCUAUGUUUUAAAAUUGUUUUCAGCGACCACCAAGUUUUCAAGCUUUUGACAAAUUGGCCAAAGUUGAUGGGAUAGAACCAAUGAAUUUGUUGAUGUAUAGAUACAAGCUGUGAUGUCUAGUGAAGUAAAAGGAUAUUUGUUGGCAUAGCUCUAUUGAAGUUGUUACGAAUAUUUCAACUGACCCAAAAUUUGUAAAAUUUGUAAAAUAUGAGGGUUAAAUAUUUUAAAACUUUGACUAAAUCAAUAUAAGAUGUAAAAGUUGAGGGCUAGAUUUAUAAUUAUACUAAUUUUUUUAACUACCACAUUACCCUCCCAUAGAGAUUUAAAGAAAUGGACAAAAAAAAUUCUCAAUUUAUUGGUUGAUCAAAUUAAAAAAACUGAUAGUUGGGUGAGCAAAUAAGAAAAAGGCGCGAUAGUUGGGUGACUUGAGGUGUAGUUUACCCGAAUAAUAAAAUAUAGUAAGGUAAACUAUAGAGUUAGUCACCCCACUAUUAGUGUGUUUCUGUUUUGGUCACCUAACUAUGAAAAUUUUCAAUUUAAUCACUAUUGCUUUAGAUCAUUUCUAUUUUGGCCACGUUUUAGAUUGUUUUUAUUUUACUCAAUCUUCGUUAAAUGGUUAACCAAAGUUAUGAUGUGACCUUUUUUUUAAAUAGUAUAGAAAACACAUUUAAUCUUCAAUACUUACACAUUCUAUCAAUUUGAUCCUCGAAUGCAUACAAUUAAAUAUAAAUUAUAUAUUAUGAAAACGUACAAAAUCUAAUUAUUUUUAUAUAUUUAUCUAAAUUAUAUUAUAUGUGCUUAUAUUUAAUUACAAUUAUAAGGUUAAAAUAUACAUUUAGCCCCUCGAACUUUGCACCUUCUCCCAUGUUGGUACUUAUGACUUUUUUGUCCCAUGUUGAUACUUAUUUUUUGUUACGAUAUUAAAUAUAGGACACAUGACACUCUUAGGAUGCCAUAAUCUAUUUUUUUUAUAAACAUAUAAUACAAAAUUUAAAAGAAAAUAUAUGAAAUUUAUAUAUAUUUUUUAAAAUAUAAAAUAAAUUACAAAUUAUAAAAAUAUAUGUACCUAAAAAAUUAAAAAUAUUACAAAAAUUAAAAAAAAUUAUAAUUCAAGUUGGAAAAAUCAAAGACCUAGAAAAUUUACACAUUUUUCUAAAUAAAUUGCAAACAAAUUAGAUAAAGAUAAAUUUUGAAAUAAAUUUUAUGUUUUCAAGUUAAUAUGAAUCCGCUUUGGAAGAGGCGAUUGAAUUGAUUAGGAAGAGUGGGAUUAGAAGGAAAAUUUUGGAAUUGUACAUUCGAAUCCGGUUGCUAGUGACUCGAGAAUCUGAAUAUGGUGAUGAUGGAAAAUGAACAUUUUAAAGGGAAGGAAGGAGCGAAUAAACGGCUGGUGGUGGCGAGAGGUGACUCGGUGCUGCCGGAGCGAGUUGUCAACUUGUCUCGAUUUUGUUUUAUAGUUUUAUUUUUUUCCUGCUUUUCUGAAGAGAGGAAACUAGAAUCCCAACUAUCUUCUCAACUAUCAGUUUUUUAAUUUUGCUCAUUCAACCGUUAAUUUUUUUAAUUUAGUUCAAAUUUUUUAAUUUAGUAGUCCAACUAAUCAAGAUUUUUUUUUGUCAAUUUCCGUUAAGUAGCAUUAAAUCUCUAAUGAGAGGACAUGACAGUUAAAAAUUGAUAUAAUAACAAAUUUAACUCUUAAUUUUUACAUUUUCUAUCAAUUAAGUCAUUAUUUUAAAAGAUUAAUCUUCAAGAUUUACAAAUAAUCUCAAUUUGAUCAUCAAAAUUUACCUUUUCUUUCCACUUCCUCCGCUACCACUAUCAUCAUUGCCUCUAGUUCUCCUCCACCUUUCUCCAAAAAAAGAAAAACUUUUUUUUUUCAAUCAUGUUCAAAUUUAAGGUAUUAUAAUUUUUUUAGUUAGAUGAAGCCUAAGCAAUUUAAAUAUAUGUGCUACUAUUUAACAAUAAAUUAGGUUGAAAUAGAAAGAGGAAAGGUAUGUUUUUUUUGGGAGAAAGGUGGAGGUGGAGGUAAUGAUGGUAAUGGCACGUGGUGAAGUAGAAGAGAAAAGUAAAUUUUGAUGAUCAAAUUGAGACUAUUUGUAAAAUUUGAGAGUUAAUAAUUUUAAAAUUUUGACUAAAUCAAUAUAAGAUGUAAAAUUUGAGAGCUAGAUUUAUAAUUAUACUCAUUUUUUAACUACAACAUUACCCUCCAUAGAGAUUUAAAGAAAUGGAAAAAAAUAUCAAUUAGUUGAGUGAUCAAAUUAAAAAAAUUGAUAAUUAAGUAAAUAAAAAAGAAAAAGGGGCAAUACUUUUAUAAAAAUAUUAAAUAUCAUGACACUCUUAGGAUGCCGUAAUCUAUUUUUUAUAAAAAUGUAAUAAAAAAUUUAAAAGAAACAAUAUUAAAUUUAUAUAGUUUUUUAAUGGGCAAAAUACCAAAAAAAGCCCUUUUUUAAAUUUAUCAAAAUGGGCCCGGUAUUUUAUUAUUUACCGGAAUGGACCCUUUUCCCUGAAAACGCGUCCCCGUCAGCGCGAUGUCAGGGGACGUGUCAGCAAAACGCGUCCCUGGGGGCGCGCUUUGCUUACAUGGACACAAAGCGCGCUUACAGGGACGGGCUUUGUUGCCACGUAGGCAAAGUCUGCCCCCAGGGACGCGUUUCGUUGCCACGUAGCGCGCCCCUGGGAAUGCCCGUGAACAGUGCAAUGGUCAUUUUUUUGACCGUUGCCCCCCGAACGGUAAAAAAACACUAUAAAACCCCCACCCUUUCAUUUUUUUCACAAACUAAUUCUCUCUCAAUUAUUUUCUCAAUUUCCUCUCAAUUUGCUCUCAAUUUACACUCAAUUUCCUUCCAAAUUUCUCUUAAAUCCAUAUUUAAUUUUAAUUUGCUCUCAAUUUCCUCUUAAAUUUCUCUUAAAUCCCUAUUUUUAAUUAUUUUUUAAAAAAAAUUUCAUUUUAAAAAAAAAUUUUAAAUCGUAAAAAAUUGUACGAAUUUAGCAAUGGCCAGAGAAUUGAUUCGUCUUGAUAACCAGCACAUAUCCGUCGAACAAAUGAAAAUGGUAAGUUUUAAAUUUAUUUUUUAAAUAUUAUUUAAGAUUUUUUUAUUUAUGCAUUUUUAGAUAAUUAUUAAUUUAUUAUUUGUUAUAAAAAUCUGUAGAUCGGAUAUUGUAAUGCUAUAUCCGGAAUAUGCAUGGUCCUCCAUCACCGUUGGUAGAGAAUUACCUGCGGGAAGUGGGUUUUUGGCACGUGGCGAAGGUAGGCCGGGGAUGCAAGUUGGACCCGAAACUUAUCAGUGCGUCGAUCGAGAGGUGGAGACCCGAGAUGCACACAUUCCAUCUUCCAUGUGGAGAGUGCACUAUCACUUUGGAAGAUGUCAAUCUGCAAUUGGGAUUGCCGGUGGAAGGGUACCCAAUCACCGGGUCAGUUCAAUUUGGCGAUUGGGGAGCGGUGUGCUACGAGCUUUUGGGCGCUAUUUCGGAGAAAAUUAACGGAGGUCGAAUCGAGAUGGGCUGGCUACGAGACACAUUCCUGGAGUCGGAUGAUGAUUCAACCGAAGUAGAAAGAAUUUGAUAUGCUCGGGCAUACAUUCUUCAGAUAAUUGGAGGUUAUCUGAUGCCGAACUUGUCACGGAAUCUCGUACAUCUAAGAUGGCUGUUGAAACUCGUUAAUUUUAGAGCAGCUAGUGAAUUGAGUUGGGGGUCUGCCGUCUUGGCAACAUUAUAUCAGGAGAUGUGCGGGGCGACGCGACUGAGUAAAGCAAAAAUCGGAGGUUGCCUGCCACUACUGCAGUCAUGGGCACAGUUUCGCUUUCCAUUUCUACGUCCUUAAGUGGACCACCCAUAUACAUUCCUACUCAUAACGAGGUAAAUUUUAUAUUAGAUUUUUUACAAAUAUUAUAUAAAUUUUUAAAAAUAAUAGUAUGUUAAAUUUUUUUUAAUUAGGUGGAACCAUCCGACAAGUUAUGCUCGAUUACCUACCACUCUUGAAGAUAUACGGCUUCUAUUAGACCAACAGUCGGAAGCACAUGUCAGUAUUAAAUAAAAUUUAUAUUUCCAUCAUAAGCUAGUCGAUUGGUAUUUAGUAUUUAGUAUUUAGUAUUAUGUAUAUAACAAAUAUUUCUAUCAUGUUCAUAUAGUUUCAAUAGACACCAUACGAGGAUCUGGCAAUUCAGGCAGUAAUUUCGGAUGAGUUCUUCCAAAAUCCAAACGCUUGGCACGAGAAAGUCGGGUUGAUCAGCUAUGCAACCGUGGAGAUGCACCAGUCAGAGAGUGUUACGACAAUUUGGAUGUAGACAACCGAUUCCCGUGGCAUCUGAGGUGUUUGAUGAUCAACACGAAAUUGACCUAUGGCAAUUGCAUACGGAUUGGCCAAGAUUCUGGUCCCACUACAUCCAAAUGUGGGAAGAUUGGUAUGAUUAUAUACCUACUCUGGAACCGACCAUCGUUCCGGAUUUAGCAUGCGUGCCAGAAUACAUGCCAUGGUUUAGGAUCCAUGGCAAGCCGUAUUUACUAUCAGUAGAGGAAAGGCAGUGGCAAUUACGUGUCCAAAGGGAAUGAUUUGGGCCUUUAAAUCCAAGACGAAGGGACGACGACGCAGGCUCAUCAACGAGUCCUAAACAUUCACCCGGCCCAUCAUCAACGGCCAUUAAAUCACCAGGCCCAGUGAGAGCACCGACACAGUCACCUGACCCAGCAGUUCAACCAACGAUACCCACAGCACAGCCUUUUCUAAUGAUGUCAGGUGCGUAUCCUAGCCCUUUUAUGUAUCCUAACCCUUAUAUGUUUCCUUUUUCGAGUCCUAUGGCAGGUUGGAGCCAAUGGCCUGGUUCAUCUCCAUUUUCUGUUAUGCAGAGUGGACCGCCGAUGUAUAGGCCAGCGUCACACGAGGGAUCGCAAGAGGGGCCGUCGGGGAGCUCUUCUUUUUACCAAUCUCCAUCACCGUAUGGGUUUCAAACACCGUCCCCGUUGGUGAUGCAAACACCUCCACAUUCACUAUUCUAUCAAGGUUGCUCAUCGUCCCAACACCGACAACCAGAUGCCCUACCGGAGGAAUCAGAAUCCCCGUCGGAGCAAUCACAACCCCCGCCGGAAGCUGGACGAAGGAGGAAUCCAGCGCGUAACUGUCAACGGCCGCGAUGUGGCACUGAAUCCAACGAGCAUGGAGAUUGAUUUGUAUUUUAAUAUAUAUGUACAAACAUUUUGAAUAUUUUGAUAUUAUUUGAUGCAAUAAAAUAAAAAUUUAUUUGAGUUAUUACUUAAAAACCCUAAACUAAUUUAUUAAAAAUUUAUAAAUUUAUAAUUUAUAAUUAAAUUUAUAAUUAAAUUGACAAACCCUAACAAAAACCCUAACCCUAACCCUAACCCUAAAAACCAUAAACCCUUAACUUAAAAACCCCAACCCUUAAUUUAAAAACCCUAACCUAAUUUAUUAAAAAAUUAUAAAUUAUAAAUUUAUAAUUAAAUUUAUAAUUUAAUUGACAAACCCUAACAAAAACCCUAACCCUAACCCAAACCCUAACAAAACCCCUGCUUGAAGCGUUUUUUAUACUAUUUUCUCAGAAACGUCAACUCGAAAUUAUUUUUUCAGUACCAACUGUAGCAAAAGCGCGUCUACGUGGGCGCAAUUUCAAAAAUUCUUCUGAUAAAGCAUCCUGCUUUGAUUUUAUCUUAAAAACCCAUAAACACGAAACCUAAUAUAAUUUUUAAAAAAUUAUAAUUAAUUUAAUUAAGAAACCCUAAACCCUAAUCCCUUAUUUAUUUAAUUUUUUCUCUAAAACCCUAAAACCCUAAACCCUAACCCUGAAAACCCAAAAGCUAACAUGGGAGAAAUGGCAAAAACGCGUCCCAGGGGCACGCUACGUGGCAGCAAAACACCUCCCUAGGGGCGCGCUUUGUUAAUGUGGCAACAAAGGGAGUCCUCGUAAGCGCGCUUUGUAUCCAUGUAAGUAAAGCGCGCCCCCAGGGACGCGUUUUGCUGACACGUCCCCUGACAUCGCGCUGACGGGGACGCGUUUUCGGGAAAAAGGCCCAUUUCGGUAAAUAAUAAAAUACCGGGUCCAUUUCAAUAAAUGGAAAAAAAGGGCCUUUAAUGGUAUUUUGCCCUUUUUUAAUAUAUAAAAGAAAUUAUAAAUUUUAAAAAUAUAUGUAACUAAAACAUUAAAAAUAUUACAGAAAAUCUAAAAUUCAAGUUGGAAAAAUCGAAAACCUAGAAAAUUUAUAAAUUUUUCUAAAUAAAUUGGAAACAAAUUAGAUGAAGAUAAAUUUUAUACUAAAUUUUAUACUUAGAGAUGGGUGCAAAUUAUUACACGAGUUUUCAAGUUAACAAGAAUGCAAAAGAUGAUGAUUUGAAAAUGGCUUACAAGAAGCUUUUUCAUUUUCGUUUUUCUUUUUUGGUUAAUUAUUUGCUAGGUGAUGGGAAAAAUUGGGUUCCUUUGUUGAAAAUGCUAUAAAAACCACAAAUUUACUAAGUUAUGGGGGUUUUGAGUUUUUGGGUUUAUCAAAAUUACACACACAUAAAUUUAUCAGCAUUUAGUUAUAUAUGUUUAAAUAUAAUCAUUUUUUAUAUUUAAUUAUAUGUGUUUGAGAAUAAAGUUGAUAGAAUCUGAAAAUAUGGAGGGUGAAUUUUAUUGAAUUAUUUAGAAUAAGGAUCAAAUUGAUAGAAUGUGUAAGUAUUAAGAAAUAAACGUGUUAUUAUGCCAGUUGGAAAAGGCAACAUCAUCACUUCCGUUAACUAUUUAAUGGAGAGUGAUCAAAAUAGAAACAAUCUAAAGUGUCAGUAACCAAAAUAGAAAUAAUAUAAAAUGUAAGUGACUAAAUUAAAAAAAAUCAUAGUUGGGUGACUAAUUCUGUAGUUUACCCUAGACGGUAGAAGCAAUUAGGAUUAAUUCCACCAAACAUAUCAAACUAUUACUCAUAUUUUAAAUUGAACCCUAAACUUGUACACAUUCUAAUUAAAUUACUCAAAUAGAAUGUGAUAACAUGUUAUGCUAUUAUUCUUAGAUAGUGCAUAGAACUUAUGCACCAACAAUGCAUCAAAUAUUCUCAUUAAAAGAAAAUGUAUAAAAGAAGUUUUAUACCAUCUAUAAUUUGUAAAAAAGAAAAUUAUCCAGUAAAAAUAUAAAAAUACAUAUCUAUAAAUUCACAAAAAGAGAAUUACAUUAAUCAACCUCACAAAUCUGAUUGAGGUUAAAAAGAAAGAAUGCAUGUAUUGUGCAAUUAAAACCAUGAUCCAUAUUCAAUUCUAAAGUAUUGAACAUAUAAUUUUGCAUUAUUUUACCUCCCUUGAUUUUUCACUUACUCGUUGGAAUAAAUUGACCAAUCUUGGACCAUCUAUUCCUUAUUUCAAUUUUAUUAAAAAGAUAGGUUCCCAUAAAGAUAGUCUUUACAAACCAGUGCACCUAUCAUAAACACAUCAGGGAACAUUGCCAUGAGAGAGGACCUAAGAAAACAUAAUACAUACUACAUAACAUACAAUCAAGCACCCACACAAAAUGUUUAUUAAACAGCUAUAGAAAAAGGCCUGCAUACCACCAAGCAAUGAAGCUUUCUGUUCUAUUUGCAACUUGUUGAACUCGCAGAAGUGUUGCCUUCUCUACCUUUUUGCAAAUAUUUGUUGGACUCGCUCCACAAUCCUAAUCAACCACCAUGGUUUUCCAGUCGUGAAUACAAUGUAUGCCAUGCUCAUUCCCACCACCAACCCCCAUCCAUACCCCAUCAAUAUUGAAAAUUUCCAAUUGAAUUCAUCACCAUCAUCAUCUCUAUCAAAUUUGGCUGGAGUUUCCUCAUCAGUACCACAGUUUUUUGAUAAUGGCAAACCACAUAAAUCCAAAUUUCCCAUGUAGGAAUCAUUAGUGAAAGUAUCAAAUUGUUUUCCUUGAGGAAUAGGUCCCUUGAGAUUAUUUUGAGAAAGGUUUAACACCUCUAAGAAUCCAAGAUUUUUUAACUCUGUUGGAAUUCUUCCUUCCAGCUUAUUUGAUGAGAGAUCUAAUGAUUCAAGCUCUGACAAAUUACCUAAAGAUGAUGGGAUAGGACCUAUUAAACAGUUAUGGGAGAGAUUUAGGACAAUAAGUAAACGAAGCUCACCAAGUAUUUUUGGAAUUUCUCCCCUGAAUUGGUUACUACAAAGGUCAAUAACCAUCCAAAUGGAUAAUAGUGAUUCACCCUUUAUUUCCAGCCCUUUUGCUGUAACAGAUAAACCAUAAGCAUAAUUCACCCAACCAAGUGCAUCUUUCGUGAUCUUUAGUUCUCUCAUGUAAUUUGGUUCAACUUUCUUUCCAUACUCAUCUCUAAUGGCAUGCAUAUGCUCAAAAAAAGGGGUAGGUAAGCAGCCACUAAAAUUAUUGUGAGAAAGAUCAACGAUUCGCAAUUUAGUUAAAGAAAUUGUAGUAUCGAAGCUCUCUAUUUGGCCGUAAAAUCUAUUCGACCUCAAGAUAAGAACUUGCAGCUGAUCCAAAUUUCCUAACCAACUCGGGAAAGUGUCAUUCAAAUUGUUGUUUCCAACAUUGAGAAGAUUUAAACCUUUGCAAUUACCCAAAGAUCGUGGUAGUGACCCUUCUAAUUCAUUGUUGUUGAUGUGUAAACUUCUCAACAUGCAACCUUUAGCAAAAUUUUCUGGUAUUUGACCAUAAAAAUUAUUAUUCCCUAGAUGAACUGCUGUGAGAGAAGAACUGAAGUUUCCGAUGCACUUUGGAAUUGUUCCCUCCAAAUUAUUCUCAUCUAAAAAAAUACCCAUAAGGGAAGUCCAAUUGCAUAUUGAAGAAGGGAUUUCUCCAAUUAAGUUAUUAUUUGAAGCUCCAUACGAUUGCAAUAAAGGUGUUGGUGUUGGAAUUCGACCUUAGAGAUAAAAUUGAAAAUGAGAUAGAAUUAGGAGUAGGAGUUUGAAGAUUCUUUGGAAUAUAAAUUGUAAAAUAACUAUAUUUGUGAUGUAUUACAUACAUGAUGUUUACACUCAAUACAAAUAAUUGAUUAAUUUACUACACUACUUCUAACCAUUUUUAGAUGCAUCAUAACAACAUUUAAGUUGUAAUCUAUUGAAGGAAACUACUACUAUCUUCCAGAGAAACUUAAAAGUAAAAAGGGAUUGCAUAAAUGUAUAAAAAAUAGAAGGAAAAAAGAGAUCAAAUUAUACCUAAUAAAUUAUUAUAGAAGAGAUAAUCAUUUAAUAUAUUACUUAUAUUUCAUUUUUUAGUGUUUAUUAUUAUUAUUUUUGGUACAUUUAUGUAUAUUUUAUAAUUUAUUAUUAUGGUUCGUAGUUGUUAUUGUCAAGAAUAUCAUCUCUAAGACUUGAAUCUUAUUCUCUCCUUAAAAGAGCAAUGUACCUUGCCAUGUACCGAACAUUUAUUAGUGUAGUAUUUAUUAUGACUACAAAUGAUUUUAACUAUCUUUUUAUGAAACUUUAAAUUAGAGGUCAAAUAAAAAAGCAAAUUAAUUGAUAUAGUGUUGAUCAUUUUAAGUAAAGUUAUAAUGUUUUUUCCUCACAAUUGAGUUAAUUUUGUGCUUAUAAUUUUUAUAAGAUUGGGAGUUAGUUGAGAUUGUAGCCUCAAAAUUGGUGUUGUUAAAGCCAUUUUUUAUGAGAAUACUUUUCUAUUUAAUAAUGAUUGUCCAGCAUAUGCGCACUAAUCAAAUAGAAACUUGGGAAAAGAAUAGUGGCCUUGUUAUUCAUGUUUGGCAAAUUGAUAUACUUUGUUUCUCUCAAAAUAUAAAAUAUGUCCUGAGCAUAAAUUAAUUAAACAAAUAAAUAAUAAGGCAAAUAAAAAAGGUAAAACUACGUCUAAAUUAUAAUUCAAAAUAUAAAUUAAUUAAUGUAAAAUAUAAAUUUAUUUAAAUCAUUAUUAUUAUCAAAUAAAUUCUCUUAAUAAAAUACUUUUAGUGAAAUUAGAAAUCUUACUUAUAAAUAAUAAUAAUAAAUUUUGCUAUGAGCAAAUAGAAAAAUAGUCAAGAUUCUUAAUCAUUUUCAUUAAUUUAAGAGAUUUUGCAUGCUUAUUCUUAUAUAUAUAUAUAUAUUAUAGAUGUAGAUUAUAAAUUGUAGACAAAUAAUUUGGUUGGGUUAGCAAAGCUGCAAAAGUUGAGAAAAAUAAUUUAUUAAAUAUAUAAAUUUAAGGUGAAAAAUUAAAUCCUAAUAGUUAAAAUAUCUAUAUGUAAUUAAUGAAUAAGAAUUGCAAAGAAUGGCGUAAAAGAAAAUAAAAUGAAAGAAUUUAAAAUAUAAUUUUUAAGUUUAUAUCACGUGUCAUGUUAUAAUUGAAAUCUAUUAUGGAAUUCACUAUUACUGUCUCGAAACUCGAGUAGGUUCAAGUUAUUGACCCACAACCCAAGUAGACUCAAAGGAAUUUGGGUCGUGCCCCACGAAGUGGGCAUAUUAGAGUUUGCACAUCCAAUUUGUAGGUAUGCUAGAGCUCGCGAGCCUAGCUCACAAGACAAGCUUGCACAUUAAGUUCACAUGUCUCUAUAUGCUCGCGAGAAGAGGUGUUAGGUCAAGCAUGUGGUCCAUGAACACGUGUUAAGUCUAGAACAAGAUACGUGUUAGCAUGCAUGAAGCCUGUCUAAGACGUCAUUUCAGUGAAUAGUAAUAGUAUGAUAUAAAUACUGAGUCUUACCCCCAUAGUAGACACAAAGAUAAAAUACUCAACAAUUUGGUGCAAUGAGCGUGGUCAAACUUUCGAUCGACAGAUUUUCAGCUUGUAACAAUCAAAAUGGCUCACCCAAAUGAAAAUUUCCCCAUCAAUUUUUUGCCAGGAUAACUUGGAGCUUCUAGUGCAAACAGUCAACCCAAUAAGACAAAUUUUUUUACCAGGUGGUUUGCUAACUAGUCAAAAAAUUUGGGUAACAUGGCUCAUGUAGGAUCUUCGAAUUCCUUGACUUAAAAUUUCCUUCUGGCCAGAGAUUGUCAUUCUCUUCUGGUUAGGAAGCGUCACCAGAGCAGGUUUUUGCUAUUCAGGAGUUGGUAAAGAUGAUGAAGAAACAAAUUUCCCUAUAAAACGUUAGAUUUGAACAACAAUAGAUGUUUUAGCAAGAGUUGUUAAAUUAGAAUGAGGAGCUUAGAAGGAAGGUGCAGUUUGAUAAUUUUGAUUUUCAUAACAAUGCCACCAUGCAAGAAGAAGGUUUUGGCAUGCAUGCAAUAUCGUGGCAGAGUGAGAUGGAUGCUUUGCGUAAAGAUGUAAGGGCUUUACAUCUUGAAUCUCAAGAUAUGGAUUGACUCAUUUAUUCCAAUAAUCCACUGGCUCUUAAGGUGGAUUCCAUGCAGUAUAAUAAUUAUAUGAAUGUGCUGGGAGAUUUUGAUUCCGCGAAGUGCAAGGCUUUUUCGAAAACACUCAGGGGGUUGCGAAGGAUUGAUACUUAUCUCUUCACCAGGGUUCCAUUCGUAGUUUCUCUCAGAUGGGUCAGAUGUUUUCGGGACAAUUCAGGGCACAUAGGACAAUUAUUAGUACUCCUAUGGGUCUGAUGUCUGUGAAGCAAAGAGAUGGAGAAACUUUACAAGAUUAUGUAAAGCAUUUCCAAGAAAUGACACUAAAUAAUAAGAACCUUAAAGAUCAGUGGUCCAUUGAUAUUUUAAUCGUGGUGUAAAGAAUGAGCAUAUGCAGUAUUCUUUCACUAACAAUAGGCCUCAAAGUUUGGUGAAUUUAUAUGAGAGGGACUACAAGUUCGAAGAGGCAGAAGAAAUAAAAAGAGCAACUUGUGGAACAUUCCAAAGAGAUGAGAGGAAUUUUAGAAACAUGGAUAGAGCUCACAGUCGACAGGGUCUACUUACUCAGGCUUUGCGAGUACAAAAUGGGGACAUCAAAAAGGGAAAUUGCAGAGCAAGACGGCUAGAACAUUCCAAAGAUCCAAUCUUGAACAAAUAUGGAGGUAUUUUCCUUAAAGUAAAUUCAAAUCUUAUACCUGAAGAAUAGUGAUUUUGGUUUGUAAAUUCAGUUCAAUUGUAUUUGACUAUUGAUAGCAAAUAUAUACAAGAUUACAUCAGAGUGUUAUCUACAGCUAUUCACAAUUUGAAUUUGAAUUUUAAGUAGAAUACGAUCCUAAAGAAUAGGAGUGAUAACAAGUCUAGUUUGACUUGGUUAACUCUCAACAGCCCCCCACAAACGGAUGGGGGAAGUCACCAUCAGUUUGUCUCGAAGCGUAAGAAACUGAGUUGUCGAUAAAGGCUUCGUCAAGACAUCGGCUAUUUGAUCAAUGGUCGGAAUAUAGGAGAUGGGAAGAUUCUUCUGGCGUACUUGGUCUCGGACAAAAUGAAAGUCCAACUCAAGGUGCUUGCUAGGAGAAUGAAAAAUUGGAUUCGCAGCUAGAUAGGUAGCGGAAACGUUAUCGCACCAUACUUUCGGCGUUGUUGGAAGCUUGUAAUUGAGUUCCCGAAGAAGACACUGAAGCCAAUAAACCUCCGAAGCAGCUGAUGCUAAAGCUCGAUAUUCUGAAUCCGUGCUUGAACGAGCGACAGUCUUUUACUUACGAGAAAUCCAAGAGAUCGGAUUGGAGCCAAGAAAGACAACAUAUGCAGAAGUGCUCUUUCGAUCAAGCUUGUCGCCACCCCAAUCAGCAUCCGAAAAGCAACAAGUGAAGCUUGGCGAGAAGAGCGAAGCACGAGACCAUGAUCUAUUGUGUCGCGGAGGUAACGUAGGAUCCGUUUCACUGCUUGCCAAUGAUGGAGGCAAGGAGAAUGCAUAAAUUAUGCAGCUUUGUUCACUGCCAUGGUUAUUUCGGGGCGAGUGAGUGCCAAAUAUUGAAGAGACCCAACAACCUGUCGAUAAAGCUUAGGAUCAUCAAAGGUAGAAGAAGUAGUGCCGGUGAGGUCAGCUUGUGGUGUUGAAGGAGUCAAAACCGACGAGGCAUCUUGCAUAUUCGCACGAUGGAGCAAAUCUUUGAUAUAUUUGGAUUGUGUGAGCUGCAAGCCACUCGAGAACCAUGCAACUUCAACACCCAAGAAAUAGGAUAGUGGUCCUAAAUCCUUGAGCGCAACAACCUUCCCAAGUUGAGCAAUAAACCGUUGUAACAGCGAAGAGGAUGAUCCUGUCAACACCAAAUCAUCAACAUAGACCAAGCAAUAUGCAUACUCGUCAUUACCGGAAUAUAUAAAUAGCGAACUGUCAACCUUGGAACUGUGAAAACCAAGCUGUUGUAGUGCAUUCGAAAGGCAAAAAUACCAAGCGCGUGGCCCCUGCUUUAAACCAUAAAGCGAUUUCUUUAGAGCACACACAAAAUCAGGUUUAGAAUGAUCAACAAAUCCCUGUGGUUGUUCCAUAAAAAUAGUUUCAUCAAGAGUCCCGUAAAGAAAGGCAUUCGAAACAUCAAGUUGCCGAAUGGGCCAAUGACGAUUGACGGCAAUGGAAAGAAUUAACCUUAUGGUGGCCGGCUUUAUAACAGGGCUGAAAGUCUCAAUGUAAUCAAGGCCUGGUCGUUGAUGAAACCCUUUUGCAACCAACCGCGCACGACAUCUAUCGAAGGAACCAUCCGCUUUUGUUUUUACAUGGUAUACCCACUUGCAACCAAUUAUAUUCGAAGCUCGAGAAUGAGGAACAAGAUCUGAUGUGCCGUUUGAUAGAAGAGCAUCAAUUUCUUCUCCCAUUGCAGCACGCCAUACUUGCUGUUUUGCUGCUUCAGUGUAUGACGAAGGGGCUGACAGUAUAGUGGACGCAGUAGCAUGAAAAACCUUUGGUUUAAGUGAGCCAGUAUGGGAGCGUAAAGUCAUUGAAUGACGCACGGUAGGUGCUUGAGCAGUGGUAGGAGAAGCAUUGGGACUGCUAGAACCUAUCGGGAAUGUGAUAGGGUCAUUGGAAACAAUAGGAGCAAGUUGGGAGGACACGGUGGUGAUGGCAAGAGAUUGAUCGGCAGGCGGUGGGGGGUACUUGGGACAGUAGGGAGCUGCUGGUUGGGGCAUGGGGCUGUAGGCAGUGGGACGGCAGGUAAUGGAUUAGAGUCAGAGCGAUGGCCAAGAGAAAAAAUGGUUGUCGGGGAAGGUGGAGGACUGAGAACCGAUACGUGCCCAUCACUUGACUUGAAUGGAAAAACCUGUUCAUCAAAAAUAACAUGGCGUGAGUAAAACACUUUAUUGGUGGACAAAGAUAAACAUUUAUAACCUUUGUGAAGAACACUGUAACCAAGAAAAACACAUUUGGCAGACCUAGGCUCAAGCUUAUUUUUGGUGUACGAACGCAACCAGGGAUAGCAGCAACAACUGAAAAUUCUCAAUGACUUGUAAUCAGGGUCACGAUGAAAAAGAGCUUGGUAGGGUGAUUUAUGGUGUAAUUUCGGAGUUGGAAGACGGUUGAUAGUGUAUACAGCAGCAACAAAGGCAUGAUCCCAAAAUUUUGGAGGGACAGAGGCAUGAUAUAACAAGGCGCGACCAGUUUCAGUUAUAUGAUGGUGUUUUCUUUCGGUGCAGCCAUUUUGUUCAGGGGUAUAGGGACAAGAGUUGCGUUGGAUUAUAGCUUCAGAGGCCAAAUAUUUUUCAAGGGCUUGGAAUUCCCCACCCCAAUCGGAUUGGAACUGCUUAAUAGGUAAACCAAAGUAUUUCUCAACAAUAGCACGAAAUUGAAUGAAGCAAUUAUAAAGAUCCGAUUUACGACGAAGAAAAUAGAUCUAAGUAUAUUUGCUAUAAUGAUCAAAAAACACCACAUAAUAUAGAAAACCAUCACUAGAAGCAAUUGGAGAAGGACCCCACAGAUCCGAACAAACUAACUCUAAUGGUUGUUUUGCUUCAUAAGUAGAAUCCGAAAAAGACAAUUUGUGUGAUUUACUAACACAACAAGUUUCACAAAGAGAUGAACCAUGCUUAUUAGAAGCAGAUAAUUUAUUGAAACUAAGAACUUUAUUGACAGUGUUUGAGCAAGCAUGGCCUAGUCUAGCAUGCCAUGUAGACAACGAAACUGAAUGACAAGUAGGAGAUACUGGAUCCGUGGCUAGGCGAUAUAAACCAUUCUUGAUGUACCCUCUAUGCAGAGUUUGCUUCGUCCGUCGAUCCUUAAUCACAAAAUAAUCAUGGAAAAAUUCAACAGAGACAUCAUUAGUGAAUGUAAACUGAGGAACAGACAAUAAAUUUAGGUUAGCCUCAGGAACAUGAAGAAUAUUAGACAAUUUGAAAGGAUGAGAAUUAAGAGUUAAGACAGACGAGCCACCACGAGAGAUAGGUAAGGUUUUACCAUUGGUGAGAGUGACUUCAUCGGAACCAGUGUACUCAGAAUGAAUGCCUAGGUUUCUCAAUUCAGAUGUCAAAUGAUGAGUGGCACCGGUAUCAACGAUCCAUGGCUUGGGAUUUGUUUGAGGAGACAAGCUAUAGUUUGUUGAGGGUUUGGGGUAGGACUCGACAUAUCUUAGGCUGGGACACUGACGACUUGUGUGGCCACGUCCCUUGCAGUUGUAACAUGUUGGAUCCUUGGGCGGGGAGGCAGCUCGGCCACGACUGGAAUAAUUGCCAUUGCGCUUACUGUUACGACCCCGUCCACGAUUAGCGGAAGCAGAAGGCUGCCGACCGGCAAAGUGGGCAACGACAGUAGGAUGACGAGGCUCUUGAACAGCUUUAAAUUGUAAUUCCUCAGAAAGUAAUAAGCCAAACAAAUCAUCAAAGGAUAUUGACUGUAGUUUUGCCUCUAGAUUGCAAACGAAUGGUUGAUAAUCGGCACCAAGUCCUCGUAAAAUAUGAUCAACAAGAUCGUCUUCAGAAAUAACCGCAUUUAGAGCCCCGAGUUAAUCAAAAAUCCGUUUCGCACGAUCCAUGUAUAUGACGAUUGAAUCGUCGCCACGAGACAAGGCAUAAAGAGAGCCUUUAAGGGUCCGGAUUUGAGCCCGAGAUCCGGAAGCAAAAGUUUGAUGCAGCUUUGUCCAAGUUGUGAAUGCGGUAGUGGUUCCGACUGCCUGAGAUAGCACGGACUCAGACAACGAGCCAAGGAUCCAGCUAAGAACCAUUUGGUCCUUAAGAAACCACGGCUCAUAGGCCGGGUUAGGAGCAUUGUCAACGGUCUUGGGAGAAGCUGCUGUGCCGUCGACAUGAUGCAUGAGUUUUUGGCUAUAUAAGAGAGGGGUCAUUUGUGUUUUCCACAGGAGGUAAUUAGAGGGAGUAAGCUUGAUGGUGAUUUGAUUUGGCAUGGAAGGUGGAGAGGAAACAGUCAAAUUGGCCAUGAGGAAGAAAAGAAAAAAGAAGAGAGAAGACGGUGAUUGAAACCUUUUACUGGCAGGCUGAUACCAUGAAGAAUAGUGAUUUUGGUUUGUAAAUUCAGCUCAAUUGUAUUUGACUAUUGAUAGCAAAUAUAUACAAGAUUACAUCAGAGUGUUAUCUACAACUAUUCACAAUUUGAAUUUGAAUUUUAAGUAGAAUACGAUCCUAAAGAAUAGGAGUGAUAACAAGUCUAGUUUGACUUGGUUAACUCUCAACAAUACCCCUUUUAAUGUUAUGUGUACCUAUAUUUUGAAUUAGGUGAAGAGUCUAGGUAUUUUACCGAGCCCUCCGCCUAUGAGGCACAAUGUUAGUAGGUUAGGUUCGAGGGACAGAUGUGCUUUCCACAACGACGAGGGGCCAUAAGACUGAUGAUUGCUUUUCUCUGAAGGAUGCUAUCAAAAAAGUAGUGAGAAAUGGUAAACUGGGGGAUUUUGUGGCUCAAAAUACUACCUAGUAGGGGUAGAGUUUGUGUGCUGAGGCGAAAGGUAAGCAAUAUUAUAUGUUGCUAGUAUUAUACAAAACAAAAAGUCACAAAAGUGAGAGAAAACUCAGUCAUCAGUGCACCAAAACUCGUUAAGCCGAUCAUAGUUGCUAGUAUUAUAUUGUAUCUUCUUACAUGGAGAGAUAAGGUAGGUGAUAGAAGGAGACAAAAGACGAUGAGCUUGGAUGGGACAUUAAGGGGGAAGAGAGGGAACAAUGUCAUGUGCCUAACUAUUUCUAGUGUUUGAACCAUUUUGAGUCAUAUCUUUCUUUGAACUCAUACCGUCCUAAGCCUUAUAACAUUACAAGCUUAGAAGACCGACGUGACUUAAGUGUUCUCUGUGCAUAAUCUUUCGAAAUUGCUAUCAAUUAUACUUAAUGAAUAUUUGUUGAUUCACAUGAUUGUGUCUACUAUAUAUCUAUUUAAUUUAUGUUAACGUUGAUAUUGUUAAACAUUUAUUCUAGUUUGUUAGUAAUGUAAAUUUGUAAACUAGUUCGUAUUUACUUUAAAAAGUUUCCUAGACAUUAAACUAUCAAGAUUAAGUUACAUGUAUGAUAAGAAUUAUUAUUUCUUUAAUAGUUAACAAUAAUGUUCAUAGUAGUAAUAAAAUCCAAGGGACGUCUUCUUAUUGCAUGCUGUGUGUCUAGACUGGUUUGCUUGAGGACAAAUGAAAAGUUAAGUGUGAGGGAUUUUAGGUUUGAGGUUCUUAUUUACAUCCAUCUUCACUAACUCUAGCUUGUUUAAAGAAAGGAACCAAGUCAAAAAUUUUUUUUAUUUUGCCUUUUUUUACAACUAAAAUUUUCUUUAUGUUUUUAUCUUUAUUUUUUACAUUCUUUUUUCUUUGUUUAUUUUAAUUAUAUGUUUACAUUGCUUGGGAACAAGUAAUGACUUAAGUGUGGGGGAGUUUAAUCUACCGUCAUUUGGUGUAGUAGAUUAAACUAGUUUUCGUACUUAAAGAGCUAGGAUAUGAGCAUUUUGGUUAUGCUUCAGUUAGUUUUUGUAUUUUAGUUUUAAUUUUAAAAAAAAGUAAAUUGAGUCUUUUCAUGAUCUUAGGGGCCGAAUGAGGCCAAAAGGUGGGCUAACAUGCUUAGUAAGUGUGCAGGACACCAUUCAAAGGCAUAGGAACUCGAGGCUGGUCUACAUGUUGCAACAUGGGAAUCCAAUGUCACAACAUAGAGGAUAGAGUGCCAAUAUUCGAAGAUUGUCUUUAACAUCGCAACAUAGACAAUGGAUGUCGCAACACACCCCUAAAGCUGAAUAUAGGAAUCAAGUAUGCUACCUACGAUGCUGCGACAUAGGCACUGGGUGUUGCAACACCAGCUUUGCACGGGAAAUAAUUACGAGUUGAGGCCAUUUUGGUCUACAAAAUGAAAAUUAACACGAAAACAUCAACUGACCUAGGAUUAAGGACGACGACAACCCCUAACUCUAUAAAUAGACUCAUUAGACACAUGUUUAAAAAACAAUUUUAGGGAGACAAAAAUUAUUAUUAGGUUUUUAUUUUGUUAUAAGUUUUACUUAGUUAUUUGAUGUUCUUGUAAAAGAAAGGUCCUAUUCCGAAGUGAGAUUCUCACGAGGGGAGAUUGUUCUGAAGCCACUUUUUCAUUGAUAAAUCCAUAAGCAUCUCUUUUCCUUUAUUCUAUUCUUUAUAUCUCUUUCUUUAACAUUGUUUAAUUGAAUGUUUGUGUAAAGUUUAGAUAUCACUAUUAACAAAGUAAUUAGAUAACAAAGGAUAGUUUAUAUCUCUUUCUUUAACAUUCUUUAUAUUAGUGUCUGUUUGAUUUACCUAUUUUUAAAUAUGCAAGUUUUGUUUAGUUUUAUAGUACUUAUGACAACCUAAAAAUAUUUUAAUUACAAUACUCAAAUUUGUAGUUGAAAUGAUGAUGAAAAUUAGAUGGAAUAAAAUAGUUCACGCUUAAUAUUUUUGUUCAAAUAUACGAUACAUCAUCGAAGCUGAACAAAUAUAUAUAUUUUAGAAAAUUUUAUUAGUUAGCAGUGAUUAGCUAAUGUCAAACAACUGAUACUAUUGCAUACAAUAUGUUUCCCUAAACUGCUUGCUAUUUAUCUCUCCCCACAAAUUAUCAAAAACACAUGUGCAUUUUAAACCAAACAUUUAUAAUAGUGAUAAGCGCCAUAUUGAUUAAAUUUUUUGCUAAGGAAUCAGCAAACACACACAUAUAUCUGCACAUAUAGAUACAGACAUAUAUCUGCACAUAUAGACUACUAGGAACCCAAAAAUGUUGCUUGACCCCAAAUAUGAUCUAGGUGAAAAGGGACUGAGGAGUUGAACAGUAAAGAAACUAGUAAGAACUCACAUGAGAAUGAACUUGUUGUAACCAGAAUACAAAGAUUGGGGCAGAGUCAAGUUUCCAAUUUCUAUAGGCAUAAUUCCCUCCAAAGAGUUGUUAUGCAAUGAUAAAUACAUCAAUUCUUUACACUAGACAGUUUUUAUAUAUAUAAAUUAUUAAAUAUUAAAUUUCAUAUAUAAGAAAAUCCACAUAUUACUUAUUUUAUUAAUACAUAAACAAUAAAUCGUUUGGAUAAAAAAAACAAUAUAUUUUAGAUUUUAUGUGGAUUCUUUGAAGUUCAAUAUUCAAAUUAUUCAGAUUUCCAUCAUUAAAGUUGCAAAUUAUUGCUCUCUUUUUACUUGUACCAAUAUUUCCUAUAUUUUUCUCAUGUUAAAAUAGUUAAAGUAUUAAAUAUAUAAUUAUUAUUUUUAAGUCAAAAGCUAAUUAAUAAUAUAUAACAACUAAAAAGGGAUUGCAUAAAUGUAACAACAAAAAGAAAAAAAAAGAUAUUAUACCUGAUAAGUUGUUAUUAGAAAGUUCAAUAACUUUGAGAGUGGUCAAGUUGCCAAUAGUUGAUGGGAUUUCACCUAAAAAUAUAAAUAAAUUGGUCAAAAUAGCUUGGUGUUAGAAUUAUGUUAUCUUUGUGUGUCUACUUUUUUAAAUUUAUGUUUAACGUAGAUAGCUAACUUAGAAGUAACUCAGGAUAUCAAGAAAUUUUAAUAAAUACUUGAACACAGUUGAACUUUUGACAAUUUGUAACUCAAAUUUGUUUCUUAUACUCAAAAUAGUAUAAGAAAAAAAAAGGAUGGUAUUAUACUUGAUAAGUUGUUAUUAGAAAGAUCAAUAGCUUCGAGAGUGGUCAAGUUGCCAAUUGUUAAUGAGAUUUCACCUAAAAAUAUUAAUAAAUUAGUCAAAGAAAAAAUAAAGCAUCUAAAACAAUAUGUCUUAUACCUAUAUUCUUAUAUUUUUCUAAUUUCAAAGUAGUUAAAGGAAUAAAUGUGUAAUUAAUUGUUUUUAAGCCAAAAGUACUAUAGCAAGAAGUUAAAAGAUUGUAAUUAAUUAGUAAUAUAUAACACACACAUAUCUGCACAUAUAGACGCACACAUAUAUCUGCACAUAUAGACUACAAGGAAGUCAAAAAUGUUGCUAGACCCUAGAUAUAGUCUAGGUGAAAAGAGACUGAGGAGUUGAGCAGUAAAGAAACUAGUAAGAACUCACAUGACAAUGAGCUUGUUGUAACCAGAAUGCAAAGAUUGGGGCAUAGUCAAGUCUCUAAUUUCUAUAGGCAUAACUCCCUCUAAAGAGUUGUUAUGCAAUGAUAAAUACAUCAAUUUUCUCAAAACCAUUUUUUGAAAUUGACUUUUUAUUUAAAAACAAAAACGGGAGUCGCCACCAAUCCUUUUUUAUGGGGUGUGAUCGGAUCACCUCUUAAAUUGAUCGCUUUAAAAAAUAGUUUGAUUUACUAAAACAAAUAUUUGUGGUCUACAAAAUUAAGGAAACAGGAUUGGGAGUCGGUGACGCACGAGGAAGGAUUAGCACCCUCGUAACACCCAAAAUCGAUACCUAGUUGAUUAAUUAAAGUCUUAGUGUCAAAACCAUUUUUUUGAAUCAACUUUAAAAAUGAAAAUAGGAGUCGCCACCGACAUUUUUUGAGGUGUGAGCAGAUCACCUUGCAAUUCGAUCGUUUUAAUAAAACAUUUUGAUUUUAUUAAAACAAUGAUUUUGGUCUAUGAAAUUUGAGAUAAAUGGAUUCAAGAGUCGGUUACGCACAAGGAAGGGUUAGCACCCUCGAUACGCCCAAAAUUGGUACCUAAUUAAUUAAUUAAUGUCUUGAUGUCAAAAAUUUGAAAUUCGAAAAGUGUUUUAAAAAUAUGAACCUCGGUUUUACCAAAGCUAUAUUUUUUAAGAAAAAUACUUGAAACAAUCAUUAAAAGGCCCGCUCAUUUCGUGGUAAUAAAAUGUCAUAUCCCGUAAGUUAGGAUACAACAUUUGAACCCUCAAAGAUAAGCUCGCCUUUAAUUUUAUUAAAAAUCUGUUAUUUUGAAAUCUAAAAAUAUUUGGUCAUUUUGAUUCGACGAGAAGAUUGAAACCCAGUAAGUUAGGGCACAAUUUCUCGAGGUCCCAAAAAUGACAAAUUGUAAUUUUCUUUUUUUAAUUAGACAAAAAUGUCAAUUUAGAAACAAAGAAAGACAUGAAUAAAUACAUAAAAUAAUAUUUAGAAAAAUAAUUUAUAAAAUAUUAAAAUAAAUAAUCAAAUAUUAAAAAAAUGAAAUGCGGAAUACAAUAAAUAAAUUAAUACGUUAAUAUAAUAAUACAUAAUAAUAUGUAAAUGCAACACAUAAUAAUAAUAUGAAAAUGUAAUGAAUACGAUAAGAAUAAAGAAAUUAAUUCUUAAGUAAAUUAAUAAAUUAAGUUGCAUUAAAUUAAAAGAAUAAAUAAAUAAAUAAAUUAAAUCUAAAAAUUGGGGCAAAAUUGCACAUGAAAAUAUGCUAAAGGACCAAAUUGUAAUGCGCCAAAAAGAAGGGAGGGUCCAAUGGGCAACAAACUCAUUUCUUAGACAUGCGCCACUUCCCUAGGGGAUUAGCGCUUCAGGGACUAAAUUGCAAAGCGAGAAAAAAUUUGAGGUCCAAUUUAAAAAUAAAGGAAAAAGUGAAAAGGACUAAAUUCAAACAACCCAAAAUGGCGGAAGGACUGAAAGGGUAAAUAACCCAUUGAAGAAAAAACACGCGAUUCCUCUCCUCAGGUUGGGUCAACGCGCAGGUUAGGGUGUGUGUAAGGACCAAAACGACGUCGUUUUAGGGCUAUAGAGAUCAACCCUAAACGGUGCCGUUUCACUAGCCUAUAAAACCAAAAUUUUUUAAAAAAAAUUUCAUUCCCUUCUCCCUUUUCUAAAAAAAGAGAAAAACUCUCUCCCCUCCUUUAAAAAAAAUCCAGAAUCCAGCCAGCUUGGGUCGCCGGACCACAGUGGCGGCCGCCGGUCGCUAAAAAAAUUGAAAAAAGCCCAUUUUUUUGGCUUUUCGACUCCCCAACCUCAACUAACACCAAUUUUCAUCGAAAUCGACGAACCUCUUGCAAAAGGUACGUUUUUUAUUCCCUUUUUCCCCUUUUAUAUUUUCUGUUUUUUCUUCUAAAAACAAAUAAGAAUGAAAGAGGAAAAAUGCAACUACCUUUGAAAAUCUGCUGAUCUUUGUAUUGGUUUUUUUAUUCUUUUUAAUUGAUUCGUAAAGUAGAAGAGAGAAAAAUACAUGAAAUUGGGGCCCUUUUUUUAGCCCAAAAGUACCUUUUUUUAUUUUUCUAUUUUCUCUUAUUUUUACACCGUUAUUAGAUUCUUCUCGUUCAUUCGUUUUGCAGGUACAAGGCCGUUGGCCAGCUGGCGUACGGAGGCACACGUGGGGAGGUGCAGCACGUGUGGGAAGGGGCGGCUGCUAAGGCGGCGGCUAGGGUUUUCCCUCAUUUUUUGCUGCUGAAAAUGUUUAGUUUUUAGGCCAUAUUGUGCAACUAGGGAUUUUUUUGUAUUUGGGCUAAUUGGGUGUGAUAAAUUGGGCUAUUUGUAAAUGGACAUUUGGACUUUUAAUUGUUUUUAUUUAGUUUUAAAAUUUGUAUUUGGGCUCGAGCAAAAUAGGCCCGUUACACCUGCCCCUCUUUGCUUGUUGAUGUGUAACGAGAACAGAGCAAAGACUUUAAAAAGGGCAAAUUUUGCCUAGUCUUGUCGAAUCAUGACUUCUUGGAACUUCUUUUCUUCAAGUAACCUCAUUCCAUCCCAUUGCAUCUUCAGGGGUAUAGGAAUUGGUGCUUCGAUCCGAUCCAAUGUAAUUUCAGGGAGAAGAGACUUGUAGCUUCGAUCUGCUUCGCUGCAACUUCAGGGAGAUAAGGCUAGUGGCUUCAAUCUGCUCCACUGCAACUUUAGGAAGAUAAGAUUUGCCAUAAUUUGUAGCUUUAAUUUGUUCCACUGCAACGCCAGGGAAAUAAGAUUUGCUGUCUUCAAUCUGCUCCACUGUAACUUCAGGGAGAUAAGGUUUGAUAUGAUCUGCUCUACUGCAAUUUCAAAUAGAUAAGAUCUACAAUUUAUAGCUUCAAUCUGUUCCACUGUAACUUUAGAGAAAUAAUACUGGUGGCUUCAAUUUGCUCCACCGCAACUUUAAGAAGAUAAGAUCUGUCAUAAUUUGUAGCUUUAAUCUAUUCCACUGCAACAUUAGGGAAAUAAGAUUUGCUGUCUUCAAUCUGCUCCGUUGCAACUUUAGGGAGAUAAGGCUUGAUAUGAUCUGCUCUACUGCAACUUCAAAUAGAUAAGAUCUACAAUUUAUAGCUUCAAUCUUCCACUGUAACUUUAAGGAAAAUAAGAUUCACUGUCUUCAGUCUACUCCACUGCAUCUUCAAAGAGAUAAGGCUGGUGGCUUCAAUCUGCUCCACUGCAACUUCAGAAAGAUAAGAUCUGCCAUAAUUUGUAGCUUUAAUUUGUUCCACUUCAAUGCCAGGGAAAUAAGAUUUGUUGUCUUUAGUCUUCUCCGCUGUAACUUCAGAGAGAUAAGGCUGGUGGUUUCAAUCUGCUCCACUACAACUUCAGGAAGAUAAGAUUCACCAUAAUGACUUCAAUCCAUCCCACUGCAACUUCAGGGAUAUAGAAUUUGUAACUCCACUGAUCUGUUUUCUGGGGAACAUGACCUGUAGAAUCCAUUUCAUGGGCCUAUUUAUGCCAAGUGAUUAGUACGUCAUGAUCAGAAUGAAUCACAUGCUCCUAACUGGAUGUGUAUAGAAUGUCAUUUUUCGAGAAUGAUCCCUUGUUAAUGCUUAGGUUAUCAUUGCUCUUUGUUCAUCAAAGUUCUAUCACUAACGCAUUAACCUGCCUUCUUGUUCGACUAGUAUCUUCGACAGAAAACCCAAAGAAAUUGUCCCAAUUUAGACUAUCCUGUCUCAAAUGUUUCCAACCCUUAAGUUUGGUUAGUUCUAAAUAAUAGUCCUAUUUCAGGUCCUGGUACUAUUUAGAAGCUUUCAAAGCAAUAUGCAGAACUCCUUUUGUUCGAAUAUUAUCAGUUCAUUAAUCGUUAUUUCAAUGAAAAUGCUUGAAAAAGAUUAUCAUAAUGGAAAAGAUGAAAUUUUAUUGAGAGCAAAGAUCGAAAUAAAUAAAUUAAUUUAGAUAGCAAAUGUUGCUGAGAUACAAAAUGAAUAAAAUAAAAAUAGGUGCCCCAGAUAUCAUAGCAUGAGUUUCUCCGUACAAACUUCUUGAGGACCCUUUUGAACUCGAUAUGUGUUUCAAAGAUUCAAAACGCCUUGUUGAUGCCCCAAGAUGUAGCAUCCCUCCUUGUUAAUUUGGGGAAGACAAGACUACUUUGAUCAAAAUUUGAGCCGCCCUUUUCGGGUUUUCAACUCAAAAUCCCUUUGGUCUUAAGGCUCUCUUUGCGGGUUUUCACCUUGGCCUCUUUUUAUUUUUAGACUCGAAGCACCCUUUGCGGGUUUUCGCCUUGGCCUCUCCCCCUUCUUUAGGUAAAAUACUUCUUGACUGAAUCUGAAUUUAUAGGAUUAGGCAAGUUUUUACCAUCCAUCUCGGCCAAAAUCAGCGCUCCUCUAGCAAAGGCCUUCUUUACCACAUAAGGUCCUUUCUAAUUUGGUCCCAGAUCGUUUUCAACACCAGGUCCCCCUCACGGAAUUUUUUAGGACGAACAUUUUUGUCAUAAGCUCGCAUCAUUCAUUUUUGGUACAUUUGACCAUGCCUGGUAACUUUGAACAUUUUUCUUCAAUCAGGAUUGGAUCCAAAAAAACUUAGAGAGAAAGAGUCUCGACUUUAAUGGAAAAACCGUAUAAGCCAAAGAGAAAAGCAUUGCCCCAGUAGAGGUUUUUAUUUUUUGUUCUUUGUUUUGAUUUUUGUUCUUUUUAUUAUUUUUUUGUUUUUUAUCUUUUUUUGUUUUUUUUGUUUUUUUUCCUCUACUGCCGUUCAUUUUGGGGAGAUAUGACAACGAGUUAUGGUGUCUAAUCUUGAAUUGACUGCAGACUUCCAUUAUUAUGAUGUUGUUCAAAUUCAGCGCAUUGUCAGAUAUGAUUCUUUCUAGCAUUCCAUAUAGACAUAUGAUCUCUUUCUUCAAGAAUUUACUAACUGCCGACUUCGUGAUGUUGGCAUAUGAAGCAGCUUCCACCCACUUAGUAAAGUAAUCAAUGACCACAAAGAUGAAUCGAUGACCACCAGAAGCUUUUGGCGAGAUUGACCCAAUGACACCCAUGCCCCACAUAGAGAAAGGUCAUGAAUUCCAUUGAUUCUUUGUAAGGUAGGAUCUAUUUCUCAUCUUGUUCUACCAUCCUUAACAAAUCAGGAGAUAGGCUACUGUCUUGAUCAUCUUCAAAAUCCUGAGAAUCCUCCGGACCUACAUCUUGCUCAAAAGAAGACUCUGAGUUGGUAACGGAGUCACUCAUAUUGUUGAUAUCUAAAGACCCACUAUAGGACGAAGGAAGAUCCAAAGAACAAAAGAAUCGGAGAAUAUUUAUCUGUAUAGUAUGAUUAUGAAUGAAAUGGAAACAAUAAAAGAAUAUUUGCUCGAAGUGAGAAACAAAGAUGCAUUUUAUUGAAGUAAAGAUGUUGGACAUAAGCCUAUCUCACAAAAGGAUUCUUAUUGCCCCUAGGCUUAGAGUAAUAAGCAUGUUUUGGACAUUACUCUGAGUUGAAUCUAAAAAAUACAGGGCUCUCUUCCACAGUCCAAUUAUUCAAUUUUAUUGAAGAAGAGAACUUAUAAUAUGAAAAUGUAAUGAAUACAAUAAGAAUAAAGAAAUUAAUUCUUAAGUAAAUUAAUAAAUUAAGUUUCAUUAAAUUAAAAGAAUAAAUAAUUAAAUUAAAUUAAAUCAAGGAUAAAUUGAAAUUAAAUCUAAAAAUUGAGGCAAAAUUGCACAUGAAAAUAGGCUAAAAGACAAAAUUAUAAUGCUCCAGAAAGAAGGGAGGGUCAAAUGGGCAAUAAACUCAUUUCCUGGACAUGCGUCACUUCCCCAAGGGAUUAGCGCUCUAGGGACUAAUUUGCAAAGCGAGAAAAAAUUUGAGGUCCAAUUUAAAAAUAAAGGAAAAAGUGAAAAAAGGAUUAAAUUGAAACAACCCUAAAAGGUGAAAGGACAAAAAGGGUAAAUAACCCAUUGAAGCAAAAACACGUAGAUCCUCCACUCGGUUUGGGUCAACGUGCGAGUUAGGGUGUGCGUAAGGACCAAAACGGCGUCGUUUUAGGGCUGUAGAGAUAAGCCCUAAACAGUGCCAUUUCACUUGCCUAUAAAACCAAAAUUUUUUAACAAAAUUUCAUUCCCUUUUCCCUUUACUAAAAAAAGAGAAAAACUCUCUCCCCUCCUUUAAAAAAAAAUCCAAAAUUCGGCCAGCUUGGGUCGUCGGACCACCGUGGCAGCCACCGUCUGCGGUGGCCGAAAAAAAUCGAAAAAGCCCAUUUUUUGGGUUUUUCGACUCCCUGACCUCAAAUAACGCUGAUUUUCAUCGAAAUUGGCAAACCUAUCGCAAAAGGUACGUUUUUAUUCCCUUUUCCCUUUUUAUGUUUUAUGUUUUAUCUUUUAAAAACAAAUAAGAACGAAAGAGAAAAAUAAAAAAAAUAAGAAAAAUGCAACUACCUUCGAAAAUCUACUGAUCUUUGUAUUGAUUUUUUGUUCUUUUUGACUGAUUCGUAAAGUAGGAGAGAGAAAAAUACAUGAAAUUGGGGCCCUUUUGAUAGCCCAAAAAUACCAUUUUUUUAUUUUUCUACUUUCUCUUAUUUUUUACAUCGUUAUUAGAUUCUUCUCGUUUAUUCGUUUUUGCAGGUACAAGGCUAUUGGCUAGCUGGUGUACGGAGGUGCACUUGGGGAGGUGCGGCACGUGUAGGAAGGGGCAACAGUUAGGGCGGCGGCUAGGAUUUUCCCUCCUUUUUUGCUGCUGAAAAUGUUUAGUUUAUGGGCCAUAUUGGGCCACUAGGGUUUUUUUUUUUGUAUUUGGGCUAAUUGGGUUUGGUAAAUUGGGCUGUUUGUAAAUGGACAUUUGGACUUUUAAUUGUUUUUAUUUCAUUUUAGAAUUUGUAUUUGGGCCCUGGCAGAAUAGGCCCGUUACACUUAGUGUCGUGAAUUGAAAAUUUUAAAAUAUAUACAAUGAACUUGUAAAACAAAUAUACAAAUAAAAUGAAAAUAAAUAGUAUAUAUAAAAAAUAAAUAAAAAAUAAAUAACGAAUAAAUGACUAAAUAAAUAGAUAAGAUAAAUAUAAAUAAUAUUAAAUUUAAGUAUUUAAAAAUUCAAAGAAUGAUAAAUAAAUAAAUCGGUAAAAUAAAUAUAAAUAAUAUUAUAUUUAAAUAUUUAAAAGGUAAAAGAAUAAUGAAAAAGUAAAUAAAUAAAACAUAUAUAAAUAGUAUUAAAUUUAGGUAUUUUAAAAAUAAAGAAUAAUAAAUAAAUAUAUAAAUGCUGAAAUUAAUCAAACGAAGGACUGAAUUGAAAUCUCAACAGAAUUAAAGGCACAAAUCAUAAUAAAUUAAAUAAAAAAUCGAAUAAGGGCUGAAAUUGAAUGUGCGAAAAGGGAUGGGGGCCAAAUGAGAAAUUAUUCCCAGUCCUACGAACGCGCCGUUUCAUGAUGGACUAAAAUGAAACAAAACCAAAAUCACAAGGGAAACUUAAAAAGAAAAAAAAAGAGGUAGGACUAAAUUGAAACAGACCAUAAAAGCGGAAGGGCUAAAAGCGUAAAUAUCCUCUCCAAGCGAAAACACGCAGAUCCUAAGAGAUGGAUCGGGUCAUGUCAAAACGAUACCGUUUUGGCAUCCAUGAGCACUGGCUCAAACAGUGUCGUUUCAUACGCCUAUUUAAACCAAAUUAAAAAAAAAAAAACCUUCAUUUCUACCAAAUUUUAGAAAAAAAAAAAAAAAACCUCCAAAGCCCUUCUUUUUCUCUGCUAGGGCCUCAAGUCUGACCAUCAAGUGCCACUGAGGCUCCGCUUGAAUGUGUAAUUAAUUGUUUUUAAGUCAAAAGUAUUAUAGUAAAAAGUUAAAAGAUUGUAAAGUUAUUUAGUAAUAUAUAGCACGAUUCUAUUUAAGUAUUAUUACAGUAACAACAAAAAAAAACAAUAAAGAUGAUAUUAUACCUGCUAAGUUGUUAUCAAAAAGACCGAUGCACACAAGAGAAGUAAGAUCUCCAAUAACUGAUGGAAUUUCACCUAAAACAUAUAAUUAAAAUCAUUAAAUUUACUAAUAGAUCUUAAAAUCGUUAAAACUCAAAGCUGAUUGAGGGUUGUAUUUUGUGAGGCUGUGGGAGUUGUGUGAAGAAGAAAAAGAGGGAAUGGCAGUGGGUCAAUGCGGGUUAGUAUAAUUCUGAAACAUAUAAUAUCACCUAUGUACUCUGUAAUCAAAGCUAAGAUAAAUCAUGUACUCUAUUCCUUUCCUAUUCAAUAAUAUCAACAUAUAAAUAAUAAGGAUAGAAAAAAUAGCUAAUUACAAGUCUUGUGUGAUUCAAAAGGGUAUAAAGUAGGUCCUAAUUAAAAAUCAGACCUUAAAUUAAAUUAAUGUAAAAUUUAACUCUUUUCUUAUCACCAAAUAAAUUUACGUUUAGUGAAAUUAGAAGUUCUAAUAAUAUACUUGUAAUAACUGAUUGUUUAUGACUAGGUGUUUUGUUUUCAACGUAUUUUUCUAAAAAUUUCUACUUUUAUAAAAGCAAGAUAUGCCACUUAGAGAAGUUUCUUUAAGUAUUUUUUCUCUGCUAAAAUAAAAGGGUGGAACUAACGAAAGCAGUUAGUAAAACUUGAGAUGCUAAAUACAGACACAUUCCAGAAUAGGAAGGAAAACUACAAACAAACUCCUAAACCAAAUAAUUGGUUGAUGGCUGAAUUGACAUAAAACCAUUAAAGAUUUACACUAUAACUAUGUUGUAUUGUUUACGAAUAAUUGUUUCUUUAGACACAAACAUUACUAUUGUAAGAAGCUAAAAUAAACUACAACAAUAUAAAAACAAAGUUAUAAUUACAACUCAACCAAUCAUAAACAACCCUUAAACCAAUCAUGAGCCAACUUUGACUUUUCAACUAAAGCUGUUACAACUGAAAACCUGAAUUCAUGUCUCUCACUAAGAACAGGGAUUGAUGACAUAUCUCAAUCUGUUAUUCCUCAAGUAUGGGGUUGUGGAGAUGACUAUGAGUUUUGAUGUGUUCCUACCUGCUACUAAGGGUAAAUCAGGAACUGCAUUGAAAAUCUGACUACAUUCCAUUUGGCACCAUAUAAAUUGGUUGAUGGUUCAAGUCACAUAAAUAAUAUAUAUACUCUAUGAUUAAGUUUGGUUUUGCUAGCACUGAACUUAGUGGCUAUUGUUUAAAGUCCCGCUUCACUAUUUAAAACAAUUGUUGAUGGAAAUUAGAUAAAAAUGAAUGAAACAAUAACCAGGCAUUUUGUUUACCUUUGAAAUGGUUGCCACCAAGAUUCAACCUGUUGAGCAAAGUCAAAUUUCCAAUUUCUGUAGGUAUACUUCCCACCAAGGAGUUGUUAAACAAUGAUAAAAUCUUCAGCUCUUUGCACUUGAAUAAACUAUUUGGAAUUCCACCGGAAAUUUGAUUCCCACCCAAGCUCAACCUUUCCAGUUUUGACAAAUUGCCUAGAGUAAAUGGGAUAUCACCGAUGAAGUUGUUAAGGUGCAGAGACAUUCUUUGAAGUUUACUGAAGCAACCAAACCAUGUUGGGAUUUCUCCAUUGAAGCUAUUGUUACCAAAGUCCAAAUAUUUCAACCGACGCAAAUUAGUUAACUCAAUGGGUAAAGAGCCUUGGAAACUAUUUUGAUGAAUGUCGAGCCGGGCAAGGAAAGAUAGAUUUCCCAAUUGAGAAGAAAUGGUGCCUGUGAGAUCCAUGCUUGCCAAAACCAGAGCAGUGACUCUAUGGUGUCUAGAUCCACAUGUGACACCAAUCCAGCUACAAACGGAGGUAGAAGUAGACCAAUUGGGUGCCAAGAAAUUGUAAGGAUCAUGAGUUAUUUGAGAUUUUAGUGCUAGAAGAGCAGAUUGAUCAACGGUGAUGCUAGAAUAUUUUGCAGACAAAAUAACCCCAAAGGAUGCGAAUAGCAGCCCAAACAUAAACGGAGGGAGGAAGCUUGGUUUUGCCAUAAGGUUGGAUAUGGGUGUAAGGCGCAUCAUAAGGAGAGAAACAACUGAGUUUAAUACUUUUCUAAUGUUAGUUCAAUAUUCUUUAAAUACUUUUGAUUCUAAGGACCAUUGACUCAUAGUUUGAGUAACAAAUACGUAGAAACUUGUGGGUCCAACCAUGUUAUAGGGAAAAAAAAGGAAAGCCUAAAGUAGAAGACUUAGUCUCAAGUUGAAGAGUAGCACUAAUAAUUCAAUCGCAUUAACAAAGAUCAUCAUUUGGAUAUAUAAACCAAAUCCAAACUCGCAAUUAUACCUACAUAGAUGAAGGAUUCAAUUGAAGACAAGUAUAAAUUGUUAAAAUAUAAAAUUUCAUCAUUGGUUUUGAUUGUGUGGUGGUCUAUUGUAUGUACCAGUUGGGGUGGAUAUUCUUUAUUUUUAUUUUCAUAUAUUGGUGAGAAGCUGAUAUCCCUCGUGAUUGAACCAAAAAUUGGAAUAUUUUCUCACUUCUGCCCUCUAUUAUUAUGGAUUCCUCUUUUAUAAGCAUUUUUCAUAGCUCCAUGCAUUUAGGAACAUAGGAUCAUUCCUGCAAACACUACAGCAGAACAGGUUUUUAGCGGCAUUUUUUUUGCCUUUAGCGGCGCUUUUAAACGCCACUAAAUCCAUUUUUGGCGCUUGAAUAAGCGCCGCAAAAAAUGCCGCUAAUGACAACGUCGUAAACUUUUGCGGCGCUUACAGAAAAAAACGCCACUAAAGAUCAUGUUCUUUAGCGGCGCUUAGAAAGAAACGCCGCUAAAGAUCAUGUUCUUUAGCGGCGCUAAAAAAAUAAACACCACUAAAGACCAUGUUCUUUAGCGGCGCUUAGAAAUAAACGCCACUAAAGAGCAUGUUCUUUAGCGGCGCUUAGAAAUAAAAGCCACUAAAGAUCAUGUUCUUUAGCGGCGCUAAAGAAAUAAACGCCGCUAAAGAUCAUGUUCUUUAGCGACGCUUAGGACAAAAACGCCGCUAAAGAUCAUGUUCUUUAGCGGCACUUUGAAAGAAAACGCCUCUAAAAGUAAUGUUCUAUAGCGGCGCUUGUUUAAAAACGCCGCUAAAAGUAGUAUUCUUUUAGCAACGCUUAUUUCAGAAAUGCCACUGUUUGAUAUGACUUUUAGCGGCGCUUUUUUAAAAAACGCCACUAAUUUUAGGAUUUUUUUUAAAAUAAAACUUUCUGUUUUUUUCUGCCCUCCUGCAACAAAAAAUCAAAAGCAACCAAAUCUAAACUAACAAAAAACAAUAAAUUUAUAUAAUAUUUCAAAUUAAAUGACUAAAAUAAUAUUAAUUGAUAUAAAUAAAAUUGAAUUCAUACUUUUCUUUACAAAAGCGUUAAAAGUAUUUAUGCAACAUACACUAUGACGGCGGAAGUUGCAACUGCUGAAACAUCUUCAUCAUAAUCUGAAGCUGCUGUUGAAGUUCGUCGUACUUUUUGCUCUGCUCCGCUUCCCUCGAUGCCGCAUCUUUUUGAAGUCGUAGCUGUAGUUCUUCAUAUUUCUUUUGAACCUCUACUUCUAUCGCUGCUUCUCUCGCUGCGGCCUCUGCUUCUCUUGUUGCUGCCUUUGCUUUAAGUUGUUGCUGAAGUUCUUCAUAUUUCCUUUGAACCUCAAAUGUGGUCGCUUGCAUCUGAGCCAUCUGGUCUUUUAACCUUUGAACUUCAGCUUGAGAUUGACUCCCCGAAGCCAUGUAUUGGUGCGAGCUGGAUCCAAAAUAUUGGGUUGGGCUGAUAAAAGAUCCUUGAAAUCGAACCCGACCAUACUUUUCAGGACCAAAUACUUCAGUAAUAAUCCGGUUGUCAAUGUCUUCAAGAUGAACAGAACUAUCACUAGAAGCAAUCGCUUCGUACUCCGUCUUUUUUUCCUUUAGUUUUUCCUAAUAAAUAAAUCACAUAGUUAGGAACGCAAUAUAUAUAUAGUAAAAAAACAAAUGCAAUAUAACAAUAGUCGCAUUACAAGCAAUGAAUUAAACCAUUAGAAAAUAAACACUAUAAAUAACUAAAACAAGUGAAAUCGUAUUAAGUAAACGUACCAUAAUUUCACCAGCUUCAGGAGUCAUAGCAGAUCCAUCUUUCUUCUUAUGUGUAAUUUCAAAAAGUUGUAGGCGUCCAACUUUUUGACCGGACGACCGUUCCUGCAAUAUAGUAGUAAAAAUAUUAUUUAAUAGAAAGUUAUACAUAUUUGAGAAUAUUAAAAAAUUAAAAAUACCUCCGCCUCAGCUACACAUGCAAAACUUCUCGACCCGGCUGUGUGAGUGAAUUUUUGUUGCUGCCGGCUGCUUUUUCCAACUCGUUCACGAUCCUACGUUAUAAAAUUUUUAGUACGUAAAUAGUAAAUACUAUAAACCAAAAUAAUUACAAUAGUUUGGAAGUACGUCGUACCUCGCCUUUCUGAGAAUGCCAAAAUCUAACCGCAUCUUCCCAUUGGUACCUCAACAUACCCGGCGGGACAUUUUGCAAUUUCUCAUCGAGGGUGGUUUUUGUCUUAUAAUAAUUUUUCUUCAAAGUACUUUUAUUGUCUCUCCAUCUUUUUCCCAAUGCCUUCUUUACAUAAGCAUCGAAGACCUCUAAAGCAAACCUCGCCUACAAAAAACACAAGUUAAUAAAGUAAAUAUAAAUGAAACUAUUUCCCAAGCAUUACAGAUGACAUUAACAUUUUGUUACCUUAAUAUUAUCGAGGGCGUGGUUUUUGUUGCUAUCGGGCAUUUGACGCCAUGACUCGUAGUUGAUAGGCAACAUAUUCAGAUUUCGUGCUAAAAUGCCCAUGUGAGCAAAAGGUGGUUAAAGUCUGAUCCAACAGGCUGACCAAAACUGUUUCUGCAUACCUUGACACGCUCGGCUGGAUCUAACUCGUAUAACUCUCUAAGUAUCGUACGUCAUCGNNNNNNNNNNNNNNNNNNNNNNNNNNNNNNNNNNNNNNNNNNNNNNNNNNNNNNNNNNNNNNNNNNNNNNNNNNNNNNNNNNNNNNNNNNNNNNNNNNNNGCUACAAAUGGUAUAUUAUAAUAUAAGAAUUUGAAAAAUAAAUCAAUUAUAAGUAAACAAGCAUGGAAUUAAUGUAAGUUACUUUGAACUUCCGUAGGAUCCUCGUGUGUAAUCAGAACAUUCGAAGAUCCAAUUGCUGUCUGUUGUUCAGUACUAUUUGUUUCUAUCGAGUUUGGAUCAUUUUGAACAAUGCUUUCCCUUAUAAUUUUUCUUCUAGGCAUUUUAUCUGCAAUACACAUAAAAUGUAAUUAAACUUAAUAACUAAUUACAACAAUAACAGCACAUAUAAAAUAGUUGAGUUAUAUAAUAAGACCAAUAUUUAAUACUAAUGUAAGUUACAUAUAAUUAAACAAUCGUAAAAUCUUACUACAUCAUUAUUAAUCUUCAUCCGUAUCCUGACGAACCCAUUGAAAUUGUGCACUAGUACUAGGGAUAUUAUCGUUUAAGUUUUGUUCUGGAAAUGGCAAAGUUUCUGAUCUGUCGUCGAUAUUAUCUCUACUUCCACUGCCCAUGUCAAACAAGUCUCUAGGGAUGUUACGGAGUACAACGUACCAACCCUCAUCAGUUGGAUCUUUUGAGUAAAAAACUUGUUUGACUUGACUUGAGAAUACAUACGGCUCAUCUAUCAGUUGUUGUCUUGUGUGAAUCAAUCGGUCAAAGUUCACCAUUGUAAAACCAAAUUGAUCUUGCUUGAUUCCACGAGCUGUAUUAACAUCGGCCCAAUCACCUCGAAAUAAGACAACUUUCCAUUUGCCGUAGUAAUCCAACUCAAUUAUGUCAGUAAGCUGUCCGAAAUAUUCCACAUUUCCCUCGACUGGAUUAUUGUCCCUAGCGCUAGCAUAACUUGUAAUUGCAGAAUUAACAACUAUUCCACAAUUUUGCGUUCUCCUCAACCUCUCACGAUAUUUUGUAUGAAAUCUGAAUCCGUUGAUGAGGAACGCACUAUAUCUUUUAACCACUCGAUUUGGACCUUGGGAGAGCCAUUUAACUUCGUUGUUUACGCUCUUCCCAUUCGAAACCUAUUGAAUGGAAAGUAAACUAAGUAAUUAAAAAUGUUAUGAGAAAGCAUUAUUAUUUGUAAGCGAAAGCUCCAACUACAUACCGUUUGGCUUAACCAUUCAUAAAAAGAUUCUGUAAACAACUUAUUGAUAUCUCGAUGUUGUGUUCUUCGGUUGCGCGAACGAGAUCUCAAUAUUUGUUUGUACUCACUAUAUAUGUUAAAAAAAUGUGAUCUUUGUUAGAAGAUAAACAAUUUUUAGUUUGAUAAAUAUUUAUAAAAUUUGUAGAACUUACUUCCGUAAAGGUUCCAAUGAUUCGUGGUGAAACAGAACAUAUCGAUGUGCUUGUACCCACGAUAAAUUAUCUAAUUCCGCAAUUUCAACUUUGCCGAUUGGUUGUCCAGAACUUUGGAACAAAUAAGUACUAUCGGCUAAGUUAUAGUCCGUGAGUCCAGCAUUCCUAUUUGGUCUGUUCAACCUUGUUUCGACAUCUUCCAAAUAUCUUGAGUAGAAGGUCAUACAUUCCUCUGCCAAGUAGCCUUCAGCAAUCGAUCCUUCUGGAUAUCGCUUGUUGCGGCAGUAAGACUUUAAUUUGGAUAGGAACCUAAACACAAUAUACAACAUUAUCAUAAGUUGUAACUAUAGGCAUAGAGGUGAAUGAAAGAAAAUUUUAAAAAUACUUCUUUAACACCUUUCUAUGGGAUACAUCCAUCGAUAGAAAAUGGGUCUGCCAAGAAUUGCUUCGUACGGGAGAUGAAUUAUCAAGUGAACCAUAAUGGUGAAGAAUGAAGGUGGGAAGAUUUUCUCCAUGUUGCAUAAAGUCAAUGCGGCUCGAUCCUGUACCUUCUGAAGUUCUUGAACAUCCAAAACUUUGCCACAAAUGGCUUUCAUUAUGUUGGAUAGUUCAAUGAUACAAGACGUCACCUUCUUGGACAUACAACAUCGUAGAGCAACUGGCAUUAAAUCUUGCAUCAAGAUGUGAUAGUCAUGUGAUUUUAGCGAAUAUAAUCUUUGAUCUUUAACACUAACACAUCGAGAUAUACUUGACGCAUACGCAUCCGGAACCUUUAUAUCCUUCAACACCAUGCAAAACAGUUCUUUCUCUGUCUUGGACAUUGAGAAAAUUGAAGGCGGCAACCAAUAUUUCCCAUUCGGAAGUGGAUUAGGAUGAAGAUCAGGCCGAAUUCCCAUUUGGACUAAAUCAAGUCGACUCUGAAGAUUGUCUUUUGAUUUUCCGUCGACGUUCAAAAUUGUACCGACAAUGUUCUCGCAGACAUUUUUCUCAAUGUGCAUAACAUCAAGAUUGUGUCGUAAAAGGUGAUGCNNNNNNNNNNNNNNNNNNNNNNNNNNNNNNNNNNNNNNNNNNNNNNNNNNNNNNNNNNNNNNNNNNNNNNNNNNNNNNNNNNNNNNNNNNNNNNNNNNNNNNNNNNNNNNNNNNNNNNNNNNNNNNNNNNNNNNNNNNNNNNNNNNNNNNNNNNNNNNNNNNNNNNNNNNNNNNNNNNNNNNNNNNNNNNNNNNNNNNNNNNNNNNNNNNNNNNNNNNNNNNNNNNNNNNNNNNNNNNNNNNNNNNNNNNNNNNNNNNNNNNNNNNNNNNNNNNNNNNNNNNNNNNNNNNNNNNNNNNNNNNNNNNNNNNNNNNNNNNNNNNNNNNNNNNNNNNNNNNNNNNNNNNNNNNNNNNNNNNNNNNNNNNNNNNNNNNNNNNNNNNNNNNNNNNNNNNNNNNNNNNNNNNNNNNNNNNNNNNNNNNNNNNNNNNNNNNNNNNNNNNNNNNNNNNNNNNNNNNNNNNNNNNNNNNNNNNNNNNNNNNNNNNNNNNNNNNNNNNNNNNNNNNNNNNNNNNNNNNNNNNNNNNNNNNNNNNNNNNNNNNNNNNNNNNNNNNNNNNNNNNNNNNNNNNNNNNNNNNNNNNNNNNNNNNNNNNNNNNNNNNNNNNNNNNNNNNNNNNNNNNNNNNNNNNNNNNNNNNNNNNNNNNNNNNNNNNNNNNNNNNNNNNNNNNNNNNNNNNNNNNNNNNNNNNNNNNNNNNNNNNNNNNNNNNNNNNNNNNNNNNNNNNNNNNNNNNNNNNNNNNNNNNNNNNNNNNNNNNNNNNNNNNNNNNNNNNNNNNNNNNNNNNNNNNNNNNNNNNNNNNNNNNNNNNNNNNNNNNNNNNNNNNNNNNNNNNNNNNNNNNNNNNNNNNNNNNNNNNNNNNNNNNNNNNNNNNNNNNNNNNNNNNNNNNNNNNNNNNNNNNNNNNNNNNNNNNNNNNNNNNNNNNNNNNNNNNNNNNNNNNNNNNNNNNNNNNNNNNNNNNNNNNNNNNNNNNNNNNNNNNNNNNNNNNNNNNNNNNNNNNNNNNNNNNNNNNNNNNNNNNNNNNNNNNNNNNNNNNNNNNNNNNNNNNNNNNNNNNNNNNNNNNNNNNNNNNNNNNNNNNNNNNNNNNNNNNNNNNNNNNNNNNNNNNNNNNNNNNNNNNNNNNNNNNNNNNNNNNNNNNNNNNNNNNNNNNNNNNNNNNNNNNNNNNNNNNNNNNNNNNNNNNNNNNNNNNNNNNNNNNNNNNNNNNNNNNNNNNNNNNNNNNNNNNNNNNNNNNNNNNNNNNNNNNNNNNNNNNNNNNNNNNNNNNNNNNNNNNNNNNNNNNNNNNNNNNNNNNNNNNNNNNNNNNNNNNNNNNNNNNNNNNNNNNNNNNNNNNNNNNNNNNNNNNNNNNNNNNNNNNNNNNNNNNNNNNNNNNNNNNNNNNNNNNNNNNNNNNNNNNNNNNNNNNNNNNNNNNNNNNNNNNNNNNNNNNNNNNNNNNNNNNNNNNNNNNNNNNNNNNNNNNNNNNNNNNNNNNNNNNNNNNNNNNNNNNNNNNNNNNNNNNNNNNNNNNNNNNNNNNNNNNNNNNNNNNNNNNNNNNNNNNNNNNNNNNNNNNNNNNNNNNNNNNNNNNNNNNNNNNNNNNNNNNNNNNNNNNNNNNNNNNNNNNNNNNNNNNNNNNNNNNNNNNNNNNNNNNNNNNNNNNNNNNNNNNNNNNNNNNNNNNNNNNNNNNNNNNNNNNNNNNNNNCCCAUUUCGAUAACCGUCGCUUACCCUUGACAAAUUCAUCCAAGACCGGUCCAUUUCUUAAUUCUUGAAGCUGACGUUGACAAUAAAUUGCACGGUUUUAGGAUUUGACAACAAGAUAUACAUUAUGUAAGUUAUGUAAGUUAUGUAAGUUGUGUAAGUUGCGUAAGAUGUGUAUUAUGAAACUUAUGUAAGUUAUGUCUUAUGUAAGUUAUGUAAAAUAUGUAUUAUUUACACAUGUAAGUUAUGUCUUAUGUAAGUUGCGUAAGUUGUGUAUUAUGAAAGUUAUGUCUUAUGUAAGUUAUGUAGGGUAUGUAUUAUUAUGUAACUUAUUUAAUUUAUGUAGGGUAUGUAUUAUUAUGUAACUUAUUUAAUUUAUGUAGGGUAUGUAAGUUAUGUAAGCUCUGUAUUAUUUACGCAUGUAAGUUGUGUAUUAUGUAUUAUUACGUAACUUAUUUAAGUUAUGCAAGUUAUAUAUUAAGUAGGUUAUGUAAGUUAUGUGUUAUCUAAAUGAAUAUAUGUAUAAUAUUAAAAAAAUAGUAAUACUUAUUUAAGUUAUAAAUUUAUUAUUAAUAAAAUUUAAAUAUAGCUUACAUACGUAAAUGAAUAUAUGUAAGUUAUGUAAGUUAUUAUGUAAGUUAUGCAAGAUUAUAAUAUAAGUUAUGUAUUAUGUUAUUAUGUAUUAUGUAAUGUAUUAUCAGAUUAUAUAUAAGUUACGGAAGUUAUUAUGUAAGUUAUACAAGCUUAUAUAUAAGUUAUGUAUUAUGUUAUUAUAUAUUAUGUAAGUUAUGCAAGCUUAUAUACCAAUUAUGUAUUGUGUUAUUAUGUAUUAAGUUAUAUACUAAAUUUUUGUAAGUUAUCUAAAAUUAAACUUAAAAAUAAAUGGCAAAGUUUGAAAUUUUUUCCAUGAUUCAAAUUAAAUAAAAGAAAACAAAACAAACUAAAUUUCGGUAAUUAAAAUAGCAACUAAAGGAAAAAAAUUUGUUUUGGAGGAAAACAUAUAAAUAUUUGCAAACUAUACGGGCUUUAACCAAAUGUUUAUAUUAUUUAGACAUAAAUAACCUUCAUUUUCGAAAUAAUUUACUUGUUAUAUGGAAUAAUAUGUAUACAACAGUUAACCAUAUUUGAUAUCAAUGAAACUGAAAUGUGAANNNNNNNNNNNNNNNNNNNNNNNNNNNNNNNNNNNNNNNNNNNNNNNNNNNNNNNNNNNNNNNNNNNNNNNNNNNNNNNNNNNNNNNNNNNNNNNNNNNNUUUAAAAAAAAUUUAAUCCAAUUUAUUAAAUUUAUUAAAUUGCUUCUAUUUUGCUCAACAUAUAUAGCAAUCGUUGAUGGAUGAUAACAAAAAACAUAAGUCAGAAAAGUACAUGGCAAUUGUAAAAUAAGUAAAAUGAAACAUAAGCUAGAGGAAAACAACCAAAACCAAUUACAUGUAUACAAAACCAGAGCCCCAAAAGAAACAUUUUUCAAAAAUCAUCUUGCUAUUUCCAUGUAAUAUUCACAAAAAGUCAGACCUUUUUAGUUUAUAGAUUUACUUACCACUAUAUUACAGUUUAAAAAUUUUAAAAAUAUAAGAACUAAACUUGAUCAAAUUUCUGAAUCGGCAGUAAGUCCAUAUGAUUAACUGUGCAGUGACUAAUAAGUCCAUACUUCAACAACAAAUGUUAUCAUUAAUCUAGACAAUAAAAGCAAAAGAAUCAAAAAAAAAAGAUUGAAUCUCAAAGUUCAGCCUAAUAAAGAGGCUGAAAGAAGAUUUAUACCAAAAAUAUUACUUUGCUCAGAAUGUAAUUUGAACUUACAAAUUUUGAACAGUGCUGUAGUGUUCCGUUCCCUGCCACUACUGGAUUUUUGUAAUAGUAUGUAUAGUAGCCCUGCCAUAGCAAACAUUAAUAGAUGUGAAUCAAUAGGUUUUGAGAAUGAAUCUCAACAUCAAUAACCUACCCCUCAUCCUGAGCUAUUUUCGACAGAAAAGAAAUAAAUGAUUAACCAAGGUAGUAACGUACUAAGUUUAUAGAGAAGAAUUCUUCUCUUAAAACCAUUUUCAUUGUCUGAUCGAAAUGGUUAAGGUUAUGUAAAUUAUUACCUAAAAAUGUUCUUACUUUCUUAACCCUAAUUUGAAUUUACCGUAUUAAUACCUAAAAAUGUUCUUACUUUCUUAACCCUAGUUUGAAUUUUCUUAUUUCAAUGGCUACUUGUCACUUCAGUGGCUAUUUCUCAACUAAAUACGACGACCCUCAUCAGUCGGCUAGGUAGAAUAAAAACUGAAUUGUAUGUUUAAAGAUUAAACUCUACGAAAAAAAGGAAUAAUGUGAAAACUAAAAUAUGUGAAAACUACUGCAUUUCACGAAUAAAUAUAGAUGAAAAUGCUGAAAUAUGUGAAAAAUGAAAACCCUUGAACUACCGUCGGCAAGAGAACAAACCUCUAAGCUGGCGAUUUCAAGGUUGCCGAUUUCGGGAAACUAGUUGGGCUGCCGAUUUUCGGGUGAACUUAGGGAUUUCAGGGGGAAUUCUCUAAAAAUCUUAAAGUUUGAGGAACUAAUUAGGGCUGCUGGGGAAAUGAAUGUCGAAAGUCUGCUGGGGAAGAAGGGGGAAAUAAAAAUCAGAGUAAGAGGAAAACGAAGGGGAAGCAAACGACGACGUUUUGCUAAACGAAAUAAACCCUUGUGGCGUUUAACUAGACGCGCCGCUAAAUCCAUGGCAAUUGCGGCGUUUAAAAACAAACGCCACUAAAAACCCACAAAAACGGUGACGUUUGCAUUAAUACAACACAAGGAAUUCCGGCGUUUUUGACAUUGCGCCUCUAAAUCCUGCAGCAUUUACGGCGUUUGACCAAAAACGCCACUAAAUAAGCUAUCAACACGGCGCCGUUUUGCUGAAAAUAGAUUCAGGGUAAGGGCAAAACAGAGGACAGAAAAACGAUGACGUUUGAGUAAUAGAAAUAAACUAUUGCAGCGUUUAUUAGAAACGCCGCUAAAUUCCUACCUACUGCUGCGUUUAAUCCAAAACGCCACUAGAGAACCUCCAAAACGGCCGCGUUUGGGUUAAUAGAAAAUGACGUUUGCAUUAAUACAACACAAGGAAUUGCGGCGUUUUUGACAUUGCGCCUCUAAAUCCUGCACAUUUACGGCGUUUCACCAAAAACGCCACUUGUGAAGCCAUUAACACGGCGUCGUUUAGAUAAAAAUAGAAUUAGAACGAGGGAGAAAAUGUAGGAGACCAAAACGACGGCGUUUUACUGUCUGCAAUAAAUUUUUGCGGCGUUUAACUAAAAACGCCGCUGGAUACACACAAAACACAGCCGUUUUGAUAAACACGGCACCAUUUUCAUUAAAAUAUCUUAUCUUUUUGCGGCUUUUUCUGUAUUGCGCCGCUAUAGGUCUACAUAUUGCGGCGUUUCUCUGAAAACGCCACUAAAUAAGCCUAUUGAACGGCACCGUUUUUAUGACAACAUAAUUCCUUUAGUAUGAAAUUUGUUUCUAUAUUUGAAAGGUUUAAUUAUUUCUUAAAUAAAUUUAAAUUAAAUUUGUUCUGUUCCACGCUAUAUAUUUAAUAUGUAAAAUUUUAAUUAUAAUUGUGUACAUGAAAAUAAUUUUAAAUAAUAUCAAAACUCGAGCUAGAUAUAUGUCUUCCUUCUGAAGAAUAUUAUGUAAUUUUUUGUAUUAAAUUAAGAAGGCAAAGCUUAUGAUGUUACGAUAGAAUCGAAAAAAAUUAGAAGGAUCAAAACAAUCAGAAAUAGAAGUUCAUGAAUAUUGGUUAAUAGAAAGGAUCGAUAUAUAUAUAAUUCUAUUCCCUUGACUGAUCUUGAUUUUAGUUCAACUAGUAUUCGUGUCUGCGCCUGUCUUCAAACAAGAGCACGAACAUAUGACAUUGUAAGAACCCUACAAUUAGUAAGGGUGAAAAACGCUUCAUUAAAAACACUAAUUAAUCAAAACCCCGAAACACUAAACCCCAAAAUUAUACACCCUAAACACUAAUCCCAAUUACCCCUAAACUUUAAACCCCAGCACUUAAACCCUAAACCGUAAAACAUAAUCACUAAACCCAUAAUCCAUAAACUUUAAAUUGUAACUCUUAAAUCUUAAACAAUAAACCUUAGAGCAUAACCCUUAAACCCUAAACUGUAAAACCAAACCCUAAAUAUAUCCCCAUAACCCCUUAAAGCAUAACCCCUAAAUCCCCCUAANNNNNNNNNNNNNNNNNNNNNNNNNNNNNNNNNNNNNNNNNNNNNNNNNNNNNNNNNNNNNNNNNNNNNNNNNNNNNNNNNNNNNNNNNNNNNNNNNNNNUUGAACCUUAAUUCCCAAACCUUAAAUCCAUACCCCGACCUACUCAUUAAACUCUAAACCAUAUACUAUAAUGAUAAUUAAUUCAAUAUUUUAAAAUUAAUACUACCUUUUUUACGAUUAUAUAAGAAAUUAUUUAAUAUAUAAACUAAAAAAAUCAGUAAUGUAUCCAAAAAACUUUAAAAAUAUUUUAAAUAAAUUUAUUUAAAUCCCUGAGCAUUAGCGGCGCUUUAUUAAAAACGCCGCUAAAACCUUGAAAGCUAAGAAAACGGUGUCGUUGGGUUUAAUUUUUUUUGCGGCGAGCAUUAGCAACGCUUUACUAAAAACGCCGCUAAACCCCCGAAAGCAAAGAAAACGGUGUCGUUGGGUUUAAUUUUUUUUGCGGCGCUUCCAUAAAAACGCCGCUAAAGCCCUGCAUUAGCGGCGCAUUAUUAAAAACGCCGCUAAACCCCCCCGGAAGCUUAGAAAACGGCGUCGUUGGGCUUAGUUUUUUGCGGCGCUUUAGUAAAAGCACCGCUAAUUCUUAUUUCAGUGGCGUUUUCAAUUAAGCGUCGCUAAUGAUCGAUCUUUAGCGGCGUUUGUUAUUAAAACGCCGCUAAAAACCUAUUUUGGUGUAGUGAAAUAAAAGAUGGUAGGUGACUAUUCUUCUAAUAAAAACAUUUUUUCUUAAAGCAUUAUAGAUAGAAUUAUUUGUAUUCAAUCUCUUUGGUGGUGUAGGAAAAGGAUAUGAUUGUCCAAUAAUGAAUUGUGUAAGUCAAGGUUUUUGUAAUUUGUAGGAAUGCGAGGAUUGAAUGAAUAGCGACAAGGUUUUUGUAAUAUUUUGUAAUUUUCUUCUUUUCCUUAAGCUAUAAAAUUUUAAUUUCUAGUUUUGACUAUAUGCCUUUGGUUCUCAUCUCUUGUUAUGCAUGGCUGAGUCGCUGUUCGUUGGAUGGACCUACAUUCAAAACAUGAAAUGAAAAGACAAGUAAUGUGAAACGUGUUUGAUUGAGAUCCUCAAUUUAUUUUCUUCACGGUUGCUCCCAAUUUCUUUCUAUUAACACACAUUGGGAAUAUGAAUUCAAAGAAUCACCAUUUUUUCCAAUAUCUAAUUUGAAAAUUCGUCACAUCGAGACAAAUCAAGUUGAACUUUCCACAAGAUAGACUUCUUUUAAGACUGCAUGUGUGGACCAAUAUGCAGGAUUCAACUAAAGAUGAGAUGAUUUUUCAGCUCUCCAUUGGUUAUAGCAACUUCCACCUCUAUCGUUUUCAUCUUAAAUUUCCAUUUCAAUUGUUGGGGAAGUUAAAUUUCCACUGAUUAGACUCGUUAUUUUGUGUCUAUCUGCAAUUUGAAUGGGAUAACCAACAAAACGAGGGAGGAGCAUUUGAUUUUUUCCAUUUACACUCUUUUCUUUUCUUUUUUUUUUUCGAAAAAAACUUGUGGCUCUAAACGAUCACUUCUACCUUAUUUUUAUUUAUAGUAAGAUUUUUUUUAUUUGUUGCAUUUUGUGUUUUAUUUUAACCAUAACCCGAAUUCUAAAAACAAAUUAAGCUCAAUUUAACAAUUUGAGUCCAAUUAAAAAUCAAACUCUAUUGACAAUUAAGUUUUACGACCUUGUUAAACUUGUUCACUUUUAUCAUCAAUGAACAACUAAGCAAAUCCUAUGAGAUAAAGCUCAUAGGAUACAUAACUCUCCCCUUCAACUAAAUUUUUGUUUUAUUUUUUGUGAAUAGUUUAACUUAUGAAUAGAUUUACUCUCACAUACGUGAUAGUAUUAUCAAUUUUAUAACCUUAUCAAGGCUUUUAAAUUUACUAAAAAAAAUUACAGAAAUAUAACAACAAAAAAGAGAAGAAAAAUGAUAUGAUAGUUGUUACGUUGGUUUUAGAAAGAUGUCCAAUAACUGAUGAAAUUUAAUUGAAACAUAUAAUUAAAUUUGUUAAAAUAACAUGGCGUUAUGCUUUGUUGAGUUUAAUGGCGUGGAAGUGUAUGUUUGUUGUCUCCUGUUAGAGGUCGAACUCAUGUACUCGGUUUCUCUCAUCUUCAUGAUUGAAAAGAAAAUAGUUAAACAAAUAAAUGAUAACGCAAAUCAAAGCGGUAGAGGGAAAUGUUAAUUCAAAUAAAUAAUAUUUCGUAAUCUCUAUCUUUCUCUCAUUUUCCUUUGAGGUGAUGCUGUCGAAACUAUUUUUUGUAAAAGGGGUUCACUUUUAUUUUGAAAAUAAAAACGAAAAAAUAGGAGUCGCCACCAAUCCUUUUUGAGGUGUGAUUGGGUCACCUUGUGAUUAAUCGUUUUAAUAAAAUGUUUUGAUUUACUAAACCAACGAUUUUGGUCUACGAGAUUCGAGAAAACGGGUUCAGGAGUCGGUUACAUACGAGGAAGAUUAGUACACUCGUAACGCUCAAAAUUGGUACCUAAUUGAUUGAUUAAUGUCUUAAUGUCGAAAAUUGAAAUUUUUGAAGAGAUUCAAAAUACAAUCCUUUUAUUAAAAUCACUUAAUUGAAAAAAAAAUUAGAAAAGGGUGUAUUUCACGUCAAUCGAUAAAAAGGAUUAUAUCCCGUGAGUUAAGAUAUAAUAUUAAAUCCCGAAACGAGAAUAAACAUUAAAAAUUUUAUUUAUUUUUAGAAGUUUUUUAUUAUCAUGGUUUAGAAAAGAAAUCAUAUUCCGUAAGUUGGAAAACGAUUUUUAAUUCCUGAGAUAAUUUUGAAAAUAUUUUUUUGAAAAAUGAUUCGUAUACUUAGAUUUAUCGAAAAAGAUCGAAAUCUCGUAAGUUAGGAUAUGACCUUUCCGAAUCCCAAAAUAUGAAAUAUUGCUUAUUUUCUAUUUUUUAUUUUUUUUACAAAUUUGGGUAAAAAUGUGUAGUAUUUAAAAUAAUACAUGAAUGAAAUGUUGCAUUAAUAAAUAACAAUAAUGAAUAUAAUAAAAACAAUUUACAAGAAUCAUCUAAUGUACACUACUUUUACGUUAAUGAAUAAUCAAAAGAUAAAUAAAAUAAAUAAUGACAAUGGUAAUAAUACUAAAGCAUGCACAUAAAAGGACAAUACCAACUAAAAAGAAAAUAAAUAAAUAAAAUACAUACAUACAUACUUACAUACUUACAUACAUACAUACAUAACGUAGGAGAAAAUAGUUUAUAAAAUAUUGAAAAUAAAGAACCGAAUUACAAUAUAAAUGAAAUUUAAAGACACAAUUUAGAAUAAAAUAUGUAAAUAAAUGAAAUAAUAAAAACCAUAAAAGUAAUAAUAAUAACAAGGAAAGAAUAAAAUAAAUAAAAUAAAACAAAAUAAAAGCAUCAUUAAAUACAAAAAAAUCAAAAUAAAAAAAUGGUAAGCAAAUAAAUAAAAUAAAUAAGACACAACACAAAAAAAAAAACUAAACAGAGAUAAAGGUGAUUAAAUUGACAUUGAGAUAAAAUUAAGAGUCCAAAUCCUAAUAAAAUAAGUUUAUGAAUACAAAAGGGGCUAAAAUUAUAAUAAAAUAAACGCAAAAGGACUAAAUUGAAGUUUAAUAAAAAUUUUGGGUAAAAAUCGAGAAUAAAAAUAAAGUAAAGGGCCCAUUUGAAAGGUGCGAAUAACUUAGAGGGACCAACUGCGGAAAUAUCUCCGCCCUCUGAAACGCGCCAUACGCGGUGGCCAGAAAACCAAAAAAGCCCAUUUUUUUUGUGUUUUUUGACUCCACGACCCUAAAAACGUCAUUUUUCAUCGAAAACGACGAACCUUGGCCUCACGGCGGAGCAAAACCUGAAUAAAAGGUAAGUUUUCGGUCCUUUCUUUUUAUUUUCUUUGUUUCCUAAAAAAUAAAAUAUAAAAAUGAAACAAACGAAAAUAAAAAAAAAAUAGAAGAAAAACUACCUUCAAAAUUGUUAGUAUUUUUUGUAUUGAUUUUUUUUCUGUUAAAAUUUUACAUUCGGUUUUUGUGGCUUUUAUAGCCGAGUACGAUGCUAUCUUUUUUUUCUCUGUGUUGUUUGUCCUUACAGGUACGGAGGCUGCGUACAAAGGUGCUGACGUGGAAGUACGGAGGUUGACAUGGCGGUGGUGGCACGCGUGGGAAGGGUGUGGUGGUGGCGGCUGGAGGCUAGGGUUUUUGCCUCUUUUUCUUUUGCUGGAAAUGUUUAGUUUUUGGGUCAUAUUGGGCCACUAGGGUUUUUUGUAUCUUGGGUCAAGGGUUUGUAAAUGGACUAUUUAUUUUUUGGACUAUUAUUUUAUUUUUGGUUUUGCUUGGUUUUUAUCUGGGCCCUGGCAAAUUGGGCCUACUACAGAUGUGUUUCCGUUUCCUUUUUUUUUCUUCUAAAUGUGAUGGAUUACUUCAAUCCUUCUUCUCUCAUGGUAUCUAGGACCAUACUAAAUAAAAAUAUAAAAGUUAAAAUUGAAUUUAUCAUUAUACCUUAUAUAUAGAAGGUUAAAAUGACAUAAUUGUAACGUACAAGGAGGACGAAAAUGCAACUAAAGGUGUAGUACAUGAACUACUAUAGUACCUUUUCAUAUCUGGAACAUAAAUCAUCUUCCAUUUAUUAAAUCAUUAUUUUUAGAAUAAAUACACAUGGCUAUCCAGGUUCAUUUGAAUCUAGACAACAAGUUGUCUAGAUUCAUUCUAGAAUUAUAAAAACAUAAAUUUUUUUUUAUAAAAAUUAGAUUUGUUUUAAAACUUUAUAAAAUGUAAUAGAAAUUAAUUAAAAUUCAUAAAAUUUUAUAAAAUUUAUAAAAAUAAUUUAUUAUUUUUAUAUUUUAAAUAAGAAAACAAACAUAAACAACUUAUAUCAUAAAAUCAAGAUUAACAAUUUAUUUGUUAUAUUAUUGCUUCUCAUUUUCCAAUUUUAUGACUUUUAAUUAAUUUCUAUUCAUUAUUAUAAUUUUAAUAAUCUUUUAUAAUUUUUAAUGUUUUAUAAUUGUAAAAUAAAUCUUGACAUAUGGAUGUUCAUAUUCAAAUAAACCUGGACAAUUAUUUGUGUAGAUUCAUUUUGUACUUAAAUCUAAAAUAUUUUUAAAAUAAUUUUAUGUUUUGAAUUUUUUUCUAACGUGGCAUUUGUUAAUGGCAUCAUUAACAUUGGCGUUAAAUACAAAUAGACAACAUCAGUUAAAAGGUCCAUUUGGCUAGUUUUGUUAGUUUAGGGGCUUAAUUGGGUGCAAAAAAUUUGGAGGAGCUUAAUUGAUUUUUUAAAAAUGCUCGAGACAUUAUUUUACCAAUAAGCCAAAAUUUUAACAAUUAACUAAAUUAAUAAAUAACCUAUAAUAUUUAAAAUAUUGUUUAAAAUAUAAUAAAUUAAUAAGAAUAUUCAAGCAAUUAUGAAUUUUUCAAAAUUAUAUAAAAUUUAAAAAUAUUAAUUUUUUAUUUAAAAAAUUGAUAUGUGUAUUAAUAUUUUAAUUCUAUUGGUACGAUGUAUAUAAAAUAAAAAUUAUUUUUAUUUACAUGAAAAAAAGUAUUUAUUGCUCUUUAAUAUCUUGCUUGUUUAUGUGUCAAUUAAACAAGGUUUUCACGUAAGCGUUGCGGGGUACUUGAAAAUGUUCUCUUUUCCCACUGAAAUUUAAUAAUUGUAGACAACUAAUUUUGAUUAAAUUGAUUAAAUCUUUUCGUUAGUAAAAUGUAAAACCAAGUUUAGAGAGGCUUGCAAGACGUUGAACAAUGUCAAUCAAAACCAUGUUUUCGGGUUAUGAAGUAAAAAAUGUACAUUUUGUGAUUUGGGCCAUGCAUUCUCCACUUUAGUUUAAAGUUACUAUUAUCUUUCUCAUUCUUUUAUUUUUAUCUUAAUUUCUUUCCAUCAUUCUUUUCGGAUUUGCUUUUGGAUGUUGGAAACUUGGAGUACUGGGCCUUACCAACCCUCGGUUUUGGUCUUAUAGGAAAUUACAUGAGAUAUGAACAUUGUGAGAUUAAUGUAUGUUUUUUUUUUUACAAAAGAUUAUUGUAUGUUAUUGUAAUAUUUGAGGAAUUUUUUUUAGAAUUGUAUCGAUAACCACCAAAGUUAUUGUGAGAAAGAUCAAUAACACUCAAAUGAGUGAAGAAAACUUCAAAGAUAUCCACUUGACCAUAAAAUCUAUUCCAUCCACUUGACCAUAAAAUCUAUUCCAUCUCAAAAUAAAAGCUUCUAGUUUAUCCAAAUUUCUUAAUCAAUUUGAGAAACUGCCAUUUAAAUAGUUUUUCUCAACAUCAAGAAGGUUCAAAUCUUUGCAAUUAUUAUUUGAAUAGUUAAUCCAAAUGCUCCUACUUUGUUGUUGUUGAUCCAAAAACUUUGCAAUGUGCAACCUUUAACAAAAUUUGAUGGUAUGUUAGCAUCAAAAUUAUUUUUUCGUAUAUCAAUGUGUAAAAGAGAACAACUUAGGUUUCCAAUGCACCGCUGAAUCACUCCUUUCAAAUUAUUCCUACAUAACUGAAGAGUUAAAAAGAGAACUCAAUUUGUGUAUUAAUGACGGAAUUUCUCCCUGAAAGAUUAUACCAAUGCAAUGAAAGUGGUGGAAUUGGAAUUCACCUUAAAAGAAAUUUUGGAAUAGAGUUAGUGUUAAGAGAUUGAAACCAAAAAAUAAUAACAACUUAUAUUUGUAACGUAACACAUGCAUGAUGUGCAUAUCCAAUAAAAUUGAUUGGUUAAUUUACUCCACAGAAACUUCUAGCCAUUGUUCAAUGCAUAGAGAAUACCAAUCCAUCGGAAUUACUACCUUUCAUAUGUGUACUUUUUAUUUCUAUUACUCAUGUGUUAUGAGAAACAAAAAAGUAAAAAAAAAUUACUAAUAUUUUCUUACUAACCCAAAAGCUUUUAAUUAAUAUAAUGAAAUACAAAGUUACUGUUUAAAGGAUAAAGCCCAUACCUAAUAUUAACCCUUAUUAAGAACCUCCCCAUCCUAUUUAAAGUCAACACUAAUAUUUGGACUAUUGGACGUUAAGAGUGUAUAUUACCUCAUACUUAUAUUGUGAGAUUAAAUUAUAAAAAUUAUCUUUUAAUGAUGCCUGACAAUGAUUCGUUAAUGCUCAUUAUGUGUAAAUUAUAUAGAAAAAGAUUUAAGGGCGUAAAAAAUUCUUAAAUUAAAAAAAACAAUUAAGUCAUUUUUUCUUUUUUUGCAUUUAAAAAAGCUUUUUAACAUUUAGUGUCACAAUCGCAUGUAGUAAAAAAAAAUUAUUAAAUUUUAAUUUAAAACUUUGCAAUGUUGAACCUUUAGCAUAAACAACAAAUUUACAUUGGCGACCUCUAUACAAAUAGCUACAGCACUUACCAGACAGAAACAAAUCGAAUUACAACUUUCCCAGAAAUCUCUAAAAUUUCCAAAUUUCAAAAGCCAUAAAAUAAUAUAUAAAACUACAGUUUCACCUUAAUCAAUAUAUUUCCAGAUUGUGAGUCAAAGUCGGGCUUUAGAUCGCUUCAAUAUUUCAAGUUUCAAUCAUUUUGACGUCGACUCAGUUGAAUUUAAUAGUCAAGUUAGGAUCCUUGAAUAUUUAUAAUUCAAUUAUUGAAUUUUGAUUUACUUGUACCAAUAUUUCUUACAAUUUCUAACGUCAAAUUUAGUUUAUGUAUUAAUAACAUUAGAAAAGAAUUUUUUAACACAUAUGUUCUAAAAUAGUUAGAUAUAAAUUUAAAAAAAUGUACAAAUUUAAACAUACAAUUAGAAAAAUAAGUAAAAUUAUUAUAAAAUAUAAUAUCUCUUCAAAAUAAGUGAAAAGUUUUUCUUUUCUUUACCACAAACAAGUCACGUGAGUGGCUAAAAAUUACUAAUUGUGAUUAGUUCAUAGCUAACAAAUUACUAAAACAUGUGAAAAAAUAAAAUUUCAACCAAACGUAGUGUCAACCUAUAAUUAUUUUUUUCUAAUCCAAAAGGAUUAUUUUAAAAACUAAAAGAUUGUAAAGCUACAUAAUAAUGAGAAGGAUCCAUUUACGUUGGGCGUGUCCUUGGUCGUGUGAGUCCUAAGACUAAAAUUUUCCAAAUUUAACUUUUCCAUAUUUGUUUUUCUUUUCUUCUUCUUGUUUCCACUUUCGUUCUUUUAGUUUUUGCUACAGAUGUCCUUUUUGCCACUUUUUUCUUUUCGUUAUUCAAAUUUCCUUCCUCUUUUGUUUUCAUAUUUUGCACGUUGCCGGACUUGCGCGUGUUGUUUCUUUUUCUUCUUCCUUUGCUGUGUUUUUUUCUGUUCUACUAUUGGUUGUUGGGGACGACCGUUUCUUUUGGAUUUUGUUAAGGGCAAUGUGUGGUAAGGGAAAUGGAUUUUGUAAUUUUAUCUUCUUUCUCUUGUGGUAUAAGUGUCAUCCGUUCGAUUCUUAAGAUAUUGUCUUUUCAGUUUGGCUUAGUUUUGGAUGUCUGAUCAUUUUCGUGGUAUGACUCUAUUUUGAUGAGGAUCGGGUAAUACGUACUCCUUUGGUGAUUUGAAGUGUUUCGGGAACUGACUUAGCAAGGGUAAGCAAUUGAAUGUCAAUUUGGGGGUUUUUUUGGUUGUUAGGGUAGAAUGCCCUACUAUUUUUAGCUAGAAUAUUAGGAAGCAAGGUUUGUUUUCUUUUUAAUUGUGCUCGUUUUAGUCACUAAUCUGUAUGUUGGGUGUCGUUUAGGUAUUGGAUUUGCUACUAUUGCGUUGGUGUCGAAAAAUGGCUAGGUGUAUAACGAGAACCUUGUAAAACAGUGAACGACACGAAGUUGAAAAAUGCACUGUCGAUUCCACACGGCCGUGUGGGUCACAUAGCCGUGUGGUAGGUCGUGUGAAUCACACGGUUGUGUGGCAGCUAGUGUGGGUCACACGACCGUGUGACAGACCAUGUGAUACGAGCAACUCAGCCCAAUUCAAAGGUCAUAAUAGAGAUGAGCUUAGUUUCCCUCAAGGCCCAAUUACGAGAUCCAAAUCCAAACAAAUAAAAUCAAAACUCAACUUAGUUGUUCAAUACUUUAUCAUGAAAAAAAAUUGAGAAGAAGAGUUGAAGUUUCAAGACGAUGAAUUCUGGAGUAAUGAUGAAUUAGAAGAGACUAAUUAUGUUCGUGGGCCUAAACUCUCAAUCUAUGAUGACAAGCCUAUGUGGAAAAUGCUAACAAGCUUAGGCAUUUCACUUCAAGAACCCCAAUUGAUCUUACAAGCCUACACGUUUCAUAUUAGGUUUGAGUUUUAGGCUUAAUUUUUUAUUAUAUAUAAGCCCAAUAUUUUAUUUAUCAGCUCUUAUUAUUUUAUUAUUAUUUUAUUCUAAAUUUUUUAUAAUUAUUAAGUAUUUUAAGUUAUUUAGGAGUUUUAUAUUAAUAAGAAAGUUGAGUUUAGAACUACCUCUUGUUUAGAUUAAAUUGGUGUUCUAGUAUACUUAGGACUUUUAUUUAGAUUUAUUUAGCUAGCCUAUAUAUAUAGGCCUUUGUAUUGUACACAAUACAUUCAAUUCAUUAUUAUUCUAUUUCCCUUUUGAGUUAAUAAAUUCUCUCUAGGUUUUUCUUUUUCAAGAAUUUCUGUUGAGUUUCUUCUAGAAUAGUUUUAACAAUCUUUUUAGAUUGUGGGGAUCAUCUUCAAACUUUUUCUUGUCAAGGUUUCUAUCUUAGAGGGGAAAUUAGAGCCGCUUAAAGGGGGUUGUGGAUUCUUAGUGUUUCCAAGGCUUCUUAGGACUUCUACAUACCAUGUUCUAUAUUUCUAUUUAUCUUCUUUAUUUGCUUCCUUAAUAUUUGAUUUAUUAUUUUAUUUUAGUUAUUUAUUUUAAUUUUUUCAUCUUACUUUGAUUCAAUUUCGUUUCAAGUUGUGCAAAAUCCAAGAUUCUUUUCAAACGUCUAGAGCCAUAAGCCAAAUUCGUAACUUUGACAAACUUUACAAUCCGCUUUCGCCUUUAUCCUUCUCAUCCUUUAUCACCAUGUAGGUCACACGGCCAUGUGAUAGGUAGUGUGUGGACCAUACGGGCGUGUGGACCCAUUUUGGGUAGAUUGUUGGGCUAGAUAUGAGAUUUUUAAAAUAAUUUGUAAUUACUCUAUAUGCAUGUAAGACCACUAAACCAUAAAAUUUAAGUGUUUGUAUGUUAGUGGCAUUGAUUACUAAACUCUAUUUAGGCUACGUGAUAUUAUUUGUAUUUAUACCUAAUUUGUAUCUGUAUGUGUAUUUUCUAACAGCAUGUCUGUGAUAAAUUUUACAUCUAAUCUGCAAUAUGAGAAAUUUUGUUAGCAUGUUAUGAUUUGUUAAAGCAUGAUUUUUCUGUAUGCGUAUAAGUAUAUAUUUUGUUUUUCUUUUCUUCUUUUCGUUUCUGCUUUCGCUCUUUUAGUUUUUGCUAUAGUAGUCCUUUUUGCCAUUUUUUUCUUUUCGUUAUUCAAUUUUCCUUCCUCUUUUAUUUCCAUAUUUUGCAUGUUGUAGGACUUGCGCCUAUUGUUUCCCGUAGCUUAUUAUUUACAGUUUUUCUUGCAAUCCAAGUGAAAGUGUCACGGGGCUAGAUCUUUCGUUUUGCGAUCUGUGUGGCCUUAGGCGAUCCGUUCGUCCAAAAUCACUUAAGUCAGCCUUUACUCAAGUGAGAAUUCCUUAAGAACUCCUCUCAAGGCACCAAGUUAAAGAGUGGAAGCGGUUUAUGCCAAAAGAAGAACAACAAAAGAACAAUAGAAAGAGCGCACACAAAGUGUUUAAGUAAAUGCUCUCAGAAUUCUAUUACUCUUAAAAAUUCAACAUACAAUGGAAUGAGUACAAAUGAGAGGGAGGCUCUCUAUUUAUAGUUGAGCUCCCCCAAAAUUGACGGUCAAGAUACAUUUAUAUCGAUAGACGAGAUUAACCUUAUCCCUUUAUUUUAGGGAUUUACAAUAUAUGCUAUAUCAAAUCUAAUCUAAUUUUUACAAGAUAUGAUUCCCUCAAUCUUCCAAGAUUAGUUACCAAAAUAGCCUAAGUUGCCAUAUCUCCAUUAUCGGGCCAACCAGACUUCAAUCUGACAGGCUUCUCCUAUAGCUCUUUAAAUCGAGCUAAUUCUCGUGGGCUAAAUGAUCCCCAUCUUAUCGAUAGACCUCUAUGGGGUGCAUCUUGUGCCAUGGUCACGGGCUUUGCACUUAGACCCAUGACAUUCUCCCCCACCUAUUCUCGCAACUCCCUCGUUGCGACUUCUAAAUGCCACUGACUUGUUGCCUUGGCUUCUUCCCGACUUGCCUUGCAAUCGAGUUGUCCCAUCCUUCGAAUCAUUUUCCUCACCUUUCGUCACCUCUUAACUUGAACCAUUGCACUUGUUGGUACAUCUUAUUGGCAAGAAGUCUUCACUCUAACUUGCCCUAAUUUUGACUUGUUCCCUUUUGAAUCGCCUUGAUUCUCACAUCUUGGCUUCGUAUUGUCCACAGUCCCUUGGCCUCCUUGCUUAUGAACUUUAAAAGGGCCCCUACGACCUUGCCAAGCAAACAAGUUAGAAUUCAAAACACUAACAAAGUGUUCGCAAUGUACCUUACUCGCAGCAUUUACUCGUCCCGAUUGUUUUUACAUCGUUCCUUUUUCCUUAAAGCCCGGUGCACAACCCACCUUUCCCAAAGGUGUCAGCUACACAGUCGAAUCUGUAGGCUUCAUAUCAAACUCUUAUGCCACAAACACUUUUGAAGUAGCUUUCGUAACUUUUCAUUCUAUCGAGUCAAUAUUCCUCCCAUACAAAACAUCCUCGACUAGUUGGAUUGACGACAACACAUUUGUCCCCAUCUUCAUAUCUCAAUGCACUGGCACAACAAUUUUUGUUAACGGAUCAGUGAUAAUAUGAAUUUCAUCAGCCCAUGGAAAUAGAACUGUCCGAAUCCUUUCAAGGAAGUUCAAGCCAAAAACAUAACCGUAAUCAUCUAAUUGGAUUACUUUAAAGUCUUCCUUGCCCUUUCAUUCGUCAAUUUGUAGCUCCACAUUAUGAACUACUCCCACAGUUGGGGCCUCCUCAGAAUUUACUGUCUUGAUCUUCUUAUUCAAUUUCUUAAUCGAUAGACCAAGCUUCCUUGUAACCUUUUCCGAUAUGAACAAGUCCGAUGCUCCCGUAUCAAUAAGAGCACUCUGCUUCUGACCCGCAAUGUUGAUCUUUACAAACAUCAACCCUUCUUCACCAUUCCUUUUCUUAGGAAUGAGCACCAUCGAAUUGAUCCUCAAUAGGCUUCGCCUCUUCCAACUCAUCAUUCCUCUUGAUAGCUGAAACUGAAGAUACCUUUGGGUAGUCCCUCUUUAUGUGUGGUCCCUUACAAAAGUAGCAGCGUAACUUUCCCUUCUUUUCCUUCGGGCUAUUAGGUCACCACUUCCUAUUUCAUGGUUUCCUAUCAUCACCAUCGCUGCUACUACUGUUUCCAUCCUAGCUAUGUCCCUCUUCAUCUUCCUCAUGGUACCCACCAUUGCCCCUCCUAUUGGGCUUGAAAGAUUCAAACUUUCCCUUAUCGAAACAAGUUCCACUAUAAACUCCACUACCAUCAUGGCAUUGGUAAGUUCCUAAACUCCUCGACGUUGCAAUUCUUGUUUCACCCAUGGUUUCAACCUAUUUGUAAAGGAGAAAAAUGCUUCUUUCUUGCUCAAAUUAAAGGUUUAGAGCAUGAGUUCACUAAACUCCUGCACAUACUCCCUAAUCGUACCUCAUUGUGUAAGCCACCGCAACUUUGCUCGAGCUUCAUCCUCGACAUACUUAGGGUAAAACUGUGCUUUAAAUUCCUUUCGGAACUCCUUCCAAGUCCCAAUCUCGAUCCCACCACGUCUCACAUUAGUGGACCUACGUCUCCACCACAACAAAGCAAUGUCAGUAAAAUACAUAGCAACAAUAUUUACCUUUGUGACAUCAUCUUUGAUGUUCAUCACAUGAAAGUAUUACUCUAUGGCCCAAUGAAAGUUGUCCACUUCACUUGCGGACCUUACCCCUUUAAACGCUUUUGGCUUGGGCACAUCCAUUACUUGUGGCUUCGCCUUUAAGGCCAACAUUCAAUUUCUUAUGACAGCCUUGAAAAUCUUAAGCUCCCCUUUAAGCUCAUUGAUCUCCCCCUUCAAAGCUGUCACCAUAGCCUCGAGAGCAUCGUCCUUCUCAGCUAGCUUAUUCUCCAAGGAACUGAUAGUAUCCCACACAAAUUCCCAAAACUGCUCUUACAUUAUUCAUAACCCAUCAUUGAGUCUAUCGUCGACAUCGUCGAUCCUCUCCUUUACGUCCCCCAUGGACUCCUCGAGAGUGACGACUCGAUCCUCCAAAGCUGACAAUAAGUCCCUUAAUCGACUCACUUUUUUGGCCCUUUAUCGGGUCUCCAUUGGCUCACUCUGACCAACAACUUCUUUUGACAUCCCAACAGUGCCUUUGAACCAAAAGCUCUAACACCAACUAUCACGGGUCAAGAUGUAAAAUCUGGAAAAUUACUAUAGUAAGAAAGUAGGUAUCCUUGAUAUAGUAAAAUAAGGAAAUAAAGUGCCAAAAAGGGAAAUUUUGAGUUAUGGCAACAUUGGGAAGUAUAUUAUGAUAUAUUAAUUCAAGAAAGAAUUAAAUCGUAAAAGUGAGAAAAGUUUUGUUGAUCAAGAGUAAAUACUCAAAAUUUGAGAGGGUAAAGUGUACAUAUGAAAAAGUUGAAGGACCAAUAAUGCAAAUAUUUUAAGGGUUAAAUAAUCAAAAAACUAAGGAAAAUGGAUGAAUUAGGACCAAAUUGAAAAGGUAAAGAAUUUUGAGGGACUAAAUCAUAAUUUUACCCAAUUAAGUGAUGACUCAAUGAUGGAAUUUUUAGAGAUUAUAUAGAGCAAAAUGGUCAAUUAGAAGAGAGAAAUCUAGAAGAUAAUGAUGAUGUUGGAGAUAUUUUAGAUUAAAUAAAUAAAUAAAUAUUAGUUUAUAAUAUUUUGAUUUGAUUUUUUUAAUGAUAUUUUAUUAUUUUAUUUAGUAUAAUACAUAUGUGGAAAGAAAGUUGAAAAGCCACCAUCCCACCAUUUUUCCCAUGCAUCAAUGGAGAAGAAGAGAAAAACAAAGAAAAUUUUGCUUUCUUUACAAUUUGGUCCUUUCACCAAAUACUCACCAUUCUCACUUAGAAAUCAAAAGAAUUUUCAUAGCCACCAAGAGACAAAAUUGAUAAUGAGACUAUGGGGAGCAAGAAUAUCAAGUUAGAUUCAAGAAAUAAAAGCUAGAGGAGAGAGAAAAAUCAAGUUAAAGAUUGAAUUCAAUAGGACAAGGUAAGAUCAUCAAGAUUUCAAUAUAUUUUUAAGAUUUAUAUUAUUGAAAAAGCAUGGAAAUGAUGUUAUAGUAGAGUUUUCUUAUAUAAGGUCUUAUGUUCUUGAUAUAUUAGUGAAGUUAAAUAAGUGAAAGUGAUGGGAAAUAUUAUAGAGAAAGGGAAUAAGGGAGUUAUAAACUUAGUAAUCAACAUCUUGCACUAAAACAGUUUUGGACAGCAGCAGUAGGUUAACUUUGAAAAAUCACCAUAAAUCAUGGAAAUUGAAUUAAAGGAUGAAAAAAAUAUGGAAUUAAAUCUUAUUAGUCUAGCUUCUUAUAGAAGAAACGAUGUAAGUAAUGGAAUUCUAAAUCAUGAGAUAUAAUAAAUUUUGUGAGACAAGGUCAGAAUGAUUUUGAGUUCCCCUAUUCAGACUUUGGGAAAUCAUAAAAAAAAGUUAAAGAAAACUAAUUAGGGUCUUAAAUUUCUAUUUUUAAAUCCUUAAUGAGUCUAUUUUUUAUAGAAACAAAUGGUAACAUCAUCCGAAUCCUGUACGAGGAGAUAAUUAAUUUUUAGUGAAGAAGGGUUGAAACUAUCAAAUAGCAGAAUAGGGAUGACUUUAAAGAAUAAACUGUACUUAUUGGGUUAACCAUAAAUUCUAAAAAUUUUAUGGUAAGAAUAUAUGUGAGUCUAGUUUCAUAUAAAUUUAUCGGAUUUUAAUUCGGAGUUCUGUAGCUCAAGAUAUAAAUAAUUUAGUGACUAUAAUUCAAGUGGAUAGCUUUGAAUGAACAUAUAAAUAAAUAGUGAAAUUAUAGGUAAUGUUACAUAUAAGCAUGUUAUACACAUUAAUGAUGUGGAAUGGAGAGGAGGAGGAGGAAAAUAUAUGAUUAUUCAACUAGCAUGAUUUUUCAUUAAAAAUGGCUAAUUUGCAUAUUUUAGGUUUAAGGACUAAAUUGAAUAAAAGUAAAAUUUUAAGGGUAAUUUUGUAAAACGGUCCAAAGUGACUAAAUUGCAUGAAAUGAAUUGUUUUAUUAUUUAAAUUAAUAAAUUGAAUGAAAUAUUAAUUUAGAUCAAGAUUGGGUGGAAAUUCAAGGAAAAUAGAAAAUUACCAAAAUGUCUUUGAAUUUUGGUAUUUUCUACAAUUUAGCCUGGUAAGUUCGUAUGAACUAUAUUCUGUAUAAUUUUAAUUAAAGUAAAUGUUAUUUGGUGAUGAAUAUUAUAUAAAUAUGUGUUUUAUUAUUGGAUUUGAAUUAUUAUUGGUAAUAUGUAUAAUUAUUAGAUGCAUUGAAAUGAUUAUCAGAAGCUCGAUUGGGUUGGAAGCUUGUCGGAGAUAUAUCACACUAUCCAUUGGUUCUAUCGAUAAUUUUGGAUGAUUUGAUUCUGGUUAUAUUCGCAUGUAUAAGUUAAAUUGGCCAACGUUAGCUCAUUAAUGUUUUGAUUUUGAUUGGUUAUAAAUAUGAAUGCUUGAUGAAAUGAAAUGUCUGUAAAUUAAUUUGUAAACUCCGGUAAUGCUCUAUAACCCUAUUCUAGCGAUGGAUACGGGUUAGGGGUGUUACACUAGAUCUUUCAUCUUACGAUCCGUGCGGCCUUAGGCGAUCCGUUUGUCCAAACUCACCUAAGUCAUCCUUUACUCAAGUGAGGAUUCCUUAAGAACUCCUCCCAAGGCACCAAGUUGAAGAGCAGAAGUGAUUUAUGCCAAAAGAAUAACAACAAAAGAACAACAGAAAGAGCGCACACAAAAUGUUUGAGUGAAUGCUCUCAGAAUUCUAUUACUCUUAAGAAUUCAACAUACAAUGGAAUGAGUACAAAUGUGGGGAGGCUCUCUAUAUAUAGUUAAGCUCCCCCAAAAUUGAUGGUUAAGAUACAUUUACAACGACGGAUGAGAUUAACCAUAUCCCUUUAUUUUAGGGAUUUACAAUAUAUGCUAUAUCAAAUCUAAUCUAAUCUUUACAAGAUAUGAUUCCCUCAAUCUUCUAAGAUUAGUUACCAAAUUAGCCUAAGUUGCCAUAUCUCCAUUAUCGGGCUAAGCAAACUUCAAUCUGACAGGCUUCUCUAAUAGUUCUUUGAAUUGGGCCAUUUCUCGUGGGCUAAAUGAUCCCCAUCUUAUUGAUAGACAUCCAUAGGUUGCAUCUUGUGCUAUGGUCACGGACUUUGCUCUUUGACCCAUGACACAAGAUUAUCACAAAUUCCAAGUGGCAAUUGGAAAAUGAGAUACGAUGUUUAUGUUUUUUUUUCAUUUUUAAAUAUAAUAAAGACGAAACUGACGGAAGGGAAAACUUUAUCCUUGGUUUAAAAGUCCAUAUAUCAAUUACAAGACAUAAAAAACAAAGACAAGUAUUGGGGGACAGCAUAUGAUAGUGAAUGACACUAAUUGAUUUAGUCUAAUUAUUACAACAUGUUUGAUUGAAACUAUUUUGUAGUAUCUGAUUAAAUAAAUAUUGAGAGGAAAAGUCUUAAAUUUUCUUCUUUUCCUUAGCUAUAAAAUUUAAUUUCUAUUUUGGUUUACAGGCCUUUGAUUCUCAUCUCUAGUUAUGUAAGGCUGAGUCGCUGCUAGUUGGAUGGACCUACAUUAAAAACAUGAAUUGAAAACAUAAGUAAUAGAAAUUUUGUCAUAUUUAGACAAAUCAAAUUAAUUUUUGUCUACCAUUACCCAACGACAUCUUUAUUAACUUUUUACAUUUAUUAUCCCAAUAUUCAAAACCAAACAAUACAUUCAUUGCAUAUUCCUUUUCUUAAAUAUCAUUUUAUUUAAUGUCAUUAGACAUUACUCUAUUCUUUUCUCUUUAUGAUAAAAAUUAGUAAACAAAAAAUUAUUACAGAUGUUGUAGGAACCUAUCCUUUGAGAUUGUUUGAUUAUAGUUUUUGACAAAUUGCUCAAAGUUGAUGGGAUAAAACAAGUGAUUUUGAUGGUGUUCGGAAUUGGCAAAUUAAAUUACUCAAUGGGUAAAUAUCCACGGAAGUUAUUGUCCCAAAGUGGGGUUGGACUUGGAUGGUGUCUGCGAGACUCAUUUUUAUCAAAUUCAAAGCAGUGGCAGUAAUACCGAUUAAAUUACAACUAGAAAUAAAAACAGAUCAGUUGGCUGGAAAGAGGUUUCGAGGGUCAUGCUUGUUCCCUAUCAUCCCAAGUACUACUAAGUCUGUACCCCUCUAAAUGGGGAGAACUUUAUUGAUCUUUCAUUGGUUUAAAAGUCCAAAUUCCAAUUGUAAGGCAUCAAAACAACAAAGACAGGUACUGGGGAACAGCUGAAGAGAGUGAGUGACACGGUUUGAUUUAGAGUCUCAUGAUUGCUGCAUGUUUGAUCGUGAUCCUCCACUUUGAUUGUAAUGUCUAACAAAAUAAAUACCAUGAUGAAAAGACCUUUUUCUAUCAAAUCUAAAUUUCUAGUUUUGAAGACACGCCUUUGGUUCUCAUCUCUUACUUGUUCUGCAUGGCUAACUCGCAGUUGCUUCAAUGGACCUAUGAUGGAAACAUGAAUUGAAAAGAUUGCGAACAAGUAAUAGAAACUUUGUAAUAUUCAAAUAGAUCAAAUUAAGCUUUGCGGGUCCUGGCCCACUUCACGCUCAAUUGACAGAGGGAUGGGGACAAUAAUUAAAGCUGUUGUGAGUGGUGGGGUAGGCGUGGGUAUGACCUUGUACCAACCCCAUCCUAUCUCUACCCAUCCUGCAUAAUAUAACAAAUGUAUUUAAAAAAUAAACAUUUAUAAAAAUUUAAUUUAAUAAUUAUUUUAACAGUAUUUAAUUUUUGCACUUGUGUUGCAUUUGAAGACAUUUAUAAUGUAUUUGAGAUAUUGUUUGUAUUUUGAUAUUAUGUAAUGACUUUAUUUUUUGAAUCUUUUAAACUUGAAAUUAUAUAUUAUUUACCAAUUAAAAGUCGUGACGACUUACUUUUUUUUUUAAAAAAAUAGUGACAGUUGGAAUAAUGUCACAUAUGUGAUGGGAGUCUGGAAGAUAAAUAUUUUAUACUUUUGUCACAAAAAAUUGGUUUAUAUUUAUUUAACUGAUACUUAUAAAUAUUGUCAAAACCACUUUUUGAAAACAAAAAAUUAGUUGUCGAAUUUAAAUACAAAAAUUGGAGUUGCCAUCGAUCUUUUAUUGGGGUGUGAUUGGCUCACCUUAAAAAACGAUUUUGGUCUACGAAAUUUGAGAAAACAGGUUCGGGAGUCGGUUACGCCCGAGGAAGGGUUAGCACCCUUGUAACGCCCAAAAUUGGUACCGAAUUGAUUAAUUAAGGUCUUAAUGCCGAAUAUCGAAAAUCCGUGAAGAAUUUAAAAAUAUGAUCCUCCCUUUUUUAUUAAUGUUAAUUUUAUAAAAGAUGCUUGUAUAAAUCGAAGCGGGUGCUAAAGACCUUCUUGUCUCAGAGUAAUAAAAUGUUACACCCAAUACGUUAGGACACGACAUUUUUAGUCCUCGAGAAUAAGCUUGUCUUUUGAUUUUCAAAACUUGUGCGGUGAAGUUUAAAAAGGAUAUUCAAUUGCUUUAAGUCAGAUGAAAAAUCGAAGCCCAAUACGUUAGGGCACAAUUUCUCAAAAUUCCAAGCAUUGAAUAUUGCCCUUAUUAUUCCUUUUGUUUUUAAAUCUCCGUCUCGAGUAAACGACAUGUAAUAUCCAAUACGUUAGGACACGACGUAUCGAAUUCCCGUGAAUGAGCUUUUUAUUCAUGAUCUGUGUGAUUUUAUUGCAAAAUAAAUACUUGGCUAUCUAAAUUCAUCAAAAAGAAUUGAAGCCCAGUAAGUUAGGGCACAAUUUUCUCGAGAAUCAUGAAUACCGAGUAUUUUGAAAAUUUACAAAAUAAGAUUAUUUUAAUACUUUAAUGAAAUAUAAUUUUUAAAACAAAUGUGGUGCAAUUGAAUAGUAACAUACAAUGCAAAAGGAUAAUUCGAAAAUAAAAUAUACAUUAAUGAGCAAUGAAUAAUCAAGAAAUAAAUGCAAACAAACAUAGCAACAAUAAGCUCAAUUGUACAUUAUGCCAAUAUCAAUAUCAACAUUCAAAAACUGAUAAAAAAACUCAAAAUAACUAAUAAUAUACAUGAUAAUACACGCAAAAAGUUGAAGUGGGUGAAAUAUAAUAAAGUAGGUUUUUUUUAAAAAAAAAGAAAUAAAUUAUAUAUAUGAAAAUAAGUAAAAAAACUAUGGAAUUAAUAAUAUAUCAUAAAUUGUGUAUAAAUAAUAUUAAAUUUACAUAAAAAAUAUAUAAAAUAAUACAUAACAAAUUUGAAGAAUAAUACAUCAAAACUUAAAAUGAUACAUAAAAGAAACCUUUAAAAAUAAUAAUACAAUAGAUUUAAACAAUAUCAACAAUAAAUUUAUAAUAAUAAGUUUAAUUAGAAAUAAUACUAGACUUAAAACUAAAUAUAUUAAAAAAACAAAAUAAAAGAAAUACUUAACUAAGUUUUUUUCUUUUUUUUAAAUGAGCAAAUCAAAAUAAGGAUUAAAUUGAUUUUAAGACAAGAUUAGAGAGGAAAAAAAUGGAAAUAAACUAAAACGGAGGGCUAAAUCGUGACACGCGAAUAACAUGAGGACCGAAUGAGAAAUAUUUCCUUCCCCCAAAACGCUGCGUCUUUAGCAUGGACUAAAUGAAACAAAUAUAAAAUAAGAGAUUAAAUUUAAAAAGAAAUAAAAGAACUGGAUUGAAGUGCACUUGAAAACGGAGGGACUGUGCACGCAAAUAGAUCGUCAAACAAAAUGUCCGGAUCCUUCCCUCGGGUCGGGUCACCGCGUGGGUCUGAGCACAAUACGGCACCGUUUUGGAACCAUCAGAACGGGCUUCAAACGGUGUCGUUUCAUAGCAUGCAUAAAAUUUUUUAAAAAAAAAACAAGGCAUUAAGCCAUUUUUGACAGAUCUGCAAACCCUAAGCAAAACUUUCCUCUGUGCGCCGCUCAGCAAACCGACGUUUAGAGGCCCCAAUCCCUCGUCCGACUCUGAUUACGACGGAGCGAACGACGUCUCGGCUAUCAAGUAAACUACUCUCCCUAACCUCUCUUUCUCUUUUAUUUCAUACUAUUAAUGAGCAGAGUAGUAAAAAAACAAAGAAAAGUGAAGAAAAUUCAAAAAAUCACCUUAUGAAACUCUGUUUACGUUCUAUUUCUUUGAAUAUUUUUUUUCUAUUUUUGUAUUCAAUCUCCGUGUGUAAAAAAAUACAAUGGCUUUCUGUUUGUUUUUAUAGCCGAAUAUGCGAAAACAUGAAAUAAAAAUAAAGUACGAUCUUUUUCUCUCUGCUAUGUUUUUUUUGUUUUACUUGUAGGUACGGCAUACAGAGGUGGUGGCAUGGCGCAUGUGGAUAGGAAGACCGAAGGCGGCGCGUUAUGAGGCUGUUGCGGCGGCUUAGUUUCUAGAAACCUUUAACGUUUCUGAAAAUGUAAAAAAAAUGAGCUAUUUGGGCUUGUAACGCGAUUGGGCUAGGGAUUGUAUUUGGGUUUGUAACCGGGUUUGGAGAUUGAGCUAAUUAGGCUUAGGUUAGGUUUGGGCUAGGGGUUUUGGUUAACUGUUUAAUGGACUGUUAAUGGGCUUUGUAUUUUUAUUAUUUGGUUUUUAUGUUAUCUGUAUCGGGCCAUCCAAAAUUGGCUAUUACAAAUAUAUUAUAUGAAAUGUGUCAUAAGAUGAGUAUAGUGGGGAUUAGGUGGGUUUGCGACCCAUGUGGGUGGUGGAGCGAGGAUGGUUUUGGAUUUUGUACCCGUAAUGGGUUGUGGGAAGGGGAUGGAGAUGAAAAUUCUUGGUGGGGAUGGGGAUAAAAAUUGUGCAAGUCGAAGUCUGUGUAAUUUGUAGUAAUGCAUACCAAGAAGGAAUCUUCCGCCCUCUCUCUUUCUAUCUCUGUCUUCCUCUCAUUUUGGUGUAUUGGUUGUUUGGAUGUGUUUUGUCCUAUCUUGUGUUGAUCUGAUUUGUUUUGUUCCAGUGAUGUUAAGCCUUUGACUAGUAAUAUGAGUAAUAUUGGGCUUCAACCACAAUACACGGUAAAGAAUGAAGGCCAGAGAAAUGCAAGACUGCAUGUCUACACCACUAUUCACUAUUCAACAAUACAUUAAUUAUUUUUUUCUUUCUGAUAAAAUUUAUUAACAACAAAUGUUAUACUUGUUUUAUGGAUAACGUAAUGUUUAUUUAAUAUAUCCAGAACAAUAAACUAAUUUCCAGUUAUACGUCUCAUUCAAUAAUAAUAUUUUUAUAAAUAAAAGAGUAGUCUGUCUCUAUAUAAAUAAAUGAGUUGGGUUGGGUUUCAUUUAAUUGAAAAUGAGUUGGAUUGGCUAAUCAUUUGAUUUUGGGUUAAAUGAAAAUCAACUUCGGCCUGGAUGUAGGUAUUGGGUUUAAUGUAACUUACAUAAAUAGUCUAGUAUGUCGCUUUAUUUGACUUGUUUGGUUUGGACACUUAAAAUUGAAAUUGAUCAAUUAAAUCGACAAAAUUGAGUCUCAACUAAAUAAAGUGAAAACUCAACUAAAUAGUACUGGAUUAAAUUGAUUCAAUUAAUCGAAUUUGUACAUACUUUAUAACCAUCACGAUUCGUUCAUAUUAUUAUUCUAUACUAUAUUCAUGCUAUGUAAUAAAAUUGUGUCAUAAAGUACUUGAUCUCAUUUUCCUAAAUUGAUGUAUUUGGAAAGAUCGAAACUUUUUUUUUUCAGGGUGUCUCUUGGAGCACAGGUGAGAUUAUUAAGAUUUUAUAUAUUUGGGCAAAACAGUUUGUUUCUUUUCAUAGGGAAGACAUUUCUUGACAAAUAGAACAAAAGUCAGCAGUUGAGAUGUUGGAAAGUUGGAUCAAUCUUUGCACUGACGGGGCGGUCCAAAUUGCCCUGGGUGAUUCUGAAGCGGGGGAAGUCAUAAGAAAUGGAAAAAGGGAGUAAAUUAUGGGAUAUAACAGAAAUCUAGGCAAAUGCUCAGUCUUCAAUAUUGGAAAUCUAAAUUUAAUUAAAUUCCAAGAUGAAAAGACCUUUUUUUCUAUAAAAUCUAAAUUUCUAGUUUUGAAGACAUACCUUUGGUUCUCAUCUCUUACCCAUCAAUAUUGAAAAUUUUGUUGCUUCGAUGGACCUAUGUUGGAAUCAUGAAUUGAAAAGAAUGCCAACAAGUAAUAGAAACUUUGUAAUAUUCAGAUAGAUCAAAUCAAGCUUUGUGUGGACCAUUUGUGAUUAAAGCCAGUUCUGCCCUGGAUUAUUAUAAAUCAAAUAAUUAUUUGCAAUCCUAAAAUUAACAAUCUAACAAUUGAAUUUAACAAGCCUUGCAUUUAAAAUUUUGAAUUGAUCUGAUACCUCUAUCAUUUCGAUCCAAAACUUUAUUUAUUUCAUAUAUAUUAUAUAAAGCAAAGUUUUUAAGUAUUUUUGAAUGUAACUAAGUAAGCAUGUUUCUUCUACCGCGAGUCAAAAGUUUGCAGCAAUUUUAGCCAUUUCGUACAUUAUAUGUCAUUAUAUUGUUGCCUUAAUUAAAGCACAAUAAUAUAUAUUUCCAUAAGUUUUAACAAAUAUCAUAAAUUUUCACUGGAAAUUUUGUUGGUGUAUUCUAAAUCACAUAAUGAUCAGAAAUAUGGAAGAUUUCCAUAUAUUCUCGCCUUUUAGUAGAAGUAAUAAUAAAAAAUUUUGUUGAUUCGCCUCUACUAUGAAAAUAAAAUAAAAAAAUUACAAAAUUAGAACCGUAAAAUUCAACUAAAUCAAUUUUGGUUUUAAAAUUUUAAACAUACAUAUUAAAGAUCUCCUAACAAUUUUACUUUUAAGUAAAUUCAAGUAUAACAAUUUUACAUAUUAAGGGUUGAUUAAAUAGUUUGCAUAACAUCCAUCUAGUUUUGAGAAAUCUUCACUUUUAAUUUUAAAAUUGUAAUUAAAUAGUUUUAUCCAAUUAACUAAUAAUAAUAUAUGGCUAUAGUGAUGUCUGUAAUUUCAUAAAAUAAUUACUCUAAUCUAAUCCAUGUAUCUUUCUUUCUGAGUUUAUCGGGCAAUAUAUUCCCUUCGAUUUCACCUAGCUUGUUAUAAUAAUGUUAUUUCAAAUUAGUUAAAGAAGAAAAUUUGUGAUGUUAUAUUUAAAUUGAAUAUUUCAAUUUAUUAGGAAUUGAUUUUAAAUUAGAAAGAUCAAAUUUUAAGUAGGACCACUUAGGGAUCAGAAAUUUGGGCAAUUGCUCAGUCUUCAAUGUUAAACUAUGAGGAGCUCUUAAUAGAUUAGCUCUCAUUCACAAAGGGUGCUAUGAUGGUGUAUUGAUACAAAUUGAUAGCUUGGAGGUGGUUAAAGCCAUUCAGGACUCCUCUCCCUCAAGCUCGAAUUCUACCCUCAUUCAACAUUUUCCUAGAGAACAUAAUUGAUACAACCAAUGAAUUUGUUGAUGUAUAGAUUCAAGCUAUGAUGUCUAGUGAAGUAAAAGGAUAUUUGUUGGCAUAGCUCUAUUGAAGUUGUUGUUACGAAUAUUUCGACUGAUGCAAAUUAGAUAACUCAAAGGGUAAAUACUUAUUAUCGCGCUAACGCAUGACCAUGAGUGACACUGUUUUAUUUGGAGUCUAAUGAUUGCAACAUGUUUGGUGAUGAUCCUCAACUCUAGUUGAAUCUAUUAUUUAAUAUCAAACAAAAUAAAACAUUGAGAUGAAACUAUUUCAAUUUUCAUGUUCUUUGAUGAAUCUAUUAUUUAAAAAUCUCAAUUAGUUAGUUGAUCAAAUAAAAAAAUUGAUAGUUGGGUGAGCAAAUAAGAAAAAGGGGCAAUAGUUGGGUGACUUGUGAUGUAGUUUACCCUAAUAAUAAAAUAUAGUAGGGUAAGCUAUAGAGUUAGUCACCCCACUAUUAGUAUGUUUUUGUUUUGGUCACCUAACUACGAAAAUUUACAAUUUAAUCACUAUCGUUUUAGAUCAUUUCUAUUUUGGUCACGUUUUAGAUCGUUUUUAUUUUACUCAAUCUUCGUUAAAUGGUUAACCAAAGUUAUGUUGUGACCUUUUUUUAACUAGUAUAAAAAACACAUUUAGUCUUCAAUACUUACACAUUCUAUCAAUUUGAUCCUCGAACACAUACAAUUAAAUGUAACAUAUAUAUUAUGAAAACGUACAAAAUCUAAUUAUUUAUAUAUAUUUAUGUAAAUAAUAUUAUAUGUGCUUAUAUUUAAUUAUGAUUAUAAGGUUCAAAUAUGCAUUUAGCCCCUCGAACUUGGCACCUUCUCCUAUGUUGGUACUUAUGAUUUUUUUGUCCCAUGUUGAUACUUUUUUUUGUUAUGAUAUUAAAUAUAGGACACAUGACACUUUUCUGACACUAUAAUCUAUUUGUUUUAUAAAAAUUUAAUAAAAAAUUUAAAAUAUAUAUAUGAAAUUUAUAUAAUUUUUUAAAAUAUAAAAUAAAUUAUAAAUUAUAAAAAUAUAUGUAUCUAAAAAUUAAAAAUAUUACAAAAAUUAAAAAAAUCUAUAAUUCAAGUUUGAAAAAUCAAAGACCUACAAAAUUUACACAUUUUUCUAAAUAAAUUGUAAACAAAUUAGAUAAAGAUAAAUUUUGAAAUAAACUUUAUGUUUAGAGACAGGUGCAAAUUAUUACACGAUUUUUUAAGUUAAUAAAAAUGCAAAAGAUGAUGAUUUUUCAAGUUAAAUUUUAUGUUUUAGAUCAUUUUUAUUUUACUCACUCUUCAUUAAAUGGUUAACGAAAGUUAUGAUGUGACUUUUUUUUAACUAGUAUAAAUAAUACAUUUAGUCUUCGAUACUUACACAUUUUAUCAAUUUGAUCUUCGAACACAUAUAAUUAAAUAUAAAGUAUAUACUAUAAAAAAGUACAAAAUAUAAUUAUUUAUAUAUAUUUUUCUAAAUAAUAUUAUUUAGUUUUCCUUUUUUUUUUGUUAAUUUUUUGCUAGGUGAUGGGAAAAAUUGGGUUCCUUGAAAAUGCACAACAUAUACACAUAUAAAUUUAUCAGCAUUUAGUUAUAUGUGUUUAAAUAUAAUCAUUUUUAUAUUUAAUUAUAUGUGUUUGGGAAUAAAGUUGAUAGAAUUUGUAAGCAUGGAGGGUGAAAUUUAUUGAAUUAUUUAGAAUAAGAAUCAAAUUGAUAGAAUGUGUAAGUAUUGAGAAAUAAACGUGUUAUUAUGCCAGUUGGAAAAGGCAACAUCAUCACUUCCGUUAACAAUUUAACAAAGAGUGAUCAAAAUAGAAACAAUCUAAAGUGUGAGUAACCAAAAUACAAAUAAUAUAAAAUGUAAGUGACUAAAUUAAAAAAUUCAUAGUUGGGUGACUAAUUCUAUAGUUUACGUGAGAUAGUAGAAGCAAUUAGGAUUAAUUCCAACAAACAUCUCAAACUAUUACUCAUAUUUUAAAUUGAACCCUAACUUGUACACAUUCUAAUUAAAUUACUCAAAUAGAAUGUGAUAAUGUGUUAUGCUAUUAUUCAUCGAUAGUGCAUAGGACUUAUGCACCAACAAUGCAUCUAACAUUCUAAUUAAAAAAAUGUAUAAAAUAAGUUUUAUACCAUCUAUAAUUUGUAAAAAAAUCCAAUAAAAAUAUAAAAAUACAUAUCUAUAAUUUCAAAAAAAGAAUUCAAUUAAUCCAAACCAAGUCUUUUUUUUUUUAUAAAUUCAAUUCCAAAUCUCCUGUAAUAAAUAAACUCACAAAUCUGAUUGAGGUUAAAAACAUGUAUUGUGCAAUUAAAACCAUGAUCCAUUUUCAAUUCUAAAGUAUUGAACAUAUAAUUUUGCAUUAUUUUACCUCCCUUGAUUCUUCACACACUCUUUGGAAUAAAUUAACCAUCUAUUCCUUAUUUCAAUUUUAUUAAAAAGUUAGGUUCCCAUAAAGACAGUCUUUACAAACCAAUGCACCUAUCAUAAACACAUCAGGGAACAUUGCCAUGAGAGAGGACCUAAGAAAACAAAAUACAAACUACAUAACAUUCAAUCAAGCACCCACACAAAAUGUUUAUUAAACAGCUACAGAAAAAGGCCUGCAUACCACCAAGCAAUGAAGUUUUCUGUUCUGUUUGUAACUUGUUGAACUUGCCCAAGUGUUGGCUUCUCUACCUUUUUGCAAAUCUUUGUCGGACUCGCUCCACGAUCCUAAUCAACCACCAUGGUUUUCCAGUCGUGAAUACAAUGUAUGCCAUGCUCAUUCCCAGCACCAACCCACAUCCAUACCCCAUCAAUAUUGAAAAUUUCCAAUUCAAUUCAUCACCAUCAUCAUCUCUAUCAAAUUUGGCUGGAGUUUCCUCAUCAGUACCACAGUUUUUUGAUAAUGGCAAACCACAUAAAUCCGAAUUUCCCAUGUAGGAAUCGUAAGUGAAAGUAUCAAAUUGUUUGCCUUGAGGAAUGGGUCCCUUGAGAUUAUUUUGAGAAAGGUUUAACACCUCUAAGAAUCCAAGAUUUUUUAACUCUGUUGGAAUUCUUCCUUCCAGCUUAUUUGAUGAGAGAUCUAAUGAUUCAAGCUCUAACAAAUUACCUAAAGAUGAUGGGAUAGGACCUAUUAAACAGUUAUGGGAGAGGUUUAGGACAAUAAGUAAAUGAAGCUCACCAAGUAUUUUUGGAAUUUCUCCCCUGAAUUGGUUACUAGAAAGGUCAAUAACCGUCCAAAUGGAUAAUAGUGUUUCAAACUUUAUUUCCAGCCCUUUUGCUGUAACAGAUAAACCACCAGAAGCAUAAUUCACCCAAAAUGCAAUAGUUGCAUCUUUCNNNNNNNNNNNNNNNNNNNNNNNNNNNNNNNNNNNNNNNNNNNNNNNNNNNNNNNNNNNNNNNNNNNNNNNNNNNNNNNNNNNNNNNNNNNNNNNNNNNNCCAUACUCAUCUCUAAUGGCAUGCAUAUGCUCAAAAAAUAGGGUAGGUAAGUAGCCACUAAAAUUAUUGUGAGAAAGAUCAAUGAUUCGCAAUUUAGUUAAAGAAACUGUAGUAUCAAAGCUCUCUAUUUGACCGUAAAAUCUAUUUGACCUCAAGAUAAGAACUUGCAGCUGAUCCAAAUUUCCUAACCAACUUGGGAAAGUGUCAUUCAAAUUGUUGUUUCCAACAUUAAGAAGAUUUAAACCUUUGCAAUUACCCAAAGAUCGUGGUAGUGACCCUUCUAAUUCAUUGUUGAUGACAGAAAAACUUUUUAACAUGCAACCUUUAGCAAAGUUUUCUGGCAUUUGACCAUGAAAAUUAUUAUUCCCUAGAUAAACUGCUGUGAGAGAAGAACUCAAGUUUCCGAUGCACUUUGGAAUUGUUCCCUCCAAAUUAUUCCCAUCUAAAGAAAUACCCAUAGGGGAAGUCCAAUUGCAUAUUGAAGAAGGGAUUUCUCCAGUUAAGUUAUUAUUUGAUACUGCAUACCAUUGCAAUAAAGGUGGUGGUGUCGGAAUUCGACCUUAGAGAUAAAAUUGAAAAUGAGAUAGAAUUCGGAGUUUAUCAUUUGAAGUGAAGUUAUAAUUUUAACCAUCUCUUUAUGAAACUUUAAGUUAGAGGUCAAAUAAAACAAGUAAAUUAAUUGAUAUAGUGUUUAUCAUUUGAAGUAAAGUUAUAAUUUUUUUUCCUCACAAUUGAGUUAAUUUUAUGUUUAUAAUUUUUAUAGCCUCAAAAUUUGUGCUAUGAAAGCCAUUUUUUUAUGAGAAUACUUUUUGAGUCAAAAGCUAAUUAAUAAUAUAUAACAACUAAAAAGGGAUUGCAUAAAUGUAACAACAAAAAGAAAAAAAAUAAUAUUAUACGUUAUAAGUUGUUAUUAGAAAGUUCAAUAACUUCGAGAGUGGUCAAGUUUCCAAUAGUUGAUGGGAUUUCACCUAAAAAUAUAAAUAAAUUGGUCAAAAUAGCUUGGUGCUAGAAUUAUGUUAUCUUUGUGUGUGUACUUUUUUAAAUUUAUGUUUAAUGUAGAUAACUAACUUAGAAGUAACCCAGGAUAUAGAGAAAUUUUAAUAAGUACUAGAACACAGUUGAACUUUUGACAAUUUGUAACUCAAAUUUGUUUCUUAUACUCAAAAUAGUAUAAGAAAAAAAAAAGAAAAAAAACAUGAUAUUAUACUUGAUAAGUUGUUAUUAGAAAGAUCAAUAGCUUUGAGAGUAGUCAAGUCUCCAAUAGUUAAUGAAAUUUCACCUAAAAAUAUAAAUAAAUUAGCCAAAGAAAAAAAUAAAGCAUCUAAAAAAAUGUCUUAUACCAAUAUUCUUAUAUUUUUCUAAUUUCAAAGUAGUUAAAGGAUUAAAUGUGUAAUUAAUUGUUUUUAAGCCAAAAGUAUUAUAGUAAGAAGUUAAAAGAUUGUAAUUAAUUAGUAAUAUAGGAGGGAAAAUACCAAAAUGAGCUUUAUCAAAAUGCAGUGUUUUGGGAAUAUAGAAAGUUGACAUCAAUGAGUCUCUCAACUCCACAAGUUUUUGCUUAUGCCUUAUCCUUCCACUCAUUUUCAUUCAAAUUCAUCUUAAUCUACAUAAAAAACCAUGCAAUCACUUGCUCAAAAAUAAAAACUAACAAUAUUUAAGCACAUGAAAUGCAAAAUAUCUAAAAUGCUAUGAAAACAAACAACAGUUCUCAAGAAACAAAGUAAAUGCAACCUAAAAAAAGCUUAUUAUGAUCAACACUCAUCAUAUCUUGCACUUACAUUUUUACCUCUCCUCAAAUAAAAUUAGUUUCAGAUUAGAAACAAAACUAACACAAGAUGAACUAAACUUAGUGCAUUGAUUAGAAGCCUUACUUACAAAUGGUAAUUUUUAUUAACAAUAAAAAAAAUAUUUAUUUUUGUGCUAGAGAAGAACACUGCAUAGAUUAUAAAAAGGAAAAACUAAAACAUUCAAAACAAUAUGUCAAACACUAAACACAAAAUUCAUAGUUGUAGAGGAGGAUUAGAUACAUUGGUCCCAUAAUAUGUCACUCAAAAUCUCAGAAUCAUCCAACAAAAAGAAAUCAUCACUUCAGUUAAUUAAAGCAAGAACAAAUAAAGUUAUGGAUGAACAAAUAUGGGAACCAAAGAAAAAUGAUGGAUCAAAAGGGACGAAUAAGCUAAUUUCUGCCAUAAGGUAGAUGGUGAACUUAGGAUGUGGAGUUCUAAUAAAUACCUAAACAUACCUAAACAUUUAUUUUAUGAUGAAAUGAUUGGUUAAACUUCAUAACAUCUUACAUUUUCUAAAUGCAUAAUAAUGACUCUAGGUUUUAAUCUUUCAAGUAACUUCUAUUUUAUUUACUUAAAAAGAUUGCAUAAAUUUAAUAACAAAAAGGAGAAUAAAAGAAACAUGAAAUUAUACAUGUCAAUUUGUUAUUACUAAGAUAAAGUGAUUGGAGAUAAGUUAAGUUUCCAAUAACAAGAGGAAUUUCACCUGAAACAUAUAAUUAAAUCAGUCAAAAUUUGUAAAUAUUUUCCUAGCAAACCCUUAAUCUAUUUGUUGAGCAUAUUAGUAUCUAUUUCAUUUACAUAUUUUUAAAUAUGCAAGUUUUUGUUUAGUUUUAUAGUACUUAUGACAACCCAAAAAUAUUUUAAUUAUAAUACUCGAAUUUAUAGUUCAAAUAAUGAUGAAAAUUAGAUGGAAUAAAAUAGUUCACGCUUGAUAGUUUUGUUCAAAUAUAGGAUACAUCAUCGAAGCUGAACAAAUACAUAUAUAUAUAUUUUAGAAACUUUUAUUUGUUAGCAGUGAUUAGCUAAUGUCAAACAACUGAUACUAUUGCAUACAAUAUGUUUCCCUAAACUGCUUGCUAUUUAUCCCUCGCCACAAAUUAUAAAAAACACAUGUGCAUUUUAAGCCAAACAUUUAUAAUAGUGAUAAGCGUCGUAUUGAUUCAAUUUUUUUGCUAAGGAAUCAGCAAACACACACAUAUCUGCACAUAUAGACACACACAUAUAUCUGCACAGAUAGACUACUAGGAACCCAAAAAUUUGCUUGUUGUAACCAGAUUACAAAAAUUGGGGCAUAGUCAAGUUUCCAAUUUCUAUAGGCAUAAUUCCCUCCAAAGAGUUGUUAUGAGUUGUUAUGCAAUGAUAAAUGAAAGAUAGUGAUUUUGGUUUGUAAAUUCAGCUCAAUUGUAUUCGACUAUUGAUAGCAAAUAUAUACAAGAUUACAUCAGAGUGUUAUCUAUAGCUAUUCACAAUUUGAAUUUGAAUUUUAAGUAGAAUAAAAUCCUAAAGAAUAUGAGUGAUAACAAGUCUAGUUUGACUUGGUUAACUCUCAACAGCCCCCCGCAAACGAAUGGGGGAAGUCACCAUCAGUUUGUCUUGAAGCGUAAGAAACCGAGUUGUCGAUAAAGGUUUCGUCAAGACAUCGGCUAUUUGAUUAAUGGUCGGAACAUAGGAGACGAGAAGAUUCUUCUGGCGUACUUGGUCUUGGACAAAAUGAAAGUCCAACUCAAGGUGCUUGCUACGAGAAUGAAAAAUGGGAUUCGCAGCUAGAUAGGUAGCGGAAACGUUAUCGCACCAUACUUUCGGCGUUGUUGGAAGCUUGUAAUUGAGUUCCCGAAGAAGGCACUGAAGCCAAUAAACCUCCGAAGCAGCUGAUGCUAAAGCUCAAUAUUCCAAAUCCGUGCUUGAACGAGCGACAGUCUUUUGCUUACGAGAAAUCCAAGAGAUCGGAUUGGAGCCAAGAAAGACAAUAUAUGCAGAAGUGCUCUUUCGAUCAAGCUUGUCGCCACCCUAAUCAGCAUACGAAAAAGCAACAAGUGAAGCUUGGCGAGAAGAGCGAAGCACGAGACCAUGAUCUAUUGUGCCGCAGAGGUAACGUAGGAUCCGUUUCACGGCUUGCCAAUGAUGGAGGCAAGGAAAAUGCAUAAAUUGUGCAGCUUUGUUCACUGCCAUGGUUAUGUCGGGGCGAGUGAGUGCCAAAUAUUGAAGAGACCCAACAACCUGUCGAUAAAGCUUAGGAUCAUAAAAGAUAGAAGAAGUAGUGCCAGUGAGGUCGGCUUGCGGUGUUGAAGGAGUCGAAACCGACGAGGCAUCUUGCAUAUUCGCACGAUAGAGCAAAUCUUUGAUAUAUUUGGAUUACGUGAGCUGCAAGCCACUCGAGAACUACGCAACUUCAACACCCAAGAAAUAGGAUAGUGGUCCUAAAUCCUUGAGCGCAACAACCUUCCCAAGUUGAGCAAUAAACCGUUGUAACAGCGAAGAGGAUGAUCCUGUCAACACCAAAUCAUCAACAUAGACCAAGCAAUAUGCAUUCUCGUCAUUACCGGAAUAUAUAAACAGCGAACUGUCAGCCUUGGAACCGUGAAAACCAAGCUGUUGUAGUGCAUUCGAAAGGAAAAAAUACCAAGCUCGUGGUGCCUGCUUUAAACCAUAUAGCGAUUUCUUUAGAGCACAUACAAAAUCGGGUUUAGAAUGAUCAACAAAUCCCUGUGGUUGUUCCAUAAAAACAAUUUCAUCAAAAGUCCCGUGAAGAAAGGCAUUCGAAACAUCAAGUUGUCGAAUGGGCCAAUGACGAUUGACGGCAAUGGAAAGAAUUAACCUUAUGGUGGCUGGCUUUAUAACAGAGCUGAAAGUCUCAACGUAAUCAAGGCCUGGUCAUUGAUGAAACCCUUUUGCAACCAACCGCACACGACAUCUAUCGAAGGAACCAUCCACUUUUGUUUUUACACGGUAUACCCACUUGCAACCAAUGAUAUUCGAAGCUCGAGAACGAGGAACAAGAUCCCAUGUGCCAUUUGAUAGAAGAGCAUCAAUUUCUUCUCCCAUUGCAGCACGCCAUACUUGAUGUUUUGCUGCUUCAGUGUAUGACGAAGGGGCUGACAGUGUAGUGGACGCAGCAGUAUGAAAAACCUUUGGUUUAAGUGAGCCAGUAUGGGAGCGUAAAGUCAUUGAAUGACGCACAGUAGGUACCUGAGCAGUGGUAGGAGAAGCAUUGGGACUGCUAGAACCUAUCGGGAAUGUGAUAGGGUCAUUGGGAACAAUGGGAGCAGGUUGCGAGAAAAACAGUGGUGAUGGCAAGAGAUUGAUCGGCAGUCAGUAGGGGGUACUUGGGACAGUAGGGAGCUUCUGGUUGGGGCAUGGGGCUGUAGGUAGUGGGACGGCAGGUAAUGGAUUAGAAUCGGAGUGAUGGCCAAGAGAAAAAAUGGUUGUCGGGGAAGGUGAAGGACCGAGAACCGAUACGUGCCCAUCACUUGACUUGAAUGGAAAAACCUGUUCAUCAAAAAUAACAUGGCGUGAGUAAAACACUUUAUUGGUGGACAAAGAUAAACAUUUAUAACCUUUGUGAAGAACACUGUAACCAAGAAAAACACAUUUGGCAGACCUAGGCUUAAGCUUAUUUUUGGUGUAUAGACGCAACCAGGGAUAGCAGCAACAACCGAAAAUUCUCAAUGACUUGUAAUCAGGGUCACGAUGAAAAAGGGCUUGGUAGGGUGAUUUAUGGUGUAAUUUUGGAGUUGGGAGACGGUUGAUAGUGUAUACAGCAGCAACAAAGGCAUUAUCCCAAAAUUUGGGAGGGACAGAGGCAUGAUGUAACAAGGCGCGACCAGUUUCGGUUAUAUGACGGUGUUUUCUUUCGGCGCAGCCAUUUUGUUCAGGGGUAUGUGGACAAGAGCUGCGUUGGAUUAUAGCUUCAGAGGCCAAAUAUUUUUCAAGGGCUUGGAAUUCCCCACCCCAAUCGGAUUGGAACUGCUUAAUAGGUAAACCAAAGUAUUUCUCAACAAUAGCACGAAAUUGAAUAAAGCAAUUAUAAACAUCCGAUUUACGACGAAGAAAAUAGAUCCAAGUAUAUUUGCUAUAAUGAUCAAAAAAUGCCACAUAAUAUAGAAAACCAUCACUAGAAGCAAUUGGAGAAGGACCCACAAAUCUGAACAAACUAACUCUAAAAGUUGUUUUGCUUCAUAAGUAGAAUCCGAAAAAGACAAUUUGUGUGAUUUACUAACACAGCAAGUUUCACAAAGAGAUGAAUCAUGCUUAUUGAAAGUAAGAACUUUAUUGACAGUGUUUGAGCAAGCAUGGCCUAGUCUAGCAUGCCAUGUAGACAACGAUAUAAACCAUUUUCGAUGUACCCUCUAUGCAGAGUUUGCUUCGUCCAUCGAUCCUUAACCACAAAAUAAUCAUGGAAAAAUUCAACAGAGACAUCAUUAGUGAGUGUAAACUGAGGAACAGACAAUAAAUUUAGGUUAGCCUCAGGAACAUGAAGAAUAUUAGACAAUUUGAAAGGAUGAGAAUUAAGAGUUAAGACAGACGAGCCAACACGAGAGAUAGGUAAGGUUUUACCAUUGGUGAGAGUGACUUCAUCGGAACCAGUGUACUCAGAAUGAAUGCCCAGGUUUCCCAAUUCAGAUGUCAAAUGAUGAGUGUCACCUGUAUCAACGAUCCAUGGCUUGGGAUUUGUUUGAGGAGACGAGCUAUAGUUUGCUGAGGGUUUGGGGUAGGACUCGGCAUAUCUUGGGCUGGGACACUAACGACUUGUGUGGCCACGUCCCUUGCAGUUGUAAUAUGUUGGAUCCUUGGGUAGGGAGGCAGCUCGGCCAUGACUGGAAUAAUUGCCAUUGCGCUUACUGUUACGACCCCGUCCAUGAUUAGCGAAAGCAGAAGGCUGCCGACCUGUAAAGUGGGCAACGGCAGUAGGAUGAAGAGGCUCUUGAACAGCUUUCAAUUGUAAUUCCUCAGAAAGUAAUAAGCCAAACAAAUCACCAAAGGAUGUUAACUGUAGUUUUGCCUCUAGAUUGCGAACGAAUGGUCGAUAAUCGGCACCAAGUCCUCGUAAAAUAUGGUCGACAAGAUCGUCUUCAGAAAUAGCCGCAUUUAGAGCCCCGAGUUGAUAAAAAAUCCAUUCCGCACGAUCCAUGUAUAUGACGAUUGAAUCAUCGCCACUAGACAAGGCAUGAAGAGAGCCUUUAAGGGUCCGAAUUUGAGCCCGAGAUCCGGAAGCAAAAGUUUGAUGCAGCUUUGUCCAAGCUGCGAAUGCGGUAGUGGCUCCGACUGCCUGUGAUAGCACAGACUUAGACAACGAGCCAAUGAUCCAGCUAAGAACCAUUUGGUCCUUAAGAAACCAUGGCUCAUAGGCCGGGUUAGGAGCAUUGUCAACGGUAUUGGGAGGAGCUGUUGUGCCGUCAACAUGAUGCAUGAGUUUUUGGCUAUAUAAAAGAGGGGUCAGUUGUGUUUUCCACAGGAGGUAAUUAGAGGGAGUAAGCUUGAUGGUGAUUUGAUUUGGCAUGGAAGGUGGAGAGGAAACAGUCGAAUUGGCCAUGAGGAAAAAAAAAAGGAGAGGAGGCUGUGAUUGAAACCUUUUUACUGGCAGUCUGAUACCAUGAAAGAUAGUGAUUUUGGUUUGUAAAUUCAGCUCAAUUGUAUUCGACUAUUGAUAGCAAAUAUAUACAAGAUUACAUCAGAGUGUUAUCUAUAGCUAUUCACAAUUUGAAUUUGAAUUUUAAGUAGAAUAAGAUCCUAAAGAAUAGGAGUGAUAACAAGUCUAGUUUGACUUGGUUAACUCUCAACAAUAAAUACAUCAACUAUUGUAACUAGAAGAGACUGCAUAACAGUAACAACAAAAAAGAUAAUAAAGAUGAUAUUAUACCUGUUAGGUAGUUAACAGAAAGAUCAAUGUCUGUGAGAGAAAUAAGAUUUCCAAUAAUCGACGAAAUUUCACCUAAAAUAUAUAAUAAAAAUUAUCAAAAUUGAUUUCAAAAAAAAUCAAAAUUUAUUAAUUAUUUUUAUAAUAAACCUUAAAAUCGUCAAAAAUCAAAGCUACUUCAUAGUUGUAUUUUGUGAGGCUGUGGGAGUUGUGUGAAGAAGGGAGAGAGACAAUAACAGUGGGUCAUUGCGGGUAGAUAUAAGUCUGAAACAUAUAAUAUCAACUAUGUACUCUGUAAUCAAAGCUAAGAGAAAUCAUGUACUCUAUUUUUUUCCUAUUCAAUAAUAUAAACACAUAAAUAAUAAGGCAAAUCUAAAGGAUAGAAAAAAUAGGUAAUUACAAGUCUUGUGUGAUUCAAAAGGGUAUAAAGUAGGUCCUCAUUAAAAAUCAAACCUUAAAUUAAAUUAAUGUAAAAUUUAACUCUUUUCUUAUCACCAAAUAAAUUUACUUUUAGUAAAUUAGGAGUUUUAAUAAAAUACUUGUAAUAACUGAUUGUUUAUGACUAGGUGUUUUGUUUUCAACAUAUUUAGAAUUAACUUGCCUUAGAAAAACAGUCUCUAUUAUUUUUAAGAAUAUUAUAAAAGCAAUAUAUUAGAAAAUGAAUGAAACAGUAACCAGGAAUUGUUUACCUUUGAGGUGGUUGUUACCAAGAUUCAAACUGUCGAGCAAAGUCAAAUUUCCAAUUUCUGUAGGUAUAGUUCCCUCCAAGGAGUUGUUAAACAAUGAUAAAAUCUUUAGCUCUUUGCACUUGAAUAAACUAUUUGGAAUUCUACCAGAAAUUUGAUUGCUACUCAAGCCCAACCUUUCUAGUUUUGACAAAUUGCCUAGAGUAGAUGGGAUAACACCGAUGAAGUUGUUAAGGUACAGAGACAAUCUUUGAAGUUUACUGAAGCAACCAAACCAUGAUGGGAUUUCUCCAUUGAAGCUAUUGUUACCAAAGUCCAAAUAUUUCAUCCGACGCAAAUUAGUUAACUCACUGGGUAAAGAGCCUUGGAAACUAUUUUGAUGAAUGUCGAGCCAAGCAAGGAAAGAUAGAUUUCCCCAAUUGAGAAGAAAUGGUGCCUGUGAGACCCAUGCUUGACAAAUUCAGAGCAGUGACUCUAUGGUGUCUAGAUCCACAUGUGACACCAAUCCAGCUACAAAGGGAGGUAGAAGUAGACCAAUUGGUUGCCAAGAACUUGUGAGGAUCAUGAGUUAUAUGAGAUUUUAGUGCUAGAAGAGCAGAUUGAUCAACGGUGAUGCUAGAAUAUUUUGCAGACAAAAUAACCCCAAAGGUUGCAAAUAGCAGCCCAAACAUAAACGGAGGGAGGAAGCUUGGUUUUGCCAUAAGGUUGGACAUGGGAGUAAGGCACAUCAUAAGGAGAGAAACAACCGAGUUUAAUACUUUUCUAAUGCUAGUUCAAUAUUCUUUAAAUACUUCUCUAAUUUGAAAAUUCGUCACAUGAAUUGAUGAGUCCCAGUUGGUUGGAUGGACCUACAUUGCUGUUUUUCAUCCGUUGAGCCAUUAUUAAUCUCCCUCAUAUUGGGUUGCCAUUUACACUUUCUUCCAUUCAAACAUGAAUUUGUAAAGUGGCCUCACAAGAAAUGUUAUUUUAAGACUGCAUUAUUCACGUUUGGGCCAAACAAUGAAUUAUUUUUCAUCUAUCCUUCCCAACUUUUACCCUUACUUUCCAUUUUCAAUUAUUCUUUGUUUGAUAAAUCAAUCAAAUCAUGAAAUGAAAAGACAAGUAAUUUGAAACGUGUUUGAUUGAGAUCCUCAAUUUAUUUUCUUCACGGUUGCUCCCAAUUUCUUUCUAUUAACACACAUUGGCAACAUGAAUUCAAAGAAUCACCACUUUCUCCAAUAUCUAAGUUGAACUUUCCAGAAGAUAGACUUCUUUUAAGACUGCAUGUGUGGACCAAUAUGCAGGAUUCAUAACUCUCCCCUUCAACUAAAUUUUUGUUUUAUUUUUUGUGAAAAGUUUAACUUAUGAAUAGGUUUACUCUCACAUACGUGAUAGUAUUAUCAAUUUUAUAACCUUAUCAAGGCUUUUAAUUUUACUAAAAAAAAUUGCAGAAAUAUAACAACAAAAAAGAGAAGAAAAAUGAUAUUAUAGUUGUUACGUUGGUUUUAGAAAGAUGUCCAAUAACUGAUGAAAUUUAAUUGAAACAUAUAAUUAAAUUUGUUAAAUUAACAUGGCGUUAUGCUUUGUUGAGUUUAAUGGUGUGGAAGAGUAUGUUUGUUGAGUUUAAUGGUGUGGAAGUGUAUGUUCGUUGUCUCCUGUUAGAGCUCGAACUCAUGUACUCGGUUUCUCUCAUCUUCAUGAUUGAAAGGAAAAUAGUUAAACAAAUAAAUGAUAAUGCAAUAUGCAAAUCAAAGCGGUAGAGGGAAAUAGUUAAGUACAAAUAAAUGUUAAUUCAAAUAAAUAAUAUUUUGUCAUCUCUAUCUUUCUCUCAUUUUCCUUUGAGGUGAUGCGUUUUCGUUUCCUUUUUUUUCUUCUAAAUGUGAUGGAUUAAUUAAAUCCUUUUUCUCUCAUGGUAGAUAGGAUUAAACUGAACAAAAUUAUAAAAGUUAAAAUUGAAUUUAUUAUUAUACCUUAUAUAUAAAAGGUUAAAAUGACAUAAUUGUAACGUACAAGGAGGACGAAAAUGCAACUAAAGGUAAAGUACAUGAACUCCUAUAGUACUUUGACUUAUUCUACCGCAGACCCCGUUUUUCAACACUGACUAUUCGGUGCGUGAAUAGCAAGAUAACGAUAUAUUUUCUGUAUUAUAAAAUUAUCUCUUUAGAAAAAGAAAAUUCUCAAUUUAAAAAAGUCUUAAAUUUUAUAAGCAAAUUAAUAUUACCUUACUUUGGUUAAACUUAAAUGUUAAGAUAAAUGAGUGUCGAAUGAUAAAUGGUGUAAGUCAAGGUCUUUGUAAUUUGUAUUAAUGCAUGAAUUAAAUAUCAACAAGGAAUCUUCGGCCCUCUCUUUUUGUCUCUUUCUCUCAUUUUCCUUUAAGGUGAUGGGUUAAAUCCUUUUCCUCUCAUGGCAGUUAGGACUAAAUUGAAUAAAAAUUUAAAAUUUAAAUAUCGGAGUUUUUUUAUUGUACCGGAAGUCAAAAUAAACUUUUAACAGAACAAUUGUAGUGAAGGGAUUAAAAUGUUUGCUGUCUUAUAAAAUUAUCUAUUUGGAAAAAUAAUUCUCAAUUUAACAAUCUUAAAUAUUAUAAGCAAAUUGGUAUGUUAAUUUGAAAUUUUAUAAAAUGAUCUCUUUGGAAAAAAGUAAACUUAAAUAUUAUGUUAUUCGUAAUUUUAUAUUAAACUGAAAAUCCAGCAAAGUGGUUCGUGAGAGGGAUUAAAAUAAUUGACAAUUCACCACUUGGGGCCAUGAAAGUGCAGUCAUUGGGGAUGAGAAUUAGAAGUAAAACAUGUAUGACAACGGGAUUGGAUAUUGUGAAGCAAGAAGGGGGUACUAACACUACAACAAAAUAGGUUUAUAGCGGCGUUUUAACAUAAAACACAGCAAAAGAUCAAGUAUUAACGGCGUUAACCAAAAAAUGCCACAAUAAAUGAUAAUUAGUGGCGCCUUAAAAAAAACCGCCGCAAUAGAUAGAGAAUUAGCGGCGUUUCUUGCAAAAUGCCGCCAAAAAUUGAGCAAAAUGACUUCAUUUAUUGGCUUUAGUGGCGCUUUUUAGAAAACGCCGCAAUAUAUCAAGCAUUAGCGGCGUUACUUUAGAAAUGCCACAAUAGAUCGAGCUUUAGCGGCAAAGUCUGAGAAACGCCGCUAUAGAUCAAGAAAUAGCGACGCUUUUUGUAAAAUGCUGCAAAAAAUUUGAGCAAAACGGCUUCUUUUUUUUAGCUUUUAUUGGCUUUAGUGGCUCUUUUUUUAAAAAAAAAAGCUGCUAUAGAUCAGGAAUUAGCGCACUUUUUGUAAAACACCGCAAAAAGUUGUGCAAUACGACUUCAUUUUUUGUUGACCUUUAGUGUAAUUAGCAACGCUUUUCUAGAAACACCACAAAAAGUUUGAUAAAACAACAUCGUUUUUUCAUGAGCUUUACUGGCAUUAGCAGCGUUUUUCAAAAAUGCAAUAAAAAUAAAUUUAUUUUAGGGUUUAGGGAUUAGUAUUUAAGGUUUAUUGUAUAUGGUUUAGGGUUUUAGGGUUCAUGGUAUGAUGUUUAUUAUUUUGGGAUUAGAGUUUUGACUUUAGGAUUUAGGGGUUGGGGUUUGGGGUUUAAAGUUUAGGGUUUAUGAAUUAGUGUUAAGAGGUUAGUGUUUACAGCUUAUAAGAUAUAGAAGUUACUGUUUUAGGGUUUGAUGUUUAGGGUUUAAGGUUUAGAGUUUAUGAUUUAAUGUUUACAAUGAUGAUUUAGUGUUUUAGGGUUAAUGGUUUUAGGGUUUAAUUACUAUUGUGAUACCAAAUUCAAAAAAAUUACAAAUACUUUUCGUCUUUUACUUCUUAUUAUGUUAUUAUGGUUCUAAGUGACAUGAAUGCUUAGUUUAUUGACUUGUGGCAUAUAUGUUAUGAUGAAAUUUGAUAAUUGUGUUAUUUACAUUCAUUUAUUCACUUAAAAAUAGAGUAUAAUUUUAAAAUUAUAAUACAUUAUUUGAAUAAUAUCAAUAAUUUAUAAAUUUGAAUAUUUUUUAUAUUUAAAUCAUACACGAUAGAUUUAUAAAAUUCUAACAAUGAAAAAUAAUGUCAUAUUAAUGUAUCAAUUAAAAAUAAUGUCAUAUUAAUGUAUCAAAUUUAUAAAUAUAUUAAAAUUUUGAAAAUUUAUAAAUAAUAUUUUUUCAGACACAUAUAUAUUUAAAAAGUGAAUAAUUAGCAGCGUUUCUCUGAAAAACGCCACAAAAUGUAAGUAUUAGCGGCAUUUGGUCUAAAAAUUCCGCAAAAAUGUAUUAAAAAUUGAACAAAAUGGCACCGUUUCGAUUUAGGAAUUUAAUCGGCAGUGGCAUUUUUGUUGAAAAUGCCACAAAAGUUGUAAAAUUAGUGGCUUUUUUGUAAGCGCUACAAAUGUUGCAAUACUAAACGAAGUCGUUUUCUUCCACAAAUCAGGUUUCUACUACAUCCCCGCUCCCAGCCCCAAAUUCCCCAUCCAAAUCCCUAAUCAGUCAUAGAGAGUUCUUCGAUUUUUGUUUCUGUGAUUCUUCAAUUGGUUUUUUUACUUAAAAAGAAAAGAUUUGUUUCGGUUUCUUGUAAACUUUCAUACGAAGACAGAGAAGACGAAGAAGGUGGCCGAACAUUCCGAUUCUGUUUUUUGGUCAAUCAGUAUUUAAGGUUCAUUUUCUUUAUUUUGCGUGUUUAAACUUUGGGUUUUUCUUGAUUUUUUUUAAAUUUUUUUGUUUAUAAUUUGUUGUUGACCCUAAAAUGAAGUGAAAUCAUCUUUGGUUUUAGGGUUUUCGAUCCUUGUACAAGUGGAAACCAUUUCGAAGUGCUUUCAUUUCUCUUCAUUGUCGUCAAGGUACUGUACUACUUUCAUUUCUUUUAUCUUACUUCAAGUUUUGGCGUUGGAUUAGGGUUUUAGUCUGAAUGCGUGUUUUUUAUUCGCACUGUAUUGUUGGUUUUUUUGGAAAUACUAUUAGUUCAAAUGAUGAAAUUGGUUUGGAAUAAAUGUGAUGUUGUUGGUGACGAUAGGUUGGAAAUGAGUUGGAAUUUAGCAUAGAUUUCUGCUUAACUUGGACAAUAAAAUGGGAAUAUACCUCUUAUUAUUGUCGAAACCACCUUUUUUGAUAAAAGCGUCGACUUUAAAAAAUGAUAAGAGUCGCCACCGAUAUUUUGUUAAGGUGUGAUCGGAUCACAUUGAAAAAUAAACUUGGUCUACGAAUUUUAAAACAAUGGGUUCAGAAGUCAGUUACAUCCGAGGAAGGGUUAGCACCCUCGUCAUGCCCAAAAUUGGUACCAAAUUGAUUAAUUAAUAUCUUAAAGUUGAAUAUUGAAAAUUUGAAGAGAUCAAAACAAUUCCCCUUUUAAAAUCCUUUGUUGAAAUUUAUUAUUUUGAAAGCUAAAUAAAUUUCGCCAUCUUACUUUAAUGAAGAAAUUGAAACCCCGUAAGUUAGGGUACGAUUCUUUGAAGUUCCGAUGACAACACACAAAGUUUUUUUUAUUAAAAACCCCAUCUCGAAAUAACAAAAUGUCGUAUCCAGUGAGUUAGGAUAUAGCAUUUUGAAUUCCCGAGAAUAAGCUUUUAUUUGACAUUUGUAUGAUUUUAUUGAAAAAGGGAUACUCAGUUAUUUGAAUUUAAGGAGAAAAUCGGAGCCCAGUAAGUUAGGGCACAAUCUUCUCGAAAAUCUUAAAUAUCAAGUCUUGUUUUAUAAACUUUUGAAUAAAAUGUAAUGUGAUUAAAUGACAACAUACGACGCAAAAGGAUAAUUUGUAAAUAAAUCAUGCACUAAUGAAUAACAAAUAAUUAAUAAACAAAUAUAAACAUGCAUAGCAAUAAUAAUUUCAAUCAUACAUUAUACAAAUACCAAUAUCAAUAUUUUAAAAUUAAAUGAAUUAAUAAUCAAUUUUAAAAGAUAUACUAAAAAAAAUCAAUGACAAAAGCAGAAAUUAUAAUCAAUAAACUAUACGUACAAAAUUUUAAAAUAAACAAUAUAUAUGAGUUUGUGAUAAAUUCAAAAUAAAGUUAAUAAAAUAAACACUACAUAAAUAAUAGUAUUUAAAUGCAUUUUUUAAGUAAGUAUUAUAAGAAGAGAAUCAAAAUUCACAACAUAAUGUACACAUAUUAAUUUAAAUAAGUAAUAGAUAUGGGGUUAAAAACUUAAUAUAAAUAAUAUAUACACAAUAAUAUAUGUAUAUAUAUAAAAGGUUGAAAUAAAUAAAAUAUAUAAUAAAAUAGGGUUUAAAAGAAAUAGAUUAUAUAUAUAAAUGAAUUUGAAAGAAAAUACAUAAACAUAUUUAAAAGAGAACUUGAGAGUAAUAACUAGAAUAAUAUGAAUUCAAUAGCAUAGGAUAAAAAUAAUUUAGUAUAAAUUGUGUAUAUAUUUAUAUAAAAUAAUAAUGUCUAAGAAUAUUAUUCUAUAAAUCUUUAAAUCAUAAAAAUAUAUAAAAGUGAAUUUUAAAAGAAUAAAGUAUAAAAUAAGCCAUAAAAAAUAAAUUAUAUUGAAUUUACAUAUAACACAUAUAAAAUAAUAAACGAUAAAUGCAAAUAAUAAUAUGUGAUAAACUUAAAGUAUUAAUGAAGAAUUUAAAAUGAUAAAACAAUAAAUAUAUAUAUAUAUAUAUAUAUAUUGGACUAGACUAAAAACAGAACAAAAGUUGAGGAAAAAAUCGUAAUGAAUUCUAAAAUAAAACGAAUUGGGACCAAAUUGAAUGCGAUCUAAAGAGGAGAGGGUCGAACGGAAAAAUAAACCAACUUCUGGACACCUGUCCACUACCCAGCACUAGGGAUUAAAUUGCAACGCGUAAAACUUAAGCAAGCCAAUUUAAAAAAAUAAAAAAAUGAAAAUAGGAUUGAAUCAAAACAAUCAAAAAUAUGGAAGGACUGUGUACGCAAAAAACCAAAAUGGCAAAAAGCGCGGAUCCUCCCUGGGUCGAGUCACACCUCAGGUCAAGGGCCGCUAAGCGGCGUCAUUUUGGCACUGGGAACCCUAGCUCAAAACCGCGUCGUAUUCUAUUACUAUAUAAACAACAUUUUCUAAAAAAAAAAUCAUUAGCAGCCCAGUUUUUUUUAAAAAAGAACUGUUGCCCCCUCUUUUGCUCUGCUAGGGUUUCGACCCUAGCAUCCAUGCUGCCGCCGUUGUGCCCGCCGUGGAGCCGCCACGAGCGGUGCCCGAAACCGGGUGAGUCACUCCCUUUUUUUAUGUUAUCUUUUAUAAAAAUGAAAAUUAAGCAAAGAAAAAUCGAAAAGAAACGAAGUAGAAACCAAAAAUCACCUUCUCUAUUCACUUUCUCUAUCUUUUUUAUUUUUUUGUCAAAAAUCCCCCUUUACAUUUUCGUGUUUGGCUUUUAUAUAGCCAAAAAGAAAAAUCAAAAUCCCUCUUUUCCUAUUUUUUGCUUUUCUUUUUUUCCCCUUACAAUUUUCCGCCAUAAAUCUAUUAUUUUCUUUGUUGCUAGUCCGUUUCUUCUUUUUGCUGCUUUGGUUUAUUGUUUGUUACAGGGAGAACGUGGGUAGUGCAAAGGCGACGUGCGCGGAGGCGUGCGAGGGAGCUUUGCUGACAUUCGGCGCCCUAGGGUUUCUGCCUCCUUUGUUGCUGAAAACAUGUUGUGGGCCUAUUGGGCUAGGGUUUUUGUAAUUUGGGCUGUUUGGAUUUGUAAUUUGGGCUGGACACUUAUAUAGUUUUAAUUUAUUUUAAUUUGGUGUUGGGCCCGAGCUUAAAAUUAAUUAUCUUGCUGUUGUUUUAGUUAUUUUAGGGCUUACUGUAUGUAGUGUUUGCAAAUCCUGUAAUUAUUAUUUUAUUUUUUAAAAUAUAUUCAUAUUUAGUAAAAAUUGACUAUGUUCUUCCAAAGAAACCAGUCAAAGGUCAGGUGCAUGUGGGUCUAGCUAAGAACUUUUUCUUAUUGUUGGUUUGCACAUUAUGCAUAAUAUUGUUUUCCACAUCAUCCAAGCUCCAAUUUCCCUUUUAGUUGGACAUUUGUAUUGUAUCAGUGGUAGUUGCAUUACUCGUUGUUCACUGUUUGCCUUCAGUUAUCAUAACUUCUAGGUUUCAUGUGACAGUUGAUUAGUAGGUUGAAGAGCCAAGAACUUGUGAAAACUAGAAAAGACUUCUAGAAUAGAGAUGGAUUAACAUAUGAAGAAAGUAAUGUUGUUGUAUGGUAUCUGUGCAAUCAGUCAAAAGUUUUGGGUCGAGAAGAGACUUGGAAAGAUUGACUGAAAAAUUAUAUGGUGUUUCUAUUAUAGCAUCGGCAUGCCUGCCUUUUGAUAUUGAUAAUAAUUUUUAUAUAUUAGUAAGCUGUUUUGAUAAUUAGAUAAGGAAAAGUGAGACAUACAUGAUUAGAGGGCAUUGAAUCGAGUUCAUUUUUUGCUCAGAAGUCAAAAGUUAGAAAGCUAAAAUGAAAAGAAAGGAUUACUUGUGUUUUGAAUUCAACAUUGGCUUUUUCUCGAUUUUCUCAUGUUUAGUACGUUGGCCUAAACUAUGACCGCACUUUAGGUAUGGCGUUUUCUAGGGUUUAGUUAAAGCUUUUCAGGGGCCAAAAGAAAGGGGUGUAUUGGAUUAACAUUAAUCAUAACUGGAUUCUUUAUAAAGAUUUCAGUAAAAAGGUUAGGGGAAAUUCUUUUUUGAAUUCCUUCCAAACAUUAUACUUAUCGAUGAUCCUACAUCUUCUCAAAAAGGCAAUCAAAUUUUGUUUACUUAAUAAUAAACAGUAUAAUGUGGGUAAAUUUUGUUUACUUUAUGUGUAUAAUUUAAGACUACAUUUUAAUCUUUUAACCACAAGGAUUGCAUUGAAUCUAAAGUUGAAUUAGAUCAGCUACUGUUCAAGAGGCAAGCUGUUCAUGCAUUGUUUUUUCAUUUAAAAUGAUAAACUCAAAUCUAAAACCUUAGUUAGGAGAUAUCAAAUUUUUUUACCUAUUCACUCCAUGGGCUGCAAAACAUUCAUUCAUACUAGGAAAGAUGUAAACAGAAAAAUGAGAUCUAAAGCGUUUGAAUUAUUUUACCUAUUCAUUCAUACUAUGACUUCUGAAGCUACAGAAAUUAUGGUAUGUUUAGUUAAUAAAAUUUGAAUUGUUUUAAAUAUUUAUAGUGUUUAAUUAUAAUGGUUUAAUUUGUCGUUUGUAAUGCAAAUAAUGUUAAGUUAUGUUGCAUUUGUUUUUAUUAUAUAUUUCGUUUCUAACUCUUUGAUUAAUUUAUUAGGAGAAACUAAAUGAUAAAAAGGCGGAGUAUGAAGCGAUUGCUUUGAGUGAUAGUUUUGUUAAUGUUGACGACAUUAAUAAUCGGAUUAUUACUGAAGUUUUGGGUCCUAAAAGGUAUGGCCGGGUUCAAUUUCAAGGAUCUUUUGUUAACCCAACCCAAUAUUUUGGAUCUAGCUCGCAGUAAUACAUGCUUUCGGGGAGUCAGGCUCAAGUUGAAGUUCAGAGGUUAAGAGACUAGAUGGCUUAGAUGCAAGCGAGCAUAGUUGAGCAAAUUACUCAACUUAAAGCGGAGGCAACAUCGAGAGAAGCUAAGGUUCAAAAAACAUAUGAAGAAAUCCAGCUACAACUUAAAGUAGAGGUAGCAACGAGGGAAGCAGAGUAGAGCAAAAAGUACGCCGCACACCAACUACAGCUUCAGAAUUUGAUGAAGAUGUUUCAGCAAUCGCAAAAUCCGCCAUCUUAGACUAUUGUAUGAAUAUUUUUAACAUUUUAACUUUUAACAUUAUUAUAAGAAUAAUUUGAAUUAUACUUCAUUUAUAAAUUUAUAUCAUAUAUCUUUCGUUGAAUUUGAAGUAUCAUUUAGAUUUGCUGUUUUUGGUUGGUUUCCAUGCUACAGGAAGGGUUGCAUAUGGAUGAAAAUUGAAUUUUAGAAAUCUACCAAUUUUAGUGGCGUUUUUAGUAAAAUGCCGCUAAAGAACAGUACUUUUAGCGGCGUUUGCUAUAAAAGCACCGCUAAAGAAUAUGACAUUUAGCGGCGUUUGCUACAAAAACUUCGCUAAAGGUCAUGACCUUUAGCAGCGUUUAUGUGAAAAAAGCACCACCAAUAUUAGCGACAUGGUCUAUAGCGGCAUUUUUUUGCGGCGCUUGUGAAAGAGCCGCAAAUACUUUUAGCGGCACUAAAAAGCGCCGCUAUAGGCCUAAAAAAUGCCGCUAAAAGCCUAUUUUGCUGUAGUGAGAUUUAAGAAAAUGGAAUUGGUUGUUGAUUACAGUGGCUUCGGGUUUCUUCUUUUGGAUUUUGUUUUACUUCUCAUUGUUAUUGGAAUUUAAGCAAAAACAAAACAUCAUGAAAAAACCCAUAUGAUUGUUUUCAAGGUUGGGAUUUAGUAGAAAAAUGUUGCAGUAAUUUGUAAUUUAGUGUUGGUAAAGCUUAGAUUGAAGUGCAAAACCUUUUCAUAUCUGGAAAAUAAUUCAUCUUCCAUUUAUUAAAUCAUUAUUUUUAGAAUAAAUACACAUGACUGUCCAAGUUCAUUUGAAUCUAGACAACAGUUUUUCUAGAUACAUUCUAGAAUUAUAAAAAUUAGAUUUGUUUUAAAACUUUAUAAAAUGUAAUAGAAAUUAAUUAAAAUUCAUAAAACUUUAGAAAAUUUAUUAAAAAUAAUUUAUUGUUUUUAUAUUUUAAAUAAGAAAACAAGCAUAAAAAACUUAUAUUAUAAAAUCAAGAUUAACAAUUUAUUUGUUAUAUUAUUGCUUCUCAUUUUUCAAUUUUAUGGAUUUUAAUUAAUUUCUAUUCAUUAUUAUAAUUUUAAUAAUAUUUUAUAAUUUUUAAUGUUUUAUAAUUGUAAAAUGAAUCUUGACAAAUGGAUGUUCAUAUUCAAAUAAACCUGGACAAUAUUUGUCCAGAUUCAUUUUGUACUUAAAUCUAAAAUAUUUUAAAAUAAUUUUCAUGUUUUGAAUUUUUUUCUAACGUAGCAUUUGUUAAUGGCCACAUUAACAUUGUCAUUAAAUACAAAUGGACAACAUCAGUUAAAGGGUCUAUUUGGCUAAUUUUGUUAGUUUAGGGGGCUCAAUUGGGUGCAAAAAAUUUGGAGGAGUUUAAUUGAUUUUUCGAAAAUGCUCGAGGCAUUAUUUUACCAAUAAGCCAAAAUUUUAAAAAUUAACUAAAUUAAUAAAUAACCUAUAAUAUAUAAAAUAUUGUUUAAAAUAUAAUAAAUUAAUAAAAAUAUUCAAGCAAUUAUGAAAUUUUCAAAAUUAUAUAAAAUUUAAGAAUAUUAAUAUUUUAUUUUAUUUUAAAAAUUGAUAUGUGUAUCGAUGUUUUAAUUCUAUUGGUAUGAUGUAUAUAAAAUAAAAAUUAUUUUUUGUAAAAUAAAUAAAUAUAAGUAAUUUUAAUUUUAUUAAUUGUAUUUAAAAUUUUUUUAACGUAUGAAUAUAUCUAAUUAUUUAAAAAUUUUAAGCUCCAAAAUAAUUGAUAGACCUUUUAGGCCACACAUGUAAUAAAAGCAUUGAUACACUUUUCUAAUUGGAGAUAUUCAUACCUAACAAAAAAACUUUACGGGUUAAUAAAAUUUAAAUAUUUAUAUUUAUAUUUAUUUUUUGUAAAAUAUUUUUUAUUUUUUAUAUAUCCAAAAAGGUACCAAAAUGAAAAUAUUAAUACACAUACCAACUUUUUUAGAGAAAAUUAAUUUUUAUAUUUUUAAACUUUUUAUAAUUUUGAAAAAAUCAUCUUGAAUCUAGAGAUAUGGUUACCUAGAUUAAAUAUAAAUAUAGAUAGUCAUAUGCCUAUUCAUUCUAGACUCAACUUUUAAAUGAUUUUUUAUUAAUUUUAAUUUUUUUAAGCUUUAUUUAAUAUUUUAAUAAAUUUUAAUAAUGUUUAAAAAAUUUAAAACAUAUUUUUAAUUAUUCUCCCUUUAAAUAAUUUGGUCCCAAUGUCACCUGUCAUUCCAUCACCAUUGUCAUUAAUUACAGCAUCAGUUACUGAUAAAAUUCUAAGGCCCCAAAAAGCGAAUAAUUUAUAAAAAUUUUAAAAUCCUUUUUCCAAUCCUCUCUUUGUUGGUUGUUUUUGAAAUCAAGGUCAAAGUAUUUAUUGCUCUUUAAUAUCUUGUGCUUGUUUAUGUGUCAAUUAAUUAAACAAGGUUUUCACGUAAGCGUUGUGGGGUACUUGAAAAUGUUCUCUUUUCCCACUCAAAUUAACUUUGAAUUUAAUAAUUGUAGACAACUAAUUUUGAUUGAUUAAAUCGUUUCGUUACUAAAAUGUAAAAACAAGUUUAGAGAGGCUUGCAAGACGUUGACUAUGUCAAUCCCUCUAAAUGGGGAGAACUUUGUUGAUCUUUCAUUGGUUUAAAGUCCAAAUACCAAUUGUAAGGCAUCAAAACAACAAAGACAAGUAUUGGGGACCAGCCGAAGAGAGUGAGUGACAGGGUUUGAUUUAGAGUCUCAUGAUUGCAACAUGUUUGAUCCUGAUCCUCAGCUUUGAUUGUAAUGUCUAACAAAAUAAAUACCAAUAUGAAAAGACCUUUUUUCUAUAAAAUCUAAAUUUCUAGUUUUGAAGACACGCCUGUGGUUCUCAUCUCUUACUUGUUCUGCACGGCUAUGUCGCAGUCGCUUCGAUGGACCUAUGUUGGAAACAUGAAUUGAAAAGAAUGCCAACAAAUAAUAGAAACUUUGUAAUAUUCAGAUAGAUCAAAUUAAGCUUUGUGUGGACCAUUCGUGAUUGAAACCAGUUCUACCCUGGAUUAUUAUAGAUCAAAUAAUUACUCUAAUCUAAUCCAUGUCUCUUUCUUUCUGAGUUUAUCAGGCAAUAAAUUCCCUUCGAUUUCACCUAGCUUGUUAUAACAAUGUUAUUUCAAAUUAGGUAAAGAAGAAAAUUUGUGAUGUUAUAUUUAUUUAUUAGGAAUUGAUUUUAAAUUAGAAAGAUCAAAAUUUAAGUAGAAUCACUUAGGGAUGCCAGUGGGGCAAGUUUUGCGGGUCCCGCCCUACUUCACACUCGAUUGACGGAGGGAUAGGGACAAAACUUAGAGCACGUUUGGUUCGCUGUAUUGGAUUAGAGGUGUAUUGGAUUAGAGGUGUAAUGGAAUAGAGAUGUAAUGGAAUAGAGGUGUAAUAGCAAAUCAACUGUUUGGUUGAAUAUAAUGGAAUAGAGGCGUAAUAGCAAUCCUGUGUUUGGUUUAAUGUAAUAGAGGUGUAAUAGCAUAAUGGAAAAAACUAAAAUGACUAGAAUACCCUUAGCAGAAAUUUGUUUAGGUAAAUGAUUAUUGUUAUUGUUAUUAAAUUUUAAUAAGAUUAUUAAUAUCAAUAAUAAAUAAUUUAAUCAUAUUUUAACAUAAUUAUUAUUAAAUAUAUUUUAAUUAAAAUAUAUAAUUUAAUAAAAUUCUUAAUAAUUAGCAGAAAUUUGUUUUGGUAAAUUAUUUUAUUUAAAUUUUAAUAAGAUUAUUAAUAUCAAUAGUAAAUAAUUUAAUCAUAUUUAAACAUAAUUAUUAUUAAAUAUAUUAUAAUUAAAAUAUAUAAUUUAAUAAAAUUCUUAAUAAUUAAUAUUCUUAUAUGAAUUUACUCAAACCAUAAUAUAUGAUACUGUAAAAUAUAAAUUAACAUAAUUAUUAUUAAAUAUAUUAUAAUUAAAAUAUAUGAUUUAAUAAAAUUUAAAAUAAUUAUAACUAAUAAAUUAUAUUUUAUGAAUUUNNNNNNNNNNNNNNNNNNNNNNNNNNNNNNNNNNNNNNNNNNNNNNNNNNNNNNNNNNNNNNNNNNNNNNNNNNNNNNNNNNNNNNNNNNNNNNNNNNNNNNNNNNNNNNNNNNNNNNNNNNNNNNNNNNNNNNNNNNNAAUUUCAUAAAAUUCUUAAUAAUAAAAUGGUAUUAUAUGAAUUUACUAAAAUCAAUAUAUAACUUGAACAUAAUUAACUUAUAUUAAGAAAAUGUUAGAUGAAAAUGAAAUUGUACAUUAUAAUCCAUAUGUUAUAUAGUUUUACAACAUCAAAAAGUUUAAACAUUGAUAUUUAAUGGUAAGAAAGAAAUCUUCUGACCCAUUCCAAUCGGGCAACAGAAGGUAAACUAAAGAAAACGAUCAUUUGAGUUGGAUGAUCGGGAAUUUUACUCAAAGCAUCAUACCGCUGAUCGUCGGUUAAACCUUCAAUUGACCAUAAGGCUGAAUAUAAAUUUGAAGCUCUCUCUUCCAUAUUUUGAUGUUCUUCUGACUUCUGCUGAACUACCACCUCGGAGGCAAUACUCUUACUGAUUUGCUCGCCAACGGCCUGGAUUUUGUCCCCAAACAAAGUGGCAGCCUCAUUAAAUGAAGAAAACACAUUAUCACGAGCAUCAGAUUUCUUCUUUCUCUUGUUUGAAGACGAGGAACCCCCUUGGUCUCUAUCUCCUCGCAGAUUCGUACCAGAAACAUCCAUGUCGUCUAAAGAGACGUCAGCUUCGCAGUCAUAGAAUGUGUUUCUCUCUUCAUUCAUAUCUGUAGUACGUUCAUCCUCAACAUUUAUUUCUUCAAGAACAUCAGCAGCUGUUUGACCAUCUUUCCCAGUUGCUCGAUCUCUUGCGUAUAUGGUACGAAAUCUGAAUUGAGCGGCUUCUUUGUGACUCUAAAAAAAUGAGGAAAUCAUAUUAGUCAUAAGUUUGGUAAAAAUAAUAUAAUAAAGACUUGAAAUAAUCUUACCUUUAAAUAGGACUCCCAAACCGCAUCUUCAGCAACAACGAGCUGUCUAUGCUCGUCCCAACCAAAACCGCUAUUGUUUUGGCCAUUAAGCAUGUCGUAGACUAUUGACCACUCCCUUUUAAGUAACCUAAUCCUUGAUUCAAUAUUAGGUUUUGCCUUCAACAUUGCAUUCGGUAAAACCGUUUGUAGCAUUCUUUCCAACUCGUUCAAAUAACCGGCUUUGAACCCAGUAUCAGCAUUAAAUGUUCCAACAUUGUGCAGGUCCACCAUGCAGGAAACUAAUGCUGCAUCUUCCUCGGGAACCCAUUUUCUUUUGGCUCCUCGAGAAGCUUGAGAAGAAGCAUUUGAUUCUGGAACACCUGACAUAAUGAUCUUAAGAACAAAAAAUAUAUAUUUAUUAAUUACUGUUUUAAUAUCAUGAUUCAAAAGGUCAACACUUUAUAAAAUCUAAGGAAUUAAGUUGAAUAUCAUGAAUAAAAAGCUCCAUACCACAAAAAAUUUAAAAUUAUAACACAUGCUGAAUUAGGAGAAAUUAUAUUAUAAUUCAACAAGUUUAGUACAAUACAAAAAUCAAUACAAAAGUUUCACAAAAGUUUCACAAACUAAUUUCUAGAUGCUUGCCAUUCAUCGAACAUUUGGUUGGCUAGUUCCAUCCUCCAAGUAGCCCAAGCAUCCGAUGGAUGAAUAUUUGUGAUAUUCGGUUCAUCGUCAUCCACCACAUUAAUUGUAGGUAAUCCUUCUCCCACCUCCGCUUCAAUGGGAUCACUACUCAUAUGGGUUCGAAUGGAAAACUAACCUGUAAUGAGCAAAUGGGGGACGAAUGCGAUGUGGAAGUGUUGGAACAAAGAACCUGUAAUGCAAAAAGUGCUCGGAUCAACCUUUUUUUUUAAAAAAAAUAAUUAUGCUAUAGCUAAAUAUAGUAUAUCAAAUAUACUAAAAAUAUUAACAACAAAUAGUUCCCAACAAAUAGUUCCCAAUUGCCAAGCUUUUCGAAGCAGUGUCCUCUUUUCAUUACAGUAUGAGAAGCUUAAACCCUUUUUCUUAUAUGAAUUACAAGAACGCUGGAAGCAGUCAUGGCACAACCAUAAAAUCAAUCAUAUUAUCUAAAUUCAGUACCUAACAUCCUACAUGUACUAAGUUGCACUCAGUUAAUACAUAACAAACCACUGGCCUCUAAUUCCCCCACAUUCAUCCCCAUUACCAAACAACACAAUGCAGGCAUAUGUAUCAUCAACCGAGCAAAAAGAUUCUAAUAUACUUCAAAAGUGAUUUGAUGCUCAUAAUUUCUCAAUCAAACCUAAAAUAAAAAGAAACAACAACAAUUGAUAAGCUAAUUCAGCCAAUGAUUUGGCUAAAGAAUGUAGGAGAAACUGAAUUUGCUUUAGAUAUGCAAUCAUCAAACAUGACCAAAAAUUUCUAGUUCUAGUUCAUAGCAUCAACAAUAACAUGACCAAAAAAGGCAGGCAGGCAUAUAGACACAUACAUAUAUCAUAUUUGACAAAAAAAAACAUAUACUAAAUCAGUGAAUUAAAACAAGGUAACUUAUUCUAUCCAUUCUGACCUUAACUAAUGAAAUCAGAGUAGAUACCAUAAUUUUAGAAAUGUAACCCCUCACAAUAUAAAAUAUGAGUAACCCGUACGUAAGUGUGGGGAAAGAGAGUAGUAAUAUUAAACAAGCACUCAUUUGUUAAAAAUAGAUGUAUUCUUUUCCUCUUCUUCCAACCAAACCUGCCUAACCCCUCCGACAUACAGACAAAGACAACGCAAACAGAUCACAGAAAAUAUCAGAUACAAUCUAGGCAAUUUUUUUGGUUAAGAUAUCUUGAAUGAAAGUUAUUCAUUUAUAAAAGCAGUAUAUGUUCAACCAAUGGAAUAAAUACAAUAACAUAUCAUUGCAAAAGUAAAAGAAAGCUUCAUAAAACAUGAAGGAAGGAAACUGCAAUUAGAAUGCAUACUUGAAAGUGAAAAUCUCUUUCUUUUCAGGGUCACUCUAGCAAGAUCGUAGUUUCUUUUUAAACCAAAUGAACAAUCUAACUACAAGGUUAGCAUGCAAGAGGCUACUGAUAUACAAGAAAUUAAAAAAAAAACGCAUCAUAAACAAAUAAACAACAAAGCAAUACUCCUAUAGAAUUUUCACAAAUACAAAAAAAGCUUCUCUUUGAUUUUCAUGGACUUCACCAGUUUUCACAUAUCUUCUUGCAGAGUGUUUGUGAAUUUGACAAAUUAUGAACAAGAUAUCUACUCUCUCUGAAAUUACUGAAUUACUGGUUACUUUAACAAAACAAAAAAAAAUUUGAAAUAAUGUGCCAUCUUUGGCUGCAAAAGAAAAGAGAAAGAAGCUUCAUGAAUGCAAAAUUUGUCAUGCGAAAAUGGAAAUAUGAUUUUUAGAAGUAUAUGCUUUAAACGUUUUGAUGUUGGUCAGCAAAAAAAUCAGGAUUUAUAAAUUACACCACACCAAAUUUAUAUGAAAUCACCAUCAAAUACCCCUAUGAAAUCAGCUUUAACACCAGUGCAUCCAUAUACACAAUAAUCUUACAAUUUCAACAGAAACUACUGAAGAGUAAAAAAUAUUCAUAAUAAUGCACAAAUCUUAACAAUUUGAUAAAAGAGUGUCGAACAAAGAAUUGCCAGAUUUAUUUGGGUCCGAAAUAAAAAUCACCCGAUCUUGGAUUAGAGGUGAAUAAGCAACAAUGAAUAAAAUCCAAUAGCAAUUUCAACAGAAACUACUGAAGAGUAAAUAUUCAUACUAAUGCAAUACAAUUUUAUAAAAGAUUGUCGAACAAAGAAUUGGCAGAUUAAUUUGGGUCCGAAAUAAAACUCACCCGAUCUUGGAUUAGAGGUGAUGACCCGAAAAACGCUUCACUCUUUUUUCAAUGGAUUCAGCUAUCAGGUAUUUCCAAUUUUAUGAAAAUAUUGAAGAGCAGUAGAGAGUUGCAGAUAGGGUUGGGAGGAAAUGGGAGGAGACAGAGACUGAAGAAACGAUGAGGACAGAAUAAUAAACAAAAACGGUGGGAGAUGGAAGGAGAAAUUUUGAGGACAGAAUAGGAGAGGGUCGGGUAGGGAGGGAGGGUAAAACAGAGAGCAGGGGACGGAAGGCGGACGUAAUAGGUAUUACAGGGAUUUGGGAAGGGAUUACAAAAGCAGCGAAAAAGGGGAUUAGGUCGGGAUUGGUUUACGCCCGUAAUGCCUAUUACAGCGAACCAAACGCCGGAUUAGAGGCGUCAUGUAAUACGCGCGUAUUUGGCCUGUAUUGUAUUAGGUAAUACACUGAACCAAACGCCUCCUUAAACCCGUUGUGAGUUGUGGGGUAGGCAUGGGUGUGACCUUGUACCUAUCCCAUCCCAUCUCUACCCAUCCCGCAUAAUUUAAUAAACAUAUUUAAAAAAAUUAAUUUAAUAAUUAUUUUAAUAGUAUUUCAUUUUUACACAUGUGUUGCAUUUGAAGAAAUUUAUGAUGUAUUUGAGAUAUUGUUUGUAUUUUGAUAUUAUCUAAUAAUUUUAUUUUUUGAAUUUUUUAAACUUGAAAUUAUAUCUUAUUUACCAAUUAAAGCUCGUGACGACUUACUUUUUUUUAAAGUAGUGACAAUAGGAAUAAUGUCACAUAUGUGGUGGGAAUUCGGAGAAUAAAUAUUUUAUACUUUUGUCACAAAAAAAAAUUAGUUUUAUAUUUAUUUAAUUGAAACUUACAAAUAUAUUAUAUGAAGUGGGUCAUAAGAUGAGUAUAGUGGGGAUAAGGUGGGUUUGGGACCCACGUGGGUGGUGGGGUGACGAUGGUUUUGAAUUUUGCACCUGUAACGUGUCACGAGACGGGGAUGGGGAUGAAAAUUCUUGGCGGGGAUGGGGAUGAAAAUUGUGUAAGUCAAAUCUGUGUAAUUUGUAGUAAUGCAUACCAAGAAGGAAUCUUCUGCCCUCUCUCUUUCUAUCUCUGUCUUCCUCUCAUUUUGGUGUAUUGUUUGUUUGGAUGUGUUUUGUCUAGUGUUUUGUUCCAGUGAUGUUAAGCCUUUGACAAGUAAUACGAGUAAUUUUGGGCUCCAACCACAAUACACGGUAAAGAAUGAAAGCCAGAAAAAUGUAAGACUGCAUGUCUACACCAUAUUAUAUUUAUAAAUAAAAGAGUAAUCUCUCUCUAUUUAAAUAAAUGAGUUGGGUUGGAUUUCAUUUAAUUGAAAAUGAGUUGGAUUGGCUGAUUAUUUGAUUUUGGGUUAAAUGAAAAUCAACUUCGGCCUGGAUGUAGGUAUUGGGUUUAAUGUAACUUAUAUAAAGAGUCUAGUAUGUCGCUUUAUUUGACUUAUUUGGUUUGGACACUCAAAUUUGAAAUUGAUCAAUUAAACCGAUAGAAUUGAGUCUCAACUAAAUAAACUAAAAACUCAACUAAAUAGAAUUGGAUUAAAGUGAUUCAAUUAAUCAAAUUUUCACAUACUUAUAACCAUCGUGAUUCAUUCAUAUUAUUAUUCUCAUACUAUAUUCAUGUUAUGUAAUAAAAUUGUGUAAUAAAGUACUUGAUUUCGUUUUCCUAAGUUUAUGUAUUUGGAAAGAUAGAAUCUUUUUUCUAUUUUAGGGUGUCUCUUGGAGCACAUGUGAGAUUAUUAAGAUUUUAUAUAUUUUGGGCAAAUAGUUUGUUUCUUUUCAUAGGGAAGACAUUUCUAGACAAAAAGAACAAAAGUCAGCAGUCGAGAUGUCGGAAAGUUGGAUCAAUCUUUGCACUGAUGGGACGGUCCAAAUUGCCCUGGGUGAUUCUGAAGCAGGGGAAGUCAAAAGAAAUGGAAAAAGGGAAUGGAUUAUGGGAUACAACAGAAAUCUAGGCAAAUACUCAGCCUUCAAUGCUGAACUAUGGGUAGUUCUUGAUGGAUUAGCUCUCAUUCACAAAGGGCACUAUGAUGGUGUAUUGAUACAAACUGAUAGCUUGGAGGUGGUUAAAGCCAUUCAAGACUCCUCUCCCUCAAACUUGAAUUCUACCCUCAUCAGACGUAUAAAUGUACGUUCAUGGGCCAUUCAACAUUUUCCUAGAGAACAUAAUAAAGUCGCCGAUUGCUUGGCCAAAAUGGCCUUUGAUACGAACCAAUGGCUGAAGAUAUUUGAUGAGAUACCAAGAGAGGUGCUGGCACUCUCUCCUAUGAUUCAAGAAAUGGAAAAAGGGAGUGUAUUACGGGAUACAACAGAAAUGGAAGUCAUAAGUUGGAUCAAUCAUAUUCUGUUGUUGUGCGAAACGAACACGAUUGUCCAAUGAAUUGUGUAAGUCAAAAUGUUUGCGAUUUGCUAAUGCAUGGAUUGAAUACCAACAAUGAAUCCUUAAACCCUCUCUUCUUCCUUUGAGGUAAUGGAUUAAACUGUGGAGAAUAAUUAAUAAUUAUACCAGUUUUUUAUACUUACUUUUUACUUAAUUACUGCUCAAGCUAAAUUGAGUUUGCAUGUUACGUUUGAUAGACUCAAAUAUCGCUUUUCCUUGCUAAUGUUUGUAGGGAUGGCCCGUUUGAGGUUCAAGUUUAGUCGGAUAGACUCAAAUGUGGUUUAGCAUUGCUAAUCCUUUUAGGGAUGGCAAAAGCAAGGGUGGAGAGGUGCACGUGUUUUGAGGCGUGGUGGUGAUAUUAGCAUCAGUGCUCAUCUGGUUUUCUUCUUAGGCCUGCCAUUUUGGUUUAUUGUUUGGUUCUGUUUUGCCUUGUGUUUCCUCUGUUUUGUUCUGUUCCUGUGAUGUUAGCAGGGUAAACUAUAGAGUUAGUCACCCUACUAUUAGUGUGUUUCUGUUUUGCUCACCUAACUAUGAAAAUUUCAAUUUAAUCACCAUCGUUUUAGAUCAUUUCUAUUUUGGUCACGUUUUAGAUCGUUUUUAUUUUACUCAAUCUUCGUUAAAUGGUUAACCAAAGUUAUGAUGUGACCUUUUUUUAACUAGUAUAGAAAACAAAUUUAGUCUUCAAUAUACAUACAAUUAAAUAUAAAAUAUAUAUUAUGAAAACAUACAAAAUCUAAUUAUUUAUAUAUAUUUAUCUAAAGUAUUGAACAUAUAAUUUUGCAUUAUUUUACCUCCCUUAUUUCAAUUUUAUUAAAAAGUUAGGUUCCCAUAAAGACAGUCUUUACAAACCAGUGCCGGAGAGAGGACCUAAGUAAACAUAAUACAAACUACAUAACAUACAAUUAAGCACCCGCACAAGAUUUUAUUAAACAGCUACAGAAAAAGGCCUGCAUACCACCAAGCAAUGAAGUUUUCUGUUCUGUUUGCAACUUGUUGAACUCGCCCAAGUGUUGGCUUCUCUACCUUUUUGCAAAUAUUUGUCGGACUCGCUCCACGAUCCUAAUCAACCACCAUGGUUUUCCAGUCGUGAAUACAAUGUAUGCCAUACUCAUUCCCAGCACCAACCCACAUCCAUACCCCAUCAAUAUUGAAAAUUUCCAAUUCAAUUCAUCACCAUCAUCAUCUCUAUCAAAUUUGGCUGGAGUUUCCUCAUCAGUACCACAGUUUUUUGAUAAAGGCAAACCACAUAAAUCCAAAUUUCCAAUGUAGGAAUCGUUAGUGAAAGUAUCAAAUUGUUUUCCUUGAGGAAUGGGUCCCUUGAGACUAUUUUGAGAAAGGUUUAACACCUCUAAGAAUCCAAGAUUUUUCAACUCUAUUGGAAUUCUUCCUUCCAGCUUAUUUGAUGAGAGAUCUAAUGAUUCAAGCUCUGACAAAUUACCUAAAGAUGAUGGGAUAGGACCUAUUAAACAGUUAUGGGAGAGAUUUAGGACAAUAAGUAAAUGAAGCUCACCAAGUAUUUUUGGAAUUUCUCCCCUGAAUUGGUUACUAGAAAGGUCAAUAACCGUCCAAAUGGAUAAUAGUGUUUCAAACUUUAUUUCCAGCCCUUUUGCUGUAACAGAUAAACCAUAAGCAUAAUUCACCAAACCAAUUGCAUCUUUCGUGAUCUUUACUUCUCUCAUGUAAUUUGGUUCAACUUUCUUUCCAUACUCAUCUCUAAUGGCAUGCAUAUGCUCAAAAAAAGGGGUAGGUAAGUAGCCACUAAAAUUAUUGUGAGAAAGAUCAACGAUUCGCAAUUUAGUUAAAGAAACUGUAGUAUCAAAGCUCUCUAUUUGGCCGUAAAAUCUAUUUGACCUCAAGAUAAGAACUUGCAGCUGAUCCAAAUUUCCUAACCAACUUGGGAAAGUGUCAUUCAAAUUGUUGUUUCCAACAUUGAGAAGGUUUAAACCUUUGCAGUUACCCAAAGAUCGUGGUAGUGACCCUUCUAAUUCAUUGUUGUUGAUGUGUAAACUUCUCAACAUGCAACCUGUAGCAAAAUUUUCUGGUAUUUGACCAUGAAAAUUAUUAUUCCCUAGAUCAACUGCUGUGAGAGAAGAACUCAAGUUUCCGAUGCACUUUGGAAUUGUUCCCUCCAAAUUAUUCUCAUCUAAAAAAAUACUCAUAAGGGAAGUGCAAUUGCAUAUUGAAGAAGGGAUUUCUCCAAUUAAGUUAUUAUAUGAAACUCCAUACGAUAGCAAUAAAGGUGGUGGUGUUGGGAUUCGACCUUAAAGAUAAAAUUGAAAAUGAGAUAGAAUUAGGAAUUUGAAGAUUCUUUAGAACAUAAAUUGUAAAUUAACUAUAUUUGUGAUUUACUACACUACUUCUAACCAUUUUAAAAUGCAUCACAACAACUUUUAAGUUGAAAUCUAUUGAAGGAAACUACUAAUAUCUUCUAGAGAAAUUUUUAUUUGUCUUACUUAAAAGUAAAAAGGGAUUGCAUAAAUGUAUAAAAAAUAGAAGGGAAAAAAAAAUCAAACUAUACCUAAUAGUUUAUUAUAAAAGAGAGAACCAUUUAAUAUCUUACUUAUAUUUCAUUUUUUAGUGUUUAUUAUUAUUUUUUGUACUUUUAUGUAUAUUUUAUAAUUUAUUAUUGGGGUUCACGGUUGUUAUUGUCAAGAAUAUCAUCUCUAAGACUUGAAUCUUGUUCUCCCCUUAAGAGAGUAAUAUGUUUUACCACUGCACCGAAUAUUUAUUGGUGUAGUAUUUAUUAUAACUACAAAUAAUUUUAAUUAUCUUUUUAUGAAACUCUAAGUUAGAGGUCAAAUAAAAAAGUAAAUUAAUUGAUAUAGUGUUUAAAUUUUUAUCAUUAUAUGUAAAGUUUUAAUUAUUAGUUAUAAAUUUUUUUUCCUCACAAUUGAAAUUUAAAAAUGACAUUUUAUGAAAUUUAAAGAUAACAUAAUUAAUAGAAAAUUGACAUUUUCUUUAGUCGGAAUCUAAGUAGUAGCAAUAUCUAUAAUUGGUACUUCAAAUGUACAUUUUAUGUUUAUAAUUUUUACAGCCUCAAAAUUGAUGUUAUGAAAGCCAUUUUUUAUGAGAAUACUUUUCUAUUUAACAAUGAUUGUCCAACAUGUUAUAAUUGAAACCUAUUAUGGAAUUCACUAUUACUGACUCGAAACUCAAGUAGGCUUAAGUUAUUGACCCACAAUCCAAGUAGACUCAAAGAAAUUUGGGUCGACCCCACGAAGUGGGCAUAUUAGAGUUCGCAGAUCCAACUCGUACGAAUUUGAGUAUUUUUUAUGACAACACUAAUCAAAUAGAAACUUGGAAAAAGAAAAGUGGCCUUUUUAUUCAUAUGUUUGGCAAAUUAAUGUACUUUGUUUCUCUCAUAAUAUAAAAUAUGUCCUGGGCAUAAAUUAAUUAAACAAAUAAAUAAUAAGGCAAAUCAAAAAGGUAAAACUACGUCUAAAUUAUAAUUCAGAAUAUAAAUUAAUUAAUGUAAAUUUUAAAUUUAUUUAAAUCAUUAUUAUUAUCAAAUAAAUUCUCUUAAUAAAAUACUUUUAGCGAAAUUAGAAAUGUUACUUAUAAAUAAUAAUAAUAAGAAAUUUUGCUAUGAGCAAAUAGAAAAAUAGUCAAUAUUCUUAAUCAUCUUCAUUAAUUUAAGAGAUUUUGCAUGCUUAUUCUUUUAUGUAUAUAUAUCUAUUAUAGAUGUAGAUUAUAAAUUGUUGACAAAUAAUUUGAUUGGGUUAGCAAAGCUGAAAAAGUUGAGAGUAAUAAUUUGUUAAAUUUAUAAAUUUAAGGUGAAAAAUUAAAUCCUAAUAGUUAAAAUAUCUAUAUGUAAUUAAUGAAUAAGAAUUGCAAAGAAUGGCGUAAAAGAAAAAUAAAAUGAAAGAAUUUAAAAUAUAAUUUUUAAGUUUAUAUCACGUGUCGUAUUAUAAUUGAAACCUAUUAUGGAAUUCACUAUUACUGACUUGAAGCUCGAGUAGGUUCAAGUUAUUGACCUACAACCCAAGUAGACUUAAAGAAAUUUGGGUCGGGCCCCACAAAGUGCAUAUAUUGGAGCUCGCACAUCCAAUUCGUAGGUAUGCUAGAGCUCGUGGGCCUAGCUUACAAGACAAGCUAGCACAUUGAGUUUACACUUCUCUAUAUGAUCGCAAGGAGAUGUGCUAAGUCAAGCACGUGGUCCAUGAACAUGUGUUAAGUCUAGAAUAAGAUAUGUGUUAACAUGCAUGGAGCUUGUCUAAGACGUCAUUUCAGUGAGUGUGGUGCAGUGAGUGUGGUCAAACUUCCGAUUGACCAUAGUAGACAUAAAGAGAAAACACUCAACAAUUUGGUGCAGUGAGUGUGGUCAAACUUUCGAUUGACUGAUUUUCAACUUGUAACAAUCAAAAUAGCUCACCCAAAUGAAAAUUUCCCCAUCAAUGUUUUGUCAGGAUAAGUUGCUAGUAUUAUAUUGUUGCUAGUAUUAUACAAAACAAAAAGUCACAAAAGUGAGAGAAAACCCAGUCAUCAGUACACCAAAACUCGUUAAGCUGAUCAUAGUUGCUAGUAUUAUAUUGUAUCUUCUUACAUCGAGAGAUAAGGUAGGUGAGAAAGGGAGACAAAAGACGGUGAGCUUGGAUGGGACAUUAAGGGGGAAGAGAGGAAAAAAUGUCAUGUGUCUAACUAUUUCUAGUGUUUGAACCGUUUUGAAUCAUAUAUUUUUUUGAACUCAUAUCGUCCUAAGCCUUAGAACAUUACAAGCUUAGAAGACCAUGUGUUUCCUAUUCAAUAAUAUCAACUAUGGCUUAGCAACAACUAAAUCAAGACCUAAACAAUAAGGCAAAUCUAAAAGGUAGAAGGAAUAACUAAGUAAAAGUAGUGUGUGAUUCAAAAGGUAGACGGUGAACUUAGGAUGUGGAGUUCCAAUAAAUACCUAAACUUUUGGCAAUUCAAAUAGUUUCUUUAUAAAAAUUUGUAAAUAUUUGAGUCUUAUUUGUAUUAAGAAAUACAUUAUUUGAAAGAGCAUAAUAAUUUUAAGCGGUCUAAUAAUGAAAAUAUUAUAUUAAACUUUAGUAGAGUUUAAUUAUAUAUAUUAUUAGAAUAGUCUUCGGUGUAUUUAUCCAUUUAAUUUAAUUUUUUUAUUUUGGUCCCUUGGAACGGUGCGUUUAGGGGGUAUGGGGAUAAUUUCCUAGGUCCCUGUCCAUUUUCACGUAUUUAAUUUUAGUCCUUUAUUCUGUUUUAUUGUUUAAUUUAUUUAUUUUAUUAUGAUUUAUACUUUUAAUUUCACUUAAAUUUUGAUUCAGUCUCUUAUUUAUUUAAUUUCAGCCUUUCAUGAAUUUUAUUUAUUUAUUACUUCUUUAUUUUCAUAUACUUAAAAAUUGGAUUGUUUACAUUCUUUUAUUUGUGCAUUUUUUGCUCAUUUAUUUUAUUUACUUAAAAAGAUUGCAUAAAUUUAAUAACAAAAAGGAGAAUAAAAGAAAAAUAAAAUUAUACCUGUCAAUUUGUUAAUGUCAAGAGAAAGCACUUGAAGAGAAGUCCAGUUUCCAAUAACAAGAGGAAUUUCACCUGAAACAUAUAAUUAAAUCAGUAAAAAUUACAAAUAUUUUCCUAGCAAAACCUUAAUUUAUUUGUUGAGCAUAUUAGUGUCCAUUUGAUUUAUUUAUUUUUAAAUAUGCAAGUUUUGUUUAGUUUUAUAGUACUUAUGACAACCAAAAAAUAUUUUAAUUACAAUACUCAAAUUGAUAGUUGAAAUGAUGAUGAAAAUUAGAUGGAAUAAAAUAGUUCACGCUUAAUAUUUUUGUUCAAAUAUAGGAUACAUUAGAGGUGAUCAAUGACCGGGUUUGGGCUGGCCGAGACAAAAUUUUAGGCCCGUUUUCUAGGCUCUGGCCGAAAUAUGGGCCUAAAAAUUUGUCCAAGCCUAGCCCAAAAGAAAUUUGUUAAGCCGAGCCCGACCCUGCCCGGUCCAUAUUAAAUUUUACAACACCAAAAUAGCAUAAAAAACUUGCAAUAUAUAUAUAUUUUAUUAGAAAUAAAAAAUAUAUUUAAUAUAUAAUUCGGGCCAGGCUUGGGCCAAAAAAAUUUUACCCGAAGCCCGGCCCGUUUUCUAAAAUUUCCAAUUUCUGUAGGUAUACUUCCCUCCAAGGAGUUGCUCGACAAUGAUAAAAACUUAAAAUCUUUGCACUUGAAUAAACUAUUUGGAAUUCUAUCGGAAAUUUGAUUCCAACUCAAGCUCAACCUUUCUAGUUUUGACAAAUUGCCUAGAGUAGAUGGGAUAACACGAAUAAUUUAAUCAAUCAUUUUUAUUACUUUUCGAGUUGAGGCUUAUAUAUAUAAUAUAUAUGUGGAGUUAGAAAUACUACAAAAGGUUGACAUUUUUUAAAAGUAUGAUAAUUUGAAUAGAAGUAACAUAUGCUAACGUGGAGUAAUUGUUCCAUAUAAUCCUUUUUAUGAUGAAAUGAUUGCUUAAUUUACUUCAUAACUUCUUACAUUUAGACAUAAUAAUGAGGUUUUAAUCUUUUAAGGUAACUUUUAUUUUAUUUACUUAAAAAAUUGCAUAAGUUAAUUAAAGCAACAUGAAAUUAUAACUGUCAAUUUGUAGAGGAGGAUUAGAUACAUUGGUCCCGUAAUAUGUCACUCAAAAUCUCAAAAUCAUCCAACAAAAAGAAAUCAUCACUUUAGUUAAUUAAAGCAAGAACAAAUAAAGUUAUGGAUGAACAAAUGAGGGAAGCAAAGAAAAAUGAUGGAUCAAAAGGGACGAAUAAGCUAAUUUAUGCCAUAAGGUAGAUGGUAAACUUAGGAUGUCGAUUUCCAAUAAAUACCUAAACAUACCUAAACUUUUGGCAAUUCAAAAUCAAAUUCUAGUGGUUAAAAUUAUGAAAUGAGUAAUUAUUAUUUUUACAGCAAAAAAUGUGAGUAUCUAAAGAAGAAAAAACAUAAAAAUGUAGAGCAAUAUAAAAAGAAGUUUUAAGGUAAGUAGGUUUGUUAUUUUAAGAAUAUUAGUAAAGCAGGACAUUUGGUUUUGCUUAUAUAAGAAGUUGAUUCAUGCAUAGGGAUGUCAUAUUACUUGAAAGAGUUUAAUACUUUUAAGCUGUCUAAUAAUAAAUAAAUUAGUCAAAGAAAAAAUAAAGCAUCUAAAAAUAUAUGUCUUAUACCAAUAUUCUUAUAUUUGUCUAAUUUCAAAGUAGUUAAAGGAUUAAAUGUGUAAUUAAUUGUAUUUUUAAAACGACAAUUAUUUUUAUUUUUAUAUUUGUUUAUUUUUUUAAAAUAUAUAUUUAAACUUCGCAAAAUGAAUGGAUAUAUUUGAACACGAAACAUGAUAUGAUAAUUUAGUGAGAAUGAAAUAAAACAAUGGUGGAAAAUUGAUAUGAUGACAUUAAACGGAAAAUAAGCGAAUGAAUAAACAAUGAAUAAACUUUGAUUUGAUUUACUUAAAAAGAUUGCAUAAAUUUAAUAACAAAAAGGAGAAUAAAAGAAACAUGAAAUUAUACCUGUCAAUUUGUUAUUGCUAAGAUAAAGCUGUCGAAGAGAAGUCAAAUUUCCAAUAACAAGAGGAAUUUCACCUGAAACAUAUAAUUAAAUCAGUCAAAAUUUGCAAAUAUUUUCCUAGCAAACCCUUAAUUUAUGUGUUGAGCAUAUUAGUGUGUGUUUCAUUUACCUACUUUUAAAUAUGCAAGUUUUGUUUAGUCUUAUAGUACUUAUGAUAACCCAAAAAUAUUUUAAUUAUAAUACUCAAAUUAACAAUAAAAAAAUAUUUAUCUUUGUACCAGAAAAAAACACCGCAUAGAUCAUAAAAAGGAAAAACUAAAACACCCAAAAAAACACUAAACACAAAACUUAUAGUUGUAGAGGAGAAUUAGAUACAUUGGUCCCAUAAUAUGUCACUCAAAAUCUAAAAAUUAUCCAACAAAAAGAAACCAUCACUUUAGUUAAUUAAAGCAAGAACAAAUAUAGCAAACACUAAACACAAAAUUCAUAGUUGUAGAGGAGGAUUAGAUACAUUAGUCCCAUAAUAUGUCACUUUAGUUAAUUAAAUGAAGAACAAAUAAAGUUAUGGAUGAACAAAUAUGGGAAGCAAAGAAACAUGAUGGAUCAAAAGGGACGAAUAAGCUAAUUUCUGCGAUAAGGUAGAUGGUGAACUUAAGAUGUCGAGUUCCAAGAAAUACCUAAACUUUUGGCAAUUCAAAUAGAUUAUACAUAUUUUUAAUUACUUAAAAAUAUUGCAUAAAUUUAAUAACAAAAUAGAGAAUAAAAGAAACAUGAAAUUAUACCUAUCAAUGUGUUAUUGCUAAGAUCAAGCAAUCGAAGAGAAGUCAAGUUUCCAAUAACAAGAGGAAUUUCACCUGAAACAUAUAAUUAAACUAGUAAAUAUAUAAUUAUUUUUAUUAAUUAUUUUAAGAGUUUAAUAAGGCAAAUCUAAAAGGUAGAAGAAAUAGCUAAUUAGAAGUAGUGUGUAAUUCAAAAGGGUAUAAAGUAGGUCCAAAUUAAAAAUCAAAUCUUAAAAUAAUUUAAUGUAAAAUUUAACUCUUUUCUUAUUGUUAGAAUUAAGUGACCCAAAUCCUUAUUUAAAUAAAAUACUGUGGUAAAAUAAAAUAAAAGUAAAAUCCCUAUAGAAUUAUACUUCUUUUAUUUUAUUUUAGAAUAAGGUUUCUAAACCUUAUUAAACUCCAUCUAUUUGAUAUUAUUUGAAUAAGGAGUUUCACUCCUAUUAGAAUAAGGUUUACAAGCCUAUAAAUAGGCAUAGUCUACUCCUCUUGUAAUUAAGUUUUUUCGACAUAGUGAAUUUUCUUCUUCUCUGCCCGUGGUUUUUUUCCCGAAAGGGUUUCCACGUAAAAUUUGUGUGUUCUUUAUUUUUCUAUUUCUAUUUUUCUUUGUGAUAUAUUGUCAUUACCGAAAUUAUAUUUUUCUCAAAUUGGUAUCAGAGCUUCCGGGUUGUUCAUCUCAAUCACGGUAAUGACGUCUUUGAAGUACAAAAUUUCGCUGUUGGAUCGCAACACCAGAUUUGCAUUGUGGCAGAUAAAGAUGCAAGCAGUUCUUGCACAGAUGGACUUAGAGGAAGCCCUACUAGGGGUAGAUAAGAUGCCUUCAACUUUGACGGAAGAAGAGAAGAAGCGCAAGGAUCGAAAGGCGUUAACGCAGUUACAUCUGCAUUUGUCUAACGAAAUUUUACAAGAUGUGAUGAAGGAAAAGACUGCCGCUGGAUUAUGGAAGAGGUUGGAACAGAUUUGUAUGUCGAAAACUCUAACUAGCAAGCUACAUAUGAAGCAGCGUCUUUAUGCUUAUCGUUUGGAGGAAGGUGCAUCUGUGCACGAACACUUAACAGUGUUCAAAGAAAUUCUCUCAAACUUGGAGGCCAUGGAGGUUCAGUAUGAUAAGGAAGAUCUAGGGCUGAUUCUACUUUGUUCGUUGCCCCCGUCUUAUUCAACCUUUAGAGAUACGAUUUUAUAUAGCUACGAGUCUCUCACAGUUGAUGAGGUUUAUGAUUCUUUAACCUCGUAUGAUAAGAUGAAGCAUCUUGUGGUUAAAAUCGACUCUCAGGGAGAGGGUCUUAUUUUUCGUGGGAGACAAGAUCAGAAUGCUGAUGAUGAUCGUGGAAGGACACAAGAACGGAAUCCUCGCAGUAAAUCUAAAGGUAGAUCGAAGUCUUCAAACAGAGGUAAAACUUAUAACUUUUGCAAGAAGAAAGGGCACAUUAAAUCUGAGUGCUAUAAGCUACAGAAUAAGAUCAAAAGGGAGGCUGCGAAUCAAAAUGGAAAACAACUAGAAAAUUCUGGUAAAGCUGAUGUUGUAGAAGAUUACAACGAUGGUGAACUUCUAGUCGCUUCUGUCAACAAUUCCAAAGCGAGCGAGGAGUGGAUCCUUGAUUCGGGUUGCACCUUCCACAUGAGUCCCAAUUGGGAUUGGUUUAGAACUUACAAAAUAAUGUCUGAAGGUAUUGUGUUGAUGGGAAAUAAUGCUUCAUGUAGAAUUGCAGGUGUUGGAACAAUUAGAGUUAAAAUGUUUGAUGGAGUUGUCAGAACACUCAGUGACGUACGACAUGUUCCAGAAUUAAAGAGAAAUUUAAUUUCAUUGAGUACUCUUGAUUCAAAANNNNNNNNNNNNNNNNNNNNNNNNNNNNNNNNNNNNNNNNNNNNNNNNNNNNNNNNNNNNNNNNNNNNNNNNNNNNNNNNNNNNNNNNCAAAUUAUAUGUUUUGCAGGGUUCUACUGUUACUGAUGAUGUAGCUGUGUCAUCCUCUUCCUUGUCAGAUGAUGAUAUUACUAAACUUUGGCAUAUGCGCCUAGGGCAUAUGAGUGAGAAUGGCAUGGCAGAAUUGAGCAAAAGAGGACUUCUUGAUGGGCAAGGAAUUUGCAAACUGAAGUUCUGUGAGCACUGCAUUUUUGGGAAGCAAAAGAGAGUUCGAUUCACGAGAGGAAUCCAUAACACGAAGGGAACGUUAGAGUAUAUUCAUUCUGAUCUAUGGGGGCCAUCCAGAGUGCCUUCGAGAGGUGGAGCUAAUUAUAUGCUAACUUUUAUUGAUGAUUUUUCCAGAAAAGUGUGGGCAUUCUUCUUGAAGCAGAAAAGCGAUGUGUUUUCCGCAUUUAAGUCUUGGAAAACCAUGAUUGAAAAAUAGACGGGGAAGCAAAUAAAAUAUCUCCGCACAGACAAUGGCUUAGAGUUUUGUUCUGAUGAAUUUAAUAAACUGUGCCAGUCAGAAGGGAUCAUGAGACACUUGACAGUUCGUCAUACUCCACAGCAAAACGGCAUUGCAGAACGAAUGAACAGAACGAUCAUGGAGAAGGUUCGAUGUAUGUUGUCAAAUGCCAACUUAUCAAAGUCAUUUUGGGCAGAAGCAGCCUCUACUGCAUGUUUUUUGAUUACCGAUCUCAUCCAUUGCCAUUGANNNNNNNNNNNNNNNNNNNNNNNNNNNNNNNNNNNNNNNNNNNNNNNNNNNNNNNNNNNNNNNNNNNNNNNNNNNNNNNNNNNNNNNNNNNNNNNNNNNNNNNNNNNNNNNNNNNNNNNNNNNNNNNNNNNNNNNNNNNNNNNNNNNNNNNNNNNNNNNNNNNNNNNNNNNNNNNNNNNNNNNNNNNNNNNNNNNNNNNNNNNNNNNNNNNNNNNNNNNNNNNNNNNNNNNNNNNNNNNNNNNNNNNNNNNNNNNNNNNNNNNNNNNNNNNNNNNNNNNNNNNNNNNNNNNNNNNNNNNNNNNNNNNNNNNNNNNNNNNNNNNNNNNNNNNNNNNNNNNNNNNNNNNNNNNNNNNNNNNNNNNNNNNNNNNNNNNNNNNNNNNNNNNNNNNNNNNNNNNNNNNNNNNNNNNNNNNNNNNNNNNNNNNNNNNNNNNNNNNNNNNNUUAUGCUUUAAAUAUGGCUGAAGAUAUAGAUGCAAAUCAAGAGCCAUCUAAUUAUUCUGAGGCGGUUAGUUGUGAAGACUCAGAAAAGUGGAUGUUUGCUAUGCAAGAGGAGAUGGAAUCACUACACAAAAAUCAAACAUGGGAUCUUGUGAAACUUCCUAAAGGUAAAAAGGUUGUUCGUUGUAAAUGGGUGUUUAAAAAGAAAGAGGGGACUCCAAGAGUUGAAGAACCUAGAUAUAAAGCAAGGCUUGUUGCAAAGGGUUACAGUCAAAUUCCCAGAGUGGACUUCACAGAUGUGUUCUCUCCAGUUGUGAAGCAUAGUUCGAUUCGAGCUUUGCUUGGUAUUGUGGUCAUGCAUGAUUUGGAGCUUGAGCAGUUAGAUGUAAAAACUGCAUUUUUGCAUGGAGAACUUGAGGAGGAUAUUUACAUGCAACAACCAGAAGGUUUUACAGUUUCAAAAAAAGAGGGCUAUGUUUGCUUGCUGAAAAAGUCCCUUUACGGUUUGAACCAGUCACCAAGACAGUGGUAUAAGACGUUUGAUUCCUUUAUGACUUCUCAUGAUUUUAAAAGAAGUAGCUUUGACAGUUGUGUUUACUUUAAGAAAAACAGUGAUGGUUCUUUUGUGUAUCUACUCCUUUAUGUUGAUGACAUGUUGAUAGCAGCGAAAGAUAAAGGAGAGAUAAGAAAGGUCAAAGCCCAACUAAGUGAAGAAUUUGAGAUGAAAGACUUGGGACCAGCAAAGAAGAUACUUGGUAUGGAGAUUCUUAGGGAUAGAAAAGCAAGUAAAUUGUAUCUAAGUCAGAAAGGGUACAUUAAGAAAGUUCUUUCUAAAUUCAAUAUGUAGAAUGCUAAGCCUAUUAGUACUCCUUUAACAGUCCAUUUCAGACUUUCAUCGGCUUUGUCUCCACAAUCAGAUGAUGAGAUUGAGUACAUGUCACAUGUUCCAUACUCUAGUGCAGUGGGAUCUCUCAUGUAUGCCAUGGUUUGUUCACAUCCAGAUUUAUCAUAUGCAGUUAGUGCAGUUAGCAGAUACAUGGCGAAUCCUGGUAAAGAACAUUGGAAAGUAGUUCAGUGGGUUUUAAGAUACUUACGAGGUACUACCGAUGUUUGCUUACAGUUUGGAAGAACUAGAGAUGGAGUCAUUGGGUAUGUUGAUGCUGAUUUUGCUGGGGACCUCGAUAGAAGAAGAUCUCUCACCGAUUAUGUCUUUACAAUCGGAGGUUGUGCAAUCAGUUGGAAAGCCACUUUGCAAACUACAGUCGCUUUGUCUACCACUGAAGCUGAGUACAUGGCGAUUACAGAGGCUUGUAAAGAAGCUAUAUGGUUGAAGGGACUCUUUAGUGAACUCAAUGAAGACCUUCAAAUCAAUACAGUAUUUUGUGACAGUCAGAGUGCCAUCUUCCUUACAAAAGAUCAAAUGUUUCAUGAGAGAACAAAACACAUUGAUGUUCGGUAUCAUUUUGUUCGUGAUAUUAUUGCUCGUGGUGAUAUUGUUGUGAGCAAAAUUAGUACCCAUGAAAAUCCUGCAGAUAUGAUGACUAAGUCACUUCCUAUAACCAAGUUUGAGUAUUGCUUAGACUUGGUUGGUGUUCAUUGUUGCAAAUAAACCCUUAAGGGGUUUUAUGGAAGAGGUGGAGAAACUUGUUCGUUGAGAGUUCGCGAUGAAGAACUUGUUCAUUAAGAAUUUGUGUCAAGGUGGAGAUUGUUAGAAUUAAGUGACCCAAAUCCUUAUUUAAAUAAAAUACUGUGGUAAAAUAAAAUAAAAGUAAAAUCCCUAUAGAAUUAUACUUCUUUUAUUUUAUUUUAGAAUAAGGUUUCUAAACCUUAUUAGACUCCAUCUAUUUGAUAUUAUUUGAAUAAGGAGUUUCACUCCUAUUAGAAUAAGGUUUACAAGUCUAUAAAUAGGCAUAGUCUACUCCUCUUGUAAUUAAGUUUUUUCGACAUAGUGAAUUUUCUUCUCCUCUGCCCGUGGUUUUUUCCCGAAAGGGUUUCCACGUAAAAUUUGUGUGUUCUUUAUUUUUCUAUUUCUAUUUUUCUUUGCGAUAUAUUGUCAUUACCGACAUUAUAUUUUUCUCACUUAUCACCAAAUAAAUUUAGUUUUAGAGAAAUUAGAAGUUUUAAUAAAAUACUUGAAAUAACUGAUUGUUUAUGACUAGGUGAAAAUUUGAUGAAAAAACAUAUAAUUAAUAAUUUAUAUAUCUAUUUCUCUUAUACUAUGGGCUAUGGUGGAGCAAAAAUGAAUAAAAAAAUCAAACGGAUAGAAAUAACUGAGUUACAAGUUUGAUGUUAAUUCAAUAAAUUUUUUUUAAAAAAACACAUUAUUUCCAAAAGGGUAAGAAAUAGGUCCAAAUUAUAAUUUAGAAUAUAAAUUAAUUUAAUGUAAAAUUUAAAUAAAAUUGAAAUUUUUUGUUAUUAUCAAAUAAAUUUUCUUAAUAAAAUACUUUUAGUGAAAUUAGAAGUCUUACUUAUAAAUGGUAAUUUUUAUUAACAAAAAAAAAUAUUUAUCUUUGUGCUAGAAAAAACACCGCAUAGAUCAUAAAAAGGAAAAACUAAAACAUCCAAAAAAUAUAUGUCAAACACUAAACACAAAAUUCAUAGUUGUAGAGGAGGAUUAGAUACAUUGGUCCCAUAAUAUGUCACUCAAAAUCUCAAAAUCAUCCAACAAAAAGAAAUCAUCACUUUAGUUAAUUAAAGCAAGAACAAAUAAAGUUAUGGAUGAACAAAUAUGGGAAGCAAAGAAAAAUGAUGGAUCAAGAGGGACGAAUAAGCUAAUUUCUGCCAUAAGGUAGAUGGUGAACUUAGGAUGUGGAGCUCCAAUAAAUACCUAAACAUACCUAAACUUUUGGCAAUUCAAAUAGAUUAUACUAAUUUUUUUUCAUGAAUCAAAUUCUAGUGGUUAAAAUUAUGAAAUGAGUAAUUAUUAUUUUUACAGCAAAAAAUAUGAGUAUAUAAAGAAAAAAAAACAUAAAAAUGUAGAGCAAUAUAAAAAGUCGAAAUUUAUUAUUUGAAAGAGUUUAAUCAUUUUAAGCUGUCUAAUAUUGAAAAUAUUAAAUUAACUUUAGCAGAGUUUAAUUAUAUAUAUAUAUAUAUGUUAUAUUUUAAUAUUGAAUAAAAUUACAUCUUUUAAUUCAAAAAAAUAUUCUAAUCAAUCAUUUUUAUUAAUUUUCGAGUUCAAGCUUAUAUAUAUAAUAUAUAUGUUGAGCUAGAAAUACUACAAAAAGUUGACAUUUUUUAAAAGUAUGAUAAUUUGAACAGAAGUAACAUAUGCUAAUGUGGAGUAAUUGUUUCAUAUAAUCCUUUUUAUGAUGAAAUGAUUGCUUAAUUUACUUCAUAACUUCUUACAUUUAGACAUAAUAAUGAGGUUUUAAUCUUUUAAGGUAACUUUUAUUUUAUUUACUUAAAAAAGAUUGCAUAAAUUUAAUAACAAAAAGGAGAAUAAGAGAAACAUGAAAUUAUACCUGUCAAUUUGUUAUUGCCAAGAUAAAGCUGUCGAAGAGAAGUCAAGUUUUCAAUAACAAGAGGAAUUUCACCUGAAACAUAUAAUUAAAUCAGUCAAAAUUUGCAAAUAUUUUCCUAGCAAACCCUUAAUUUAUUUGUUGAGCAUAUUAGUGUGUGUUUCAUUUACCUAUUUUUAAAUAUGCAAGUUUUGUUUAGUCUUAUAGUACUUAUGAUAACCCAAAAAUAUUUUAAUUAUAAUACUCAAAUUAACAAUAAAAAAAAUAUUUAUCUUUGUGCCAAAAAAAAAAAACACCGCAUAGAUCAUAAAAAGGAAAAACUAAAACAUCCAAAAAAACACUAAACACAAAAUUCAUAGUUGUAGAGGAGAAUUAGAUACAUUGGUCCCAUAAUAUGUCACUCAAAAUCUAAAAAUCAUCCAACAAAAAGAAGUCAUCACUUUAGUUAAUUAAAGCAAGAACAAAUAAAGUUUUGGAUGAACAAAUAUGGGAAGCAAAGAAAAAUGAUGGAUCAAAAGUGACGAAUAAGCUAAUUUCUGCCAUAAGGUAGAUGGUGAACUUAGGAUGUGGAGUUCCAAUAAAUUCCUAAACAUACCUAAACUUUUGGCAAUUCAAAAUUAAAUUCUAGUGGUUAAAAUUAUGAAAUGAGUAAUUAUUAUUUUUACAGCAAAAAAUGUGAGUAUAUAAAGAAAAAAAAACAUAAAAAUGUAGAGCAAUAUAAAAAGAAGUUUUAAGGUAAGUAGGUUUGUUAUUUUUAAGAAUAUUAUUAAAGCAGGACAUUUGGUUUUGCUUAUAUAAGAAGUUGUUUCAUGCAUAGGGAUGUCAUAUUACCCAUGUUUGCAUUUAAAUAUUCGAGUCUUAUUUGUAUUAAGAAAUAUAUUAUUUGAAAGAGUUUAAUAAUUUUAAGCUGUCUAAUAAUAAAUAAAUUAGUCAAAGAAAAAAUAAAGCAUCUAAAAAUAUAUGUCUUAUACCAAUAUUCUUAUAUUUUCUAAUUUCGAAGUAGUUAAAGGAUUAAAUGUGUAAUUAAUUGUAUUUUUAAAAUGACAAUUAUUUUUAUUUUUUUAUAUAUAUUUUUAAAUAUAUAUUUAAAUUUCACAAAAUGAAUGGAUAUAUUUAAACACGAAACAUGAUACGAUAAUUUAGUGAGAAUGAAAUAAAAUAAUGGUGGAAAAAUGAUAUGAUGACAUUAAACGGAAAAUAAACGAAUGAAUAAAUAAGUAAGUAAAUGAAAGAGAAUAAGAAGAUAAAGACCAAACAAAAUUGCUAUGCUAAUGAAUAAUAUCAAUAUUUUUAUGAUGACAACAAAACAACGAUUAAACGAUAAUCAUGUUGUGGUUAUUAUUUUAGUAUUAAAGUGAAUAAAUAAUAAUGACAAGAGCAAAGAAUAAAAUAGAAUAAUAUGUGCAAAUGAAUAAUAUAGACAAAGAUAAAAUAUAUAAAUUUUAAAUACUAAAUAAAUGAUAUAGUCAAUAAAUAAACAAAGUUAAUCGAAAUACAGAUUAAAUUGAAACUCAAGCAAAGUUAAAAAUCAUAUCCCAAAAUAAAUGAGGGAAAGGGACCACAAAUAUACAAAUAAAAUGAAAAUAAAUAGUAUAAAUUUUAAAUAUAUAAAAAAUAAAAAAGAAAUAACGAAUAAAUGACUAAAUAAAUAGAUAAGACAAAUAUAAGUAAUAUUAAAUUUAAGUAUUUAAAAAUUAAAAGAAUGAUAAAUAAAUAAAUCGGUAAAACAAAUAUAAAUAAUAUUAAAUUUAAAUAUUUUAAAAGGCAAAAGAAUUAUGAACAAACAAACAAAUAAAACAGAUAUAAAUAGUAUUAAAUUUAGGUAUUUUAAAAAUAAAGAAUAAUAAAUAUAUAUAUAUAUAAAUAAUGAAAUUAAUCAAACAAAGGAUUGAAUUGAAAUCUAAAUAGAAUUAAAGGCAUAAAUCAUAAUAAAUUAAAUAAAAAAUUGAAUAAGGUCUAAAAUUGAAUGCGCGAAAAGGGACGAGGACUAGAUGAGAAAUUAUUCCUAGUCCUACAAACGUGGCGUUUCAUGAUGGAUUGAAACGAAACAAAACCAAAAUAGCAGGGGAAAAUUAAAAAGAAAAAAAAGAAGUAGGACUAAAUUGAAACAUACCAUAAAAGCGGAAGGGUUACAAGCGUAAAUAUCCUCUCCAAGCGAAAACAGGUGGAUCCUAGAGGAUGGAUCGGGUUGUGUCAAAACGACGCUAUUUUGGCGUCCAUGAGCACCGGCUCAAAACAGUGCCGUUUCAUACGACUAUUUAAACCAAGUUUUUUUAAUUUCUGCCAAAUUUUAGAAGAAAAAAAAAAAAAACCUCCAAAGCCCUUUUUUUUCUCUGCUAGGACCUCAAGUCCGGCCAUCAAGCACCGCCGAGGCUCCGCUUAAAUGUGUAAUUAAUUGUUUUUAAGCCAAAAGUAUUAUAGUAAAAAAGUUAAAAGACUGUAAAGUUAUUUAGUAAUAUAUAGCACGAUUCUGUUAUAAGUACGUAUUAUAACAGUAACAACAAAAAGGAAAAUAAAGAUGAUAUUAUACUUGUUAAAUUGUUAUUAAAAAGUCAGAUGAUCACGAGAGAAGUAAGAUUUCCAAUAACCGAUGGAAUUUCACCUAAAACAUAUAAUUAAAAUCAUUAAAAUUUACUAACAGAUCUUAAAUUCGUUAAAACUCAAAGCUGAUUGAGGGUUGUAUUUUGUGAGGCUGUGGGAGUUGUGUGAAGAAGAAAAAGAUGGAAUGGCAGUGGGUCAAUGUGGGUAGGUAUAAGUCUGAAACAUAUAAUAUCAACUAUGUACUCUGUAAUCAAAGUUAGUUAAGAGAAAUCAUGUACUCUAUUUCUUUCCUAUUCACGAAUAUCAACACAUAAAUAAUAAGGAUAGAAAAAAUAGGUAACUACAAGUCUUGUGUGAUUCAAAAGGGUGUAAAGUAGGUCUUAAUUAAAAAUCAAACCUUAAAUUAAUUUAAUGUAAAUUUAACUCUUUUCAUAUCACCAAAUAAAUCUACUUUUAGUAAAUUAGGAGUUUUAAUAAAAUACCUGAUUGUUUAUGAUUAGGUGUUUUGUUUUCAACAUAUUUGGAAUUAACUUGCCUUAGAAAAACAGUCUCUAUUAUUUGAUGCUACAUAUAGACACAUGCCAUAAUAGGAAGGAAAAUUAGAAACAAACUCCUAAACCAAAUAAUUGGUUGAUGGCUGAAUUGUCAAGUAUGGGGUUGUGGAGGUGACUAUGAGUUUUGAUGUGUUCCUACCUGCUACUAAGGGUAAAUCAGGAACUGCAUUGAAAAUCUGACUACACUCCGUUUGGCACCAAUUACAUUGGUUGAUGACUCAAUUCACAUAAAUAAUAUAUAUAAACUCUAUGAGUAAGUUUGGUUUCGCUAGCACUGAACUUAGUGGUUAUUGUUUAAAGUCCCGCUUCACUAUUUAAAACAACUGUUGAUGGAAAUUAGAUAAAAAUGAAUGAAACAAUAACUUGUUUACCUUUGAAAUAGUUGUCACUAAGAGACAAAGUCUCGAGCAAAGUCAAAUUUCCAAUUUCUGUAGGUAUACUUCCCUCCAAGGAGUUGUUAAACAAUGAUAAAAACUUCAGCUCUUUGCACUUGAAUAAACUAUUUGGAAUUCUACCGGAAAUUUGAUUCCAACCCAAGCCCAACAUUUCUAGUUUUGACAAAUUGCCUAGAGUAGAUGGGAUAACACCAAUGAAGUUGUUAAGGUAUAAAUAUAAGCCUUGGAGUUCAGUGAAGCAACCAAACCAUGAUGGGAUUUCUCCAUUGAAGCUAUUGUUACCAAACUCCAAAUAUUUCAUCCGACGCAAAUUAGUUAACUCAAUGGGUAAAGAGCCUUGGAAACUAUUUUGAUGAAUAUCGAGCCAAGCAAGGAAAGAUAGAUUUCCCAAUUGAGAAGAAAUGGUGCCUGUGAGAUCCAUGCUUGACAAAUUCAGAGCAGUGACUCUAUAGUGUUUAGAUCCACAUGUGACACCAAUCCAGCUACAAACGGAGGUAGAAGUAGACCAAUUGGUUGUCAAGAAAAUGUGAGGAUCAUGAGUUAUAUGAGAUUUGAGUGCUAGAAGAGCAGAUUGAUCAACGGUGAUGCUAGAAUAUUUUGCAGACAAAAUAACCCCAAAGAUUGCGAAUAGCAGCCCAAACAUAAAUGGAGGGAGGAAGCUUGGUUUUGCCAUAAGGUUGGACAUGGGUGUAAGGCGCAUCAUAAGGAGAGAAACAACCGAGUUUAAUACUUUUCUAAUGCUAGUUCAAUAUUCUUUAAAUACUUUUCUAAUUUGAAAAUUCGUCACAUGAAUUGAUGAGUCCCAGUUGGUUGGAUGGACCUACAUUGGUGUUUUUCAUGCGUUGAGCCAUUAUUAAUCUCCCUCAUAUUGGGUUGCCUUUUACACUUUCUUCCAUUCAAACAUGAAUUUGUAAAGUGGCCUCCUUUUUCACCAUUAAUUUCACACAAGCUUUCCACAAGAAAUGUUAUUUUAAGACUGCAUUAUUGACGUUUGGGCCAAACAAUGAAUUAUUUUUCAUCUAUCCUUUCCAACUUUUAUCCUUACUUAAUUUCCAUUGUUGACACCAUUUUUUGGAUGAAAACGGGGUUAACUUGGGUUUUGAAAAAUGAAACGGGAGUCGCCACCAAUCCUUUUUGAUAAGGUGUGAUUGGGUCACCUCGAAAAGUGGUUGUUUUAAUAAACGAUUUGAUUUUAUUAAAACAACGAUUUUGGUCUGCGAAAUUCAGAAAAAUAGGUUCGGGAGUCGGUUACGCACGAGGAAGGAUUAGCACCCUCGAUACGCCCAAAAUUGGUACCUAGUUGAUUAGUUAAUGUCUUAAUGUCAAAAAUUGAGAACUUUGAAAAAUUUUAAAAAUACGAUCCUUGUAUUAAAACGUUGAAAAUUUUCAAGAAAAGGGGGAUAUUUCACGUUAAUCGAGAAAGAGAAUCAUAUCCAGUAAGUUAGAAUACAAUGUCUCAAAUUCCCGAUACGCGAAUAAAAAAUGCUUAUUUAAAAGAUAUUUUAGCCAUCUCGAAUUUAAAAAUGAGAUCACGACCAGUAAGUUAGGACGCGAUUUUUUUUAAAAUUCCCGAGAUCAUUUAAAAUUUGAGUUUGAAAAGAUUCGUGCAUUUAGAUUUAUCGUGAAAAUCGAAACCUAGUAAGUUAGGGUACGAUCCUCUCGAAUCUAAACACGAAAUAUUAUUUAUUCAAAACAAAUUUUGUUAUAUCGAAUAAAAUAAAACACGAAAAUCGUAAAAAAAUUUUGAAAGCAAAUUACAUUGUUAUUAUGCAUAGCAAAACCAUAAUGAAUAUGAAAGUAUAAAAAAGUAUAAAAAAAAUACGAGCAAUAGCAACGAGAUAAAAGGUCAAAUCUACAACAUACAAAAUAACAAAGCAUAAAAACGAAUACAAUAAAACAUUCAUUCAAAAUAAUAAUAAGAGUGUAAAUGAAUAAAUAAAUAAAUAAAUAAAUAAAGAAAAUGAAUAGAAUUAUAAAAAUGUAAAAAGAUAUAUGUAUGUACCUAUAUAAAAAUAUGUAAGUAUGUGUAUAUAUAUAUAUUUAUAAAAACUAAAAAUAUGUACGUAUAAAUAUAUUAUGUAAAUGUAUCCACAUGAAUAUAUAUAUAUAUAUAUAUAUAUAUAUAUAUAUAUAUAUAUAUAUAUACUUUGAAAUUAUAAAAUAAAACAUAUGUACUUGUUUUAAAAAUAUUAUAAAAAAUUAUAUGGAAGUAAGUAUAUACAUAUUCGUGAGAAAAAAUAUAAAUAUAAAUAUACAUAUAUAAAUAUAUAUCUAUAUAUAUAUAUAAAAUGAGUAUUUAUGUAUGUAUAAAAAAAUAUAAGUAUAUAUGUACAUAUAAAAAUAUACACGUUUUAAUAUAUAAAAAAAUAUAUAUGAAUAGGUAUAUAAAUAUUCGUGAAAGAAAAGUAUAAGAGAAAUAACAGUAAUAUUAAUACUAACAAUAAUAGUAAUAAUAAUAACCAUAAUAAUAAUAAUAGUAAACUAAUAAUAAUAAUAUUUAAAAUAAUAAUAAUAAUAAUAAUAACAUAAAAUUGCUAAAAUAUGGGCUAAAUCGAAAUAAAAAUGAAAAUAUAGGGCGAAAUUGAAAGAAAAAUAAAAUAAAAUGGACUAAAUCAAAAUAAAAACAAAAGAAACUGGGCGAAUUCAAAAUAAAAAGGGACUAAAUUACAAAGCGCGCCAAAAGGGAAGGGAUCAAAUGGGUAAAUAACCCAACCGCCUCAAAACGCGGCGUAGCAGUGGGCCAGAUUGAAAUAAAAUUAAAAUUAUAGGGCUAGAUUAGAAAUAAAAGGAAAUAGCGAAAAGGACCGAAUUGCAACGCGCUUUAAAAUUGAAGGGACUGAGCGCGCAAAUAGCCCAUCUAAAGAAAACGUGCGGAUCCUCCCCCUGGGUCGGGUCACCGCGCGGGUCAAAGGGCCUAAAACGGCGUCGGUUUGUUGAUUAUAUAAAUAUAAAAAACUAAAAAAAGGACUGCUCUCUCAUUUGUUAAAAGAAACAGAGAGAAAUACUCUCUCUUUUUCUCCCUCAGGCUCCGGCUCAGGAGAUAGCCCGGCCUAGGCUUCCGGCGAGUCCCCGCCGCAGAGCCACCGUGCGUGGCGGCCGGAGGUCCAAAAUGGACCUUUUCGGUCCCUUUUUUGAAGCCGAGCAUCCCUAGGGUAUAGACCUAAGGCCAAACCCCCAAAAAAGAAGCCGGAGACCCGAAGAACGGGGAAAAAACUGCUUCGUUUCCUCCCCUCUGGCGCGGCGCUGGUAAGAUUUCUUUUCCUUUUUAGUUUUAUUAUAUAAAAAGAAACAACAAGAAUAGAAAAGAAAAGAAAAAAACGAAAUAGAGUUUUAGAUCUAAGCAAAAAUGAGAGAAAAUCACCUCUCAAGUCUCUUGUUUUUCUAUUUCUUCUAGUUUUUAAUAUGUUUAUUCUCUUUAUUACACAGGUGAAAAAAAAAGAAAAAAAAGCCCUCUGAAUGUUACACUACAACCGGCUUUUAUAGCCUAUUUUUUUGUUACUGUUUUCGGUCAUUUUCUUGCUUCUUCCUCCUUUGCAGAUGCAAGUGGCGAUGGGACGGUGGCAGGUGCGGCGCGGAGUGGCAGUGGCAGAGGCCAAAAGUCGUCUGAGCUAGGGAUAGGGGGCUGCGGCGCUAGGCUAGGGUUAGGUCUGUUAGAGCUGGUAGCUGGGUUAGGUUUAGGUUAGUUGGGCUUGGUUUUGCUGGGUUAGGUUUGUUAGGGUUUGUAAUGGGCCCGGGCAAAUGAAAAUUGGGCUGUACAGCUGCCCCUCUUUGCUCGUUGUCGUGUAACGAUAACAUAGCAAAGACUAAGAAAGACCAAUUUUUGCCCGGUCUUGCCAAGUCUUGACUCUUUUUGACGCUUCUCUUCAAGUAGCUUUAUUUCAAUUCACUGUGUCUUGUCGCGUCAAUCCACUCCACUGCACUUCAAAAAGAUGCGUCCUAUAGCUUUAAUCUUCUUCGCAAAAACUUUAGGGGGACGAGAUUUGGUUUUAGUCUGCUUCACUAUAACAUCAAGAAGAUAAGACUUGUUGUGGUAGAUUUAAUCCGACCUACUGCAACUUCAGAGGUAUAGGAUUGGUUUCUUCCGUCUGCUCCACUGCAACUCCAGGGAGAUAAGACUGGAUGCAAUCUGCUCUACUGCAACUUCAGAGAGAUAAGAUCUGUGAUUUUAAUCCGCUUUACUGCAACUUCAGAGAGAUAGGAUUGGUUUCUUCUGUCUACUCCACUGCAACUCAGGGAGAUAAGGGUGGUACUUUCGAUCUGCUUGACUGCCAAAUACAGGAAGACAAGAUCUGUUAUCUUCGAUCUCCUCCGCUACCAAAUACAGGAAGACAAGAUCUUCUAUCUUCGAUUUACUUCGCUACCAAAUACAAGAAGACAAGAUCUGCUAUCUUCGAUCUCCUCCGCUGCCAAAUACAGGAAGACAAGAUCUGCUAUCUUCGAUCUACUUCGUUGCCAAAUACAGGAAGACAAGAUCCGCUAUCUUUGAUCUACUCCGCUGCCAAAUACAGGAAGAUAAGAUCUACUAUCUUCGAUCUACUCCGCUGCCAAAUACAGGAAGAUAAGAUCUGCUAUCUUCGAUCUACUCCGCUGCCAAAUACAGGAAGACAAGAUCUGCUAUCUUCGAUCUACUCCGCUGUCAAAUACAGGAAGACAAGAUCCGCUAUCUUUGAUCUACUCUGCUGCCAAAUACAGGAAUACAAGAUCUGCUAUCUUCGAUCUACUUCGCUGCCAAAUACAGGAAGACAAGAUCUACUAUCUUCGAUCUACUUCGCUGCCAAAUACAGGAAGACAAGAUCCGCUAUCUUUGAUCUACUCUGCUGCCAAAUACAGGGAGACAAGAUCUGCUAUCUUCGAUCUCCUCCACUGCCAAAUACAGGAAGACAAGAUCUGCUAUCUUCAAUCUCCUCCGCUGCCAAAUACAGGAAGACAAGAUCUGCUAUCUUCGAUCUCCUCCGCUGCCAAAUACAGGAAGACAAGAUCUGCUAUCUUCGAUCUCCUCCGCUACAAAAUAGAGGAAGAUAAGAUCUGCUAUCUUCGAUCUCCUCCGCUGCCAAAUACAGGAAGACAAGAUCUGUAACUUCAUUGAUCUGUUCUUUGGGGAACAUGACCUGUAUGUUCUAUUUUAUGAACCUAAUUGUGCCUAGUGAUUAGGAUGACAUGAUCAGAACGAAUCAAAUGCUUCUAACUAGAUAUGUAUGAAUGACAUUUGAAUGAAUGCAAAAUGUCAUGAAAAUGAUUCCUUAAUGCUUAGGUUAUCAUCACACAAAAGCUUAUUAAGGUUUUAUCACUGACGUACUACAACGCCUUCUUGCUCGUCUAGCAUAUCCAAAGAAACACUUAAUCUGAUUGCCCCCACUGUGAACGUCAAAGUUCAAUCCAUUGGGAUGUAAAAAUGUACCAUCAUUCUCCCACUGUAACCCAAGGGUAGAAAGAUAUGGCUUUUCUCAAUCUUCUCCUAUCGCAAUUCAAGGAUACAGAAUGUGAAGCUUUUUGGUUCUUUUACCCCAUUCCUCAGGUGUCAUACCAAAUGCUCAUGCACAAUUGCAAAAUUUUCUUCUCCGAGAAAACCUUUUCUUAUCACAUGGUGAUCAUUGCUUGUUUGUUCAUUGAAGCUUUGUCACUAACCCGGCAUCUUGUCAUUUUGUUCAAUCAAUGUUUGGACAACAAAAUCUGAAAGGAUAGUCUUUAACUUAGACUCUUUCUUCUUAGAUAUUUCACCUUUUAAACUUGGUGUUUUCUAAACAAUAGUCCUGUUUCAGGUUCCUAUAUUUUUUAGAAACUUCUAGAAUAAUAUGCAAAACUUCCAUUGUGAAAGUAUCAUCAUUCUAAUGCAACAUGCUUGCAAGAAAAAUAUAACGAUGGAUAAAAUAGAAUUGAUUUGAGAGCAUAGCUCGAAAUGAAUAAAUUAUCAAGGAUAGCAAGAAUAAAAAAAGGAAUUGAUUGUAACAUGUAUCUUGAAAAAGAAAGAAGUAUUCCAAGAAUAACAAAUUCAAUAUAUAAAUAAUAUGAAUGUCAGGUGCCCCAGAAUCGCAGCUUGAACUUCUCUGUACAAACUUUCUGAAGACCUUUCUGAGUUUGACAUGUGUUUAGGAAAUCUACAGGACUUUGUGGAUGCCCCAAGAUGUCACCUUACCCUUUCAGGUAUAGCAAGAUCACCACAUGCCCCAUUCUGAUCAAUAUUUGAGCCGCCCUUUUCGGGUUUUCAACUCAAAUCCCCUUUGGCCUAAGAUGCCCUUUGCAGGUUUUUCCCUUAGCCUCUCAAUUUUCAUUUUUUCAUUUUUCAAUUUUUUUCAUUUUCAAUUUUUUUUCAUUUUUUUGACUCAAAGUACCCUUUGCAAGUUUUCACCUUGGUCCUUCCUUCUUCUUUAAACGAAGUGUUUCUUAACUGGAUCCGAGUUUAUAGGAUUGGCAAUCUCACUCAAGAUCGAAGUGUUUCUUAACUGGAUCCGAGUUUAUAGGAUUGGCAAUCUCACUCAAGAUCAGUGCUCCUCUGAAAAUGAUCUUCUUUACAACAUAGGGACAUUCCUGGUUUGACAUUCAUUUCCCUUUAGAAUCCUUUCGUUAAGGAAGAAUCUUUUUAACAUCCAGCCUUCUCGUGGAAUUCUCUAAGAUGAGCCUGUUUAUUAUGGGCUCAUAUCAUUUAUUUCUAGUACAUCCGACCCUGAUGAAUAGCUUUUAACCCUUUUCCUAGGGCCAACUGAUCACAUCGUGAUUGGAUCCCUCCAACAAGCAAUGAGGGGAUUUUAAUAGGUAAAACUACCUCAAUCCUGUAAACCAAAAAGAGAGGUGUUGCCCCAGUACAGAUGUUCGACAAACAAUGAGGGCAAAUGAUAAUUUCUCAUGCCAGUCCUUGUUCACCUCUAGGUAAUUCGGUGACAAAAUGUGGUGUCUGCUUCUAAAUUGAUUUCAGACCUCAGUUAUCAUGCUAUUAUUUAAGUUUAAUGCAUUUUCCAAUACCAUCCUCUCUGAAAUUCUGUAUCGGUAUAGGAUGACCUUGAUCCGUGAAGUAGCCUCUCAAAAUGAAGCAAUGCCCAUUAGAAGUCUUCGAUAAUGGUGAUGUCCAUGCCCAAUUUUACUCAAAAUUUGAGUCGCCCUUUUCGGGUUUUCAACUCAAAUCCACCUUUGGUCAAAGAGCCCUUUGCGGGUUUUCGCCUUGACCUCUCCUUUUUUCUUUUUCUCUUUUUUUUUUUACUUUGAUUGAUUGAUUUUUUUUUUGCUUUUGAUUUUUCUUUUUUCUUUCCCCCCUUUUUUUUAUGGAAUCUGAACUCAUAAGGUUAGGCAGGUCCUUGUUAUCCUUUUCGAAGGAUCUUCUUUGAUCCAAUUUCCUUCAUUGAGCCUUCUAGGGCGAAACUACAACAUAAAACUUUUGAUCUUCCUCUUUAAUCAGGAUAAAAUCCCACAGAACUUGAAGAGAUAAAAGUUCAACUUCAAAUGGGCAAAGCUAUGCUGAGUCAACGAGAGAGGCAUUGCCCCGACAAAGAAUUGCAUCGUUCGCACUAUAAAUUUCUGACACCAUGCUGUUGUGCAGAUUUCAUUAUCAGCGAUUAAUCUGGGCAUAUCCUGGUAUGAUCAUACAAAGACAUCUUUGAACUCUAGAGGUGACUCAACAAGGUCUUGCUUCGUCUCUGCGGUCAGGUCAAUUCUAAUCUUUACCACGCUCACAAUUUCUAAUGAUUCCUUGUGAGGUAUGAUCUGUUUAUCCUCUUGUUCUACCAUCCUCAACAAGCUUGGAGAUAAGCUACGAUCUAUGUCAUCUUCAAAGUCGUGAGAUCCCUCUAAACACAUGUCUCGCUCAAAAGGAGAUUCAAAGUCUGUAGUAGUGUCAUUCAUGUCGUUGAUAUUCAGGGACCUAUUGUAGGUACAAGAAAAUAUACAAAGAAUGUAUGAAUUUAAGAAUAAUUAUCUGCACAGUAUGAUUAUGAAUGAAUGAAAGAAUGAUUUGGAUGAAAGAAUAAAAAAAUAAUCAUUCAUAAGAAAUGAAAGAAUAUUGGUUCAAAAGUUCGCAAAGAUGCAUUGCAUUAAAAUAAUGACGUUCAGAUAUGAGCCUAUUUCAUGAAAGACUUCUUGUUGCCUUUAGGCUGAAAGCAACAAGUGUGUUCUAAAUAUUACUCUGGGUAGGCUACAAAGAUUUCUUCUGCAGUCUGAUUAUUUAGAACACUCCCAAGUUUAUAAGGGCGAAUAUCUAAUGAGGUCCCUUCUCCAGUUGCCUCUUCGUAUCCGGCACUGAUGUAAACGUUUCCCAACAUUUCUUCAUUCAUCGCAUUCCUUUCAUUAUCCGUAUGAUUGAGUAGCAGACUUUCUGUACUGAGUGAAUCCUCAAAUUUGACAAUGCCCAUAUUGAUAAACCUUUCGACUAGCUUUUUAAAGGCAGUGCAAUUUUCUAUAGAAUGCCCCGUAAUUCCUGCAUGAUAGUCACAUUGCGCAUUUGUGUCAUACCAUUUGGGUUACGGAGGUUGUAAAGGCUUCAAGUAAAAAGGGGAGACAACAUGUGCGUCAAAUAAACUCUGAUAUAGCUCCUAGUACAACAUUGGGUUUGGUGCAAAUUGAGACUUCUUAAUGCUUUGCUUUAUGCCAGAUUCUUGUCUUGGGGAUAUCUGAUGGCCAGUAGCAAAUGACCUUUGCUGACCUAUGGUAAUCGGCUUUGAAUAACCCUCGUUAUACCUUCCUUCAUUAUUCACCUCAUUUUUCCUCUUCCUCGGAACCUUUGAAGUAUUGCUUUGGGAGUUCCGCUCUUGCCCUUUCUGUUUGUAACGGUCUUCAAAUUUUUUUGAGAACUCUAUUCUCUCCUGUUUUGUUUCUGCUAGAUCAUUAAUGACAACAGGAUUAGUUAGAUUGCCUCUAGGAUUGGAAUCUGAGCUCGUCGCGAAAUUCACCGCUGUCAAGGUAUUGGUCUGGUAUUGUGGUCGGACGUUAACAGUUACCCUUUGUGGAUAUGCAUUUGGUUGUGCUUGGAUGUUGGUUGGGGUAAAGUUUGGAAGAUAUGCAGGACCUUCAUUAUCAUUCCCAAAGUGGACCACUGGGUUUUUUCCUUUUUCCAACCUCAUAUCCAAUAACUGGGUUAACUGGCUCCUCAGAUUUCUUUGGACUUCUAGCAUCUGAUCCUUCAUAUCUUGCUGAAACUUGGCCAAUUGCUCUAGCAUCUGUAUUUGCAUUUGCUCUAAUCUCUCCAACCUUUGGUCCAUUCAUUUAGUUUUUUUGUUCGGGUACCACAAGAAUGUUGGUUUUCCAAGUUAACUGAAAUAAUUUUAUUCAAUUAGAGUCUUUUAAUGGUCCUUAAUGCACAUGAUGUUAUGUAAUGCAAAUGCAUGAAUGCAAAAAGAGACAUUGAUUCUUGGUUCAAUUCUUAUUAGAACAACUUUACUAGAAAACAAAUCUUUUUACAUAAAGCGGAUAUAUAUACGGCCUUAUCCUUAUAUUCUAAGACAACGAUCCUUUUCUUCCUUCGCGCGUUAAGAUGAAUCUCACGAACUCUUUAAAAGGGACGUCUCUUUUAUCUUGUUUUUGCUUGAUCCGGGCCGCGACUCGUUGCUUGCUCAUCCUCGUUAUGCUCAUUGGCUUCUCUUUAAGAAAGUUCAGCGGCUCUCGAAUAAUCUUUGUCACCUUGAAUCCUCGGGCAACGGAGCAAUAGUUGUGUUGUCCUCUAUUAAACUAUCAUCUUUCUCUUGUUGUGUUUUCUCGGAACAUAUUCGGGCAACCGUAUUAUUUUCCACUUUAUCAAAAGACCCAUUUUCUUAUGACAAGCUCUCUAUUUAACAACCGAACGUGAAUCAACACCUCUUUUUACGAUGAAAACGCAAUGCAAUCAUCAAAAAAAGGAAAAUAGGUUAGUACAAAGCAAAAGUAGGCAAGAAUAAACAGAACACCUAUUUGGGUAAAUACUAGGGGUUCAAUGUGGUUCUAGCUAGGGUGGACUCCUAAGGUUCACUACAUGAGGUUUGGUUCUAAAGUAAGGGUACCCGAACCAGCAGAUUCCUCGAUCCUCACCCAUUAUUGGCUCAUAUAGAUCGAGUUCGGUUCAGGGGAAUACAUUUCCCUAUGGCUACAAGGAGAUGAAAAUCUCACGAAGACAUAGGUACGGAUGUAUCCCAAAAGCGAUCCACUAUCCUGCACGGAGGUGAAAACCUCACGAAGGAGUAGCUUUUCACUCCCACUUAAAAGGUGUGACCAACGGUCAUGCAAUGCAAUGUGCAGAGAUAUAAAAAUUUAAAAUACAAAACAUGAUAAAAACUAUAACUCAAAACAAAUGAAAUGCAAUGAGAGGAUCGUAUAUUUAAAUCAAAAUUUCAACUUUCGACAAAAAGACAAGAAAUAAUCAACUCGUGGCUUGACUCACUUAUUUUAAAAUCCCCAGUGGAGUCGCCAAGCUGUUGACACCAUUUUUUUGAGGAAAACGGGGUCAACUUGGGUUUUGAAAAAUGAAAUGGGAGUCGCCACCAAUCCUUUUUGAUAAGGUGUGAUCGGCUCACCUCGAAAAGUGGUUGUUUUUAAUAAACGAUUUGAUUUUCUUAAAACAACGAUUUUGGUCUGCGAAAUUCAGAAAAAUAGGUUCGGGAGUCGGUUACGCACGAGGAAGGAUUAGCACCCUCGAUACGCCCAAAAUUAGUACCUAGUUGAUUAGUUAAUGUCUUAAUGUCGAAAAUUGAGAACUUUGGAAAAUUUAAAAAAUACGAUCAUUAUAUUAAAACGUUGAAAAUUUUCAAGAAAAGGGGGAUAUUUCACGUUAAUCGAGAAAGAGAAUCAUAUCAAGUAAGUUAGAAUACAAUGUCUCAAAUUCCCGAUAUGUGAAUAAAAAAUACUUAUUUAAAAGAUAUUUUAGCCGUCUCGAAUUUAAAAAUGAGAUCACGACCAGUAAGUUAGGACGCGAUUUUUUUUAAAAUCCCGAGAUCAUUUAAAAUUUGAGUUUGAAAAGAUUCGUGCAUUUAGAUUUAUCGUGAAAAUUGAAACCCAGUAAGUUAGGGUACGAUCCUCUCGAAUCUAAACACGAAAUAUUAUUUAUUCAAAACAAAUUUUGUUAUAUCGAAUAAAAUAAAACACGAAAAUCGUAAAAAAAUUUGAAAGCAAAUUACAUUGUUAUUAUGCAUAGCAAAACCAUAAUGAAUAUGAAAGUAUAAAAAAAUAUAAAAAAAAUAUGAGCAAUAGCAACGAGAUAAAAUGUCAAAUUUACAACAUACAAAAUAACAAUGCAUAAAAACGAAUACACUAAAACAUUCAUUCAAAAUAAUAAUAAUAGUGUAAAUGAAUAAAUAAAUAAAUAAAUAAAUAAAAUGAAUAGAAUUAUAAAAAUGUAAAAAGAUAUAUGUAUGUACCUAUAUAAAAAUAUGUAAGUAUGUGUAUAUAUAUAUAUUUAUAAAAACUAAAAAUAUGUACGUAUAAAUAUAUUAUGUAAAUGUAUCCACAUGAAUAUAUAUAUAUAUAUAUAUAUAUAUAUAUACUUUGAAAUUAUAAAAUAAAACAUAUGUACUUGUUUUAAAAAUAUUAUAAAAAAAUAUAGGGAAGUAAGUAUAUACAUAUUCGUGAGAAAAAAUAUAAAUAUACAUAUAUAAAUAUAUAUAUAUAUAUAUAAAAUGAGUAUUUAUGUAUGUAUAAAAAAAUAUAAGUAUAUAUGUACAUAUAAAAAUAUACACGUUUUAAUAUAUAAAAAUAUAUAUAUGAAUAGGUAUAUAAAUAUUCGUGAAAGAAAAGUAUAAGAGAAAUAACAGUAAUAUUAAUACCAACAAUAAUAGUAAUAAUAAUAACCAUAAUAAUAAUAAUAGUUAAAAUAAUAAUAACAAUAACAUAAAAUUGCUAAAAUAUGGGCUAAAUCGAAAUAAAAAUGAAAGUAUAGGGCGAAAUUGAAAGAAAAAUAAAAUAAAAGGGACUAAAUCAAAAUAAAAACAAAAGAAACUGGGUGAAUUCAAAAUAAAAAGGGACUAAAUUACAAAGCGCGCCAAAAGGGAAGGGAUCAAAUGGGUAAAUAACCCAACCGCCUCAAAACGCGGCGCAGCAGUGGGCCAGAUUGAAAUAAAAUUAAAAUUAUAGGGCUAGAUUAAAAAUAAAAGGAAAUAGCGAAAAGGACCGAAUUGCAACGCGCUUUAAAAUUGAAGGGACUGAGCUCGCAAAUAGCCCAUCUAAAGAAAACGUGCGGAUCCUCCCCCUGGGUCGGGUCACCGCGCGGGUCAAAGGGCCUAAAACGGUGCCGGUUUGCUGAUUAUAUAAAUAUAAAAAAGGACUGUUCUCUCAUUUGUUAAAAGAAACAGAGAGAAAUACUCUCUCUUUUUCUCCCUCAGGCUCCGGCUCCGGAGAUAGCCCGGCCUAGGCUUCCGGCGAGUCCCCGCCGCAGAGCCACCGUGCGUGGCGGCCGGAGGUCCAAAAUGGACCUUUUCUGUCCCUUUUUUGAAGCCGAGCAUCCCUAGGGUAUAGAGGCGCUCAUGGGCCGGGCGGCCCGGCCCGGCCCGAGGGCCCGCCCGAAAUAUGGGAGGAUUUAGGUAAAAAUAUAGGCCCGAAAUAUGGGCUUGGGCAAAAAAAUGAGGCCCGAUUUAAAAAUCGGGCCGGGCCUCGGGCACCACUUUUUUGACCCGGGCCCGGCCCGGCCCGGUCCGGCCCGAAUAUAAUAAAUAUAUUUAUUUUUUAAUUUUAAAAUACUUUUAAAAUACUUUUUAAAAUUUUUUAAUUUUAAAAUAUUUUAAAAUACUUAUUUUAAUUUUUUAAUUUUAAAAUAUUUUUAAAAUACUUUUUAAAUUUUUUAAAAUUUUAAAAUAUAUUUUUGUAUUUAUUUAAAAAUAGGCCGGGCCAGGCAGGGCCCGGGCUUAUGAAUUUUUUCCCGGGCCGGGCUUGGGCAAAAUUUUAGGCCCAUAUUUCGGGCCGGGCCGGGCCCGGGCCUAGAACCCCGGCCGAAUUUUUUUAUGGGCCCGGCCCGAACCCGGCCCGGCCCGACCCAUGAGCACCUCUACUAGGGUAUGGACCUAAGGCCAAACCCCCGGAAAAGAAGCCGGAGACCCGAAGAACGGGGAAAAAACCGCUUCGUCUCCUCCCCUCCGGCGCGGCGCAGGUAAGAUUUCUUUUUCUUUUUAGUUUUAUUAUAUAAAAAGAAACAACAAGAAGAGAAAAGAAAAGAAAACGAAAUAGAGUUUUAGAUCUAAGCAAAAAUGAGAGAAAAUCACCUCUCAAGUCUCUUGUUUUUCUAUUUCUUCUAGUUUUUAAUAUGUUUCUUCUCUUGAUUACAAAGGUGAAAAAAAAAGAAAAAAAGCCCCCUGAAUGUUACACUACAACCGGCUUUUAUAGCCUAUUUUUUUGUUACUGUUUUCGGUCAUUUUCUUGCUUCUUUCUCCUUUGCAGAUGCAAGUGGCGAUGGGACGGUGGCAGGUGCGGCGCGGAGUGGCGGUGGCAGAGACCAAAAGUCGUCGAGCUAGGGAUAGGGGGCUGCUGCGCUAGGCUAGGGUUAGGUCUGUUAGGGCUGGUAGCUGGGUUAGGUUUAGGUUAGUUGGGCUUGGUUUUGCUGGGUUAGGUCUGUUAGGGUUUGUAAUGGGCCCGGGCAAAUGAAAAUUGGGUUGUACAUCCAUUUUCAAUUAUUCUUUGUUUGAUAAAUCAAUCAAAUCAUGUGCUGCUAAAUUCUACUUUAAAUCUUGUUCCGCCAUUCAUCCGUUGGUAAACAUCAUUCGUUUUCCAUUUGUUAAUAGGCUUUUAUCGUGUUCAUUUAACUACAAUUUUUUUUUUUAAAUUUUGUCACUAACAUUUUUGAUCUAUUAUGUUUUAAUAACUCCCAUUUAAACCAUUUUCAAAUCCUAUCAAUUUAAUCUUAAUUCUAAAUAAAUAUUUAACAAAUUCAACCUUUCACAUUUACAAAUUCUAUUUAUAAAAAAUAAUUUAUUAUUUUUAUAUUUUAAAUAAGAAAACAAGCAUAAACAACUUAUAUCAUAAAAUCAAGAUUAACAAUUUAUUUUUUAUAUUAUUGCUUCUCAGUUUUCAAUUUUAUGGCUUUUAAUUAAUUUCUAUUCAAUAUUAUAAUUUUAGUUAGGACUAAAUUGAAUAAAAAUUUAAAAUUUAAAUAUCGGAGUUUGUUUAUUAUACCUUAUAUAUAGAAUGUCAAAAUAAAAGAGUCUUUGUUUGUAUGCUAGCUGUACAAAUACACAACCUCGUUGUGUUACCAAGCUAGUGAGUGAUCUGAGAAGCAUGUCAGUUCCGAAUGAAAACAAAUAUAUUUUGUAUUUUAAAGGUUGAAUUAUAUGGUGGGUCUUCUAUUUUGGUCAUCAAUUUUUUAAUUUUUUUAUUUAGUAAUUAAAUUAGUUGAAAUUAAUAUUUUUAUCACUGAACGUUAACAAUGGUUUGAAAUUUGAUCUAAGUGAUGACAUGAGUUUUUUUAUUGGUCUAAUAAUAAAUUUAGCCCUCUAAUAUUUAUAUAUUCUAUCAAUUUGAUCCUAAUUAUAAAAAAACUUCUACAAGUUUAGCUUUCAAUGUUUACAAAAUUUGUCAUUUUAUUUCAAAUUAUAAAAAGUUUAAUAAAUUUAGCCCUUAUGACAAAUUUUUGUCUCUUUUAACCCUUCAACUAAUGUUGUUUGUCAAACCACCUCAAAAUAGAUGUUGACAUGGUAGUUCACAUCCAUGCUAUGUCAUCAAUUGUUUAAAAAAUUAAAAAAUUUAUAGAAAAUUAUUUAAAAAUUCAAAAACAAUUAUAAAGUGUUUAAAAUUCAAAUGUAUAUAUAAAUUAUUAAAAUUUCAAAAGAAAUAUAUAAAAUAUAAAAAAAUAGUAAAAAUAUUAUGAAGCUCACAUUUCUAAUAGGUAAAAGAACUUUUCUAAGUUUUCACUUAAAUAAACAAAGCUCUCUUUUCUUCUAACCCUGGGAGCCGCUAUUACUAACAUUGACACUAGUGGCUCCUUCCAAUCACUAUCAAUGACCUUUCAAAUCUAAAAUCCUAAAAUAUCAACACCAGCACUAAUGGCAUAUUUCAAACAAGGUUGAGACAAGUUACCAAAUCCAAAAUCUAGAAAUAUCAAUUGACAAUGCUUUUAACCAACAUGUCAUUGGAUUCUUUUUAUCUCUUUUUUCACCAACGCUCAAUCGGUUAUUGUAAAUGGCUUUAUUGAAAAAAGGUUAAAUGUGUUUUGUUAGAAUGAUUGAUUAUAGUAUUGUUUUUAUUUUGGUUGAAUCAGUUGGUUUAAAAUUUUUAAAGUGAUUGAUUUCUAUUUUUAGUGUUUUUAUUUUAGGGUUGUGAGUUUUUGAGAUUAAUGAGCAAAAACUAAAACUGAGACUAUUGAUUGUGUUGAUUAAUGUUAGGGAUAAAAGUUUUUGGUUUUUGUUCAAUUUUGUACUACUUUUAACUGAGAUUAAAACUGAAAAAAAAAUCAAUUUUCAUUCAUCAGUUUAUCCAAGAAAAAUGUUCUUAGUGUUUGAUUUCUAUUUUUUGUGUUUAAUUGAAUAAGUGGUUUUAAAAAAUUUCAAACAAUUUAUUUUGUUCACUUUCAAUUUUCAUUCAGGCUUGAAUUUUGCUUUUUAUUUUAUUUUUUUAUUUUUGUUGUGCAUUGAUGAAGUUUUUAGAGGCUAUGGGUAUAUUAAACAAAGAAAAAAAAUGGUGUUAAUAAUUAAAAAAUUAAAACUUAUAAAAUAAUUAAGAAAUUAAAUAAAAACAGGAAAAAAUUAGUGAAGUAGCCGUAAAGGUAGAAUGGGAAGGAGGUGCUGGUGCAUGUGGUAUGAUGAGUCGCAGUUGGUUGGAUAGUGUUUUUCAUGCGUUGAGCCAUUAUAUUGGGUUGGUUUUCACACUUUCUUCUAUUUAAACCCGAAUUUUUAAAGAAUGACCACCUUUUUCGACCAUUAAUUUCACACAAGAAAAGUCAUUUGAAGGCUGCAAUGCCAGCACCAUUAUUCACGUUUGGGCGAAACAUUGAAUUAUUUUUCAUCCCUCCAUUGCUUCCACUCUCUAUCCUUACUCUACUUUUUGUAUAUUUGAAAUCAAAUUCUUAAUUUUAAUAAUAUGUAAACCAUAAAUAAAUUAUUUUUAUCAAUAAUCAUAAUAUCCAAUGCUUAAACUAAUUUAGUUUAUUUGCUCUGAGAAAUAUCUAGAGACUAGAAUGUUCCCCAUUUUCUGUCAAUCAAGAAAGAAUAUUUGAAUACAUAAGAUUUUAAUAAUGUAUAUUGUUUCAUAGAUGCAUGCAUUUGCAUUUAGGAAAUCCAAAGCAGAACAUCAUACCAAUCACAAACGCAACAUCAAAGCAAAAAACAGAAUAGUAAACAAAUCUUCAGCAUGCCAUCACCCUCCCAUGCUUUAGCAAUAGUAAACACAAUUUUUAAACUACUUUCUAAGUCUCAUUUUAAAAUAUUUAACCCUAAUCUUUUAACAACUAUUUUUUCAUAUUUUAAUAUUAGUUCAAAAUUUUUUAUUAAAAAACUAUUUUAAUAUUUUUAGAGCUUGUUCACUUAUUUUUAUAAAUUUUGUAAAAUUAAUCUAUGGAUUUUGUAAAACAAAUUGAUGGAGCUUUGGGUUUAGUUGGUAUUAAAUGAUGAAGAGAAAAUUGAAUUUUAAAGUCCCAAAAUACUAAAUAGCAAGACAGCUAUUUUUUUCCUCAGCCAAUAAAUAUAUUUAUUGAAAAUAAAGACAAAAUAUUGCCAAAAAAAGUUGCAAAACCCAAACAAAAGAACACAUCACGUAGGCAAAUACAAAGGACAAAUCACCAAACCAAAGCUCCACAACACCAAAACAUGAUGACUUGUAAACUUCUCAUAACAAAAAAAGAAAAAAAGAGAAAAGAAACUCAACCACCAUUUGAAGCCUAUGAAAUUUUCUUUUUAGAAAAAGAAAAAGAAAAAGAAAAUCUCAAAUCUAACGAAGUAUUAAAUUUUACUAUCAAAAUAGUAGAAUAUUGUCUUACAUGUAUAGGUUUAAAUUUAAGUUAUUUGUGAUGUAUACUCAAGUAAAUAAUAAUGUGAUUUCAAAUCAGUUAAACAAAUUUAGGGUAAUUUACACCAACAGCCACUCAAUUUUGGGAUAGUUGACAAAGCAACCACUUAGGUUUCAAUUCAGUCACUUAACUUUCAAAAAAUAACAAAGCAGUCAUUUUAACCAUUUUCUGUUAUAGACGUAACGAAAAGGUGACAUGGCAAAUGAUGGAUUCCUUGUUGUCAUUAACCAUCUAGUUGGUCGGUUAGCUCCAAUUUAAACAGCCCAUUUAGCACUAAUUUAGGGUUUAGGCAGUAGAAGAAGAAGAAGAGGAGGAGGAGGAGGAGGAAGAGGAGGAGAGAAAAAAUAGAGAUGCCGACUGUGACUCCGGUGUGCUAUUAUAGAAACCCAACAAAAUUAAACACGUCUUGGUCUAAUGACAACCCAGGUAGGAGGUUUUUUGGGUGUAAGAAGAUUGGGAGUGGGUUUCAAAAACCAUGUCAUUUUUUCACCUGGUUUGAUCCACCACUGAUGCCCCAUGUUCACAAAUUUUGUUGUUGGGUCUUCUGAAAAAGUGAGGACAUUGGAGGAUGCAAGGUGGAGGGAGAGAAAAACAUGGGUUUUGGUGCUUGUAUUUGUAAUAUUGUUGUUGUUUUUUAAACCCUAAACCAGCUUAUGUGAUAGCUGAUGUUGUUGUUGUUAACACUAAAAACCAACUUAUGUGGCUGUUGGUAUCCUGUUUUGUUAUUCAUUCAUGGUUAGUGGAAGCUAAGGGUCCUAAAUGUAAUGGUUUGUAAAGGGUAGAAGUUUGCUUAUGGACUUGAAAGUUGAAAGACUAAUUGUAAUGGGAGAGUAUUUGGUUGUUGUAAUGGUCUGGUAUUCUCACAUAUUUGUAUUUCAUUUCAUUAGAUUUUCUGAAUGUUUAAUCUUCUUUUAAAACUUGAAAGAGUAUUUAGUUAUUGGUUUUUAUUUUCUUACAUUGCAUGGAUCAAUGCUUAUAUGUUAGAAGAGAUAAAACAGAUGGAAAAAAGACAGAAACACAUUAGUUAGCAUUAAACUUCUUUCAUAUAUUAAGGGCAAACUAUUGCCAAAUUCGCCUACAAUUAAACAUAUUUGAAUUGUAGGCAACUUUACAAAAUAUUUCAGUGGCUAUAUACCUAAGUUUAGAUAACAGUAGCAAUCAUAGGCAAAUUUACAAAAAAUAAUCUGCCUAAGCUAAGAAAUUAGUUGGUGUGUCGUUGAAAGCACCAAAUAUAUCCUAACCCUAAAUAACAAAAAGAUAUAGCAUAAGGGGAGUAGGGUCAAAUCCUCAAGGAUUGGAUCAAUACAGCUUAUUGUUCCUCGAAAUCCUGGGCAUAGUCGUGCCCAAGAAAAAUGUCUGACCUGGAAAAAAAAUUUUAAAAAAUAGAAUUAAGAGUAUGGACGAGUUGAAAUUAAAUAAAUUGAAACUGUAAUUGUGAAAAGAAGUAGAAUUAAGAAAAAGGGAUUUUUCAAUUGAGGGAUUCUAGCAUCUGGUUAUCUCGAUCCUCCUUUGGUUCAAUCAUAGGCUUUUAGGUGAUCUUUCUCAUGACUGAAUAAGCUUGUUAUAGUGGAAGAAGACACCUAUAACCACCAGCUCCACUUAUGUUAUAGCUUUACGAUCUAGAGGAACCUGACUCUAGCCAACCGUCACUUUCGUGGGACCGUCUUACACUAGAUCAUCGUUUCUCAAUGGCGAAUUCGUCUCUUGGGCUAGACUACCUCUGAUGCAGUAAGUUAGUGAACUAACUGUGAGCCUUUCCAAAACAUACAAAGCGGCCGCCUUUGUACAAGAUGAAAAUAUUACUUUUGGAAGGACAUGGAUGGAAGCGUUAGUCCCAUAAUGCGGAGAAAUGAUGAAUACUCGUUGAGAAGGAUUAAGUACGGGUUCUAAGCCUAAUGAACUCAUUUUGAGGAAUCUUGAUAACAUUUGGCUAGACAAGUUUAAUGACUCAUGCAUUUUGGGAAAAAAACACAAGUUUUAAUGAAAUAGAAUUUUAUUGAAAAAGAAACAAAAAGGCUAAGAGCCUUAGGGGGAAGGAGUUUUUUUUACAAAAGUGUUGAGUGAAUAUUCAUGUCACUCCAUCCCCUAUUUAUAGUACAUAAAAAAUCUAGUUUGUUCCUAUUUAAACUCUAUAUGAUAAUAUUUAAGAGAUAUAAUUUGAAAUUAAAUAUAAACAAUAUAAUAAUUCUAACAAUAAUCCUAAAAAUAAAAUUAAAUUUAUACAAAGUCUUAUGUUCAUAAAUCUCUUCUUUGAAAUUUUACCCCAAGUCUUCUACACUUUGUAUUUUCAGCAGUACUUCUUCCCUAUUUUGCAUGCUGACCCGUUUUGUAUUUAAAUUCACGUUUUUUACCCCUAAAUUUCUUUUUACCUUCAAUUUAGUCCCUAUAAGAUAAAAAAGCAUAAACAACCCAAAUUAGUGGUAUUAUACUCAAUAUAUAUAUGUAAUUAACACAUAAAAGUAUGUCAUUUUCGAGUAUUAUCACUAGUAGCAGGUAUAGGUGUAGAAAAAUUUAGGCAAGUUCAAGAAGUUAACAAAAGAACGUCCUAUUCACAAUGUCAUCAUUGGUCUGUCACGGAUGACUCUUGAGUAGAAGGCAUCCAUCUAAUAGUGGUUGGUUUCCUUUUGAAUGGAAGAUUUCCUCUUGGAGCAGCAUCUUGUUGGUGAGUUGGGGCAACCUCCUUCUGAGUUGGGGUAGUUUCUUGUUGAUUUGAGGCAACCACUUGGUUGUGAACACCAAAUUUGUGUCUUUUGACCUAAAGGAAUAAGUGAAAUCCAUCAAAAAAAUUGCAUUUAUAAGUAAUAUAAUGGAGCAAAGGCAAAUGACUUACUAGAAUUUUUGCCAACUUUCUCCUUGUAACUCCUUUUAUUGUGGCCUUUUUUGUUGCAUUUACUGCACCUCAUUUUCGCCCCUCUCUUGGUCAACCUUUCUAUUGCUUGUGGUUUAUCAGAUUCUUUCCUUCUCACCUUAGUAGGUCUGCCACGUGGCUUUCUAAGUGUAGGAGGCAGUAUUGACAGCAUGUUUGACAUAGAUGCCCAUUACUUAGGACCGCUUAUUGGCCUUAUGAAAUUAGAGUUAAUGGCAAGCUGGGUUUGCUUUGUGUACCAAGUUUGUUUAUAAUUUUUUGGGAACUCAUCUUUUAGAUGAAUGACACCCACUCCAUGCAUGCAAGGGAUGCCAAUGAGAUCCCAAUUCCUGCAGGAGUAGGAAUUCUCAACUAGGUCCACCACAUGCUGACUACUUGGAUCACAUUCAACCUGAUACCUAUCUCCACCAACAUGUGAAGGAAAACACCUAAAAAAUAGUCACUAAAAUAAUAUUAAAAACAUGUGAUCAGCCCCACCAACAAUCAUACAUAAGGCAUAAAUAUAUUAAAAAAUGGCAAAAUAAAGACAUACAUGUAUUGGUCCAACAACAUGUGAUCAACCCCACCAGCUAUCAUAUACAAGGCAGAAUAAAGGCGUCGAUAUAUUAAAAAAUUAUCUAUUUACCUCAGUGAAUCUUUGAUAUUGACAUCUAGCUUUUUCUUGAUCUUUGGACACAAGAUUCUUUUAAUUUUUUUAGCUUUUUCUUUCUUCUUAACAAUAAACAACAUAAUCUUGGUCUUAAUUGUUUCCAUCAUGGUCAGAAUAGGUUUCCCUCUUACUUCCAAUAUCACCUACUAGUAAGUAACAUAAAAGAUUAGUGAAUUGCAUGUCCUUAAUGAUUAGUAACAUAAAAAAAAUAGGGGUUUACCUUGUUAAAACAUUCAAAAAUAUUAUUCACCAACAUGUCAGACUAGCUCCUAAUUGAGAAGUGGGACCUUGACCAGUGAGUAGGGUUCUUUCCUUCAACCAAUCAUAAGCAUGUUGAUUGGUAUUCUUCAGUUCAGCUAUGAGAUCCUCAAAAUCCCUUGGAGUGCUUGCUCUGGCAGCUUUCCAAAGCAAAUCUUUCAAUUUCUUUGUUAGGAAACCAACUUUCUUGAAAUUUGCAUGUAGAUGUCUAAGACAGUGUCUUGUUUCUACAUUAGGAAACAACAGAUAUAUUUUUUCUAAAAAUCCUUCAAAUAGAAGAAAAAUAAUUUAAUUCUUUGACAUAUCAUAAACCCUAAAUAGAAACAACAUAAAAACAAGUAGACAAAUCAACUAGUAUUACCUUUUGUUUGUCAGACAUGAAAGAUAUAUGGUAUGAGCUCACAAUUUCCAAGUCUAAUGCGAGCAACUCCAAGAACCAGAGCCAUGAUGCUUAGUUUUCACUUUAAACAGUAGCAUAUGCAAUAGGAUAGAUGUCAUUAUUUGCAUCUAUUCCAACAGCUUCCAGUAGGUAGCCACCAAAGUAGCUCUUCAUGAAACAUCAAUCUAAACCUAUUAUCCUCCUACAAACAACCCUAUAGCCAUCUUUGCAUACCUGCAGACAGACAGACAUUCUUUGAAACAACCUGUUAUCUAGAUAAUAGAUUGUUGUUGCUCUCUCAUUUUGGGUCUUAACGUCCAACAAAUACUCAUAAAUCUUCUCAUAUUGUGCCUUAUGAGCUCCUUCAAUUAAUUCAAAUGCCCUAAGUUUAGCCCUCCUACAUUUGGUUAGUGAGACAAGUCAAAGGAAAUCUUUUUUGACAUCUUGUUGCAAUGAUGUCAAAGAAUAAUCAGGAUUAGCAAUGAACUUUUCUUUAUAAUGUUUACCUAUACAAGCAGACGUUACAUUCUUAUUUUUAUAGACUUGAGAGCAAAUAUGGUUAGGGUUUGAACUCAUAAUUUGCCAAGUCUGGUCAGUAGAGUCACUAGGGUUUAGUCUAGAGGCCCAUCUGUACCAAAAACAUUUUGAACUACAAACUGCCUUUAACCUCUUUAGAUAAUAUUUUUGGGAACUUAAUCAAAUAACUAUUCAACCCACCAUACUACUUGGCAGCUUCUUUUAGACUAUCUUUGGACUUAAAUAACAUUCCAACCUUUAGUUUAGGACUACUCAUGUCAUUGUCUAGGUUGAACUUAGGCCAAUUUAGGCCAUCUGAGUCAUAUUCAUGUGCAUUAUUUAACCUCUCAGAAUCAUCACUAUCACACAAUUCCCUUACUUCUAUAUCAUCCAUGUUUAAACCAUUUAGAUUAACCAUAAUCCUAUUAGACAAAUCACUAUCAUAUACAUCACUAACAGACACAUCAAAAUUAGACAUUUCUUCUUCAGUCUCAUUAAAAUUAUCAUAAAUUAAAGAUACCAAACAAAUUUAACAUCAAUAAAGGAAGACAACAACCAAACAAUUUAAUACAACAUGACAGACAAUAACCAAUACAAUAUAAAAGCUAAAGAAUAAAUUUAAUCCAAUUCAUAUUUGAAACUAGGAACAGAUUUCUCUAUAACCAAACAAUAACCAAACUUGAUACUGUUACUCAUAAAAAUAGGAACGAAUUUGUCUCUUUCCUAAGGCAAUUCGUAUGCAAAUGGCAGACAAUAAGUUACAAAAAUCCAAUCCUACAAUUCAGUUUGAUAAAAACAAUAAACAUAUUUUCCAUGUACAUUUAAAAUACUCAUAAAUCAUAUUUGAAUAGUUAAAUUAGUUUGAUACAAACAAUAAACAUGACAUACAUAGUAUCAUGCAUAUGGCAAACCAUACAUAGUAUCUACCAUUCACUUUAAUAACCAGACCUAAACCCCAUGUGAAUAACAAAUGAAAUCAAACUUUGUCAUGGACUUUAAUAACAAAUGAAACCAAAAUCUGGCAUAAACCCUAUUUGAAUGCAACAUUUUUCAACUUUUAAAUCUAGACAACCCUAAAUGCAAAAAAUAAAAAACCAAAUACAGAAACUUACCCAUUACAGCGGAUGUAACAACAUUGGCAACUUCUUUUCUAUUAACCAAUGUGGCUAAAAACCAAAAACACUGAUAAGUUUCCCUUUUUGUCUUCUUUUCUCCCCAAACAAAAAAAACAAUUGAUUUCUAACCCUAAACCCUAUUAAUCAAUUUCCUAAUGGAUUUUCUAACCUUAAACCAACCUUGUUAAUCAGUUCUCCAAUAGAUUUCUAACCUAGAACCCUAUUAAUCGAGUUUCUUUUCCUCCUCCCCUUAAUCACAAUCAAUUUCUAUUUUUUUACCCUAAACCCAUCUAUUAAGUUUUUUUUCCCUAAACCCGAGUCAAACCUUGACCCUUCCAAUGCUUCACCAACGUGCAAGUUAAUUGGCCACAUCAGCUAGUUAACUUGCCACAUCAGUGGUCUUAUUAAGACAGUAAUGGAAAAUGUUAAUAAGUGACGUAUUUGUACUUUUAAUAAGGUUAGUGGCUGAUUUGUUAUUUUUCGAAAAUUGUGUGACAGAAUUGAAACCUGAGUGAUUGUUUUGUCAGUUACCCUCAAGUUGAGUGAUUGUUGGUAUAAUUUACCGAUAAAUUUAUAAUUACUUGUGGUUUUAUAUUCAAAUUGAAUCUUUUAGUUAAUUUUAAUUUACAAAGGAAAAAAUUUACGUAGGGUCGCUUUUACAAAUAAAACAUGAACUAUUCUUUCAUAAAAACACUUUUAUAGUGUGAAAAGGACAUGAUUCUCAAUUGUAUAAGUCAAGGUCUUUUGUAAUUCGUAUUAAUGCAUUGUUUAAUAUCAACAAGGAAUCUUUAGCCCCUUCUUUCUAUCUAUGUCUUCCUCUCAUUUUCCUUUGAUGUGAUGGCUUAAACUAUGUAGAAUAACCAAUAAUUAUACCAAAUUCUAUUAAUUUUUUUUUAUAUUUGAAAUCAAAUUCUCAAUUUUAAUAAUAUGUAAAACAUAAAUAAAUAAUUUCAACUUAAAAUAUAUUUUAAUGAAAACGUGUUUGAUGGAGAUCCUCAACAUAUUCUUCACGGUUGCUCCUAAAUUCUUUCUAUUAACCCCAUUGGAAACAUGAAUUGAAAGAAUGACCACUUUUCCCUACAUUGGCGUUUUUCAUGCGUUGAACAUUAUUGGGUUGCCUUUUACACUUUCUUCCAUUCAAACAUGAAUUUGUAAAGUGGCCUCCUUUUUCACCAUUUAUUUCACACAAGCUUUCCACAAGAAAUCUUAUUUUAAGACUGCAUUAUUCAUGUUUGGGCCAAACACAGAAUUAUUUUUCAUCUCUCCAUUGCUUCCACCCUUUAUCCUUUUCAACUUUUUACCUUACUUUCCAUUUUAAUUAUUCAUUGUUUUAUUUAACAAAAUGAUAUAAUACCUGUUAAGUUGUUCUUAGAAAAAUUAAUAAACGCGAGAGAAAUAAAAUUUCGAGGUGAAAUUUCACCUCAAACAUAUAAUUAAAUUUAUCAAAAUUUAUUAACAUUUUCUAGCAAGCCAUUAAAUUUUUUUUUUUUAGCAUUGUAGGCAUUUUUUUAGCACUAAACACAAAAAUAUCAAAUCACAAAAUUCAUAGUUGUAGAGGUAUGAUUAGAUACCCGCCUACAUUGGUCCCCAUUAUAUGUCACUCAAAAUCUCAUAAUCAUCCCCAAAAAAAUUAGAAAUUAUCACUUCAGUUAAUUAAAGCAAGAACAAAUAAAUUGUUUGUUAUUUUGAUCACUUAGGUUUUAGACAUUUUUAUUUUGAUUACUCUUUAUUAAAUGGUUAAUGAAAUUUAUGAUGUGAUCUUUUUUCUAAUUGAUAUAAAUAACACAUUUAGUCCUCAAUACUUACACAUUCUAUCAAUUUGAUCUUUAAACACAUAUAAUUAAAUAUAAAUUAUAUAUUAUGAAAACGUACAAAUAUAAUUAUUUAUAUAUAUAUUUAUCUGAAUAAUAUUAUAUGUGUUUAUAUUUAAGUAUAAUUAUAAGGCUCAAAUAUGCAUUUAGCCCCCCGAACUUGACACAUUCUCCUAUGUUGGUACUUAUGAUUUUUUUGUCCCAAGUUGGUACUCAAAUUUUCAUUCCGUCAAGGGCUUUGAUGCUUUUUUUUUUUUGGUGACAAUAUUAAAUAUAGGACGCAUGACACUCUUAGGAUGCCAUAAUCUAUUUUUUUUAUAAAAAUAUAAUAAAAAAUUUAAAAGAAAAUAUAUGAAAUUUAUAUAAUUUUUUAAAAUAUAAAAGAAAUUAUAAAUUAUAAAAAAUAUAUGUAUCUAAAAAAUUAAAAAUAUUACAAAAAUUGAAAAUAAAUCUAAAAUCCAAGUUAGAAAAAUAAAAAAAACCUGAAAAUUUUACACCUUUUUCAAAAUAAAUUGUAAACAAAUUAGAUGAAGAUAAAUUUUACAAUAAAUUUUAUGCUUAGAGAUAGGUACAAAUUAUUACACGAUUUUCCAAGUUAACAAGAAUGCAAAAGAUGAUGAUUUGAAAAAGGUUUACCAGAAGCUUUUUCGUUUUCCUUUUUUUUUUUUUGUUAAUUAUUUGCUAGGUGGUAGGAAAAAUCUGGUUCCUUUGUUGAUAAUACUAUUAGUAUGAUCACGAAUGAAGUUUAUAAAAAUAACAAAUUUACUAAGUUUUUGGGGGUUUUGAGUUUUGUGGUUUACAAAUUUAUAUAUAAGUUUAUCAACAUUUAGUUUUAUGUGUUGAAAUAUAUUUAUAUUUAAUUAUAUGUGUUUGAAGAUAAAAUUGAUAUAAUUUGUAAAUAUGGAGGGUUAAAUUUAUUGAAUCAUUUUGAAUUAGAAUUAAAUUGAUAGAAUAUAUAAGUAUUGAAGAAUAAAUGUAUUAUUAUAGCAGUUAGAAAAGGCAACAUCAUUGUUAACUAUUUAACGAAGAGUGACCAAAAUAGAAAUAAUCUAAAAUGUGAGAAAACAAAAUAGAAAUGAUCUAAAAUGUUAGUGACUAAAUUAAAAAUUUUCAUAGUUGGGUGACCAAUUCUAUAGUUUACCCUAGAUAGUAGAAGCAAUUAGGAUUAAUUCCACCAAACAUCUCAAACUAUUACUCAUAUUUUAAAUUGCACCCUAAACUUGUAUACAUUCUAAUUAAAUCCUCAAAUUAUCAAUAUUGUAUCAACCAGGUCCUUCUGCCAAUUUAGCUAUCAAUUUGAGCAUUAAAUGUCAGUUUGGAUAUGAUGUAAAACAUAUUUAAAACACGUGGUUGAAAUUGUAAAUAUGUAUGUAUUUAUCACAUGGAUAACUUUGAUAUCACAUAUUAAAAAAACAACGGCAAUAACAUUUAAGAAUCUUUUUCAUUUUCUAAAUAUAUGUUUAGCAUGUUAGAUUCAAGUAGUUUAUGGAAUAGAUGCAAACAUAUUUACAAUUUGAUCUACAUUUGUGCUUUUAAAUAUUCUAUAUGUUAGAUUUAAAGGUGUUCAUUGGUUGGGCUUGGACUUAAGUUUUUAACCUUGGGCCAGCUGAACUAGGCCCAUUUUAUUAUUAAAAAAUAAAAAUAAUUUUAUAUUUAUAUAUUUUCAUAAUUAAAUUUUCAUAAUUUUACUAUCUUUUAAAUAGUGUAAUGGGCUAUUUGGCCAAGCCGAACCCUAGCCUAGAAUUUUUUUUGAAACCGAACCUAUGUUCGAUUUAAUCUAUGAACACUUCUAAUUAGAUUCACUUAUUAUUUUUAAAUUAACAAUUAAACUGACAAAAAGACUUAACUGAUAAGAUUUUAAGAUUCAAUUACAUGGUUUCAAAAAUUUAUCACACGAAGUUACAACAAAAAGUUAAACUUUGCGUACAACUCUGUUGUUAGCUUGAUUGAUUUCUUACUACUUAUUAAUAUCUUUUGUUACUUAACACAUUUGACUUGAAGAUAUUUAUAGCUAUUUCAAAUACUGGAUUUCCGUGCACUUAUUUUUAUACUUUUCAUUGGAUUAAUUAUAUAUUUUGAGAAAAUAUAAUAUUUGAUGCUAACUAUUAUAAAUAAAUAUUAAUAACUCUCGGAUUUAAGAUGUUGAGUUUAAGGGUUUAGGAUAUAAAGUCUAGGGUCUCAUGUUUGUUUAGGGUUUUGGCAUUUAUUUAUAGAUAAUUAUGUUUCAAUAAAAGUAUUAGUAUUCAUUUAUAAGUUUUCACUAAUUUUUUAGUUUAUUUAAUAAUGAUGUAUCAUGUUAUUAUUCACUGAGAGUGCAAAGAACUUAUGCACCAAUGAUACAUCAAAUAUUAUCUAAAAUCAAAUUUAUAAUAUGAGAAAUCCUUUUAUAAUAAUUUGUAAGAAAAAAGUUGUCGAAAAUUUUCCACUACUAAUUUUAGAAAUAAUUUCUGAAUAUAUUUAUCCAAUUAAAUAUAUAAAAAUAGAUGAGUAUGGUGAUAUCUAUAAUUUCACAAAAACACUUACAUUGAUCUAAAUCAAGUAAUUUCUUUUUAUAAAUUCAAUUCCAAAUCUCUUCCGUAAUAAAUCAACCUCACAAAAUAUAUAUCCAACAAAUCUGGUUCAGGUUAAAAACAAAGAACACAUGUAUUCAGCAAUUAAAACCAUGAUUCAAAUUCAUUUCAAAGAUAUAAUUUUGCAUUAUUUUACCUCCUUUCGUUCUUGACAAACUCUUUGGAAUAAGUUAACCAUUCUUGGAGUAUCUAUUCCUUAUUGAAACUUUUUGGGUUUUCUUUUUUUACUAAGCAAUAUCAAUUUUAUUAAAAAGAUAGAAAAACAAACUAUACAAACCAGUGCAGCUAGCAAAAACACAUCAGAGAACAUUGCCAUGAGAGAGGACCUAAGAAAACAUAAUACAUACUACAUAACAUACAAUAAAGCACCCACACAAAAAAUAUAUUAAACUGCUACAGAAAAAGGCCUGCAUACCACCAAGCUACGAAGUUUUCUGUUCUGUUUGCAACUUGUUGACCUCACCGAAGAGUUGGCUUCUCUACCUUUUUGCAAAUCUUUGUCGAACUCGCUCGACGAUCUUGAUCAACCACCAUGGUUUUCCUGUCGUGAAUACAAUGUAUCCCAUGCUCAUUCCCAGAACCAACCCACAUCCAUACCCCAUCAAUAUAGAAAAUUUCCAAUUCAAUUCAUCACCAUCAUCAUCAUCUCUAUCAAAUUUGGCUGGAGUUUCCUCAUCAGUAUCACAGCUUUUUGAUAAUGGCAAACCACAUAAAUCCAGAAUUCCAAUGUAGGAAUCAUUAGUGAAGGUAUCAAAUUGUUUGCCUCGAGGAAUGGGUCCCUUGAGAUUAUUUUGAGAAAGGUUUAACACCUCUAAGAAUCCAAGAUUUUUUAGCUCUGUCGGAAUUCUUCCUUCCGAGUUUCUUUGUUGAGAGAUCUAAUGAUUCAAGCUCUGACAAAUUACCUAAAGAUGAUGGGAUAGGACCUAUUAAACAGUUAUGGGAGAGGUUUAGGACAAUAAGUAAAUGAAGCUCACCAAGUAUUUUUGGAAUUUCUCCCGAGAAUUGAUUACUAGAAAGGUCAAUAAUCGUCCAAAUGGAUAAUAGUGAUUCAAACUCUGUUUCCAACUUUCUUGUCUUUUUACCAAGUAUAUCUUUCAUGUACCCUGGUUCAACUUUCUUUCCAUACCAUUGCAAUGAAGGUGGUGGUGUUUGAAUUCGGCCUUGGAGAUAAAAUUAGAAUAGAGUUAGAAUUAAGGAUUUGAAGAUUCUUUGGAAUAUAAAAUGCAAAAUAACUACAUAUUUUAUGUAAUACAUGUAUGUUGUGUAUAACCAAUAAAAAUAGUUGGUACUACACUACUUCUAACCAUUUUUAGAUGCACGAGAACAAUUUUUAAGUUUUAAUCUAUCGAAAGAAUCUACUACAUUCUAAACUAAAUUUUAUUUCCAUUACUUAAAAUAAAAAGAGAUUGCAUAAAUGUAUACAAAUAUUAAAUAAAAAUAAAAAUGAAAUUAUACCUAACAGUUUGUUAUAAAAGAGAUAAACAUAUGUAAAAUAAGUCAUGCACUCCAUUUCUUUCUUAUUCAAAAAUAUCAACUAUGGCUGAGCAACAAUUAAUUCAACACGUAAAUAAUAAGGCAACUCUAAAGGGUAGUAGAAAUAGCUAGUUACAAGUCUAGUCUGUUUCAAAAGGGUACCAAAUUAAAAUUAUAAUCUUAAAUUAAAUCAAAAAGUAUCGAAUAAUUAAUGGAAUUUCAGCUAAAACAUAUAAUUAAAAUUGUCAAAAUUUAUUAUUAUUAUUUUUUAACUGACCUUAAUUUUAAUGCGGAUAGGUAUAAGUCUGAAACAUAUAAUAUAUACUCUGUUUCUCUGUAAUCAAACCUAGAACUCAUGUACUCUGUUUCUUUCCUAUUCAAUAAUAUCAACUAUGGCUGAGCAACAAUUAAUUCUAACACAUAAAUAAUAAGGUAAAUUUAAAGGCUAGUUACAAGUCUUGUGUGAUUCAAUAAUUUUUCACUAUUCUGUUUUCGAAAGAUAGCAAAUUAAAAUUCAAAUCUUAAAUUAAUUUAAUGGAAAAUUUAAUUCUUUUCUCAUCAUCAAAUAAUUUUACUUAAAGAAAAUACAAGUUAAUAGAGGUUAACUUUGUUGACUACAUGUGGAUUGCAACAUUAAUAAUUAAUAAUUUUUAAAAAAAAUUAAAAUUCAAAAAAAAAUUACUAAAUAUUUUAAAUUAAAAAAAAAUUAAGUAAUCAUUAAUGUGGCAUACACGUGAACUGCCACAUGGAUGUCAUGUCAUAAAGUUAAUAGAUGUUAACUUUUCUAUUCAUUUUGAAAUAAUUUGACAAAAAACAAAAACAAAAAUUAAAUAGAUGAUUAAAAUAACUUUUUUAUAAACUUAAAGGACCAAAUAAGUCAAUAGGUCAAAAUUUUUAUAAACCAAGCCAUUACUAUAUGGAUACAUGGAAAAAAAAAAAACAAACAUUUUUGCACAUACAGACAUAUUUUUGAAAAAUUAACUCGGAAACCACGCCACAUGACAUUCAACAAAUCAUUAAAUCUUUUGAUCAACCAAUGAAUUUUUUUUCCUAAUUUAGGAGACUCAAGUAUAGAACCAAGGAAGUUGUUGAUUACGGUAUAAGAAACGGAAACUAUCAAUGGUGUUAUUGGUGAGGAGAAAAUGAAUGUAAAUCCAAGAGAAGUGUUGAAUUAUCCCACGUUUUUUUAAAGCCAAAAGUAAGAUAUUUAGGAACUAAAAGUUUAUAAAACUAAUUAAUAUUAUAUAUAAAAUCUAACCAUAAGGUUAGGUGAGAUGGCAAGGGUCUCUUCUACCUUAAUAAGUGGUUGAGGGUUAAUGACCUACAAAAAAAAAGCAGCGGACUUAUGGAGAAAGUUAGAAACCCUAUACUUGACAAAGUCUCUUCCUAAUCAUUUGGUGCUAAAGUAGCGGCUAUACACAUUCUGUAUGGUAGAAGAUGAGUCCAUCAGGGAUAACAUCAGUGAGUUUUUUUUCUCUCUUGAAUGAUUUGAAGAACAUCGAGGUUCAUAUUGAUGAUGAAGAUCAGACUAUGCUACUACUGUACUUUUUGCCCCUUCAAAUAAGUCUUUUAGGAAGACCCUGAUUUAUGGUAGAGAUAAACUCUCGCUCAAGGAUGUGAAGGGAAACUUGUUGAGCAAAAACAAACUCAACAAUGAGUUUGGUUCGAGUAGCAGGUCAGGUUGGCAACCCUCAGUGUUUGUUGCGAGAAACAAGUUUGGAUCAAAGUCAAGGAAUCAAGACAAGGUAUGUGAUUACUGCAAGAAGUUGGGUCACAUUAAGGCAAAUUAUUAUAAACUGUAAAAUAAAAAUAGGAGGGUUGCUGAGAGCAAGGAGAAAGAAGUAGUUGAUGCUAAUAUGGCCGAAGUCAAGGGUAAUGAUUGGUUGUUGGUGUCUACAAUCGAAAGGUCUAAGUUUACGUCCGAGUGGAUCCUAGAUUCAAUGUGUUCUUUCCAUAUGAGUCCUAACAAGGACUGGUUUUCCACAUACAAUUAAGUUGAUGGUGGAGUUGUGCUUAUGGAAAAUAAUUCAUCCUGUAAGAUAACUAGUGUUGGUACCAUUUAGAUCAGGAUACACGAUGGGACAGCCAGGGCACUAUCAAAUGUCAAACAUGUGCUUGAUUUAAGGAAGAAUCUCAUCUCUUUGAGUAUGUUAGACUCAAACUGUUGUAGAAUCAUCAUUUAGUCAAGCGACAUUAAGGAAUUUCAUGAAGCUCUCAUUUUGAUGAGAGGUCAAAAGACCAACAGUCUAUAUAUUCUUCAUGGUUCAAUUGUGACUAGUGUAGCAGUAAUUUCCUCGACAAUUAUGGAGUCAAAGUCGACUCAACAUUGGUAUAAGAAAUUUGACUCUUUCAGGUUAAGCAUUGGUUUUGCAAUUAAGAGUCUUUUACUUUUCAAGUUCAGACACUAGUUUGGACUUGGUUAGUAUCCUGCAAAGGUCCAGAUAAGUCGUGACGGACUCAAAAAAUGAGGUAUGAGAAAAUACAAGUCAAGGUGGAGAUUUGUGGAGUGUGCCUCGUACUUAUGAUACGACAUUGUGGCAAGGAAGAGACAACGCUCCAACGACGCAACACUCGAUGUCUCAACGAGAAGAAAACGAUGUGACGACUUGUUUCCCAAUUCAAUCGAAUUUUUUCUCCUAGUUAAACGCUGCUAUUUUUCCUAAUCAAACUCUGAUUAGUCUAGGUUAUUUUAGUCAUAUUUAAUUUACAAAUUUAUCUUACAAAAGGAGCCAUUGUAACCUAGAAUAAUCACUUCAGAUUAAUCUUCCUCAUCUUUAAGAUUGAGAGAGUUUUGUGAGCUUUUAAGUGAAUUUGGGUUUUAGCUAGAGUGAUUUAUUUUUUUAGGUUUAGGGUUUCUGUUAAGAAUAUCUCCAUCUUGUACUUUUUUAGUUUUUGCUCAUUAAGUAAAGUCUGUUUUGUUUAUCAUUUUUUGUCCUCUUCAUUGGAGGAAUUUUUCCGUGUAGAUAUUUGUAUGUUUGAUCUUCUUUACUUUUAUUUUCUCGCUGUUUAUACAGGUCGAUCUCCCCCCCCAAAAUACUACUAUGUUAAGAAACUAAAAGAUUGAAAAGUUAAAAUAAACUAAAGCAAUAUAUUUAAAAAAGAAAACGGAAAAAAAUUUAUAUCGUAAUUAGAUCUUUGUGCAAGUUACAAUGAAUGAAAACAAUUUUAGAUUGUUUUCUCACAAACACUGACUUCUAUUCUUAUCUUUAGAUUGUGUUUACCUUUAUCGCCUACUUCACUAUUACUCAUCUUUCUUGUUAAGUCAAUCUCUAGGUUUUGAAAUAUAUGAAACAAACAAUAUAUAUAGAUAUAUCUUUCUGAAAAUUUUACCAUAUAUGGUCACCAUCAAACAUAAGAACCAAAGAAAAUUAUUACUUUGAUUAAUUCAAGACAAGUACAAACAAUAAUUGUGGAUGAACAAAUACAAGAAUCAAAGAAAAAUGAUGGAUCAGAAGCCAAGAUGAAGCCAAUUUCUACCAUAAUAUUAAGGUUUGAUGUGGGUAUAAGGCAAAUCAUAAAGAGUGGAAUAACUAAAUUUAAUAAUUUUUAAUCAUUCUUCAAAAUCUUUAAAAUUUUGAUUCCAAUGAUUUAGGUACAACAUCCCUUGACUUACAAUUUAAGUAAAAAAUACAUAUAACAUUGUGCUUAAAAGUGUUCAUAAAUAAAGUGGCUUGACUUUCUAUGAAUCAAACUCAAAUUUAAUUUUUUCAACUUUAAAAUGGCCCAACCCAACUUAAUUUAAUUGUUAAAAAUAAAAUAUGAUAAAUGUAAGCCCAUGAACACCUCCAAUUGCACUCUAACCACAAUAUUACCCAACACAAAAUGAAAGCGUAAAAUGCAAGAGUUAGGCAAUAGUGGCACUAUAAUUAAGGCCCCAACUAGAUAAAAACAGAUUCAAGAUAGCAAUGUAAAUAAAACAGAUUCAAGAUAAGAAUAAGAAUAAGAGUUCUUCGGGUGUGUAACGGAUGGGGGUAGGAUUUGUUCUGAUGUGAUAUUUGUUUAUGAAUAAAUGGAGUUUUGUGUUGAUAUUUGCAUAUGUGCAUAUUAUAAAUAAAUUUUGUAAGUGGGCCAAGUCACACACUAGACUUCUAGCUCACUCAUUUGUUUUAUACGUUUCAAGUGACCCUCAAACUUAAGACUUGGCGGCGACCCCGGAGCUUAGUUUAGACAUUUUAAACUUUAAGAAUUUUUUUACUUAUUAUGAACUUUUCGGACUUUCGGACUUUUUAAUUUGUUUUUGGGACAUUAAUUUUGGUAUUUUUUUAUUUUGCAAACAUAAUAUUUUAAUUGGUAUUUCUAACAAAGUCGGUAUAACUGAUGAACCACUAUGAUUUUCAAAAUUAAAAACUCUAAAGAAAUUUUUUCAUUGCAUAUGUUUUGAAAUCAAUAAAGUGAGUAUGAGAUAUACCGGAAAAGCUGGCCUUGAGCCGGUGGUUAUUAACAGGCCUUAAGCAUGUGUUUAUUUAGCAGGCCUUGAGCCCGUGGUUAUUUAGCAGGCCUCGAGCCGGUGUUUAUUUAGUAGCCCUUGAGCUAGUGGUUAUUUAGCAAGCUUUGAGCCAGUGUAUAUUUAACAGGUACUAUGUACCAGUGAAGGAUACUGUACUGGUGGCUUGAGAUCCUACAUGUGUUGCGGAUUCUCUGAAGCUUGUGUGAGUAGCAUCAUGCAUCAGCUAAAGUCCUUAUCUUAGCUUGUAUGAGCAUUAUCCUUCUGUGUAUCCGAAUUGAAUUUACUAUUAAUAUUUGGGCAAAAUAAUUAACUAUUAAAAGAAAAAUGUUAUGAGAUGAUAUGUUAAUUUGUAUUUCAGUAGAUAUUUAUUUGACACAUUAUAUUUUGAUGAAUCUUCUAGGUUUAAGUGUUUUGGAAAGUUGAAACAAUGAUUUAUGGUAAGGGUUGUUGGUUUCAUGUUUUGUAUGUUUUAUAAUUGGAUUAAUAGGUAUGUCUUGUUUUGAUUUAUGAACUUACUAAGCUUAAUGAAAGCUUACUUUAUGUGAUUGUAUGUCUUUGUAGAUUGUCAAGUUUUUGUUGUCGAUUGGAAAGUCAUUGGAGAUCACACUAUCUGGCAACUCAUUCGGUAGUUAUUCGUUAAUUUUGGCCCGAUUAUAAGCGGUAUGUAAAUAGGGUUUUGGAUAUGUAAAUUAAUUAGUAUUUUGGUCCUAUCAUGGACACUUGAAAUUAUGGUUGUGUAUUGAUGUAAAUCAUAUUUGGUAACUUGGUUAGUUGUGGUUUGUGAUAGUGGUUGCAUAAGUUGAUAUCUAGAUGCAUUUAAAUGGUUGUAUUGGUAGUUUAGGUUAAUAGGCAACCUUGAAAUGCUUUGUGUUUGAAGAAUGAUUAAUUUAGUCAUGGUAAGAUAUGAUAUUAUGAUAAGUUGAAUGAACAUUUGAUGAUUUGAAUAUGAUUGAAUAUUGAUGUGUUAUUUUGCAUUUAAAGGAUGAAAGAAUUUACUUGUAGUACAUGUUAGAUUGGAUGAUGGGUGUUUAUGAUUCAAAUUGAGGUUCCAUUGAAGGCAUAUUGGUUAGACAUUUAGGUUGGAUGAUUUUAUUAUGUUUUGGCAUGUUUUAAUGUGUUUUGAAUAGGUAAAAAUGCUUGAAAAUGGUUUGGCUUCAAACUAUAAAAAUGGUAGAUGAAAAAUCUUGGUUUUGAAGUUAUUUUUGGUGCACACGGCCUAGGACACUAGCUGUCACAUGACUGUGUGCCACACAUGGUCGUCCACACGGCCGUAUGGUUGUUUGAUUUUAGGUGAAAGUUUUUUCACAUGAUCACAGUUAGUUACAUGGCCUGAGAACACUGGCAUGUGGGGUAGCCACACGGGCGUGUUUGGGGACACACGGACUAGCCUCUGUCGUGUGACCCCUUUUUACAGUUUGUUCAAAUUUUCAUAGAAAUUUCAAUUUAACCUAGAAUUGAUCCCGGUUUGUUUUAAAUGUUUCGUAAGCUUGAAUUAGGUCCAAAAUUGAUUGAAAAGCAUGGAAAUGGUUGAUGAUGAAUUAUUUUGAUUAUCUUUAAAUAAAUUAUGAAAAAUGUUAAAAUUUCAUAGCUGUAAGACCUUAUAGUCUGGGUUGGUAACCUGAUCGAGUAUAAGGUGUUACAAAGGUUCAAUUGUGACUGGUGUAGCAGUAAUUUCCUUGAAAAAUUAUGGAUUCAGAGUCAACUCACAUUGGUAUAAGAAAAUUGACUCUUUUAGGUUAAACAUUGGUUUUGCUAUUAAGAGUCUUUCAGUUUUCAAAGUUCAAAUACAAAUUUUGACUUGGUUAGUUUCUUGCAAAGGUUCAGGUAGGCUGUGACGGGUACAAAAAAUGAGGUAUGUGAAAAUACGAAUCAAGGUGGAGAUUUGUGGAGUGUGCCUCGUAUUUAUGAUACAACGUCACGACAAGAAAGAGACGACGACAUAGCACUCGAUGUCCCGAUGAGAAGAAAACGACGUGGUGAUGUGUUUCCCAAUUUAAUCGAAUUUUCUUCUCUUAGUUAAACUCUGUUAUUUUUUCGUAAUCAAACUUUGACUAGUCUAGGCUAUUUUAGUCAUAUUUAAUAUACAAAUUUAGCCAAUAGAAGGGGCCUUUGUAACCUAGAAUAAUCACUUAAGAUUAAUCUUCCUCAUCUUUAAGAUUGAAAGAGUUUCGUGAGCUUUUAGGGGAAUUUUGAGUUUUAGCUAGAGUGUUUUAUUUUUUGAGGUUUAGGGGUUUAGGUUUUUUAUUAAGAUUAUCUCCAUCUUGUGCACUUUUAGUUUUUGCUCAUUAAGUAAAUUCUCCUUUGUCCAUGAUUUUUUGUCCUCUUUAUUGAAGAAAUUUUUUCACGUAAAUAUUUGUGUGUUUUAUCUUCUCUACUCUUAUUUUCUCGUUGUUUAUACGGAUCGAUCCAAAAAAAAUACUACUAUAUUAAGAAACUAAAAGAUUGAAAAGCUAAAAUAAAGUAAAAUAUAUAUAUUUAAAAAAAUAUUUUUUUUACCGUAAUUAGCUCUUUGUGCAAGUUACAAGGAAUGGAAAUAGUUUUAGAUUGUUUUCUCACAAACACUAAAUUAUAUUCUUUAUUUUUAGAUUGUGUUUAUUGUUAUCUCCUUCUUCACUAAUUCUUAUCUCAAUCUCUAAGUUUUGAAAUAUAUGAAACAAACAAGAUAUAUAGACACAUCUUUUUGAAAAUUUUACCACAUAAUGGUCACCAUCAAAUAUAAGAACCAAAGAAAAUCAUUACUUUGAUUAAUUCAAGACAAAUACCAAACAAUAGUUGUGGAUGAACAAAUAUAAGAACCAAAGAAACAUGAUGGAUAAAAAGCCAAGAUAUGAAGCCAAUUUCUACCAUAAGGUUAAGGUUUGGUGUGGGUAUAAGGCAAAUCAUAAAGAGAGGAAUAACUGAAUUUAAUAAAUUUUCAAUAUCUUUAAAAUUUUGAUUCAAAGGAUUUAGACACAACAUCCAUUGACUCACAAUUUAAGUAAAAAAUGCAUAUAAUAUUAUGCUUAAAAGUGUUCAUGAACAAAGUGGCUCGGAUUUCUAUGAGUCAAACUCGAGUUUAACUUUCUCAACUUUAGGAUAGCCCGACCCAACCUAAUUUUAUUGUUAAAAAUCAAAUAUGAUAGAUGCAAUCCCAUGAACACCUCCAAUUACACUGCAACCACAAUAUUACACAACACAAAAUGAAAGUUUAAAAUGCAAGACUUAGUCAAUAGUAACACUUAUAAUUAAAGCUCCGACUAGAUAAAAACAGAUUCAAGAUAGCAAUGUAAAUAAAUUAUAGAGUAAGUAUGGCAUGAAACAAUUACGUCACAUUAGCAUAAGCCUUUUUCAAUCAAAUCAUGUCACGUAAUCGCAUUUCUAAAAACAAUCAACUAUUUAUUAAUUGAAUCUUUAAUGAAUUGCUAAAUUAAUUUGUUAUCAUUUAAUUAUCACAUGAAAUGUAUAAUUUAUUUUUUUAAUUUUUCAAAGUAUUCACGAGAGCAAACCAAUAAAAUGAUUGGUUAAUUUACUUCACAACAUUUUGCAUUUUCUAGAAGUUUAAGAAAGACUUUUAAGAUUUAAAAUAUAUUAAAAGGAAAUUACUACAAUUACCUUUCAACCUAAACUUUAGGUAAUUUUUAUUUUGAUUAUGGAUUGUAUAAAUUUAAUAAAGAAAAUGGGAAAAAAAAAGAAAUUAUACCUGUUAAAUUUGUAAUAGCCCAAUUUGCCCGGCCCAUAAUAAAAAACCAAAUAAUUUUUUUUUAAAACCAAAUAGUUCACAGCCCAUUUACAAUGUAAAAGUCCAGUUACGAAAAAUAAGCCCAAAUAUUACAGAGCCCAAUAAACCAAACCCAAGUGGCCCAAAUACCCUAGCAACAGUCGGCUCCCAGCACCACAGCAGCCAAACCCUCCUCUGCGCAUGCCAAUCCUCUGCCCUCACGUGCACCUUCGUACUCUCUACGUCCACCGCCUCCGUACACAGUACCUGCAAAUAGAACAAAAAUAACGCAACAGAAAAGAAAAAAUUGUAUUUUUUCUCUGUUUUUAUUUCAUUUUGAAUACGGGGUUAUAAAAGGGGGAGAAAAUAUUUGUAAGUUUUUCACAGAGACAAAAUCAUUAGAAAAAGAAAUCAAAAUUUGAGAUAAGGUGAUUUUUUCUUUUCUUUUUGCGUUUUUUUAUUUUUAUUAAUCGUAUGUAAAAAUAAAAAAUAAAAAAGGAGAAGAGGGAGGCUUACCUAGCCUUCAGAUCUGCUCAAAGGGGGUUAAAAAACCAACUCGGCGUGCCUCCGACCACCGAUCACGGCGAAACUGUGGUGGAAGUGUGGUGAAAAAGCGGCGGCUGAAGCUGGGGUAAAACCCGAGUAGAGAAAAAGCAACAACCCUUUUUUUAAAAAAAUAAAAAGCCUAGGCUGUAUUGGUUUUCUUUUUUUAGAAAAUUUUAGUUUAAAUACACAUAAUAUGACGCCGUUUCGAGUCAGGGUUCAUAGGCGUCAAAACGACGCCGUUUAAGGCCAUAACUCGCGCGACCCGACCCGCUCCUGAGGGAUCUGUUUUUGAGCUUUGUGAUAUUUAUCCCCUGGUACAUCCGCAUUUGCAGGGUGUUCCAAUUACAUCCUAUUUUUUUUUUAAUUUUCACCUCGCAUUUCAUUUUAUUUUAUUUUAUUUUGGCCCAUGUUGCAGUGCUGCGUUUUGGGACUGGGGAUAUUUCCAUUUUGCCCCCCGUAUUAUUCGCACAUUAUACUUUGGCCCUUCAUUUUGUUUUAUUUUCGUUUUUUUCUUGUAACUCUGUUUUGAUUUCAAUAUAGUCCUCUGAUUAGUUUAUACUUAUUCUGAUUUAAUUAGUUUUAUGAAUUAUUUUCCUCAAUCAGGCCCUUUUUUUUUUGCUUAUUUUACACUUUUUAUUUUCAUCAUGAUUGCAAUAUAGUCCUUUAAUGGAUUCAUUUUUAUUGUUUGUUUAUCAACCUGUCUAAUAUUAUUUAUGCUAACAUUAUUUUUAUUUUUAUAUUAUAUUCAUUGUUAUUUUUUAUUUAAACUUUAUUUAUUAAUUCUUUUGAUUAUUUAUUAUCCUAUAAUUUUUUUAAUGAAUUCAAACUAAGUAUUAAAUACUGUUUUUCAUAAUUUUUAUUUUUACGUAUUAUUUAGUUUAAAUAAUUUUUUAUGUUAUUUUAAAAUUUGUUUACUUUUACUUGGUUCUAUUUUAAAAUUUUUCUUACAUAUUUUACAUUAAACUUUUAUAUGAUUAUUUUAACUUGCUUUGUAAAUUAUCCAUGUAAAGUCGCUUUGCCACAUUAUUUUAUUUUAAGGUAUUUUAUAUAUUAAUUAUUUUAAAAUUAUCUUAUACUAUUUUCUUUAAAUCAAUUUAUAUUAGCUAUUUAAAACUCAUUUUCAAGUACUAUUUACUUUUUUCACUUAUUUAAAUUGUUUUAUGUAUAUAUUUUUAAACCCUAUUUCAUUAUGUGCUUUGUUUAUUUCAACUUUUUGUAUAUAUUAUUAUUUAUACCAAAAUUAUCAUGUAUUAUUUAUUUAGACUAAUAUAUAUAUAUAUAUAUGUAUGUAUACAUAUUAGUUUGCAUAUUACUUAUUUUAGUUUUCUUCAUAUGCAAUAUCCACUUUAAAUUCAUUUAUGUAUUAAUAUUUCACCUAGUACUUAUUUCCUAUUCUUUUUACCAAACUUCAAUAUUCAUUUUUAUUUUAUUUUAAAAACUUGUUAUAUUUUAUUUGUGUUAAUUUGUUUGGUAUUUCUUUCAAAAUUGGCUUUAAAUUCAUUAGCUUUUGAAUGUUAGCAUAAUAUAUGAUGUGAGACUAUUGCUAUAUAUAUGUAUACCUUAAUUUGCACUUUUGUAUUUACAUUGUUAUUUAUAUUCUUGCUAUGUAUUAUUAUGCCAUGCAUACAAUUACGCUCUUAUUUCUCGUUAUCGUAUCAUGAGCCAAAUUUCAAUGUAUGUGAUCAUUAUUAAAUUUUUUUUGUCAAGCCAAUCGACUAAAUACUUUUUGAGUCGUUUUGUUUUUAAAAUACGUUUCGAAGUGUGGAGAAUCGUACCCUAACUUACGGGGUCUCAAUUUUCUUGUUAAUUCGAAAUGUCCUUUUAUUUUCUAAGAGCAUAUGUUACUUUAAAAUUUUAAAAGCAAGUCACAAGCCGUCUUUGGAACUUCGAGGGAUCGUACUCUAACUUACGGGGUUUCGAUUUUCUAAUCGAUCUAAAAUGGCUAAACAUUUCUCAUUUUGCAAAAUCGCUAAAUUUCAAUAAAGUUUUGGAAGGUUAGCUUAUUCUCGAGAAUUCAAAUGUCGCAUUCUAACUUACGGGAUAUGACAUUCUAUUGUCUCGAGACGAGAAAGCCUUUUACACCAGUUCAGAUUUAUCCAAGUUUUAUUUUGAAAUACAGUAUUAAUAAAAAGGAAAUUGCUUUUAAUCUUUUUGCAUUUUCGGUAUUCGACUCUAAGACAUUAAUUAAUCAAUUCGGUACCAAUUUUGGGCGUUACGAGGGUGCUAAUCCUUCCUCGUAUGUAACUGACUCCCGAACCCAUUUUUCUCACUAAAAUUCGUAGACCAAAAUUGUUUUCAAGGUGAUCCAUCAAACCUCAACGAAGGAUCAGUGGCGACUCCAACUUGGAGUUAAUUAAUAAUAACACAAGUAAUAUGCACGAUGUUAAAAUGAAAAAAAAAAGAUUUAAAUUGUUUAUUAAGGUGUUGUCAUCAAUCUUGAGUUAGUGUUGAGUUAACUUGUGACACUAACACAGUAAAACACUAAAUAAAUAGUAUAGAUAUACAAUUGAUGAAAGUAUUAAAGUGUGCAUAAUAAAAUUUGAAAUGCCUAAAAAUAUUAAAAUGAAGUUUUAGCUAAGUGGUAAAUUAAAAGUUUUACUAAUACAAUUGGUACGAGUUCAAAUCCCACCAUAUGUAUAUUUUUAUUAAUUUUUAAAACUUAAAAGGCUAAAAUAUAACUUAUUUUAAUAACGAAAGGGUGUUUCAAUGAUUUUUCUAACUGAGGUGGUGACACCAAUUCAGUAAAACACCUAAUAAAUAAUACAAAUAACAACAACAAAAAAGGAUUAAAUAAAUAUUAAAAAAAAGAGAGAGAGAAGAAAAAUGAUAUUAUACCUAUUAAAUUAUUAUUAAAAACAUCAAUGUUCUCAAUUCAGAAAUUUAUCUCAUCUAUAUUAACCGAGAUUGGAAACAAAUAAGGUAAGGGUAAAAAAAGCUUGGUACAAGUUAAAUGUUAUUUCACAAGACCCUAACUUUGCUAAUUUGUGAUAAGAAGUAAAGAAUAAUUAACUAAUUUGUGAUCUAAGGCAAAUCUUAACAUCUUCAAAGGUUUAAUGUAGAGGGUGGAUGUGAAAUGCCCCAACACAGUUCAACUUUUGCAAUUCAAAUAGUUUUGGAUGUUUUCAGAAAAAAAUUGUAAAUUCAAGGUGAAAUUUUAUGAUUUUUUUAGUUGUGUUGUGACUUGUGAUUAUCUCUUUUAGUUAACCACAUUAUUAAAGUAUAAACUUACCAUAAAGUUGACAUCCACUCAAAUGAAGAUAUAUAAUAUAAUUGAGGAAGGCGAUGAAACAUUUUUGACAAGAAAUGACCCAAGAGAUUGUUGUCUCCCAAUGCAAUUAGUUGCAAUGAAGAAAUGUUGAAGAUUGACCUGCAAGGAAUUAGAUAAACCAUUUCUUGGCAUAAAGAAGGUAUUAAACUAUGUAAAAUUUACAUGUGGAAGAUUUAUUAUUUGAUGUCAUUGUUAAAAAUUGUAAAUUUAAGGUGAAAUUUUAUGAUUUUUCUUCACGCACCCAAGUCCUAAUAGCUAAAAAGUAUCAAAUGUGAAAUCAACUUGCUUUUCUGAAGCCAAAAGUAUUACUAUAUUAAGAAACUAAAACCUAACAAUAUCAAAUUGCUUAUCAUAAAAGUCAAGUGAUUAUUACCCAAAUAUAAAUAUUCUAACUUUGCUAUGUUUGAAAUUCUUCCAAAAACUUGACAUCCAAACAAGUCAAGGAUAAAGUAAUCAAACAUAUUCCAGCAAAGAUGAGUAAAGGUUAUCAAUUUAGUGUGACUUAAGAAGUAAGCUUUUCAACGUAUGCAAAGGCGGCUGCUUUGUAUGUUUUGGGAAGGUUGCACAGUCGGUUCGUUAGCUUACUGCGUCAGAGGUUGGCGAGCCCAAGAGACAAAAUGGCGUGGGAUUCGCCAUUGAGAAGCGUUGAUCUAGCAUAAGACGAUCCCACAAAAGCGAUUGUUAGCUAGAGUCAGGUUUCACCAAAUCGUAAGUCUAAAUCAUUGGAGCUGGUGGUCGUAGGCAUCCACUUCCACUAUAACUGGCUUAUUCGGUUUGGGAAUGAUCAUCUAAAAGCCGAGGAUUGAACCCAAGGCAGAACGAGACAACUGGAGGCUGGAAUCUCCCAUAAGAAUUUUCUUUCUCUCAACUCUAUUUUUAAUUUUUCUAAUUUUCGAUUCAAUAUUCUUAAUUCUGUUUUUAUUUUAUUUUUCGUUUCCAGAUCCAACACUUUAAUUCUGUUAUUGUUUUUAUUUUUUUCCAGGAACGCAGGUUGUCUUGGGCAAGACUCUGCCUGGGAUUUCACGGAAUAUGAUAUUUUGCAAGUCCAGUCCUAAGGAUUUGACCCUACUUCCAUUUUACUAUUCUUUUUCAUUAUUUAUUAGGGAUAGGAUAUUUUUGGUGCUUUCAACGACCGCAUCAAAUAUUGGCGCCGUUGCCGGGGACUGGCAACGUACUAAUCUUGUUUUUUGUUUCUUAUGACCAGAUCUGCUCAAGGUACUCUUGCGUUCGAUUCAGAAACUGAAAAGACUGCUAGAGCCAAUUGCAAGGAGACAAAGUUACGAAAAAAGCAGUCACUGGCGGUUGAAACUCAAAGUAACCUACUGCCAUAAAUAGAAGUCGACGACGAAGUUGAGUCUAGGGUUAACGAAAACCCUUCUCGAACACUUGAAAGCGAAAAAGUAGAAGUCGACUCACCAAAAGAAGUGCUUAACGCUAGGGUGAACGAAAACCCGAAUCUAGCACACCAAUCAAUGGCUCAAACGAUUCGGUAACUGGCCGAAGCUCCAACAGAACAACCGCCAUUGUGCAUCGCGUUUCCUACUAUGGAUACUGAUUUUGAGUUGAAGUCAGGUUUAAUCCAAUUACUGCCAACUUAUCGUGGGUUGCAAAAUGAAAAUCCCCACAAGCAUCUGAAAAAAUUUCAUAUGGUUUGUCUUAGCAUGAAACCUCAGGGGGUAACUGAGGAUCAGAUUAAAUUGCGUGCUUUCCCUUUCUCCCUAGCAGAUUCCGUUAAGGAAUGGUUAUUUUAUUUACCCUCUGGAUCUAUUACAACUUGGGCUGAUCUAUCUCGUUUGUUUCUGAACAGGUUUUUUCCAGCAUCUCGAGCAGCUGAGCUAAGAAGAGAGACCGUUGGAAUAAGGCAAAAAGAAGUUGAGUCCCUUUAUGAUUAUUGGGAGCGGUUUAAGAAGUUGUGUGCAAGCUGCCCACAACAUGGUAUAACGGAGCAAUCUCUCCUCCAAUAUUUUUACGAAGGUUUGAAGCCCAUGGUGAUGAAUAUGGUAGACGCUGCUAGUAGAGGAGCAUUGGUCAACAUCACUCCCCAACAAGCGAGAGAUUUGAUCUCCAUAAUGGCUGCAAAUUCUCAGCAUUAGUGGAGUAGGAUAAAACUAUAGAUCCUAUCUCCCUAAAGUUGCAGUGGAGUGAAUUAAAACCAUAUAUUUCAUCUCUAUGAAUUGCAGUAGAUCAAAUUGCAUCAGACUUAUCUUUAAAGUUGCAGUAGAACAAGUUGAAUCUACAGGUCUUAUCUCCCUGAAGUUGCGGUGGAGCAGUCUAAAGAUAGCAAAUUUUGUUCUCUUGAGAAACUAUAAGGUAAAAAUCCUAUCUCCCUAAUGUUGCAGUGGAGUGGGUCGAAGCAUCAAUUCCUAUAUCUCUGAAGAUGCAGUAGGAUGGAAUGAGGAUACUUGAAGAAAAAAGAGCACCAAGGUCCAGCACGACCAGGCAAAAUUAGCCAUUUUAAAGUCUUUGCUCUGUUCCUGUUACACUAAACGAGCAAAGAGGGGCAGCUGUAAUGGCCUAAUUAUUGCCCGGCCCGUAAAUAAAACCAAUAAAAAAAUUAAUAUUAAUGUCCAUAGUUACAAGCCCAAAAAUAAUACAGACCAAAUCAAAUCGGCCCAGUAAACUAAACCCAAGCCUAAAAACCUUUAGCCCAAUGCGCCCAAAACAAAGAAGGAAUCAGAAAACCCUAGUGAUUUCUGAUACAGCUUCAGCUGCCACAGCCGAGCCACACCUCACACGCGUCUCCGUCCACGCCACGUACGCCCAGCUGGCCUCCGUACACCAGUACCUGUAACAAACACAAGCAAACAACAUAGCAAAGAGAAAAUUUUUGUAUUUUGUAUUUUUAUUUUUAUUUCCAUAUUCGGCUAUAAAAUUAGAGAGAAAGACUUUGUAUUUUUUGUCUACGGAUACUGAAUAGAAAAAAUAAAAAAGAAAUCAAAUACCAGUUUUUGCUUGAAGGUGAAUCUAAAAUUUUUUAUUUUCUCAAUCUAUUUUAUUUUUAGUUUUAUAGAUAUAAGCGAUAAAAUAAAAGAGAAAGGAGAGGGUUUACUUGGUAACGCCUUUGGAUCAGCACGAGAAGGAGCUAAAAAGCCCCUAGGGGUGCAGCUCCAACCACCAUUGACGGUGUAAUCGCGGUGGAGAUUUGGCAGAGCCCCCGAGCGACGCGAAAGGUAGGGUUAAAACCUUAGUAGAGAGCAUAGGUUUUUUUUUUUGAUGGAAAUGUUUUUUUAAAAAUAGAAAUUAGGUUUAAAUAGUGCAAUGAUACGACACCGUUUUAGCAAGGAUUCAUAGGCGUUGAAACGACGCAGUGUAAGGUGAAGACCCGCGCGGUGACCCGACCUGGGGAGGAUCCACAUGUUUUCACUUUGGUGGGAUAUUUGCGAGCUAGGUCCUCCAUCUUUGCACUUUGUUUUAAGUUGGUUUCUUUUGAUUCUUCGAAUUGGACUGCAUAAUUUCUUGCUGAUUUCAUUUUAGUCCAUUUGCAGCGUUGCGUUUUGAGGUGUUGGGAAUAUUCCCCUUUUGGUCCCUCAUGUUAUUCGCGCGCUGCGCUUUAGUCCUUUUUGUUUUAAUUCUAUUUUUUGCUAUUUAAUUUUAUUUUAAUCCAUUUUUGACCCAUUAUUUUGUUUUAUUUUUUAUUUUACCUUUUUACUUCUGUUUUAGUUCAAAUUUAGUCCUUAUUAGUGUUUUUUAAUUUAAUUGGUUCUUGUUUUUAAUGUAUUUGUUUUUAAAUCUAGCAUCAUUUAAUAUUUAAAUUUAACAUCAUUUUAAAAUUUAUCAUUAGAAUUAUUUUAAGAUAUAACAUGCUCUUAUUUUAAAUUAUUAUUAACAUUAUUUAAAUUAAACAUACGUUGAUAAUUUCAAAUUUCUUUUCUAUCAUUUUUUUAGUUACCUCAAAUUAGUUUCGUUGUGUUUGUGAUAAACUUUUAUAUCUUUAAUUUUCUAAGUGUUGGUGUUAAUAUUUACAUGUAAUAUGUGAUUAUGGAUACCGUGUACGUUAUAUCAUUUCGUUUGUGUUGAUAGAUUAUUCGAGUUCAUUUGCAUGUAUUUUAGAAUUAUGAGUUAUCCUUUUGCGCUAUACAUUGUCAUCCCAUGGUGUUUCAUUCAUCGAAAGGAUUAUGUUUUAUUUAAAUAUUAAAAUCGUUUUAUUCAAAGGUUUUCAAGAUAACGCGAUACUCGGGAUUUAGAAUCUUUGAGAUUGGGUCUCAAUUUUCUUCGUCGAAUCUAAAUAAUUGAGAAUAUUCGCUAAUCAAAAUGUAUAAAUAAAAAGCUCCCUCUCGGGAAUUUGAUACGUUGUGUCCUAAUGUAUUGGACAUGACAUGUUGAUUUCUCGAGACGAGAAUUUUUUGAAAAAUAAUAAGGGCAAUAUUCGAUGCUCGGAAUUUUGAGAAAUUGUGCCCUAACGUAUUGGGCUUCGAUUUUUCAUCUGACUUAAAGCAAUUGAAUAUCGUUUUUAAACUUCACCGCACGAGUUUUGAAAAUCAAAAGACAAGCUUAUUCUCGAGGACUAAAAAUGUCGUGUCCUAACCUAUUGGGUGUUACAUUUUAUUUCUCUGAGACAAGAAGGUCUUUAGCAUCCGCUUCGAUUUAUCCAAGCAUCUUUUAUAAAAUUAAGAUUAAUAAAAAAGGGAGGAUCGUAUUUUUAAAUUCUUCACUGAUUUUUUAUAUUUGGCAUUAAGACCUUAAUUAAUGAAUUCGGUACCAAUUUGGGGCGUUAUGAGGGUGCUAACCCUUCAUCGUGCGUAACCGACUCCUGAACCUGUUUUCUCAAAUUUCGCAGAUCAAAAUCAUUUUUAGGGUGAGCUGAUCACACUCCAAUAAAGGAUUCGUUUUUAAAGUCGACGACAAAUUUUUUUUUUCCAAAAAUGGUUUCAACAUGGAUUACAAGAAGCUUUUUUGUUUUCCUUUUUUUUUUAAAAUUAUUUGCUAGGUGAUGGGAAAAAUUAGGUUCCUUUGUUGAAAAUGCUAUAAAAACCACAAAUUUACUAAGUUAUGGGGGUUUUGAGUUUUUGGGUUUAUCAAAACCACACACACAUAAAUUUAUCAGCAUUUAGUUAUAUGUGUUUAAAUAUAAUCAUUUGUUAUAUUUAAUUAUAUGUGUUUGAAAAUAAAGUUGAUAGAAUUUGUAAAUAUGGAGGGUGAAAUUUAUUGAAUUAUUGAGAAUAAGAAUCAAAUUGAUAGAAUGUGUAAGUAUUAAGAAAUAAACGUGUUAUUAUGCCAGUUGGAAAAGGCAACAUCACCACUUCCGUUAACAAUUUAACGGAGAGUGAUCAAAAUAGAAACAAUCUAAAGUGUGAGUGACCAAAAUAGAAAUAAUAUAAAUGUAAGUGACUAGAUUAAAAAAAAUUCAUAUUUGGGUGACUAAUUCUAUAGUUUACCCUAGAUGAUAGAAGCAAUUAGGAUUAAUUCCACCAGACACCCCAAACUAUUACUCAUAUUUUAAAUUGAACCCUAAACUUGUACACAUUCUAAUUAAAUUACUCAAAUAGAAUGUAAUAACGUGUUACACUAUUAUUCAUCGAUAGUGCAUAAAUUCUAUGCACUAACAAUGCAUCAAAUAUUCUCAUUAAAAGAAAAUGUAUAAAAUAAAUUUUAUACCAUCUAUAAUUUGUAAAAAAAAAAUCCAAUAAAAAUAUAAAAAUACAUAUCUAUAAUUUCACAAAAAGAAUUACAUAUCUAUAAUAUCUUUUUAUAAAUUCAAUUCCAAAUCUCCUGUAAUAAAUCAACCAAACAAAUCUGAUUGAGGUUAAAAACAAAGAAUGCAUGUAUUGUGCAAUUAAAACCAUAAUCCAUAUUCAAUUCUAAAGUACUGAAUGUAUAAUUUUUUACUUCCCUUGAUUCUUCACAAACUCUUUGGAAAAAAUUAACCAUCUAUUCCUUAUUUCAAUUUUAUUAAAAAGAUAGGUUCCAUAAAGACAGUCUUUACAAAGCAGUGCACCUAUCAUAAACACAUCAGGGAACAUUGCCAUGAGAGUACCUAAGAAAACAUAAUACAAACUACAUAACAUACAAUCAAGCACCCACACAAAAUGUUUAUUAAACAGCUACAGAAAAAGGCCUGCAUACCACCAAGCAAUGAAGUUUUCUGUUCUGUUUGCAACUUGUUGAACUCGCCCAAGUGUUGCCUUCUCUACCUUUUUGCAAAUCUUUGUCAGACUCGCUCCACGAUCCUAAUCAACCACCAUGGUUUUCCAGUCGUGAAUACAAUGUAUGCCAUGCUCAUUCCCAAAAAGGAUUUUCUAUUGCUUCUAGGCUUAGAGCGAUAAGAGUGUUCUGAAUAUUACUCUAAAAUGGUCAUAAAAACUAUAAGAAUUCCUUCACAGUCCCAUUGUCCAGAACGCCUCUAGGGAUGUAAAAACAAAUUCCGGAUAGGUUUUUUUUAGUUCCUUCUUCAAAGGCACAAAUAUCUUUCCUUUCCAUACCAUUGAUAUCUUCAAAGAAUUCCAAUUCUUUAUCAUCUAUCUAGCUUUGUACUAGAGUUCUGAAUUCAAUGCACUUUUGGAUUUUAGGAAAUUUAUUGUAUGCAAUGAAAUGUAAUGUUAAUGAAUAAAAAGAUACAUGCAAUGAAAUGUAAUGCAAAUGCGUGAAUGCAAAAAGAGACGUUGAUUCUGAUUCAAUUCUAUUAAAACAACUUUCCUAGAAAAUAAAUCUCUUUACAUAAAAUGAAUAUUUACAUAUACGACCCUGCCCUAAUACUCAAAGCAAAGACAUCGAUCCUUUUCCUCAUAUCCAAAUGUUAGAAUCGAAUCACGCUAUCUCUUCAAAGGGGCGUCUCCUCUAUCUUUUUGAUUCGAGUCAUGACCCAUCGUUCACUCAUCCUUGUGGUGCUCGUUGGCUCCUUUAAAAGAGUUGGAACAUGAGCAGCUCUUGAAUAACCUUCGUCAGCUUGAAUCUUCAGGUAAUAAGGCAAAGUCAUGUACUCAUUCAUCAAACUAUCACCUUUACCUUGUUACGUUUUCUCGGACCAUAUUUGGACGACCGCAUUGUCUUUCAUUUUAUCAAGAAACUCAUUUUCUUAUGACAAGCUCUCUAUUUAGAUACUGAACGUUAAUCAACACCUCUUUUAUGAUAAAGAUGCCAUGCAAUCACAGUCAAAGCAAAAACAAAGCAAGUCAGUAUAACACCAAGCAAAAGAUUUUGAGCAUGUGAGAAACAAUAAGUAAAGCACGUAUUUGGUUAACCACUAGGAUUUGGUAUGGCUCUACCUAGGGUAAGUUCUUAGGGCUCACUAUAUGCGGCUCGGUUCUAAAGUAAAGGGUACCUGAACUUGUAGAUUCCUUGAUCCUCACUCAUUAUAGGCUUAUACGGACCGAGUUCAGUUCAGGGGGACACAUUUCCCUAUGGCUACAGGAAGAUAAAAAUCUCACGAAGACAUAGGUACGGAUGUAUCCCAAAAGCGAUCCACUAUCAUGCACGGAGGUGAAAACCUCACGAAGGACUAGUUUUUCACUCCCACUUAAAAGGGUAAGACCGAGCGAUCAUGUAAAUGCAAUAUGCAAAAACUAUAUCAAGACUUAAACAAAUAAAGCAUAUAUAACAAAACGUUGCAGACUAUGUGCAACAAAAGGAUCGUAAAUUUGAACCUAAUUUUCCAUUUUCAACACAAAGACAAAAAGUAAUCAACUUGUGGAUUGACUCUCGUGUUUGUCCCUAGUGGAGUCGCCAAGCUAUUGACACCAUUUUUUGAUAAAACGGGGUCGACUUGGAUUUUGAAAAUGAAAACGAAAAUGGGAGUCGCCACCAAUCCUUUUUAUCUAGGUGUAAUCAGAUCACCUCAUCAUUUUAAUAAAAGUUUAAAUUUACUAAAACGAUAAUUUUUGGUCUACAAAAUCCAAAAAAUAGGUUCGGGAAUCGGUUACGCACGAGGAAGGAUUAGCACCCUCGAUACACCCAAAAUUGGUACCUAGUUGAUUACUUAAUGUCUUGGUGUCAAAAAUUAAAAACUCGAAAAGAAUUUAAGAAUACGAUCCCUCUUUAUAUUGUGAUAUUUUAAAAUUACUCAAAUAAAUCGAAAUGGAAAAUGCCUUCUUAUCUCGAAGUAAUAAGAUAUCACAUCCAGUAAGUUAGGACACGACACCUCGUAUUUUUUAGAUUAAGCUAGCCUUUUAUUUUUUAUUUAAACCUUAUUUAUUUCAAUUUUAAAAGGAUAUUCGGUUAUUUAGGUUCAACGCAAGAAAAAUUGAAACCCAGUAAGUUAGGGCACGACUUCUCGAAUUUCCAAAUACGAAAUAUUGCCUUCAUUAUUUUUUGAAAAAUUCUCAUCUCGAGCAAACAACAUGUCACAUCCAAUGCGUUAGGACACAACGUAUUGAAUUCCCGAUAAUGAGCUUUUUAUUUAUGUUUUUUUUAUUAAAGAGCGUUUUCAAUUAUUUAGAUUCAACGAAGAAAAUAAGAACCCAAUAUAUUAGGGCUCAAUCCCCUCGAAUCUAAACAUGAAAUUUUGCUUAUUUGAAAGUCGAAACUUAUGCAUCGAGCUAAUUAAUCUAAUUCAAAAUAGUAGAAAUGAAACGCAAGGUUAAUAUGUGUACAAAGCAAUAUUGAAUGUGAUAGUAUAAAAAAAUAAUACGAACAAUGAUACUAAAAAUAAAUGAAAUAAAAAAUCAGAUUAAUGACAUGCAAAAUAACAAAUAUAUGAGCAAGUAAGGUUAAAACAUUCUUUUAAAACACUAAGUAAAACAUAAAUAAAUAAAUAAAGAGAAUGAAUAAAAUUAAAAAACAGAUGUAUAUAUAUGUAUAUAUAUGCAUUUACGAAAAUAAAAUAGGUAUAUAGAUAUAUGUAGACAUGUAUGUAAAUUAAAAACAUAUAUAUAAAAAUAUGAGUAUAUAUAUACAUACAAAUAAGUUAUAAAGUUAUAUAUGUAUAUGCGUGUAUAUAUAUAUUAUAAAAAUGUAUGUAUGAAUAUAUGUAUACAAAAAUUAUAAAGUAUAAAAAUACAUAAGUAGGUAUGUGUAAAAGAAAUAAUAAAAAGAUAAUAACUAACGAACCGAAUAAAACAAAACUAAAUAAGAAAUAAGAAAAUAAAAAAGGAUAAAAAUAAAAAAAGUUGAAUAAAUAAAUGAGCUAAACUGACACUACACCAAAACAGGCUUUUAGCGGUGCUUGGACAAAAAACGCCGGUAAAAAUCGAGCAUUAGCGGCGCUUUAUGGAAAUCACCACUAAAGAUCGAGCAUUAGUGGCAUUUUUUGAAAAACGCCGGUAAAAAAGGGCAUUAGCGGUGUUUUUCGAAAAAACGCCGCAAAAAACCAAAGCCCAACGGCGUCGUUUUCUUACCUUUCGGGGCUUUAGCGACGUUUCUGAGAAAGCGCCGCUAAUGUUGGGGGAUUUAGCGUCAUUUUUUAGAAAGCGCCGCUAAUGAUGGGGGCUUUAGCGGCGUUUUUGAAAAAGUUCCGCUAAUGUUGUGGGCUUUAGUAGCGUUUUUUGGAAAAGCGCCGCUAAUGCUGUGGGCUUUAGCAGCGUUUUUGGAAAGGCGCUGCUAAAAACAUUUUAUAUUAAUUGGUUUAUUUAUAAUAAAUAAAAUUCAAUUUAUUUCUAAUUGAAUAUUUAAAAUUUUCAAAAAAAAAUAAUGAUACGUAGAAAUAAUUUGAAAUAAAACACAUGGAAAAAUUAAAAUACUAUUAUUUAAAAUAAUUUUAAAGUUUUUUGGGUAUAUGAUUACUGAUUGUUUUUAAUUUAUAUAUUAAAAUUUUUUUUAUAUAAUUAAUUAUAUAAAAUAGUAUUAAUUUUAAAAUAUUAAAUUAAUUAUCACUAUAGUUUAGGGUUUUGGGUUUUGGUUUAGGGUAUAUGAUUAAUUUAAGAUUUAAAGCCGGUUUAGUAGUUACUAUUUUAAGGUUUAGGGAGUAUGAAUUUAAGGAUUAUGGAUUAGGGAUUAUGGUUUAAAGGUUGGAAUUUAAGGUUUAGGGGUUAGGGGUUAAGGGUUAGAGGUUAUGGGGUUAAGAGUUAGGGAUUCAGGGGUCGGUUAGGUUUUUGGGUGUAGAUUAAUUAGUUUUUUUAAUUUAUAUUUUAAAUAUGUUCUUAUAUAUGUAUAAUUGUAAAAGAAAUAAUAAUAAAUUUAUUUAAGGUUUUUAGUUUAGGGUAUAUGAUUAAUUUAAGAUUUAAGGCCGAUUUAGGAGUUACUAUUUUAAGGUUUAGGGAGUAUGGAUUUAGGGAUUAUGGAUUAGGGAACAUGGUUUAAGGGUUGGGAUUUAAGGUUUAGAGGUUUAGGGUUUAGAUAUUUUGGGGUUAAUAGUUAGGGAUUUAGGGUUUAGGCCUCAGGGAUCUGGUUGGGGUCUUGGGUUUAGAUUAAUUAGUUUUUUAAUUUAUAUUUUAAAUAUGUUCUUAUAUAAUUGUAAAAGAGAUAAUAAUAAAUUUAAUAUAUUGAAAUUAUGAGUAUAGUUUAAAUUAUUUAAGAGAUAUAUAAUAGAUAGACUUUAUGUGUAUUGAAUGGUUAAUUUAGGGUUUAAGGUUAAGGUUUACUUGAGAUUUGUUAAAUGAUAAAAUUUUAUACAAUUAAUUAAUGCUUUUAUAUUAGUUUAAAUAGAAUUAAUAAAUAAGUUAAAAAAAGUAAUAGAUUGAUAUGAAUAUUUAGGUAUAAUUAUUUAUUUUGGAGAGGACCAAAUUAUAAGGAAAAAAAAUACAAAAAUAAAAAUGAAAUAAAAUUGAUAUGGAUAUAUAGGUAAUUAUUUAAUUUGGAUAAUUCUAACUUAAUAAUUAAUUACAGCUAUUUUAUCAUUUGUUUUCUUAUUAAAAUAUACAAUAUUUAUUUUGAGAGUACUUGGUUUUUUUUAUUUUAUAAAAAAUCAAUUUAUAAAAACCAAAAUAAAAAAUUUUUAGCAUAGCAAAACGACAACAUUUUGUUCAAAAUGAAAUAAAAUUUUUAGCAAAAAUAAAUCAAUUUAUAAAAAAAAAAUUAGCAUUUCAAAACGGCGUCAUUUUGUUCAAAAUGAAAUAUUUUUUGCGGCGUUUCUAUGGAAAAUGCCGCAAAAGAUAAGCAAUAGAGGCCACACAAAAAUAAAUUAAUUUAUAAAAAACAAAAUAAAAAAUUUUUAGCAUAACAAAACGACGUCAUUUUGUUCAAAAUGAAAUAAUCUUUUGCGGCGUUUUUAUGAAAAACGCCAUAAAAACGCCGCAAAAGAUAAGCAAUAGCUGCGUUUUUUAUAAAUCGCCGCAAAAAAUAAAUAAAUUUAUAAAAACAAUAAAAAAAUUAGCAUAGCAAAACGACGUCAUUUUGUUCAAAAGAAAUAAUUGUUUGCGGCGUUUCUACGAAAAACGCCGCAAAAGAGCAAAAAAUAAAUAAAUUUAUAAAAAGAAUAACAAAAAUUUAGCAAUGCAAAACGGCGUCAUUUUGUUCAAAAGAAAUAAUUUUUUGCAGCAUUUUUGUGAAAAUCGCCGCAAAAGAUAAGCAAUAGCGGCGUUUUUAUGCAAAAAAUAAAAAAAUUUAUAAAAAGAAUAAAAAAAUUUAGCAUAACAAAACGGCAUCAUUUUGUUCAAAAGAAAUAAUUGUUUGCGGCGUUUUUGUGAAAAUCGCCGCAAAAGAUAAGUAAAAACGCCGCAAAAAGUAAAUAAAUUUAUAAAAAGAAUAAAAAAUUUUAGCAUAGCAAAAUGGCUUCAUUUUGUUCAAAAGAAAUAAUUUUUUGCCGUGUUUUUAUGAAAAAUGCCGCAAAAAAUAAGUAAUAACAGCGUUUGUAUAAAAAAACGCCACAAAAAUAAUUUUACUUAAAAAAAAUUAAAAAUGGCGCCAUUUAUAAAUUUUCCCCCUGCAAUCUUUCCCCCCUGAAAUCCUUAAUUUCCCCCCCUUGAAACCCUCAACUUUACAAACACACCUCUUUUAAAACUUUUAACUCCAUGCCUAUUGCUAUUUUUUCUUCUUCCCUAUAUAAUUUUUUUCUGAUGAGACUCUUAAUCUUUACAUACAACAGGUCUCUUCUUCCCUAUAUUUUUUUCUGAUAUUAUAUGUAUAUGUGUGUAUAUAUAUAUAUAUAUGAAGUAGCAAAGUUUUGAUUUAUUAUGGUAUGGGGGGUUUUGAUUUGUUUUCUAAUGGGAAAUGGAAAUGAUAAUUGACAGGAACUUUGUGAUACUAGGAGGAGAGGAGGGGUUCCAAAUGCUCGUUGAUGCCUUGGUUUGGGAUUCAGAUGCCUUACGUUGUUGCAUAUUGCAUCUUGUUCCUUCAACUGGCCAUGCUUGUCUUUGGGGAUCAUGGAUCACUUAAUCUCCUGGGAAUGUUAAAAUCAGAAGUAACUAAUAUUUCUCAUCCAUUUUCUAAGCAUUUUCAGCUGUGUGUUUUUUUUUUCCGUUUCUAUUAUAAAUCUUACAGGUAGAGAAGGUAUUCAACCAGGACAUGUUUUUCAAGAAGACUGUCAAAUAUGUUGGAGAGCCAAUAACCCACUUGGAAUCCAUUGCUUCCUCUGUGGUAUUUCUUCUUCCCUGGUGCUGCUCUUCGUAAAUCAAAUUUAAUGAAGAUUUACUUAGAUUUCUUAGUUUUCGUUGAUUAUAUCUUUGAACGCAGAUUCAUAAUUAAAUAUCUUCGUUUUCGUUGAUUAUAUCGUUGACGAGCAGCUGAAGAAAAGCCUGUCUUCUGAUCAAAUAAAUGGAGGUGAAACUUUAAAUGUGCAGCACAAUAAGAGCUCUGCUUCUAUUCAAAUAAAUGGUGGUGAAACUGUAAAUGUUGGAGUGGAGGUAGCUAAUUCGGAAGUAGAAUACAUUGAAUCUGAGAACUUGAGUGAUCUAGAAGAUGUUGAUACAUGUCUUAAGGUAUAAUUUACUUUCAGUUUACACUUCAAUUUCUAAUAUUUGGUGUACUGUUUGUUGAUUUGCAUAUAUACCUAUUUCAGAAGCUCUUACCUGGACUUGACUCUAAAGAUUGGAUUCUGGUUGUUGAAACACUCAAUAAUGUUCGUCGAUUAUCAGUAUUCCAUAAGGAAAGAAUGCAUAGUAUGCUGUAAGUCUCCAAUUCUUACUUGCUUAUCUGACUAGAAAGACUAGAGAAUCGGGUGUCUUAGAUUUAAUUUGACUAGUGCAUUCUGUUCCUCGUUCUAAUGUGCAGGGGUGAUUUGAUCCCUCUUGUAGUUAAGUCCUUGAAGAAUCCUAGGUAUUAUAAAGAUACUCAUUGAACUUUUAUAAUUUACCAUUAUGGUGGGGGACUUUUACUGCAAACAAAGGGUCAAAAUUUAAAGAAGAUUGCAUGAAAACCAUAUGGCAAUGAGUGGACUGUGAGAGAUCCUAUAAAAGUGUGAGAGACGGAUUCGAUUUUGUGAUAAGGCAAUAAAGAGAGUAGGUCCAAAGCCAGAAAAAGAAAAAAAAAUGAUGAGUAAUUAUUUCACCGAUAUACUCAACUUAUUAAUGAUUAUUUUGAUGUAUAAUAUUUUAUAACUUGUUUUUUUUCCCUUAUUUUUCAAGAUUCAUACAAUUCGUACAUUUUCAAAUUUAAUUAAUGAUAUUAAUCAAAGAUCGAGGAAACACAAAAGCGGUGAAAGGUGGGUAAUUUCAGGGUAUGUUCUUAACUAUGUAAAUUUAAAAGAGGCAUUAAAUGAGAACGAAGAAUAUACUGCACAAAUUUUCAUCUUUGUAAAUUAAAAACGUGAAAUUAUAAUUUGAAUGCUGUUACUUAGUGGGUGAUUCUUUUGGAAGGAGUCUUUUGAUGGGUCAAUAUUUGAGUAUUAGAUUGGUUUCUUUUAAUAACAGAAGAUAUUGUUUCUAAUAUUUUGUUGAGAAUUAGUGUAUUGUAAGUAUGUGCUCGGUAGGGCUUGUUUUACAAAGUCAAGUUCAAGGGGUACUAUGGUCGUAGUGUUCCACGUCUGGUAGGCAGUUGGGAUCUGAUAUGCUUACUGCUAUUUUAUAUAUUUGGAAGGAAGUCCAUUUUUUUUCCAGUCUUAAUCAUGUUCAAUUUGUUUCAUUGGUUUGGUUGGUACUGCUAUUUGCUAUAUUUGCAGCAACAUAGUUCAUAGAUUUCUAUUAACUAAGUUCAUUUAAAGUAGUUAGCGUCUAGCUAUAUAUGGGUAUUUUUGGUAUAUAUGGUUUACAAAGCUACUGUUUUUUUUUCCUUUGUAUCCCACCACUUUUUCAUGCAUACUGAUGAUUAUUUGGAUAUCAACCUCUGAUAUCCUUGUUCACUUAUUUUCAUGAUUGUUUGCUUUAUUUUAUAGGAUUUGAUAGAUGUCCUGUCGUAUUUUAUGAAUUUUCUUUUUUUAUUCAUUUGAUUUUAUCAGGGUGUUGAUGGAAGGUCUCCUUAUUGGUUCCUAACGGUGAGUUUUAUAUCGACCAUAUAUGAGUUUGUAGCAGGUAAUGUCUUCUUUUUAAUUUUGGCCACAAAUAUAUAAGCUUUUAGUGAGCAGAGUCUACAGUCACCUAUUAUUGUUUUGGCUUUGGUUUUGUCCUUUUUCCUUGUAAAUUCUCUUGAAUCAUCGUCUCCCAUCUUGGUUAAGAAAUUAUUCGGAUUGGAAUUGAAAAUCAAAUUAAUGAUAUUCUUUGCAUAUGGUUCCCGAAAAUAGUAUACAUUUGCUUCAGCUUUCCUUCUAUUUAAUUUUUUGUGCUUAAUCUUAUAGCUGAAUGUUCUGUCAUAUAUGUUACAUAAUACCGUGUAUACAUGCUCUAAACUGAUGACAUAUAAUGGUGUUAUUGUUUGCUAGUCUAAUUUAUUAAAUCUUCACUCUCUAUUUUUUAUAUAUAUAUUUAGAAAUGAGGUAUGAUGUUUUAAAUAUAUGACAAGAAGUUUUAAUUUUUUUAAUAUACUUGUAUUAUAUAUAGAUAUAGAUAUAUGUAUGUAUGUAUCUAAUAUACCCAUGCUAAAUCUAGGUAACGUGUGUAAGAGUUUGGGUUUAGUUUAGAAGUCUUUAUCAUAUGUUUACAUCUUUUUAACAUCUUUAACGUGUCUAACGAUAUAGAUAUAUGUAUGUAUGUAUCUAAUAUAUAUUUUUUAUUUUUAACAUCUCUCUUGUUUACCAAGUUUGUUGGUUUAUCUGAUCAUUUGGUUUUGCAUCCUUUAGAUAUUGAAGGUGUCGCAGAGGAUUCAAUCUCUUCAAGCUGGAAAAGCCAAGGCUUAGCACUUCUUCAAGUAGAAUGUUAUUUAAUGUUGCAUUCCAUGGUCGUUUAUCUUAGUCAGAACUUGAAUUUGGUGUUAUUGAAAUAGGGUUUUGUAGUUACCUUGUGUACUAGCUUCUUUAAUCAUGAUUGUUAAUUAUUAUGUGUUUUGUAGCUUCUUUUAUAAUUGUCCGAGUUAAUAUAGAUUAGAUGAGCUGUGAGGUAGAUUGCUCAUUUAUUUAAACAUGAUAUUUAAAUUCUAAAUUUAAAUUCAUUAAUUUUUAUAUUUAGUUUUAAAGUUAAAAUUUUAAUAGAAAAUUUAAUUUAAUUAAUAUAUUUUAUCCUUAAAAUAGUUUAAAGUUCUAAGUUUCAAAAAUAAUUCAUAAUAUAAUAUUUAUCAUAGAAAUAAAUAUUAUUUAAUUAAAAUAUUUUUUAAAGGUUAUGUUCUUUAGCGGCGUUUGUGGGAAAAGCGCCGCAAAAGGUCAUGUUCUAUAGUGGCGUUUGUGGAAAAAGCGCCGCUAAAGGUUUUGUUCUUUAGUGGCGUUUGUGGAAAAGGCGCCGCUAAAGGUCUUAUUCUUUAGCGGCGUUUGUAGAAAAAGCGCCGCUAAAGCUAAUGUUCUAUAGCGGCGAUUGUGGAAAAAGAGCCGCUAAAGCUCAUGUUCUAUAGCGGCGUUUUUGGGAAAAGCGCCGCUAAAGGUCUUGUUCUAUAGCGGCGUUUGUGGGAAAAGCGCCGCUAAAGGUCUAGUUCUUUAGCGGCGUUUAUUUCUAAAAACGCCACAAAAGUUAGCGGCGUUGUCAAUAGUGGCAUUUUUUGCGGCACUGUUGAAAGCGCCACAAAUACCUUUAGCGGCGCUAAAAAGCGCCACUAAAGGCAAAAAAAAAAAACGCCGCUAAAAGCCUGUUUUGGUGUAGUGUGAUUUAAGGACUUAAUCGUAACCCAAACCAAAUUUAAAGGAUAAAUUAAAAUAAAGUAAACAAGUAAAAGACCGAAAUGAAAAGCGUGUCGACUAACGAGGACCAAAAUGGGAAUAAAACCCAAAUUCGGACACAUGUCCAUCGUUUUAGUACAUUAGUAAGCCAGGGAUGAGUUAAAAAAAACAAAAUUUUGGGACUAAAUUAAAAGAAAAAAAUGAACAAAAAUGAGUAAAUUUAAAAGAAAAUAAAUGCGGAAGGACUAGGGUCUCAUAUAGAUCCUUGGUCGAAAAGCACGCGAAUCCUUGAGGUCCAAUGGGUCGGAUCUCGGGUCGCUUCAAAAUGGCACAGUUUUGAAGCGAAAGGUCCCCAGGUGAAACGACGUCGUUUUAUAGUCAGCAUAUAAGAUAAAUUUUAGAUUUUUUUUUUCAUUUUCUAACAUUCCCUAAAAAAACAAAAAAAAAACCUCACACCUCUCUCUGGCACCGACCCAAUCUCUCCGGACACCGGCCAGUCUCCGGCCAUCAAUCACCACGCCGGUCGCUGUCGCUGGCGCUGGCACCGCCGUACACGGCGGUGGGGAGUCCAAAAUUUUUUUUUUCUUUUUGAUGCAACCCUUCACCUCCAACGCUUCGACGACGACUAAAAACAGGUAAAUCUCUUCCCUUUCCUUCUUUUUCUGUUAUUUUCGCAUAUAAGAAAAAAGAAACAAAAAGAAAAUAAAAAAGGGAACAAAUUGCCAAAAAUAAGUACCUAAAAUAGAAAAAAAUAUCCCUUUGAAAGUGCUAUUUUUAUUUUCUCUGUAAAAGAAACAAGUCCCUAUUACAGUGAUGAAGUCCCCCCCUUUCAUUGAUAUUUCAUUGCCUUUAUAACCGAUUACAAGAUUCCUUGUUUUUCUUCUCUCAUUGUUUUGCUAUUGUUGUUGUUUUUUUUUUAAAUUUUCGUUGUUGUGUAUUGUCUUGUCUUGUAGGUGUUAGCGUAGUCGGUGGAGCAGGUGGUGGCAGAGGGUAGCGGCAGCACAUGGGCAAGGGUCAGAAGACCUAGGUGGCUAGGGUUUCCUUUUCUUUUCUUUUUUUUGAUUUGGUUUUGGGCUACUGUAAGGUUUAAUUUGGUAUUGGGCUAGGUUUAGAUUUGGGCCUUUUGGGUCUGGACUGUUUAUUUUAUUUUAUUUUUUGUUUUUGUUUUGACAUUGAGCCUGGGAAAAUUUAGGCUUGUAUAAUAAUAAUAUAUGGCUAUGGUGAUGUCUGUAAUUUCAUAAAAUAAUUACUCUAAUCUAAUCCAUGUCUCUUUCUUUCUGAGUUUAUCAGGCAAUAAAUUCCCUCCGAUUUCACCUAGCUUGUUAUAAUAAUGUUAUUUCAAAUUAGUUAAAGAAGAAAAUUUGUGAUGUUAUGUUUAAAUUGAAUCUUUCGAUUUAUUAAGAAUUGAUUUUAAAUUAGAAGGAUCAAAAUUUAAGUAGGAUCACUUAGGGAUGCUAGUGGGGCAAGUUUUGAGAAAUCUUCACUUUUAAUUUCAAAAUUGUAAUUAAAUAGUUUUAUCCAAUUAAGUAAUAAUAAUAAUAAUAAUAUAUGGCUAUUGUGAUGUCUGUAAUUUCAUAAAAUAAUUACUCUAAUCUAAUCCAUGUCUCUUUCUUUUUGAGUUUAUCAGGCAAUAAAUUCCCUUCAAUUUCACCUAGCAUGUUAUAAUAAUGUUAUUUCAAAUUAGUUAAAGAAGAAAAUUUGUGAUGUUAUACUUAAAUUGAAUCUUUCGAUUUAUUAGAAAUUGAUUUUAAAAUUAGAAAGAUCAAAUUUUAAGUAGGAUCACUUAGGGAUGCCAGUGGGGCAAAUUUUGCGGGUCCUACCCUACUUAACGCUCAAUUGAUAGAGGGAUGGGGACAAAAAUUAAACCCUGUUGUGAGUGGUGGGGUAGGCGUGGGUAUGACCUUGUACCUACACCAUCCCGCAUAAUAUAAUAAACAUAUUUAAAAAUAAACAUUUACAAAAAUUUAAUUUAAUAAUUAUUUUAAUAGUAUUUAUGAUGUAUUUGAGAUAUUGUUUGUAUUUUGAUAUUAUGUAAUGACUUUAUUUUUUGAAUUUGUUAAACUUGAAAUUAUAUCUUAUUUACCAAUUAAAGGUCGUGACGACUUAUUUUUUUUUAAAUAGUGACAGUUGGAAAAAUGUCAUAUAUGUGGUGGGAGUCCAGAGGAUAAAUAUUUUAUACUUGUCAUAAAAAAAUUAGUUUAUAUUUAUUUAACUGAUACUUAUAAAUAUAUUAUAUGAAGUGGGUCAUAAGACGAGUAUAGCGGGGAUUAGGUGGGUUUGGGACCCACGUGGGUGGUGGGGGAGGAUGGUUUUGGAUUUUGUACCUAUAAUGGGUCACGGAACGGGGAUGGGGAUGAAAAUUGUGUAAGUCAAAGUCUGUGUAAUUUGUAGUAAUGCAUGGAUUGAAUACCAACAAGGAAUCUUUGGCCCUCUCUCUUUUUAUCUCUGUCUUCCUCUCAUUUUGGUGUAUUGUUUGUUUGGAUGUCUUUUGUCGUGUUUUGAUCUGAUUUGUUUUGUUCCAGUGAUGUUAAGCUUUUGACUAGUAAUAUGAGUAAUAUUGGGCUCCAACCACGAUACACUGUAAAGAAUCAAAGCCGGAAAAAUGCAAGACUGCAUGUCUACACCAUUAUUCACUAUUCAACAAUACAUUACUUAUUUUUUUCUUUGUGAUAAAAUUUCUUAACAACAAAUGUUAUGCUUGUUUUAUGGAUAAAGUAAUGUUUAUUUAAUAUAUCCACAACAAUAAAUUAAUUUCCAGUUAUACGUCUCAUCCAAUAAUAAUAUUUUCACUAUUACCAAAUAUUUUCUCUUCUAAUAAUUGUUUAAAAAAUCACGGUCAAGAUGAAUUUAGAAAAAUGGUUUAGUAGUAGAUUAAAUUCUUUGGAUAUAUUAACCAAAUUCACACCAGCAAAUUUUACCUAUGAUGGAUUCAAUUGAACAUAUAAAAUAAUAACUUGUUAGAAGGGUUGAUUAAUUGGAAAGCAUAGAAUGGGUUAAUCAAUUACAAAACUAGAAUUUAUAAAACUUAAGGAUAUAAUUUUAUAUUGGAAUUAUUCAGUGGGAUGAAGAGUAAAUUUCAAGUAGCAAAAGGAUGGAUCCAUCUCUCUCCCUUCCAUAUUUAGUCUUUUGCAAAUCUUCAAGAAUAGGCUGAUGUACAAUUAUUUUACUUUGAAUGCAUGAGUCUAUGGUAAGGACGGGGUCCCAGCAGUAAGGUAAAAUGGUAAGUGUUGAAACAGAAAAUAAAAGAAAUGUAGCCGCUGUGGGUCUUAUGGAAUUAGUAUGAUUUAACGAUGAUGGGGUCUUAUGGUGCUUUGGAAUCAUCGUUUUUUUAAGAUGAUUUGAUUUGGUGAAAGGGAGAGGGCCUUGAUUGCAUCUUUAUUGCUGUACAAAAAUCUUGCUAGUUGGAGGAUCAACUAUCCUUUUAAUUUUAAUAAAAAUUAUAUAUGAACUUGUCAACUUGUAUUCAAAUUGAAUCUUUCCAUUGAGUCGCUCUUGCAAGUAGAACAUGGCAGCUGACGAUUCCUCGAUAAAAAACACUUUUCUUAGAGCAGGCUUCUUUAUAUUCAACUUCUUUGUUGUGCGAAAAGAACAUGAUUGUCCAAUGAAUUGUGUAAGUCAAGAUGUUUGCGAUUUGCUAACGCAUGGAUUGAAUACCAACAAGGAAUCCUUAAACCCUCUCUUCUUCCUUUGAGGUAAUGGAUUAAAUUGUGGAGAAUAAUUAAUAAUUAUACCAGUUUUUUAUACUUACUUUUUACUUAAUUACUGCUCAAGCUAAAUCGAGUUUGCAGGUUACGUUUGAUAGACUCAAAUAUGGCUUUUCCUUGCUAAUGUUUUUAGGGAUGGCCCGUUUGAGGUUCAAGUUUAGUCGGAUAGACUCAAAUGUGGCUUAGCAUUGCUAAUCCUUUUAGGGAUGGCAAAAUCAAGGGUGGAGAGAUGCACGUUGAAAUAGGCCCAAUUUGCCCAGGCCCAGGUAAAAAACCAAACAAAACGAAAAAUAAAAAUAAAAAUAAAAAUAAAAGUCCAAUAAUUAAAAGUCCAUUUACACAACCCAAAAGUCAAUCCCAUUACAUCAAACCCAAUCCCAGGUCAAAAUUAAACCCUAGCCCAAUAACCAAAAAAUCAGCAAACCCUAACUCAGCAAGGUGUGCUGCCACUGCCAAUCCCACGCGUGCCGCACCUCCUUCACGUGCGCCUCCGUACGCCAGCUGGCCAAUGGCCUCCACACCUGCAAAACAAACGAGCAAGAAGAAAUAACAGAAAAUAGAGAGGCAAAGAAACAUUGUAUUUUCUUUUUCGUUUUCGGCUAUGAAAAGCCCAAAGAAACAGUGAUGUAACUCUUUUUUACGAAUAGAAAAUACAAUCAAAAAAUCAAAAAAAUAGCAAUAUAUUCUAAGGUAGCCUCUGAUCCUUUGGUUUUCAUUUUAGUUUUUGUUUUGAUUUCAUUUAAAAAAAACAAAAAAAAAGAAGAGAAAUAAAAUAAACCUACCCUUUAUUCGUGUUUUUGCUUCGCCGGAGAAGGAGGUCCGCCGAUUCUGAUGACAAUCGGUGCUAUUUCGGCUUGGGGAGUCGAAUAGCCUAAGAAAUGGGUUUUGUUUUCAAUUUUUCGGCCACUGUGAACGGCAGCAACAGCCGCCACGGUGGUCCGGCGAUCCCAACGGCCGGAUUCUGGGAUCUGUUCUAAUAGAUUUGAGAGAGUUUUUUUUUGUUUUUUUUUUGAAAGAGGAAUAAAAUGAGAUUUUGAAAUUUUUUUUAAACUUAAAUAGGCCUUACAAAACGACGUCGUUUUGGGCCAAUGUGCAGACGCCAAAAUGGUGUUGUUUUAUGCUUUAACCAGCUUGUUGACCUGAUCUAGGGGAAGGAUCCGCGUGUUUUGCUUCGAAGAGUUAUUUGCACAGCCGGCCCUUUCACAUUUUUCAGUUAUUUUAUUCUGGUCCUUUUUAUUUUUUAUUUUUUAAUUUAUACUACUAAUUUCAUUUCACUUUCAAUUCGGUCCUAGCAAACGGGGCUUUCAGUGUUUGGGGAUAUUUACCCGUUUGGUCACUCUGAGUUAUUCGUGCCUUUCAAUUGGGCCCUCUCUCUUAUAUUUACUUUCGGUUUUUACCCCGAUUUUUGAAUAAAUUUCAAUUUAGUCAUUUUGCACUUAUUUAUUUAUAAUUUCAGUUCGUCUUUAUUUUUAAAAAAAGCUUACGUUAGGAUUUAGGCUCCUAAUUUUAUUUUAAUGUCAAUUUAAUCCCCAUUUAUCUUCGUUUAGGUUCUAAUUGUUAUUUUGUUGUGUUUUAUUUAUUAGUUUAUCAUUUUUUAUUUUAUUUUGAUUUUCAUAUUUAAUUAUGCCUUUUAUUUUAUUUUAUUUUAUUUCUUGACUUUUAUUAUUAUUAUUAUUAUUAUUAUUGUUAUUAUUAUUUUAUUGUUUUCAUUAUUUCAUUUAUUUACAUAUUUUAUUCCAAAUUAUGUAUUUAAAUUUCACUUGUAUUGUAAUUUAGUUCAUUACUUUCGUUAAUUUUCAUAAACUUUUUUUCUUACAUUAUUUAUGUAUUUAUUUUAUUUAUUUAAGUUGUUUUGUUUUUAGUGUGUAUUGUUCUCUUAUGUGCAUGCUUUGAUCCUAUUACCAUUGUUUUUUUUUUUUUGAUUGUUCAUAUUAAUGUUAAAAUAGUGCAUGUUAUAUAAUUCUCGUAAAUUGCCUUUAUUAUUAUUAUGUUGUUGUUGUUAUUUAUUAAUGCAACAUUUCAUGCAUGUAGUGUUUCAAAUAUCAUAUAUUUUUAUCUAAAUUUGUAAAAAUAUAAAUUUUAUAAAACGAAGACAAUAUUUCGUACUUUUGGAAUUCGAGAAAUCGUUCCCUAACUUACGGGGUUUCGAUUUUUCGAUAAAUCCGAACAUACGAACCAUGUUUCAAAAAUACAUUUUUUUAAAUUAUUUCGGGAAUUAAAAGGGUCGUGUUCUAACUUACGGAAUAUGAUUUCUUUUCUCAAACUGGGAUAAUAAAAAAUUUCUAAAAAAUAAUAAAUGAAAUUUUCGGUGUUUAUUCUCGUUUCGGGAUUUAAGAUAUUGUGUCCUAACUCACGGGAUAUAAUUCUUUUUCUCGAUUGACGUGAAAUACGCCCUUUUUUAAUUUUUUAAGUAAUUUUAACAAAAGGAUCGUAUUUUAAGUCUCAUCAAAAUUUUCAACUUUCGACACUAAGGACACUAAUUAAUCAACUAGGUAUCAAUUUUGGGCGGUAAGACGGUGCUAAUCCUUCCUCGUACGUAAUCGACUCCCGAACCCUUUUUUUUAAAUUUCGUAGACCAAAAUUGUUGUUUUAAUAAAUUAAAUUGUUUAUUAAAAACAACCAUUUUUCGAGGUGACCCGAUCACACCUCAUUAAAAAGGAUUGGUGGCGAAUCCAUGUUCAUUUUCGUUUUCAAAAUAAAAGUCGACCCUUUUUUUUCAAAAAAAUGGUUUCGACAGCUUGGUGACUCCGCUAGGGACUUAAUAAGAGAGUCACACCAUGAGUUGAUUAUUUCCUGUCUUUUUGUCGAAAGUUGACAAUUUGGUUUAAAGUUACGAUCCUUUUGUUGCAUUUUGUUUUCAUAGGCUGCGACAUUUUGUUGGCUUUAUUUGUUCAAGUCUCAAUAUAUUUUUGCAUGUUACAUGUGCAUAACCACCCGGUUAUACCCUUUUAAGUGGGAGUGAGAAACUAUUCCUUCGUAAGGCUUUCACCUCUGUGUAGGAUAAUAGAUUGCUUUUGGGAUACAUCCGUACCUAUGUCUUCGUGAGAUUUUCAUCUCCGUGCAGCCAUAGGAAAAUGUAUUCCCCUGAAUUGAACUCGGUCUAUAUGAGCCUAUAAUGGGUGAGGAUCGAGGAAUCUACUGGUUUAGGAACCUUUGCCUUAGAAGCCAAACCGCAUAUAGUGAACCCUAGGAAUCCGCCCUAGGUAGAACCACGCCAAAUCCCUAGUAGUCAUCCAAAUAAGUGCUCUUCUGUUUUUGUACUAGCAUGUUUUCUUUUGUUUUGGUUAUGAUUGCAUUGCAUUUUCAUCAUAGAAAAGAGGUGUUGAUUCACAUUCAAUUGCUAAAUAGAGAGCUUGUCAUGGAAAAUGGAUUUCUUGAUAAAGUGGAAGAUAAUACGGUUGUCUGAAUACGUUCCGAGAAAACACAACAAGAGAAGGGUGAUAAUGUAACGGAGGAGUACACGACUUUGCUUCAUUGUCCGAGGAUUCAAGUUGACAAAGAUUAUUCGAGAGUCAUCAAUGUCCUGGCCUUUUUAAAGAAGCUAAUGAGCAUCACGAGGAUGAGUGAGCAACGAUUCGUGGCCCGGAUCAAGCAAAAAGGAGCUAGUAGAGGCAUCCAUUGGAAAAUUUGCAAGAUUUAUCUUAACAUCAGGAUGAAGAAAAGGAUCGAUGUCUUCGCCUGGAGUAUGAGGGCAAAGCUGUAUAUAUAUCUGCUUUAUGUAAAGAGAUUUGUUUCCUAGUAAAAUUGUUCCAAUAGAAUUGAAUCAAAAUCAACGUCUCUUUUGCAUUCAUUUCAUGUAUUUGCAUUACAUUACAUAAUAUGCAUUAAAGACCACCGAAAGAUCUUAAUUGAUUAAAAUCCUUUCAGUUAACCUGGAAAUCGACAAAAACCAACCAACCAAACACUGUUACGGUACCCGAACAAAGACAAAAGACAUGGACCAAAGAUUGGAAAGGCUUGAACAACUUCAAAAGGAGAUGCAAGACCAACUACAAUUGCAAAUGCAAGAGCAACUAGCUAAGAUCCAACAAGACAUGAUGGACAAAAUGCUGGAGUCCCAAAGAAACAUGAUGACUCAAUUGACCCAACUGUUGGCUAGGGGAAUGAAUAAAGGAAAAGGACCCAUGGCCAAUGUCAGGGAAGAUAAUGAGGAAUCUCCCUAUCCUCUGGGUUUUACUCUGCCACAUGCACAGACCCAAGCUGAGAUGUACCUGCGAAGACCCUCUGUCACAAUUAAACCUCAACAAUUUCAGGCUGGUGCUUCAAUUAACUACGAAAAGGAGGCGAUAGUUGGGUGAUCAAAUUAAAAAAAUUGAUAAUUAGGUAACUAAAAAGGAAAAAGGGGUGAUAGUUGGGUGACUUGAGGUGUAGUUUACCCUAAUAAUAAAAUAUAGUAGCGUAAACUAUAGAAUUAGUCACCCCACUAUUAGUGUGUUUCUGUUUUGGUCACCUAACUAUGAAAAUUUUUUAUUUUAUCACUAUCGUUUUAGAUCAUUUAUUUCUAUUUUGGUCACUCAUGUUUUAGAUCGUUUUUAUUUAACUCACUCUUCAUUAAAUGGUUAACGAAAGUUAUGAUGUGACCUUUUUUUUAACGAGCAUAAAUAAUACAUUUUGUCUUCAAUACUUACACAUUUUAUCAAUUUGAUCCUCGAACACAUAUAGUUAAACAUAAAGUAUAUAUUAUGAAAAUGUACAAAAUGUAAUUACUUAUAUAUAUUUAUCAAAAUAAUAUUAUAUGUGCUUAUAUUUAAUUAUAAUUAUAAGGUUCAAAUAUGCAUUUAGCCCCUCAAACUUGACACCUGCUCCCAUGUUGGUUCUUAUGAUUUUUUUGUCCCAAGUUGGUACCUAAAUUUUUAUUCCGUUAAGGGCUUUGGUACUUUUUUUGUUACAAUAUUAAAUAUAGGACACAUGACACUCUUAGGAUGCCAUAAUCUAUUUUUUAUAAAAAUAUAAUAAAAAAUUUAAAAGAAACUAUAUGAAAUUUAUAUAUAUUUUUAAAAUAUAAAGAAAUUAUAAAUUAUAAAAAUAUAUGUAACUAAAAAAUUAAAAAUAUUACAAAAAAUCUUAAAUUCAAGUUGGAAAAAUUGAAAACCUAGAAAAUUUACAUAUUUUUCUAAAUAAAUUGCAACAAUUUAGAUGAAGAUAAAUUUUAUAAUAAAUUUUAUACUUAGAGAUGGGUGCAAAUUAUUACACGAUUUUUCAAGUUAACAAGAAUGCAAAAGAUGAUGAUUUGAAAAUGGCUUACAAGAAGCUUUUUUGUUUUCCUUUUUUUUUUUGUUCAUUAUUUGCUAGGUAAUGGGAAAAAUUGGGUUCCUUUUUGAAAAUGCUAUAAAAACCACAAAUUUACUAAGUUUUGGGGGUUUUUAGUUUUUGGGCUUAUCAAAAUCACACACACAUAUAAAUUUAUCAGCAUUUAGUUAUAUGUGUUUAAAUAUAAUUAUUUUUUAUAUUCAAUUAUAUGUGUUUGAGAAUAAAGUUGAUAGAAUUUCUAAAUAUGAAGGGUGAAAUUUAUUGAAUUAUUUAGAAUAAGAAUCAAAUUGAUAGAAUGUGUAAGUAUUAAGAAAUAAACGUGUUAUUAUGCCAGUUGGAAAAGGUAACGUCAUCACUUCCGUUAACUAUUUAAUGGAGAGUGAUCAAAAUAGAAACAAUCUAAAGUGUGAGUAACCAAAAUAGAAAUAAUAUAAAAUGCAAGUGACUAAAUUAAAAAAAAUCAUAGUUGGAUGACUAAUUCUAUAGUUUACCCUAGAUAGUAGAAGCAAUUAGGAUUAAUUCCACCAAACAUCUCAAACUAUUACUCAUAUUUUAAAUUGAACCCUAAACUUGUACACAUUCUAAUUAAAUUACUCAAAUAAAAUGUGAUAAUGUGUUAUGCUAUUAUUCAUCGAUAGUACAUAGAACUUAUGCACCAACAAUGCAUCAAAUAUUCUCAUUAAAAAAUGUAUAAAAUAAGUUUUAUACCAUCUAUAAUUUGUAAAAAAAAAAUUAUCCAAUAAAAAAUAUAAAAAUACAUAUCUAUAAUUUCACAAAAAGUAUUUCAUUAAUCCAAACCAAGUCAUUUCUUUUUAUAAAUUCAAUUGCAAAUCUCCUGUAAUAAAUCAACCUCACAAAAUAUACAUCUCACAAAUCUGAUUAUGCAAUUAAAACCAUGAUCAAUAUUCAAUUCUAAAGUAUUGAACAUAUAAUUUUUCAUUAUUUUACCUCCCUUGAUUCUUCACAAACUCUUUGGAAUAAAUUAACCAUCUAUUCCUUAUUUCAAUUUUAUUAAAAAGUUAGGUUCCCAUAAAGACAUUCUUUACAAACCAGUGCACCUACCAUAAACACAUCAGGGAACAUUGCCAUGAGAGAGGACCUAAGAAAACAUAAUACAAACUACAUAACAUACAAUCAAGCACCCACACAAAAUGUUUAUUAAACAACUACAGAAAAAGUCCUGCAUACCACCAAGCAUGAAGUUUUCUGUUCUGUUUGCAACUUGUUGAACUCGCCCAAGUGUUGCCUUCUCUACCUUUUUGCAAAUCUUUGUCGGACUCGCUCCACGAUCCUAAUCAACCACCAUGGUUUUCCAGUCGUGAAUACAAUGUAUGCCAUGCUCAUUCCCAGCACCAACCCACAUCCAUACCCCAUCAAUAUUGAAAAUUUCCAAUUCAAUUCAUCACCAUCAUCAUCUCUAUCAAAUUUCGCUGGAGUUUCCUCAUCAGUACCACAGUUUUUUGAUAAUGGCAAACCACAUAAAUCCAAAUUUCCCAUGUAGGAAUCGUUAGUGAAAGUAUCAAAUUGUUUGCCUUGAGGAAUGGGUCCCUUGAGAUUAUUUUGAGAAAGGUUUAACACCUCUAAGAAUCCAAGAUUUUUUAACUCUGUUGGAAUUCUUCCUUCCAGCUUAUUUGAUGAGAGAUCUAAUGAUUCAAGCUCUGACAAAUUACCUAAAGAUGAUGGGAUAGGACCUAUUAAACAGUUAUGGGAGAGGUUUAGGACAAUAAGUAAAUGAAGCUCACCAAGUAUUUUUGGAAUUUCUCCCCUGAAUUGGUUACUAGAAAGGUCAAUAACCAUCCAAAUGGAUAAUAGUGAUUCAAACUUUAAUUCCAGCCCUUUUGCUGUAACAGAUAAACCAGAAGCAUAAUUCACCAAAAAUGCACCAAGUGCAUCUUUCGUGGGCUUUACUUCUCUCAUGUAAUUUGGUUCAACUUUCUUUCCAUACUCAUCUCUAAUGGCAUGCAUAUGCUCAAAAAAGAGAGUAGGUAAGUAGCCACUAAAAUUAUUGUGAGAAAGAUCAAUGAUUCGCAUUUUAGUUAAAGAAACUGUAAUAUCAGAGCUCUCUAUUUGGCCGUAAAAUCUAUUCGACCUCAAGAUAAGAACUUGCAGCUGAUCCAAAUUUCCUAACCAACUUGGAAAAGUGUCAUUCAAAUUGUUGUUUCCAACAUUGAGAAGAUUUAAACCUUUGCAAUUACUCAAAGAUCGUGGUAGUGACCCUUCUAAUUCAUUGUUGUUGAUGCGUAAACUUCUCAACAUGCAACCUUUAGCAAAAUUUUUUGGUAUUUGACCAUGAAAAUUAUUAUUCCCUAGAUCAACUGCUAUGAGAGAAGAAUUCAAGUUUCCAAUGCACUUUGGAAUUGUUCCCUCCAAAUUAUUCUCAUCUAAAGCAAUACCCUUAAGGGAAGUCCAAUUGCAUAUUGAAAAAGGGAUUUCUCCAAUUAAGUUAUUGUUUGAAACUCCAUACCAUUGCAAUGAAGGUGGUGGUGUUGGAAUUCGACCUUAGAGGUGAAAUUGAAAAUGAGAUAGAAUUAGGAAUUUGAAUAUUCUUUAGAACAUAAAUUGUAAGUUAACUAUAUUUGUGAUUUAAUACAUGCAUGAUGUGUACACUCAAUAUAAAUAAUUGAUUAAUUUACUACACUACUUCUAACCAUUUUAAGAUGCAUCACAGCAACUUUUAAGUUGUAAUCUAUUGAAGGAAACUAUUACUAUCUUCCAGAGAAAUUUUAUUUCCCUUACUUAAAAGUAAAAAGGGAUUGCAUAAAUGUAUAAAAAAAUAGAAGGAAAAAUUAUCAAACUAUACCUAAUAAUUUAUUAUAAAAGAGAUAAACAUUUCAUUUUUUAGUGUUUAUUAUUAUUUUUUGUACUUAUAUUGGGUAAUCUAUUUUUUUUAAAACCUUUCAUUUAGUGAUCCAUUUUAUUAAAAGUUUAACUUUUUUUAACUUUAUUAAUGAGUGGAUUGUUACUUCAAUCAACAUUUAAUUAUUUUUUUAAAAUUUCUAAAAGAAUAUUAAAUAUAUUAAGUAUUUUUUAAAAAUAUUUCAAAACUAUAAAAUAUAUAUUUAAUAUUUUUAAAAAUUUUAAAAAAUUAAUUAAAUGUUAACAUGUCAUCCACGUGUCAAUCCACUUGUAUGCAAUAUCAACAAAGUUAACAAACUAAUUUUUUCCAUCCAUUUUGGGUGAUUUGAAAAAAAUUACAAGUUCAAUGGUUAAAAGAUGUGAAAAAUUAGUUGGAAAACUAAAAUAAUUUUUUAAAAAAAUUGGAAGGCUUAAUAAGUCAUGAUGCCAAAAACUAAUUAUAUGUUUUAUCUAUGCUACUAUUAUUAUUUAAAUUCAAUUAAAAGUUAUUUACAACUUUUCUUUUUCUUUUUACACAUUAAUAAAAAUAACUCUUUAUUAGUAGUAGAAUUUUGUCUACUUUAUAUUUUCUAUGUCUAUAAAUAUAGACUUUAGAGAAGCAUCAUAAAUAUCCUAUUGAUGAAUAAAAUACUCACUUCUCUUUGUUCACAUAUCGGUUGCUAGAGUGAGGAUUCAUAGCUGGGACCUCUAAUAUCCCAAUGCCUCUUACUGCUCGGUUACUCCAAGACUUUUAAGUCUUCAAAUUUAUUUUGCUAGAAAUUUUUAUUUUAAUUCAUGGUUAAUUAUGAUUGAUUUGAUUAACUUGUUUUAUUUUUAUCUUUUUUAGGAUGGCUAAAGAUUUGAUUUCAACAUUAAUUAUGGUUAUUGAUCUUGGAUUUAUCGAGCAAAAUUUAGAUUUAUGUUUAUAUUAAUUUCAAUUUUAAUUCAUGAUUAAUUAUGAUCUUGAAUUUUACUUAUAUAUCAUUUUUUAGUGUUUAUUAUUAUUUUUUGUACUUUUAUUGUCAAGAAUAUCAUCUCUAAGACUUGAAUCUUGUUCUCCCCUUAAGAGAGUAAUAUGCCUUACCACUACACCGAAUAUUUAUUGGUGUAGUAUUUAUUAUAACUACAAAUAAUUUUAAUUAUCUUUUUAUGAAACUCUAAGUUAGAGGUAAAAUAAAAAAGCAAAUUAAAAUUUUAAUUAUUAGUUAUAAUUUUUUUUCCUCACAUUGAAAUUUAAAAAUGGCAUUUGAUGAAAUUUAAAGAUAACAUAAUUAAUAGAAAAUUGACAUUUUCUUUAGAGUCGGAAUCUAAGUAGUAGCAAUAUCUGUAACUGGUACUUCAAAUGUACAUUUUAUGUUUAUAAUUUUUAUAAGAUUGGGAGUUAAUUGAGAUUGUAGCCUCAAAAUUGGUGUUAUAUAUGAAAGCCAUUUUUUAUGAGAAUACUUUUCUAUUUAACAAUGAUUGUCCAGCAUAUGCCCACUAAUCAAAUAGAAACUUGGGAAAAGAUUAGUGGCCUUGUUAUUCAUGUUUGGCAAAUUAAUAUACUUUGUUUCACUCAUAAUAUAAAAUAUGUCGUGAGCAUAAAUUAAUUAAACAAAUAAAUAAUAAGGCAAAUCAAAAAGGUAAAACUACGUCUAAAUUAUAAUUCAGAAUAUAAAUUAAUUAAUGUAAAUUUUAAAUUUAUUUAAAUCAUUAUUAUUAUCAAAUAAAUUCUCUUAAUAAAAUACUUUUAGUGAAAUUAGAAAUCUUACUUAUAAAUAAUAUUAAUAAGAAGAAAUUUUGCUAUGAGCAAAUAGAAAAAUAGUCAAUAUUCUUAAUCAUUUUUAUUAAUUUAAGAGAUUUUGCAUGCUUAUUCUUAUAUAUAUAUAUAUAUAUAUAUAUAUAUAUAUUAUAGAUGUAGAUUAUAAAUUGUAGACAAAUAAUUUGGUUGGGUUAGCAAAGCUGCAAAAGUUGAGAAUAAUAUUUUGUUAAAUUUAUAAAUUUAAGGUGAAAAAUUAAAUCCAAAUAGUUAAAAUAUCUAUAUGUAAUUAAUGAAUAAGAAUUGCAAAGAAUGGCGUAAAAGAAAAAUAAAAUGAAAGAAUUUAAAAUAUAAUUUUUAAGUUUAUAUCACGUGUCAUGUUAUAAUUGAAACCUAUUAUACAAUUCACUAUUACUGACUCGAAACUCGAGUAGGUUCAAGUUAUUGACCCACAACCCAAGUAGACUCAAAGGAAUUUGGGCCGGGUCCCACGAAGUGGGUAUAUUAGAGUUCGCACAUCCAAUUUGUAGGUAUGCUAGGCGGGCCUAGCUCACAAGACAAGCUUGCACAUUGAGUUCACAAGUCUCUAUAUGCUCGAGAGGAGAGGUGUUAGGUCAAGCACGUGGUCCAUGAACACGUGUUGAGUCUAGAACAAGAUACGUGUUAGCACACAUGAAGCCUGUCUAAGACGUCAUUUCAGUGAAUAGUAAUCGUAUCUUAUAAAUACUGAGUCUUACCCCCAUAGUAGACACAAAGAGAAAAUACUCAACAAUUUGGUGCAGUGAACGUGGUCAAACUUUCGAUCGACAGAUUUUUAGCUUGUAACAAUCAAAAUGGCUCACCCAAAUGAAAAUUUCCCCAUCAAUUUUUUGUCAAGAUAAGUUGGAGCUUCUAGUGCAAACAGUCAACCCAACAAGAAAAAUUUAUUUGCUGGGUGGUUUGCUAACCGGUCGAAAAAUUUGGGUAACAUGGCUUAUGUAGGAGCUUCAAAUUCUUUGACUUAAAAUUUUCUUCUGGCCAGAGAUUGUCAUUCUCCUCUAGUUAGGAAGCAUCACCAGAGUAAUUUUUUGCUAUUCAGGAGUUGAUAAAGAUGAUGAAGAAACAAAUGACCCUGUAAAACGUUAGAUUCGAACAACAAUAGAUGUUUUAGCAAGAGUUGUUAAAUCAGAAUGAAGAGUUUAGAAGGAAUGUGCAGUUUGAUAAUUUUGAUUUUCAUAAUAAUGCCACCAUGCAAGAAGAAGGUUUUGGCAUGCAUGCAAAAUCGUGGCAAAGUGAGAUGGAUGCUUUGUGAAGAGAUGUAAGGGCUUUACAAAUUGAAUCUUAAGAUAUGGAUUGACUCAUUUAUUCCAGUAAUCCACUGGUUCUUAAGGUGGAACCAUGAGCUUGCCAACUGUUUUUAAGGUUUCGAAGGAUAUGUUUGAAGGAAGAAUGGACCCGCGAGUGCAUCCCAUGCAGUAUAAUAAUUACAUGAAUGUGCUGGGAGCUUUUGAUUUUGUGAAGUGCAAGGCUUUUUCGAAAACACUCAACGGGGGUGCGAAGGAUUGAUACUUGUCUCUUCACUAGGGAUCUAUUCGUAGUUUCCUUCAGUUGGGUCAGAUGUUCUUGGGACGAUUUAGGGCACAUAGGACAAUUAUUAGCACUCCUAUGGGUCUGAUGUCUAUGAAGCAAAGAGAGGGAGAAACUUUGCAAGAUUAUGUAAAGCAUUUCCAAGCAAUGACACUAAAUACUAAGAACAUCAAACAUCAGUGGGCCAUUGAUAUUUUAAUCAUGGGUGUAAAGAAUGAGCAUAUGUAGUAUUCUUUCACUGACAAUAAGCCUUAAAGUUUGACAAAUUUAUAUGAGAGGGACCACAAGUUGGUAGAGGCAGAAGAAAUAAAAAGAACAGCUUGUGGGUCAUUUCAAAGAGAUGAGAGGAAUUUUAGAAACAUGGAUAGAGCUUACAGUCGGUAGGGUCUACUUCCUUAAGAUUUGCGUGUACAAAAUGGGGGACAGCAAAAAGGGAAAUUGCAGAGCAAGAUGGCUAGAACAUUCCAAAUAUCCAAACUUGAACACACAGGGAGGUAUGUUCCUCAAAGUAAAUUCAAAUCUUAUACCCCCCUUGAAUGUUAUGCGUACCUAUAUUUUGAAUUAGGUGAAGAGUCUAGGUAUUUUACCGAGCCCUCCACCUAUGAGGCAUAGUGUUAGGAGGUUAGGUUCGAGGGACUGAUGUGCUUUCUACAACAACGGGGGCAUAAGACUAAUGAUUGCUUUUCUAUGAAGGAUGCUAUCGGGGAAGUAGUGACAAAUAGAGAACUGGGGGAUUUUGUGGCUCAAAAUACUACCUAGCAGGGGUAGAGUUCACGUGCUGAGGCGAAAGCUAAGCAAUAUUAUAUUGUUGCUAGUAUUAUACAAAAUAAAAAGUCACAAAAGUGAGAGAAAAUCCAGUCAUCAGUGCACCAAUACUCGUUAAGUCGAUCAUAUUUGCUAGUUUUAUAUUGUAUCUUCUUACAUUGAGAGAUAAGAUAGGUGAGAGAGGGAGACAAAAGACGGUGAGCUUGGAUGGAACAUUAAGGGGGAAGAGAGGGAACAAUGUCAUGUGCCUAACUAUUUCUAGUGUUUGAACCGUUUUGUGUCAUAUCUUUCUUUAAACUCAUACCGUCCUAAGCCUUAGAACAUUACAAGCUUAGAAGACCAAUAUGACUUAAGUGUUCUCUAUGCAUAAUCUUCUAAAAUUCCUAACAAUUAUACUUAAUGAAUAUUUGUUGAUUCACAUGAUUAUGUCUACUAUAUAUCUAUUUGAUUUAUGUUAACGUUUAUAUUGUUAAACAUUUGGUCAUAGGAAUUACUUCUAGUUUGUUAGUAAUGUAAAUUUGUAAACUAGUUCCUAUUUACUUUAAAAGGUUUCAAAGACAUUAAACUAUCAAGAUUAAGUUACAUGUAUGAUAAGAAUUGUUAUAUCUUUAAUAGUUGACAACAAUGUUCAUAGUAGUAAUAAAAUCCAAGGGACGUCUUCUUAUUGCAUGCUAUGUGUCUAGACUCGGUUUGCUUGAGGAUAAAUAGAAAGUUAAGUGUGGGCAAGUUUAGGUUUGAGGUUCUUAUUUACAUCCAUCUUCACUAACUCUAGCUUGUUUAAAGAAAGGAACAAAGUCAAAUUUUAUUAGUUUGCCUUUUCUUACAACUAAAAUUUUCUUUAAGUUUUUAUGCUUCUUUUUUCCAUUCUUUUUUUAUUUGUUUAUUUUAAUUAUAUGUUUACAUUGCUUGGGAACAAGCAAUGACUUAAGUGUGGGGGAGUUUGAUCUAUUGUAAUUCGGUGUAGUAGAUUAAACUAGUUUUCGUACUUAAAGAGCUUGGAUAUGAACAUUUUGGUUAUGCUUUAGUUAGUUUUUAUAUUUUAGUUUUAAUUCAAUAAAAAGUGAAAUUGAGUCUUUUUAUGAUCUUAGGGGUUGAAUGAGGCCUAAAGGUGGGCUAACAUGUUUAGUAAGUGUGCAGGACACCAUUCAAAGGCAUAGGAACUUGAGGUUGGUCGCCAUGUUGCAACAUGGGAAUCCAAUGUCGCAACAUAGAGGAUAGAAUGCCAAUAUUCCAAGAUUAUCUUUAAUGUCGCGACAUAGACAAUGGAUGUCGUAACACACCCCUGAAGCUGAAUAUAGGAAUCAAGUAUACUACAUUCGAUGCUGCGAUAUAGGCAGUGGGUGUUGCAAUACCAACUCUGCACGGGAAAUAAUUACGAGCUAAGGACAUUUUGGUCCGCACAAUAAAAAUUAACACGAAAACAUCAAUCGACCUAGGGUUAAGGAAGACGACCACUUCUAACUUUAUAAAUAGACUCAUUAGACAUAUGUUUAAAAAAUAAUUUUAGGGAGACAAAAAUUUUUAUUAGGUUUUUUUUCUGUUAUGAGUUUUUACUUAGUUAUUUGAUGUUCUUGUAAUCGAAAGGUCCUAUUCCGAAGUGAGAUUCUCACGAGGGGAGAUUGUUCUGAAGCCACGCUUUCAUCGAUAAAUCCAUGAACAUCUCUUUUCCUUUAUUCUAUUCUUUAUAUCUCUUUCUUUAACAUUAUUUAAUUGAAUGUUUGUGUAAAGUUUAGAUAUCACUAUUAAUAGAGUAUUUGGAUAACAGAGGAUAGUUUAGGUAUCACUAUUAACAAAAAAAAAAGUUCAGAUACGUGAAGAAAAAUGACAUAAUUUAAAUACUAAUUUGUGGGUUAAGUCUUAUUUUUUUAUAUAAGUAACAACUAUUAAUUUGAGAGUGCUUCUAUCUUUUUAUAAAAAAAUAUUUUCAUUAAAAAAUAAUAUAUACACAAUAAUAUUCAUAACUUUUUCUUGAAUGAAAUAAUAUUCAUUACUUCAAUUUUAUUUGGAAAAAAAUGUGAAUAAAUAAUAUUUGCUAUGUAUACACAUGGAUGAAGUGCAUAAAUGAAUAAUCUAUUUCACAGCAUCUAACCUUUAUAGAUGCAUGAGAAUGACUCUAAUUCAUUCUUAUAGUGUUAUAAAAUUCUUAGCUAAAAAAAUAUAAAUGAAAAAUGAAAAAUAUGAGAUUAUAAAUAGAUAUAAAUUUUCAUCUAAAUCUUGACAUUUUCUUAUGAGUUAACAUUAUUGAAACCUUUUUUUUGAAAUCGACUUUUUAUUUAAAAACGAAAAUGGGAGUCGCCACCAAUCCUUUUUUAUGAGGUGUGUUCGGAUCACCCCGUAAAUUGAUCGCUUUAAUAAACAAUAUAUUUUAGAUUUUAUGUGGAUUCUUUUAAGUUCAAUUCAGAUUCUAUCAUUAAAGUUCAAUAGUUUGUAACCCAAAUUAUUGCUCUCUUUUUACUUGUACCAAUAUUUCCUAUAUUUUUCUUAUGUUAAAAUAGUUAAAGUGUUAAAUAUAUAAUUAAUUUUUUAAGUCAAAAGCUAAUUAACAAUAUAUAACAACUAAAAAGGAAUUGCAUAAAUGUAACAAUAAAAAGAAAAAAAAUGAUAUUAUACCUGAUAAGUUGUUAUUAGAAAGUUCAAUAGCUUCGAGAGUGGUCAAGUUUCCAAUAGUAGAUGGGAUUUCACCUAAAAAUAUAAAUAAAUUGGUCAAAUAGCUUGGUGCUAGUGUCAUGGGUUGCGCAUCUAAGUCUGUGACACUAGAAUUAUGUUAUCUUUGUGUGUAUACUUUUUUAAAUUUAUGUUUAAUGUAGAUAGCUAACUUAGAAGUAACCCAAGAUAUAGAGAAAUUUUAAUAAAAACUCGAACACAGUUGAACUUUUGACAAUUUGUAACUCAAAUUUGUUUCUUAUACUCAAAAUAGUAUAAGAAAAAAAAGGAUUAAAAAUGAUAUUAUACUUGAUAAGUUGUUAUUAGAAAGAUCAAUAGCUUCGAGAGUGGUCAAGUUUCCAAGAGUUAAUAAGAUUUCACCUAAAAAUAUAAAUAAAUUAGUCAAAGAAAAAAUAAAGCAUCUAAGAAAAUAGGUAUUAUACUAAGAUUCUUAUAUUUUUCUAAUUUCAAAGUAGUUAAAGGAUUAAAUGUGUAAUUAAUUGUUUUUAAGCCAAAAGUAUUAUAGUAAGAAGUUAAAAGAUUGUAAUUAAUUAGUAAUAUAUAGCACCAUUCUCUUAUAACUAGAAGAGACUACAUAAUAGUAACAACAAAAAAGAGAAUAAAGAUGAUAUUAUACCUGUUAAGUAGUUAACAGAAAGAUUGAUGUCCGUGAGAGAAAUAAGAUUUCCAAUAAUCGAUGGAAUUUCACCUAAAAUAUAUAAUUAAAAUUAUCAAAAUUUAUUUCACAAAAAAAAUCAUAAUUUAUUAAUUAUUUUUAUAAUAAACCUUAAAAUUGUGAAAAAUCAAAGCUACUUCAUGGUUGUAUUUUGUGAGGUUGUGGGAGUUGUGUGAAGAAGAAAAAGAGGGAUCACUGCGGGUAGGUAUAAGUCUGAAACAUAUAGACACACACACAUAUAUCUGCACAUAUAGACUACUAGGAGCCCGAAAAUGUCACUAGACCCCAGAUAUAGUCUAGGUGAAAAGGGACUGAGGAGUUGAACAGUAAAAAAACUAGUAAGAACUAACAUGAUAAUGAGCUUGUUGUAACCAGAAUACAAAGAUUGGGGCAUAGUCAAGUUUCCAAUUUCUAUAGGCAUAAUUCCCUCCAAAGAGUUGUUAUGCAAUGAUAAAUACAUCAACUAUUAUAACUAGAAGAGAUUGCAUAAUAGUAAUAACAAAAAAGAGAAUAAAGAUGAUAUUAUACCUGUUAAGUAGUUAACAUAAAGAUCGAUGACCGUGAGAGAAAUAAGAUUUCCAAUAAUCGAUGGAAUUUCACCUAAAAUAUAUAAUUAAAAUUAUCAAAAUUUAUUUCACAAAAAAAAAUCAAAAUUUAUUAAUUAUUUUUAUAAUAAACCUUAAAAUCGUCAAAAAUCAAAGCUACUUCAUUGUUGUAUUUUGUGAGGCUGUGGGAGUUGUGUGAAGAAGAGAAAGAGAUAAUAACAGUGGGUGGUGUUAUCAAUGCAUGUAGGAAUAAGUCUGAAACAUAUAAUAUGUAAUGUGUUUCUCAGUAAUCAAAGCUAGAACUCAUGUACUCUAUUUCUUUCCUAUUCAAUAAUAUCAACUAUGGCUUAGCAACAACUAAAUCAAGACAUAAACAAUAAGGCAAAUCUAAAAGGUAGAAGAAAUAGCUAAUUAGAAGUAGUGUGUGAUUCAAAAGGGUAUAAAGUAGGUCCAAAUUUAAAAUCAAAUCUUAAAAUAAUUUAACGUAAAAUUUAACUCUUUUUUUAUCACCAAAUAAAUUUAGUUUUAGAGAAAUUAGAAGUUUUAAUAAAAUACUUGAAAUAACUGAUUGUUUAUGACUAGGUGAAAAUUAGAUAAAAAAACAUAUAAUUAAUAAUUUAUAUAUUCUAUUUCUCUCAUACUAUGAACUAUGGUCGAGCAAAAAUUAAUAAAAAAAAUCAAAUGGAUAGAAAUAGCUUAGUUACAAGUUUGAUGUUAAUUCAAUAAUUAAAAAAAAAACACAUUGUUUCCAAAAGGGUAAGAAAUAGGUCCAAAUUAUAAUUCAGAACAUAGUUAAUUUAAUGUAACACUAAACACAAAAUUCAUAGUUGUAGAGGAGGAUUAGAUACAUUGGUCCCAUAAUAUGUCACUCAAAAUCUCAAAAUCAUCUAACAAAAAAAAAAUCAUCACUUCAGUUAAUUAAAGCAAGAACAAAGAAAGUUAUGGAUGAACAAAUAUGGGAAGGAAAGAAAAAUGAUGGAUCAAAAGGGACAAAUAAGCUAAUUUCUGCCAUAAGGUAGAUGGUGAACUUAGGAUGUGGAGUUCCAAUAAAUACCUAAACUUUUGGCAAUUCAAUUAGUUUCUUUAUAAAAAUUUGUAAAUUUGAGGUGAGAUUGUCAAAUUAGCAAUUAUUAUUUUUACAGCAAAAAAUAUGAGAAUAUAAAGAAAUUAAAAAAAUAAAAAAGUAGAGCAAUAUAAAACGAAGUUUUAAGGUAAGUCGCUUUCUUAUUUUUAAGAAUAUUAGUAAAGCAGGACAUUUGGUUUUGCUUAUAUAAAAAGUUGUUCCAUGCGAUGGAGAAAUGCAUAGGGACGUCAUGUUUGUGAUCUCUGAAAGCCAUAGUCCUCACCAAAUGAUUAUUACCCAUGUUUGAAUUUAAAUAUUUGAGUCGAAAUAUAUUAUUUGAAAGAGUUUAAUAAUUUUAAGCUGUCUAAUGAAAAUAUUAAACUAAAACUUUAGUAGAGUUUAAUUAUAUAUUACAUUUUAAUGUUUUAAUAAAAUUACAUAUUUUAGUUCAAAAAGAUAUUUUAAUCAAUCAUUUUUAUUUGUUUUGAAGUUCUGGCUUAUAUAUAUAUAUAGAAUAUAUAUUGAUUGAGUUAGAAAUACCACAAAACGUUGACAUUUUUUAAAAGUAUGAUAAUUGAAUAGAAGUAACCUAUGCUAAUGUGGAGUAAUUGUUCCAUAUAAUCCUUUUUAUGAUGAAAUCAUUGCUUAAUUUACUUCAUAACUUCUUACAUUUUCUAAAUGCAUAAUAAUGACUCUAGAUUUUAAUCCUUUAAGGUAACUUUUAUUUUAUUUACUUAAAAAGAUUGCAUAAAUUUAAUAACAAAAAGGAGAAUAAAAGAAACAUGAAAUUAUACCCGUCAAUUUGUUAUUGAAAAGAUAAAGCGCUCGAAGAGAAGUCAAGUUUCCAAUAACAAGAGGAAUUUCACCUGAAACAUAUAAUUAAAUCAGUAAAUAUUUGUAAAUAUUUUCCUAGCAAACCCUUAAUUUAUUUGUUAAGCAUAUUAGUGUCUAUUUCAUUUACCUAUUUUUAAAUAUGCAAGUUUGAUUAGUUUUAUAGUACUUAUGACAACCCAAAAAUAUUUUAAUUAUAAUAGUCGAAUUUAUAGUUCAAAUGAUGAUGAAAAUUAGAUGGAAUAAAAUAGUUCAUGCUUAAUAUUUUUGUUCAAAUAUAGGAUACAUCAUCGAAGCUGAACAAAAAUAUAUAUAUAUAUAUAUUUAUAUUAGAAACUUUUAUUAGUUAGCAGUGAUUAGCUAAUGUCAAAAAAAUGAUACUAUUGCAUACGAUAUGUUUCCCUAAACUGCUUGCUAUUUAUCUCUCGCCACAAAUUAUCAAAAACGCAUGUGCAUUUUAAGCCAAACAUUUAUAAUAUUAAUAAGCGCCGUAUUGAUUCAAUUUUUAGCUAAGGAAUCAGCAAACACACACAUAUAUCUGGACAUAUAGACUACUAGGAACUCAAAAAUGCCGCUAGACCCCAGAUAUAGUCUAGGUGAAAAGGGACGGAGGAGUUGAACAGUAAAGAAACUAGUAAGAACUCACAUGAUAAUGAGCUUGUUGUAACCAGAAUACAAAGAUUGGGGCAUAGUCAAGUUUCCAAUUUCUAUAGGCAUAAUUCCCUCCAAAGAGUUGUUAUGCAAUGAUAAAUACAUCAACUAUUAUAACUAGAAGAGACUGCAUAAUAGUAACAACAAAAAAGAGAAUAAAGAUGAUAUCAUACCUGUUAAGUAGUUAACAGAAAGAUCGAUGUCCGUGAGAGAAAUAAGAUUUCCAAUAAUCGACGGAAUUUCAUCUAAAAUAUAUAAUUAAAAUUAUCAAAAUUUAUUUCACAAAAAAAUCAAAAUUUGUUAAUUAUUUUUAUAAUAAACCAUAAAAUAGUCAAAAAUCAAAGCUAUGGUUGUAUUUUGUGAGGCUGUGGAAGUUGUGUGAAGAAGAAAAAGAGGGAAUGGCAAUGGGUCAAUGCGGAUAGGUAUAAGUCUGAAACAUAUAAUAUCAACAAUGUACUAUGGAAUCAAAGCUAAGAGAAAUCAUGUACUCUAUUUCUUUCCUAUUCAAUAAUAUCAACACAUAAAUCUAAAGGAUAGAAAAAAUAGCUAAUUACAAGUCUUGUGUGAUUUAAAAGGGUAUAAAGUAGGCCCUAAUUAAAAAUCAAACCUUAAAAUAAUUUAAUGUAAAAUUUAACUCGUUUCUUAUCACCAAAUAAAUUUACUUUUAGUGAAAUUAGAAGUUCUAAUAAAAUACUUGUAAUAACUGAUUGUUUAUGUCUAGUGUUUUGUUUUCAUCCUAUUUUUCUAAAAAUUUCUACUUUUAUGGAAUUAAUUUUCCAUAGAAACACAGUUUCUAUUAUUUUUAAGAAUAUUAUAAAAGCAAGAUAUGCCACUUAGAGAAGUUUCUUUAAGUAUUUUUUCUCGGCCAAAAUAAAAGGGUGGAACUGACGAAAGCGGUUAGUAAAACAUGAGAUGCUAAAUACAGACACAUGCCAAAAUAGGAAGGAAAAUAAAAAGAUUUUAAUCUUUUAAGGUAACUUUUUUUUUAAUUAAUCAAAAAGAUAGCAUAAAUUUAAUAACAAAAAUGGAUAAUAAAAGAAACAUGAAAUUAUACCGGUCAAUUUGUUAUUGUUAAGAUAAAGUGAUUGGAGAGAAGUCAAGCUUCCAAUAACAAGAGGAAUUUCACCUGAAACGUAAAAUUAAAUCAGUCAAAAUUUGUAAAUAUUUGCCUAGCAAACCCUUAAUUUAUUUGUUGAGCAUAUUAAUGUAUGUUUGAUUUACCUAUGUUUAAAUAUGCAAGUUUUGUUUAGUUUUAUAGUACUUAUGAUAACCCAAAAAUAUUUUAAUUAUAAUACUUUUAUUAGUUAGCAGUGAUUAGCUAAUGUCAAACAACUGAUACUAUUGCAUACAAUAUGUUUCCCUAAACUGCAUGCUAUUUAUCUCUCGCCACAAAUUAUCAAAAACACGUGCAUUUUAAGCCAAACAUUUAUAAUAAUGAUAAGCGUCAUAUUGAUACAAUUUUCUGCUAAGGAAUCAGCAAACACACACAUAUCUGCACAUAUAGACACACACAUAUAUCUGCACAUAUAGACUACUAGGAACCUGAAAAUGUCGCUAGACCCCAGAUAUAGUCUAGGUGAAAAGGGACUGAGGAGUUGAACAGUAAAGAAACUAGUAAGAACUCACAUGAUAAUAAGCUUGUUGUAACCAGAAUACAAAGAUUGGGGCAUAGUCAAGUUUCCAAUUUCUAUAGGCAUAAUUCCCUCCAAAGAGUUGUUAUGCAAUGAUAAAUACAUCAACUCUUUACACUUGAAUAAGCUAUUUGAAAUUCUACUAAAAUUUGAUUGUGUCAAGCUUAAUAAUUGCAAUUUAGAAAAGUUAUCAAACAUCUUGAUAGUAGAUGACCUAUAGUGAGAUGAUUAAUUUUGAAACUAAUUUUUUACUGGUGAAAUAUAUUUAAGAUUUACACAUGUAAGGAACCUGAAUAAGAAUUAUUAUGAAAAUAUAACCAAAAGAAGCUUGAAAAAUUUCUAGCUAUUAUAGGAAUCUUCCCUUCUAAAUCAUUGUUAUAUAAUAUCAACUGUUAUAAGAAAUGAUGUUAUACUUGUUAUGUUGUUAUUAGAAAGAUUUAUGAUCUCGAGAGUAGUCAAAUUGUUAAUAGCCGAAAGGCUUUCACCUAAAACAUAUAAUCAAAUUUGUCAAAAUAGCUUGAUGAUAGAACCCAUGCAUUUUAUUUUAUUUUUCUGUAAUUAGAGAGAGAAGUCAAGUACUCUGUUUCUCUUAUAUUGAACUUAUGGCUGAAAACAGUUUUAGAUUGUUUUCUCAAAAAUACUUACAUUCUUUGACUUAUCUUUAGAUUGUGUUUAUUGUUAUCCCCUUCUUCACUAAUACUCAUGAUCAUCAUUUUUCUUGAUAAGUCAAUCUCUAAGUUUUGAAAUAUAUAAAACAAACAAUGGUGACCAUUAAUGUAUCGCCCAAAAUCUCAAAAUCAUUUAACACAAAGAAAAUCAUUACUUUGGUUAAUUCAAGCUGAGAACAAACAACAGUUGUAGAUGAACCCAAAGAAAAAUGAUGGAUUAAAAGCCAAGAUGAAGAAGCCAAUUUCUACCAUAAGGUUUUGUGUGGGUAUAAGGCAAAUCAUAAGGAGAGGAAUAACUGAAUUUAAUAACUUUUAAUCAUUCUACAAUAUCUUUAAAAUUUUCAUUCCAAGUAUGUAGGCACAACAUCCCUUGAUUAUAAUGUAAAAUUUCCAAUUUCCAUAGGGACAUUUCCAUCCAAAGAGUUGUUAUAGAAUGAUAAAAAUGUCAACUCUUUGCACUUGAUUAAACUAUUUGGAAUUCUACCCGAAAUCUUAUUGCCUCUCAACUUUAAGACUUGGAAUUUAGAUAGGUUAUCUGAUUGUUUAUGACUAGGUGUUUUGUUUUCAACGUAUUUUUCUAAAAAUUUCUACUUUUAUGGAAUUAAUUUGUCUUAGAAAAAAACAGUCUAUUAUUUUUAAGAAUAUUAUAAAAGCAAGAUAUGCCACUUAGAGAAGUUUCUUUAAGUAUUUUUUCUCGGCCAAAAUAAAAAGGUAGAACUGACGAAAGUGGUUAGUAAAACAUGAGAUACUAAAUACAGACACAUGCCAGAAUAGGAAGGAAAAUUACAAACAAACUCCUAAACCAAAUAAUUGGUUGAUGGCUGAAUUGACAUAAAACCAUUAAAGAUUUACACUAUAACUAUGUUUUCUGGUUUACGAAUAAUUGUUUCUUUGGACACAAACAUUACUAUUGUAAGAAGCUAAAAUAAACUACAACAAUAUAAAAAGAAUGUUAUAAUUACAACUCAACCAAUCAUAAACAACCCUUAAGCCAAUCAUAAGCCAACUUUGACUUUUCAACUAAAGCUGUUACAACUGAAAACCUAAAUUCAUAUCUCUCACAAAGAACAGGGAUUGACAACAUAUCUCACUCUGUUAUUCGUCAAGUAUGGGGUUGUGGAGGUGACUAAGGGUAAUUCAGGAGUUGCAUUAAAAAUCUGACUACGUUUCUUUUGGCACCAAUUAAAUUCGUUGAUGGCUCAAUUCACAUAAAUAAUGUAUAUAUACUCUAUCAUUAAGUUUGGUUUUGCUAGCACUGAACUUAGUGGUUAUUGUUUAAGUCCCGCUUCACUACUUAAAACAACUGUUGAUGGAAAUUAGAUAAAAAUGAAUGAAACAAUAACCAGGAAUUGUUUACCUUUGAGGUGGUUGUCACCAAGAUCCAAAGUGUCGAGCAAAGUCAAAUUUCCAAUUUCUGUAGGUAUACUUCCCUCCAAGGAGUUGCUCAACAAUGAUAAAAACUUCAGCUCUUUGCACUUGAAUAAACUAUUUGGAAUUCUACCGGAAAUUUGAUUCCCACCCAAGCUCAACGUUUCUAGUUUUGACAAAUUGCCUAGAGUAGAUGGGAUAACACCGAUGAAGUUGUUAAGGUACAGAGACAAUCUUUGAAGUUUACUGAAGCAACCAAACCAUGAUGGGAUUUCUCCAUUGAAGCUAUUGUUACCAAAGUUCAAAUAUUUCAUCCGAGGCAAAUUAGUUAACUCAAUGGGUAAAGAGCCUUGGAAACUAUUUUGAUGAAUGUCAAGCCAAGCAAGAAAAGAUAGAUUUCCCAAUUGAGAAGAAAUGGUGCCUGUGAGAUCCAUGCUUGACAAAUUCAGAGCAGUGACUCUAUGGUGUCUAGAUCCACAUGUGACACCGAUCCAGCUACAAACGGAGGUAGAAGUAGACCAAUUGGUUGCCAAGAAAUUGUGAGGAUCAUGAGUUAUAUGAGAUUUGAGUGAUAGAAGAGCAGAUUGAUCAACGGUGAUGCUAGAAUAUUUUGCAGACAAAAUAAUCCCAAAGGUUGCGAAUAGCAGCCCAAACAUAAACGGAGGGAGGAAGCUUGGUUUUGCCAUAAGGUUGGAUAUGGGUGUAAGGCGCAUCAUAAGGAGAGAAACAACCGAGUUUAAUACUUUUCUAAUGUUAGUUCAAUAUUCUUUAAAUACUUU
rnacentral:lncRNA from 1 species